UUGUGAUGGUCUAGAAUUGUUUCCCAAUGGAGGCUUGCCCACACCAAAUUUAAAACGACUGUGGAUAAGAGAGUGUCAACAUCUCAAGUCCUUACCUGAUCGGAUGGAUCUACUUUCGUCCCUUUCGUCACUGUGGAUAAGUAAGUGUCAACAUCUCAAGUCCUUACCUGAUCGGAUGGAUCUACUUUCGUCCCUGGAUGUAUCUUCUUGUGCUUCAUUAAUGGAACUCUUUCCCCAAGAGAAUAUUCCUCCAAAUCUGUCUAGCCUUCAAAUCAGAAAUUGCGGAAAACUAAAGCCCCCGGGGGAGUGGGGCCUACACAAACUCACCUCUCUUAAUCACUUUACAUUUGGUGGAUGUCCUGAGCUGGUUUCCUUCACUAACAAUGCUGACGAAGAACACUGUGUGCUUCCUCCAUCUCUAACAAUUUUGUCGUUGGAUGACCUGCCGAAUCUCGAAACACUAUCAAAGGGCUUCCAAAGCCUCACCAUUCUUCAAGAGUUAAACAUCUAUCGUUGCCCAAAGCUUGAGGCGUUGCCUAUGGGAGAUUACCUUGAAAAGCUUUUGAGCCUUCACAUUCGAGGUUGCCCACUUCUUGAGAAACGGUGUUUGAAGAACAAAGGAGACUACUGGCCCAUCAUUGCUGACAUUCCAGACGUCCAAAUUGAUUCUCGAUCCAUCUAUUAUCCAUGUCCAUGAAUUCAAUUCCACGAGGUAACAUAUUUAAUUUGAUACCUAUGAAUCCAACAUCAUUUCAUGCAAAAUACUUUUCGACAUUUCUGUUAAUUUUGUUUUCAAAUCAGAAUGUGAAUUUUCUGCAGCAAAUAGUGGAUCUCCCUUUCUGCAAUAGCUAUUCAAGUGUUCAUGCCACUCUGUAUCUUAUAUUUGUGCUUCUGCUCUGCAGCAUAAAUCAAUAUCAGAGCCGAUGUACCAACAAUCAAGUAAUUGAUUGGCUAUGGCGCUAAAAUUAGCCUCUUUUUGUACUAACAGUAAAAUUCUAUCAAAUAGAUAAAAUCGGAGUGAUAAUUGUUAGUCGAAUGUGGUUAAAUUAUUAAUAUUUUGCUUCGAUCUGCUUUAGCAAACUGGAAAUGCAUUGAUUUGACUUACUGCAUGUUUAUGCAUUUUUAGGUUUUUAUGUGGCAUGCGUUUUCAAACUUUUCUUGUAGAUUGGAGGUUCCUACGCCAUUUGAAUGGAACUAAUAAAAAUGACAUCGUUUUGGUGUAGGCAUUUUCUGAUUACUUGUAAGAACACAAGAUGGAAUGAAUGUGUCUCUUCAUUAGACCUUCAAGUAAGUUUUUUGUUCGAUUCUUUUGCGUUUUAAGUGUUUGUAUAAAUUCCUCAGUGAAAUUAUAUGGCAGGAUUUGUGACUGAAGCUAUGUUCAGGAGUAAACAUUUUCUUGCUUUUUUAUUAUUAUUAUUAUUAUUAUUAUUAUUAUUAUUAUUUAUUUUUUUAUUUUUUUCAUGAUUUUAGUAAUGUUUUCUGAUUAAUUCUUUGAUUGAACUUUUCCUUUUGGGGGUUGCCUUCUAUAAAGGUCAAGAAAUCUGUUUAGUCUCUGAAAAUUUUCUUGACUGGCCGACAAUCCUUUCUCGUGUGAUUUUGGUGUGGUUUAAGGUAUGAGGUACCAUGUUUUACGAUUGCUAUUUUAUAAAUUUUCUUUUUCAUUUUUAUUCAAUUUCGUUUUAAUUUGGGGUCUAUUUUGACGUUCUUUGUUAUGUCCAGGGUUUUGGGAUGAUUUAAAGUUACAGGAUUACAUUCAUCCGUAUGAAUUGGAUGUUUUAAUCCAAUCUGAAGAUUUGAAUCAUUGCUUCACAAUUUCAUGCAAUUAAAUUAAGAAACCGAUUAAUUUUUUAUGUGAACGCUUUUUAAUCGAAAACUUUAUUUCAAUUUGGAAAGUUCAAUCAUUUUAAGUUUGCAGUUAUACAUCUUCUUGGUAUGCAUUUUUUUAAUGUUAUUAAUUCAUUCUAAUUCUUAUGGAUUCUAUUCCUUUGUAUGGGACUUCUUCACUGGUUAUAAAUUUUGGCUUCUUUGAAUUUUCACUUUCGUAUUUAUUAAUUUUUUUUUGGUAAAUAUUUUAAAAAAUUAUUGAUAAUAUUGAAUUAUCCUAGACCUUCUAUAACAUAAUAAAUUGAUGUACUAAUUUGUUAAAUUCAAUUAUUCAGUAUUCUGUUUCUUAAUUUAGUUGAUCAAGUAGGUUUUUUUUUUUUUUUUUAAUCCUAAUCUGGAAUAUAUGUGCCCAGAAUGUUGCUGUGAGCAUAUUGCCUGUCAAGAAGAAUCAUUUGAGUCGAGGACGAUAAGAUGUUACAUUUUUUAGCUAUGCUGUUUUUCAGCUCACUCCAACUUGAACUCGGUACAACUUUAAUUUUUUGAAUUAAUUCAGUUUCCUUCAGCUGAUGAAUUAUUGCAGUAUCUGUGUGAGUUUGUGUGGUUAUUUCAUAUUUGCCUGUGAUUUUGUAUUAAUCAUUUGAGUUGAAAUCCUGACUCGGGUUUAUAAUCAUUGUGGACCCAAAUUGCUGAUUAUAAGAUGUGUUUUUAUAGUAAACUAAUUGCUGAUGUCAAAAUUCUUUUCAUUAGUUUUGGGUUGAUUAGUUAAUAAGUUCUUCUGUCUUUUACUGUUUGGGGAUUUCAGCAUGUGUUUCAUUAAUUGGUUCUAUUCUUUUUUUAUAUGGUAUGUACUGACUUCAAUUUGGCAAUUUCUUGGGGAUAUCUUUUUUGUCAAAUUGUAUUUUCACAGAGUUCAACUGUAAAAAUGUGAAAUAUGUCCAAUUAUUUGAAUUUUUGUUGAUAUUUUGAAAUUGAUAUUAUGUAUUGAUGAGCCAUCAAGUUAAAUUUAAAACGAAUUCCAUGUUGCAAAUGCUAUUUGGAAGUUGAAUUUGCUCUGCUGGGUUGCAAAGUAUACUUGAAUUUAUUUUAUCAAAAGAUGAAUAUUUAUCAUCUCUUAGUUUCCCCUUCUUUGUCAUAUAUCUUUACGGAAUUCUUGUAGAAGUAUUUAGAUGAUAAUUGGAUUGUGUUGAUAAUGUAGUUGGAAGAUCAUACGAGGAAUUUCAGGAAAAUAGGUUUUGUUGCUUGAGUCCAUUUUAUUUAAGGUGUCCGGAAAAAAAAAGGUUGUGUGAGUGUGGAAAGUAUAUCAUCCUUGCGCGUUUGGAUCUGUUAUUCAUAUUGAUAGAUGGCAUUCCGUGUGUGGAAGCAGAUUUCACUUAAAACAUAUAUUCACCUUGUGUUGUUAGGUAACUAGUGUAGCUUUUCACAUCUGCUUUCGUAAUGGUUUAUUGUUGUACAUUUUAUAGGCUAAUGUUGCUAGAAGAAAAUCGAAUUUCUUUCCGCUCAAACGAUGGAAUGAUGAUUGAUGGCGUUAAAGAUUACUCUCACCUGGUUGCUGAAAUGAUAGGAUUGUCGUAAGUUUUAACUUGCUAUGUAUAGCUUCAUUUCUUGCUUUUAGUUUUGGUCGACUUCAACUCUAUUAAGUAUUUUGAGCCAAAUAUUUUUUAUUAACAGCAUCAACAUAAUUAAAUUUAUUUUACUCUUGAAACAACAAAUAUGUUUCCUCUUCCUUUUUGAUGGAAGUUACAUCACAAUAGAUCUGUCUUUUAUAUGAAGAUUUUCUUCUUCUCAAUUGCUAUUGCACACUGUACUUGAUAUUAGUUGUGGGUCUGGUAGCUUUAAUGCUCGUCUUCUAUCGCUUAAGCUGAUCUGUGACAGCAUAUGAGCCAACAGGUAGACAUGUUCAAUUGGCACUUGAUAGAGGUCUCCCUUCAAUCAAAACUUAAUCUAAAGACAGCUCCCUCUUCAUCCUUCGUCAUAUGAAGUGGUUCACUGCACUCAAUGUAGCAUUGUCUGUGAUAACAAAGGUAUGAUCCUCAUUAAGGUUUGGGGUUUUGUUUUUUUCCAUUAAAUCACCAUUUCUUCAUCAGAUUAAGUGCAGUGGUUUUUAUUGAUUUUUCACCGAUGAAAAUACUUGAAAUUAAUUUGACAUUUAGCCUAAUGUAGUGCGAACUUUUCUGUGGGUUUUGCUAUUUUUUGCGUGCAUUUCUAUUUCUUUUUUGUUUAUCACAUUUUGUUUGAUACUAUAGUUAUCUGUGAUAAAUUUUGCAAUGGUAAUAUUAGGCUUGCUGUAAGGAAGGCCAAGAAGGAAAAGAAAGCGUAUGAUCCAAACAAGCCAAAGAGACCUCCAAGUGCUUUCUUUUCAUGUAUGCCCAUUUGCAUUUUUGGUCUCUAUCAUUUCUGUCUAUUGUUCUUAUAUAUUAUCUUUUUUAUGCUGCUUGGCAGACUACAACAAUAAUUUGGUAAUCCAUCUAUGAGAAGCACGGUGUUAUACACAGUUUAGUUUGAAUUGUGAUACUGAAACGACUUGUGCCAAACUGUUUUUAUAGGCUAGAGGGGCUGUUGAAUUCGACAAGGCAAAGUCUGAGGUUAAUGGUGAUGAGGACGAUGAGAACAGUGGAGACGUUAGUUGAAAUUAAGCUAUACAACUUUUUUGUACUUGAAACUUAGCUACUAUGUUGACUUUUUAUUUUGUUUUAAUUAAUUUAGGGGGAAGACUAUGAGUAAGCACUAUCACAGAAAACUGGAUUUUGGAUUCAAGGUGAGAACCAACAAUCAAUCUUCCUUCAUUAUUUGCAUUUAUGGCUUCAGGUUUUGUAAAAUGUUCGACUUGAAAGUGAGUUAAUUGGAUUGGUAGAUUUCAUGAAGAAUUAUUGUGUAAAAUUUGGCUUCAGGUGAAUUUUACUGAAAUUAAUUGAAAGUAAUUAUCAAUAAUACUCCUUUUUUUAUUUUUUUAUUUUUAUUUUUUAAAGUUGCUAAUGUGUUUGUUCUUCCUUUCAGUGAGGGAACAAGCGUCUCUUUGCCAUUAACUUGGGGCAAAAAAAGAGAGGAAACGUAUGCCUUGUUUUUCAUUAUUGCCUAUUGGUACACAAGACGUAUUUAGAGGAAAGGGGUGGAGGAAGAGGGGGUUGAGUGCUUGUAGACCAUGAGCAAAAAAUGGCAGACUACAAUAAGAAUUUGGUAAUUUCAUCUAUGAAAUUCUCUAUUACAAUGCACUACGUGCAUCUCACAUGCGAAGAACUAGUUCGAUAAAUAUUCAAUAUUUUACAAGCAGCUUCAUAUCUUGUUAAAUUUUAAAGGUCCUUCCUUUUGUGAAAUCAUUUAAGUUAAAAAUGUUAAGAGAGAAAAACAUUAAUUUAUUAAUAUCUUCAAAACUCUUCUUAUGGUGCAGGUAGAUUUAAUUUUUCUAUAAACAUUAAAUUUCUGACUUUGAUGGGGUGAUGAUAUUAUUUUACAGAUUUUCAUCUGGUCGUCCGUUCCCAAUACAAUUUCGAGACUCGAUUUGAUUGGAGACUCAUAGCUCAGUCAUCUACCAGGUUGAGAAAGUUAUGAAUUGGGUUAGUCGUUGUAAGCUUGUGGGCUGACCACCUAUAUGCCUGCUUUGCAUAUAUUUUGUUGCCAGCUCCGAUCCACAUCAGUUGAUGACGUGUUGUUUACACCAAAUUUGACUUGUACACAAUAUCCGUUAUUACAAGAGUUAGAGAAAGACGCCAAUUCAAACCAUCAUUUGGUGACACAUUUUUUAAGAGCAAUCGUAGAACCUAUAUUUGUUAAGUGAAGCCAAUGUUAUGCUGAAGCAAACAAAAGAUUAUGACGAUUGGGGAUGGUCAAGUUCACAUUUCACUUCUUAUCUUUCCUCCCUCUCUCUUUUAGAGUAAAGAUCAUUUGUAGUAUUUCGUGGCUACCAAAUAUUCAAAUACUCCAGGGAACAUUGGAGAUGUAAAAUUCUGUAUUAUAUAAUAGGAGGAAUUUCUUUCUUUUUUUUCCUAAAUGGAUUAUCAGGUAAGCUGUCAUUAUUUGCAAUAGUAAUAGGCUCUUUAUUAUGAUGUGCAGUUGCACAUGUCCAUGUGUGUGCACGUAUACGUGUGUGUGUGAAAUGUGGAAUAAUGAUAUUUGUAAGCAAUGCACUGCAAACAACAAUCUAUUCUUACCUAUUAGCAAUUAGCAUUCUAUGUAGAGGUAUUGUUACUGCCACAUUUUCCUAUAAUUUUAGAGUAAGGAUAUUUGUAAGCAUUGUACUAAAAACAACAAUUUGUAUGACAGUGAGAUAUCUAUCUCAUUCUCCUAUGAAUUGAGUUCGGUUUAAUUUAUUGAAGAAUGUGAUAGUGAUCCCAUUGUUACAUCAAAUAUUGGUAAUAAGUACUGUCAUAAACUUAGCAUACAUUUAAUUUAUUGAAGAAUGUUACAAUAAUCCACUGUUGCAUGGAUGGUUGAUGGAUAAGUACUACUUACAAAGAGUAUUACUCCUUAAAAAUGGAAAUUUACUAGGGAUAUGAAGCCAAGUGGACAAAUAUCUGGACAAAUAUCAGACCUUGCUAAAGAAAUUUCACUCUUAACAAAUACAAUUCUCCAUGAUAGACCAUAUGAAAAAUCAAAAUUGAGGUACAUUCUAACAAUAUCCCUCUACACCCAUCUCACCCUUUUAACUAUUUACCCACCAACACCCACACUUUAUAUAUAAAUGUUUUUUCUUGUUUUUUUUCUCAAUUUUCAGGGUCAAAAUGUCAAACAAAGUUAAAAUAUUAGAAUUUUAAUAUCAUUUUGAAGUGCUCAUAGCUUGGCUUCUCGCAUCAUUAACAGCGCAUGAAAUGACCGACCACAGCAAAAGUUACAAUGCGUCAAAAUAGGUCAUUCAAAAUUAGUAUUUCAAGAAUUUCGAUAAUAUACUAACUUUAAAAAUUUGUUGGCGAUCGUAUACUAACUGAAUUCAUAAAUUGCUUGUCAUCUUGAUCCAAACAGAUAUAGGUUGUACAUUGAAAAUAAUUAAAUUAUUUGAAAAUUUUUGACGUCAUGUGUCAUGUAAAAUUAUCCUAAUAAAAUGAUGUAAAUUAUAUUAAUAUAUUUGUUGAGCAAAAAUAAUAAACGUUAAUGAAAUAAUUGAAAAAUUUUAAAGGAAAAAAUGAGUUAUGCAUCUCUUUUUGACACGAUCAUUUAAUUAUUUUUGAUAUUCAAAUUUUGGAUCAUUCGAUAUGUCUACGAUAUAAUUCUUUAAACUAAAGCAAAUUUUUAAAAUUAGCAUAUUAUCGAAAUUCUCUAAAUACUAGUUUGGAAUGACAUAUUUUAAGACAUCAUAACUUUCGCUACGAUUGACAGUUUUACGCGCCGUUAACGAUGCAAAGAAUUAGACCGUGAGCACUUCAAAAUAAUAUUUAAAAUGUGAUAUUUCGAUUUCAUUUGACAUUCCAUAAUGACCUCAAAAAUUGAGAUGAAAACAAGGGAAAAAAAAAACCUUUAUAUAUGAAGAAUGAGUGAUAAGGAUGGUGAGGGGUAGGUGUGGGGUGGGGUAAAAAGGUUGGGGGUCGGUAAAAAGUUAAAAAAUUGGGCAAGUGUAGGGGAAAACAAAAGUUGCCACAUUAGUAGUGGGUAGAAUGUUCUCCUGCACACCAUUGCCAGCAGAGCAAUUCUACGAAAAAUAAUACGCGAAGAAUUAAUUUCAUAAUUUGUGAUCGAUAAAAAGUUAUAACCUAUAAAAUUUGUGAUUUUAAGUGUAACGUUUUGUAACUGUGACUAAUACGCAACUGUGAUCAUAAACUGUAUGAUAUUGCGAUCUUAAUUUAUUAAUUAUAUAUUUAAUUAAUGUACUAAAUUUAAUAUUUAUGACCCGGGUUUUGGAAAAUAAAAAAAUAAAAAUCUCAAGUUCGUCAAAAUUGAAAUUGUAACUUAAAAUCUAUCUAAUUAUGUAUUCUUCCCAUUAUAAAAAGUAAUGGUGGAUAUAAUUUACCCAUUGAAAAAUGCAAAAUCCUCCAUUUGACUAGAGGAACCGGCUGUUUCGGCAGAGUUAUAUAUCGAAUUUUACUUGUCAUGCUGAGGUCGAGGGCUAAGAUCUCUAGCUUACGCGUAUAUAGGCAGGGGCGGAUCCAAGCAUGAGCUCCACUAUGCUAUAGCCCGUGUUCGCCCCUGAAAAUGUCUACUGUAUUUUAUUAUUAUUAUUAUUAUUAUUAUUAUUAUUAUUAUUAUUAUUAUUAUUUUAUUGAAACAUAAAUCGAUGUAUAUUUGUAUUGUAACCCGUGUCCAAACUCAAGGCUGGAUCCGCCAUUGAUAUAGGCGUUUAUUUCUAACCAAGUAAUGAACACCAUCACUACUAGUAGUUGAAGUGGGUAGAUAUACAACAGUUACCAUCUAAAAAUGGACCAAAAGUAGUUCAAUGUGUUAUAGCAGAUCGAUGACCACACACCAUGAGCCAUCUAGGUAUCAACUGAUCAUUUACUAUCCUAGAUUAAGAAUAAGUCAUUUUAAGUGAAGUGUGACCUCCCAUUUCCCUUGAGGAGACCCACUGAUCAUUUACUAUCCUAGAUUAAGAAUAAGUCAUUUUAAGUGAAGUGUGACCUCCCAUUUCCCUUGAGGAGACCCAAACUAACCAUAAUCGUAUAGAAUAGAUGUAGUUCAUAAUCACAAAUCAACAUAGAAUCAAGUAGAAAUAAUACAACCAACAGACGGUAUACUCUGUUACAUUAAAUGUUGUUUUAUUGAAUUUCUCAACAGACGUUAAAAUGUUAUCAAACCUCUGUUUGAGUCUCAUUCUUUCAAAAAUUCAGUUUUUCAAAACUCAUUUUCAACCACACAUCCUUCAAUAAAAUAAUAUUACACGUAAAUUCAAAAUUUUUUUUUUUACUUUUUAACCAUAUAUUCUCCAUCAAUCUACUAUUCAAAAUGCAUUAUUUUCCAAAAAAUGGGGCUCAAGCUAAGUGAAGACUUUACAACAAUGUAAAUGGUAUUCUAGCAAUCAAUAUUCCAGUUUCAAGUUGAACUGAAAUUAAGAAAAGAAACAUGUUGACCAGCCUCAAAAAAUGGUCAUAUAAAGAUAUUAGAAAGCACAUAGCAGUCAAGUGUGUGGAUGGAACCACCUUUACAACAAGAAGAGAAACUGGAUGACAGGCAACAAAUACAGUAUCAUAAAGCACAGCUAAUUGAAGCUAUAGGAAUUAGAAAAAUACAUACCUCGAUAGAUUGUAUGAGACUCUUAUGUAUACGUAAUAGUCUAGUUCAGUACAUUUGAUCAGCCAAGAAGAGGAUUAAGAACGUUCCCAAUGAAUAGCACUACCCCAGUCAUAUCUUCCCUGAUGAUGAACAAAAAUGGAUGAUCGGCAACAAAAUCGAACUCAUCCUCGACUAAUAAACCCCUCAGUUUAACAAGACCAGCAGAAGCAGCAGCAGCUUCCGUGCCUUCUUCAUUUACCUCAAUAAAUGACUUGUGGAAAAUGCUAGAAACAUAAAGGUUCUGACCAACUUGUGAGUCCACCAUCUCUGUGAGACCACCACCAGAAAAAGGCAACACGACUCACAGUCCCUUCAGAACUUCCGAGGCUUCAAACCCAAAUGACAAUUUGAAUUUUGGGAUACGGAAUUCACCAACUUCGACCUUUUGAUAUGGGAGGUGAUGCUCCAAGAAUCCUGAUUCCGAACUGACUUUCUCUACCAAAGCCAGCAAUCCAUCUUUGGUGUCUGGAAGAAGGAAGUUCAUAGAGAACUUGCGCUUAUCUUCACCUUGCUUAUACGGAAGGCUCAAAAUUUUGAAACCAUCAAAGGAACGUAUAUAUUGCUUCUUCUUGCUACUCAUGAAGGGUACUUGUACUGAGCUCCCAUCUAGGAGGAAAAAGUCAUGGUCCUUUGUAAUUGAUGCAUCAAACUUCUCACUCCAAGCUCCUUUGAAAUACACUGCAUUUGCAAAGAUGAGCCUCGUGGAAGCAUCGACUGAGCCAGGUGGAAGAAUUUCUUCGACAAGGCCACUUGUUUCCUUUUCAGCCCAUUGAUUGACUUCACCGAUUACCUCAACAGCCUUCAGAAAUAUCAAGAAUAAAGAACAUAACAAUUAAUACAUUGUUAAAGAAAUUUACUUGCAGAAGUAGAAGUUCUACAACAUGAAUGAUUUCACCCAGCCAGUUCCUCUUUCUCCUACAACUCAAGGUGUACAAGCAGAUAAAUAAUUGUUUACAGCAUGAAUUCGUUGACAUUACAAUAGAAACUAUUUCUUUGUAAGGUUUAUUCUAAAUGUCAUGGGCCAUGAGUACCAUUUACAGAUAUACUUGAAACAGAAGUUGGUUACAUGCUUAUGAACAUAACCACCACCAAAAAACAAAAGCAAAAGCAAAGCCGUCCCCAAUAAAUUUGGAGUCAGGGAGCUAGAAGCAUUUUUCAUCCAUUCGACAGGGAUUUCUUGGUGACCAAUACUAACAUGAAGACAAGAAUAAAUCGGAUGUUAUCCAUUUGAUAUUUUCAUAAUAUCAAACUAUCACAAUUCUGUAAACAAUUACAGAAUUUACAAUUUUAAAAAAAAAAAAAAAGGAGGAUAAAAAUAAUGCAAAUUUUCUUACAAUGUGAAGCACCACAUGGAUUUACAACCACUGGUGUAUGGCAAGUGUUUUAAAGUUUAAAAUUACAUGUCAUUCUAUUUUGGUAUUUGGGAAGAUGAAAUCUAAGUAAUUAGGAGAAAAUGCCUUCGGCUUGCUUGGGCUUAGUUUAGCAACUUUUGAACGUACAAAGGUCAAGUUUUCAGUUAGAAACAGAAAAAAGUGAAAAUUUUUAAAAAAUGAGAGAUAUAAUCUUCAAUGAUUUAACCUGGGUCAAACCUUACGAGAUCCUAUAGUACAAUUUUGACAUGAAGCAGCCUUCCAAUUGGGUCUAUGGUGAAGGACAAAACCUUUCAGUUGUUUUUUCAUACUUAUGACAUUCCAAUAUGCUGUUAAAUAAAUGAAAUCAAGUUCAAGUUAAUCGCAACUUAAUAACCAAGAUUUAUUGAAUAGCCAAGGUCAAACUCAAUUCCAUUGAAACUUGGAAAAUUCAUACAAUAAACAAAUCGUUCUUUGAGAUAUACUGACUCGGACCAAACAAGUUUGUUAAUGGAAAUCCAAAAUCUAUAUUUAAUUCAAGCUCAAAUUCCUCCAGCUAAACUUGCUUGUGUUUAUUUACAUAGUAACAUGUUUGGGAGUGUUUUUAAACAGUUCAAAUUAUAAAUGGAUAGAAAUGAGCGGUUCCUCAAAAUGUGUAAAUAAACAGAGUGUUCACAAACAAUUUAUAGAAACGAGCAAAAGUAGUUUAACUAAUUGAACUAAAUUCAUUUUUCAUUGGUAAUACUGGACAUCAACUCCAGCUUUCCCCUAACAAAAUUUACAAAAGCACGGAUAAAUCGACCAAUUGCAAUAAGUUCAACAAUCAGUUGGAAGAAACAGCUUUUCCAUUAACCAAACGAAUAAACAUGGAUGAAAUGGACCAAUUGUAAUAAUUUUUGAAAUAUGUUUUGAAAAUUUCAUCACCUAUUUUUCCCAAAUGUAAUCAUAUUAAUUGUGUCAAAGCCAUCAAAUUGAAUUUCAGAAACAUACACAAUAAAGUAUCAAUUGAUUAAAAAAAAAAAAAAAGAAAUUUGACAGCACACAAACCACCUAUAGACACCAAUAAUAAGCAAAAAAGGUUAUAAGGAAACAAUCAAACCUUGAUCAACGAUAAACAGAUUAAUGAGUUCUAUAAUUGAAAAUAGAAAUUAAACUAACCUUAGUUUGAAAAUCAACAGGAUUAGAAGCAGCCUUGUAAAUAUUAUCAACAAUUUCUUUAAAACUGGGCUUCAAGCUGAGACUCUGAUCUAUCCAACCCCCAUUAGCGAAUGACAAGCAAGGCCCACCAAGGGGGCCACCGUCAGCGAAAAUGAGAUUUACAAGCUGAGAGGAGAGUGAGUUGAGUUCAUCAGUGGACUUCGAUUUGAGGAAAUUAAGCAACUGAUUAAGGGUUUGAUCUUUGGAUCCGGCCGCGAUCAGACCCAACACCACGUGAAUCGAGAGCGGCGAGAACACCAAAUUCUUAUCCUUGGCCUCAGUCGAAACCAAGUAAUGUGCAAGCUGAAGUGAUGCUUGUGUUUGGUUCUUGAUGGAUUCUCUUAGGUCCAUUUCUGUCUGCGUCUGCGUGUGGAAGAGGUGAUUGAAUCAAAAUUCGUGCGCGUUUGGACGUUCUGAAAAUCUGCACUGUGUUCACCGACCCAUCAGAGGCAAUUUAUAUGUGCCAUUUGUGAUGGUUGACUCAAGCGUGUCUUUCAAUGUCUACUCAACACGUUAGGAUUCGUUUCUUCGAGAUAAAGAUUACAAAUUGGGGGAAUCCAUUGUUCAUCCAAACGACCUUGAAGAAUACUUCGACGUUGAUGUUUUGAAAUUAAUUUUGUGAAUAGUGAUUAAUUUAUAGGCUGUAGGGUUAAAAUAGAUAUAAUUAUUUACGUGUAAAAUUAUUUUAUCAAAAGAUUGUGUAAGAAAAAUUAGGUUUGAGGAAAAUAUAAUUUUUUUAGUAUCAUAAUCAACCAUCCUAUAAACUUCUCUAGGGUCUAAAAAUUUAUUAGUAUCGUAACCAACCAUCCGAUAAACUUCUCUAGGAAUUUAGACUCUGUUUGUCACCCAUCAUUUGAGAAAUUAAAAAGUUAUGAAUAGUAUUUUUUUGAAAAAUAUGUUGUUAAAAAAUAAAGAAAUUUUAUAAAUUUGUGUGUAUAAUAUUUUAUUGUGUGAAUAUGAGGAGUAGAAUGGUACUCUAACAAACAAUUUUAAAUUUUAAAUGGGGCAAAACAAGUUUCUUUCACCGCGGAUAUUUCUUGCUUGUUUGACUUUCUUUAAUUUAUUUUAUAGAUUGUUACGUGAUCAUUUUCAACAUAUUUACGCAAUAAAAUAUUAUACAUAUACACUAAAACUUUGUCUAUUUUAAUCACACAUUCUCUUAAAAUUACUAUUUAAAAAUCAUUUUUCUGCCAAAACAGUUGUCAAACAGGCUUCAUCUUGUGUGAUUUUUUGAAAAUUACUUUUUUUGAUAUUUAUUUUCAAUAUACAUUCUUUAAAAUUAUUUUCCAUAUUUUUCAAUUUUUAAACUUUUUAACUACACAUUUUCAAGAAAAUCACAUUUCAUAAUCUCUAUCCCACACACACACACACACACACACACAUAUAUAUAUAUAUAUAUAUAUAUUUUUUUUUUUUUGUAAUUUUUUUUCUCUAAAAGCAUCUUCAAUAGCAUAUUGUAUAUGAUUCAUAACUUUUUCUUACUUUUUAACUAUACAACCUCUAAAAAAAUAUAUGUCACUUGAAAAAUCCAUGUCAAACAAACUCUAACAGUGACAUGAUUGAGGGGAAUUCUUCAAAGUAGAAAUGCCAAUUUAAACCGUCAAAAUCGAAAAUUGUGACUAACCGAACCAAAUAGAGCGAAAAAAAUCGAAUCGACGGUGCAAUGGGGCGGAUAUGGUAUUUGAUUUUAAUGAAUCGGUUCGUGACGGUGCGGGUAUGAUAUUUACGCCGUCGAACCGAAACCGAACCGAUAACUCGCUAAAAAAAGCAAAAAAUAAAUAAAUAAAUUGAAUUGAUUAUUGAGCUUUACACUAUAUUUCUAUCUAGCCGAAAACAAAAUUUCCCCAUUACAUCUACUUGACCUAGCAGGCCAGCUCACUUAUCAUUAGCCCAUAAUAAUAGCAUUAGUAUGAAAGUAUAUAAAUGCAAACCCCAUUUUCCACAAACCACAAGCUCACGCACGCUCCACUACCUCUACGGUCCAAGCCGUCGUCACCUCCAAAAAAUUUCCCACACGACUUCAGUUUUAAAGAAAAGACAGGACCUCCCUUCUUAAUCAAGAUUAUUGGAACAAAAAUUUCAUCUCAAUCAUUUUUGUUGUAUCUGUAAACUGAUUGCAUUUUGCAUCCAAUUCCAGGGACGCAUUUUUCAGGAUUUGAUGCAGAAAUUGUUUCAAAUUUUGUCGAAAAGAGGAUAAAUUCAAUCAGUACUGAUUUAGUAUAGACUUGAGCCAAGUCCGAGGCGUGGUCGAAUAUAAUAUAUUGUGUUUUUGUUUUCAUUGAAUUUUUUCAUAAAUUGUUUUAUAUCAAUUUGAUGGAUGAACCUAUAAAAAAUAAUUUAUUUUCGUGGUUAUUAAUCGAACCGAACCUAUUUACGUGAUUAUGGUGCGGUUAUAGUAUGGUCAAAAAAUUGAUCGUGCGAUUAUGAUUUUGGCCGAACCGACCCAUAACUGAACCGUUAUCAACCCUACUUCAAAGCAUGUUCACAAGAACAUGGAGAGGAGCUGUGGGCUUUAGCUCCAGGACUGUACCCAUUUAUUAUUUUUGUAUUAAUUCUGUGCAAAUAGUUUUUUAUUAUCCCUCGACUCCACCUCUAAUAUCAACCCAUGAUGCGCAAAUCUAAAUAUUCUCACACUAUGCAAAAAUCUCUUUUUGGUUGAGACAUUUCUCACUUCUCAGUUGUAGUAUUCAGAUUUAUAUGAAAAAGGAGCUCAACAAUAGUUUAUACUUUUCCUAAAAAUAAGACAAAAUAAUGCAAAAUUUUGGACAAAAAAUGAUGAAUGAAGUAAAAUAACAAGAUGUAUCUCUUCAACGAAUUAUUCUACUCCAACAUGUCUUCCUGAAAAAACAAGGCCUAUGUGGCCCUGUUUGAGAAGUAGAACCCCUCGUAUAUAGUGUUUUCUACCUUGAAAUGCCACUUCUAAAAAUGCACUUACUUGACAGUUGACACCUCCUUAUGAUAUUUUGACUAUGCUUAGGAAGCUCAAUUUAAAAAAAAAAAAAAAAAGCAGCUUCUAAAAUAAAAUUUUUAUUGGUAAAUGUUUAAAAUAAUUAUAUUAUUUAUUAUAAGUUUUUGUAUAGAAAUGUGUGGAGGGUAAGUUGUUCGUCGAUCAUGAUUAACGAGGUAGUUUCGACCCUUCUCUAUCUCUUUCUCAAAACCGUUAAAUUUGAUAUAUUUUUCACUUGUAAAAUUUGUUUUCAUUUUUUUUCCUUUUUUUUUUUUUGUGCAUUUACGCAUUUUACAUAUUGUUUAUCUCAUCAUCUUCAUCUCACAAAAUAUUUACAAGUUCUUGGAGAUUUCAGAGAUCCAACGAAAUGAAAAUUUGGGUUACAAUGUUCGAGAAAAUGAAAUAAUAAUUAAAAGUAUUCUUCCUAAACUAUUAAUAUAGUAUUUUUAUUUUUUUACAUUUGAUUCUACUUAUUCUUGUGGACAUCAUUGAUACGUGUUUUUAGUAGUCAUGGGCGGACCAACUGUUGAGAUUCUCCUCCCUUUUUUUUUUUUAAAGUCAUGUUUGGCAUCGAUUGAAAUUUAAAUUUAAAUCUAAAUCAAAGUUAAUAAUUAAUUUUAAUAACAUAUUUCAUGGAUUCUUGAGCUUCUAAAAUUUUAUCAAAAUUUACUAAAAAUCGGACUUUAGUCCCCACCAAACAAAGAUACAAUCUCAAUAAAUUUGAAUUUUUUCUCUUUUUUAUUGCUCUAUCCUAUUCUCUCCCUAAAGCCUUUUACCAAAAUCUUAACUCUUCUAAUUUUUUAUAAUUUAUUUAUAAUUCCUCUACGAUUGUCACAUUUAAUAUAAAUUUUCACUUUUCAAUCAAAUUUUUAACUAAUUAGAACCUAAAAAUUUGCAUUUUCUCCUAUUCUAUUUGUGUAUAUAGCACGUGUCUAAACUGAUGAUAUAAAAUUGAACUUAUAUCUAACGAAUUGUGCUUAUCUGACUGAUUAUUAGUAUUGAAUAUUGGUUAUUUGCUAUUACUUUCAAUUACUUGAAUUGAUUGUUUGUAUCAAAUACACAAUUUUUUAAAACAUAAAUAUAUAUUUUCUUGUGAUGAGCAAAAUAUUAAUAAAAUUAUUAUUCAAAAUCAAAUAGAUGAAAAUAAUUAGCAAAAUAUUAAUGAAAAAAUAAUUUUGAAAUGUAAAUCUACAUUUUUUCGGGUCAAAUACGAAUCAUUCAAAAAUAAAAAAUAAAGUAAUCGAUUUGUACAAAGUUUGAUUGUGCCACCUAACUCAAUUUCUCUACGUCCGCCUUUGUUAAUAUUAUUAUAUUUUGAUGAUGAUGAUUUGCUCUUCAAAAGAAACUAUUUUAUUUUAAAUCACCUCCAUCAAAUGAACCCAAUGUAUAUAGUCACGUUGCACAUACUUUACAACAGUAUUAUAUAAUUAACAAAAUAUUUAACCUCUUUUCUUUUGAUUGCGUGCUUAAUAAUAUUUUACGGCACCUGCAACAAUUAGUUAUUUUAUUUUAUUUUAUUUUAGUUUUAAUUAGGGUGGAGCUUUUGAAUACAUUUGUUAUGUUUUGUGUUAUAAUAAUGAGAGAAUUAAAUGCUCAUUUAUUGAACGAUCAAUUAGGUAAACUAGGAAGGACAAAAUUAAAAAUAUGGAUACAUAAAUGCCGAUUAUAGCAUAAUUUUUCUAAUAUUCUAGAAAACAUAACAAUCUCUCCUAAACUAAUAUUGGAUUUUGCUUGUUGUAUGUCGGGCUGUACAUCAACAUGUCCAUAAUGCUCCUGUAGCAAUAUAUUGGAUUUCAAUUUCUCGUGUCCAUUGAAAAGGACGAGAUAUUUACUGGAAAGCCCCUGCCUUAUCUGAUAUUUGAAAACCUUCUCUUUGGAAGCCAAAUUUAUGCAACAUUAACCAUCUUUCUCUAGGAAUGUCAAUUUGACUUACCAGCUCGAGCAGCCCAAGAAAAGUCCGAUCAUGCCCAAUUCGCGGAUCGUUAUAAUCCAGCUGAGGCUUGAGCUGAGCUUCAUUUUGGAGUUUCGGCCGAAGCUCAAGCUAGCCAGUGUGGCUUGACGAACCACAUGGGCCAUUUUCGGCUUGUGAGCAAAUUUGUGAAAAAAAGAUAUUUUGGCUGCUGUAGCUGCCUGUGUAUUACAGGCAGCUAGUAGCUACUGUUGCUGUAGCUCCAGCAGCGAAUUUGCUUGUGUAUUGCAGGCAUCAAUACAUAGUAGGAAGUCACGCGGUUGCCUUUUCAAAAAAAAUAAUAAAAAAUAAAAAAUCACGAGCUGUCUCGGUUCGAUUGGAUUCCAUAAGGCCAGAGCCAAAGCUCAGAUUGAGCGUUGAUAUUUUGACCGAACACAAACUCGACUCGACUCGAGCUAAAGAAAGCUUGAACCAUUUUUACUCAAAUCGAACACGAGCUUCAAAUUAGGCUCGCGAGCCAGUUCAACUUAGCUCGUUGACCUCCGUAUCUCUCUCAGCAAAAUCUUCGACAAUCUUCGACAACUGAUGAUGAGUAGAUCGACUAGAGACAAAUCGGCGGUGAGCAGAUCAAACAGGGCAACAACAAUAUUUUUUACUUGUAAGAAAAUGGAUUUAAAUUUCUUUUUGGGUGAAUUUCUUCAUUUGUUGUUUAAGUGUUAAUUUCUGGAGUUCUGUACUUGCCGUUCGUCGGACAUUAAAUGGGUAGAUUUUAGUUUGUACCUGAAAUGGGUGGAUUUUAUACUAUAAACUCGGUGUCUUGUGAAAUGCGUAUAAAAUAAUUUUUUAAUCUUGUGGAACAGGGUAGAUUUAAGUUUUGAGCUCUUCUUUUGUGACUACUAUAUGCAAUUUCAUGUUACAAAAAAUUCUCGGAUCGGCUCAAGUAAAGAAUGCUUGAACUAGUUUUACUGGAGAUGAACCAAAGCUUCGAAUUUCUGCUCACGAGCUGACUUAGCUCAACUCGUUCACAUUCCUAUCUUUUUCUCAACAAAAUCCCUAGAUGACUAAUGACAAUGGAUCGAUUGGAGACAAAUCAAAGGCGAGCUGAUCUAACAGGGUAACGACGAUAUCUUUUACUUGUACUAAAAUGGAUUUAAUUUUUGUUUGGGUGGAUUUCUUCAUUUCUUGUUUAAGUGUUAAUUUCUGGAGUUAUGUACUUUACCGUUCACCAAACAUUAAAUGGGUAGAUUUUAGUUUGUACAUGAAAUAGGUAGAUUUUAUAUUGAGAACUCGAUAUCUUGUGGAAUGCAUCUCAGAAAAUUUUGAAAUCUUGUGGAACUGGAUAGAUUUUAAUUUUGAGCUCUUCUUUUGUGACCACUGCAUGCAAUUUCAUAUUACAGAAAAUCAAGGGAAUUUUAUCUUUACACGAAGUCCCGAAAACCCAACUUUUUUUUUUAAAAUCAAGAUACGAAAGUGAGGGCAGAAAACAUAUCAUGGUUGGAGUGGUGGUGAGAAUUGAUGAUUCUUUAUUGGAAUCCACACUUUUAAAAACUGAUAUUGGAUUUAAUUGUUGCUUCGCCAAGAGACAAACCCUUGUCCCGUUCCUUCUUUAUCACAUGUUUCUACAAAGUCUUAGCUGCCGGAAGAGUGUGAUUUUCUUAUCCAGACAUUUUCUUUUGGAAGCCUCCAAAGUGUAAUUACAGUCUACGAGUGGAGAUUCAAAAUCCAUGCUCCAAAUACUUGAGAUGUCAAUUUCAAGACACCUUGGAUCAAGUUUUCAUGUAGUAUUUUUCAUUAAGCAUAUAACAAGGAUUUUUUUUUUUUUUUUUUUUUAAAAGUGAUAUACACAAAUGGCAUGAAAUUAUAAGGAAAAAAAAAAAUAACAACCACACAUGAAAUCAAACAAUUAAUAUUUUACCCCUCAAACUUAAAUUAAAUAUUGUCCCCAAUGUAAAAUUAAAGACAAAGGAGGAUGAGGACUUUCUUGAGUGAAGACAUCAAUUGGCUUCAUUGCUAUCGGCAUCAUGGUGGGGGCAGUGAUGGAUGUUGGUUCUAGUUUUGCCCCCAAACUUGAGCCUCGACCUACAAGAAGAGAAAAAUGAUUAAGAAAUUAUAAACAAAAAUGUAAACUAAUAUCUAAAUAAUUAAAAAGAAAAAGAGCUUGGGUUGCCUCCCAAGAAGCACUUAUUUAACGUUGUUAGUUUGAAGUUGUCGGAAUGCCUUAGGUUAGGUCACCAAGGGCACUUCUUCUAUAUUCAGCUCGUCCUUUCCAUAGUAUUACUUAUGUUGCUGGACAUUAUUUUAAAAUAUGAACCUAUUCUUGUCCUUCAACUUCACAGCACCAAAAGGAAAUAUGUUGUGGCUAAUGGUCGUGGCCAUCGUGAAUUAAGAUUAUUCACCGUCAACUUCUAGCGGGACUUAUGGACAAGUACUUGUUUCGGAAUUGGCUUUCUUCUCCAUAUAAACUUUUGCACAAGAUAAUUAGUACUGAAGAUCUCUUUGGAUUCAAAAGAGUUGACAGGCUUCACAAGAUCCUUUUUCUAGUUCUCAUUACUCUCAAGUGGCAAAGCUUCACUAGCCAAGAUAAAAUCAACCAAUUUCCUGCUCUCCCUGUAUAACUUUUUGUAGCAGUUAUGUCUAUUCUUGAAGCACUUGUUACAAUAUACUACAGUAAAGUGUCAUCAAACAAUUCCUUUUUACAUUUUUCUCCCACUGAUGCAACAAUUUCUUAACUUGGUAUAUAGUGAACCUGACUUCUUCUUUAUUAACCCAAAGUGUUAGUUGUCCUCUUUGUACAUUAGUAAGUGCUCUACCAGUUGCUAAGAAAGGUUGACUAAGAAUUAAUGGUAUUUCUUGAUCUUCCUCCAUAUCCAACACCAUAAAAUCAAACGGAAAGAUGAACUUCUCAAGUUUAACUAACACAUCUUCCAUAAUUUCCUUAGGAUAUGUAAGAGAUCGAUUAGCAAACUACAAAGCGAUGGUGGUUGAUUUCGUUUAUCCAAGACCCAACUUCUUGUAUAAACAGAGGCAUUAAAUUAAUGCUAGCCCUAGAUCACAUAAUGCUUUGUUAAUGUUAGAAUCGCCAACUGUGCACGGAAUUGUAAAGCUAUUUGGAUCCUUUAGUUUCUAAGGAAGCUUCUUUGACAUUAGUUUUUUUUUUUCAAGAAUUUGGCAUAAUUCUGCAUGUGUGCUAAAAUAUCUACAAUAGAGAAAAUUAUAUGGAUUUUCUUGAAAAUUUCUAGAAAUUUUGCAACCUGUGCAUUAAACUUUUUCUUUAGGAAUUGCUGUGGAUAUGACAGUGGUAUCUUCAAGAUUGGUGGAUUAUCUAGGAAUGAGACUGAAUUAGGCUUAGAAGCCUUCUUUGUUUUCUUGUCCUGCAACCUACUUUUCUUCCUCUUGUCUGGAAUUUGAGUAGAAACUAUAGCCUCUUUAGGCUUACUUUCUCUAAUCUCCUUACCACUUGUAAAUGUGAUAGCAUUGCAAUGUUCCCUUAGAUUUACCUUUGUAUCACUAGGAAACUUUCCUUUAGGUUAAGUAUUCAUUGCAAUAGCUAGUUGACCAAUCUGUAACUCAACAGAUUUCAUAAUGGCCUCCAUGUUGGUUAUAUGAGUCUCAAUGUUGUCAGUCGUGACUCAUCCUUGUUGAAUCUUGCCCUAGUCUCUGAAAUAAAGGCUUUCAAGAUGUCUUUUAAUGAUGGUUUCUCUUAAAAGGAUUGAUUAUUGAACCUAGGAGAAUGCUAGAGCACAUUCCUAUUAUUACCAUAAGUGAGUUUUUAUAUCAAGCAGCCGCUUGGCAGAUUGGUACAGAAGAUUUCCAGUGGGGCGUGAAGAUGCUUCUUUGGUGAAUGAGAGGCUGGGUGCCUCGUAUACCUGCGUAGCGCGGCUCUCACCAGGCUGACCUUUUCGAGUUGGUCAGGGCGAUCCACCAAACUAGUUAGUAGAAGAUUUGACCAAAUGGAGCGUCAGCUUACGCGCUCCAUCGCCUUUGCUAUUAGUUGGGACGACAUGGCGUGGACUCUGUAGGCUCUGGGACUACCACGUGGUUAAUGAUUUGGCAUCUCUCUGGACGCGUAAGAACAAUCCUCUAAGUCCAUGUAUGGAAUAUUUAUAUCGUGUGCGGACUUUUAGUGUUGGACUAGAAGUAGAUUGUUUGUUGGGGCUACCCAUUGGCAUGGAGAAUUGGUGCAAAGGUGAUUUGGCCGAGGUGUAACAAUAAUAGUCCUCCAAGUCCAUGUAUAGAUUAUUCAUAUAAUGCGUGAACUUUUGGUUGAUGAGGUGUAGGCAUAGUUUCUAUUUGGGCAAGUUUUUUGUUGUUGAGAGCUUUGAGAGAAGCUGUUGAGGCAGAAGCGUGGUCCCUGAAUCAUGAUCGCUAAUAAUUGAGUCUGACUCUGCCUUGAAUCUUGACUUGGAUCAAAAGAUUCUUCAUACCGUAUGAAGAAUACGUAGCUAACAAUAUCUCAAAUACGUAGCUAACAUAUAGCUAGAUUUUAAGACGGCAAUUGAUAUACUUAUAGGAAGAGGAUUCAGAUUUUCAGGUCAAUAAUUAUAAUUACGUUUGAUUCAUUGAUAUCUUGUAUCAAAGAAACGAUGUCUUUCUUUUGAGUUAAAACAAAUUAUUUCAGCAAAAAUUUAUUCUACUUCCACAACUUUCUAUGUUUUUCUUGUUGUGUCACUUAAACUUUCUCUAGUCUUGUUUGUAAAGAUUUAUUUUUAUAGGUUUUCAAAAAUAUGUUAUAGAAAUGGUUAGUACCAUCAGUGGUUAUUAAAGUUUGUUAAAAACUUUAAAAUGAUCGUUGAAGUAUUUUUCUAGCUAUAAUGGUAAUUUAUUCUAAUAGUUACAUUAAUAGUUGGCUGGAAACAUUAACCAAAAUCUUGUAUGUCACCAUUAAAUGUCAACUUUGACGCAAACAAUGCUAAUUAUUACAUAAUGCAACGUAUUCCUAAAUUUUGUAGAAAUUAAUGGAAUAAACACUUUUAAAUUUAAAUUUUCAUUUGGGUAAUAUGUUUUAAAAGCUGAAUGUUUCUCCAUCAAAUUUUCAUGAUAAGGAUUGAUUAUAAGGAUUUAAUUUCUUCAAAUUUGCUCUCCCAACUGUCUUCUCUCUUCUGUUACGUUAUCUGCUUCUUUCUUUUUUGCUGUCCUUCCACUGCGUUUUCUAUUUUUUCCCCCUUCUAUUCUCCUAUCUUCAGCUUCUGUUUGCUUUCACAAAGGAUUCUAAUUCCUUUGAAUUUGAUUCCCAUCUAAUUUCAUGUUUCAAGGCCCAUUAAUGUAUUAUUUAUCUCAAAGGCCUCACGUCUUUGAAAUAAUGUAAUAUAGUCCUUGAUAAAAAUUUGUUUGUGUGUCUCAUGUCUUCUUUAAUUCAAUCAAUCACUUCAAUUAUAAUAAAAAUGUGGAAUUUGAUCUCAAAGCUACAGAUUUUAUUCAAUUUCAUAAUUCUUGAUCAAUAUUUUCUCCGAUCCCUAGUUUCUCCUAACAUAAUAAAAAAAUAUAAAUAAUUAACCAUCAAGUUUACAAUACUACUAACUAAAGACACUUUGGCGACUUAGAUAAGUGUAACUUUAAUACUUAUCAAAUACCGCCAAAUUUGAGCAUUUGUUAGUAUUCAAAUAAAUGAUAAUAGAUACUUUACUAUACUCUAAGAAAAAUACUCAACUCGAUAUAUGCAUCUCAAUGUUUCCUCAAAUACCUAUCACAAUCACAAAAUUUAAACAGGUUAAUGAGACACAAGAACCAAAAAUUAUUCUAAAACUCCACAUAUCGUAUAGUGUUCGUGUGUGUGUGUUGAACAUUCUCAUAUCUACUGAUGUUACUCAAAUCAAAUAAUCUAUUUUAAUUUCCAAACUCUCUUUUCCCAGAUAAAAAACUAAGUCCCAAUAAUGUUGAUAUACUCUUUCAUCACUCGUGUUUUUCUAUUUAUUUUUCAAUUCUCCCAAAGACAAAAUAACUAUGAGAUAUGACUUGUUUUCAUCAACCACUCAGUCACCUUCCAAUUUGUAAUCAAUGAGCUGGACUCAGCUGGACAGAGGUAGCAUUUAUAUAGUUGUUUUGGUACUAGCGCAACACACUUUAGUGUGUUUUACUUUUCUUUUUAUUUUAUCCAUUUUUCUAUUUUUUUGUGAGUAGGGUCAACUUACUCAAUACCAGCUUCAUACUAUAGUUUAGGUAAAUUUUUCCCUAUGUGUCAAAACUAGUGCAAUGUCUUUUACGUUUUAGGCUAACAAUAGGAGUUAAAAGAUAAUUAAGUGGUGAUGUUUUUGGUGUCGAAUGGAUCUAAUCAUUCCUAAACUUAUUCUAAAAGGAUUUUCAAUAUGGUUCUAAACGAAUGUUGGUUUAAUAAAUAUGUUCUAAGGUCUUAAAAAAUUCUGAGGUGAUUGACUUGUACAACUCAAUUUUUAAUCAAUUAUAAGUGUAGUCAAGAAUGAGUACGUGCUUGAAUUGUUCAAAAGACAAGUAUAAAAUAAUAGGAUUCAUAAAUAAUUAAAAAUCUGAGUGUCCAAAGGAAUCGAUUUACAUUUUGCUCUUAUUUGAGAAUCAUCAAUUGAUAUAAAUUACUUUGUCCAAGUCAAAUCACACACAAGCAUACAUAAUAAAGCUAAAAAGUUUUUUUUUUUUUUUUUUUUUUUUUUAAAAAAAAUUUUUAUGGGUUUUUUACAACAAAAGCCCCAAACCUUUAAUCACACCCAAAUUAUUCGUGUAGAAUAAAUUAAAAUAGAACCUAGAUUUUCUCCUCGACGUAAUGCUAUAAAGCAGAAAAUAUCAAAAUUAAAUAAAAGAUAGAAAAUUUAGACUUGACUGAUAAUUUUUGCAAGAUGGAGUUAGCCUUGAAACUAGAAGAAUAUUUUCCUUCUCUUUAUCUUCUCUCCUCCUUCAAAGGAAUUUCUCCUUCUUUGUGCCUUUUUUCUACAAAUAAGAUUAAGUAAUUAUAAUCAAGAUUCCAAUAAAAGAGCAACACAUCAACUACUUAAUCCAUCUAUCUCAAUUCGAUUUUGCUAGUGGUACAUUGAGAUGUAACUAAUGGUGUACACUCCACUCACAUAGGUGAGGGACCCAAUCGAAUAAAAUAUCAUUUCUUUCACAUGGAUCCCACACCCAUGUGAGUGGGGUGUACACCAUUCGGUACAACCCAUUAUAUACCACUAGACAAAUAAUAAGUAAUUAUAAUCAAGAUUCCAAUAAAAGAACAACACAUCAACUACUUAAUCCAUCUAUCCCAAUUUAGUAUAACAAAAUUAGAAAAAUUCCAAGAAAAAAAAUCUCAUGUAAUACUAUUGAGUGAAACUUGAACUUUUCAUGAUUUUUAAAAACAUUGAACAUAUUGAUGAUGAAUAAGUUGGUGAUUAUGUGAAUUUGGGUGUCAAAUAUAUGGAGGAGGGAGAGAAUUUUGAAAAUUUGAAGUUAAAACUUAUUAAAGUUAAAAACUAAAAUAAAUAAAAAAAUUAGAUCUCUUAGUUCUUUUUCUAUGUUUGACCACGGUUGACCACGACGAACAACAAACAUUUGGCGACUGUAUGUCAUCGCAGUUGACUGCGGUCAACCGUAUUGUUUAUUUUAAUUUUUUGCAGUGGUAAUAGAAUGACGACCCCAAAAAUAAUAAAAUAUUUAAAACAAAAUUUAUUUUUAGCUAAAUAAUAAUUAAACAUGCCUAAUCCUAAAUGCAAUUGUAUCAUUUAUAUGUCAUGCAGUAAUAGGAUGGCAAUUCAUAUCGCUGGCUCGAGCCACCCGUGGCUCGGCCUGGGCUAAGCCCGAGCCAGCCCGCAGGCAUUAUUUAAAAAAAAAAAAAAAUAGAAGCCCCAAAAAAUGCUGCCUUAAUAGGUAGUCAGUAGCUGGCUGCCUUUUACGACAACCUUAUAUAAAUAAAAAAUAAAAAUAAAAAAAUAAAAAAAAUAGAAGAACCAUAAAAAAAAUGAGCCUACCCUGCUCGAGCCUAAGCCCGGCUAAAAGCUCGUACAUUUUACUUGAGUCAAGUCUGAACCUUGAGUUUUGGCUUAGGAGCCGGCUCGGCUCGUUAGAAAAGUGGUUUACUUCCCAUUAAAUUCUUGGUCUAUAGUCCGAAGCUAGACUUUGGUCAAGUCUUAAUUAUGAUGGCUCAAGUCGAAAUGUUUUGGCCUUGUAAUCCUUCCAAUUUCUAGCUUUGCAUUCUCUUCUUGCUCUCCAAACUUUGAAUUUUUCAUUCUUAUCUCUACCAAGAAUUUCAACAAAUUUAGGUUUCUCUUCUGAUAGCUUUGUUGAAAUGAUAAAUCAUCCUCAUCAACACAGUUGCACUCCUCAUAUUCAGAUGGUUGCUUGCACUGCUCUCUUCUGUCAUGCCACAAUUUUAAAUUUUGGCAGCUCUCUCUUCUUUAAUAUAAUGUCUUUCAAGAACCUUACAUAACUUGAAAUUUGCCUAAUUGCAUCAACGAAUUGUAUGUUGAUGUAAAGCUUCUUCAGCACGUCCAGGAACUUUUCAAAUUGAUGGUCUAGCUCGUGUUACUUCAACCUUUGUGGGAACGGGAUGAGAAGUACAUAUUUUCUGACAGAAACGGCCACCUUAGCAUGUUGGUUAUCUGAAUUCUCUUUCAAAUUUUCAUCAGUUGAUGUUUUAGAUUCAUCUAAUUUCUCUUCUUCAAUAGUUGUUACUUAAUUUAUCUUUGCUAUUGAUAUUUUGAACGUAAUCCCAAGCAGUUGUACCUCGCUUCUUAUUGUGAUUUCUUUGAUCCUCUCCUCCUCUCUCCACUUUGAAAUCCUUACGAAAAAGGAAUGGGAGGCAUAUGUUCUCAUAAUUUUGGAGCUGCCAUCGGUUGCAGGGUAUUUAUUUGUUCAUCUUCAAUAACUCUGAUAGAUAUUACCUACUCCUUUGAAUUAGUUUCUGUAUAGAAAGGUAAAGCUCCUUGUAGCCUUUCAGAGAUAUCAGGGGGCCAGCUGACCUAUUUAAGUUUCCAAUUCUGUUUAAUGGUUGUCGAAUGACUUUGUAAGGUUGUUUCAAUCUUAGCCAUGUAUUGGUUAGUCUUCUGUAUGAGUUUACCCAAUAUAUCCUCCAAAGAAGCUCUCUUUUCUUCUUGUUGGAAACUAGGAGUUGGGGAUCUGCUGAUGCUUAUUUUGGUUGUUGCUUCAGGAGAAGUUAUGAUGAUUACGUGAUCCUCAGUUAUAUGCAUUGCUCUAUUGGUUAUUUUGCUGGUGUUAAUAAUUAUGUGCAAUCCUCUCUCUAUUUUGAUGCAGCCUAGCAUUCCAUAUUGUUGUGAGCUCCCCCAAAUGUACUACAAAAUUGAAAUCCAAAUUUUUUUUUUAUUUUUUAUUUUUUAUUUUUUAUUUUUGGCAUUUGAUGAAUUUUUAAUGGCCAGAUGGCCUAUAACCUUCCUUUCUAAAGAAGAUAUUUGUGCUCAUAGUUUGUAGAUGGCAUCUAUUUCAUGCAUACCUGAUGAAAUCUUGUAUAAAGAUCUUUCGAAAGGCCACAAGGCAUUGUCGGCUGCAAUUGUCUCACAUCCUUAACUUUAUUAGGUGACCUCAAUGUGAUAGAUCCAUUAGCACUGAUGUACGACAUGCUGGGUUCAAUCCGGUCUAGAAGUACAAAACUUGCAAGGAUUUCUUAAUAUCAUGGUUAGGACACUUUCUGAUCAUGUUCUUGCAUCUUUUACAUGCUUCAUGAAAACUCUCUAAAUCUGCCGGUUGAAAUGUCGAGAUCUCAUGACUUUUAGUUACCUUUGACGUUGGAAAGUAUUUUGUGACACACUUAUGUACUAUAUCAUCAUCCUAAUGCUUUCUUCGCCCGGGGAAUCCAACCAUUCUCUUGCUUUAUCACGAAGAGUAUAUAGGAAGAGUCUCAACUAAUUGCUUCAUCGGAUACUCCAUGAAAAUUGUAGUUUUAGUAGAUGUCCAAGAAGCGUGAGAUAUAAUUAUGUAGAUUCCCAUAAUAUUGAAAUAAAACAAAAAAGGUUAAAAGAUAUCACCAACUUUAAUUACAAUAAACAAGAUAAAAGUUACUCCUGGCUUUCGUUGAUUUUUGUCAUACAAUUCCAACAAUAUUUUUCAUUUCCUUCCUUGCGUAUUGUAAAUCUCACGAUAAUUAGUUGAUGGAAUAUGAUAUAUUUUCUUCAAUUUUGCUCUCCUAGCCAUCUUUUCUCUUCCAUCACAUUUUCUAUUUCUUGCUUUUUGUCAUCCUUCCUCGGUGUUUUCUGCAUUUUUCUUUUAUUUGCCUAUAGCCAGCUUCCGUUUACUUUUAAAAAAAAGGAUUCUAAUUCCUUUGAAUUUGAUUCCCAUCUAAUUCUAUGUUUCAAGGCCCAUUUUUUUUUUUUUAUGUAUUAUUUCUCUCCAAGGCUCACUUUUUUUUGAAUAAUGUAAUUUAGUCCUUGAUAAAAAUUCAUUUGUGCAGCACAAAUCCUCUUUAUUUCAAAUCAAGCCCUUCAAUUUCUAAAGUGUUGAAUUUGAUCUCAAAGCUGUAGAUUUCAUUCAUUUUCGUCAUUCUUGACCAAUAUUUAUUCCAAUCCCAAAUUUUCUCGUAACAGAAUCCAAAAAUACAAAAAAUUAAGUAUUAAGUUCACAAUAAUACUAACAAAAGACACUUUAUGUGGCUUAAAUAAGUGUAAAUUUAAUACUUAUUCAUAUCCACCUUCACAUCCACUCCCUUUUCAAUGAAUUUUGUCAUUUUCGGUGUGUCUUCGAGUUCCUAGACCUAAAGAAAAUGCAUGGAUACAAUUAUAGCAUUUAUAUCUUGUUGCCGUAAAUCUGCGUUGACAUAAUCUAUAGCCUCCUCAUAUGAAGUCUUAUUAUCUACUUGUAUUGUGGACAUCAUCUGUUUGGACUGUCCAACCAACAAGUAUGUGAAAAAUCUCAUGAUGACCUUAUAACCUUAUCUAAGUGGUUGUAGCUCCUAGAUCGUGGCGUUAUUAAGGAAUCACAAUGUUUUCAUCAAAGCUAGUAUCACCAUCAAGUUGACUCCAUUACUUUUGACAAUUUUUUCAUCUAUAGGAUCAUAUGAAAGAUCAUAGCUCCUACUCUGGUCAUGAUGUCUUAAUAUUCCUAAAACUGUAGUUUGGUUUUCAUCAAAAAUAGCAUCACCAUUAAGUCGAAUCCAUUACAUCCUCAGUUUCAACAAUUUCUUCAUCUAUAGGAUCACAUGAAUGAUCAUCCCUUCUACUUUUAUCAUGUUGUUUUAGUAUUCCUAAACUGUAGGUUGUUUGUCACCGGGGUUGUGUUUCUAGAAUUGAUAUCGUAGAUUUAUUCUCACUCAUUUCUUUGAAAACAACCUUAUUUUGGUUUGAAAAGACAUAUAUUGAACACAUUAAGUCAUAAAUAUUAGUCUAGAAUUUCAUGUUAAAACUAAAUAGUGACAUUACAAAUAUUACAAAUCAAAGUUUACUUAUAAUUAUUACAUGCAAUAAUAUGAUACAAAUAUUUUAGUGCUAACCUAUUAGUCGAUGCUAAUUUGAGCCACAUUUGCAGCUGUAACACGUUAUUGAUUCUUUAUAUAAAGAUAAGAAUAUAGCCAAUUUAUUCAUUAAUUACAAUCACAAUAUAAAGCAAUUAAUAAAAAACGAAUAAGAAGAUCAAAUACGAUAAUAUAUUCUACAGCUUUCUGUGAAUCAUCCAAUACUUCUACAUUAUUCAAAUAUUGACGAAUUAUUAUAGGUUCCUUAAUACAACAUUUUAGGACAAAUCAUCGCCUCAACAUCUUUAAGAUCAACCAACGCCUAAAAGAAUAAAAAAAUUCAACAACUAAUAGGGAUUAUAAAUUCAGUAAUUUUGAAUAUUUGAAUAGCUAACACAUAUUUGACAAUUUUCGAAGGUAAUCUCAUACUUAUUUGCAUUCAAUUUCCACCAAAGUAAUAGGUUGAAAGGCUCAUUAGUCAAAUCUUGACAUAACCAUUUAAGAAAUCUAUCAAAUUAUUCUAUCGAUUAAAUAGUAAAAUUUAACAACUAAGUUUAAAUAUAAAUAAUAAAUCGUAUGAUCUAACCAGAAAAUUGAGAAGUAAAUAAACAAAUAGUAUCGUCUAAAAAAAUUAAGGGCUUCGAAAAAUCACAACAAAACAAAAAAAUUAUCAAUAAAAUAUAAUAAACAAUUACAAAAAAUAAGAAAUUUUGGAUAAACUUACAUGGAAAUUUCGGCAAAAUUCGAGAAAAAUAUUAGUAGAAGGAAAGGAAAUGGUGUGAGUUUAUUAAAAUUUAAUUGUCUACUCAAUGUGAUGGACAUUCGAUGAUUAUGGUUUCAAAAAAGUUCAAUACUUCAGCCAAUUUGAGAAUUUUUCUUUCACAAUUUUGAUGACUUAUGGUUAUUUAUUAUUUAAUUAAUUGGAAUGGAUAGUUGUCUAAUUGUGUGUUGAAUUUAACUGGGUUGGAUAUAAUAUGAAUGUAUAUUUUGAAUUUGGAUGCUUUACGUUUUAGUUGGGUUGAAUAAAAUUUAAAGUAACUUAUUUUUCAAUUAUUUUUAUUUUUUGUAAUAAUUUGAUAAUUUGAAAUGGUUUGCAAAAAUUGAAAUCUAAACAAAUCUAAUUUGAAACGAUUUGGUUCGAUUCAAAAUAAAAACAUUGAGGGAUCUAUGUGAACCCAAAUCAAUGAUUUCAAAAACUAAUUUUAGUUCGAUUUCAUAGUUUGACGAUUUUGCUAUCUGGCCCUAGUAAUAGCUGUUUUUAUUAAAACAAUGGAUUUUUGUUUAAAGUUUAAAAGUUCUUGUUGAUCAAUAAAAUUUCUUUUUAAGUUAUUUUAAAGAAGCUCAAAUUUUUCAAAAAGCUUUGUAUCCAAGAAAAUUGAAAUAUGUAUUUAAUAAAACUUUUCAAUAAACAAAAUUAUCCUUCAAACUAUCUUAACAUCGAAAUAACAAUGGACUAAUAUAGCCCCCCAGGGCACAUCCGAGUUGGUGGAUCAAUAACUUUGGCGGGCUCGCAACUUCAGCGUGGAGAGUUCGAUUCCUGGUGGGAACCUGUAAUCCAACAAAUGGGCAACUUUGUUGGUGGAUCAAUCACUAUGGAGGAAAGCUCUCUUGAGGCCAAGAGUAAAAAUCGGGUGGGAACCUGUGAUCCAACAAGGGCACAUCCUGCGGUUUACCUCCGCUAGUCACUGAGGGGCCGAUGGCUAGGGGUUCAGGAUUUAGUCUGGCGAAGCUGGGACACCUGGGUAUAAAAAAAAAAAAAAAAAAAAGGAAAAAAAAAAAAACAAUGGACUAAUAUAAUAAAUUUUAUAAUUUAAAGUUUCAUUUUGAAAGGUUAACAAAUAUGUUUCUAUCUUAUUUUUAGUAUUAUUUAUCAUUUUAACUAUGAAAUGUCACAUACAAUCCCCAUUUCAAUUAGUUAAAAUAUAUAAUAAAAUAAAUAAUGUGAUCUACACAAAUAAAUAACUUGAUAUUCAUUUAAAUAAUAAUACUUCGUUAUUUUAGUUAAAAUAAAUUUUAAUAGUUUCAAUGAAUGGAAAUAAAUAUUAUAUACAAAUAAAUUAUUAAAAUUUAGCCACAUAAGUAUGUGGUAAGCACUUUUUAGUUACACUACCAAACAAUCUAUUUAGUACUCACAACAUUUUUCAGAUUGACUAUCAAACGAACAACUUUUUAUUAAAAGCUUUUCUUGAAAAGGCUCUACUAGUAAAAACUCUAUUGAUAAAGUUCUACACACAAUAGUUGUACUUAAUGGACCCUAAAAAGAUUAGAUGCAACAUCAUUCUCCAAUUUGACACAACAACAAAGAUGUUGAUUUUUCAUUAAAUCUUAGUAGAUGGAAUGGCUGGGAUAUAAAAAGCAACAGUGGCUUAUUUAACACAUUUGAAAUUUAUUGACCAAAUAGUAACAGGUGGGAAAGUUUAGUGACCAUUUCGAUAAUUAACCCGACGUUACUCUAAAACAGAGUAUUAUUAUAUAAUUUUUGACCACUUAUAAUAAUGUUUUGUGUUUCUUGAUAGAUCCUUCUAUGACCAGUUUUAGUACUUUUCCAAACUAAAUAUUCUAUGACAUUUGUGGGACAUAGGAAAGAUAAUUGACAAUUGAUAUAUACAAAAUGACAAUUAGAGUUGUUAGGGUGAUCAGUGGUUAAAUGUGAACAUUACGGGAAGUCUAAAAGCUAAAAUAUUUUUUUAUAGAAGUCUUACCAAAUGUUGAACGGCUUAAUUGCAAUUAAAUUACUUGUGAAAGGAGAAUUUGACUCUUCAGGAUCAUAUUCUCAAAAAAUUCUCCACGACUAGGGAAUUAUUUUCAUUUUAAAUAUAACGGAGAGAUGUCUAAUAAAUAAUAUGUCAAGGUUCGGGAAUUUUAUUGUGUGAGAGAUCUUAACUUUGUGAUUCUCGCCUUAUUUUCAUAUAUAGUAAAAUUUUCUUGCAACACUAUUUUGUCUAAGAAUAUUUGAUUAAUUUUCUCACCACCUUUGUAUCUGAAAUUGAAAAAUUCAUAAAAUUGAAAAUUAUCAAACAAUAGAAGGAUUGGUGUGCAAUAAAUAAAUAUUAUUGUUCCGGCAUAAUCCAUUAUUUUUCUUUCCGUAGCAGUAAUAUUAUGAAACUUGUACAAAAUAUUUUUCACAAAGUAAAUCGUUAGUUUUUGGUUCCUUUCAAGAAAAAUAGUAGUUAAUUUUAAUCUAGAAUUAUUUAAUAAAAAAUUAGAAGUAAAUAACUUUGGGGACCAAUUUAGAAAUCUCUAAAAAAUUCCUCUCCAAUUUUAACAUUUUAAGAUUUAAACGGGCCAGUUACCAAAUACGUUCAUUUCUUUAAUAACAAACAAACGUGGAACUGUGGAAGUCAAAUAUAAUAAAAAAUACAUAUCUAAUAAUUAACAUUCAAGGUUGAAUGUCAAAUGUUGAACGAAAUCUUAACAUUUUAUAAGAAUUUAGAGGAAAGAUAAAUUUAAGUCAAAUCUUGGUUGUUAAAAGGGAAAAUUUCAAAUAAUUAAAUCCAUCCUCUAUAUAUCUAAUAAUUUAAGAAUUUAAAUUAAAUUUUAAUAUAUAGUGUCGAAAAAUUAGACAAAAUGUCAUCAAAUAAAGCCUCAUUGUUACUUUUAAAAUUUGUAUAUGUAUAAGAUCUUUAAUAAAAAAAUUAAUCCGAAAAUUGUGAAGAAUUUGGUCAAGUAAAAUGAAGAACCCAUUUUGCAAACUCAUAUAUUGUAAAUGCAUGUUUUAUAAGAACCAGAGGCGGACCCACAUGGUGUCAUGUGAGAUCAAAUGACCUCACAAUUUUAUUUUAUUUUUUUUCCCUGCUGAAAACGUAAUUUCAUGCCAAGUUGGUGAGCCAACCCAAUUAAUUUUCCUAGCCCAAUACUCAAAAAGCCCAAAUCCUAAAUCUAUAUCCAUAUCACAUUGUCCAUAUCCAUUAGUUUGUCCAUAGAUAUAUCAUAUAAUUCACCGAUUUCUUCUUUUUGUUCAUGAUACGUUGUUCUAAAUAAAUUUCAUUUUUAACUCCACAGUUUGAACUGUCUAGAUCCGCACCCGAUAAGCACGUAUAAUGAAGAUUGAGAUGUAAACAAACUGGUGCAAGCCUCAUCCUAACUGUAAAAAAAUUGAAACUUCGACAAGGGAUCCCAACAAGUUGGUCCCACUUCUUUUUCCUAACUUUCCUUGGACGAUAACAAUUAAUAGUGCAACACUAACGAAAAGUUACGGACCAACUUGAAAAAUGAGGCAAUAGGUUGGGGACCAACGGUGAAAUUUUUGCAGAUUUUGACAACUAUAUAUACAGGUCACAAGUGACUCAUCUGAUAUUCCAUAAAUUUCUCAAAGCUAGUUGUCCCCUGCAUUCAUUGUCUCUUUAUUCCACGGAAGGAUGAAGGUAUGCACACACACAGUUGAAAUGCAAGAAAUGGAAAGAGAAACCCUUGAAUCUUCUUAUAUGUAUAUUUACUCUUUCAAUGUUUUUCAUCAUCAGCAAAAGGUGGUCAUUGAGGUCUCGUUAAAUGGCCAUAUCUCUCAAGGCAUCAUUGAGAUGUUGAUGUGCUGCGUAAAUCAAGAGUCGAACGAAGCUACGAAGAUUAGAACGAGGGCCAUGAAGAUUGCAGUAUGCAUCCCAAGUAAGUUAAAUCUUUUUUAUGAGUAACAAAGCCUGUGUUUGAGCAUUUUUAUUUAUUUAUUUAUUUAUUUGGUGAAAAUGAGCUCAAAGACCGGCAAAAAUAGCUUGUUUGGUACUUGAGACUUACAUAAUUAUAUCUAGGACAUCAAACAAGGUUCCUUUUUUUUUUUCCCCCAAUAUUGUCUAGUCAACUUUAUCAGACAUGCAAUAAGAAGACUUCAAUUUAGAUGGUGUUAUUUACGUUAUUCUAUAGGGGUAGAGUCUGCAGCAAUGGAGGGGGAGGAAAGGAACAAGCUAACAGUGAUUGGCGAAGAUAUCGACACGGUGACUCUUGUCAAAUUGCUUAGGAAGAAUGUGUGCUUCGCGAAGAUCGUGAGUGUUGGCCCUACAGAGACUGUCAAAACUGCCGAGGACAAGAAUCAGGCGGCUGUGCAUCCCAUAUGCUAUAAUCAUGUGCCUCAUUAUCAAUUAUUGGAAAUCAGAGAACCCUACUAUACCCCCUCAUGUUUCAACUUUUGAAUGCUUAUUGGUGUUGAAUUUGUCCAAAAAAUUAAUAAUAAUGAAAAAAAAAAUUAUGUUUUGCAAUGGAAAUGAAUAAAGUGACAAAUUUUGUUUGAAAUAAUCUUACAGAUAGAACAUAUUGUAUAAUUAUUGUUUGUUGUGGAAGCUCGCUUCAAGAUGUUCAAACGGUGAUUUUCUAGCUCAGUUUCACAUUAACUUUUUCUACCAAACAACCAAUCUAAACAUCUCUGACUCACAAGCAAUCUAUUUUCCUUAAUUGCUUCUCAAUCUUACCCAUAGAUGACAAGAUAACGGUGUUGAUUUGUAAGUUACAAUGAAACAAGAAAAAUAAUGAAUGAGGCACAAAGAAGAGACCAAAACGAAGGAGGAAGUCACCAGCUUUCACUCUCAAUUGCACACAUUUUUCUCCAAUAGUAGGCAGCCAUGUUCUCUCUUUACACACAAACCACACACUAAAAAAUGCCUAGCUCAAUACACCAUAUAUAUAGAUAUAGGUUAGGUUUUAGUCUGACCAAGAAAGGGGUUAAAUUGACUAAGAUUUAAAAGCCAUCCAAUAGAUAAAUAUAUGGGCCGUGAAUAGCAUUAAUUUCUUAAGCUACUUUCAACAGUCCACGUUGUUUUCGUGUUGAGCCUUUAGACUUGGUUGUUGGUAAUCAAUUCAUCAUUGUCCAAGACCUGUGAAAAUAUAUUCAAACGUUUUACAUCAUCGCCAAAGAUUUAUUGGUUAUGAAAACCCAACAAAUUUUCACCUUGAUACACAAUCAACCUGUAAGCUAUCAAAACCCAAAAUCAAUACUCACAUAAUAAAUGUAACCNNNNNNNNNNNNNNNNNNNNNNNNNNNNNNNNNNNNNNNNNNNNNNNNNNNNNNNNNNNNNNNNNNNNNNNNNNNNNNNNNNNNNNNNNNNNNNNNNNNNNNNNNNNNNNNNNNNNNNNNNNNNNNNNNNNNNNNNNNNNNNNNNNNNNNNNNNNNNNNNNNNNNNNNNNNNNNNNNNNNNNNNNNNNNNNNNNNNNNNNNNNNNNNNNNNNNNNNNNNNNNNNNNNNNNNNNNNNNNNNNNNNNNNNNNNNNNNNNNNNNNNNNNNNNNNNNNNNNNNNNNNNNNNNNNNNNNNNNNNNNNNNNNNNNNNNNNNNNNNNNNNNNNNNNNNNNNNNNNNNNNNNNNNNNNNNNNNNNNNNNNNNNNNNNNNNNNNNNNNNNNNNNNNNNNNNNNNNNNNNNNNNNNNNNNNNNNNNNNNNNNNNNNNNNNNNNNNNNNNNNNNNNNNNNNNNNNNNNNNNNNNNNNNNNNNNNNNNNNNNNNNNNNNNNNNNNNNNNNNNNNNNNNNNNNNNNNNNNNNNNNNNNNNNNNNNNNNNNNNNNNNNNNNNNNNNNNNNNNNNNNNNNNNNNNNNNNNNNNNNNNNNNNNNNNNNNNNNNNNNNNNNNNNNNNNNNNNNNNNNNNNNNNNNNNNNNNNNNNNNNNNNNNNNNNNNNNNNNNNNNNNNNNNNNNNNNNNNNNNNNNNNNNNNNNNNNNNNNNNNNNNNNNNNNNNNNNNNNNNNNNNNNNNNNNNNNNNNNNNNNNNNNNNNNNNNNNNNNNNNNNNNNNNNNNNNNNNNNNNNNNNNNNNNNNNNNNNNNNNNNNNNNNNNNNNNNNNNNNNNNNNNNNNNNNNNNNNNNNNNNNNNNNNNNNNNNNNNNNNNNNNNNNNNNNNNNNNNNNNNNNNNNNNNNNNNNNNNNNNNNNNNNNNNNNNNNNNNNNNNNNNNNNNNNNNNNNNNNNNNNNNNNNNNNNNNNNNNNNNNNNNNNNNNNNNNNNNNNNNNNNNNNNNNNNNNNNNNNNNNNNNNNNNNNNNNNNNNNNNNNNNNNNNNNNNNNNNNNNNNNNNNNNNNNNNNNNNNNNNNNNNNNNNNNNNNNAAUUUUACUACUUUACAACCAACACUAUUCACUAAUCUCCAAUAACCAUGCCAACCAAUAGAGAAAAAAAGGGAAUCCUAAGUGCACAAGGGGCAAAAUUGUCCAGAAUCUCAAUUUUGCCUAAGGGGUAAAAUUGUCCAGAAUCUCAAUUUUGCCUAAGGGGUAAAAUUGUCCAGAAUCUCAAUUUUGCCUAAGGGGUAAAAUUGUCCAGAAUCUCAAUUUUGCCUAAGGGGUAAAAUUGUCCAGAAUCUCAAUUUUGCCUAAAAUAGAAAUCGAACACCACAAGUCUAUCUCGUCAUCUGGAACAAUCUGUUAGAAGAUAACGUUAUCGAAAUCACCUCUACGCUCUCUCACAUGCAUCUGGUUGAGUUUCAUGCGCUGUCCGACCACUUCAUGAGCUGAUCAUGCAGCUGUGCCUCCACCUAUACGUCACGCCAAUAGUUUUCGUUUCACCAACCAAUCAUUGGAUUAGCUCGAAACACAGAAAUAUGUUCAGUAGCCUUGAAGAAACUGGGCAAAUUUGGUUUCUAUUUUGAUUCUAUAGAUUUUCUAGUUAGUUGUUAGUCAGAUUUUUGAGCCACCUUGAAGCUCUAACCAAUUGUUGCAGAAGCUCGCUCCAAUAUCAAAAUUGUUAUUUUUGAGCCCAGUCUCACAUUAUCUUUCUCCAAUUCAAAUGGCACUAACCACAAUCAAUCCAUUUACCACAGUUGCUUCUCAAUCUCACCCAUACAAGAUAAAUAACGGUGUUGAUUUGCAAGCCAAGAAGACAUGAGAAAAAAAAUGAAUAAGGCACAAAGAUGAGACCAAAACGAAGGAGGAAGUCACCGAUUUUUUACUCUCAAUUGUACAUGUUUUUCUUCAACAAUAAGCAGCCAUUUUUUUCUCUCUUUACUCACAAAUCGCACACUAAAAAAUGGCUAGGGAAAUACACCAUAUAUAGUGAUAUAAGUUACGCUUUAGUUGUACCAAGAAAGGGGUUAAAUGUGCCAAGAUCAAAGAGCCAUCCAAUCGGUAAAUAUAUGAGUCGUAAAUAGCAUUAAUUUCUUAAGCUACUUCCAAUGGUCCUUGUUGUUUUCGAGUUGAGCUGCUAUACUUGGAUAUUGGUAAUCAAUUCACCAUUGGUCGAGGUAUAUGAAAAUACAUUCCAACGUUUUAUAUCAUUGUCCGAGAUUUAUUGAGUAUCAAAAUCCAAUAUUGUUGAAAGAUAAUGAGAAAUAGGUAAAAGAGAGAACUCAACAAAUUGCAGAACCUAUAGGUUUUAAUACGUAAUUGUUGUACUCAAAUGGUAUAGGAUGUUUUAUGGUGCUUAAAGAGAUUCGCCAGCAAAUGAUUUGUAGAAUAAACAAGUAUUUAAAAAAAUUAAAUACGUGUGUUUUCUUCCAAGAACUUGAUGAACAUUAAAAACAUUUAAUAUGUAUAAAAAUGGGAGAAAGAAACACUUAAGUGGAUUUUAAGAAUUGAUAUCUUAUGGUUAUAAUUGAAAACACGUAUUAUAGUUUUCCACAAACAGUCCACAAAUUAGUAAAUAACUUUUAUGAAAGUUGUUAAUUUUCAUGAGAGCUGCCAAGAGAUCAAAAUUGGAAAUUAGACUAAUGACUAGUUCUUGUAACCAUGUAUAUGCAUUGUUCAAGGAAUACAUGGCACAAAGAACAUGGGCUUAAAGUUGCCCACCCUCCAAUUUCUUCCCAUUUUGAUCUCAUAUUGAUUUUUCUUUUUCAAUGGUAAUUAUUUUUUCAAUUCUCCCUUCCAAUAUAAUUUUUGAACAAAAUAUAACAAUCCUCCAGCUAUUCAAAAUUAUAUAGAUCACAAAUAUAAAUUAUCAACACUUACACAUAAGUUUAGAUAUCUUUUGAUUUGAAUCUUACUUUAGUAUAAUUCCCACAAAGUAUAAUCAAAAUUUCAGGUAGCAUAAUAGCUUUGAAACAAUUAUUACUUGUGAUGAAAUCGAUAAAAAUAUACGCAUAAGUGCCGUGUUUCAUAGUUCCUCAAACUCGCUUAGAGCUAAUAUGGACUUAUCCUUAUCCUAUUUGUUGAACUUUUAAGAGAGAAACUCUAAUUCUCUAUGAGUUGCCUCAAAGUUCAUUUAGAUGAAGUUCUUUCUGUUUCUUUGUUACUUUUAAAGAUACUUGUACUUUGUAUUGAAUUUCAUUAAGAGCUUAAAGCUUACCCCUCCUUUAAGUAAUAACCAACAUUAUUACAUUUUAGGAUAGGGUUCUCGCAAAUAUAAUAAUGCUGAAACUAUCCACUUAUUGAAUAACUUAUUGUUACCUUUUGAGCCCAUAGUUACUAUUUUGAAAUGACAAAUAAGAUUGCCUUCAUUGGUGGAUCUUUUAAUUUAAGAGUUUUAACCCCAUCCUACUCAAUGUAGAUAUUACCAGAUCUCUAUUAAGAGGUUUAGUAAAACGAUCCACCAAAUUCUCAUUUAAAUUAAUGUAAUUUGGGGAAAGUAUUCCAUUUUUGAUCAAUUUUCUUAUGUAGUCAUGUUUUAGACUUAUAUAUCUAAACUUUCUAUUGUAUACCUCAUUGUAUGCUUUUAUUAAUGUGUCAUGACUAACACACAAAAUAAAUAUCAAAAAAUAUAUUCGUUAUUCCCAAAGACAUCUCAUAUAGAUCUUUUCUUAAGCAACAUAACCCCUUUCUAGGUGUUGGCUAAUAACACUAAUUUAGAUUCCACGAUUGAAUGUGUUAUACAUGUUUGUUUCUUAAACUUUCAAGAAACUACACCGCUUCUAAGAAGAGAAACCCAACUCGAAGUAGAUUUAUUUUAUCGGUGCUAGGUAUCCAACUAAUGUCAGUAAAUCCUUUUAAUACAGUAAAAUAUUUAGAAUAAUGUAGAUCUAUAUUUUUGGUUUCCUUUAAAUAACAAAUAACCCUCCCGAUGACCUCCAAUGUUCCAUCCUUGGAUUAUUAGUAAACCUACGAAGUUUACUAAUUGCAAAUGUUAUAUCAGAUCUUAUGUAUUAAGCUACAUAAUAAGGCUAUCUAUAGCCCUUGCAUACUCUAGUUGAACAAUUGCUCUUCCAUCAUUUUUUUUAUAAGUUUGGAGUUUGUAUCAAGAGGGGUAUUGAACUCUUUUGUCUUCAAGUGAUUAAACUUAUUAAUUACAUUCUCUAUUUAAUGUAAUUGACUUAAAAUUAGCCCUCACUAGUUUUUGUAACCUUAGUACCUAAUAUGGUGUCAAAUUGUCCAAAAUCCUUUAUCUUGAAUGUGAAAAAUAGAAACUUGUUUUUCUUUUAUUUCAUUUAUGUAAUUACUCAAAAUCUACACAUCGUCAACAUAAAAGGCAAAUAAACACAACAAAUUCAUCAUACACUUUGAAAUAUAAACGCUUAACUACACUAUUAUGUGUGAAACCAAACUUUUCAUGCCAUUUCUUUGGUGCUUGUAUUAAACCAUAUAAUGAUUUUACUAACUUGCACAUUUUAUGUUCAUUACUAGAGUGGCCAAAGCCUUUCGGUUGUUCUAUGUUGAUCUCCUCUUCAAGAUCCCCAGUUAGGUUUUUAUAUCCAUUUAAUUUGAUGAACAUUCAAGUUAUAUAUGGAAGCUAAUGUAAAUAAUAUUCUAAUUGAUGUAUUCUAGGUACCUAUGCAUAUUUAUCAAAAUAACCAAUUCUUUUUUUUUUGUCAAUAAUCUUUAGCCACUAAUCUUACUUUAGCGGUAUUAAGAGUACCAUCUACAUUGUAUUUUCUCCUAAACACCCAUUUACAACCAAUAUGUUUAAAUUCAAGUGGUAAAUCGACAAGUUCCUAAGUAUUGUUUGACAUAAGUGAAUCCAUUUUGUCUUUUGUGGCAUCUUUACAAAAUAUAAUAUCAUAAGAAGCCAUAUUUUCUUUACAAGUCUUAGAAUCGGUCUCUACAUGUGGAAUAAAAGGCACUGUCCUAAUAAAAAUUUUAUUAUUUUUCUCUACCAAGUAAAGUGAAAAGAGUUCAGAAACUAUCUCAUUCUGUCUGAAGGUUUUUUCUUUCUAAGUUCUUUUGCUUCUUUUAAACUCACAAGAUUUAUCAACAUCUUUAGAAGAUGUUUCCUAUUGUUUUCCACCUAACACUAGGAAUCUCUUCUUGAGUUUUCUUAAGUCAUUAUCCAAAGAUAAUAAAUUCUCAAAGAAUUCAACUUCAUUUGAUUCGAUUAUUACAUUUGGUCUCCAAAUUUAACAAUAAAUAGGAUUUGCUAUUACUAGCAUAUCCAACAAAGGCAAUUUUGUUGCCUCUUGGUCCCAAUUUGGUCUUUUCUAGGUCUAUGUUCUUAUAAUAAUCAAGACACUCUCACACUUUAGAAUAUUCAAUGUUUCGAUUUUCUUCUUUUCCACAAUUCAUAAGAAGAAAUUUUUGUGAUUUUUAAAGGAAUUCUAUUAUAGAAUCUAUAUGCACAUAACAAAACUUAACCCCACAAGUUAAAUAGCAAAUUAACAUAUGUUAAUAUGGCAUUUAUCAUUUCAACAAAUUUUCUAUUUUUUUUUUCCAAUUUGGUCUUUUUUAGGUCUAUGUUCUUAUAAUAAUCAAGACACUCUCACACUUUAGAAUAUUCAAUGUUUCGAUUUUCUUCUUUUCCACAAUUCAUAAGAAGAAAUUUUUGUGAUUUUUAAAGGAAUUCUAUUAUAGAAUCUAUAUGCACAUAACAAAACUUAACCCCACAAGUUAAAUAGCAAAUUAACAUAUGUUAAUAUGGCAUUUAUCAUUUCAACAAAUUUUCUAUUUUUUUUUCUUUCCAUCGAAUUGUUAUGCCCCUCACAUAGGCACAGAGGCGUUUUCAUGUGCCGAAGCACGUAAGGAAGAGGUGCUCCCAAAAUAUGAUAUCGUCUGAAGCGUCUUCACGUGCCAAGGCAUUGCUUUCGAAAUAUGAGGCCUGAGCCGCAUUGACAAAGGCACUAUGUCUGAGGGGAUAUGUCGGGGAGAAAAGGAUAAGCACCUCUUCAUUGCCAAUUUCAGAGAUCUUCUGGCCAAGAUCUUCUAUGUGUCUUUAGAAAUGAUUGAUGUGAUGUCUCUGCCAUGUGUCAACCCAGAAUCAGUAGAAUUAAUUGCCCACCCACCUAGGAAGCGAUUGGUGGAUGCCUACUAGUGACACCUCGUACCGUUGGAUGAUUUCACGUGUCACGCAUCUAGCGGUGCUCUUAAAAAUCUUAAAAAUCAUCUAUGAAGGUGAUAAAAUACAUAUUUCUCCCAUGUAUAACGUGUCAUUUAAUUCACAUAUUUUCAAAUGGACAAUUUCUAAAUAUGUAAAGUCCUAUUCACACAAUGAUAAAGUUUCUUAGUCAUUUUCGGUUCCACACAAUUUCUAUAUUUAUGUGUAUAUUUUAUAUUGUAAGAUUUAUAUUGUAAGAUAUCAUAUCAUAGUUUAACAUAAGAAAGAAAAACUUGAUUACGAGAACUUCAUGUUAGGCCGAUUACAUUAGUACAAAUAUACCUAAACUGGAUUGAGAACGUUGGAGUGAGAGUGAAUGCUAAGUUCCUAUUCAUGUUGGAAACAUGUAAUAGAUUUAUUAGGGCAAUUGUUUUUCCGAAAGUGAAGACAAUAUCAACAUUUCAUUUACCAACCACUUUGAAGUAGCCUUCAUUACCCAUUUGCAUCCCUUGCUCACCAUUCGAUUCGUGACAAGUCUUGAAAAAUAACUUAUCAUAUGAUACAUGAAUGUUGUUGCACAUGUAUCAUACUUCCAGUCAGGAAUAUUUUAUUUGAUAGCAUUGAUUUCACUCAUAGUAGAUGCAAUGUUAUCAUCAAAUGAGUUUAUUUUGCUCUCAUUCUUGUUUUGUUUUCGAUGCAAACAAUUUUUCGCAUAAAUUUCGGGUUUUCGUCCCAUAAAAAAAUCUCUCUUGGACUUUUUGUGAUCCUUAUUAAAAGAAUUCCUUUCGUUUAUGUUGACCUAUGGUUGAUUGUAACCUUAAGCCUUUGAUUUAUAACAAACAAGUUAAUUUCGUUUACUCAUAAAUUGAAUUCAAGUGAUUAUAGUCUUUCAAAGCAUACAAUGAAAAAUUGAUUGAUGGUGAUUGAAAUAUCAAAAGCUAUUAUAAUAAUCGGACUUCUAAAGGAGGUCAAGAUCGAAGUCACAUACUCAAGAGCUUAAGAGCCAAACUUUGAAAUAGAUCAAUGAUUAGAUUUCUUAGAUAAAGUGCAAAGAUAUUGGUACUUUGAUAUUUAGCAAUGACCAUUUAGGCUCCAAAUCCUUCUAUGUAUUAAAAAUAAUUUUAUGCAUUAAAAGUUAUUUUUGAUAUAAUUUUUGAUUAAAUAUAAAAAUGACUUUUAAAAUGGUAUUCUAACUGGAAAAAUAUCUUUUAUCUUGAAAAGUUAUUUAAAAAUACUUUUCAAAAGUCAAACGCUUUUCAAAACCUUCAAAUUGGAUCAAAUAAGGCCAAAACGUAAAAAUAUCGAAACUGUUAGACAGUUUACAAGCUAGAAGAAGCGAUCAAUCAAAAAUUUUCAAAGGUCCAAAAUUUGACCAUUUUGACCUCUAUAUUUUACUAUACAAAAAGCUAUAUUUAUCAUCCGAACAAGAGACUGUCGAUCGGACAUGUCAUCCGAACAUACAAUUUUGACGUUUUGAACUAUAUAAAUACCUCCAUUUCUUGCAUUCAUUAUAGCAAUGUUGGAGAGCAUUGAAAGUGAAAAAUGACUAAGUAUAUCUCUUGAGCUUACAUCUCAUUUAUUCUAUCAAACAAUUACUUAAAAAUCUUUAAUUUAUUAAACUUUUUAAAAUCAUCUUUUUAUCAAAUCUUUUUCAUCUAAUACUUGAGCUUCAUUUAUUGCUAUUCAAUUGAAGUGUUGAAUUCAUCCUGUGUUUUUUCUUUUCCAUUCACUUGGAUUUCUGGCUUUGGUUUUUUCAUAAAAGUGCAGCCGUGGUAUUCAGAAAAUAGAGAUCUUUUUUAGUGUUUUUACAAGAAAUCUCUAGCCAACCCAACGCGUUUUGAACUAUUUAAAAUUAAAAUAUCUUAAUUUCCAAUUCCAUUGGACUCCUAUUUCUCUCUUAGCACUUAAUUUAUUUAUAUCAUUUAUUAAGAGAGAAGUUUCAAAUUGUAAAAUCAUUUCUUAUCAGAUUUGUGGGUCUUAUUGAAGUCCUAUAAAGCUCAAUAUUAUAUAAAGAACGGAGCUUCUUGUUUGUAAGGCAUCAAAAGUAUUGUAAGGAUUUGGAUUUUACCAUAAGUUAAUCAAAUAUAGUGAAUGGGUCUUGCUCGUAACUGGGAACUUGGUAACGUAGGAUAUAGAUAAUUGUUUUGGAUCAAACCUCUACAUUUAUAUCAUUUGCAUUCUCUCUUUUAUUUUAUUUAUUGCUUUCGUAUUUGUGCAUUUUGUUUGAUUGAUUUAUUCAUUCCCAAUUUGCUUGAAUUUGAAUCAAUUUUUCGAAAACAUUUUGAAAACCAAUUCACUCCUCUCUUGAGCUGUCAAUUUGAUUUGUUGGAUGGUUCGUUCUUUUUCAUGUCAUUGGCUUUCAACAUGACUUCGCAAGAGUUUUCAUUCUUGUCUCUUGCCCUCAAUUCUUCUUCAUUUUGGAGAUGCUUUUGAAUUUGGAGCAAAGAAAAUGAAACGAUGAGGGUUCUAUUUAUAUAUUUCAAUGCAUCUAUCUUAAUAGUUACAUCUUUGUACAAAAAUUCAUUUUGACCAUUAAAUCAUACCUUUUUAUUGGAACAUGGUCUGAUGAUCUAUAUCGCACACUUUAUAAAGGUAAUGACUCUUCGCUAUGCACCAAUAACAUAUGAAGAGUCAUACCUAAUCAUCAUAACUAUUAGAGACUUAUUCCAAUUCAUAUAUUAAUCAUUAAAUAACCCGAUAAUUCCAACAAUCGCAAACACAAACAAAAUAAGUGACUCAACACAAGCAAAAAUAAGAAAAAUUCUAUUUGCGAGAUAAUGAAUCAAGAUAGGUAAAUUUUCCUUUGAACCUCCCUUAGUAAGAAAAUUCAUCAGACUUGCUUGGGUAAUAAGUGAAACAACAUUUCAAACUAUCAACCAUUAUCACAAGUUUAAACAAUAGAGCAAACACAUUAUUUCUUAUAUUAGACUUGAUUCUUCAUUAUAUUCAUUAAUUCGAUCCUAAACUCUCUUGAGUUCUAAGUACUUUGGAGAAUUCGCCUAAGUAAAAUUCAAAAGAACCUACCAAGUUUUCACUUUCAUAUGUUAUGUUCAUUGAGAUAGUUAAUGAUUCAUUUAGUGUAAAUUGAGUUCUUUGACUUCAAUUGGUCAACAUUCAAAGUAAUUACAAAGCAAGUUAAACUAACUAAUUAUCUACAUUCCCUUUUGUGUUUGAGACUUAGUUUGCCCUUUCCUUAUCCUCAACAAUAUUUGUAGACAUCACUUAUUUACAUUAUAAAAAUAAGGAGAAGUUAAACUCCUAAGUGCUUCUUGUCAAGUCAUUCAUAGUUAGUUUAACUUUUAAAUCCAGUGUUCUGAAUAGUGUGUCUAGGCAUGAGACGUGACAAAAACUCCACGCUUAAGACCUAUGUGCUAAUUUUUUGGUCAAUGGAAGCGUUGGCCGCUUUAAGGCAUGCAUUAUCAUUAUUUUUUAAUUAAAUUUUUGAACAAUUUUUAAUAAGCUCAUUUGUCCUACCCUACAUAAAGUUUUCAACUUUUAGGCCAAUAGAUUGAAAGAUCUAACAAGUUGCUCACUUAUUAGUCCACUAAUUUAUAGAGGGCAUCUCCAACGAUUUUGCUACAAACUUUCGAUGUGGGAUAAAAAAUCCUUCGUUUUGGCUACAGUGCAUUAUAUCUUUGAUUUGGUUGUAAUGUAUUGUACCUUCGAUUUGACCGUAAUGUAUUGUACAAUUGUAUAAAUAGUUAUUUAUAUUUUAUUAAGUUAAUUAAUCAUUUUCCUAUCUUUUACUAAUUAAUAAAAAUUUAAAAAUCUCCAAAUAUUUCAGUUAGCACUAUAUAAUAUAUCUUGUUUAUUGUUUGAAAAUAUAUUUGCUUCGUUGAACUCUUAAAACUACAUUUGGUAAUAUAAUUUGUAUAUAUUAUUAAAUUAUUUUUAAAUUGAUUAAAAAUUUAAAAUAAUAUUAAUGUAAGAAAAUACUUUUUUUACGCCUAAGACUCAUCUAGGUAUGCAUCAAUCGAAGUUUGACCUUCACACAUCGUCAUGCAUGACAUUUUUUUGGAACACUGAUUAAAACUAGUUCGUGAGAUCUACAGUAGUUAGGUUAGGUUUUUUUAGGAUAUCUCUUUAAGUUUUAAACUCAUUUCCCUCGAUGUACGAUCUAUUUGCUUUCUAGAUAAUCCUUUUAUAAAUGAAUUGCUAGGUUUUCUCUUGAUUUAACAACAUCAAACGAUAUUGUUCCAUUAGAAACAAAAGGUUGAAUGUCAUUAUAUUUAUACCUAUGAUGUAUGAAUCUUGACUUAACGAUACACGAAGUUUUAUGUUGUAGCUAUUGUUCGGUUAUUUCUAUAUGCAAUAUGGUUAGCAAUUCAAAGGAUUGGUGGGUCGAUAAUGGUGCAACCCAUUAUAUUUGUGUAGAUAAAGCCAUGUUCUCAGAUUAUCAUGAAUCAAAAGGAAAACAAUUGUUCAUGAGGAACUCUACGAGUUCGAGCGUUGAAGGACUUGGAAAGAUCACAUUGAAAAUGACUUCCGGGAAAGAACUAAUCCUCAAUAAUGUUCAUGUACCAGACAUUUGCAAGAAUUGGUUUCGAAGUCUUUACUUAGCAAGAAUGACUUUACAUUUGUAUUUGUAUCGGACAAAUUUGUACUUACCAAAAAUAAUAUGUAUAUUGGUCAAGGUUAUCUUUGUGAAGGAAUGUUGAUGAACGUUCUAACAAUUGUACGAAAAAGUAUUAUAAAUAAAAAUUCUAAUUAUGUUUAUAUGCUUGAAUUGUCUUGUUUAUGGCAUAGUCGAUUAGAACACAUCAAUUACAAAUCUAUGUUCAAACUUGUGAAUGAAAGUUUAGUUCCGAUGCUUAAGAUUGAUCUUAAUCAUAAGUGUGAAGUAUGUGUUGAAACAAAGUUGACCCAAACACAUUUUCAUUCAAGUCAAAAAGUGAUUAAAGUAUUAUUUUCACGAGGACUAGCUAAAUAUCCAAUUCGAUUUUUAAUUAACAUAUAACUAUCUAAAUGCAAUGCUAAGAAACUAGUAUGAAGCAUUUAUGAACUUGAUUAACAACAAGCAAUAGGACUUCGAAUCUCUCUUUAUAUUAUGUUUUAACAACCAUCAAAGAUAUUGACAACAUGCUUAAACUUGAUGAUUAAUGUACUUAUUUUGUUUAGUAAUCUUUCUCGAUGAAUACUAAAUAUAUUCUCAUAUGUGAACCUACAGUAUGUCUAUGAAAAUUGUGAACGUGUGACAAUGCAUUUAAUCACUAUAUAAUAAAAUCAUGCAAGAUAUAUGGUAUGGGUAUAUAUCUCUAUCACAUAUAGAACCCUACAAAGAUUAUCAUGUGUAUAAUACUUAUUCUUUCUCUCAGACAUAAUAAAGAUCAUUAAUCUGUUCAACUAAUGAUCAAUUAAUUGAAGCAUUAAACAUGUAACAUACUGUUCAAGCUUAACAAGAAUUAAUAGUUAGUCUCGAAAUUAAAAUUAAAACAUCAUAGUCAUAGGCUUAUCGUCAUCCUAGUGACUAGGAAUUUAGUCAAGCAUCAUAAAGUUACAAAAACAAAUGCUUGCAUAUUUAGCCCCGUCUCUUAUUUUAAUUGUAGGAAAAAGAAGGGAAAAUGUCUUGAACUCAUGAAUUUCUUCAAUUCUUAAAUAAUAUCCGUGUAUGAAGAAGCCAAAAUCUAAAUUAUAAUCUUCAAUUUUGGGUAGAUGAUUGUGAGUUCUUGUAUCAAGCUUCUUGAUUUCUCUCUAACGAAUGGUCCCCCAAUGUUUGGUUAAAAAUGAGACUAGAUUUUAUUCCAUGUACAAGUGAGUCAAAUUAGGAAACAAAAUUUUUGUUAUCGGACACUACAAUACAAUCGUACGGUGUCAUGUUUCCACUUGCUAGAAUUCAUGUACCUUGUGAUUUUCGGUCAUAAUGCCUUACUUUUCAUUCUUGGUUAAUUUUUGUUUUUGAAUUCCUUCUUCGGCUCAACUUGAUUCCUCUUCUAUUUUCACCAUAAGUUCUUCAACUUUCAGUUCUUCUCAAUUUAACCAAUGUUAUCCACUAUUACCCAUUCUUGGUCUGUCUCAAGUUUUGGAGAUUUACAAUUCAGUCCCCAAACUUUCACAAUUGUUCUUCUUCGUCCUCUUCAACCGACUUUCACUUCUUUUUUAAUCUACAAUCCAAUAUCAGAACUUUUACAUAACAAUCAAUAUUUAACUAAAAUUAAGUGGAAAUUCAAUUAAUGUGACUCCCAACAUCCACUUUUAAAAGCUUCGAUAAAUGUUAAAUUACGCUUAUCAAUAACAAAAAUCAUGGGUUUGAGAAUUUUAAAAUUUCAGGAAUUUUAUAGAUUGUCUUUCAUGAUUCUAACUUAUUAUAUUCUUAAACUCAUUAAUUUAAUUCUAAAAAUUAACUAUUUUUAAAAUGUUAAGGAACAUAUAUUGAACAACACCAGUACUUAAAAAUAAAUGGAAAUCUUAUAUACCGUAGAGUUUAGUAAUCUCCGACGUUUGAUUUCAUUUGAAUACAUCCCAUAAAUACAUGACUCGGUCCAACACGCUAACGUAAAGUAUCGGUAUGGAAUUUUCGACCACUUAUAUAAUUUUUUGGGUGUCUUGUUGAUCAGUUUUACAGCUUUUUCACAUUAUGAAAUUUGUGGGACAGUGUUUUUAGGUUGAUUAAUGUAGUUACAUGUAAACACUAGGGCCUAGGGAAGUCUUAAAAGGCAAAAGCUUGGUUAUAAACGUCUCGUCGAGGGUAGUGGAAUGGCUUAUUAUAAGUAAAAACUUGAUUAUGACUGGAGAAUUUGAACCUCAAAUGCACGUUCUCAAUUAUUUCUGACUUUUGAAUUAUUUUCAUUUUAUUUUAUUUUUAUUUUAUUUUUUUGUGAGUCAGGUGCUCGAGUUUUGAUUGAUUAAUCUUGAGGAGUGGUUCCUCCCGGUUUGGUUCACCACCUGGGUAAAUUCAAAUGCAAUUACAGCGUAUAAACACUUGGGUCAAACAUUCGGGAUGCGGUUUUCAUGUGCGGACAAGACUCCAGAAGGACAACAAAGCGUAUCAUAACUUUGCCUUCACAGGACAUCUACCUUCCAACGUAAAUGUUGACUUCAAGCUAUCGCAUGGAUCCAAACCUCCGAUACUCCAUAGAGAACUCUCCUAUUUUACUACUGUGCCUUGCCCCUGGGGCUAAUUAUUUUCAUUUUAGAUACUUCGUAGAGAACUUUAUUGUUUUACUACUGUGACAUUCCCGUAGGGCUAAUUAUUUUCAUUUUAGAUAUAGCAUAGACAGGUGUAAUAAGCUAUCAUGGGUCCAUUGAGAGCUGGGAUAUUUUUUGAGUACGAGAGAGACAGUGUCAACCUGAAUUUUCCGUUGGUAAAGAUGAUAUCUCUUUACCAACCGAUAUUCCGUGUCUAAUGUAAUCGUUUAACAUUUAGAUCUUCUUCCAAUGGAUAUUCCAUAAGUUAUGUACCGAAUAUUACCAACGGAUUGCAUCUGUUAGUAACUAGAAACAGAUUAUCCGUUGGUAAAAGUAAUUCACUUUUAGCUACAAUAAUCAGUAACAAAUUUUUCGUUGGUAAAAAUGAUAUCUUUUUAUCAACGAAUAUUCCGUGCCUAAUAUAACCGUUUAACAUUUUGAUCUUUCAGCAACGAAUAUUCCGUUGGUAAUUAAAAACGGAUUAUCCGUUGGUAAAAGAAAUUCACUUAUCCCACAUCGGAAGUUUACAACAAUAUCUUUGUAGUUGCCCUCUAUAAAUUUGUAAUCCAAUAAGGAGUUAAACAAUAUUUUAGCUUUUCAAUUCAAUUGGCUAAAAAUUAAAAAAAAUUAUAAUUAUUAAAUAAAUAAUAAUAAUAAUAAUAAUAAUAAUAAUAAAUAAUUAAAUAAAUUAAUUAAUUAAUUUUUUACCAUACGGUUAUUUACAACAUUGAUUUUUACCAAUUGUAAUGGUAGACAUUUACCAACGGAAAGUCGAUUGGUAUUGGUUAAUACUUUUCCCAACGAAAAUUUCAUUGGUAAAAGAUUCACACUUUAAUAACGAAAAAUCCGUUGGUAAAAUGUUUACUAUUUACGUAAGACAUGAUCUAUUGGUAACUAUUAGCGACCCUCAAAUUACCAGCGGAUUUGUGAUUGCAAAUAUUCCGUUGGUGAAAAUUAUUAGCAACGAAUAUUGAGGUUUUAGGAACGAAAAAUCCGUGCUUGAAACUCUAUUUUUUAAUAGUGUAUAUAAUGAGAGAAUCUCUCACAUUGAGAGGUAUCGAGUUUUAUUGAGUAUAUUUGACAUGGUAUCAGAGCGUGCUUAAUUUUAUUUAGGUUAAACUUACAAACUUCUGUUCUCCAGUGAGCGGCAUUGUGCCGCUCGUCCAGUCAAAUUUUCUUGUUUUUGUUUUACUUUUUUAGACCUUCCAUGUCGAUGUAUUCUCGAGCAUCACCAAGCAUGCAAAUCUUUAGCUUGGACUGAGGGAUAUGAAACCCUUGUCCUUACGAUCAUACUUUUUUUUUUAUCAACCCAAUAUGGAGCUCAAUUGUCUAGUCAAGUUUUAGUUGGAGUUAUUUUGGAGAAGAUUUUGUGUUCUAUUGACUGACCAAUUGGAGUAAUACCCAAUUGCUGGUGACGUGAUUAAUGGCGAUGUUGGUUUCGGCUAUCGAAGGUUCAAGUUACAGAUUUAGGAGUUGGCAUCAUCGACGCCAGAUUGUGGUCGAACUGGCGCCGCUUUUGGAAAUAGCUUGGAACACCCAAACAGAGUGGUGAGACACAAAGGCACGGCCGCUUUCACUAUAAAUCACGGGAUGCUUCACACCAUUACGUUCACACACGAAUUUUACCGCCCGAGCAACAAUAUAAGCAUAAUCUUCAACACUGUAACCAACAAAAAUUUUAGAGUUCUUCCAAGACCACUGCCAUUGUCAAUGACUUUCAUACAAGUACCGAGGUAGAUUAAUUCACAGUAGAUUGGGAAAGCUUCACGUACUCCUUCAGAUGUUGUUGAACUCGUUGUGGAUCUGCACUCGCUAAGAAUGGAACAGUGGAGAUGGAGGCUAGCAUCAUGGAUGGUUCCAGCAAGAGAUGAGGCGUCGUUUCUGGUAUCACCACCGUGAAGAACCCUAUUUCCCUUGCCCAUCUCGUCAUGGAAAAGUCUCCCUAUUCUUAUCUUGCAUUCUCUAGAGCCGAAGAAUAUGCUAAACAACAGGAUUGUGGUGUCGAAUAGAGGUUUCGAUGAAGAACAGAGGCAUUGAUGCAGAUCUGUUUAAGGACUUGGGCUAAUUCUAGUGGGCUUCUAUUGUCUUGGGUUAGCUUUGCAAUUAAAUCUUUUGGGCUGUAUGUUACUUGAGGGUGUUUAUUUGAAGUGGGCUUAUUUUUUUAUUUUUUUGUUGUGUGGGCUGAUUUUGGAGUGGGUUGAAUUUAGGUGGAAAUUUGUUUGGCUUGGAUCUGAUUCGAUUGGGACUUCAUGUGGAUUGUGUCUAUUAGUUUUAAGCUUAGUGGGUUUACAUAUAAAUUAAAGAUUGUUGGGCUUCAAAGUUUUAUAAGGCCUACUAUCAUUUGGGGUUAUUGGCUUUAAGUGAUUGGGUUGUAAACUGUGGAAGCAUGGGAACUUAAGGAGUUGAUGUCUGCUAGUUUUGAAUUGUGUGGAAAAUUCUCUAAUAUGUAGCUCAUGAUUUUCACAAAGGCGCUGCUAAAAAACAAGGCUUUUCGUUUUUUGAUUGAAGAGACAGAGACAUAGGAGUGCAGAGGAUUGAGUUCUUUGGUUGCUCGGAUAAUGAGCUAAAGUUUUGGAUUCUUGGUGGAGGAUUAUCUUUGAAGUUUUUAGUAUUGGCUGUUUUGUGGAAUUUCUUUGAACUACAGCACCUUGGCCAGCAAUAUAUUGCUGAAAUUUUGGCUAGUGUAUUGGCGUUAGAACUUUUGUCGGAGCAUGAAUUAUGUGUUCAAUCGAGUUUUCCCGACAAAUAGAGCUCAUUGUGUAUCGGCACACUUCAUGAAUUUCUUUUGGAAAUUUUUCUUAGGGUAUGAGCUUUUUGGAGUGGUUUUGGAGUAGUUCUUAAUUAUUUCUACACUAUUUGUUAUUCUUGGUUUCUAGUCGUUACUAAUUUUUGUAGAUGGUUGCUCUGAUUUGGGCUUCUUCUUCGUGGGCACAAGUAUUGUCGUUGUCAUCAGUUCAUGAUUGCAAAUUGAUACUUUUACCAACAUCAAUUUGAGGGUGAUGUCAAUGAGAUUGAAUAAGAUUAUAGAGAUUUUCAAAGAUUACGACUUGAAGUCUAUUUUAUCAUUAUAAUUAUAUUAUAUAUAGAUAGAUUAUUUUUACCAUAUUUAAAUUAUAAGUUACUAUUAUUUAAUAUUGUAAUAGAUGCUACAAUAUUUAGUGGUGAUUUUGAUCCUAUAUAAUGAGAGAAUCUCUCACUUUGAGAGGCAUCGAUUCUUAUUGUCUGACCUCUCCUAUGUUCAUACAUUUAUCUUUUGCUAUUCAAUAAAUUAUGCCACCAUGCGUGGAUUUAAUUUUUAAGAAAAAUAAAAGAUGACGCCUGAAUACUGAUACGAUUUCGGCACAAUAAUAGUGAUUCUUCAAUGAAAAUAAUAUUUUGAAACUUCUUGAAUAUAUUUAUUUUAUGUUUUGUAAAGUAAAUAUGAGUUUUUGUCUCUUUCAAGAAAAUAUUGGUGGUGUUUCAAAUAAGGAAAUAAUAUUAUGUUUUUAUUUACUUAAAAAAUGAUAAUAAUUUUUUAGACCAACAUAGAGAUAUCUAAAUAUUGUACUUCCUUAACAUUUUUUAAGAUUACUAAGGUUGAAAUGUGAAUUUCAAAUGUUGAUGAAAUCUUUAAAUAUAGAAUUUAUGAUUGAUUUGAUCGAAGUUCUGGUUGUUAAAAAGAUAUAUAUAUAUAUAUAUAUAUAUAUAUAUUAUUUUAAACUUUUAGAUAAAAUAAUCUAACAUUGUAUUUCCGUAACUAAAAUUUUCAAUUUACGUCUCUCUUUGCUUAUUUAUAAAAUUUGUUCGUGUAUAAGAUCUUCAGUGAACUAUAAAUUUACUUGCACAUUGGUGGCGGAUAAUCUACUUUUGUGGCUGUUGGAUAAGUAAAGCCACUAUUUUUUACCACAAAAGGAUAACUUUGCAAUUUCUUAAUUGUUAAGCUAAGUACAUGCAUGCAAUGGAACUUGACAAAUUCAAGUUUUCUUUCUCCAACAAGUGGCAGCCGAAAUGCUUGAAAAAUUCCAACCACUUGACAGGCCAAAUGUGUAGAGAAUUCUAGCAAAUGAAGGUGGUAGAACUUUGAGUCUUUGAAGCAGUUAAAGGUGGUAAAACUUCUAGCAAUAUCCAACCCACUUACAGCCAAGUUUAGCCAUUAUUUUUGACAAUUGAAGGCGGUUCCUACAAAUGACCAGCCAAGUUGCAGAUAAUUUUCUUGAAUUUUCAAACAAUUAUGGUGACCAAAAAUCUUUAUAAAUAUGGGUAAGACUUUGAGAGAAAAGUGUGUGGUAUGGAGAAGAAAAAUUGAGAGGAAUUAAAAGUAGAGAGUAGAGGGAAAAUUGUGAGUGGAACGAUAAAAUUAUAGAGAGAAAAUUGUGAGUUUUUCUCCCAAGUAUUUCCUACUUGUUUUCUCUUAUUACAAGAGAGACUAAUUAUUGUUAUUGUGUUGUAAUUCUCCUACUAUAAUGAAAUCUUCAUAUACUUGCACGUAGACAUAGUCUAAAUUAGGUGAACCACGUAAAUACUUAUGUCUAUUUUAGCUGCAUUUUCUCAAUUCUAUUAUUUGUCACCCAAACUCGACCCACAUUUUUCCUAAUAGUGGGUACAAAGGUUUCCAUGGUAUUGACUUUUAUAAUGGCUUAAUAGCACAAAACAUUCCUGUGUUUAUCUAUAGUAUGCAAUAUGUCCCCACAUUUCAAUUUUUUGCAUUUUCACCCCAAUUUUCAUGUUUCAUUGCGAAAAACAUUAUUUUUACCAAUUUUUAAUGUAAAAUGACCAAUAUACCCUCCUAUUUAAAUAAAACAAAAAUAAAAGAAAAUAAAGAUGAAAUUGCAACUACAGGCCCAAAUUUUUCAAAAGGCUUAAUAGCACAAAAUGUCCUUACUUUUUUCUCACACCCUAUCCCACCCCAUGCCAACCUAACCCAACCCAGCCCAACCCAAUCCACUCAUUCUUUUGAAGAUUCAAGGAACUGUCGGACUCUAUCUCAUCAACUUUCACCUAAUUGCCACCUAAAACACUAGAACUCAUAUUACAAAUAGCUGUCAUCAACACCCAAACACUUUCUUAUAAACAAAUUGAACAAACAACAAAUUUAUAUGGUUAAAUCAACAAAAAAUGCAGCUUAUCGCAUGAGCAACACGCUGCCUUUUUUCGUCAAUUUCGACACAGGUAAUGGUUCCCACUGUCGCGAACCAUCCAUUCCGACUUCGCCACAUCUUGCCACACUGCUACAACAAUAGGUUACCAUCAAUUUCAUCUAUUAUGCCCCAGAAUAUGUGCCCAUUUAUUGCCCAAUAAGAAAUUGAAAGAUGUUGCUAUAGAUUUUGAUUUUGUGCACCUGUUCAAGUUUUAAGUCCAUGAAGAGAGGUGCUUUAAUGAAUAUAGUUGACUGGUAUGUUGGAAAUGAGAUGGGUCUUGUCGGAACAGGUGGUACCGCCAGUAUUUACAUUCACGAGUUGGGUAUUUUGGCUUGCAAUUCUGACAAAAUCUAUUGGCAUGAAGGUUGGAUGUUGGGUGGUAUGUGUAGAGGGGAGUGAGACCUUUCUAGUGGUAUGGAGUUCCAGUGGUUUAGGCGAUGGUCAGUUGACAUUUUUUGGUUUCUAAGGUGGUGACCCCAUUCAAAUUUUAGGGCUUAGUGAUGGUUUUUUCAAAUUUGUUCCUUUAAUUGUACUCCUUCACCGGUAAAAUAUGUCGUAGAAAUGACAAUGGAGAAUUGAAAUUUCGAGGAUUUUGGCAGCGAUGGCGGUGGUAAAGGAGGUGGAGGAAAAGAAAAGAAGAGAAAAAGAAUUUUAUUUUUUUUUCCAAAAUUUUUUAUUUGGACUCAUUUAUACUUUUUAAAAAGUUGAGGAGCAAGAUUACAAUUUGUUCUUUAUUUGUCGUUUCUUCUCUUUUUGGUUUUAUUUAAAUAUGAGGGUAUAUUGGUCAUUUACAUUAAAAAUUGUGAAAAUGAUGUUCUGCAAUGAAACGUGAAAAUAAGUGUGUAAUGCAAAAAAUUGAAACGUACGGACGUUUUGCAUACUACAAGCGAAACAUAAGAAUGAUUUGUGCUAUAAAGCCUUUCAUAAUUUCUUUAUGACUUUGGUAGAGGGCCUAGAGGUGUAAUUGGUCUAGUCUUCAAUCUGUUCACAUCUAAAAUCAAACGACAAAAUCAGACAUCAUAGGCCUACAAAUAUAGAUAAAUCACACCUUUGGUCUUGAACCAUUUUUCGAAUCUUGAACAAAAUUUACAAGCACCAAAAUAUCCAUUUAUGCUGCACCAAAAUCAAGUCAAGGAAGAAUCUAUUUUGCAAAUCUAUAAACAUAAUUUUUCACUACACAUGCCAACGAGUUGGUCAAGUUUUUUUCUUCUUGAUCUUGCUAUUAAAUAAAAAAUUUGUUGGAGUCAUCUAGUGGGAUUAAGCUCUUGUUUGACAACCUUUAAAGCAAACGCUUUUUUUCUUAAACUAAAUUUUUAAAAUAAAAUAUUCGGUACAUAAAUCUAAAUUUUUUCCUACUUUUGAUUAUAUAUUCCUCAAAAAAUCACUAUUCAAAACCUUGCUUUCUCCAAAAUACUCAUUUUAAUGAUUGUUAAACGGGGGCUAAUAUUGCGACACUAAUGAAAGGUUGAGGAAAUAUUUGCUCCUAUUCAUAGGCUGGUGACUAACAUGCAACUAACACAAUAGAUUGGGGCUGCUAACUUACAACUUUCACAAUAGGUUGGAAAGGAAGGGAGAAAUUUUUGAAUUUUUCCACAAGUAUAUAUAGGACGCAAGUCACUCAUAUUUUAUUAGAAUUAAUUGUAGGCAUUGUAUGUAAUUGCACAAUAGCUUCUUUUCUUUUCAAUUCAUUAGUCGGCCAGCUGUGUUUUCUUUCUUUCAUUUUUGGUGCCAAGCUCCAUUCAUUUUCAAUUGAUUGAACGAUCAACAGAGUUUCAAUUCAUUUUCUCUCUGUAAAUUGAAUAUGGUAUCAGAGCAAAAUCAUUUCCACGCUCUUCUCUCAUCAUCACAGAUUUAAUCUGUUGCUGGAUCUCGUCUUCAUAUAUAUAUAUAUAUAUAUAUAAAUUAAUCUGUUGUUCGAUCUAAUCUCUACAUAGAGUUAUUACAAUCCGGAAAUUGGUUUGAUUCAAGGUCAUCAAUGAACAAUCGGCCAUUGAUGAACCUUCAAGUCCUUACUCCUUACUUCAUUCAAUGAGUAAUUUCCAGAUCUCCUCCAGAUCUGCACCGAAUGAAGAUAAAAUGCUUAAUUCACAACAACCUGUGAUUGGAAGUUUAAUUCAGAGUUUGAAUCCUGCUCAAUAUCAACAAUUGAUGACGAUAUUGUCCACUCAUCUGGCAUCAAGCUCAAACACAGCAGCUUCUGAUUAUCAGGGCAACAAAAUUACAUCAUAUAAUGCAGGUCUAUGCCAUUUCAUAUCCGUUAAUCCAGUCUUGUAUUCCAAAGAAAUUUGGAUAGUGUAUUCGGGAGCCACUAAGCAUGUGUGUUUUAUUGCUGCCUCAUUCAUGAACAUGAGGAUUAUUGAUGGUUCAAAUGUGACUUUACCCAAUCACACACAAAUUCUAGUUAGAUUGUGUGGGAAUAUCAGGCUGAGUCCAAAUAUUUUGCUGCAUGAUGUGUUAUUUGUACCACAAUUCAAGCUAAACUUACUGUCAGUUAGUCCGUUAACUGCUGAAUUACAAGUUUCAUCAAGUUUCUCUCAUGAUAGCUUCAUUAUUCAAGAUGCCAAAACCAAGAAGAUGACUGGUAGGGGUGGUCAAAUGCAAAAUUUGUAUGUUCUAGAUACCAGAAUUCUGAAUUCCAUUUCUAAUGUAUUUGUUAAUACUAUGUCUAUCCAUGUAUGGCACAACAGACUUAGGCAUCUUUCAUUCAAAAGGCUAGACUGGUUGAAGGAACAAUUAUUGUGUGAUGUUACAAAAUUUCGGAGACAUAUGCCUUGUUAUGUUUGUCCACUUGCUAAACAGUGGAGAUUGCCUUUUGAAUCGAAUAAUAGACUGUCAAAUAAUCCCUUUGAUCUCAUUUAUUGUGAUGUGUGGGGACCUUACCAUGUUACUUCACACUCAGGAUACAAUUAUUUCUUGAUAUUGGUGGAUGAUUGUUCAAGGUUUACAUGGGUCUAUUUGUUGAAGCACAAAUCAGAUACCAAGAUUGUUAUUUCCAGAUUUUUCAACAUGAUUGAUACCCAAUUCAAUGCUAAAAUAAAGACAUUCAGAUUUGACAAUGCUUAUGAAUUAGCCUUUAUAGUUUAUUUUGCUGAAAAUGGAAUAAUGCAUCAGUUUUGUUGUGUGGAAAGACCACAACCCACACAACAAAACUCCGUCGUUGAGCGCAAACAUCAACAUUUGUUAAAUGUGGCUAGGUCUCUGUACUUCUAAUGACGAAUCCCCAUCAGUUUCUGGUCUAAAUGUGUUUUGACAGCCACAUUCUUGAUAAAUAGAACUCCAUCUUCUGUGUUGAAGCACAAAAUGCCAAAUGAAGUUCUAUAUGGAAGACCUGCAGAUGAUUCCUCACUUAGAGUUUUUAGAUGUCUAGCUUUUGCAUCCACUCUAACUACGCAAAGAAACAAAUUCCAGCCACGAGCUAGGCUAUGUGUGUUCUUGGGAUAUCCAUCUAGAGUUAAAGGUUACAAACUCUAUGAUGUUGAGUCAAAACAUUUCUUUGUAUCACGUGAUGUUGUGUUUCAAGAAAAAAUCUUUCCUUUUCAUACAGUUAUGGCAAAUGAUCAACUGAUAGAUCCGUUCCCUGACUUAGUCUUACCAAAUCCUUUUUUACACCUUCAUCAAGACUCACAUGCAUCCUCAACUCAGUAUAACUUACCGCCUAUUCCUUCAGCUAAAAGUCAUAAUUUGCAUCAAGAGUUAUUCCCUACUUCACCAUCCCUUGAUACAAUGUCUGCACCUGAUAGUCCUGAUAAAAAUGGUAUUCCACAUACUAACAUUAGUCACACAUGUCAACGUACUACUGUCACUAAUUUGAGACGUUCACAAAGAGUUGCUAGACCACCACAAUACCUUAGAGAUUUUCAUUGCAACUCCUUUCUCAACAAGAUCAACUCCCAUCUUCAUUCACUCAAUCAUAUUAGCCAAUUUAUUUCCUAUAAUCAUUUAUCCCAAAACCACCGGCAAUUUGUAUUGAACGUAUACUCUCAAUUUGAGCCUCAACUCUUUCACCAGGUGGUUAAAUAUCCACAAUGGCGUGAAGCCAUGAAAGCUGAAUUGGAGGCUAUGGAAGCCAAUCACACUUGGUCAGUAGUUCCUUUACCAGUUGGUAAACAUGUUGUUGGAUGCAGGUGGAUCUUCAGGGUAAAACAUAAUUCUGAUGGGUCUAUUAAAAGGCACAAAGCAAGUCUUAUAGCUAAAGGUUAUACACAAAAAGAGGGCCUUGAGUACUUUGACACUUUUUUCCCAGUAGCAAAGAUUGUCACUGUCAAAGUAUUGUUAGCUCUUGCAGCCUCUCAAUGGUGGCACUUGUUCCAAAUGGAUGUAUAAUGCCUUCUUGAACAGUGAUACGUUCGAUAAAGUUUACAUGGAUCUCCUGCCUAGUUAUGAGGUUCUCAAUGCUGUCAAACAAGGGGAGAAACUGGUUUGCAAAUUGCAAAAGUUAAUUUAUGGCCUCAAGCAAGCGUCAAGGCAGUGGAAUUCUAAAUUCACCCAAGCACUGGUCCAUUGUGGUUUUAAUCAAUCAAAGGCUGAUUAUUCCCUAUUCACUAAAGGUUCUGGGAAUGACUUUGUGGCAUUUCUUGUAUAUAUAGAUGACAUUGUCACCACUGGACCAAACAUUCAAGUCAUUGAUUCUUUAAAGAAGUUCUUAAAUUCUCAGUUCAAACUCAAGGAUUUAGGGAAGUUGAAGUACUUCUUGGGCAUAGAAGUGGCUCGUUCUAACUCUGAGAUUGUCAUAUCACAAAGAAAUUAUGCCAUAGAUUUGCUUGAGGAUUCAGGUUACCUGGACUGCAAAUUAACAAAUACUCCUAUGGAUCCAAAGGUUUCCUUAAGUAUUCAUGACGGAGACCUUCUGCCCGAUGCAUUUUCUUAUCGCAGGUUGAUUGGAAAACGGAUUUACCUGACAAUAUCACGACCAGAUAUUACUUUUGUUGUCUACAAACUGAGCCAAUUUUUGUCAUAGCCUCCACUAUCUCAUCUCAAGGUAGCUCACCAUCUUCUUCGAUAUUUAAAGGGUAGUCCAGGUCUGGGACUAUUCUUUCUGUUCACGAAAUAUUUUCUUUCGAUUUAAAUCACCACAAGUGUACGGUUAUUCAACAAGUAAUAAAGUGGAUUAAUUGAGUCCGAAUAUCAUCCCACAGAGAUUGAUUAGUUUAAUUUUACCUAACUUGGCCUUAACCGAAAUUGAUUUGUCAAACGUGAAUUGUAGUAACUUAAAUUAACCUUACUUGGACUAAAUAUGCAAAUAUGUAUGAUUUGAAUGAACUAAAAUGCAAAGUGAAUGUGUUGAUUGCAAGUUGGUGUACUCAAUCAAUGAAUAUAAAAGCGUACUAGGCUCAUGAAUCCCCAAGCAAUGCUCAAUUUAACCUUAAUUCAACACUUUGACAACACGAUGACAUUUUGAAGAAUCAAUAUUCCUAAAUCUAUCCAACACUCUCUUUCGAGAUGAAUUGAACCUAUUCUCAUACACCACCAGCCUAUAUCUCUAUGACGGAUGCAAAUAUAUGAGAAUGCAUGUAGUUUUGUGAAUACUUAGAGAUUCACACAAAGCAUAGGGGUAUAUUUCUAUCCCCCUAUCAAAUCCUACGAUGAUUUAUACCUUAUCGAAUUUAUUCCUCUUCUUUCGAGUAGAUGAAACAAACCACUAAAACUCACACAAUUACGAGCCCAUAAUCAUGGAAGCAAUUAAAUGCAUAUAAAUCAUUCAAAACAAUCAAUACGUGUUUUAGUGUCAAAAUAUGGAACAAAGAAUUAAAUAUCACAUUAUAAGAUUCACUGAUCUCCUAGUAUAGAUUUUUCUAGCCUAACAUGACGGGAAGAAAAACAUAACAACAAGAAUCAAGAAAAGAGAUCACCCAAUCGCCCUUUGAUUUGAAAUCUUGAAUCUUGAAUCUUGGAAUGAAUCCUCUCGUUCUUGCCUUCUUUUUGCUCUUCAAAUCCUCCCAAAAUAAUGUAUAAUACGUGGUGUCUGUUUUUGGACGUUCCUAGUGCUUUAAAAGACUCCCAAGAUUUGUUUCCAUAAGAGUUUUAAUCAGAAAAUGAAACCAGAAAAUUUUCGACGCGAUUGGCCUGGGCAACAUUUUCUUCUCGGUAAUAAGAAAAACAUAUGGGGCGAUCACCCGAUUUUUAUAACUGGGCUGUCGCACAGGCAAAAUUUCUUCCAUAUGUUGCAUUUUAGCCCUCGAAAUCGAUUUUUGAUUCUUUUAGGCCCUUUCUCUUGCAAUUUCAACUCUUUGACUUUCAUUUGCAUCCAAUUGAACCCGCAACAUCUUUAAUCUUCAUUUUGUGAUCCGAAUCAACUAUUAAAAUGUUGCAAUUUAGUCCUCAUACUUUGAAUUUUCUUCCUUUUUGGCUCUUUUUCAUUUCUUUUCUCUUGAAUUUCAUCACAUUCAUCAAUAUAGUCCUACAAAACAUAAUUACAUAGAAUUAAGUCAUAAUUCAAACUCUUUGAUCAUAAUUAAGUCAUGUUUAUGAACUAAAUAAGUGUGUAAAAACACACUUAUCACUUUCCUUCAUCAUCUGACCCACAUUCACUUCUCAAGCUUUAGGCCUUUUCAGAUGCAGGCUGGGGAACUUGUCUUGACACAAGAAAAUCAACUACUAGUUUUUGUAUUUUCCUUGGAGACUCGUUAAUAUCUUGGAAAGCUAAGGCGACGGUCCACUGUUUCUCGAUCUUCAGCUGAAGCAGAAUAUAGGGCUCUAGCUACCACCAUCAGUAAAGUCAUCUGGAUCAACCAAUUGCUCAAGGAUUUUCAGACAUGCGCUAUCUCUCCAGGUGCCUUAUUUUGUGAUAACCAAGCUGCCAUUCAAAUAGCCACAAAUCCAAUUUUUCAUGAACGAACAAAACACAUCAAAUUUGAAUUUUCUUCCUUUUUGGCUCUUUUUCAUUUCUUUUCUCUUGAAUUUCAUCACAUUCAUCAAUAUAGUCCUACAAAACAUAAUUACAUAGAAUUAAGUCAUAAUUCAAACUCUUUGAUCAUAAUUAAGUCAUGUUUAUGAACUAAAUAAGUGUGUAAAAACACACUUAUCACUUUCCUUCAUCAUCUGACCCACAUUCACUUCUCAAGCUUUGGGCCUUUUUAGAUGCAGGCUAGGGAACUUGUCUUGACACAAGAAAAUCAACUACUAGUUUUUGCAUUUUCCUUGGAGACUCUUUAAUAUCUUGGAAAGCUAAGCGACGGUCCACUGUUUCUCGAUCUUCAGCUGAAGCAGAAUAUAGGGCUCUAGCUACCACCAUCAGUAAAGUCAUCUGGAUCAACCAAUUGCUCAAGGAUUUUCAGACAUGCGCUAUCUCUCCAGGUGCCUUAUUUUGUGAUAACCAAGCUGCCAUUCAAAUAGCCACAAAUCCAAUUUUUCAUGAACGAACAAAACACAUCGAAAUCGAUUGCCACUUUAUUCGGGGUAAAGUUGCAGCUGGAAUUAUUAAGCUCCUUCCAAUCCGAUCUCAACAUCAACUAGCUGACGCAUUUACUAAGCCACUUUUUGCAUCUGUCCUUCUCCCUUUAAUGUCCAAGAUGUCUGUAAAGAACAUUUAUCAUACAUCUUGAGGGGGAGUAUUAGAAUUAAUUGGAGGCAUUAUAUAACAUUUAUCAUACAUCUUGAGGGGGAGUAUUAGAAUUAAUUGUAGGCAUUAUAUGUAAUUGCACUCAUCUUAGUUUCUUUUCAGUUCGUUAGUUAGCUAGCUUUGUCCAGCUAUGUUUACUUUCUUUCAUUUUUGGGCACCAAGCUCCAUUGCUAUUUAUGUAUCUUAGUUGAUUGAACGACCAAUAGAGUUUCAAUUCAUUUUCUCUUUGUAAAUCUAAUAUAUUUUCUACAUUGAAUCAUAAAUUUCACGAAAGAAAUUGUCUCCUGUAUCCACCGGCUACAGUCAAGCCCAGGAUGAUGGUAUGUACACACACAGUUGACAUGCAAGAAAUGGAAAUCUAAAAAAGCCCAAGGACCUUCUUAUAUGUAUAUUUGCUCUCCCAAUAUUGUUCCUUAUCAGAAAAAGGUAGUCAUUGAGACCCCCCCUCCCCGAAUGGCCAAAACUCUAAUGGUCAAGGAGGCAUCAUUGAAAUGUUGUUGAAUCAUCUGUUGUGUGGACGAAGAGUCCAACCAAGCUAUGAGGAUUAGAAUAAAGGCCAAGAAGAUCGUGGUGAGCAUCUCGGGUAAGUUAAAUCUUUAUAUGACUAAUAUAAAUCUUUUCUUUGGUAUUGUGUACUAUACAUCAGUAUGUCUAGGAUACGAAACAAGAUUUUAGUUUUUUUAUUUUCCUUUCUUCAAUACUUUCUAGAAUAAUGCUAUCUAUGUAUGACCACUAGUGGAUGUGAUGCAUUUUCACUCACAAAUUGGAUAGAACGGCAAACAAUUUCACUGAUAUUAGGAUCCAUUAAGACUUAAAGUUGCAUUUUAAAAGGUCAAACUUGGUAAGAGAGGUAACCCAAGUCUUUAUAUGUUGGUCUAUAUUUCAUCAAUUUUUGAUGUGUAAUUUAUUCUUUAACAUAUAUCCGAAAGAAGGUGGUUUGUUUGAACAAACCAAUCUGAAAAUUUAUGUACUCUUUUAUGGGUCUUAGUCAAAUCAAAUUGCUUUUCAGAGUUUAAUAGACUCUGAUACCAUAUUAAGAUUUAGAGUUCUAUCUUAAAAUGUCGACUCUAGUUAGAAGAGUAGCUCAAGUUUUUAUAUGUUGGCCUAUUUUUCUACUAUUAUUCGAUGUGGAUAAGGAUCUUGAAGCUGCAAAAAACAUUUUAUAUUUAACAUUCUUUUCAUCUUCGAUGGACGUUGGAUUUACCAUUAUAAUCUUCCCUACUCUCAUGAACAUUAUUUCUAGGAGUUGAGUCGAUGUCAAUGGAGGGAAGCGGGAACAUUCUAACAGUGAUUGGUGAAGAAAUCGACUCGGUGAGUCUUGUCCAAUGCCUAUGGAAGAAGGUGUGUUUUGCUAAUGUAGUGAGCGUACCAAACUGAGAGGGUUGAAACUAAGCAACCGAAACUUGAGAACACGAAUCCGGCUACCUGUGUGUGUGCCUCUUCGAUGCUGUAAUCACUCGCCUCACUGGAAAAUAUUGGAAAUCAGGGAACCCACAUCUUACUGCUUCAACUUUUGAAUGCUUCUUAUGUUAAGUUGUCAAACAAGAAAAAAAAUGAAUCUUUUGUUGUGAAGAAAAUUAAGCAACAUUAAUUCACAAUAGAUUUUGUUGCAAAUUCUGUUUGAGAUAAUGUUACAAGUGGAACAUUGUAGUAUAAUUUCAAGAGAUCAGAAGUAUAAGUUGAGAGAAAACUUUGAUUUCAUUUCUUGGAUUGGAUAGAUAGCAUUACUCUUAUUGAAUGUGUUGGGCUGUGAUGCCAUUUGAUCAAUCCAACUAAUAGGCAGUGAUGAAAUAAGGCCCAAUAUGGAAUCAAUAGAUGAUCCAUUUAUUAAAACCUAGAAGGCCCAAUUAAACCGAGCCCAAUAUCCAGCCCUUUUAACCCUAGUCGUUCUUGGACCGUUGGAUUAACCCACUCAAUCUAACGGUGGAUUGGUUUACUAUAUAUACAUCCCUUAUCCCUUGUUUGGGAGAGAGACGGUCAUUUUUCUUGUUCUCUUUUUCUCUGUGUAUUCUGAAACCUUCAAUGACUUUCGUCUUUGUGACCUUUUCUUCUUCUCUGUGUGAGAACUUCUGUUGAUUAUCUUUGUGAUAAUCAUGUCAUUGUGUUAGUCUCCUUUGUGAGAGUAAACUGUUGGAAGUGGUCUGUCCAUUUUCGGUUCCAGUGAAGCGACUUGGUGUUUUGGGGUUGUAAGGGCUCGUGUGUUGAGUUCAGUGCCUCUGUGGUGGUUAGAAAAGGGCGUAUGGUCUGAGCCUAUGAAUAGAUCUAAACCUUGAUCCAGUGGCUUAGGUUUUCUGUAAAUCUGCUGCGUGUGUGUGUGUGUGUGUGUGUGUGUGUGUGUGUGUGUGUGUGUGUAUAUAUAUUCUGAUUUGUAUAGUUUGAACAGAUUCUGGAUUAAUAGUGGUAUCAGAGCUUUCUUUGUCCGUUCUUGAGUCUUCGAUUGAAGGUUUGAACACUGGAAAAUUAAUUUCCAAGUGUUCAACUGUAGAUCGCAAAACCCUAGGUUUUGAUUUGAGAGGACCUUGUGGUCUGUGGAGUUGAUUCAUUACUGGACUAUGAAAUGCGAGGGAAUUCUGUGUCUCCUCGCCUUGAUCUAUGAAAGAACCUGAAAUAUGAGUCCCUGUGGGUUUCGUUCUUGAGCUGGAACCCUAACUUCGAAAUUGAUUGGAAGGACUUGAAGCUGUUAUGGCUUGACUUGAAUUUUGGUGACCUGCAGAGCACUUAUCCCCCACUGCGAUAACCUGUUUUGAUUUCAGCUGGUGGUUAAUUGUUUAACCACCUUUCGGUUUGCACUUUCUUGAACCCUACACGACAGCACACACUCUUAAUUAUACUUUUAUGAGUAUAUGCCUCUAUGUGACUAUGUUGAUAUGUUCAUUUCCUGUAUACUGUAACUUGUUACAUUAGUUAGUGAUAUCUUGUUAUAUUUGCCUGUGAUCAUUAAAGUGUGGGUGAUUCAAAUUGAGCCUUGACCUGAGAACUUGAUUCUCACGGAAUCCUAGUGAAUUUGAUCAACCCUAGGUCCUGUAGAUACUGUUUUUGAUACUGAGAUAUGGUUUUUUGCCUACAUUAUUAUAUUCUCUGGUUCUUGUGGUGUUUACAUUAGUAUGCUUACUGAUCCUGUUAUUGAUUGAAAUUAUUUGUGAUUAAAAUAAUUGUGGCUCAUUUAUUUGAUUGCAUAUUUUUUGUGACCUAAAACAUAAAUUUUUGUGAAGGUCAAAUUCAACAGUUUUUUCAAAAGUUGAUCAUUUGUCUUGUUUUAAUUUUUUGGAAAACCCUGUGUGUUAGUUUUUCACAAUAAAACAUGACAAAAUCUUUUGAACUUGGUGUUUUUGAUGGAAAAGGGAAUUUUCCCAUUUGGCAACAAAAAAUGCGAGGUGUUUUAGUUCAGUAAAAAGUUUCUAAAGCAAUAACAGAUGAAUUUCCUGAUACCAUGACAGAUGAUCAAAAGGAAGAAUCUGAUGAACUUGCUUAUACCUCCAUUAUUUUGCAUUUGUCUGAUCAAGUUUUAAGAAAAGUAGGUAAACAUGAUACUGCUAAGGCUCUAUGGGAUGAAUUAGGGAAACUUUAUCUACCUAAGUCUUUGCCUAAUAAGUUGUUUCUAUUAGAGAAAUUUUUCAGCUUUAGGAUAGAUCCAACUAGAGACUUAGAAGAUAGCUUAAACAUUUUUAAUAAGUUAGUUCAAGACAUUAUCAAUACAAGUGAGAAAGUUUCUGAUGAGUAUAAGGCUGUAGUACUACUUAAUGCUAUACCUGAAGCCUACAAAGAGGUUAAAGCCGCCAUUAAGUAUGGUAGAGAUACUCUUACACCUGAUAUUGUCAUAGACUCUUUAAGGAGUAAGGAACUUGAACUUAAGUCUAAGAGAGGUAAUAGUGGCCAUGAAAACUUGUUUGCUAGAGGCAGGACUUUAAGUAGGUCUAGUAGUACUCAUGAAAGCCAUAAUAAUCAGGGAAACAACAAUAGGAGGAAGUUUAAAAGUAGAGGCAAGUCUAAGUCAAGGACUAGGACUUAAAAGUGUUAUGGGUGUGGGAAAACUGGACAUUUCAUUAAAGACUGUUAUAAAAAUAAAAAUGAACAGAAACUGAAGGGUGUUGAUGAAGGUAAUGUGGUAGAAUCUGAAGGUUCUGCCACAGUUGAUGUAUAUGCUGUGACUGAAAAUUUACCUAGCUCUGCAAAUGUGGUUGAUGAGAAUCAGAACCAAGAAUGGAUCUCGGAUUCUGGUUGUACCUUCCAUAUGACCUUUAAGAAGGUAUAUUUAGACAAUUUUAAGAAAAUUGAUGGAGGAAAAGUGGUUAUGGGCAAUAAUGUAGCCUUCAGAGUUGAGGGAGUUGGGAAUGUCACUUUGAAAUUCGAUAAUGGAUACAUUCACCCUUUUGAAAGGGUCAGGUAUGUUCCUGAAUUAAAUAGGAAUCUGAUUUCCAUGGGAUAUCUUGAUGAUAUGGGAUUGCAAGAAAAAAUAGGAGAUGGCUUCUUAAAAGUGAUAAAAGGAUCACUUGUUAUUUUGAAAGGUGUUAAAAAAAAUGGGAUUUAUGUGACCAGAGCUAGUACAGUGUCUGAUCACAUAGGUGAGUCUUCUAGUGUAGAAGCUGAUGCUACCUUAAAGUGGCACAAGAGAUUGGCCCAUGUAGGUGAAAAGGGCCUACACAUCCUUUAUAAGAAAGGAGUGUUUGGAAAAGACUCUAUAUCUAAGGUGUCCUUUUGUGAAAACUGCACCUUAGGUAAGCAGCAUAGGCUGCAUUUUAACACAGGAAAACAUAGAACCACUUCUAUCCUUGAGUAUAUACAUACUGAUUUGUGGGGACCUUCAUCCACUAUUACUCAAGGAGGAAAUAGAUAUUUCUUGUCCUUAAUUGAUGACUAUUCUAGGAAGGUUUGGAUUUAUUUGAUGAAACACAAAUCUGAAACCUUUGAGAAAUUCAGAACUUGGAAGAUUCUAGUUGAAAAUGAGAUUGGAAAGAAAAUUAAGAUCCUUAGGACGGACAAUGGCCUUGAGUUUUGCAAUGCUGAAUUUGAUCAAUUGUGCAAAGAAUCUGGUAUUAAAAGGCAUAAAACAGUACCUUAUACACCUCAGCAGAAUGGAGUGGCUGAGAGGAUGAAUAGAACCUUGCUAGAUAAGGUUAGGUGCAUGUUGAUAGGCUCAGGUGUCCCUAAGGUGUUAUGGGGUGAAGCUGUAAUGACAGCUUCAUAUAUUGUUAAUAGAAUCCCCUCAAGUGCUCUAGGUGAUAAAACCCCAGAAGAGCUAUGGACAUGACAUGUUCCUGAUUAUUCUCAUUUAAGAAUUUUUGGUUGUGCAGCCUAUACCCAUCAGAGUAUAGGAAAACUUGAACCUAGGGCCCAGAAAUGUGUUUUCUUGGGAUAUCCCGAUGGGGUUAAAGGUUAUAGGCUUUAGAGUAAAGAGGUAAAAGGUUUUAAAAUCAUCACCAGCAGAGAUGUGACCUUUGAUGAGUAAAAAUGCCUUGUUUAGAAAAUAAAGAGCCAAAGGGUUUAUCUGGUGAUGAAAGGGGUGAUAAUACCAAGCUGCAGGUGGAGCUUGGCUUACCUACUGAACCUAUUGGUGAUGAACAGGUGGAUGAAGAAGCUGAAAUAGCUUCUGGUCCUCUAGAAAAUGAAGAGGAAGAUGUUCAAGAAAAUCUGGAAAGUCAGCCUGAUGAAUUAGGAGAUUACCAGUUGGCUAGAGAUUGGACUAGGAGAGAAGUUAGAGAGCCUGUUAGGUAUGGGGAUUACCUUUCACUUGCUAUUUUGUCCUAUCAAGACUUAGUGUUUAAAGAACCAAAAUCUUAUGAAGAGGCAAUGAGCAGCAAGCAAUCUGAGAAAUGGCAUGCUGCUAUGAUAGAUGAGAUAGACUCCUUAAUGAAAAAUGAGACUUGGACUUUAGUCCCUAAACCUGUAGGUAAGACCCUUGUUGAUUGCAAGUGGAUCUUUAGCGCUACGGAGGGAAAUUCUGAAAAGAUGCCCAUAAGAUUUAAAGCUAGACUUGUAGCGAAAGGAUUUACACAAAAAGAGGGCAUAGACUAUAAUGAGAUAUUUUCACCUGUGAUAAAGUACACAACCAUUAGAGUUAUGCUUGCUCUUGUUGCUCAUUAUGAUCUUGAACUUGAGCAAAUGGACGUGAAAACUGCUUUCUUGCAUGGUGACCUUGAUGAAGUGAUUUAUAUGAGGCAGCCACCUGGUUUUAUUGAGGAAACUAAUUCUGAUCAUGUGUGUUUGUUAAAAAGAUCAUUAUAUGGUUUAAAGCAAUCUCCACGACAAUGGUACAAAAGGUUUGAUAAUUUUGUAUCCGCUAUUAGUUUCAAAAGAAGUGAAUAUGAUCAUUGUCUUUAUUUUAAAAGAAAUGAUGAAAAUGCUAUUGUUGCUUUUAUACUUCUUUAUGUGGAUGAUAUGUUGCUGAUUGGUCAGAAUAUGCAUGUUAUUAAUUAGAUAAAACGGUCUUUAAGUGUUGAAUUUGAAAUGAAAGACCUAGGACAUGCAAAGAGAAUUCUAUGAAUGGAAAUCACUAGGAAAAGGCAUCAUAGGUUACUGUACUUGAAGCAAACUGCAUAUAUUGAAAAAAUGUUGAUUAAGUUUGCCAUGCAUAACUCUAAAUCUGUUUCACUUCCAUUGGCCAGUCAUUUUAAACUUAGUAAGGAGCAAUGUCCCGUAGAUGAAUCUGACAUUAGACAAAUGGAAAAUGUACCCUAUGCUAAUGCCGUAGGUUCUGUUAUGUACACUAUGGUAUGUACUAGGCCGAUGUAGCUCAUUCCAUUAGCACACUUAGUAGAUUUAUGGCCAAUCCAGGACCUGACCAUUGGGUUGCUUUAAAAUGGCUGUUGAGAUACUUGAAAGGAUCUUCACAUGUUGGAUUGAUUUUUAGUGCCUGUAAUGAAGGUGUUGUACUUAAGGGUUUUGUAGAUUCAGAUUUUGCCGGAGAUAGAGACAAUAGGAAAUCUACUACUUCUUAUAUGUUUACUUUGUGUAAUACAUGUAUUAGUUGGAAAUCUCAACUUCAACCUAUUGUUGCUUUAUCUACUACUGAAGCUGAGUAUGUUGCUACAACUGAAGCAAUAAAAGAAGGCUUAUGGCUUAAGGGUUUGUUAUCCGAAAUAAAUGAAUUAAGUAACCCUGUUGUUUUAUAUUCAGAUAGUCAAAGUGCAAUUCACCUAUGUAAAGACCCUAUUUUUCAUGAAAGAACCAAACACAUUGAUAUUAAGUUGCAUUUUAUUAGAGAUGUUGUUUCUAAAUAACUAAUUUUACUUGAGAAAAUUGCAACCCAGUUUAAUCCAGCUGAUGUAGGUACUAAGGUAAUACCUUUAAACAAGUUUAAGUCUUGUUUACAAAUUUUGAACAUUGAUGUUGGUUAAGUGUUUUGUUCUGUACAGGUGCUAAGGUUGAUGCUUGUUGAGAAUACGGGGAAGCUGUCUUUUUGAGAAGGACAUUUAAAUUGUGUUUUACAUUUAUUAGGCUUCUUGUAUGAUCACUGGCAUCAAGGUGAAGAUUUGUUGGGCUGUGAUGCCAUUUGAUCAGUCCAACUAAUAGGCAGUGAUGAAAUAAGGCCCAAUAUGGAAUCAAUAGAUGGUCCAUUUAUUAAAACCUAGAAGGCCCAAUUAAAUCGAGCCCAAUAUCCAGCCCUUUUAACCCUAGUCGUUCUUGGACCGUUGGAUUAACCCACUCAAUCUAACGGUGGAUUGGUUUACUAUAUAUACAUUAUUUAUCCUCUUGUUUGGGAGAGAGACGGUCAUUUUUCUUGUUCUCUGUGUAUUCUGGAACCUUCAAUGACUUUCGUCUUUGUGACAUUUUCUUCUUCUCUGUGUGAGAACUUCUGUUGAUUAUCUUUGUGAUAAUCAUGUCAUUGUGUUAGUCUCCUUUGUGUGAGUAAACUGUUGGAAGUGGUUUGUCCAUUUUCGGUUCCAGUGAAACGACUUGGUGCUUUGGGGUUGUGAGGGCUCGUGUGUUGAGUUCGGUGCCUAUGUGAUGGUUAGAAAAGGGCGUAUGGUCUGAGCCUAUGAAUAGAUCUAAACCUUGAUCCAAUGGCUUAGGUUUUCUGUAAAUCUGCUGCGUAUAUAUAUAUAUAUAUAUAUAUAUUCUGAUUUGUAUAGUUUGAACAAAUUCUGGAUUAAUAGAAUGGAGGUUUGCAAGAGUAUAUAUUGUAAUUUUAGCUUCCAUGAAGAGCCGUAGAAAGCUCAUUUUCUAGUUGUCAGAUGUCUCCGGUGAUUGAGUGUUAUUGGACUGAACUGAUAGAUUCAUGUUUGAACUGGACUCAUUGAGUCUUAUUUGAUUUGUGUUUAUGCAUCGAAAAGACAAAAAAAGAUUUUUAUCUUUUUAUAAGAAUUGUAUCUUUCUGAUAAAACUUAGUCACGAAACUUUAGUUAUAGGACCACAAAAACUCUUGUACCUCGAGAUAUUUUUAGUUUAUUUUGAACAUAAACAAGUAGCUCUCAUUCUAUCAAAUCGUCGAGAACGUACAAAGAAAUAAGUGAAGCAAUCAAAAUCAACCCAUUGAUGAGAAAUUGCAUGAUUAGCGAGACAAUGGGCCACAAAUUGAUUCCAUAAUCGUAUCCCAAGAAAAUGCGAGUUGCAAGCGAUAUUAUAAUAAAAGGGUAAAAUGGUCAUUUAAUCAUGAUUAAUUAUUCGAUGUCCGACAGGUAUAAACAAGUAGCUCUCAUUCUAUCAAAUCGUCGAGAACGUACAAAGAAAUAAGUGAAGCAAUCAAAAUCAACCCAUUGAUGAGAAAUUGCAUGAUUAGCGAGACAAUGGGCCACAAAUUGAUUCCAUAAUCGUAUCCCAAGAAAAUGCGAGUUGCAAGCGAUAUUAUAAUAAAAGGGUAAAAUGGUCAUUUAAUCAUGAUUAAUUAUUCGAUGUCCGACAGGUAUACUCGUCGUCCAAUACACAUAAAGAGAUCGCUUUUUAUUGUUUGAUUCCUCAACUUGAUUCUUGAUUUGGCUUUCAGGUUUCCACUCAUUAAUGGCUGUUCAUACUUCUGGAGAAUACCAAAGAAGAUAUGGGGUUGAAAGCUGGAAGAUUGAAUAUCAAUAUUUAAAGAAAAAAAUUGGAGCAGCUUCUAAAGAAUUCAGAUCUAAUCACACUUCAAGUGUGAUUCCACAAUCCUUUAUCUGAUUAAUUCAACAUGUUAUAAAACGAAUUUAACCAUAUAUUCUUGGAUCAAAACUUAUUAAGAAAAAAAAUUUAUUGCACAUGUUUUUACUUAUUGUCUAACAUUAGUCUUAUAUUUUCACUUUGGAUUUGUGAACACAUCUUUUCAGUUCAGUGUUUAUGAGUUAAGUUUGUAUCUAAUAACGCUAAAAGAUAAGGUUCUUUAAUACAUUUAUCAUUGUUCAUGUACUAUAAGAAGCCUCCUUGUGUAUAAAGAAAUAUACAACUUUAUUAUGGAUCUUUCCUAUAUUUUAUGUAUUUUAUAUAUUAAGUUUUAAUUGGAUAUUUAAAGAAAGUUCACCUUGACCUGCUAUUUAGAGUGCACACUAAGCAGUGGUCUAUCGGUUGUUGAAUUUUGGAAACUGAUCGCUUAGACUCUAUUGCACCGAAUUACAUAUUCCGAGGGGACAACUAUUUAUUGUUCUUCAAGCUACCAUUUUCAGGCUAAUUUUCAUUGUUGAUUCUUAAAGUUAUCUUAUAAUGUGUGGACAUUUGAAAUAGAUUAUUUAUCUUUAGCUUCAUCUUUUGUGUAUAUUACAAUUUUCCUAACAAUCUUAAAUUCAUUUUGGAUAAAACCUCUUUGCCAGGGCCACAUGUGCCCUGGUAUUGGCGCCCCCUAUAGGUGGGGUGCCUUGGUAAUGCCUCACAUUUCACCAAGCCAACUUUGACUCAAGUCGUGCUUCUAAAGUUCAUAUUUGGUGUUGGUACAAGAUUUGAUGUGUUCUCUAAACUUGGCUCAUUCAUUGAAGCCCCACCUAUAGGGGCGCCAAUACCAAGACACAUGUGGCUCUGGUAACCAAGCAUGGUUCAUUGAUUUUAUACAUAUUGGGUAUGCCUCACAUUUCACCAAGCCAACUUUGACUCAAGUCAUGCUUCUAAAGUUUGUAUUCGAUUUUGGUACAGGAUUUGAUGGGGUCUCUACACUGGGCUCAGUCUGGGUUGCUGGACACAGUAAAUUGGUACUUUCAUUUGAAAGGGGCUAAUCUCAUUUCUCACACACAUUGUGCUCGUUUUCCUUUCUUUAGACAUUUUUUAUGUGUUCUAAAGAAAUCUGAGUGAUUUCUUCAAACAUUUUACUGAAUUUGUUCUUGAUUUUCAUUCUAAAAUGAAAGCCAUAUCUACUUUGAUAGAUGCUCAAUGGGCGAAUAAUGUUGGAGCACAUGAACAUUCGGAUCCAUUAGUGGACGAAAAAUUCUUGUGUUAGAAUUUCUUUAAUUUUUUACACAUUUAUUUCAAUCUUUUAGGGUUAAAACAUAUAUUUAGGACUAACAAGUUGCAUCAGAGUCAGAACCUUAAUUUUGAUAUGGUUUCUGGCUUUAAAAUGGAAACCUAGUCCGUUCUUUUUGAAAAAUCUUUGUACCAUACUAGCUGUCGAUCUAGAAUUUUUUGUGGAAACCAACUUAUUUCCAAAUCCCUGUGACUUGAUGUAUCUUCGAUUCAACAUUUGGCUGAAUUUUUUGAUGAACUCUUUUGGGUUUCUAGUGAUUCUUGAUGGCUCGUUUGUAUUCCUUGUUGGGUUGUGAUGACUUUACACAGUUUCUGGCAAUUCUCGGUGACUCCUUAUUUUAUGUUGAGUUGAGGUGACUCAUUCAAUCUACUACCGAUUCUUUGUGUUUCAGUUGGCAUUCUGGGAUAAGUUUUAGUAGAGCAAAGUUUAAAUAUAGAAAUUAAUUUGUUUUAUAAUGAAGACACAAACUGAACAUUAGACAAUUUAAAAGUUCUAAUGACACAGGAAGGAUGUUAGAACUAUUAGGUAGAGAAGAGGGUGAUAGAUUGUGCUAGCCAUGAAUAUGAUGUAUAUUAAGAGCUUUGUGGGAAACAUUGACAAGAUGGUACCAAAGGAUGGUUUGGCUUCGAAGUGUUGGAGAUUAGCCUCAAAGCUUAUUUGUUUCUUAUGGGGCUUAUCGAAGGUAAUAGGUAUAUCGCGAGCACUAACAACAGAUGAUAUGUCCUUAUGGUCACCAGGUAGGCCAUCAAGAAUUUUUAGAGUCAGAUCUUCAUAGUGGAUGGGAUAGUCCUUGAUAGCAAGUUCGACAAUCUUGCUUUUCUAAGAUUCUAGAAACUCGAUAAUAGUUAAAGAUCCUAUAGUAANNNNNNNNNNNNNNNNNNNNNNNNNNNNNNNNNNNNNNNNNNNNNNNNNNNNNNNNNNNNNNNNNNNNNNNNNNNNNNNNNNNNNNNNNNNNNNNNNNNNNNNNNNNNNNNNNNNNNNNNNNNNNNNNNNNNNNNNNNNNNNNNNNNNNNNNNNNNNNNNNNNNNNNNNNNNNNNNNNNNNNNNNNNNNNNNNNNNNNNNNNNNNNNNNNNNNNNNNNNNNNNNNNNNNNNNNNNNNNNNNNNNNNNNNNNNNNNNNNNNNNNNNNNNNNNNNNNNNNNNNNNNNNNNNNNNNNNNNNNNNNNNNNNNNNNNNNNNNNNNNNNNNNNNNNNNNNNNNNNNNNNNNNNNNNNNNNNNNNNNNNNNNNNNNNNNNNNNNNNNNNNNNNNNNNNNNNNNNNNNNNNNNNNNNNNNNNNNNNNNNNNNNNNNNNNNNNNNNNNNNNNNNNNNNNNNNNNNNNNNNNNNNNNNNNNNNNNNNNNNNNNNNNNNNNNNNNNNNNNNNNNNNNNNNNNNNNNNNNNNNNNNNNNNNNNNNNNNNNNNNNNNNNNNNNNNNNNNNNNNNNNNNNNNNNNNNNNNNNNNNNNNNNNNNNNNNNNNNNNNNNNNNNNNNNNNNNNNNNNNNNNNNNNNNNNNNNNNNNNNNNNNNNNNNNNNNNNNNNNNNNNNNNNNNNNNNNNNNNNNNNNNNNNNNNNNNNNNNNNNNNNNNNNNNNNNNNNNNNNNNNNNNNNNNNNNNNNNNNNNNNNNNNNNNNNNNNNNNNNNNNNNNNNNNNNNNNNNNNNNNNNNNNNNNNNNNNNNNNNNNNNNNNNNNNNNNNNNNNNNNNNNNNNNNNNNNNNNNNNNNNNNNNNNNNNNNNNNNNNNNNNNNNNNNNNNNNNNNNNNNNNNNNNNNNNNNNNNNNNNNNNNNNNNNNNNNNNNNNNNNNNNNNNNNNNNNNNNNNNNNNNNNNNNNNNNNNNNNNNNNNNNNNNNNNNNNNNNNNNNNNNNNNNNNNNNNNNNNNNNNNNNNNNNNNNNNNNNNNNNNNNNNNNNNNNNNNNNNNNNNNNNNNNNNNNNNNNNNNNNNNNNNNNNNNNNNNNNNNNNNNNNNNNNNNNNNNNNNNNNNNNNNNNNNNNNNNNNNNNNNNNNNNNNNNNNNNNNNNNNNNNNNNNNNNNNNNNNNNNNNNNNNNNNNNNNNNNNNNNNNNNNNNNNNNNNNNNNNNNNNNNNNNNNNNNNNNNNNNNNNNNNNNNNNNNNNNNNNNNNNNNNNNNNNNNNNNNNNNNNNNNNNNNNNNNNNNNNNNNNNNNNNNNNNNNNNNNNNNNNNNNNNNNNNNNNNNNNNNNNNNNNNNNNNNNNNNNNNNNNCAGGUAUAUAUAUAUAUAUAUAUAUAUAUAUAUAUAUAUAUAUAUAUAUAUAUUGAUGAUAAGUCAGAAGAAUAUAAAUUAACCCCCUGCAAAUAGGGCUAGUUUUUGAUUGGCAUGAUUGCAGUGGCGGAUCUAGGUGGUGGUGAGAUCCGUUGGAAGCCAUUUUUUUUGGUUGACAAUAGAUUAAGGUUUUAGAUUAUGUUACUGAUAAUUCUUUCUUCUUCUGAAUUUUCCUUCUAGUUGAAGUGGUUAUAUAUUUACAUUUUGCAAGUCCUGGUUUCGAUUCUCUUCCCAACCAAUUCAUUGUGCAAUUUUUUUAGUUUACAACAACUAUCAAAAUUAAUGCAAUAGGAAAGAGUUGGAUGAGAUUCAAACCUUGAAACCCUAUUAUAACCAUUGAAAGCCUGACCACUGUGGCAUCUAUUGGUUUUGGCACUUAAUUCAAUAAAGUAAUAUAUAUUAUAUUUAUUGGGUUUAAGAUUCCAAAUCAUGUUCUUCCUUUAAAUUAUACGAUACUUGACAACAAUGUCAUUUGGUGAAUAUACGAUUUAUUCUUAUAACAGAAUUAUAUAUGUUCAAUAUGAACAAAUUUUAGGCAUUGUUUUAUUGUCAUUUUUUUUUCAAAAUACAUUUUUAUCUAUCUUAUUUUUAACCAUAUAUUUUUCAAUAAAAAAUAAUAUUACACGCAAAUUCAAAAUAUUUUUCUUAUUUUUUACCUCACUUUCUCCAUGAAAUCAUUAUUUCAAAAUGCAUUUUUUGUUUAAAAAAAAAAAAGACAUCAAACGGGCUCUUAAUACUUUAUUGCAGCUGACGGUCGACAAUCAACGACUAUCCGUGCUGACUCAAAAUCCUAGAUUCGCCACUGCAUGAUUGGAUGUAAUUAUUGUAGUUUCAAUUAUUUAAGUCCGAUUGGAUCCUUUUGAUAGCUUCAGUAAAAGUUUUGAGCUUUAUUACAUUAUUAAUAAAAUUUCUUAGACCACUUUGAAAAUAGUCCAAAAUAGAACUUGCAGUUUAGUGAAAUUAGGGAACAAAGUCCUAAACUUACUUGAAGGGUUAAGGGGAUGCCCAUGGCAUAAGUGAAUGCCCUCGUCGUCCAAUACACAUAAAGAGAUCGCUUUUUAUUGUUUGAUUCCUCAACUUGAUUCUUGAUUUGGCUUUCAGGUUUCCACUCAUUAAUUGCUGUUCAUACUUCUGGAGAAUACCAAAGAAGAUAUGGGGUUGAAGCUUGAAGAUUGAAUAUCAAUAUUUAAAGAAAAGAAUUGGAGCAGCUUCUAAAGAAUUCAGAUCUAAUCACACUUCAACUAUGAUUCCACAAUCCUUUAUAUGAUUAAUUCAACAUGUUAUAACACGAAUUUAAGUAUAUAUUCUUGGGUCAAAACUUAUUAAGAAAAAAAAUUUAUUGCACAUGUUUUUACUUAUUGUCUAACAUUAGUCUUAUCUUUUCACUUUGGAUUUGUGAACACAUCUUUUCAGUUCAGUGUUUAUGAGUUAAGUUUGUAUCUAAUAACGCUAAAAAAUAGGGUUCUUUAAUACAUUAACAUUGUUCAUGUAAUAUAAAAAGCCUCCUUGUGUAUAAAGAAAUAUACAACUCUAUUAUGGAUCUUUCCUAUAUUUUAUGUACUUUAUAUAUUCAGUUUUAAUUGGAUAUUUAAAGAAAGUUCACCUUGACCUGCUAUUUAGAGUGCACACUAAGCAAUGGUCUAUCGGUUGUCGAAUUUUGGAGAUUGAUCGCUUAGACUCUGUUGCACUGGAUUACAUAUCUCGAGGGGGCAACUAUUUAUGGUACUUCAAACUAACAUUUUUAAGCUAAUUUUCAUUGUUGAUUCCUAAAGUUAUCUUAUAAUGUGUGGGCACAUGAAAUAAAUGACUUAUCUUUAGUUUCAUCUUUCGUGCAUAUUACAACUUUCCUAACAAUCUUAAAUUCAUUUUGGAUAAAACCUCUUUACCAGGGCCACAUGUGCCCUGGUAUUGAUACGCCCUAUAGGUGGGGCCUCGAUAGGUGCCCCACCUAUAGGGGGCGCCAACCAUGGCACAUGCGGCCCUGGUAACCAAGCACGGUUCAUUGAUUUUAUACAUAUUGGAUAUGCCUCACAUUUCACCAAGCCAACAUUGACUUAAGUCGUGCUUCUAAAGUUCGUAUUCAAUUUUGGUACAAGAUUUGAUGGGGUCUAUACACUUGGCUCAUUCAUUGAGGCCCCACCUAUAGUGGGUGCCAAUAUCAGGGCACAUGUGGCCCUGGUAACCAAGCACGGUUCAUUGACUUUGUACAUAUUGGAUCUGCCUCACAUUUCACCAAGUCAACUUUGACUCAAGUCGUGCUUCUAAAGUUUGUAUUCGAUUUUGGUACAAGAUUUGAUGUGGUCUCUACACUUGGCUCAUUCUGGGUUGCUGGACAGAGAGUAAAUUGGUUCUUUCAUCUAAAAGGGGCUAAUCUCAUUUCUCACACACAGAGUGCUCUUUUUCCUUUCUUUAGACAUUUUUUAUGUGUUCUAAAGAAAUUUAAGUGAUUUCUUGAAACAUUUUACUGAAUUUGUUCUUGAUUUUCAUUCUAAUAUGAAAGCCAUAUCUACUUUGGUAGAUGCUCAAUGGGUGAAUAAUGUUAGAGCACAUGAACAUUCGGAUCAAUUAGUGGAUGAAAAUUCUUGUGUUCGAAUUUCUUUAAUUUUUUACACAUUUAUUUCAAUCUUUUAGGGUUAAAACAUAUAUUUAGGACUAACAAGUGGCAUCAGAGUGAGAAACUUAAUUUUGAUAUGGUUUCUGGCUUUAAAAUGGAAACCUAAUUUGUUCUUUUUGAAAAAUCUUUGUACUAUACUAGCUCUCGAUCUAGAAUUUUUUGUGGAAACCAACUUAUUUCCAAAUCUCUAUGACUUGAUGUAUCUUCAAUUCAACGUUUGGUUGAAUUUUUUGAUGAACUCGUUUUGGUUUCUAGCGAUUCUUGAUGGCUCGUUCGUAUUCGUUGUUGGGGUGUGAUGACUUUACGCAGUUUCUAGCAAUUCUCGGUGACUCCUUAUUAUUUGUUGAGUUGAGGUGCCUCAUUCAAUCUACUACUGACUCUUGGUGUUUUACUUGGCAUUCUGGGGUAAAUUUUAGUAGAGCAGAGUUUAAAUAUAGAAACUAAUUUGUUUUGUAUUGAAGACACAAACUGAACAUUAGACAAUUUAAAAGUUCUAAUGACACAGGAAAAGAUGUUAGAACUAUUAGGUAGAGAAGAGGAUGGUGGAUUGUGCUAGCCAUGAAUAUGAUGUAUAUUAAGAGCUUUGUGGGGAACAUUGGCAGAGAUGGUACCAGAGGAUGGUUUGGCUUCGAAGUGUUGGAGAUUAGCCUCAAAGCUUAUUUGUUUCUUAUGGAGCUUAUUGAAGGUAAUGGGUAUAUCGCGAGCACUAACAACAGAUGAGAUGUCCUUAUGGUCACCGAGUAGGCCUUCAAGAAUUUUUAGUGUCAGAUUUUCAUAGUGGAUGGGAUAGUCCUUGAUAGCAAGUUCGACAAUCUUGAUUUUCUAAGAUUCUAGAAACUCGAUAAUAGUUAAAGAUCCUAUAGUAACGUUGGGAAGUCGACUUUUUCAUUGUAUAAUGCAACCUCCUGAGGGUUUGUCAUAUAUUGCAAAAAUAUUGUUCCACACAUUAUGAGAUGUUUUGAAAGAAGCGAUGUAUGGUAUAAUAGUGGAAGAACGGAUCCGAUAAUUGCAUUUAAUAGUAGUUGGUUAUGUUCGAUACCAUAAGCAAAUGAUUGAUUUAGUAAGUAUUGACAUUUUUUAUAAUAUGUAGCUCAUAUGGAGUAAAACACAUGUACACUAGAAAAGCACGUUGACGCCAACGUGGAGCAAGGGGAGCGCACCUAACAGAAUGGUACAAGGAUAUUUUUGGAUUUCUAUAAUAUCUUGUACGGGCUAGGUUAGUAUAUAUAUUAUAACUCUAUUAUUUUCAUAUUGUGAAAAUUAUAGCCGCUUCACUCUCGUAGAUGUAGGCUACUGUCAAACCACUCUCUCUAUUGAAUUUGUACUAUUCAUCAUUAUCAUUAUUGUCGUACAUAACACAACACCAUUGAUAUAAGCUAGUCAUAAACCCAUGAGAUCAUACCUUAUGAGUAUUGUAUUAUAUUGCAAUUUCUAUGAGGACUAAUUUCCUACGAGCAAGAUACUCUAGUGUCUAGCGCUUCGACCUUCUUCCUCCCGCUCGAAUAAGCCCUAGUUUCGCUUGAAUGAUCAAUGACGACACUUCUACAAUGUCAUCUAGUCAUCUUGUCCUACUCUUGUGCCGUAUAUUUCCUCAUUGUUCCCAAUCACGACCUAAGUGCCUCUAUAGCUCUACCCACUUCACACGCUCAGUUCUCACCCUAUGAAAACCCAUGACAAAGAUCAUAUUCCAAAGCCAAUUCAAAAACUAAAUAUCACCCCUUGAUCUUGAUUCCAUUAUUCUACAGUCUUUUGCCACAAUCCUUAAACGUCCACUUUGAUUCUAAUCCAUGUGUGAGGAGUUUGAUGGCCUAUUAGGUAAUGAAUUUAAAAGACCUCCUCUCCCUUCUAAUUCCAAAUUAUUUUCAUUUGUAAAUGGGCUUUUCAUGUUAAACGGAAACCUAAUGGUUACAUUCAUUGUGCAUGACGAAUGUUUUUCAUCAACGCUCGUGGUAGACUACAAUGAGAAUUUUAACCUAGUUGUCAAUUCCACCACCAUCCAUCUCAUUUUAAUCUUACCUUGGCACAGCAUUGGUCUCUACGUUGUUCAAUGUUAGUAAUACAUUUCUUCGGGAUUCACUAAUGAAAAUUAUUUACAUGUCUCAUCUUCAACAAUUUGUCGAUAUAGAAACUUCCAUUAUGAUUGUCCAUUUCAUAAAGGUAUCUGUAAUCUCAAACAAGCUCAUCGAGCUUAGUACAAUGAAUUACGAAACUUCUUGCUUGCCAGUGGGAUUACCAAUUCCAAAUCUAACACGUACGUCUAUAUUCAACUGCAACUCCAACCAGUGUUGAAUCUUAGUUUUGGUUUAUGCUAAAGACAUCAUUGUCACGAGAAACUCAAGUUUUUAAUAUCUUUGUUACUCAUUUGGUACCAUUUUUUCUAGAGAUGUCAAAAAUCCUAACCGAACCUAAUCCCCAUAGGGACAUAUCCCAAAGUGGACAAGAGUUUCUGGCUUUAAUCGAGUUUGCAUCCAUUUAUAUUUUAACAAUAUUAAUAAAAAAAAAUGCCCAAUUUGUAUUAUAAAAAUUUUUUAAAAAAAUGAAUAAAUAAAUUUACCUAUCAUGCAAUCCAAUCUAACAUCGCGUUCCAUUCAAGAAAAAAGAAAAAGAAGGAGAAAAAAUAGAAAAUUGAUUAAAAAAAGCAAAAUAAAAUAUAACGGUGCUAUAAAGUGGAUCCCACUUUAUUGUCAUCCCUAGAUUUGGAUACUUUUUUCCUGGGGAUAUAAGUUAUUUUUCUCUACAAGGCCUUUUUCUCUCACAACAUUAGUUUGUAUCUCAGUAAUCUUCUGCACAACAUAAGUUGCAUGAGUGUGAGUCAGUGUCAAUUUCUAUGUACAUGACAACUACCUUGAGCUUAAUUGAUGUCACUACUUUUCAUGAUGCUUUUAAAUAUAGGCAAGUUCUUGGCAACUUGCAAUAUUCUUUACUCACUCGCCAGGGCAUUGUUAUUUAGUAAACCAUCUGUAUCAAUAUAUCGCUGAUCCAUUUCUCACACUUGGAUCGCUGUUAAACUUAUGUUUCUCGACUUUUUUGGCACUUUGGGCUCUUUCUUUGUCGCCAUUCUCCUGUCUUGUUACAUGCCUUCUCUAAAUCUGAUUGAGAAGAAAAUGGUAAUGAUUCCACAUCCAUCCAUGCCAAUCUAGUGAUUCUUGAAUGGAACCUAAUUGUUGCUCAUUUUUUUUUAUUGAAAUCGACUAUCAUAUGGCUUAAAUAUUUAGUACUUGAAUUCAGCGAACCAAUUUCCACCAAUCGAGUAAUCUAAUUUCAUACUAUUAGCACCACAUACUUAAUGACCUAACACUAUUUCUCACCUCGAAUGGAAUACAUUAAGAUUCAUGUGCACUUUGUUCAUGACAAGAUUUAGACCGGUGAACUCUGGAUUUCUUGUGUUGUCUUGUCCAAUCAAUUUGUUAAUGUUCAAACUAAACAUUAAUCAUAUGCGUCCGCAUCUACUCCUAUCUGAUAUAGGUGUCACUAAUAAGACUGCUUUCUUGUGCGGGGCAUAUUAUAGAUAUUAAAGUAAUUAGAGAUAGCAUAGUACGAUAAUUAGAGCUUGAUCUUGUGAAAUAAUAUUAAAGUAGUUAUAGAUAGUGUUACACAAUAGUUAGAACUUGUCAUUACUCAACGUGCAUCAUAUAUUUCUGUUACAGAAUGUAUACAUAUAUAUAGCACAUACCAGGAGAUAUUCUAGACUAUGCACUAAUUUAGGCUAUGAUUGAGAUUGACCCUCAUUGUAUGUGGAGUCAGAUGACAAACUAUACUUCCCUAUAAUUAUUGAAUAAUGUUAUUUAAUAUUAGUAGAAUUAGAGUGCCAGUCUAAGUUGACAUACUUGAUAAGUUCAAUUAAAUUAAUAUUGUGGUAUUGCAUUUAAAUGAAUUUAUUGUUUAGUGUCAUGAAAUUAGGGUGGCAACAGUUCGGUUCAGGUUCGGUUUGGCCAAAACCAUCACCGAAUCACCAAUUUUUUUGUCAUACCAUAACCACGUAAGUUGGUUCGGUUCGGCUUAGUUAGGACGAUUAAGAACAACGAAAAUAAAUUAUUUUUUAUAAGUUCAGCUAUCAAAUUGGAAAAAAAAAUUAUGAAAAAAAAGGUCAAUGAAAACAAAAACACAAUACCAAGUCAAUUUAACAAACAAUAUCCCAAUUUCCAAAGGCAAAAUCCGAAUUUAACAAACAAUAUCCAUAAAUGUUUAAUAUUUGUGUAGUAGGGUGUAGGGUUAUUGGGUUCAGUUAGUUGGACUUAAUGGGUUGGUAAUGGGCCAAAAAUUUGAACUGAACAGAAUCAUAGAAAGACUAAUGGAAAGCCUAAUUGUCCAAUUAGUUUUUUUUUAACAGGUAAUCGGUUCGGAGUUGGACGACGGUGUAAAUAUCAUACUCGUCCCGCUCCAAAUCGGGGCAUUAAAAUCAAAUACCAUAUCCACCCCAUUGCGCCAUUGGUUCGGUUAAUCGCGAUUUUCGAUUUUGAUAGUUCGAAUUGCCAUCCUUACAUGAAAUUGCAUCUCAACUAAAGUUUAACACUAAUGGUGCUAAAGUGCAUUACUCAUAAUUAUUAUAUGAGUAAUGCCAUUUAGCACUAUUAGUUAAGCACUGUUUAGGUGGCAUGCAAUAAUCAUUAAUUGAAAGACUGCCUUAAAAGUAGAAAAAUGAGUCACAUUUAAAAUGUUCUAUCACUUGCAUGCCAUCUAAGUUGGUGCUAUGUAACAUUAUUCUUAUUACUUUUCUUGAUUGACAACUUGCACCAAUAGUCAUCUUGCAACUUAUUGAUAUACUAAAAUCAAUGUGAGAUAGAGUUUAUGUAUUUGAGUUGGAGUCGAUCAAGUUUUUAUAGAACCUAAAUAAUCUUCAAAUGAAUCAUAGUUACUCAAGUUGUUUCUUACCGCUCUAAGCAUCAAUCCAAACACAUUCUUAUGUCAAUCAAUAUGUCAAUUUUUACAUGAAUCAAUUCAUCCUUUGCUGUUAGAGUUACUUUAGUUAGCUACUUUAGCAGAGAUGAUCAAGUUAUACAAAAGCUCAUUAGAAACAUCAAAGUUAGAUAUAAACUGUAAGGCUUAAUUACAGUUUUGUGUACUGUUACAGAAACAUUCAAAGUUUUUCGAGUAAUAUAGAUCAUUUCACUAAUCCUUUUUAUUUUUAUUUUUUUUAUAUACCAUUGUAUGAUUAAAUAAAAUUAGUAUAAAACAUCAAUACUUCAUCUACAAUGUACAUAGUUUAUCAACAAUGUUAAUAGCAUUGAGUUUAUAUUUCAUCAUAAUUCUCCAGACCAAUUAGAAAUAUUAGGAAGUUUCUAGUAUUUGAUCUUGUCUUCCCAUUUCUUUUAAUCAAUACAUAUAAUUAAUCAAGCAACCAAAAUAAAAUUUUUAACACCAUAAUACCAAUAUAAAAGUUACAAAUCUAGAAUAAAUCACUAUUACUCAUAGGAGUCACUUUGUAGAGCCCAUAUAGAAAACCUUGAAGGCAUGUCAAUUAAUACAUGUACUAUGCUGUUUCAAUUAUAAGUUAAUGUACCUCAUUUUCUUUCUUACACCAUAUAAAUACUUUAUCAACUAGGCCAACACUCAUCAUAAUUUAGCAAAUAAGACUUAGAAAAUGCACCGUUUUUUAUCCAUAACUCUUCGACUUAAAUCUAAGAUGAUAUCGUCAUGCCAUUAUAGAAGCAAAGAGAAUCUGACCUAUAUAAUUAUUAAUAGGGUAAGGAUGCUUUAGCAGAUUUCGUCUAAUCUGCAAUUUAGGAAAAAUUGCAUCAUACAACCAUUUGUUAAGGGGAUGCCCAUGGCAUAAGUGAAUGCCCUAGUCGUCCAAUACACAUAAAGAGAUCGCUUUUAAUUGUUUGAUUUCUCAACUUGAUUCUUGAUUUGGCUUUCAGGUUUCCACUCAUUAAUUGAUGUUCAUACUUCUGGAGAAUACCAAAGAAGAUAGGGGUUGAAAGCUUGAAGAUUGAAUAUCCAUAUUUAAAGAAAAGAAUUGGAGCAGCUUCUAAAGAAUUCAGAUCUAAUCACACUUCAACUGUGAUUCCACAAUCCUUUAUAUGAUUAAUUCAACAUGUUAUAAUACGAAUUUAACUAUAUAUUAUUGGGUCAAAACUUAUUAAGAACAAAAUUUAUUGCCUAUGUUUUUACUUAUUGUCUAACAUUAUUCUUAUCUUUACUUUGGCUUUGUGAACAUACAUUUUCAGUUCAGUGGUUAUGAGUUAACUUUGUAUCUAAUAACGCUAAAAGAUAAGGUUCUUUAAUACAUUAACAUUGUUCAUGUACCAUAAAAAGCCUCCUUGUGCAUAAAGAAAUAUACAACUCUAUUAUGGGUCUUUCCUAUAUUUUAUGUACUUUAUAUAAUAAGUACUUAGAGUGGGAGAAGAAGAUUGAGUUGAUAUUCGAUUGUCACAAUUACUCGGGGCAGAAAAAGGUGAAAAUUGCGGUUCUUGAGUUUUUCAACUAUGCAAUAACUUGAUGGGAUCAAGUGGCGACGACGAGGUGGAGGAUUGGGGCACAACCUUUAAAUACUUGGGAGGAGUUGAAGAUGUUAAUGCGAAAAUAGUUUGUACCUAAUCACUAUUACCGGAAGCUUCAUCAAUGGUUACAAAAUCUAUAUCAAGGCACUAGGAGCAUAGAGGAUUACCAUAAGGAGAUGGAGAUGCUUAUGAUUAGGGCGAACGUGGAAGAGGAUAGGGAAGCCACUAUGGCACGAUUUUUGAGGGGGUUGAAUAGGGACAUUGCCAAUGAAGUGGAAUUGCAACAUUAGGUGGAGAUUGAAGACAUGCUACAUGUGGCAUGAAGGUGGAAAAGCAAUUGAAGCGAAAGGGGACAGCAAGGUACUAAGGUGGAUUUUCGAUUUCUAAUCCUUCUUGGAAGCCGAGGUAGGAAAAUAAUAAAGGAGAUGGAGCUAAUAGAAGAGAAAGACCGGAGGCAUCGAGAGGAAAGGAGGAAGGAGCUAGCAAGACUACACCAAAGGUAGAAUCCCAGCCUUCAAGGAAUCUGGAGUCAAGUGUUUUCGUUGCUUGGGAGUUGGACACAUUGCUUCACAAUGUCCAAAUAAAAGAACCAUGAUUUUGCAAGACAGCGAGGAAGUGGAGAUCGAGAGUGAAGGUGAUUAUGAAGACAUGCCGGAGUUGGAGGACAUUGACGAGGAAAACACCACAGAGUAUGCAGUUGGGGAGUUGUUGGUCACAAGGCGAGCACUUAGUGCUCAAAUCAAGGCGGUUGACUUGGAGCAGCAGUGGAAAAAUAUAUUCCACACAUGGUGUCACGUCAACGGGAAGGUAUGCAGUGUAAUAACUGAUGGUGGAAGUUGUACAAACGUAGCUAGCACUAAUGUAGUGGGAAAAUUGGGAUUAACACUAUUAAAAUAUCCUAAACCCUAUAGGUUGCGAUGGUUAAAUUAAUGUGGGGAGGUUGAUGUGACAAAAAAGGUGUUGAUUAAUUUUUCCAUUGGGAAGUAUUAUGAUGAGGUGUUAUGUGAUGUUGUACCUAAGCACGCGGGGCAUAUUUUGUUGGGGCGACCUUGGUAAUAUGAUAGGAAAACAAUGCAUGAUGGGUAUAAAAAUAAAUAUAGUUUUGUGAAAGAGGGAAAGUCUAUCACUCUUGCACCAUUAAGUGUAUGACGACCAAAUCAAAUUGAAAAAUGAGGAAGAAAAGAGAGUGAGAGAGUUAGAGAAAAAGAGAGAAAAUAGUAAGAUUGCCGAUGAGGAAGAAAAAAGAGUGGGGCCACAUGAGAGAAAGAAAGAGAGUUUUCCGAGAGGAGAGAAAAGCCAAAAGUGAAUUUCUUUGCAAAAGGGAGUGAAAUGAAAAAGGCAAUAGUGGAGAGACAAUCAAUGAUUCUUUUGGUAUUUACUCCUCAAUUUUGAGGAGUCUAACACAUCCCUCCCUAGUUUGACUACUUCUUUAUUGCAGGAACUUGUCGAUGUGUUUCCGGAAGAUGUGCCUAGUGGAUUACCACCCAUUAGGGGGAUCGAACAUUAAAUUGAUUUCAUACCUGGAGCUGUCAUUCCAAACCGACCAGUUUAUCGAAGUAAUCCAAAGGAGACAAAGGAGUUUCAAAGGUAAGUGGAGGAGUUGAUGAGCAAGGGUUAUGUAAGGGAGAGCAUGAGUCCAUGUGCCGUACCUGUAUUGUUGGUGCCAAAGAAAGAUGGAACUUGGAGGAUGUGCGUGGAUUGCCGAUCUAUCAAUAACAUUACGGUAAAGUAUGGUCACCCAAUUCCUAGGUUAGAUGACAAGUUAGAUGAAUUAUAUAGUGCUUGCAUCUUUUCUAAAAUUGACCUUAAGAGCGGGUAUCAUGAAAUUCGUAUGCGGGAGGGUGAUGAAUGGAAAACAACAUUUAAAACGAAAUAUGAGUUGUAUGAAUGGCUAGUUAUACCCUUUGGACUCACAAAUGCACCAAGCACGUUUAUGCGAUUAAUGAAUCAUGUUUUGCAUGCUUUCAUUGAAAAAUUUGUUGUAGUUUAAUUUGAUGACAUUCUAAUCUAUAGCAAGGACCUAGUAGAGCAUUUAGAACAUCUUAAAUGUGUGCUUGUGGUUUUAAGAAAUGAACGACUUUAUGCUAAUUUCAAGAAGUACACAUUUUGCAUGGAUAGAAUCAUAUUUCUAGGAUUUGUGGUGAGUGCUAAUGGGGUUGAAGUUGAUGAAGAAAAUGUAAAAGCUAUUAAGGAUUGGCCAACACCUAAAAACAUAACCGAGGUUAGGAGUUUUCAUGGGUUAGCUAGUUUUUAUAGGCGAUUUGUUAGGGAUUUUAGCACACUUGCCACACCACUUACAAAAAUUGUCAAAAAGAGUGUUGGGUUUCAAUGGGGUGUAGAAUAAGAAUAUGCAUUUAACACCAUCAAAGAAUUUUUAUGUAAAGCACCUGUUUUAGCGCUUCCUAAUUUUGACAAAACUUUCGAGAUUGUGUGUGAUGCAUUAGGAAUAGGUAUUAGAGCUGUUUUGACGCAGGAAAAGAGGUCGAUAGCAUACUUUAGCGAGAAACUAAGUGGGGCAGCUCUUAACUAUCCUACUUAUGGCAGGAGCUUUAUUCUCUAGUUCGAGCCUUGGAGACAUGGCAACACUACCUAUGGCCAAAGGAGUUUGUUAUUCACAUUGACCAUGAAUCAUUGAAACAUUUGCGAGGUCAAGGUGAUUUGAACAAACGACAUGCACAUUGGAUGGAAUUCAUAGAGACUUUUCCAUAUGUCAUUCGAUAAAAACAAGGUAAGGAAAACAUAGUAGCCGUUGCAUUGUCGCGAAGGUAUGUGCUUCUCACUUCUUUAACUGCAAAAUUACUUGGUUUUGAGUAUGUUAAGGACAUGUGUAAAAACGAUCUUGAUUUUUCUAACAUCUAUAAUUCAUGUACUGAGAGGGCUAUUGACAAGUUCUUUAAAUAUGAGGGAUAUUUGUUUUGAGAAAAUAAAUUAUGUGUUCCUAAUUGCUCAAUGCGUGAAUUGUUGGUUAGGGAGGCACAUAGUGGGGGUUUAAUAGGUCACUUUGGGUUAGCAAAGAGUUUAGACAUGUUAAAUGAACACUUUUAUUGGCCUAAAAUGAAGAUUGACAUAGAACGAUUUUGUAGUCGUUGCAUAACUUUUAAAAAGACUAAAUCAAAAGUUUUAUCCCAUAGACUUUAUACACCUUUAUCGAUACCUAGCGAACCUUGGGUUGACAUUUCAAUGGAUUUUGUGUUAGGUUUGCCUAGGACUAAAAAGAGGCGUGAUUCAAUUUUUGUUUUUGGUGAAUAGGUUUAGUAAAAUGGUACACUUUAUACCAUGUCACAAAAUCGAAGAUGUCACUAACAUUGCAGGAGUUGUUUUUCAAAGAAUUAGUGUGUUUGCAUGGUGUUCCCAAAAGUAUUGUGUCCGAUAGGGAUGUUAAGUUUCUUAGUCACUUUUGGCGGGUCUUGUGGAAUAAGUUAGGCACGAAAUUAUUGUUUUCUACAACUCGUCACCUAUAAAUCGAUGGUCAAACUGAAGUAGUGAAUAGAACAAUGACACAACUAUUGCGCACUGUGGUUAAUAAAAAUCUAAAGAAUUGGAAAGAAUGUUUGCCUUUCAUUGAGUUUGCAUAUAAUAGAGCCACGUAUUCUACUACGUCGUUUUCACCAUUUGAAAUUGUUUAUGGUUUUAAUCCUUUAACAUCUAUGGAUUUAGGACCUUUGCGUGUGAAUGAACGAGGUAGUUUGGAUCGAAAAAAGAAAGCCUAAUUGGUAAAGACACUCCGUGAAAAGGUAAGGGAGCAAAUAGAGAAGAAGAACAAUCAACGAACAACACAAGCAAACAAAGGCCGAAAAUAUGCCACUUUCGAACCGGGAGAUUGGGUUUGGGUGCAUUUCACGAAAAAGCGAUUCCCAGAGCAAAGAAAAUCAAAGUUAUUGCCACGAGGAGAUGGAUCGUUCCAAGUGAUUGAGAAGAUCAACGACAACGCUUAUAAGAUAGAUCUUCCAGGUGAGUAUAGUGUUUCUGCAACUUGCAAUGUUUCUGACUUAUCUCUUUUCGAUGCAGGUACAGAUUUGAGGUCAAAUCCUUUCGAAGAGAGAGGGGAUGAUGUGAUCCAGAAAGCACAAGUACCAAAGUCAAGUUUAGAGUCGAGCCCGAGGAAAGAUCUGUUGAUAGUCGAGGGGACGAUGACGCGAUCGAGGGCCAAGCACGUGAAAGAGGCGAUGGGAUUGCUCGUCAAAACAACGGUUGAUGAAACAAUGUUCGGGAUACAAAAUGGAGUAAGUUUCAUGUUUGGGACGAAGGCCGAAGACUAUUGGAUCAACGUGUUUAAAGUUGAAGAAAAUGGAGCUGGAGUAUUAAACCAUGCGGCCGUAUAGGUCUAAAGUCCUGCAGUCGCAUACACUCAGUAGAAGUCCCAAAGUCGCGGACCAAUUGCACUAUGCGACCGCAUGCUCUAAAGCUAUGCGGCUGCACCGAGGCGAAUUUUUUCAAAUUUCGCAUUUUCCUUAUUUUAAUAGAAUUUCAUUAUUAGUAGAUUUUUAGCUAUUGUGGACGAAUUUUGCAUUAUUCUUAGAUUUUUUCCUAGUUUACUUAGGUUCUCUAAAAUAGUAUAAAUACUUUAUUCCUUAUUGUAAAACAUUACAACUCUCAUAUUAUUGAAUAUUAUUCGUGAGGCAUUAAUUGCUUUCUCUAGUUUUUCAUUGAACAGCUUGUGAACUUACCAAGAUUAAUCUUGUGGUAUUCAAAUUAAUCGGGUGAGAUUCAUUUAAAUUUCGUAAUCAAAAGGUCCGCAUAUUGUCGGAGAUUCGGAUUGCUUGGUUCCAAUUUAUUGGGUUUAAUAAAAAAUCUUGUCUUUGGCUUUCUUGGGUUUGAUUCUCAAUUUGUUAUGGGUUUGGUAGCGAUCGCGCUACACGGGUUCGCAUCAGAUUUCUUCGAACAUUUUACUGAAUUUGUUCUUGAUUUUCAUUCUAAAAUGAAAGUCAUAUCUACUUUGAUAGAUGCUCAAUGGAAGAAUAAUGUUGGAGCACGUGAACAUUCAGAUCCAUUAGUGGAUGAAAAUUCUUAUGUUAGAAUUUCUUUAAUUUUUUACACAUUUAUUUCAAUAUUUUAGGGUUAAAACAUAUAUUUAGGACUAACAAGUGGCAUCAGAGUCGGAACCUUAAAUUUUAUAUGGUUUCUGGCUUUAAAAUGGAAACCUACUUUGUUCUUUUUGAAAAAUCUUUGUACUAUACCAGUUCUUGAUCUACAAUAUUUUUAUUUUUAUUUUUAUUUUUUGGAAACCAACUUAUUUCCAAGUCUCUGUGACAAAUAUGUAUCUUCGAUUCAACAUUUGGUUGAAUUUUUUGAUGAACUCGUUUUGGUUUCUAGCGAUUCUUGAUGGCUCGUUCGUAUUCCUUGUUGGGGUGUGAUGACUUUACGCAGUUUCUGGCAAUCCUCGGUGACUCAUUAUUUGUUGAGUUGAGGUGACUCAUUCAAUCUACUACUGAUUCUUGGUGUUUCAGUUGGCAUUCUGGGAUAAAUUUUAUUAGAGCAGAGUUUAAAUAUAGAAAUUAAUUUGUUUUGUAUUGAAGACGCAAACUGAACAUUAGACAAUUUAAAAGUUCAAUGACACAGGAAAGGAUGUUAGGACUAUUAGGUAGAGAAGAGGGUGGUGGAUUGUUCUAGCCAUGAAUAUGAUGUAUAUUAAGAGCUUUGUGGGGAACAUUGGCAGAGAUGGUACCAGAGGUUGGUUUGGCUUCAAAGUGUCGGAGCUUAUUUGUUUCAUAUAGAGCUUAUCGAAGGUAAUGGGAUAUCGCGAGCACUAACAACAGAUGAGAUGUCCUUAUGGUCACUACGUAGGCCUUCGAGAAUUUUUAGAGUCAGAUCUUCAUGGUGGAUGGGAUAGUCCUUGACAGCAAGUUUGACAAUCAUGCUUUUCUAAGAUUGUAGAAACUCGAUAAUAGUUAUAGAUCCUAUAGUAAGUUUGGGAAGUCGACUUCUUCAUUGUAUAACGCAUCCUCCUGAGGGUUCGUCAUAUAUUGCAAAAAUAUUGUUCCACACAUUAUGAGAUCUUUGAAAAGAAGCGAUGCAUGGAAUAAUAGUGGAAGAUCGGAUCCGAGAAUUGCACUUAAUAGUAGUUGGUUUUGUCCGAUACCUUAAGCAAAUGAUCGAUUUAGUAAAUCAUUGGCAUUGUUUAUAAUAUGUAGCUCAUAGAGUAAAGCACAUGUAUGCUAGAAAGCAGGUUGAUGCCGACGUGGAGCAAGGGGAGCACACCUAAGAGAAUGGUACUAGUAUAUUUUUGGAUUUUUACAAUAUCUUGUACGAGCUACGUUAGUAAAUACGUCGUAACUCUAUUAUUUUCACAUUGUGAAAAUUAUAGCUGCUUCACUCUCGUAGAUGUAAGCUAUUGUCAAACCACAUAAAUCUCUCUCUCUCUCUCUCUCUCUAUUGAAUUUGUACUAUUCAUCAUUAUCAUUAUUGUCGCACAUAACACAACACUAUUGAUAUAAGCUGGUCGUAAACCCAUGAGAUCAUACCUUAUGAGUAGGGUAUUAAAUUGUGAUUUCUAUAAGGACUAAUUUCCUACGUGCAAGAUACUCCAACGUCCAGAGCUUCGGCCUUCUUCCUCCUGCUCGAGUGAGCCCUUCUUUCGUUUAAAUGAUCAAUGGCGACACUUCUACAAUGUCAUCUAGUCAUCUUGUCCUACUCUCUCGCCUUCUCAUUGAUCCCGAUCAUGACCUAACUGCCUCUACCUCCACCUUACACGCUUAGUUCUCGCCCUAUGAAAACCCAUGACGAAGAUCAUAUUCCAAAACUAAAUCUUAGCCCUUGAUCUUGAUUCCAUUAUUCUACACUCUUUAGCCACAAGCCUUAAACAUCCACUUUGGUUCUAAUCCAUGUGUGAGGAUUUUGAUGGCCUAUUAGGUGAUGCAUUUAGAAGAUAGCCUCUCCGUUCCAAUUCCAAAUUAUUUUCAUUUGUAAAUGGGCUUUUUGUGUUAAACGGAAACCUAAUGUUUACAUUCAUCAUGCCCGACCAAUGGUUUUCAUCAACGGUCACGGUAGACUACAAUGAGAAUUUUAGCCUAGUUGUCAAUCCCACCACCAUCCGUCUCAUCCUUAAUCUUGCAUUGGUACGGCAUUCGUCUUUACGUUGUUCAAUGUUAGUAAUGCAUUUCCUCGGGAUGCACUAAUGAAAACUAUUUACAUGUCUCAUCUUCAAGAAUUUGUCAAUAUAGAAACUUCCAUUAUGAUUGUCCAAUUGCCAGUGGGUUUACCAAUUCCAAAUCUAACACGUAAGUCUAUAUUCAAUUGCAACUCUAACCAGUGUCGAAUCUUAGUUCUGGUUUAUGCUAACGACAUCAUUGUCACGAGAAACUCAAGUUUUAAUAUCUUUGUUACUCAUUUGGCACCAUUUUUUUCUAGAGAUGUCAAAAAUCCUAACUGAACUAGUCCCCAUAGCGACAUAUCCCAAAGAGAACGAGAAUUUCUGGCUUUAAUCGAGUUUGCAUUCAUUUAUAUUUUAACAAUAUUAAUAAAAAAUUGCCCAAUUUCUAUUAUAAAAAUUUUAAAAAAUGAAUAAAUAAAUUUACCUAUAUAAAAAAAAUGAAUAAAUGAAAAAUGAAUAAAUAGAAAAUUGAUUAAAAUAAAAUAGAAUGGCACUGUAAAGUGGAUCCCGCUUUAUUGUCAUCCCCAGAUUUGGAUACUUUAUACUUGUUUCUUGGGGAUUAAGUUAUUUUUCUCUACAAGGCCUUUUUCUCUCACAACAUUAGUUUGUAUUUCAAUAAUCUUCUACACAACAUAAUUUGCAUAAGUACGAGUCAGUGUCUAUUUCUAUGUACAUGACAACUACCUUUAGCUUGAUUGAUGUCACUACUCUUCAUGAUGCUUCUAAAUAUAGGCAAGUUCUUGGCAACUUGCAAUAUUCUUUACUCACUCGCCAGGACAUUGUUAUUCAGUUAACCAUCUGUACCAAUAUAUCACCGAUCCAUUUCUUACCCUUGGAUGGCCGUUAAGCUUAUGUUUCUCGACUUUUUUGGCACUCUGCACUUUGGGCUCUUUCUUCAUCGCCAUUUUCUUGGCUUGUUGCAUGCCUUCUCUAAAUCUGAUUGAGAAGAAAAUGGUAAUGAUCCCACAUCCAUCCGUGCCGAUCUAGUGAUUCUUGAAUGGAACCUAAUUGUUGCUUUUUUUUUUUUUUUUUUUUUUAAAUCAAGUAUCAUAUGGCUUAAAUAUUUAGUACUUGAAUUCAGCGAAUCAAUUUCCACCAAUCGAGUAAUCUAAUUUCAUACUAUUAGCACCACAUACUUGAUGACCUAACACUAUUUCUCAGCUCGAAUGAAAUACAUGAAGGCUAUGUUUGAUUGGUUCAAAUUCCAUGGAAAAUGGAAUUCUAAUUCCACUUUCUUCCAAUUUUGGUUGUUUGAUAGGUUUUGAAUUCCAUGGAAUUUGGUUUCUUGAUUUUCUUGGAACUUGAAAUUUUCUUGAUUUUCCUUGAAAACCAAUUCCCACCAACAUGGUGGGAACUGGCUUUCUAGUUCCCUGUUACGUAUUUUUUUUUAUUUUAUAUAUAUUUUUUAAGGUAAUGGAAACAAAUUCUAAGAAAUAUUGCACAAAAAUAUUUCAUUUUAAUUGGCAAUUUUUAUGUAAAACAAAGUCAAACGAACACCAAAAGAUAGAUGAUUUUCUUGAUCUUUUUAUUUUUAUUUUUUUUGUUGGCAAUGGAAACAAAUUUCAUUCCCAAUACCAGUAAAAUCUAUCCUUUUAAUUGAUAAUUUUCAUGUAAAAUAAAGCCAAAUGAACACCAAAAAUACUUUUAUUUUAAUAUUUUUCACAAGAAAAAUUAUACCAAUCAAAUACAAUAAUUUACAAUUCUCAAGAAAAUAAUUUAUAGGCAAUUCAAUUAUCUAGAAUUCGUUUUCAAUUUAAUUCAAUUCCAUCUUUGCAAUCUUGUGAAAUAAUAUUAGAGUAGUUAUAGAUAGUGUUACACAAUAGUUAGAACUUGUCAUUACUGAACGUGUAUCAUAUAUUUCUGUUACAGAAUGUAUACAUAUAUAUAGCACAUACAAGGAGAUAUUCUAGUCUAUGCACUAAUUUUAGGCUAUGAUUGAGAUUGACCCACAAUAUAUGUGGAGUCAGAUGACGAACUAUAGUUCCUUAUAAUUAUUAAAUAAUGCUGUUUAGCAUUUGUGGAAUUAGAGUACCAGAUCAAAGUUGACAUACUUGAUAGGUUCAAUUAAAUUAAUCAUGUGACAUUGCAUUUAAGUGGAUUUAUCGUUUAAUGUCUUGAAAUUGCAUCUAAUAUGAUGUUUAACACUUAUGGUGCUACAGUGUAUUACACAUAAUUAUUACAUGAGUAAUGCAAUUUAACACUAUUAGUUAAGCACCAUUUAGGUGGCAUGCAAAGACCAUCUUAAAAGGAGGGAAAUGAGCCACAUUUAAUUUCUUCUAUCACUUGCAUGCCAUCUAAGUUAAUGCUAUGUAAAAUAUAUUACAUUUUAUUUUUGACUGACAACUUGCACCCAUAGUCAUCUCUUAACUUAUUGAUAUACUAAAAUCAAUGUGAGCUAGAGUUUAUGAAUUUGAGUUGGAGUCGAUCAAGUUUUUAUGGAACCUGAAUAAUCUUCAAAUGAAUCAUAAUAACUCAGGUUGUUUCUUACCGCUCUAAGCGUUAAUCUAAGCACAAUCUUAUGUCAAUCGAUUAGUCAAUUUUUACAUGUAUCAAGUCAUCCUUUGCAGUUAGAGAUACUUUAGUUAGCUAUGAUGCCCGGUCAUUGCAUAAACUAAAACAAAGCAUUAAAAGCCUAACAUAUUAAGAAGGAAAUGAAUUUUAUAAAAAAAUGAAAAAAAAAAAAUAAAAAUAAAAAUCCAACUAUUCGAUUUUCCCACUAUAAUAUUACUUAGUCCUUGUGGGGGUGGUCCAUCGUUUUUGUGGUGAAAAUAAGGUCCAACAUUUUAACUUUCCGUCGAAGUUAACUUUUAGACCAACUCAAUAGAAAUUUAGGAGUGAUUGUUGGAAUUGCCAGAAUUUCAGAAAAUUAAAGAAUAAUUUCACUAAUUAAAGUUUGAAAUGUUUUGGAGUGAAUAUAGUUAGUUCGAUCUCAGGAGGAGAGAAUUUGUUCCUAUUCUAGACCAAAAGAUCAAGCCACUUGCCUGCUCAACGUCAUUUUAGUCAGAGUACUGACCUAAAGUUUGUGCCAUCGUGUCCAAGAUGUUGUACUCCUGAUUGGUUGUUGAGAUCGGCCAUACAGGUCAUCAUGGCUCCUAGGUUGCAGCUGUGGCUUAGGCAAUGAUUACUUGAUUUUCGUGAUCAUUGCUAGCUUAUGAUUAAUUGAAAAUAAGGUGCUAACGUCGCAGAUGUCACAUGUCUUUCUAGGAGAGGUGGAUUGAUAGGUGAGGACCGAUUGUCAAUAAUUGUGAAUCACAAUGUUUCUUCAAAUUACGAUAGCCAUUUCUCGAAAUGUGCUCAUACUUCGAGAAUCUAACCUAUCAGUAGUAUAGAAAUCGUAUUUUAACCUAUUUUUUACUUUACGUGCAAAAUAUUUUAUUGUGUGGAUGUAUGAUCAAAAAUGUGUAUGAAAAAUAAAGAGAUUUAACACAGAGAGUCGAAUAGGGGCUAAGAUCUCAAUCUCGCCUGCACGCAAUAUAUGUAUAAGCUAAAAUAUAGUCAUAAAAGACAUUAUUAUACCUAUAUGUACUUGUUCUAAGUUAUUUGUAUGAAUGUUAGAAUUGAAAUAAGAAAAAUGUCCGUCUCAUUACAAUAAUUUGUUCUAUUAAAUACUCUUACCGUUUCAUAAAGAUAAACUUAUUUUUCAUUCUCGCACAUGUUAAGAAAAUAUAAUUUUCGCUUAUUUUUUCUGGUACAACCAAUGUUUGAAAAAUCGAACUUGUCCAAUCAGUUCAAUUGGGAAUCAGGAUCGAAAUCGGUCCAAUUAGGCUUAUAAAACCCCCAAUUAAAAACCCGUCCCAAAGUCAAGUAAAUCGUUUAAUUUUUGGAAAAAUCGUGGCCCUUUGUCUAUUUAACCGAUUCAAUCUAUGUAAAUAUACAUUUUUUGAAAUUUUUAAACGUAUGUGUGCAUACAAGUUUCGUAAAAUGUAUAUUUUUAAUUCUAAAAAAUCACGGUUAGAUCUCGGUUCAACUUUUUGACCUUGGUUAGAUCUCGGUUCAACUUAAAAAUCCUUUUCUUGUCCGAGUCGAUGAUCGGGUCAUUUUUUAAAAACAUUGGAUACGACCCCAUGUUAAUAAUCAUUUAAAUAGGAAUAGUUCAUAUUCAUUAAUAACAAAUUAUAUGAAAUCAUGGUAUAUUAAAAAAAUUAAAAAUCAACUAUACUCUCAACAAAGAAAAUAACCUAUAAUUUGGAACAUAUGAAAAAGGAAAGCUAAGAUACUUUUCAAGAAAUAGAGAGAUCAAACUUGCCCUUAUUUAAAGCAAUUUCUCAAUAAAUUUUACUUUUUAAUGACACAUUCUCUACAAAAUUAUUAUUACAAAACAAUAUUUUUUACAAAUAUGGAAUCAAACAGAUCCUAACAUCAACAGUUCUAUAUGUACAGGCUCAGUAAUAUAAAUACUUUUGCAAACAACACGGGGCGACAUUUGAUUGGAAGUUGCCAAAAAAAAAAAGAUCAUAUAGUGUAGCACCUAUAAAAGAUGUGCAUUAUUCUCUCGAUUGUGUUACAUGUACAUAAUUGAUUUACAUAAUGAUUUCCAUAGACAUAACGUAAUGAGAUAUGAUUAUGUCAGAAUUUAAUUAUUUUUUAAUUACAUAUUCUCUUAAUAAAAUAAUUUUAUAAGUAAAUAUAAAAUAUUUUCUUACCUUUUAAUCACAUUUUUCAAAAAAAAAAAAAUCACUAUCAUAAAAUAUCUUUUUUUUUUUUCAAAAAAUGGGGCUCAAAUAUAGUUCACCAUCAUCUUUUAUGUUAGUUGCAUAUUAACAUAACUUACAUUCAUAUUUUGUAACAUGAUUAAAUUGUAAAAGCUUUUCCAAAGGGCAAGCUAAAAUUCAGAGAAAAAAAAUGCGCACACAAAAAGGGAAAAAAAAAUACCAAUAAAGCGUAUCUUCGGUACUCCAAAAAAAAAAAAAUGCGCACACGAAAAAAAAAAAAAAAUUACUAAUAAAGCGUAUCUUCGGUACUCCAAGAUCUCAAUUUUGAUCGAGACUUGAACAAUUCAGAAAAUUUCAAUACAUUCUUUAAUUUUGUAGAACACUAUUCAGUAUUUGGUGUUGUUAAAAAUUAUAUUUUUAAUAGAUUUUGAUAAAAAAUUAAUGAAAUAUAUAAUUGAAUUUAUCAUUAAUUGUUGAAUUUAAUUUAAAUUUUUUUUUAUCAACUUUUAAAGGUGAAUACUGAAAAGAAAUUAUAAAUAACAGUGCACAAAAUUUUGUCCUUUAAAUGGCCCCCUUAACAUAUAUUUUCACCAUUUGCAUGAUCAGUCAGUCAGAAGUUCAAUUAUUCUUCACUUGUUCGAGUCUCUGAGUUCUGACCACUUCACAAUGAGAAAACGAUACAAAAGACAGAACCCAUUACCUCAAUUAUUAUUUCACUUGUUAUUUGCAAAUCGGCAACGGAAGAAAGGCCAGAGACUGAACUAAUAUCAAUACCUGCCACCCCACGUGCGUCGACGCCGGAGAUACAGACGCCGUCCUGUCAAAGGUCGCCGAGGAAGGAAUCCAGCACAGCCAAGUCAUGGACUCCAACUUCGUUCAUUUCGCCGAGGUUUUUGAGCCCCAUUGGGACACCCAUGAAGAGGUUUUUGACUAAUAUGAAGGGGUAUUUGGAGGAGGUGGGGCAUUUGACGAAGCUGAAACUUCAAGAUGCUUGGCUUCCCAUUACAGAAUCACGAAAUGGGAAUGCCAAUUAUGCAGCUUUUCAUAAUCUGAAUGCUGGUGUGGUUCCAGGGAGAACGUUGGUGGGAAAUGCAGCUUUUAUUUUUUAUUUUUUUUAAAUAUCAAAUUGGUAUGAACGUUGGUGGAAAUAUCAGCUAGACGUGAAGAAGAGAAUAACUUACACCAUUCGGACACUGGGAGAAACACGUGUCAAAAAAAAAAAAAAAAAACUAAAUUUUAUGUGACAUACCCAUACUUCUUAUAUUCAUAUGUCGAGUAAAGUAUACAUCUUUCCAUCUUAUAGUCCCUUUCAAACACAUUGCAUGAAGGAAAUUGAAUAAAUUUACUAUGGUACGUAAGUUCGGAGAAUUUUUAGCUUUCAAUAAUCCCUACUUUACUUGGUCCUCAUCCAAAUACAAAAGGUGUCAAACUUGGGUUUUCCAAGUUUCCCUCAUCAUCUUAUUGCCAACUUUUCAUCAACAUUGGAAUAUUAUUUUCAUGUGUUAGGAGAACACAAAUUUAAAUAAACGCACUCCGUAACUGAAUUAGACUUGCAUUGUACAUAAUGACAGAAUUAUGAUAUAUUUAACAUCGCGCACCCAGACACACACAUGAACUGCCGGUAAGUAUUAUAAAGCAUGCAAUAGUACGAUCAUUUAGCUUAGACAAAAGAAAAUUGUAUUAUAAUUAAGGAGGGUAUCAUGACGAAAUUAAGUUCAAUUUGAUUCAAAUUCUUUAAAACUCAGUUUUAAACAUAUUCUCUCGAUAAAAUAAUUUUGUAUGUAAACUCAUAAAUUUUAAUCUACUUUUUAAUUACACACUCUUCAAAAAUAUCAUUUUUGAAAAAUUUAUUCUCAAAAAAUCUAAACUUGAAGAAUGUUUAAUUUAAAAUAAAGAAGUAAUUGUACUUGAUCCCCAUCCUAUUCUUUGUGAAGUAAGUUGGUACUCAUUCUUUGAGAACGAGACGUUGUCCUCGUCCUUCCACUCAAAUUGCCCAUAAUAAUAAUAAUAAUAAUAAUAAUAAUAAUAAUAAUAAUAAUAAUAAUAAACUUGUCAUCUUUGUUUCUGCAACUUCCAUAGAUUUGAUUUGUCAAUAUAUAGAAUCAUUUGUCAUCUUAAUGCUUUCUAUAAUUGCUUCUACUUUUUUUUUUUUUUUUGGGUUACUACGAUUUGACAAUAUAAUGACUAAAAUUUAAUUUAUUGAUCAUUUCUAUUCCAACUUAACAUACUUUAAAAGUAUAAUUACUAUAUGCGUUGUUCAGAAUAUAGUAGAAAUUCUUGUGUACUUCACGAGUUUCCUAGUAUAGUUAGACCUUUUUGUAUAUACUCAUGUUUAAAAAAAGGUUGAACCCCAACCUUAAGGGCCCCCACCAACCCUGCCCUGGGCCAUCGUGGAGGAGAUAAAUCGCAGGAUGUGCCUCCCAGGAGCCAGGGUGGAGAGCACAUGGAUAGGCCAAGGCUGUUAACCCAUAUGAUAACUCCCGCUUGCAACAAAGCCAAUUCCACCUUGCGGGGAAUCGAACUCUGCACACUGCCGCUCUAAGUCCUAUUCGCCCUCCCCUUUGCCACUGGGAGAUAUGCCCUGGGGGCGUAUAUACUCAUAUUUAAUUAUAUGUUUGGCAAACAAUAUUAGAUAAUAUAAAAUAAUUUGAAAUGUAAGAUAAAAAAAAACUAAAAUUUUAAUCUUUAACAAUUUCCUUCAUUACCUAGAUAACUUAUUGACAGCUGAAAAUUGAAAUUCCAAACUCUAGUUGCAUGUACCAUACACCAUGUCAUAUAAACAUAAAUAGCACAGUGAAUAAAAUUUUAUCUUUCUUCUUCAAUAAUGUUGUCCAUUUCACCGAACAAGUCCGAAGACAUUUUCCAGGAUCAUAAUAUCUUUGUCUUUGGAGCAUAUUUUAUGGAUCUCUAUUUCCUGUCUGAACUCUUUUCAUCUUUUAAAAUCAAGAAUUAUUUUUUUUUUUUUUUUUGAGGGUUUUUAAUUUGUUUCUGCAACUUCCAUGAAUUUCAUAGGUCCUUGUACUGUUGUACAUAAUAGUAUAAAUUAAUACCAUUUAUUAUCUUCUGGGAGUAAGUUAUGCUCGAAUAUAUACUGUGCAUAUUUAAUUUGACUGACUACCAUAAUGAACAAUUUCGUUUUUCCCAUUUCUUAUCCUACAGAACGCUAAAAAGGUUCAAUAUAUGCAUGUUUCGGUAUAUUAAUAAAUGAUCAGAUAAUUACUAUUUGACUAAGCAUAGAUGUUCAUUUAUAGGUUUCCUGUUAUCACAAUUCGUUACCUAUUAUCACCUUAUAGUCUUCACUAAAACUUGAUCAUUUUUCUUUUGCAUAUAGUUGUAAAUCUUGAAAUUCGUGAAUUUGUUCAUUUAUAGGUUUCCUGUCCAUCGUCGUUACACUAAGAAUUACUACGACAAAAGACGUAACUAAGAUACAUAAAUUUGUUAAUAUAUAUACACGCCCAAAAAGUUUAAAAUGUUAAAGAGUUGCCAUAUUUAUUUAUUAUUAGUGCCUUAAUGUUUAAGAAAAAUGAAUUGGACAGAGUUGAAGUAUCAAUUUUCUUGUACAUUGACAUCGUAGUUUGGCCAUACGUUCGCAAGCCUCUAGACGAUUUUGGUUAUUCAAGUACCGGCGAACUCUCUUGGUCUAACUUCAAGCCAUACUGAGAUUGAGGCUUGACAAAGUUGAGGAAUCGAUCAAUAAAAUCAUGGUUGGGCUUCGUUGUCAACUCAAGAUCGGUGUAAUUAGGUUGACGAUUCGACCAGUAGACUCAUGGCUAGACGCAGUUGUCAACUCAACAUUCAUAUUCGGUGCAGUGUGGCCGGUGCCGUUAGCCUUUGGUGGUUCAUUUGUCACUUGUAAAGAUUUCAAAAUUUCUCUUUCAAGGUGAAACAUCUUUCUGAGUGUACAACCAAAUCCAGAAACGAGCACAACCCACUUUUUACAAGUUUAUCUUCACAGCAAUAAUACACACAAUCUCCCUUUUAAAUUACAGACAGUGGAAAUCCCUACAUGUUGUGUUGAAUAUAUUGUCAAUUUUCUCAUGUAGUGGAGACCUUAUCAAACAUAUCAUGACAAGCUACAUUUCACCACAAGUUCUCAUAAAAAUAUCCUGGUGACAUAAAUACAGUGUUUUAGAUAACUUCACACAAUUUUAAAUUUAUGGCUAAAUUUUAUUGCAAUUCCAUUUGAAUUUUAGAUUUCUAUCUUAAGAGAUUAAUUUUAUCAAAAGGAGUAAAAGAUCUUAUCUAGUUAUUAUUGAUAUUUUUAAGCUUUGAAACGUUACUCUUAUAUACCAUGACUUUCAAACUAUGAUAUUUGUUUCACAAAACUGAUCUUACAAUGAGAUAAUUACUCAUUUAGCCAUUGUUUGAACUCCAUUCUUUUAAAAAUUCAUAUUUCAAAAUUCAUUUUCAACUACAUAUUCUUCAAUAUAAUAAUAAUACGCGCAAAUCCAAUAAUUUUCCUUAAUUUGUUUGACAAAACUGAUCUUACAAUGAGAUAAAUACUCAUUUGGCCAUUGUUUGAGCUCCAUCUUCUAAAAAUUUAUUUUCAACCACAUAUUCUUCAAUAAAAUAAUAAUACACACAAAUCCAAAACUUUUCCUUAAUUUUUAACAAGACAUUCCCAUCAAUUUACUAUUUAAAAUAGAUUAUUUUCCCUAAAAUGGGCUCAAACAAGGGCUUAAGCUUUAAAAAAAUUGAAUUGUUUGUUUAAACCUCUUUUUUCUUUGAACUCCAGUAUAUCGAGUUUAGAACUUCAUAUUAAGCCCUUGUUUGAGCCUCAUUCUUUAAAAAAAUGUAUUUUUCAACAGUGUUUUGAUAUCAUUUUAACCACACGUUCUUCAAUAAAAUAAUAUUAUACUAAAUCAAAAAAAUUUUGUUUUUUUUUUUUAACCUCACCUUUCCUAUCAAUACACUAUUCAAAAAUUCAUUUUUCCCUCAAAAUGGAGCUCAAACAAGGGCUAAAUUGUCAAUUUUAUUAAAAAGAGUUACUAAAAUUCUCAUAUACUAUUACACCAAAUUUUGUAACUAUAUCCUUUUUUUUAUAUAUAAAUUAAAGUUAUUUAAAUAGUGAUAUCGUUGUGCUGUCCUUGUAAUGACCAUAGUAAUGACGUUAAGACCAUCGUUAUUAAUACAAAAUAAGAAUCCUUUAUCUUAAAACAUUAGCCCUAUUUAUAAUAAAAAGUUUAACUAUAGAAUUUUCAUUUUCCCUUAUUAUUUUUAUGGUUUCACAUAGAUAAUAUGUGUAAAUUAAAUACUCUUUGCUCUCAUAUCUGAGACAUUUUCAUGAUAUUUUAACUUGCACAUUGUCGUCAUUUUUAUACACAUUUGUUUACACAUCUCUAUGUGUCUAAAAUCUCUUCAUUGAUUAAAAAAAAUAUCGUUAAAAUUAAUGCACCAAAAUCUGUCAAGUCACAUGAGUGUAAAUCAAGAUGUCAACUUUGAUAUACUUACGAUAUGAUUGUAAGAAUAAACUCAAGUUGACAAAAAUAUUAAACGUGUUGAGUUCGUAUGCAGUCCGACUCAAUUGAUGAUUGCUACUACUUGGACAAAACAACACGGCAAAUAUACCAUGAUUACUCAUAGUAUUCAUGUAUACACCAUUCCUUACAUUGAUUGGGAGACAUUUCUAAAUUAGGGCAAGCAUAAUUUAAAUAUUAGGAUGCGUUUCCAAAUUAGGACAAGCAUAAUUUAAAUAUUGGACAUUCAUAUAAUAUUAAAAAUUUUAAGAAUGUGAAAAAGGUGGGGAUUGAAAAAGUAAAAUUACAUGGACAAGUACCCAAUUUCACUCUCUUUUUAUCAACUCUCUCCUUUUUUUUUCAAUUUUAAUUUUUAAAUAUCAAAUUGGUAUGAACAUUGGUGGAAAUAUUAGUUAGACGUGUAGAAGAGAAUAACUUAUCAAAUCGGUAGGAACGUUGGUGGAAAUAUCAGCUAGACGUGCAGGAGAGAAUAACUUACCCCAUUCGGAGACAGGGAGAAACACGUGUCAAGAAAAAAAUAAAAAAAAACUAAAUUUUAUGUGAGCUAGCCAUACUUCUCAUGAUCAUUUGUCGAGAAAGGUAUACAUCUUUCCAUCUUAUAGUCCCUUUCAAACUCAUUGUAUGAAGGAAAUUGAGUAAAUUUCCUAUGGUACGUAAGUUCGGAGAAUUUUUAGCUUUCAAUAAUCCCUACUUUACUUGGUCCUCAUCCAAAUACAAAAGGUGACAAACUUGGGUUUUUCCAAGUUCCCCUCAUCAUUAUCUUACGGCCAACUUUUCAUCACCAUAUAUAUAUAUAUAUAUAUAUAUAUAUAUAUAUAUAUAUAUAUAUAAAGUAGUAUGAUCAUUUAGCUUAGACAAAAGAAAUUUGUAUUAUAAUUAAGGAGGGUAUCAUAACGAAAUUAAGUUCGAUUUGGUACAAAUUCUUUAAAAUUCAUUUUUAACCAUAUUCUCUCUAUAAAAUAAUUUUGUAUGUAAAUUCAUAAUUUUUUUCUACCUUUUAAUCACACAUUCUUCAAAAAUAUCAUUUUCGAAAAAUUUAUUCUCAAAAAAUCUAAAUUUGAAGAAUGUUUAAUUUAAAAUAAAGAAGUAAUUGUACUUCAUCCCCAACCUAUUCUUUGUUAAGCAUAAUAUAUAUAUAUAUUAUUAAACUAGCCUAUCAAGAAUAAUUUGGCUCCUUCCAAACUGGAGGGAUAAAACAACAAUAAUGUGUUUCUCGUAAAAGGAGUGCUACUUGGGCAGGAAGUUGUCCAAGAAGAAAAAUUCUUCUCGUAUAUGAAGUUACUGGAAAUGGACCACUGGGAAAACGACAAGUGUCAUCCAGCUGGCUCAGAUUGCGAAAACAAUCGUUUAUAUUCAAAAUGGCAUAAUAAUAAUUGAAAAUGGGUCCAUGAUUAUGAGCAUGAAGUUUUACAAACUAAAUGAAGGGUCUUCAAUAAAGGUUUUACAAACUUAAAAACUAUUAGGAAUAUAUUUCAAUAGCUUGUGAAAUUACAAUAAGUUUCCCUAAGAAAAAGGUAAUCUGUAUAAUAUGUAAUAAAUUUUAAAUUAUACAGAAAUUGUCUUUUUAACUUUUUCUGUAUCCACCUUUCUGAUUCUAUAUAAACGGGCAGACCUCCAUUUCUCAGCGACUCAAUUAUCAACACAGAAUACGAAGGCAUUGAGAGAGAGAGAGAGAGAGAGAGAGGAUGGAGAAGAUUAUUGCAUUCUUUGUGCCUGUUUUUACCUUUCCGUUUACUGUAUUUUUAUAUGUAAUUUCACUGAAAAUGAAAAGAAAACAUUCAGAGAGGAAAACUAAGCUCCCUCCAGGCUCCAUGGGGUCGCCUUAUAUUGGAGAAACUCUUCAGCUCUACUCCCAAGAUCCAAAUAUCUUUUUUUCUGACAAAGUAAAAAGGUUUCUUGCUUUCAUUCUCAAUUACUUACCGUCCAAUUCUGUCUAAUACUAAAUACCUGACAUUCCCUGAUAGAAUUUUUCUAACAAUAAUUCUAAACGGGGCAGGCACCCUGCUGGCUGCCAAUAGGGGGACACUUGUCCCCCCGGACAAACAGGGCCCUGUUUGCCAAGCAAAUCUCUUUUUCUAAACUGUAUGUUCUUAUGCAGGUAUGGAGAAAUCUUCAAGACUCAUGUACUUGGUUGCCCUUGUAUAAUGUUGGCCAGCCCAGAAGCAGCCCGAAUCGUGCUAGUCACUCAGGCACAUUUGUUCAAGCCGACGUAUCCAAAGAGCAAGGAAAACUUCAUCGGCCAGUCUGCGCUGUUUUUUCACCAGGGAGAGUACCAUAUGCGGCUUAGGAAGCUCGUCCUUGGCGCGUUAUACCCGGACGCAAUCCAAAACCUAGUGGCAGAUAUUGAAGCCAUAGCAGUGUCUGCAAUGGAUUCGUGGGCCGGUGGCCGUGUCAUCAACAUUUUCCAUGAGAUGAAAAAUGUUCGUCUCUUUGAAUUCAUGCUAACACCCAUUUAAAAAAAUUGUGCACCUAUCACUUCUUUAAUGAAAAAUGUCGUUGGCAUGCACACGGGAAGCGUUGAAAACCUAGAUUUAAAUGAACAAAUCUGUCUCUUUUAAGAUUUUACAUGAGAAAGCUAAUUUGUCAUUUACCAUUGAUUACCUGCAGUUCUCAUUUGAAGUAGGUAUACUCUCCAUUUUUGGUCAUUUGGAGUCCCAUUAUAAAGAAGAAUUAAAGAAGAACUAUAGCAUACUCGAUAGAGGGUACAAUUCUUUUCCAACAAACUUGCCUGGAACUCCAUACCAAAAGGCAAGGAAGGUAAAAUAGCGAUAAUUAUACUUUGUUACAUGGCACUAUAAACGAGAUUUAACUUCUUCAUUUUUUAUUUUUAUUUUUGUGUCUACCGGCUUAAUACACACGGGUUGAAAAUGGACUCUUAUUUUGACUAAUCAUAUUUACCAUUUUAAUGUAUGAAGGCAAGGAAGAGGUUGGGUGAAAUAUUAAGUAACAUUAUGAGAGAAAGAAAGGAAAAGAGGUUUACGGAGAAGGACCUGUUGAGUUGUCUGCUAGUUUCGAAAGAUGAGAAUGGUGUAACUCUAAAUGAGGAUCAGAUUGCUGACAACAUCAUCGGAGUACUUUUCGCAGCACAAGACACGACUGCGAGUGCCAUGACAUGGAUUCUCAAGUACCUUCAUGACUACCCAAAAAUUCUCGAGGCCGUCAAGGUAAAAUCUAGAAGGCAUUUUGCAGUUGUUCUGGAAGACUGGAUUAAUACAAGGUUCUCUAAGAAAAACGUAGCUCUAUUUUCUAUUUGUGGGGUCAAAUCAAUACAUUCUAAGAUUCUCGUGUCUCUAGAUCAUUCUCAUUUCUUGACCUUAUUCUUAAAUUUGCUUUGUAAACGUCGUAGAUAAUAUGUUUCUGAUUUGCAUGCAGGCUGAACAGAAGGCAAUAUACAAAUCAAAUCGAAAUGAAAAUAGUCAUUUAACAUGGAAUCAAACAAGAAAUAUGCCAUUUACUUACAAGGUAUUUGACUACCAUAAAUAAUAUAUUUGGUAUAUUUCGUUUAAAUUAGGUCGGUAAUGUUAACACCAAAUUCAUUUUUUUUUACAAAAUCAUUUACAAGUAGUAUCAUUCACUUUCAUUCUCUACGUCUAACUUGCUUCCAUCAUCCUCACGUAAUAUUUUGACCUGUACUCUUUUUAGGUGAUUUUAGAGAGUUUAAGAAUGGCAAGCAUUAUAUCAUUCACAUUUCGAGAGGCAGUGACAGAUGUGGAAUAUAAAGGUAAGCUUUCUUGUAAGGGAAAUGUACCCUUUUCGAGGGUGUCCUAAGCCUGGUAAUAUUACCAAAUAAUCCACUAAAUUUUGCUAUUUAUACGCUGGCGUUCACACGCCCCUCACAUGAGGUAGGGGCCCAUGCCCAAUAAAAGAAGCGUGAGCCCCCCUUGUGUGAGUGACGUGUACAUCGGCGUGCCCAUGGACAGGUUGCACAAUUGUAAUCCACUUUUUUGAAAUAAAUGUUUUUGGGUCACUGAAACUUUGGUAUGAUUUUGGUGCCAGGGCACCUAAUUCCGAAGGGAUGGAAGGUCAUGCCUUUAUUCAGGAAUAUUCACCACAAUCCUGAUUUCUUUGUUGAUCCUCAGAAGUUUUUUCCUUCCAGAUUUGAGGUACGAGUUAAUAUUAUUCUUUUAAUGGUUGACAUUAAGUGCAUAUUUAGCCCCUAUCUUACAAUCAUUAUCCUAAUUUUCUUUUUCUACGUGCUGAUUUUAACCACACAUUCACACAAUAAAAUAUUCUGCACGUAAAUUCAAAAUUUUUUCAUACUUUUUAACCACAUAUCUUCUAAAAAUUCACUAUUCAAAAGUUUAGUUUUGCCAAAUAAUGGCCGUCAAGUAGGGCCUUAGUGCUUGUUUGAUACUUUUCAACUUAUCAAACUUUUUGCUACAAAUUGGAUCCACAACUUUUUAUCAAUUUUUUUCAUCAAAAGUUUUGUUAAACAAUCCCAUGGUACUUAGAACUAAAUCUAACAAUAGUUUCUUAGGGCAUAUGAAAAUAGAUUAAAUAUUAAUGCCAACCAAUUAAACUUCAUUUUCACCAAAUAUUGACCUAAAUAAAAAAUUGAGUUCGACUAAAAAUUUAAUGACCACCAUGACUUUUAAUCCGAUGAAAGUAUGGUACGACAAAUCUUUUUUUCCUCAAAAUAUAAAGAUUAAAGAGACUUAUUAAGGAGAAAAAAAUUGUAGGAUGAAGCAACGAAUAUUAAUUUAUGGUUUCUUGUAGGAUGUGUUGAAACCCAAUACGUUUAUGCCAUUUAGCAGUGGAGUACAUGCCUGCCCCGGUAACGAACUUGCGAAGCUAGAGAUGCUCGUUAUGAUCCACCAUCUAAGUUCUCAGUUCAGGUACUUUAUCAAACUACAACAAGUAUUUUUGGAAAUGCGUUUUUUAGAUAAAUUAAAUCAUAAAUAACCAAUUCUAGUUUAUACUACUCGGUUCCUCGUAUGUUCAGUUGAAUUCACCAAACAUGUCAUAUAUGUAUUUUUUACUCCAUAUAUCACAAGUUUUGAUUAAAAUAAUAUUAUCUUUUUCUUUCCCCCUCAAUUCUGUCUUAUACUAUUAAGUUUAUCUUACUAACUACGAGACGACGUUGGUGAGUGGUCUGUGAUAUUAGGUAUUAUUUGACAAUUGUGUUUGCAGGUAUGAAGUGGUGGGAUGCCAAAGUGGGAUUGAACAUGCGCCAUUCCCCAUCCCUUUCCAUGGACUCCCUGCCAGAUUUUGGAAACAAGAACCAACCAAUUAAGUAGGACAUACCAAGACAAUUGUUUCUUAACCAAUUUUCACUUUUCCUCUCUGUUCCCAUAAUCCAAUUUCCUCUCCAAACUAAUAUGGGGAUGGCUUUUUUUCCUCAAAAUGAAUUAAUAUAGGUUCAUAAUCAAUGAACUAAUAAUCAAUGAAGAAUUGUAUUCAUAUAUCUCAUCGGUUAAAUAUAGAAAAAUACGUACUAUUUUUAUUGUAGGGUUGGUAUUGAAAUUGACUUGAUUCAAUUGAAUUAUCUUGUUUCUUGGCUUUGUUGACUUGAAAAAUCAUUUUAUUUUCUUGACUGUUAUUGAAAAUCAAUUAUUACUUUUUCUCGAGAAAUUUGCUUGAAAGAGAUCAUAUGUAGCGAGAAAAUGGAAAAUAGUCACUUUUUAUUUUCAUUAAAAUCAUGGGUAGAAGUUAAGGCUUCGAUUGUAAGUGAGCAGUCUUUGAGAGGCACAGUCUGAAAUUAAUUAAAUAAAAAAAGAAGAGAGAAAGAGAAAAAGGAAAAGGAUUACGUCAACAAUUUUUAUUAAUUCCAUUCUUUCAUUUCAAUUCCAACAUCUCUGCCCUUAUGUUUUUGUUUAUGAUAUUUGUGAUGCCACUGGUAGUUUACUUAAUGAAAUGUUGAACUAUUGCAAUGUUUAAAAUUGUUUAUCAUUUUUUUUUUUAUAAACUAGUCGAGUACAAUUCAAUCAUUUGGUCAAAAUGAUCGAUUUAAGUUCCUAGUUGGUUCUAUAUUGGAGGAAUCGAGUUUGGGAACUUCUAAUUUAUGUAGAAUUAAAUUAUCACGCAAUUUGCAUCCGCUUUUCACAAAUUUUCCCUCGAGUAAUGCAAUUCAACAUUACUGAUAGCAAGCACUAAUUUAAGAGGCAACUUCAUAACAUUAAAUAAUUGAUUCAAAUAAAUGUAAUGUCAUAUGAUUCAUAUAAUUAAAUCUAUUAAAUGUGACCAUCUAAAUUGGUAUUUCAGCAUAGUUGGUGCUUGAUAACAUUAUUCGAUGUGAAAUGUGAUGUUGGGUGAUAUUUGUUGAUACCACGUUUUUGAAUGUUUCAUAAAGUUCUAGUUGUGAUGAGAGGCCAUAGCCAGAUGGUAAGUAUAUGAUUGGUCAAGUGAAGGUGGGUUUGGUCCAUAAGAGCAAUCUCUAAAAGAAUACUACUGCUUUUGUCGACUACAUUUGACGCUACAUUUCACAAUACGUAGUGAAUUAUUUCAUUUCAUAACAUAUUUUAGUGGAAUUGUAUUUUUUUAUGAAUGAGAGCUCUCUUAAUGAAUAAUGAUAUAUGACGGGUAUAUUUAAAUCAGUCUAAAUAACAAUGUAUGAUAUUUAAAAAUAAGCUCAAUAUAUGACAAUAUUAAAAAUGAGAAUGAAAAAUAUAGUCGUUAUGAGUCUCACACAAGAGAUAGAAAGUCAAAUAUAAUGGCUUGAUGUGAUGGAUAACGGUCAUAUUUUUCAUUUUAAUAAGCAAAUAAUGAGAAACAAACGGGGCUUAUUAUUGAACUUAUCAUGCAUGGCUACAGAAAUUAAUUUUAAAACAUCAACUAGAAUAUAUAGCAUUACCUUUCUUAAAAUAUUAUUUAACUAUGUAAGUCAUCGUUACUAUAAUUUUUUUUUUUUUUUUCAAUUAGUGCUAUGUUGACAUAUUUUAAUGUAUCAUAUUAUCGAAAAAUUAGCUUAAAUGGUCUUAAGCCUAUGCUCAUCUUGCAUUUCUUGGUCCCAAAACUUUAAACCUUGACAAUCAAGUCACAAACCUAUGCUUUUUGGCAUAGUUAAUCCUUUUAGAAGGUUUCCGUUUAAAAUGGCAGUUAAUUUUGUGUGUAGAUUGUAAUUUUCUUAUUUUAUUUUUAUCUGAAGGGGCAUAUUUUUCCAAUCAAUAACAACUUAAGUAAAAAAAUGAAAUUUAAAAAGAAAAAAAUUUUAAAGAAAAAAAUAUAAUAAUAUUCUUCUUCCACCCACCCUAUAUUUCGUACGUACAUAGACAUAGGAACAGGAAGUAUGACGAGCAGAGUAAUGAUUCGCCUGUACAAGCCACAUGAAAAAUGUCAUUUCAAUAAUAAUAAAAAUGUUGACAUGCCACGAGUAGCUCAAAUUCUCCCACUUAAUUAAUUAUAUGUAGGUCAAAGAUCUAUAUAAUUUGAUCACAAAUUAACAAUUUAAUUAGUCACUUAUUAUUUUUUUAUCACAAAUUAAAAAUUUUAUGUAAUUAAUUAUUUUACGAUCAUAAUUCAAAAAAUUUAUAAGUCACAAAUUAAAAAAUGUAUAAGUCACGAUUUAUUUAUUGAUCACAAAUCACAAAUAUUAGAAGUCACAACUAUUAUACAGUCACAAAUUAUCAAAUUAUCGGUCACCAAUUAACAAAUUUUUAAGUUACAUUAUUUUUUGGUCACAAUUUAUAUUUUUUAUUGGUCACAUUGUUUAUUGGUCACAAUUUAGCCAAUUUAAUGGUCACAAUCAACAAAAUUUGUGACCACCACUAACACUUGUGAUCACCAUCUCACCACUUCUUUGAGCACUACCACCACUACCAUCGUCCACAAAACCACCACCUCCACCUCAAACAAAUCAACCGAUCGUAGAAAAUACAACCGCAUCGUCGACACCAUAUCCACCACCAAGAAAAAAAUUAUUACAUUAAUCGCCACCGUCACGACCAUAGACCGGACCCAAAUUUCCUAAAUCUCCUGUCAUCCACCACCACCUGCACUACCUAGAUUGUGACUACUAUCACCAAUGCUAAGUUGUGACUACCAAAAACUAUCGCUACUUUACCACCACUUCACCACCACUGUGACAGUACUACAAAAUAAAUCCAAAAUCAGAGCCGUAAUGGAGGUGAAAACCACUGCCACAACCACCACCAAAGCCAACAUCACAAUCGCCACAUCCAUAGUAUCAUAGUAGCAUCACCGCCACCGCCACCCAAAGCAUCACAAUUUUCAUUUACCUCUACACUUACAUAUUGUAUAUAGGAGUACCAAAUAGUACACCAUAAAAUACAUGUCUUUAAAAUAGUUAUGAUUAAUUGUCAUAAUUGUAAUAUACAAAUUCUUAUAUUUAUAUUUGAAUAUGAGAUUUACAAAUACUAUCAAGAUAGAUACAAUUAUAUAUUAUAUACGGGAGUACCAAAUAGUACAAAAACUAAGAUAAGAUUAAAAAUGAUUGAAUCUUUACAAAGAUAUGAAUACGGUGUUAAAAAUUUUAUUUUACACUAUAUUAUUUGUCAUCAUUAAUUAUGAAAGUUGGAAAUCAUAAUAAUGAAAACAUAGAUAAUAAUGAUGAGAUCUGUGAACAAAUUGAAUCACAAGGAAAUUUCUCAAGAGAAAUUUUAAUAUUUGACAAAAAAUUGGCUAAAAUAUGUAAGACAAAACUUACAAUAGAACCUAAAGAAAUCUUUUCUCAAUCAGGUUUCUUAGAAAAAUUUAUGAACAGAAAUAUACAUGUAUAUUAUAGUGUAUCUCAGCAGGAUUUUGGAUUCUUUCAUCAAUCAAACUCAUUGAAAUGGGUUGAUCAAUUUAUUUGAAUAAAACUUUAUGUUUUAACCAUGCCUUCAUACACUUUUAUUUCUAUAUACAAACUCAUGUACGGAUCUUUAAAGAAUCAAUGGGACUAAGAAGUACCUCCAGACAGGAGGCCAUUAGGGAAGAAGCCACACCCACAGUAUCAUAGUAGCAUCACCGCCACCACCACACCCAAAGCAUCACAGUUUUCAUUUACCUCUACACCAUAACCACACCGUUUUCCCUCUCUAUGGUAGCGUAAAAUGCAGAGGAAAUUUUAUAUUGCUGUGAAUUAAGAUGCCUACUUUUACAGUUAUUGCCUUGGAGAAUUUGUUGGAUCCUCGAGUCCGAGAUUCCUGCAAAAGCCCCCCAAGCCUAACCAGGGAGUGUCAAACAAUGAUGGCGAAGCAACUGAACGGAUAGAGGACUCGAGCACGAAUCUGAGAGUUGGUGGCUCCAGGAAUAUAUAUAUCGCUAACUCUAUACCUGACGCCGGGACCCACUAUGAUUUAGAGAAUUCUUCCUCGAAUUCGUCCUCGCCUUCGCCGUAUGUCAUCAAUUAAAAGAGAUCUAAACCCCGAAAAGGACGGAAAUGAUUUGAAUUUAGAGGACAGUUGGUGGGCGAUUUUGUAAAUGAAGGUGAGAUAUAGAGAGAGAAUGAAAAGGGAUGAAGACAACUAUGGAAGUGAAAUAUAGAGAAAGAAAAUGAAAGUGAUGAAUGAAGAUAAAUUUAGGGUUUGGUAGGAUGAAUAUGUAUAUUUAAUUUUGUAAUAUAAUUAUUAAUAUUUAAACUAUAGUAAUUAAUUAAUAAAAUAUUUGAUUUUUCAAAUAGUAAACUUUACCUAUGAUUCAUGAAAUGAGAUCUCUAAAUCUAUUAGAUUGUGUAAUUUCCACUAAAAUAUGGAAAAAUUAGGCCUUAUACAGCCCCAAUGCAAAGAAGUUGAAAAAUACUUCCUCCAAGUUGAAAAUUUGAAAUUUACGUCAUUCCAUAUAAUUUUCUUUGCGGGUCAAAGGGUAAAAUUAUUUGACAAGACCUUCUCUAUUUUUGGCGAUUAGGAUUCAAUUUUCAGCUUCACUUCGUAGUUCUGCGAUUUUGGGUGAACUAUGUUCAAUAAUUGUUUUCCCCCCUUAUAAAAUUGAAGUGUCAAUUUUAAGCUUCACUUCAUAACUCUGCAAUUUUGGGUGAAUUAUGUUCUAUAUAUAUAUAUAUAUAUAUUUGCCAUUAUAUAAUCAAAUAUAUGGUGUUGCAUUAAAGUGUCAAAUUCAAGUUUAAUAUUUAUGAUUAAUUAGCUAGCAAAUCAUCUGAAUAUAUGUUAAGUAGCAUGUCGGUUUCAUUGAAGUGUCGAAUAUAAAUGAAUUUACGUAGCAUGUUAAUUUCACACAUUUUUAGUGUUUGUCAUCUUUUUUGAGUCUAUGUCACUUUUUUAUAUAACUUUUUUGGAUCUAUGUAACUUUAAUUUAAUUUGUGUCCCUUUUUUUUAUUUAAAUUUCUGUCACUUUUUUGAAUUUUUUCAUUUUUUUUAGUAAUUAUCAUUUUCUUUCAAAUUUUGUCAUUUUUUUAGUGUUUGUCACUUUUUUCUAUCGUCUUGGAAAUUUAUAGCACUUUAUUUUUAGUAACAAACAUCACUUUUUAAUAAAAGUGACAUUGAUGUAAUUUUUUAAUCAAAAAGUUAUACUAAAAUUUUAAAAGUGACAUUGUGUCACUUUUUAAUUUUACACAGUAUUUUUUUAGUUCCAAAAAACGUUUCAUAUGAUUUUUCAAAACACACCUAAUUUUAAGGGUAUUUUUGUAAGUUGCCCAUAAAAUAUUGUCCAUCUCAAACCUUAAAUCCAUUUGCAAUUUCUUAUCUUCUUUCUAUAAGGAAUUUUUAAAUGAAUGUGUGAGCUUAAAUUAUUGUGUAUUAAAUUAAAAGCUAUCAAAUUCGAUUAAACCCAAUUAAAAUGAUCUAAUAAGUUCUGGUAUUUUGGGUUUUAAUGCAUCCAAUUAAAGUGUGAGUAUUUUAUGUAUAGAGACUGGACCCAAGUUCCUAAUUCUAUGAUGGGCUAAAUUAAGUCAAAUGGCGUCAAUAUAUAUAAAUACACUUAUGAUCUCCAGAUCACAUGUGCAUUGCUCAUUCUGUUGUGCCUCCCAUCACCAGAUAGAACUAAGGGCUACGUGUUGAUUUAGAAUACUAAACCGCAAGAUUCAACUAUUGCAUUAACCAUGUCUCAUCAAAUCAUGGAAUAUGACUGCGAAAUUUUGUCAUUGGGUUGCGCAUUGUGGAUAUUAUAGAAAGACUGAUCAAGUUUUUUGUGACAAUAAAUCAGCAGUGCUGUAUUCCAAUAACAGGAGCUCGAUGAAGUCGAAACACGGAGAGAUCAAGUUCCUGACUAUUAAAAAAAGAGUUUAGAAUGGACAAGUGUCAAUAGAGCAUAUCAGGACAAACUCCACGGUUGUAGAUUCACUUACUAAAUGAUUGAUACCCAAGGUCUCAUGCACAUUGCUUAUAUGGGUGUAAUUUGAAGCUUGUAUUUUUUGCUUUUUAUAUUGGACACAUGUUUGGAUAUAGUUUGUGGUUAAAGUUAUUUUCAGUUUUAAAAUUUUGGUUUACUAUCUCUGAACUUGCUUGAAAGGAUCUCACUAAGGUGUUAAGGUGGACCAAUUUAAAAUAGACGUGUUACAGAUCACUUUACAUGUAAUUUUCAUGCUACACAUCUAUGCUUGAUCUAUUUCAUUCAAUUAUAUCGAUAUGUGUAACCAUUGAUGAGUUUAGUUAUGAUGAAAGUUGCAAAAGCCGCUUUGAUCCUAUAUUAAUAUGAUUGAUGGAUAGGAUUGUUUAAAGAUGCAUUCAGUAAUGAUAGCAAAAUUCUGAGUACUGAUAAGAUUAUGUUUAAUGCACAAUUAUAAGAUGACACAUAGCCCAAAUAGGAGAUUGUAAGGAAUUUUUUUAAACAAUCUUGUGAGCUUAUAUUUGUAAAUUAUUGUGUAUUAAAUUAAAGGUUGUCAAAUUUGGUCAAACCUAGUUAAAUUAAUCUAAUAAAUUUUCAGUGUUUUAGGCUUUAAUGCAUCCAAUUAAAGUAUAGGUAUUUUAUGUGUAGAGAUCGAGCCCAGGUUUCUAAUUUUAUGAUGGGCUAAAUUAGGUCUAAGGGCGUCAAUAUAUAUAAAUACGGUUAUGUUACCUAAAUCACACGUGCAUUGGUCAUUCUGUUCUGCCUCCCAUCACCAGAGAGAAUUAAGGGCUGCAUUUUGAUUUGAAAAACUAAACCGUGAGAUUCAACUAUUGCAUUAACUAUGUCUGAUUCAGAAAUGCUUCUACUUUGAUUCUUAAAUUUCUCAAUGAUCCAACAUGAAAGAUCCGAUGAUUUUUUGGCAACAAUUUUUCCUACACUUUCUACUCUCUUCGUGAAUUUCGUUCUCAUCUAUCUUAAAUUUGGUUGUCUAUCUUCAACAACGUAGAUGUUUCCUAUAUUAUUACGAAUAAUUCUCCUCAAACAGGACCAUAAGCAAACUGCCAAUAGGGAGGACAUGUGUCCCUCUUGAAAAAAUAGGGCCAUGUGGCCCUAUUUAUAUAGCACGCCCCGUUAUGAAUAAUUCUAUAGGUUUAACAAUGUUACCUUUAAUAGUGUGCUAUUUAUUGGUCGAUAAUUUGUGGUUUUUAUUUGUCAAAUACAAGUAUUUCCAUUACUUUUUUGAUUUGGAAUAAAAUUGCAUUUUUUAUGUCAUAAAAGUAUUACAUAUCUUGCACUAUCUUUUUCGGUAGAAAUUUAUACAUAAAGGCCCUAAAUUUCGUUUGAUAAUUUUGUUAACAUUUUAAAGAUUUGGUAUAAUUUUUUUUUUUUUAAUCAGUGAAUGGAGCAUAUGACUUCUGAUUUAUUCUUAUAUUAACAUAAAACAAUGAUGGUAGUGUCCUUAAUUUGAAGAAACUUGCAAUUUUAUUUUACUCUUUGCACGAAUACCACUGUAAGACGAAUUUCGUGUCUUAAAAUACAAAAAACGUUACAAUUUUUUAUUUUUGAGAAAUACAAGUGAUGUUGACCUUCUUGUGAUUGCAUAAUUGUAGAAAUCCACAUAUUAAUGAUCUAAAUAUUUGAAAACGAGGAGUCACGUGCUUGAAUCCUGGUUUUCGAGAAUUUGUUGAAAAUUUAAUUUGUUGAUACUUGAUUUAAUCGGUACUUAAGUUACGGGGAUGAACUUGGACUUGAAUUUGAUUCGGUUUGAAGAAGACUUUGAUCUUCUUGAACUUGACGUGGACCUGUUCGAUUAGAAGAAAAUUUUGAUCUUCCUGGGAUUCACGAGAUUUAGGUUUGAGAGGAUUUCUUCUCUUUCUCCGACUUUGAAAUUUCUUCAACACUUCAUGAUUGUCUUCUCUGCUUUCACUUCUUGUUCCUUUCUUAUAGACAAUUGAUUCUAUUUAUAGGAGAAAAUUUGUGCUGAUUUUGGUAAUCACUCAAUUAUAUUCAAUUAAAAAUGAAUAAUUGAGCAAUUAUAAUUUUUAAUUAUUUGUUUAUUUAUUUAAAAGUGAUAUAGGCCUUUGAGUUUAUGGAUCUUAGUAGACUUUAAUAUAAUUGGGCUAAUGAUUUAAAUCGACUCAAUUCAUUUCCUUUAUUUUUUUUAAUUUUUAUGUCUAUAAAUGACCCCUCAAGAUUUAUUUAUUUGUUAUUAAAUUAAUAAAUCUUGAUUUUUGAUUUUGUUUUUCAAUUUUGGAUUUGGUUUUUACUCAAACUUCCCAUUAAUAAAUUAUUACAAACGAAAAAUUUGAGAAUAAUAUAUGAAUUUGAUAAAAAAAAAAAAAAUUAUCCUUCAAAUUUGAGACUAAGAAUUUUUUAUGUUAUUUGAUUAUUUAUUUUAUACAAUCUAAAAAAAUUGAAUUUGAACAGGCUUUUUGUGCUUUAUGGUAAAUUGGGUUUAAGUGAAGUCCGAUAUCUGCUUAUUUAUAUGAAUGAAUUAUGAGAUUUGAAAACAAGUCUGUUAAGCCCCUGUUUGAUUAACAUUAAAUUAAAUUACAUUACAUUCCAUUUUUCUCUCUCCUUUUUUCAACUAUACAAUCUUCUAUAAAAUAAUAUUACACGUAAAUCGAAAACUUUACCUUCUUUUUCAACCACUCAUUUUUCUAAAAAAUACUAUUCCUCCCAUUACCAUUUUCAGGUAAUGGGGGCCAAACAGGGUGUAAAUCUUGCAAACGAAGGUAAAUAAUUCUCUCUCUUUGUGUGUGUGUUUUUUAUUCAUAUUUUCUUUUCUUAGUUUCCGCCACCCAAGGAGACAAAGAAUUGGUUUCUUGGAAUUGGUGCAAUGGAAUUAGUAAAUUGCACCAAUUCCAAUUGUUUCCUCGGUUUUUGCCAAUGGCAUAAACCUUUAUGUAUUUAUUUGUUUGUUUCUUUGUUUCUUUCUCUCUUUUUUUCUCGUUAUUUUAUUUUAUUUUGGAUUUUCGUCGACGGCGGAAAACAAAACAAAGCAAAUUCUAUCUUAAACCAAUUUGGAAACAAAUUCCAAUGGAAUUGUUGGAACUUUCACCAAUUCCAAUUUGGAAUUAAUCGAUAGAAAUCUAACAAUUUUUUUUUAACUAAUAUUUCUUGGUUUUUAUGUUGGACCUCCUUUUUUUUGCCAAUCGUAGAUCUUUGGUUUUCACGGAAACCAAAGUGACCAAUUGGUUUCUACCGUGCAUUUAAUUAUUUUUUUUGACACAUGACACUUUUUUUUUUAUUAAUUUCUUCUUCCUUUCUCUUUCUUCUUGUUGACUAUUCUAGUGAGGUUGUUCUAACAAAAUUGAAACUAACAUUCUUUAUUUUUUUAUGUAGGUAUUCAAAUUUUUGGAGCAAAUCAAGGAUUUUGAGGUUUGAGAUUUUCUUUGUAUAGAGGUUAAAUUUUGUGCCACAAUUAUUUUGUAAGUUUAGAAAAUAUAUGCUUAUAGAAAGACUCAAAAUUGCAAGCAUUUUCGCGCACAUUGAGAACCAAAGACUGGUACUUUUCAGCAUCCAGUGUACUUUUUUUUAGACUAAUGACAUGUUCCUUCAACUGUCCAAGACACUUUAUGUUUGGGACCAAGGACUGACAUUUUUGACUGUCCAUGGCACUUUGUAUUAAAGAUCAUGGACUUGUUCCUUCGACCGUCCAAGACGCUUUAUGUUUGGGACCAAGUACUGGCUCCUUUGACUAUCCAAGACACUUUGAGUUAAGGACCCAUUACACGUUCCUUCGACCGUUCAAAGCACUUUGUAUUUGGGACCAAGGAUUGACUUCUUUAACUAUCCAAGGCACUUUAUGUUAAGGACCAAGGACUGGCUCCUUCGAUUGUCCAAGACACUUUGUGUACUGGUCAUUUACAUAUUUGGGAAACUCAUAAUUUUAGACGACAAUCGAAUUUAAAAGAUCUAUUCUCCCAUUUUUUACUAAUUUGUUUAGGCAUGGCUGGACCAAGUUCUAGCGAUAAAGUAUACUCUAACAUACAUGAAAUUGUUGAGCUUAAAAAUUAAGACAAAAGUUAGCUACGGUUCAAAGAUACUGAUGCGAAGUACCACGCCCAGACUGGCCUAUAAGGUGAACUUAAAUUUAGCGUCCAUAUGUCAACGAUAGGUCAUUCUCCUGACCCUCUGGGGCUAUUGACGGAGUUGUAUAUGUCUACUAUUAGUGAAUGUCAUGAUAGUUUGGAUACUGGCAAGUCCAAUCGCUUUAGCAAUCAUCUUCCCUUUCUGUGUCCUUCUCCUUAUCAUUCCUAGAGCAUGGAUAGAGCAUGGAGUGCAACCCAAAGACCGUAAUUUGUGAGAGGAUUGACAAUAAAAAAAUACGAUGGGGAAGGGCACUGACCAGUCGAUGAGAGAUUUUGUUUCUUCCAAAAUUUCGAGAGGGGUCUUUAUGGAUCCAAAAACUUCUGCUUAAGAGGAAUCUUUGCGAGUUAGCUUUCGCAGUCGAUUCUGCUACAAAAGAUUACCAUCGCUUAAACUCUAUCUAUAGUGUUCUGUGAGGUUGGUGUCUAGAGACCAACACCUUUUGUGACUGCCAAUGGUAAAAUUGGCAUUUCUAUUUGGGACAUCUGCAAGAUAAGUGGGCUUUCGAUCUUGACCGUACCUCUUUAAUGUUUUCAUAUUGAUAGCCAAUGUGAAUGAAUCUAAUUGGGUUACUUAUAAAAAUUGGAUUAAUUUUUGGUUUCAAGAGAAUGGUUGUGUCCAGAAUCCUCGACAACACAAAAAUUAUAAGAAUGCUAUAAAUUUAAAUCCAUUCAAGAGGUGUCAUCAAAGAGUAUCAAAGGAAAUACGAAGACCCACAGUGGUAGACAAGCCGAGAGAUAUUUCUUGUUCGGAUCUGCAUCAUUGGAGUAAUUUGUCAGUAUCUCUGUCUAUAGAAAAAGAAAAGAAAUUAGAGAUAACAUCUUAUCUCUCAUGUGGCUUUGUCGUUUUGUUCUUUCAUCUGGGGUCAAAUAUAUAAGAGUUGGGACUUUUAAAGCAUUUUCUAGGAUAAUAGGCGGGUAUACUUACAGUAUGGUUCUAUCCAUAUUAGCAAGGAUUUGUAGAGGACUUACACGAACAUCGAACCAUCAGACAAACCCAGACUUUCGCUCGAUUUCACAUUCAUUUCCUGGACAUUUUCUUUAAGCUUGGGCUACAAUUUAUUUUGUCAGAGGUGUUUAUGAUCAUGUGGAAAAGAGUUAUUCUAGUCCUACAAUCUGAAGAUAUGUUGACACUCUGAAUACUUUCUAGUCUUAGGAAAAAAAUGUUAUUGAUUGUUGGGACCUUAUUUGUGGAAUGAUGGACGCUAAUGACUUUUGCUAGAAUCCAUUACACUUAUCGUCUCAUCUUGAUGUACAUGUGGAUGACCAACUGAGGUCAGCAAAUACUUCAAAAUUCAUGAUGAGUAUUCAUUUUGAAUUUGUUUCUUAUCGCCGAGGAAAUUCACCUUUCAUUCUUAAGGCGUAUAAUCCUCACAGGUUUGCGAGACAACUUGACUUUAGACAGAAACUUCCCUGUUCACCAAGAAAGUUGGACACUGUCCCUAAUGUAGGCAAAUGUAUAGCGUUUGGUUGUCAUUGACUUGAACGAAAACUGGGUGUGUAUUUCACAUUCCAUAGUAUGUGAGGGAUACUCAUCAAAAUGUUGAUGUUGAGUACGAGGCUUGGUGGAAUAGCCAAGUAUUGCCAAUGUUGACUGGGGUCCAAGUACAGGUUUUAUUUUCUAGCGAGAGCUGUGACUUCGUUCUUGGCCUAACUCCGAACAAGGUCAUAGCUAGAGGGUUAAACCCUCCAAAUGUUGUUCCUGAAGAGACUUCUUGAAAGAGGAAACCAAACCAUCAAAAUGAAAGAGGUAUUAAGAGAAUUAAAAUUAUAGUUUCCUCAGCAAAGAUUGUUGUCACCUCUAAGCGUACUGAUAAGGUGCCAGAAGCGAUUUUGAUUCCAGAUCACAGUGGUCCUAAGGUACCGAGAAAAACUUUAACCCUAGAAGAUGAAAGUUCUAGAUUUAACUUUAAAAAAUUUUCAUUGAUAGGCUCGAUUUGUAGUACAUCUUUGUCGACGAUUUUGUAAGCUUCAUUAUUGAAUGUAUGAGUAACAAGAAACAGACCAUCCUAUAUAGGCUGAAACUUGCUUCCUAUUUUUCUUGUAAUUAUGAUAAGCUUGCGUACGGAAAGUACCAGAUCUCCAACUUGAAAUGAUCUUAGUCACACUUUUUUGUUGAAAAAUUUUACCAUUCGAGUUUGAUAGCACUCUAAGAGCAUUUCCACUUCUAAGCAAUUUUCAUCCAAAACUUCUAACUCUUCCAAUUGAAGGCGGGUAUUUUCUAUUGUUGUCAAACCUUCUUGGAUGGAAAUUAGAAGUGACAGGCUUUAACACUUCAAAUUAUGUAUAACUUCCACUCCAUACACUACAGCGUAAGGGGUGGCUUGUGUUGGAGUCCAACAAGUAGUUUGAUAAGCCCAUAAGACUUCACCAAUUCUCACAUGCCAAUCUCUUUUUGAUUUGGAGACAACCGUUUUUAGUAGACUACAUAAUAUUUUGUUAAACGCCUCUGCCAAUCCAUUAGCUGCUGCAUUGUAUGUGGAUAAGUUGUAUUGUUUAAACCCAAACUUUGCACAUAAAUUGUUUAUGUGGCUAUUGCAGAAUGGCUUGCCAUUAUUAGUUAUAAUGUUUCAUGGGAUCCCAUAUCGAUAAAUGAUCUGGAUACAGAUAUCUGCAACAUUUUCUUUCUUUACUUCCUUCAAUGUUAAGACUUCAGCCCACUCCAAGAAGUAGUCAGUCCCUGUGAGAACGUAUACAUGCUUGAUUGAAGACUUUGGAGUUAUAGGUCUAAUUACAUCAAGACCCAUGCAUCAAACAAUCAUGAAGCUUCUAUUGGAUGUAAAGGUUCCAGAAGUUGAUGGAUGAAAUUCUCAUGGACUUGGCAAGUUUUACAUUUUUUUGACAUAAUCCAUGGAGUCUUGUACCAUAGUUCGCCAGUAAUACCCUAUCCUCUUUAUUAGGAAAUGGAGUUUAGGACCAGAGUGAUAAGCACCACAAAUUCCCGAGUAGGCUUCUUACGACAUGUGUUGCUUCAUCAUUACUUAAGCAUCGAAUGAAAACUCCAUCAAAUGAUCAUCGAUAUAGAGUUCCCUUAUAAAAGACGAAGCGGGAAGCACGCCUCUUGAUUUUCAUUUUUUACUGUGGAUUAUCUGGUAGCUUUUGAUGUUGAAGAAAAUCGAUUAUUGAGUGUCUCCAAUCUUCUCUUUCCUCAUCUUCAACUACUUCAACACUUUUGUUCUCUUCCAAAUUGCUAGGUAGCAAUGAUGGAAGCACCCAUCUUUGAGCAAUUGUUAUGAAGUGGGAGAAAUCUUCAUCUGACCCAGUUAAAAUAGUGGCCAAAUUAGCUAAGGCAUCAACUUCCCUAUUUUUACUUUUCGGGAUGAAUUUGAUUUUUACCAAAUCAAAUUGUCUCAUAAGCAUUGACGCAUUUUCAUGGGUUCAAGUCUAAAUUACGGACUUCAUACUCAGCUAAAAGUUUGUUGAUUAUCAAUUUAAAAUCUCCAAAGACUUUCAGCUGGUAGAUAUUCAUAUCUAACGUUGUCUCGAAGUUAAGGAUAAGGACUUGAUAUUCCACCAUGUUGUUUGAACAUUUCUCUAUUAAGGCAAAAGAGUAGGGCAUGACGAGAUCAUGAAGAGUGACAAAGACUACUCCUGCUUCAACACCAUAACUUUUGUCUACCCCAUCGAAGUAUAGCCUCCAUAAUGGUAUGACUUUGGGGAAUAAGACUUCUUCAUCGGAAAGGUCUUCCUGAAGUUCCCAUUCGGCUGGAAUUGGAUGGAUAGUAAGGAAAUCUGCCAAAACUUGUUCUUUAAUGGCCUUUUGUGGAAUGAAUUUGAUAUCGAACUCAAAUAACAGCAUUGUCUAUUUUUCAAUUCGUCCAGAAAGAAUUAGCCUGGACAUUAUGUACUUCAAUAGAUCAAUCUUCGAAACAAGAUUAAUUUCGUGUGAUAACAUAUAAUACCUCAACUUUUAGCUACGAAGAUUAACGUAAGAGAUAUUUUUUCAAUAGGUGAAUACUUUAUUUCGGCGCCUACCAGUGUCUAGCUUAAGUAAUAGAGUGCUUGCUCUUUUCCUUCAUUUUUGAUUUGGAUAAGAAGUACUCCUAGAGAAUAUUCUUGUGAUACAACAUAAAGAUUCAGUGGCUUCCCAAAACUAUGAGUACCAGUGAACGAGAUAAAUAUUAUUUAAUGCUUUGAAAAGCAUUUCGACAAGCAUCGUCCCACUCAAAUGGUACAUCUUUCUUUACCAAUUUGUUGAAUGGAUGACAAUGUCCAGCAAGGUUAGAGACGAAUCUUCGAAUGUAUACAAUUUUCCAUGAAGACUUUUCAACUCACGUAUAUUUCUUAGCGUUGAAAUGUUGAUUAUAGUGUCAAUUUUUGAUUGAUCUAUUUCAAUGCCCUGGUAUCGAAUAACGAAGCUGAGAAAUUUUUUAGAGGUGACACCAAAUGCACAUUUCAAUGAAUUCAUCUUCAGUUGAUAUCUUCGAAUUUUUUUGAAAACAUCCCAUAAAUCUUGUAAAUGAUCGUCACGUCGUUUUGUUUUAACAACAAGAUCAUCUACAUAGCAUUCCAUGUUCUUAUGCAACAUUUUAUCGAAGAAAUUUUGCAUUGCUCACUGGUAGGUUGCCCCCGCAUUUUUUAAUUCAAAAGGCAUAACUUUGUAAUAAUAUAAGCCUUAAGGAAUACGAAAUGAUAUAAGUUCCUCAUCUUUCGGAUUCAUCCGUAUCUGGUUGUAUCCAAAAAAUUCGUCCAUAAAGGACAAACUUUAUACUUGAUAGUUGCAUCCACCAUCAACUCCGUUAUUCGAAGUGAAAAACAAUCUUUCGGAUAUGCUUGAUUCAAAUCCCAAAAGUCAGUGCAAAUUUGUAAUUGCCCAUUUUUCUUCUUGACAGGAAUAAUGUUUGCGAUCCACAUUAGGUAUUUCAUUUCACGUAUAAAUCCAGCUUCAAUAAGUUUGUUGACUUCUACUUCAAUUUGUGGAUUAGUUCUGGUUGAAAUCUUCUUUGUAGUUGCUAGAUCGGUCAAACUCCAUGUCUUACUGUAAGGUAAUGCACUGCAACCUUAGGAUCUAACCCCGACAAAUUCUUGUAAGACCAUGCAAACACAUCUUUGUAUUCCUAAAGCAAACGAAUGUACUUAGAUUCCUCUUUUUGACUGAGGAGGGUACUUACAAAUACUGGUUUUGGGUCUUUUUUGGUCCCCAAGUUCAAUUGUUUCAAGUUAUCCACAGUAGCUUGUCUUUGGUCUUCAAAUGUGGGUGGGGCUGGGUUAAGUUCAUCAUUUGUGGUAGGACUUUCAGGCUCGGAUUCUGAGUUAGAGCUUCUUCAAAAACUAUGUGACUGACAGAGUCUUCUUUCUUAUCUUCAUUGCCCUUUAAGGAUAGGCGAACUUUUUGAUGUCUUCUUGACUGUUGAGAUUUCGAACUUGGAUCAGAAGUUUUAAUUCCAAGUCGAGAAAAAGCAUAUUAUCUUUAGGAUGACAUCUAGGGAGCUUGUACAUUCCUAUCAAUUUGGGUGGAAGAAGAAGGACCUUCACUUUACCUUUAGAAGAUAGAGGCUUUACCUUUUAUGUCGACUACUGGGGAUGGUUCUCCUUUUAAUCUUUUAAACACCGAAACUCUAGCUUUCUCAUUUUCAACACUGAAGGUCUCGACUAUUCUGAUUUUUCUUCUGCAACUUUGUAAUUUUGAAUCAUGAUGGGGUUUGAGGAAACCUUCACGAUCUUAAUCUUUCUAGGUAGAUUGAGAUCAUAUCCCAAACCAUACCUAGGUCGAGACACCAGGUCUCUAUUAGAAUUAGAAGGUACACACCCUCCUGAAAUGCCAGCAUCAAGGUCACCUAAUUUUCGAGGCUCUUAUUUUCUAAACUUGACAUUUUCAAACAACUUUUUGACUUGAGAAUUGUAACAUCCUUUGAAUUUCUGUUUUGAUUCAAGAGCUGCUUCUUGUUUGGACGAGCUAGAAGCACCAAGCUUUGAUAUGUCUGGAAUGGAUGUCGAAGCUUCUGAUAUAGGUUUGUGUUCUCCCAAAACCACCGUAAGUUGAUGGGGUAGAAGCAAUUUCGAAAUACUAACUAUUGUAAGAGUUAUCUCUUUUCUCAAUAUCUCAAUAUCGGUGGAUUCUAUUUGAGGUUUUUUACCUCUAGAGAAUCCUUCAGAUGUAAAUUUUGACUUAUCUUUGGUAAGUUGAUGAGAUUGAGCAGCACUAGAUGUAUCAUGAUCAUCUAUAUCUUCAUUGAUUUUGAAUCCAAACAUGGUCAACCCUACAGAGUUACACUCUUCAUCUUCAUUGUAAAAUUUGGUAUCAGCAAAGAGAUUCUUCUUCUAGAAAGGUUUGGACUCAGCUACCACACGUUUGAUUUCUCUGUCCCUACUAUAUUUGAAGCAUGGUGCCAAGUCAAAGGUAUUACUCUAAUUUUAUGCAGUCAAACACGUCCAAGGAAUAACUUGUAUGAUGUUUUAGCAUCAAUGACAUAGAAGAGAGUUGAGGAGAUUAACUCUCCUAUUUGCAGCUUUAGGUGAAUCAUGCCAAUGGCUCCUGACUUUUUUGAUUGAAUCCUUGAAUCAUGAUUUUCCUUCUAGAUAGAUAACCAACAUUAAUUCCAAAAUUUUUCAUUAUUUUGACCGACAUAAUAUUUACAGUAGAUCCACAAUCGAUUAUUAUGCUACUUAUCCUACAUUGUCGAAUAUAAUCACUAAUAUACAGUAGUCUAUUAUGUAAACGAAAACCCAAUUGUAAAUCAUUAUCAUCGAAUGUUAUGGCAACCAUACAAUCUUGUUGGAUUAUGCAUCCAAUAUGUUCUGAGACUUUGCCUUCAUAUUCUUCCCAAUCGAUUAAUGCCAUGAACAAAGCCAUUCGAUCAUCGAAAUGAAGACUAAUAGACUCUGCUAAACUCGUGUUGACUGGGCUAUUGUUGAGUCGUGAGAUAGUAUUAUUCUAUUUUGAAUCCAAACAUGGUCAACCCUGCAGAGUUACACUCUUCAUCUCAUUUUUUUUUAUCCACAUUGAUAACAUUGGAGGUAAAACAUUACUUGUCAAAGAAACCCUUGGGAAAAUAAUCUCCCAAGGUUGGUAAUCUAGGAGGAAUAUGUGAAGUAGCUUCUAACAUCAUUGAUUUAGUAAAUACUCUUGGCUUAGCUUUAGACCUUCUUCUUUGGUUGUUCCUUGGUCUUGAUUUUUUGUUAUAAACACUAGAAUUUGGGAGUUGUGGAGCCUUUUAACAACGUCUUUUCACAAGAGUCCAUGGCCUUGAUCUUCUUCUAGUGCUUCUUAUUUAUUAGGUUGAAUUUUUGUACCCAAUUUUCCCAUCUUUGGUCCUGUAAGAGGCGUAGGAGGUGACAUUUUAUUCGUUUUGUUUAACAUUCUUUAUUUCUCUUUCUUGCUUAUAAAGGUAGACCAGCCAUCACCGAUCUUGUCUUCAGACUCCAAGCAGAAUCCCAAACAUCUAAGUCACUUGUCAUAAUUUCGUAAAAGGUUGGACGAUUGGAUGCACUUGGUCCAUCUAUCCCCGGAUAGAUGUAAUUAAUAUUGAUUUCUCCGUCUACCUCAAAUUCUACUGGGAUGGCUCCUUUUGAAAGUUGAGGUCCAAACUCUUCAAUCGAGGAUUUACAGGCAUCGUGUACAUUAGGUGUCUUCCCUAUAAUGAAAAUUGGAUCAAAUGAUCCAGACAAAACCAUCGAGCAGACGGUUGUUGGAUUCUCUUCGAUAUCAAGUUUGAUCUUAUUUUCUUUAUCCAGGCGAACAAUAAAAUCUUUCAAGACGGAAGCAUUUUUCCAUUGGGUAGUUAAUGAUUCCAUAAAAUUUAUAGUAUUUAGGAUGAUUGAACUUACAAGCUUUCUAGGGUCUUUUUGGUACUGAAAGUUUGAUUAUCUUCUAUUCAAGAAGUUGAUCUAGGAAUUUAGAAUCUGAGAAUGGGUACUUCUUUCCUUCAUGUUCUUUCAAAGUCACGUGACCUCCACUUUGGACUUGUGCUUUGCUAGGUCUAAACUCUGGCUUCAGUUUUAGGUUCGAGCUUAACCCCUUGAAGGCUAUCUUUGCUGGAACAGUAGAAAUCACCACAGCUUCUUUGGAUUUACUUUCCUUGAUGUCCUUCUUUAUUUCCUUCUUAGAAUCUUUCUUGUCAAGUGGAUCACUUGAUAAGUAACUCCCAUGCCUUGCAAUUUAGAGCUUCAAGUCAUGAAUACGUGUCACCAAUUCUUCGAAUGAGUGAGGCAUAUUUGCUUGGAGAUUAUAGAGUAAUCCCCAAUGCAUGUUUUGGUCGCACAUAUACAUGGAAGAUGCUUCACUUAUUCAUUCUUUAUAAUUAAGAAUGAGGUUCAUCCAGCGUUCGAUGUACUCUACAAUAGUUUCUUCCUUGCUCUGCUUCAUUCGACCAAGUUCUGGAAGGCUGGCAGUUCGUUGGGUGUUGUAGAAGCGUGUUAGAAAUUCUCGAUCGAGUUGAUCCCAACUAUCAAUUGACCCAGUUGGUAAAUCUGUGGGCCAUUCAAACGUGUCACCUUUAAGAGAACAUACAAAUUGCUUCACCAUGGUGUCAUUGUAUGCGCUUAUAUUGUUGUGUGUCUCAAUGAAAUGAGCAACAUGCUAUUUUUGGUUGUUCUUUCUAUCAAAGCAUUGAAAUUUUGAAGGUUGCUAACUGAGUGGCAUCUUUAUUUCGUCGAUUUGACAACUAUAGAGCUUGGCAUAUACCUUUGAAGAUUGCAAUGAACCAUCAUACUGAGUACGAAUGAUGUCUGCAAUCAUAUGUUGAAGUUGUUGAAUGGAUAGAGAGCCAACAGAGAGUUGAGUGGUAUCACACAAAAUGUUUGGACCAAUUGGCGCACUUGGACUUCUAACUUUUUGGCCUUGGAAAAUCCUGAAUUUUUAUGAUCUUUUUUAAUCGGCAGAUUUUGCAACUCUAGCCCAUGCAUGAGCGCAGCAAUCUAUACAUCUUUAUCUUCUAGUGACUUUGUUAAUUUUUCAAUGGCUAAAGUCAUUUGUUGAAUUCAAUCAUCUGAGCCUGAUGCCGUUUCUAUGACCAUCACUAGCUCAAGUGAUUCUUCAAAUGAAGAAUCAUCUUCUACCUUUGCUGAGAAGUGGCAUGAGAGGAUCCAAAGAAUGAUCUAUCAUUGGAGAUGGAGCCCGAACGAGAGCUUUUCGCCGAACUCAUAGUCUUUUUUGUUGAAUGAGAGUUUGAAUUUUUAAAGGCAAUUUUAAUUUUGCCUUUGUUGGAAAAUUUCAUCAGUGAUGGGACCAGUUGAGUUUUCCCAGUUUUGUUUGGGCCUUGAUCGCGUGGAAGAGUUUGGGAAGUGUCUCUUCAAGAUGAGUUAUAGUUGGUUUUGCCUUUUCGCUUACCAUUGCUGAUAUAGUGACUGAAAGUUGAAGAUUCUGAUAUCAAAAGAUGAGAGGACAAGAAGGUCCCACCGAGUAUGCUAAGAAAUUUAUACGAUGAAUUUUAUGUAUUGAAAUACAGAAAUCCUUACAAAUUGCAUUUUUUAGAAAUACAAGUGAUUUUGACCUUCUUGUGAUUGAAAAAUGGCGAAAAUCCUCUUAUUAAUGAUCUGAAUAUUUUGAAGACGAGGUGUCACAUGACUUGAAUUCUGGUCUUCGAAAAUAUGUUGAAAUUUUGAUUUGUUGAUACUUGACUUAUCCAGCACUUGAGUUUUGGGACUUGGACUCGUGCUUGAAUUUGAUUUGAUUUAACGAAGACUUUGGUCUUCUUGAAUUUGGCGUGGACCUGUUAGAUUCGAAGAAGGUUUUGAUCUUUUUGGGAUUUACCGAAUUUAGGUUUGAGAGGAUUUCUUCUCCUCCUUCGACUUUGAAAUUUUUUCAGCACUUCAUAAUUGCCUUCUUUGCUUUCACUUAUUGUUCUUUUCUUAUGGACGAUUGGUCCUAUUUAUUGGAGAAAAUUUGAGCUAAUUUUGGUAGUCACUCAAUUAUAUUUAGUUAAAAAUGAAUAAUUGAGUAAUUAUGAUUUUUAUUUGUUUACUUAUUUAAACGUGAGAUGGGCUUUCGGGUUUAUGGACCUUAGUCGACUUUAAUUUAAUUGAACUAAUAAUUUAAAUCGACCCAACCCAUUUUCUUUAUUAUUAUUAUUAUUUUUUAUGCCUAUAAAUGCCCCCUCAAGAUUAAUUUAUUUAUUAUGAAAUAAAUAAAUUAAUAAAUCUUGAUUUUUGAUUUUAUUUUUUUUUCAAUUUUGGAUUUGAUUUUAACUCAAACUUCCCAUUAGUAAAUUAUUAUAAAUGAAAAAAUCGAGAUAAAAUGGGAAUUUGAUAAAAAAAAAAAAAAAAUUAUCCUUCAAAUUUGAGAAUAAGAAUUUUUUUUAUGUUAUUUGAUUUUUUUAUUUAUUUUAUACAAUCUAAAAAAUUUUGAAUUUGAAUAGGCCAUUUGCGCUUUAUGGUAAAUUAGGCUUAAGUGAAAUAUGAUAUCUGUCUAUUUAUAUGAAUAAACUAUGAGAUUUGGAAACAAGUCUGUUAAAUCUUGCAAACAAAGGCAAAUAAUUCUUUUUUUCUUUUUUCUUUUUUUAACUCUCUCUCUCUCUCUCUCUAUUUUUUCCCUUAUUUUCUCUCUUUUUUCUCAUAUUUUCUUUUCUCGGUUUCCGCCACCCAAGGAGACAAAGAAUUUGAUGCGAACCCCGUAGCAAUGGAAACUACGAAACCCACAACGAGAUUGAUGCGGAACCCAAGAACGCCAAUACUAACCCGAUUUUGAAUCUUGAACCUCAAGAAUUGAACCAAGAAAUCCUAGAUUAGCGAAAAAACUAAAACCCCUUGAUUACAAUUAAAAGAACCCACAAUCCGAUUGUUUAGAAUGACAUAAGAAACUAAAUCUUGAUAAGUUCCAAGAUUGUUCAAGAAGAACAAGAAAUUGAAAGAACAAUUCUCUCUCUAUAAUAUUAAGCAAAAGUCAAAAGUUCUUACAAUGAAAAAUAUUCUCCUAUUUAUACUAAUGAAUAAAAACGUCCAAAACCAUCAAAUUAUGGUAAUAAUUUGAUUUCAUAAGAAUUCUAUUGAAACUAGGAAAUUCGGCCAAAAUUAGAAAAUUCGCCAAUUUUUUGGCUUGUGCGGCCGCAUGGUGUAUUUCCAUGCGGUCGCAUGGUUCAACAAGAAUUGGUCUUUUGGUUUUCGGUAUGCAUGUGUGCGCCACAUAUUGUUUUGCCUGUGCGGCCGCACAUACUUGUUUUCAGUCUCCGCUUUCGUUGCUUGAUAACAAAUUGAUCCAAGUUGAUUCGGCCUUCGACCCGAACAUGAAAGUUGCUCCAUCUGGAGUCCUGAACAUGGUUCCAUCAAUGGUUUCUUGAACAAGCAAUCCCAUCGUUUGUUUCACUUGCUUUGCCCUUGAUCGCGUCAUUGGUCCGCCAUCGACUAUCAACGGGUCUCAUCUCGCACUUGCCUUCGUUGGGCUCGACUCCUGGAUCAUAUCAUUCCCUCCCUCUUCAAAAGGAUUCGUCUUCGAAUUUGAACCUGCAUCAAACAGAGAGAGAUCAGAUACAUUAAAAGUAGCUGAAACAUUAUACUCACUAGGUAAAAUCACUUUGUAUGCAUUGUCAUUGAUCCUCUCAAUGAUUUGAAACGGUCCAUCGCCUCGUGGUUGCAAUUUUGACUUCCUCUGUUUUGGAAAACGUUCUUUUCUGAAAUGCACCCAGACCCAAUCUCCAGGCUCAAAUGUAACGCGUCUUCUUUCUUUAUUUGCUUUUGAUGCAAUCAGCUUUCCUUUCUCUUUGAUCUGCAUUCUGACCUUUUCAUGGAGUGUUUUCACCAUCUUGGCUUUUCGUUUCCCAUCCAAGCUACCUCGUUCAUGCACAGGUAAAGGCAUUAAAUCCAUAGGUGUUAGUAAAUUAAAACCAUAAACAAUUUCAAAAGUAGAAAACGAAGUAGUAGAAUGUGUAGCUCGAUUAUAUGCAAACUCUAUAAACGGUAAACACUCUUCCCAUGAUUUCAGAUUUUUAUUGAUUACUGUCCUAAGUAGUUGAGUCAUAGUUCGAUUAACUACCUCAGUUUGUCCAUCUGUUUGUGGGUGACAAGUUGUAGAAAAUAAUAACUUAGUUCCUAACUUACUCCACAGAACACGCCAAAAAAUUACUCAAAAACUUCACGUCCUUAUCAGACACUAUACUUUUAGGUACUCCAUGUAAACGUACUAUUUCCCUAAAGAAUAAGUCUACAAUAUUAGUAGUAUCGUCAGUUUUAUGACAUGGUAUGAAGUACGCCAUCUUACUAAACCUAUCGACCACUACAAAUAUUGAAUCCCGACUCCUUUUUGUCCUAGGCAAACUUAACACAAAGUCCAUAGAUAUGUCUACCCAAGGUUCACUAGGUACAGGCAAAGGAGUAUACAAACCGUGGGAUUGAACCUUAGACUUAGCCUUUUUAAAAGUUAUGCACUUUCCACAUAUUUGUUCUACUCCAUGUCGCAUUUUAGGCCAAUAAAAAUGUUCCCCUAACAUGUCUAAAGUCUUUUGAACCCCGAAGUGUCCCAUUAAACCACCCCCAUAUGCUUCCCUUACCAAUAAUUCACGCAAAGAACAAUUAGGAAUGCACAACUUAUCUUCCCUAAACAAAUAUCAUUCAUCCCUAUAGAAUUUAUCAAAUGCACCUUUGUCACAUGAAGCAUAAAAACUAGAAAAAUCACAAUUAGAUUCAUACAUGCGCUUAAUAUGCUCGAAACCAAGUAAUUUAGUACUUAAUGAAUUUAAAAGCACGUACCGUCGAGACAACACAUCAGCAGCUAUAUUUUCGUUACCUUGUUUUUACUUGAUGACGUAGGAAAAUGUCUCGAUAAACUCCACCCAUCUCGCAUGUCUUUUGUUCAACUUACCUUGACCUCGCAAAUGCUUUAAAGAUUCAUGACCGAUGUAUAUCACGAAUUCCUUUGACCAUAAGUAGUGCUGCCAAGUCUCCAAUGCUCGAACAACUGAAUACAGCUCCUUGUCAUAUGUCGGAUAAUUCAAUGUUGCCCCACUCAACUUUUCGCUGAAGCAAGCAAUAGGUCUCCUUUCCUGCAUUAACACUGCUCCCAUACCUAUUCCUGAUGCAUCACACUCAACCUCGAAUGUUUUAUCAAAAUUUGGUAAUGCCAAAACAGGUGCUUUACAUAGCUUAUCCCUAAUUGUGUUAAAUGCAAUUUCUUGAGAUUCUCCCCAAUGGAAACCUAUACUCUUCUUUACUAUUUCAAUCAACGAUGUGGUGAUGGUGCUAAAAUUUGUUACAAAUCGCCUAUAAAAACUAGCCAAUCCAUGAAAACUCCUAAUUUCAAUUAUAGUCUUAGGUGUUGGCCAUUCUUUAAUAGCUUUUAUCUUUUCUUCAUCGACUUCCACCCCGUUAGCACUAACCACAAAUCCUAAGAAAACAACUCUAUCCAUGCAAAAUGUGCACUUUUUGAAAUUAGCAUAUAGUUGUUCCUUUCACAACACAACAAGCACACAAUUUAAAUGUUCUAAAUGCUCAUUUAGGUUCUUGCUAUAGAUUAAGAUGUCAUCAAACUAAAUUACAGCAAAUUUCCCAAUAAAAGCAUGCAAAACAUGGUUCAUUAAAUGCAUAAAAGUGAUCGGUGCAUUAGUGAGUCCAAAUGGCAUAACUAACCAUUCAUACAAUCCAUACUUAGUCUUAAACGCCGUUUUCCAUUCAUCACCCUCUCGCAUGCGAAUUUGAUGAUACCCACUCUUAAGAUCAAUCUUACUAAAAAUGCAAGCACCAUACAACUCAUCAAACAUAUUAUCUAGCCUAGGUAUUGGGUGACGAUACUUUACCGUGAUAUUGUUGAUAGCUCGGUAAUCCACGCACAUUCUCCAAAUCCCGUCCUUCUUAGGCACCAACAAGACAGGUACAGCACAUGGACUCAUGCUCUCCCUGACAUAACCUUUGCUCAUCAACUCCUCCACUUGAUUUUGAAGCUCCUUCGUCUCCUCGGGAUUGCUUCGGUAAGCUGGUCGAUUCAGUAUGACAGCUCUGGGUACAAAGUCAAUCUGGUACUCAAUGCCUCUGAUUGGUGGCAAUCUACUUGGCAUCUCCUCAGGGAACACAUCGUCGAACUCCUGCAAUAAAGACUUAACCAAACUAGGGAGGGAUGUGUUAGAAUCCUCAAAAUUGAGGAGGGAUUCCUUGUACACUAACAAUAUCAUUUGCCUAUUAUCACUCAUAGCCUUUUUCAACUCACUCUCUUUUGCAUAAAAGUUGACCUUUGGCUUUUCUCUCCGCUCAGCUGACUCUUUUUCUCUCCUCUCAUCUGACUCCUUUUCUCUCCGCUCAUGUGGCUUCUCUCUCUUUUCUCCACUCUCAGCCACCUCACUAUUUUCUCUCUUAUUGAUGGUUUCACUAUUGCCUCUCCUUUUUCCUGACUCUCUUAUUCUCUCGUCUUCCUCACUUUUCAGCUUGAUUUAAUCUCCAUACACUUGUGCCGAUGUUAAUGGCGCAAGAGUAAUAGUCUUCCCAUCCUUGACAAAGCUAUAACGAUUCCUAUAUCCAUCAUGUGUGACCCUUCUAUCAUAUUGCCAUGGUCUUCCUAACAAGAUAUGACCCACAUGCAUAGGCACCACAUCACAUACUACUUUGUCACUAUAACUCCCAAUUGAGAAAUUAAUUAAAACUCUUUUAUUCACGCUAACUUCCCCACUUUUAUUCAACCAUUGCAACUUAUAAGGCCUAGGUUGUCUUAACAAUGCUAGUCCUAUUUUCUCAACUAAAAUUGUGCUAGCUAUAUUCGUGCAACUCCCACCAUCAAUAAUCAUACUAUAUACCUUAUCGUUGACGUAACAACAUGUGUGGAAUAUAUUUUCUCGCUGCUGCUCCGAAUUAUCCACUUUGACUUGAGUGUUAAGAGCUCUCCUUGACACCAACGAUUCCCCAAUAGCAAACUCCAAUUUUUCUUCUUCUUCAACGUCCUCCAAUGCAGGCAUGUCCUCAAACUCUCCUUCACUUUCACUCACCACCUCUCCAUUAUCCAACAACACCAUUACCCGUUUAUUUGGGUAUUGAGAAGCAAUGUGCCCUAACCCCAAGCAUCUGAAACACUUGAUGUCUCAAUUCCUUGAUGGUUGUGAAUUUGUUUUGGGUGCUGUUUUGCUAGCACUUUCUUCUUUCCCUUUCUGCCACUCAUUCCUACCUUUAGGUACAGCUUUAUCACUUUUGUUGUUGUUGUUCCACCCUGGCUUCCAAGAUGGAUUAACACUCAAAGUUCCUAACGGCUGCCUAGCUAUCCCUUUUCUCUUCAAUUGUCUCUCUACCUUCAUAGCCACAUGCAACAUGUCUUCCAACUCCACAUAAUGUUGCAACUCCACUACAUUGGCAAUUUCCCUAUUCAACCCAUUCAAGAAUCAUGCCACGGUAGCCUCCCGAUCCUCCACCACAUUGGCCCUAAUCAUGAGUAUUUCCAUCUCCAUAUGAUAGCCCUCUACACUUUUCGAUCCUUGAUAUAGACUUUACAGUUUUUGAUGGAUCUGUUAGUAAUAGUGGCUAGGAACAAACCUCUUUCUCAUCAAUGACUUCAAUUCCUCCCAAGUGUUGAUUGCUCUUCCCCCACUCCUACGUUGUGAAGUAAUCACUUGAUCCCACCAUGACAUUGCAUAGUCACUGAACUCCAAAACUGCUAACUUCACAUUUUUCUCCUCCGAGUAGUUAUAACACUCGAAGAUCAUUUCAACCUUCCUUUCCCACUCCAGGUAUGCCUCGGGAUCACUCCUUCCUUUGAAUGAAGAAACUGUCAUUUUUAUAUUUCCCAAAUUUCCAUCAAAUUCCUCCCCGCGAUCAUUCCGACCCCGUCUGUCGAACCUAUUGCCUCUAUUCCUCAUCCUUCCCAUAUCAACACCGUGAAAUUCAUCUUCGCCCAUGUCACUCCAAUAUCCAUACUACUCUCGCCUUUCCCUCCUAGGCUCCCAUCUAUGCGGUCUUGUGGCAUUGGAUACAUCCACUCGAUGCCCCCGACUAAGAUUAGCCACCGAUGUAUCUAAUCUAUUCAUCCAAGCCUCCUGCUUCUCCAACCUAUCUCUCACAUCUCCAAAUGCUCUCUCAAACCUCUGCACCAAAUCCUCCGAUGCAUUGCUAUUAUUGCCUUGUCGGCUUGAAUUUGAUUCUGCCAUUUCUGACAUCCUAACACUAAAAUUUUUUAUUUUACUGCCUCACCAAAAGUCACUCGAAAACACACAAGGGCUUUUACCCUCUAUUAAGCUCACCUCCCUGCCUUUAGCCACUCAGUUCUUUCAACAAUUGCCUCUAGGAACAAUCAAUGAACUCAAUCAAUCAAUCAAUUCGUGUAGAAUUCCCCAAACCGGAUGUGACUCAAUAAUUGUAAUAAAGGACUCAAAGAAAACUUUUAAAAUUUGACUUGAAUUGAAGGAAUGUAAUGAUUCAAUGUGUCCAAGUAAUUUAGAAACGAUAUUGAAUAAUAAAAGUUGGUAUUUGAAGGAUCAAUAAUAUUUAAUAAUUUUUUUUUAUAUCCAAAAAUCAAUAACAAAACCAACAAAGAAAAUGAAAACUGAUUUGGGCAAAAAUUGAGCCCAGAAACGGAAUUUGAAGAUUUUUGAUGAAACUUUUGGAUCAAAGGAUCAAGAAAACCUUUUGGACACAAGAACACAAGGAAUUGAAAAAAAAUAGAAAACAAAGGAUAUAGCCUGAUUAAAUUGGAGCCAAAGCUCUGAUACCAACUGAUACGAACCCCGUAGCAAUGAAAACUACGAAACCCACAACGAGAUUGAUACGGAACCCAAGAAUGCCAAUACUAACCCGGUUUUGGAUCUUAACCCCAAGAAUUGAACCAAGAAACCCUAGAUUAGCGAAGAACCUAAAACCCCUUGAUUACAAUUAAAAGAACCCACAAUCCGAUUGUUUAGAACGCCACAGGAAAUUGAAUCUUGAUAAGUUCCAAGAUUGUUCAAGAAGAAAAAGAAAUUGAAAGAACAAUUCUCUCUCUAUAAUAUUAAGCAAAAGUCAGAAGUUCUUACAAUGAAAAAUAUUAUUUUAUUUAUACUAAUGAAUAAAAACGUCCAAAACCAUCAAAUUAUGGUAAUAAUUUGAUUUCAUAAGAAUUCUAUCAAAACUAGGAAAUUCGGCCAAAAUUAAAAAAUUCACCAAUUUUUUGGCUUGUUGGCCGCAUGGUGUAUUUCCAUGCGGUCGCAUGGUUCAACAAGAAUUGGCCUUUUGGUUUUCGGUAUGCAUGUGUGCGGCCACAUGUUGUUUUGCCUGUGCAGCCGCACAGACUUGUUUUCAACCUCCGCUUUCGUCGCUUGGUAACAAAUUGACCCAAGUUGAUUCGGCCUUCGAUCAGAACAUGAAAGUUACUCCAUUUUGAGUCCUGAACAUGGUUCCAUCAAUGUUUUCUUGAACGAGCAAUCCCAUCACUUGUUUCACUUGCUUUGCCCUUGAUCGCGUCAUUAGUCAGCCAUCGACUAUCAACGGGUCUCGUCUCGCACUUGCCUUCGUCGGGCUCGACUCCUAGAUCAUAUCAGAAUUGGUUUCUUGGAAUUGAUACAGUGAAAUUGGUGAAUUGCAUCAAUUCCAACUGUUUCCUUGGUAUUUGCCAAUGGCAGAAACCUUUAUAUAUUUAUUUUUAUUUAUUUAUUUAUAUUUUUUCGUUUCUUUCUCUUUUUUCUUCUCGUUAUUUUUUUUUAAUUUUGGAUUUCCAUCGAUGGUAGAAAAUAAAACAAAUUUUGUUUGAACCCAAUUUGAAACUGGUAAAAACCAAUUCCAAUGGAAUUAUUGGAACUUUCACCAAUUCCAAUUCGGAAUUGGUCGAAAAACCAAAAAUAUAUUUGGUUUUAUGGAAAACCAAAGUGACCAAUUGGUUUCUACCGAGCAUUUAAUUGUUUUUGCUCCUUUUUUUUAUUCGUUUCAUCUUCCUUUCUCUUUCUUCUUGUUAACUAUUUUAGUGAGGCUAUUUUAACAAAAUUGAAACUAACAUUUUUCAUUUUUUUAUGCAAGGAUUCAAAUAUUUGGUGCAAAUGAAGGAUUUUGAGGUUCGAGAUUUUCUUUGUGUGGAGGUUAAAUUUUGUUCCGCAAUUAAUUUUUAAGUUCAGGAAAUAUAUGCUUAUAGACAGACUCAAAAUUACAAACCUUUUAGGGCACAUUGAGGACCAAAGACUGCUACUAUUCACCAUCCAAUGCACUUUUUGUUGGAAACCAAUGACAUGUUCAUUCGAUCGUCUUGACCAAGGACUCGCUCCUUUGACUAUCUAAUGCACUUUGUGUUUGGGACCAAGGACUGGUUGAUUCGAUUGUCCAAGGCACUUUGUGCUUGGGACCAAAAACUGGCUCCUUCGACUCUCCAAGACACUUUGUAAUAAGGACCAAUGACCUGUUUCUUCGACCGUCCAAGGUACUUUGUGUUUGGAACCAAGGACUGGCUCCUUCGACUAUCCAAUGCACUUGUGUUAAGGACCAAGGACAUGUUCCUUCGAUCGCCCAAACACUUCGUGUUUGAAGCCAAGGACUGGUUUCUUCAACUGUCCAAGACACUUUGUAGUAAGGACUAAUAACCUAUUUCUUCGAUGGUCCAAGGCACUUUGUGUUUGGAACCAAAGACUGGCUCCUUCGACUGUCCAAUGCACUUGUGUUAAGGACCAAGGACAUGUUCCUUCGACCGUUCAAACACUUUGUGUUUGAAGCUAAGGACUGGUUUCUUCAACUGUCCAAGACACUUUGUGUUAAGGACCAAGGAUUAGCUCAUUCGACUGUUCAAGACACUUUGUGUUGAGGCCAUUUACAUAUUUGGGAGGCUCGUAAUUUUAGACUAUAAACAAAUUUAAAAGAUCUACUCCUCCUUUUUAUUGCUAAUUUUUCAGGCAUGGUUGUAACAAGUUCUAAUGAUAAAGUAUACUUUGUUAUACAUGAAAUUUUUUAUCUUAAAAAUCUAGGCAAAAGUUAUCUACAUUACAAAGAUACUGAUGUGAAGUACCACGCCAGACUAGUCUACAAGGUGGACUUAAAUUUAGCAUCCAUAAGUCAACGAUAGAUCCUUCUCCCAACCUUCUAGAGCCAUUGUCAGAGUUGUAUAUGCCCACCAUUAGUGAAUAUCACGAGAGUUUGGAUACUGGCAAAUCCAACAACUCUAGCAAUCAUCUUUCCUUUCUGUAUCCUUUGCCUCAUCAUUUUCGAAGUAUGGAGUGCAUCCGAAAGGCCGUAAUUUGUGAGAGGAUUGACAAUAAAGAAAUACGAUGGGGAAGCACACUGACCAGUCGAGGAGAGAUUUUUUUUUCCAAAAUUUUAGGAGUGGUCUUUAUGAGUCCAAAAACUUCUACUAAAGAAGAAUCUCGCGAGUUAGCUUCCGCAGUCAAUUCUGCUACAAAAGAUUACCAUCGCCCAAACUCUAUCUAUAGAGCUCUUUGCGAGGUUUGGUGUCCAGAGACCAACACUUUUGUGAUUGCCAAUGUUGAAAUUGGCAUUUCUCCUUGGGACAUCGGCGAGAUAAGUGGGCUACCAUAGGUCAUUACUAUGAGGAUGUAGUCCCAAGCGUUUCAGAGUUGACGGGUCAUUUUUCCAAGUCUUAUCUGUACCUCUUUAAUGUUUUCGUAUUGGUCGCCAAUGCGAAUGAAUCUGAUUGGUUACUCAUGAAAAUUGGAUUGAUUUUUCAUUUCGCGAGAAUUGUUAUGUCCAUAAUCCUCGACAACACAAAAAUUAUAAGAAUGCUAUGAAUUUAAAUCCAUUCAAGAGGCGUCAUGACAGAGCAUCGAAGGAAAAAUGGAGGCCCGUGGUGGUAGUUAAACCGAGAGAUAUUUCUUGUAGGGAUCUACGUCAUUGGAGUAAUUUGCUAGUAUUUUUGCCUCUUGAAGAAGAGGAAUUAGAGUAUCACUUUAUCUCUCCCUGUGGGUUUGUCGCUUCGUUCUUCUAUCUAGAAACGAAUGUAUAAGAGUUGGGAAUUUUAAAGCAUCUUCUAGGAUGGAAGGUGAGUACAUUUAUAGCCUGGUUCCAUUAUAUUAGCGAGCAUUUAUAGAGGAAUUACACGAACAUCUAAUCAUUAGACAAACUCAUACCUUGGCUCGAUUUCAUAUUCAUUUCUUGGACAUUUUCUUUAUGCUUGGGCUGCAACUUAUUUUCUCCAAGGUGUUUAUACCAUAUGGACAAAAGUUAUUCACGUCUACAAUCCGAAGAUAUGCUAGCACUCUAAAUGCUAUUCAAUCUUAGGAGAAAAAUGUUGUUGAUUGUUGAGACAUUAUUCGUAGAACGAUGGAUGCCAAUGACUUUUGUUGGAAUCCAUUACCCUCAUCGUCUCAUCCUAAUGUGCGUGUGGAUGACCAAUCAAGGUCUGCAGAUACUUCAGAAUUCAUGAUGAGUAUUCGAUUUGGAUUUUUUUCUUAUCGCCGAGGAAAUUCACCAAGAAAGUUGGACAUUCCUCCAAUGGCGACAUGUAUCUCGUUUGGUUGUCUUUGACUCGGAUGAAAAGUGGGCUUGUAUUUCACAUUCCAGAGUACGUGAGGGAUACUCAUCAAAAUGUUGAUGUUGAGUACUAUGCUUGGUAGAAUAGCCUAGAGUUGCCAAUCUUGAUCAAGAUCCAAGUACAGGUCUUAUCUUCUAGCAGAGGAAUAAAAUAAAAGUGAAGAAAAUAUGUGGAAAGAUUAGCAGGGGAAUUGAAUUGAUUAAAGUAAAGAAAUUGAAGAGAGGUUCGCAGAGGAAUUAAUAUUUUAUUAAAGACGAUAUGUGGAGAAAAUACAAGAAUUCAGCAAUUAAACUUCACCUAAACUAAAUGAAAAGCUACAUGUUUAUACGGAUACACCAAACCCUAGAAAUAUCAUAGAGAUAGAAAUAACAUAAAAAAUAAUGUGGAAUAAAGUAAAUAAUAUUUUUCCAACAAAAUCACGUGAAAAAUAAGGAAUCUAUAUUUCCAAUAAAAUCACGUGAAAAUAAGGAAACAAUAUUUUUCAAAAAAUCGAGCCUAAUUUGGGGUGCAAAAUCUAAUAAUAUAAAGAAUAAUGACAAUGUCCUUAAUUUUAAGAAGUUUACAAUUUUAUUUUAUUUUAUUUUUUUGCACGGAUGCCACUUUUUUUUUUUUUUUUUUUUUUUUUCCUUUUCCACGGAAAGUUAAUUCAUUAAUGAAAUUAAAACUUAAAAAAUAUGAUAUUUGGUAGUUUUCUUGGUUAUGGUUGGUACUCCUCCAGCCAGCCUUACACAGAAAACAUAAAAUUCUCAAUAAAAUCAUUUUCAAUUUAGUUUGACCUAUCCCACUUGAUAAAAAAGUUGUUUAGCUUAUUUCACUGCAAGUCAUUUUCUAGCAAGUUGGUGCUUAAUUUUAACUUUUUAUCCAAACAUGUUUAUUCUCACAAUCUAACUUAUUCAUUGGACAAGAUAUACGGUAGAUGACUUUACCCAAGUAGUUUCAAUCUUGCUGAUUGCUACUUGUGCUUUUAAUCACACUCAUGCUAAACGCUGACUCAUAAGCAACAAGUGCUUGCCAUGCUCGUAUCCAUGUGCUAUAGGGAUAUAUCAGGGUAAAGUCAAAUGUUUACUUAGUGAUCUGCCGUAUAUCAAGUCCAAUGAACAAGUUAGAUUGUAAGAAUAUACGUAUUUGGUUAAAAAAUUAAAAUUAAUUAUCGACUUACAAGUAAACUACUUGCAAUGAAAUAAGCUAAACAACUUUUAAUUAAGUGAGAUAGACCAAACCAAAUUGAACAGGUUUUAAUUGAAAUUUUUAAAAUUUCUAUGUGUAAGUCUGGCCGGUGGAAAGCCAACCAUUUUAGUCCAGUUAUGUUUUCUCUAAAGUAUGUGGCUUGCUUCAAAAGAAAAAAUAAAAGUGCCAUUCGUUAAAAAAAAAAAGAAAAAAGAAAAAAAGAAAAAGAAAAACUGCAAGUUUCUUCAAAGGGUAAUUGGUGCAAAACGUCCAUACCUUUCAAGAUUAUUGUGGAAAACGUCCAUAACUUUUAUUUUUUGGCAUUUUGUCUAUAAUUUCAACCUUCCGUUGCGCUGAAGAUCCUUUUCAUUGUUUUGGAAUGUAAAAUGACAAUUAUACCUUCUUAUUUAAAACAAAAAAAAAAUAAAAAAAGAGGAAAAUUUAGAAUAAGUUGCAACCCUACCCCUAAACUUUUAAAAAAGUGCAAAUGAGUCCCCAAUACUUAAAAUAUUGAAAAUAACAAAAAAAAAAACACUUUCUCUUCUCUUCCUCCUCGGUCCCCUGCCUCCUUUCAAGCCAAAAAAUUCCGGCCAACCACUGGAUCUCCAUACCAUCGGAAAGCCCUCACUCCCCUCUACACAUACUACCCAAUAGUCUUCCAUUAAUUUCAUUCUAAUGGCACAAAUUUUCCUUCGCGCUGGUUAGGUUUCAUUUCUCAGUUUCUGAAUGAAUAACCAUGUCCAGCGACAAUAGGGAAGACGCAUAUGCUCAUUGGAUGCUCCAUGAGGUGUAGGUACCUCAGGUGGUGGUUCGUGAUCAUGGGUCCCACCACCAGCAUAAAAAAAAUCGCCUGAAAAUUGCACAGCGACUGUGUUCGAAGCUCACCCGACUGGGUUUGAUUGUGUGCAUUAAAGGAUGUUUGAGGACCAUGGACAGGGACGUUUUAUUGUAUAGAAUCGAUCUGGAGGUUGUGUAGGGCAUGGGUGUCGUCGGAAAGAUUCCAGCCAUUGUUUGUUGCGUGAGUAACCUGUUUUGGCUUGAAUUUUCAGGCAAAUUAAUUGGAGUUAUGGCCGGAUCUUGGGUGGGUUGCGAAGAGGGAAGUGAGGGCUGUAAGAUGGGAUAUUAGUCCGGCAAAAAUGGUGGUUGUGUAGGGCAUGGGUAUCAUCGGAAUUGAAGAUUCCAACCACUGUUUGUUGCGUGGGUAACCUAUUUUGGCUUGAAUUUUUGGCCAAAUUGAUUGGAGUUAUGGCUGGAUCUUGGGUAGGUUACGAAGAGUGAAGUGUGGGCUUCAAGAUGGUAUAUUGGACUUGUGCCCAAGAUGGCCAGAGGGUGGAGUUUUGGUGGUCCAUAAGUGGUGGUUCUAAAAUUUUAGUUGUGAUGGAUUAAGGGAGUAUUGGAGACUCAAUUGCACUUUUUUAAAAAUUUAGGGAUAGGGUUGCAAUUUGUUCUAAAUUUCUCUCUCUCUCUCUCUCUCUCUCUCUCUCUCUCUCUCUUUUGGUUUUUUUGUUUUAAAUAAGAGGGUAUAAUUGCCAUUUUACGUUCCAAAACAGUGAAAAGAACUUUCAGCGCAACGAAAGGUUGAAAUAAGGGCAAAAAAGCCAAAAAAAAUGAAAGGUAUGGACAUUUUUCACAAUAAUCUCGAAAGAUAGUCAAUUACCCUUUCUUAAAAGUAAGGACACUGUCAUCAUUGUUUCUAUGUUAAUAAAAGACUCUAAAUCCAAAGUCCUAUAUCUCGUUCACUAAUAAAAAAUAAUAAUUAUUAUACCAGAUCUCUAAGAUGUAAACACAAUUAUCAUCGAAAUUUUGGGACCUUUAUGUAUUAAUUUCUUUUGUACAAUUCCUAUGGGAAAAUGAUAACUGCACAAUAUACAAUAUGAGGUCUAUAUGAUAUAAAAAAUGCACCUUUAUUCCAAAUCAAAAAGGACAACUAAGGAAAUGCUUCUGUUUGACAAUUAGAAACAAAGAGCCUAUUGACCUACAGAAUAGCACAAUUGUUUCCUGUUUUAUCAGAGUUAUAAAAAUUACAUGUUUUUAUGAAUUGAUAGUAAGAUAGUGACAAUAAUAAAAUAAGCAAGACCAAAAUAAGAACACUAACUUUAUGUGGAAACCCAAGUAGGAAAAAACCAUAGGUAGAGGAGGAAAAAUCUACUAUAAUCAAUGGUAGUUGUGUUUACAACAAGAUCUCAAUGCUCUCAACUAAGAUCUAAAACUCUCAAGAUAUCGCAUGAAUGUUAUGAGAAUAAUACGAACCAUAACUUUAUUUAUAUAUAUAUAUAUAUAUAUAGAAACACAUCAAAACGCAAAAUGAGCCUGGGCUGGAUAACCCUAUCGCUUGAGCAACAGGUGAGCGAUAACCCCACCGCUCGAGAGCUAGGUAGGAAAUCUCUAUAGAAAAUAUAUAGGUGCCACUCAAGCAGGCAACUAACGGAAGGUAGCAAAAAUGCAGCGACUUUUCUUCCCAGUCUAUAAUUUUGAUUUCUUCAAGAUCACUUCAAUUAGGGCUCCAAUACCACUAGAAUUUGGGUCACAUUACUACAAAUCUACAUGCACACCUUGAACAAAAUUCAAAAAACACAUUUUCAAAGUGAACAACACUCUUCCUUUUCCAAACAAGCCCUAAUGGGCUAGAUCAAUAAUAAACACCAACUAAGUUUAAGCAUUGCUCAACUUAACACUGAGAAGUGGUUUUGUCAUAAUAUCAGGAGGAUUAUCCUUGGUAUCAACCUUGCUCACUACAAUAUCACCUAGAGCAAUCACUUUACGCAAAAAAUGAGACCUCACAUCAAUAUGUUUAUUCCUCUUGAAACAUCUGAUCCUUAGUUAGAAAAAACACUCUGACUAUCACAAUACACUGUAAAAAUCUGCAAGUCUUCAUUGAUUUCACCAAUCAAUCCUCUUAACUACAUAGCCUCCUUAUAUGCCUCUGUAAUGACCACAUACCGGCCUCUAUUUUAAACAAAACUAUUGUAUUCUACAAAAUAGCUUUUCAACUGAUAACACAAUAUCCAAUGGUGAACACAUACCCUGUAAGUGAUCUCAUCUUAUCAAGAUUCCCUACAUAAUUUAAGGGCCUGUUUGGGAGCGAUUUUUUCACCCAAAAAGUUGAUUUUUUGACCGUUAUUUCACUAUUUCAUCCAUCAUAUUUGACUUCUUCUCUCACAGGUGGACCCCACUUUUAUCCUAACGGUCAAAAAAUCAAUUCUCAAAAUCACUCCCAAACAGGCUUUAAAUCAACAUAUCCAAUGACUCCAUCUACAUAUCUACCAAAAUGCACGCAAACAUUAGUAGAGACGUUUAGGUAUUUGAAUAUCCAUUGCAUUGUUUUCAAAUGUUCCUUGUUAGAAUUUUCCAUGUACCUACUAAUUGCAUUGAUUGCAUGUGCCAAUUUUGGUUUUGUACAAAUAAUAGUAUACAUAAGUGAACCAACUACUCUGGAAUAAGUAACUUGAGACAUAUAUCGAUGUUUUUAUCUAAUUGAGGACACAAUGCAGAUAAUAAUUUAAAGCGGACAGUUAACGGAAUACUAAUAGCCUUAACAUUCAGCAUAUUGAACAUUUGAAGCAUUUUUUUAAUGUAUCAUUUCUGACUCAAAUAUAAUCUGUUAGCCUUUUUAACCCUCAAAAUUUUCAUGCCAAGAAUUUUCUUUGUUGCACCUAAAUCUUUCAUCUCAAACUGCUUACUAAGUUGAACUUUCACCUUUCUGACCUCUACUUUGUCUUUGGCUGUAAUGAGCAUGUCAUCAACAUAUAAUAGCAAAUAUGUGAUGAUCUACCAUCUUCCUUUCUAAAGUACACACAACUAUCAUAAUUACUAUUAAUAAAACUAUGAGAAUUCAUGAAUGAACCGAACCUUUUAUACCACUACCUUGGUGACUGCUUUAAUCCAUACAAAAACUUUUUCAAUAAGCAUACAUUGUCUUCCUUUCCAGAAACUAUAAAACUCUCUAGUUGUUAAAUGUAAAUGUUCUCCUCAAAUUCUCCAUGCAAGAAUGCUGUCUUGACAUUUUUUUCUACUCAAACUCCAAAACAUUCUUGGCCACUAUACAAAGUAAAGUCCGAAUUGAGCUUUGUUUUACAAUCGAUAAAAACACAUCUGUCAAAUCAACAUUUGAAAUCUGACUAUAACGCUUUGCUACCUAUCUGGCCUUAUACUUAGUAUCUUCAAUCCCUAAUGUCCCUUCCUUUUUUUGAACACCCACUUGCGGUGAACAAAUCUUUUUUCUAUAGGUAGUUUCACCAAGUCUUAAGUAUUGUUUUUAUUCAAUGAUUCUAUCUCCUCCUAUAUACCAAUCAACAAUUCGCUAGAAUUACUGCAACUGACUACUUUGAAUAUGUAAAAGGUUUCUCAUUAGAGUCAAUAUCUUCAGCCACAUUCAAUGCAUAAGCUACCAAAUCUACCUCUCCAUACCUUAAUGGAGGUCUAAUCUAUCUGCGAGAUCUAUCCUUAACAAUUGAAUACUAUGGUGUUAACAUUGAUGUAGGCAAAGUAUGUAACAUAUUACUAUCUGUCAAUUAUGGACUAAAUUGCUUUGUAGUAGAUUGUUUUGAAACAUCUGAUUGUUCCUAUGGACCAAUUUCCAACCCCAUUUGAGUUGAAUGAUUCUAUUCAUCUGUUUUAUUAGAAUCCCCACGAGGUGGACCAUGAAACGUAGUAAGUUUAUCAAAUGCUACAUCUGUAUUAAUUACCACCUUUCUUGUUUCAAGACACAACAAUUUAUACCCCUUCAUACCUAAUUUAUACCCAAAAAUGAUAUACUUUCUAGAUCUAGGCUCCAACUUCCCAUUAUCCACAUGAACAUAAGGAAAAUACCCAAAAAUGUUCAAAUCAGAAUAACAAGAAUGUUUACCGGACCAUCUUUUUCAAUGACAGUUGAGGAUGAGCGAAUAAUAAGAAAACAAGUUGUGGCAGUAGCAUCAGCCCAAAAAGUCUUAAGCAACCAUCAGAAUUUGAAAGCAUACAACAAACAUUUUUCCAUCAAAGUUCUACUCAUCUAGUCUACUACACCAUUCUAUUGAGUUCAUCUGAACAAAACUCCAACCUAUUAUCUGUGAGUAAAUGUUUAACCUACAUUCCAGUCUGCUUUUCUAUCAUUAUUUUCCACUCUUUGAAUUUUCCCAAAUAUAUUACUCUUCUGUUUCAAGAAGAGUACACAAACUUUCUCGGAGAAAUCAUUAAUCACUGUCAACAGAUAAUAAGUACCUCUUCUUGAAGGCACCAUAGCCGGUCCCCAAAGAUUUGAAUGGAUAUAUUCAAGUAUUCCCUUCGUGUUGUGUCUUCCUAUAGUGAAUCUGAUUCUUCUCUAUUUACCAAAGACACAAAACUUAUAAAAUUUCAUCUUACCGGUCUUUUACCCAUCAUGAAGUCCCCUCCUACUCAAUUAUGCCAUACCAUUCUUACUUAUAUACCUAAGUCAUAUAUGCCAAAAUUUAUCAAUUUCCUCAUCAGUCAAAGAAAAAGUAAAAAUUGUUAUAUUUCCUGUAAUUGUAAAACCCUACAAAAUGUACAACCAUGUAGAGUUUUUUUAUCCUUUUAUGAUAGUAAGAGAACCUUGACAUACUUUCAAAAGUCUACAUUCACCAGUGUAUUUAUGACAUUUUGAGUCAAGUGAAUUCAAAGAUAUGAGAUUUCCUUCAGUUCUGGAACGUGCUUGAUUUCUGUAAAUAUUCUGAUAGCACCAACAAAUAUUCUAAUUUUGACUAUAUAAAUUCUAUCAAUUUGGCAAGGCAAGUUGCUUUCCAUAAUCACUAUAUCUCUCGGAACUCUUUUAGAUAUAGUAAACCAAUUCUAUUGGGACACAUAUAGAAAGUAGAUAUCGAGUCAAGAACCCAUUCCUCACAAAGUUGUAAAUCUAUUCAAAAAUCACAAGAUGUCCUCCUUUAUUUUGCCCAUUUUCCACAACAUCAGCCUUAGCAGUGUUAACAGGUUGUUUUCCCUUUUUAGUAGCACCAGCAUCAUUAUUUCUGUUUUCAACGAAUAACAAUCAACUUUGAUAUGUCCAUUCUUCUUACAGUAAUGACAUACUUUCUUUGGAUGUCUAAAUUUCGAUCUGCCCCUCAUAUUUUUACUAAGAUUCCUAUCUUGAUUAUUCACAAUAACAAUCAGGCCUUCAACCUAACUCCCAAAUCCUCUAGAAAGAUGUCUCUUCUUCUCUAUAGAUAGUAAAGUAUCAUAGACCUCUUCCACAGUAAGAGUAUCCCAACUAUAGAGAAUAGUUCCUCUAAACAUCACAUAUAAUGGUGACAACGAGCACAACAACAUCAAAGCCAAGUCCUUCUCAUCAUACUUAACCUCUAAUGUCUCCAAUUGGACACAAUUUCUUGGAACAUAAAUAAGUGAUCAUCCAAUGAUGCUUAUUCGGACAUCUGGUGAGAAUACAAAUGUUGUUUUAAGUGUAACUUGCUGAUUAAGCUCUUUGUCAUACAAAGUUGCUCCAACUUCAACCAUAACAUAGCGGCACUUUCUCUAUUCGAACAUUUGGAGGGAUUUGAUUUUAUAGAUGUAGCUGAAUUUUGGAUUGGGCUUUCUGAUCCCUACAUCGUUGUUCAUCCUGCAUCCAGGUUGAAUGCAUUUUAUCAAAGCCAAGCAAGAAUUUCUCCAAAUCUAUUUGUGCGAGAACUCAUCUCAUCUUUACUUGUCGUAAAGUAAAUUUCGUGUUCUAAUCCAAUAACAAAAUAUCAUAUUUCAUCAUUGCCAUGCGAACUAAUCAACCUUGCUCUGAUACCAUUUGUUAUGAAUUGAUUGCAAGAUAAUAACAAUUAUGAAAUAAGCAAGAAUAAAAUUAGAACACCAACAUUUAUGUAGAAACUCAAGAUGUGGAAAAAUCACAGGCAGAUGAGAAGAAAUCUACUAUAAUCAAUAGUAAUUAUGUUUACAACAAGAUCUCAAUACUCUCAACUAAGAUUUACAGCUCUCAAUAUGUGUAUAAAUGUUAUGGGAAAAAUAUGAGUCGUAACUUAUAUAUAUGAAAUCCUAGAAGUCAAGUUAUAGAUGAGAAUAGAAGUCCAAAAAUGCAUCAAAAUGAGAAAUGAACCUAGGCCGGAUAACCCUAUCGCUCCAGUGACAGGCGGGCGGUAGCCCUGCCACUCAAGCUUCAAGUGAGCAACAAGUCUCUGUAGAAAAUAUGUAGGUACCGUUUGAUAAGUAAGCUAGUAAAAAUGCAGUGACUUUUCUUCACAGUCCAUAAUUUUGAUCUCUUCAAAACCACUUCAACUAAGAUUCCAAUACCUACUAGAAUUUAACUCAUGUGUUGUCCGAGACAAAAACCGAUCGACAUCUUAAGGUCAAUGAGAAGGAAAAUAAAAAAGAACAUAGGAAGAAGAGAUGAAAUUGCAAGUGGAUUUACGGUUUGAAACAAGCAAUGUUUUAUAUUCUCAUUUUUAAUCUUGGGUCCAGGCCUAAAUUGAUUUUUGGCUAGGUAAACUUAUUUGGGCAGGGUAUAUUAAAAAUAGGUCAGAGGCUUUUAGGAUUUUUUUUUUUCAAUUAGACUGAAUUGGGAAAUCUAUUUAUUGUUUAAGUUAGUAAAUUUUCUAAUUUUUUCAAUCUAUAAAUUAUAGAAAAUAGGUCUGGUUCAAGAGUUCCAGAUCCAAUUAAAUUUUCUAUUGUUCCGAUUAAAUUAUCUACCUCUAAUUACUAUGGAAAUUGUUACAAAAGGCUAGAGGCUAUUGUUGCUACUCGAAUUUCAAUAAUAACUAAGUCCCUACAACUUACUCAUAGCCCAAUAAAGAUCAACCAAUACCACCAAGGGGAUCAUUGUUGUGCAAUUAAUUCUUUUCGGUAAAAAUCACAAUGUCUCUACAAGAUCUUAUGGGUUUGUUGCACAAAUUUUAUUAAAAUUAUUUUUCUCUGAAAACCAUUUUCAACCACAUAUUCGGUGAUAUUCACAAUUUCUUUUUUCACUUUUCGACCACACAUUUUCAUUUAGAAAAUUCAUGUCAAAUUUAGAAAUAAUUCUCAGUGACGGGAAAAUCCAACUGCAACCACAUAUAAUAUAGACAAUUCUACAAUUUUUAGAUAAAAUUGAAGAAACUAAAUACAAGCCUUUUAGCAAUUUUGAAUUAUGCUAGACAUUUUAGUAAACAUUUAGGAGAGGAAGUAGAAUCACUGUAUAGUAGAUUGUCUAGCAAAGGACAAAGAUAUUUUAAUCAAUCAAAUGUAGAGCUAGUUAAAAAGAUAACAGAGGAAGUUAGAAAUUUACUGCCAUUAGAAUUACUUUUUGAUAAUAAAUAUAAAAUAAUAGAAACAGAUAGAUGUGAAUUAGGAUUGGGAGGAAUUUUAUAUUCCAAACCAAAUAAAUAUAGCGAUAAAAAAGAAGAAAAGAUUUAUAGAUAUGCCAAUGGAAAAUAUAAAAUAAAAGGAAAACACUUCACUAGUUUAGAUAAUGAAAUAAUGACCACCAUCUAUAGUAUAGAAAGCUUUAAUUAUUCUUAAAUACUGAAUUUAAAAUUAGGACGGAUUGUGAAGUUAUAGUAACAUUUAUUAAAAAGACAAAUUUUGAUAAAAUAAGACAUAAAAGAUGAUUAAAAUUAUAUGAGAUAUUGAAUAGCUAUAAAAUCAAUAUUAAACGCAUAUACAGGAAAAAUUAUAUAUUGAUAGAUAAUUUAAGUAGACAAGUUAUUAAUUUACUAACCCAUUAUUUUCAUGGUGCAAAAGGACCAGAUGAUGAUGAACUUUGAGGAUGUCACUCUAAGAGAGACCCCACAAGGAUCUGAUAUCUAAUUCAAAGGAAAUAAUUUAGAAAGACUUCCAAAAAGGGAGCGUUGUCUACUAGAUAAUCUUUGGAUGACACAUAACUCUAAGCAAAAAUUAGAUUGCAAUAAUGCCCUAACUAAUUAUUUUAGAUAGCUUCAUAAUCAAGUAAAAAGAAAAAAAAUUUAGUUUCAUUGCAGUAAUUAAGGAUAAAAAUCUAGGCAUAAAUAAUUAUUGGCCAAAAGUAUUUCAAUAAGUAGAAAGAUUUCCAAAACCCUUUUUCAAAGGAUUUUACAAAUUAGAAGAAGUUUUAAAUUUCUGUAGAAAAAUGAUAGGAUUUAAUUUUUAUAAAUUUGUAAGAGUUAGACAGGGUAUGACCAUACAAAACGUUACUUCCCAACCAUCAUCUUCAUCUUUAUCAAUGCAACUUUUUGAUAUUUGUGAAACUAUGACCAAGGUGGUUAAAAUUUUGAAUCCUAGAAAGCAUUCAUUAGAAAAAAAAUGCUACAAAUCCUUCAAGAUGAAGUCUCUUCAUCUCAACGGGCCAUUUGUAAAUAUCAAAACAAAAUUUUUUACCGACAAAAUAGCUUAAAAAGACUAAGUUCUAAGAAUAUUUAUGAAAGACCCAUUUCCAAAGAUAUUGCUUCUAUAAGUAGAAAUUACUCUUAUAAAAUAGAAAAACUUAUUGAAUUAACUGACUCUACAACAGAAGGGACAAGAAAAGACUUUAUAUGAGUUAUAACAGAAAAUUGACAUUGUGCCAACAUUGUUCGAGAUUAUAUAAAGAAAUCAAUCGUACGUAAGAUAAUUGAUUUUUCUUAAUUCUGAGCUACUAUCACAACGAAAAUCGAUAUUUUCUUAAACAUGGCCCCAAAUAUGAUUCAUCUACUAAAAAUUCAACUUUUUUUAGACACAAUUAUGCUACAAUUUCCUUUGACUAUGCAAUCUUUGAAGAUGACGACUUUUUUUAUCGAGCCUUAUGGUUUGGCAUGACAGACACUAUAUAGUUUUAAAUAUAUCUUUCGUAUUUUUUCCACCUAGACUUAAACAGAUUCUUGAUCAGCUAAAAAAUCACCCUUUGAUGAUCCAAUUCAUUUCCAGACCACCUCUUGUAAAUAAUGGUAUAGUAAUUACAGUUUAUCAUUAUAUUUUAAUAUACGAAUGAGCUAAAAGAUUUAGACAUUAUUCGAAGACAAAUACUAAAGUAAAAAUUAGACAAAUUGAUUAUAAAAGACAAAUCUUAGAAAUCAUGACGAUGAUAGAAGUUCAAAAUAAUAAUUCAAGAGCUAAUUGUAGCUCCAGAGCAAAAUAAUGAAUAUAAAAAGCAUUCGGAUUCUCUUUCAAAAGAAGUGCAUUGAGAGCAUUGUACUCACCUCAUAUAUUACUUGCCCUAUCAUAACCUUGACCUCUAAACUAAAUAUACUUAAGUUAAAUCUAGAGAAUAAGUGAUUAAUAGAAUCCUUAAGUGAGAGAGAGAUGUGGUACUAUAGAUAGUUAAACUCAAAUAAAACGUUCCAUUAUUUGUCCUUUCUGAUUCACAUAACGUAGAACAAUUGACAUUUGCUCCUUCAUUGAUACAUUAUGAGAUUCAUCAACAAGAAUGAAAAAUAACCCAUUACCAAUAUCCUUCACAAUAAAAUUAAGUGUUUCAAAUGCAAUAGCAUUUACAAUAUCUUUUUGAAUUUUAGGUGAUAUUAACUGAAGAUUUUCGUGAGCAUUCCUCAAAGAGACAUCCUUAAUAUCAUUAUUAUAAUCACAUAACCACUGUAAUAGUUCAAGAAAAUUUCUUUGAUUUCUUGAAUCUCCAAAUUUGUUAUGUCCACGAAAUGAAAGCCCUUGUCAUAGAAACAAUCGGACACAGCCAUUUGACGCAUUCAAAAGAAUUUGAUACUCAUCUUUUGUUCAUUUUGACUUCUUAAAGAGAACACAAUCAAUAUUUUGUUCCUAAUUCACAAAGGCCUCAUACUUAAUCCGCGCUCGGUUAUGUGCACUACAAUUUUCCCAACAGCAGUUUGAAGCCUUCCUUUCUUUUUCUAGUUGGAGAAUCCUCCAUCAACAAAAGAAUCACACCCACCAUGUUCUUCACUAUUUGGGUUGAAAAGAUAACAAUAAAAGAAAAAAUAUGACAUCUUUUGCUAUAAUGUAUUCCAACCAAUCAGGACAGUUAUUAAACCAAGAAGUUUUUAAUCACCGUAACAACAAAUCUCCAAAUUCUUUCCAUGGACACAAGUGAUUCCAAGCUAACAUGGACCCCUUUGUACGUAUACUCUUCAAAUUUCAUCCUAAACACUAACAUUAUAAUUCCCAAUUUGAGUUCUUAAUCUAAGAUCCGAAGGCAAAUGUGCUAAAUAAAUUUUAUCUCGAACAUUUCUUUGACUCCUAGUCUCUGAUUCUUCUGAACAUCUUUUUUUUUUUUUUUUGAACACUCGUUUCGACAAUAAUUUGGUCUCCGCUUGAACAUACGGAUUUUUGUUUAAAAUAUUUCUCCAUGACUGUUAAAAAAAAAUCAAUACAUAGAUAAAUAAAUAUCAUAUUUCAUUUUUCAUCAAAACAUAACAUUAAAUUCAUAAUAAAGAGCAAUUAAUUUCAUAAACAAUUUUAAAUCACCAAGUUAGAGAAAGCCAAUACUUACUUGGAAUUGGAAUUGAGAUUUGUAAUGCCCUGAACUCUUUUUCAUUAUUAUUGUUAUUUUUAAAUAAAAAUGAAAAAGAGUUCGGGGCGUUACAGAAUGGUAUCAGAGCACGACUUUAGCCGAUUCUAUAGACUUGUCAUUUAUUUAGAAAAAAUAGCAUAUAUUUUUUUUAAUCUUGUUAUGUGCUUUAUGUGUAUAACUUUUUUUUUUCCUUAGAAUGAUAAUUUAUUUUAUUUUGAAGACAUAGUGGUCUGUGUGUUAAAAAAAAUGAUGCUGCCAUUUUUUUUUCGAACCAAUAGUUAGUAAAUUUUCGAAAAAGACGAGGAAAACUUUUGUUGAUUUUUUUCUGUGUCAACGAAGCCAAGGUUUCUGCAGUUGGAUUCUAAAUAAUUUUCCUUUCCUUGCUCAAUAUUUUGGCUAUUGGUUUGGUCAAUUGGUCUAGAGUUUUUAUGCUAUUCUGCCGUCGAUAUAAAAUCCGAUAAUAAGACCAACGAAGAUAAAAGAUUCUGCAGCAUUAUUGAGCUAUUUACCAAAUUUACAUGCACUAAUUAAUUAAUGGUUUGUGUUUAACCAAUGUGGCAGUGAUUUAUAUGUUAAAGUCAUCAUUCAUUCAAUUUCUAUCCUGUCAUUUGCGUUUAUCAUUAGUAAAGUAUGCCUAGAUCCAUGGAAGCAUGCCUCUGUUGCAAACUUAAAGUAGUUAAUAUGACAGCCAUUCACGUUUAAAUGAAGUAAACUGAAAAUAUGCCAGGACAUCGAAAGACUUUUAUAUUGAGUAAAUUCUUGCUAAAAAAAAUGAUGGUAUUAGCAUGAACACCGUUGCACUUUGUUACAAGCAUGGAUUACGGUUUCAUAGUUUUAAAGGAAAUGAUUAUUAAUAUUUUAUUAGUUACCUGCCAAUAAGUGUCUACUUGCUAUUUUAUUAUAUUUUAUACAUCAUGAGAUUUUUAUUAAACAAGUAUUGAAGUAAGAUCCAGGCUCGUGGCAUUAGCGCUCGUCAAUCUACUACCGUCCGAUGAAUCCAAGGUAUGAACGAAAUGUUAUGUUUAAGCUUAAUUUCAAGCAUGAUUUAUUAAUCAUUUAAGCUUGAUACGAUGAAAUGCUUAUAAUGUUAGAAAGAAAUGUAUUACGCAAGUUAUUAUUUUUGUACAUAAAGAUACGAUGGUUAGUCAUUUUAUUUAAAAUUACAAGAGCAGAAUGCAUAAGUUGAUUUAUAAAGAUAGAGCAUAAUUGAAUGUUUAUGUGAUAUACAUGGAUAGAACUUAUCAAGACACUAGAAAGAAGAGAAAUAGAAGUCACGUAUCGAGAGCUUUUGGAUUAAAUAAGAUAAUUUCGAGGACGAAAUUAAUUUAAGGGAGAAGGGAUGUAACACCCCUCAUUUUUUUACUAUGUGAACCUGAACUUAUUAUUUAGCAAAUGAAAAUGUGAAGAUUUGUCAUUACAUUAGAAGUCCAAAGUUGAAGUGGUAGACUUGACUCACGUAUUCGUAUAAAUAAUUUAUUUGCUUACGAGUUAUGAGCACUUUUAGAAAAUUAUUUGAAUAAAAUAUUUAAGUAUUUUUAAAGUUGAUGAAAAUAUACUGAUAUUAUACUCAUUUUGUAGCUCGUGUUAAACAAUAUAAUUUGAGCUUCAGAAAAAAUAAUUUCGAGAUAGUUAUGCCCAAGUUAUUCUAAUAGAAAGAAAAUUAUCAUUCUCAAAUAUUAUAUUAAUACAUUUAUAAUAUAAAAUAAUAACCAAAUGAAUAGUUUCAUUGUAUGGUUACGUAAUGUCAUCCACUCUAAUUGAUUUAGAAAUUUAUAAUACAUUCCAUAACCAUGACAUUAACUCUAAUUAAACGUGGAGGUGUCCUUUCAAAUUUAUAACCGUAACCAUCCCGUUCACUUUAAUUGAUUUUCAAUUAAAUCAUAGUUGUUUAAUUACAUUAAUCCUCAAUUAAUGAUCAGGUGGCUUUUCAAUUUGUAACCGUAAUCAUAAACGUCCACUUAUGGUGGUUUAACUCCAUUAUCCUUCCAUUAACUUGAAAUGCCUUUUGAUGUUAAGUAAGUUACGUGUGUGGAAUAUAUAAAUAGGUGUAUUUGAGAUGAAAAUUAUAUUCUACAACAAUAGUAUAUUGUACACUCCACACCACUAAUAUUUUUAGAAUUUAAUAGAGUAUAAUAUUUAUAUCUUUUCACAAAGUCAGUUUCAAGUAAAUUCGUGGAUAUCAAAUUGGGGUAAGAAUACAUGGUGCAAGUGGUAAAUUCUUAAUCCUUGAUAUAUAUGUAAAUUUUGGCAUGAGAUACUUUAAGGCCUUCGGGUCGAAUGCUAUGUUAAAUCCUUCGGGAUAGACCGUUAGGUCAAAGAGAAGAAGUUAAAUCCUUCGGGAUAGACCUUCAGGUCAAAGAAAAAAAAUUAAAUCCUAUGGGAUAUGGGGAUUCUUAAGAAAUUCCUAAGAAAUGUCGGUAUGUUAUGCUAUUUUUAUAUUUAUAUCAUGUGUAAAAGGAUGUGCACGUAUUCUUAUUGAGUGUUUUCAAAAUACUCACUCUUACAACAUUUUCAGAUAAGAACGGGUCAUGAGGACGCGUGGAAGAUUGACGGAGCGAUGCUAAUGUGGUCGUCAAGUAAAAUUUCUAGAAAAGACAAUCGUCAAUUUAUAUAAAGAAUAUCUUUGUGUUAAUAUUUAUGCACAAUAUUUAUUAUGUUGUUUAAUAAUUUGAAAUUGAAUAUUUUCGAUAUAUUUCCGCUUAAAUUAGAUAGAGAAAAGUUUUGGUAGCACCUUGAGCUCAUUUUUAUUUAAAAAUAACAAUAAUAAUGGAAAAGAGUUCGGGGCGUUACAAGAUUUGACUUUCGAGAAUGGUUCUAAUAUUUCCAGCUCUGUAGUUGUAGCUCUUGUAUCUUGUAUUUGUUUUGUUGAAUAAUUAUUUUUAGUCAUCCACUACAUUGAAACUAUAAUUUAAACAGUUGAUUGUUCCUAAUUUCAAAUAUUAGACUUCACAAUAUUUUAAAAUUUAAACAAUUGAUCGUUCCCAAAUUGUAAAAAAUCAGUUCCAUACUUCCAUUAUUUCAUACCAAAUCAGUGAAUAUUUUCAUCCAACAUUUUCAAUUCAUCAAUUUUAGACAUGCAAAUCCAAACCCUACAUAAAUUUUUCACUGUAGUCGAGUAGCAGUAAGCUACUAACCUAUAGGCUAUAACAGGGACUGGAGAACGGCUGGGUGGAAGGGGUUUUACUUUUAUUUGAUUUGUGUACUGUAAGUAAUAAGGAUGAUGUGUCGAUGGCGAAGAGAAAACUGGCAAAGACGAGAGCUAGAGAAGAGAGACGACUGAUGAGUCACGUUUGGCGGUACGGGAAAAUGGGAUUUGGCCAUUUGGGAAUAUUAGAACCCAUAUAAGUUGGAUUGGAUAAAUCAUUAAAUGGAUUACGGUUAUGGAUAUAUGGAAUACGGAUAUAGUGAAUGGAUUUGGGCUUGUCAGCUACUAUUGGAAAAUUGAGUCUGGCUGUCUGGUAGUUGUUAGGUUAUUAAAAAAAUCCCAAAUUUGUGGGGUCAUUUGACCCCACAUGACCCUAUGUGGGUCCAUCCCUACAAAUAAUGUCUAUUUAUCUAAAAAUAUCAUAUUUUCUAUUUCAUAAAUUGGGAAUGAUUCAUGCAAAUCAUGAUCAGCUUCAAUUUUGUUGUUGAAUAUUCGUCCUUCAUUGAUCCGAUGUUCAAUCUUCAAUCAAUUUACAAGAUUCUCAAAAUUGUAAGAGUUAAAAAAAAAAUAGAUAAAUCAUGUGUCCCGUAGGCUCACAGCUUUGAAUCUAAUUGAAAAGAUAAUUAAAUUAAAUGAUGGAGUCGUAAUCCACCUAUCUUUUUAUAGACAUGAAAUUACAAAAUACAUCAAGAACUAGUCACAAAUAAUUAGAUCACAGUUUAAAAUAAGUCAAUCAUUACAUAAUUAAAUAUUUGUAGAUAUCGCUCGGCUAGAACAUUCAAUCAAGAUUCAAAAAUAAUAAGCACGUGGACGACAAAAUUGCUUCGAUACCAGUUGUGAGAAUGCAGAAGCCAAAUUACUCAGAAAUUUAAAAAAAAUUAAAUUCAAUAAACAAGAUCGUCUAGAUGUUCACGUGUACGUUAUUCAAGAAUAAAUGAUUCGAAUCGUUUCCUAAAUUCGAUUGGUAAUUUUUGAAUUAAUUUUAAAUCACAAACUUCCAUACUUUUGGAUUACGGGCUUCCAGUUUUUAUUUGCAAGAACUCGAUGUUUCAAAUCUCCAAGUCUUUUAUGGUGUUCUCCAAAGUCAAUACUACACAAUUGGCGGGCACAUUAUUUUAAUAAAAUCAAGAGAUUAAUUCUUGGACGGGAUAAAUUGAACAAAAUAAGAACAUAAUUAUUUUCUCUUUCCAGAUUUGAAUACUUUGGAAUUAUGCAUUUUGAUUGCUGUAUUCUAUAGGAUAUCUAGGUUCCAUUAAUCUCUAUUUAUAGAGAAUAAAAUAUUUUCAAUCCUUUGUACAAUAAUAAUUCAACAUUUAAAUAUAAGUCCUAAUUAAUAUCUAAAUAGGAGUUUUAAUUAAAGUUCACAUCCAAUUAAUUUACAUUUAAUUACUUGUAUAGUCAUAGAACUUCAAUUGCAAUUAUAAUUAAGUUUUCAACUUUUACAGCAAUAGUGGAUUUGUUUCUGCCUUUUGUUGAAUCUUUUCCAUGGCUCUGCUUUUACUUGAGAGGGGGCGGGGUGUGCUCUUGGCAUAGAGAAUAUCACUUAUUCUAGUGUUCUAAUCCUUAAAAUCAGGUACAAAAUUGAUUGGUGGUAGAGUCGUGAAAACUUUUAUUUCUUCCAUAUUUUAGACCUUAGCUCGACAUUCACUAUUAAGAUGAGAUAUCAUUAUCUCUAUCUCACACUAAAGGGAAAUUAACAACAAAUAUUAAGUCCAAAAUUAUUAUAAUUAUAGUAAUUAAGACCCAAUACUUUACAGAGCUACCACCGGGAUCUGAUGGGACAUAUAUUAUCCAAGUCCAAUAAUUAGAUCCUGUCUAGUCGGCCGUAGACCACUCAUUCUAAUUAUUAUUCUUUCUUUUUUCACUAGAGGUAAAAGAUUGAACUCUUGGGAAAUAUAAGAUUAAAAAAAUCAAUAAAUCUUUAAUACUUUCCUUUAUCAAUAAAUAUAGAUUUAAUAAUUAGAUACGAACAUAAAUGACCAUUUUGCUGUUCUAAUUAUUCUCAACAACUAAGUAUCAUUUUCUUCAGUUGUUAUGUGCACAAUUCAUAGAUGUCGAAGUUUAGUUAUCACUAAGCACUGAACUAAGAUUUUAAUUUUUCAAUAGAAAAUAAUUAAGUAGUUACUCUAUCCAUUUUUCAAGGGCGAUGGUUCUCGAUAUCAAUUCAUAUUCUCUACUUCGCUCAUUUUGAACUCCCAACUUACCGAGAUAUUUGAUCAAUCAAAUUGAUCUCACCUAUUGAUAAGGCAAAGAAUCAUUAAAAUCACAAAAAGAUAUAGGUAACCUUAUCAAAGUAUCCAGUGAAAUACACAGCGAUCAAAAGAAAUUUAGUUCUCUGUACCGUUAUGCCAAAGAAUUAAACUCGACACAUGGUCCAUUAAAUAUACUUCAAGUGUACUAGUGUCACCUUUAACUAUAUCUAUGAUAAGAACAAAUUGCAAAUCCGAAUAGUGAAUUGGUCAAUAUCACAAUCUUUUAAUACAAGAUGUCAACCCUUAUACAUUGACUGUGAAUAAAUUAUUUAUGAUCAAAAUUUAAGUUGUGCUACACUGUAUUUCUCAACACAAGUAUCCAACUUAUAUUAUAUCAAGUGAUUAGAUGCACUUUAAUUCUCAUGCUCAAUAAUAAAUAAAUGCAAUAAAAAAAUAAAAUCACUUUAUUAUGAAUUAUUAUUUUAUCAUAAUAAAAUAUACUAUAUGGACACACAAUCCAACAGCUGCCUAUGUCCCACAACUUUUAACGACUUGCCAAUAUUCUUUGAACCUCAAGAAAUUCUCCAUGUGAGUGCUCCAAUGAUCAUAAUGACUAUCAAAGCGUGCAGUUGCAAGUUGAACAAAAUUUUCAGAGGCAAUUUGGAAACGACUGCUGCAAAGAAAGAAAAAAUUUAUUGCCACAGCACACUUUCUUUCUCACAUUUCCAUAACUAGGCUCUGUACCACUAUUAUAAAUUGAAAAUUAAAUACGAAAUGUGAAUGGAGAAAAAAAAAAACUUUCAUACUAUUGGCUUAUUCAAUUAACAAAAUGGCCCUUUAAAUAGACAAUACAUCAUUAAAAAUAAGCUGAAAAAUCGCAACUGACGCUCUAUGAUGUGAUAUAAAACUAGCAAAAAUGACUAUAACUAGGACAACAUAACACAAUAUAACAAACCACGUGAAAGACAAAUUUGACAAUCCAUAACAAAUACGAAUUAUAAUCCACUGAAGCCCCUUUGUUGGAAAAUAAAAAUGUCAUAUAAUUAAGACCAGGUACCAUAUGCAUUAUUGUUUUAUUGAUUAAUAAUAAUGUACUUUGAAACGGUUCCGUCCAUACCCACCACAAAUAAAUAAAGGACCUUAAUCAUUUGGUACCAUCAAUGUUCCAACUUUCAAAGCCUUAAUUUUUUGCGUUAUAUUUGAUCUUCGAACCUAAAAUUCGACAAGAUUAAAGAAGAAAGAGACUUAAGAUUGCUUGUCAAUUGUUUUAUUUAUGCAGGGCAACUCGUGUGAAUUAAUAAAUUAAAUUAUAAACUCAAACGAUCUUCUAAUUUUAUCUUUGUUUAUAAGAUUUACGAGAAAAUUAAGCUUGAGAACCCUCAAUUCAAAAGAAUGUCAAAAGCAAAAAUGUUGAGAGGCUCAAAUUUAUUCAAUAAUCCAAGAUUGAGUCGACCCUAGUGGACAUCAUUUAUAUAGUUCAAAAUUUAGUCUUCAUGAGGGCUAGGGACCUUGCUUGGGUGAAGCUCAGAUUUUGUUAGAAAAAUAUGGUUCUUUGUCGAAAUCCAACUCUGUUUAACUAGCACUUAGCUGUUGAUCUAAAACCGAAUAAGAAUUUGUUUUAAACUUAAAAUGUUCUCUAGAUUAGUAGAAGGCAUAUCCAACUGAAGUGUGCACACGUAAAAUAAGAAGAAUAGGUUUUUUAGAAUAGUUAUGCUUGUGAGCAUUGAAAGUAACACUCCAUCAAUGCUCUACAUGGUUUUCCAUUAAUUUUUGUAGACGGGUCUCGAGAUGGUCCCAAGUUUCUUUGAGGUUCACGUGUGGUCUUACUUGGGAUGUUUCGUUAUUCAUCUAUUGUUCUUUUUUGAGGAUGGGGACGGAGUUGGAAUGUUCUUUGGUAGUUUUCAAAAGUAAAUUAUGUAUAUUUUUAAAUUACUUAUAUUAUCAAAAAUAAUUUUUCAAGUUGUUCUAUGUGCUAAAAAAAAGUUAUUGUUUUAAGGGAAAUUUUCAACAUUGAUACAAGUGAAUCUAGAGACUCCAAAAAUAAAGUGAAAAAGCUAUUAUAAAUGUACUCCAUGGGAAACUAUAUGUUCAGAGUUCCUUCCAUUUAUAUUUCCUAUCCUGGAAUUGUGCACUAUGCGUAGUUGAAAGACAUGAAAUGUUGUGAUUUACAUCCAUUAAUUCUUGCACUUUUACGAUUAAUUAACACAUAAAUGUGCUAAGUACCCUUAUAUUGUGAUUUAGGUUGCAUUUGGAUGAUCAUGAAAUAAAAUAGAAGAAAAGAGAGAAAAAGGACUUAAAUGGAAGAAAUUGAAAGUUCAAGGACCAAUUUGCAAAUAAUCUCUAGAUGAGACGAGCAAUGGAAUGAAGAUUAAAGAUGGUGCGGGAUCAAUUGGAUGCAAUUAGAAGUUGAAGGGUUGAAAUUGCAAGAAGAAUGAUUUAAAAGAAUCAAAAAUGGAAUUCGAGAUUAAAAUACAACUUUUAGAAGAAAUUUUGCCUGGGCAACAGCCCAGUUAUAAAGUUCGAGCUACUGUCCAACACUAAAAAUCAAUUACUGAAGCCAAAAGCCAUGCCUGAACGACUGCCCGAGUUUUGCAUGAGCGACAGCCCAAGUCAAUUGUGACGAGAAAAAUUUGGUUUCCUUUUCUGAUUGAAAUUUUUAUGGAAACAAAUCUUGUACAUGAUAUACCCAAAAUCUCGUCCAAAACCUAGAGAAUGCCCCUAGCCCUAUUUUUUUUCUCUCUCUUUGUGCUCAAGAUCCAUGAUGUGCAACUAAUUUCUUUUGCUUGAUCGAAGGAGACGGAAGCCUUGGACCAAUUAUAACUGUGAGAUCCAUUUGAUUUUUAUUGAUUAAUUCAUAUAUUUAGUGUUAAAUCUUCUUUUGCACUUACUUCUAUGAUUGUUGUGUUUAAUUUCUAGAGUGCACGCAAGUUUAUUAGUUUCAAUAAUCUAUAGCUAAGUUAAAUAUCAAAUUCGUAAUUAUUUGAUUAAUUUAACUUAUGAAGCAACUAACAUUAGUAAUUUGCUGCUUUAGAAAAUUAUUAGAUCUUAGGGAGAAGUUUUAUGUAGGUUAAAUGCAAACUCUUGGCUUGGGUUAUCUAGUUCAUUGAUUUCUCUAAUUCGCAAAGCCAUUAUGAAAUUAAAUUCUCGCACUUGUCUAGGAUUGUUUGAUAAUGAGGAUUAAUUAGAUUGCUUGUUUCUAAUUAAUUAAAACUAAGGAAAAAUAGGAAAAUUGUUUCGAAUGAGAAAUUUAUUUUUCACAAUGAAGGCUACAAUUAUGAAUUGAUGAUUAUUGGUAGAUCAAUGACCGGUUAUUAAUUUCCAACGGUGUAUAUGACGUAGAUCAAGGUUUGUUUUAUUGCUUAUAUUUAAUUAGGUGAUUUGUAUUAUUUCAAGAAAAUCAAAAUCCCCUAUUUUAGUUAAUAUUGCAUCAAAAAGUAAAUUAACCACUCUUCGUGGGAUCGACCCUUACUUCCACUACUACAUUAAUUUUAAGAAGUAUAUGCUUUAAUUUGGAGUGCCUACGACAGCACGCAUCAUUAGUGUGCUCCCAAAUUUGACUUAAGGUCGCAUUUCAAGAAAUGUGACUUUGCAAAUGGAGGCCUUUUAUGAGAUUUUGACACUUGGCACAAUCCUGACCAUUUGAUGACGAUUUAGGAUGGUUUUAGGGUUUGUCUAUAUGUACAUUGGGGUUGACAUGUACCAACCCCUUAGAAGAGGGAGGCCACGAUUUUUUUAUUUGUCGUGGGGCCCCCUAUUGUGAGGGGGUCUGUGCACCAGGGUAUUAACAUCGGUAUACAAAUAGAAAAACCUGUAGUUUUAUUGCCUUUACUCUCUGUUGUUUCACUUGAAAUACUUCAUUCUACCUUUUCAGAUUUCUGCAAAGAGAGAGUUUACGCUCGUUUGGUAAGGGUUUCAUCUUGAAUCAUUUUCUCUCUUGAAAAUCUCAUUCGCAAUUGAGAUCAAUGUUUUACUUCCUUUGAUUCUUGUAUUUUCUGAGUGGUUCCUAUAUUGUGUUGUUCAAAGUAUUGUUUUGAGGCUUCUUUUAUGAUUCCUUGAGUAGAUUUUCAGUUUCAUCUUUGAGAAGAUAACUAUUGUGACUUUAUCUUGUAUUGGUUCAACGUUUAUAAGCUUUGUUUUCUUUCAAAGUUAAAUAGUGCAAUCGAGCAUUAUCCAUUUUAUAUGGAUAAUCAAUAGGGGAUUAGGUAUUAGAAGCAAUCAUCGAACCCUCGGAGCUUCAGCCGAAACAAUUCUUUGUGUUGAUUUUCAUUUCUUGCAAGCUUAUUUUCUACACUUAGUUUUAAGUUUGACAAAUAAGUUAUACCUUGUUGUUUUUGGGCAUUUGAGUAGUAUUAGAGCUUGGAUCUUGAAUUGCAAAACCAGCUCUUCAAGGAAACUAAAGAUCUUAAAGGGACCUCAAAUUUUUGUGCACCGUUUUGAAGGAAUCUGAGUUUUCUUAUAAAACUCACUUGAUAAGAUUUUUUAAAAUUAUGCAACCUGCAAUUUUAAAAAAUUAGGGUUUCUUGCUUUUUUCCUUAAUUUACAAUACCAUUACAAAAUAUCCCCUGGAUACUAUUAUUUGCCCAAAGUCUCUUAUGAGGUUUUGGAAAUCUGAGAUUAAUCUAGUACUGGUGUAUAACGGGAGGAAUAAAAAUUUGCGAUCUAUAUUUGUGAUUCUUGUGAUAUUUUUUGUUGCCUGUCCACUGUUAAGUACAUAUUCUUUGACUAAGUAAAAACUCUUGUAUGUAACUCGAAAUAUUAUACCAUUACGUGCACUAUUGUGAUCUUAAACUGAUCUUGUUUAAGUGUUGGUUCUUUACCGUGUGUCUUUCCCUAUCUCUAGUUAAACUUGCUUGUCAGUUUCUUAUUUGUGAUGGCCAUUGCUAAGUUCGAAAUGAGUCAGUAUGAUGGGAGGGGGAUUUUAAUAUGUGGAGUCAGAAAAAGAAAGGUAUCUUGAUGCAAAUGAGAUAUGCUAAGGCCUUAGAUAAUACUUGGCCUACUAGUAUGAUCCCUGCUAAAAAGAAAACAUUGCUUAGAGUACUAUGUUUUGUACCUUUCUAAAAUGUGAUUAGAACCAUUGGUGAAACUAAAACUGUUAUUGAACUUUGGACCAAUUGCAGGCUCAGUAUAUUACCAAAACUGUUCCAAAUAAGUGCUAUUUGUUGACAAAGUUCCUUUUUUUUUUUAAAUGGAUCCUCUAUUGACUUGGAUUAAAACUUGAAUAGAUUUAUAAAACUUACCAAGACGUAGCUUUUUGUGAUGAAAAACUUUCAAAAGAUCAAUUGGUUAUGGUCUUAUCAAACUCCAUUAGUGACAAUCACAGAGACCUCAAUAAUAUCCUUAAAUAUGGUACGGAUGAAAUCACUAUUGAUAUUAUAAUCAGUGCCCUUAGAAAUAGAAUUCUUGAAAUAAAAUCUAAAUUUAAAGAUCGUCAAAAUGGAGAAAAUUUAUUGGUUAAGGGUAGGAGCAUUGGUAAAUCUAAUUAUCACUCUAAAGGCAACAAUGAGUGUAAAAAGAAAUGGAGUGAUGAGAAUAAACUCUAAAUAUGUUUGACAUGUAUGACUGUAAACUUGUAACUUUCCCAUUAAUCAAUCAUUUUAAAAUUUCCUCCAAUUGCUGCCCUAAAACUGAGGAAGUGUAUGAUAGAAUGUCUAAAAUUCCUUAUGCAGAUGUUAUUGGGUCUAUCAUAUACUUGAUGAUAUACACUAGACCUGAUCUUGUUUAUAGCGUUAGUGUACCUGGCAAAUUUAUAAGUAACCCAAGGGAAGAACAUUGGGAUGCAUUAAAAUAGCUUUUGAAAUAUCUGAAAAGAACUUUGAUUUAGGAUUUAUGUUUAAAAUGAGGAGGUAACUUCAAAAGGUUGUACUAAUUUUGACUUUAUUGGAGAUAGGGAUAAUAGGAGAUUAACUUCAUCCUAUUUAUUGCGUGGAAGUUUCAAGAGAUCUUGAAUUCAAGCUCAGAAAAACCACUAAACGAAUACCACCCGACCUCGGCUCAACCAACACCCUUCUUUCACUUGGACUGGUUCAAGAUUUCUUACCCACAAAGGAUGAUGGUCGUGGUGACUACAAUAUAAAGCAAAGAAUGAAGCAACAGUGGUUGAGUUUCUCAAAACUCACGCCAAAAGUGUAUGUUGAUGUUCAUUUAAUGGUUUCUUGAGCCAAGAUUAAAGAUUUCUCAAAGUUUCUAAUAAUAAAUGGUAUCAGAGCUUAUGUUAUUGAGAAAUUUGUGAUUUUUUGGGUCAAAGAUCGACUGUAAAGGGCUAAAAAUGAAGCUGGAACAUGGUAGAAAGUAGGGAAAAAAAUCUAGAUACAUUGAAAAUCAUCUCUGUCGGAAUUUUUUUAUUUUUUGCAUUUCUCGGCCAGACAACUCAUCGUUUGGAGAAACCAACGCCAUAUGAAGACUGCGCAAGUGGAGGAGCACCUGGGAGACUGGCCUGUGAAGCUCUGGCAUGACGAUAGUUAGGCCACCUGCAAAGACAGAAGUCUCAUGUAGUGAAAGUCUGGCAGAGUUUGGUAACAACACUUGAAGACAAAAUAUUGCUGACAACGAGGUAGACCUUGCGAUGGUGCUUAUUUUCUGUUUGGUCAAAAUAGUUAAAUCUAGACGAUUUUGCCCUUGGACAUUGGGGUGUCGAUGCUUUUUUUGUUUGCUGUAGUUUCUGGAGGCUUUAAAGCGAAUGGUGGUGGCCCUAAAGUGAUGAAUUUUGUAUAUUUCUUUGUUUACAAACAAGCAAAUAUUGUCCACUCGGUAUCAUGUUCUUUCCCUUUUUUAUUACAAUUACGGCUAUCAUGGGGGUAGCCACCUACUUUUCACAUUAGAAGCCAAUGUGUGGGGUAACAUUAGGUUUGAGGCUACCGUGUGGGAAUAACCAUUGUCUGUUGCUAAACCUAAGAAUUAUUUUUUAAUUAUUUACCUUAAAUUCUUUGUGAAUUUAUUACUAAAUGUUUGUACACUGCUAGAAUUUCAUGUGACCUUAGAGAAGUUUGUUUGAUUAUUCGGUGUGAAUUGUGUCGUUACUUUGCUUGUGGUCAUAUUUGGUGUUGAUGGCAAAUGUAUGUCUAAGACAAUUGCAAAAAGUAAUGCAUUUUUGAACAUCAAUAUUUCGGACAUGUUGAAAGAGAUUGUCGUAGGAAGGAUAAUAGAAGGAAAAAUAAAGAGAGAGGUGAGGUAAAUGUUGCCACUGGGUUUGGCUAUGAUCCAAGUGAGGUUUAUUAAGAGUAAACUUGAAUAUUGUAUGUUCAUUUGUGUACAAUCCUUUCUCAUGUAUGGCCGCUUAAUUUUAUUAAGAUGUUAUAUGUUACAUUUUCAAUCUGUUUGACAUGUUUAAUUGCAUGAAUAAAGAGUAAUCUUAAUGCGUUUGUAUACAUAGCGUGUUGACGUCUAUGUCAUACUCUUUUUGCUCUAUGGUUGGUACAGGAAAGUGUGGUAGUGAAAAGAAAAAGGGGCCGCUACUUUCUCCUUUACAUUUGUGAGUCUAUGUCAUUUGUGAUAUUAUAUAGGGUAGCCAGGUGUAGGUUAUCCUCUUUCUCUUUAUGAGCCUUUUUAGUAAUGCAAUAAAGAACUAACUAUUUCUUAUAUUUUCUUUGUGAGUGCCACAUACACCCUUCUCUCUGUGAACUUCUUGAGAUUUAAUGAGGAAGAAAUCUUUUGGUACGUUGGUCAAUUUAAACUGAGCCCUAACCUUUGUGGUCACCAAAGGUGUCAAUUUUGUUGUAGUGGUGCUAACAGUAAGCGGGCUGUGUUUCAUUUGGUAAUGUGAAGUAUAGAUACCUGAGGCUGCAUUGGCGAUAUACACGGAUAUGUGGAGAGUGAAAUUUGGAUCACGAGUAAAAAUGUGAUAUAAUGUCCGGAAUCCUCUAUCUAUGAAAGACCUUGUACAAGUAAAGUGUGAAAGAGACACUUUUAUCACUUCUGUUAAGUAGAGACACAUUAUCCACUUAGGUUGAGACAAAUGAGGUAGUGACAGAAGAUUAUCUUGUGGAUUUAAAAUCUAUUGUGGUUUAACAAUUAGACAUGAAUUUAGUGAUCAAUCUAGUGAGCAUGGUGGACAGUGAGAGAAGAUAUAUGUUCUCGAGGUACAAGCAAUACGAAAUGAGAUAGGAUAAGUGUAGUGAGAUCUUUUCAUGGGGUUAUUUAUGCACUUGUUGCAUAUGUGUUAGUCGUUUGAUUGAUUAACUUGAUAUUAGUUUACUAUUUUGUUUAAACAUAUUUGAAAGGACUUGUAUGUUAUCCUAUUUUAUAUCUUCAUCACAUGUUUAAAUGCUUUUAAUUGAUUACUAUGAUUACUUGCUCCUAUUUGGGUAUUUUUUGAAAUCGGCCCUGAUUAGUGCAUUGAACAGGUAUGGUACGUCUUUCGGGUCGAAAACAUGAGUUAAGGUCUGUGAUUUCGACGAUGGUGUGAUUUAAUCGUUGUGUGGAAGCUUCGAAAAAUCUUUAAUACGGUCUCAGAAAAACCACCAAACGUAUCACCUGAGCUUUGCUCGACCCACAACUUUACACUUGGUUGUCUUCUUUCCAACACCCACAAAGGAUAGAACUUUGGUAAUUAAUGUGUACCCACAAAGGAAAAAGAGAAUAAAUGAAGGAAUGGUUAAACUCAAAUUUUACCUAAGUUGGUUACUGCACGUUUUCUCUUCACAAUUGCACAUUAACUCACGGCUGCAAAAAAUGAAGAGAUAAUGGAUGUAUACAGCAUUAGGUUAGAUUCCAAACUUGGGCCAAAUACUUUCAAUGGGCUAAGACAGAUAACAACUAGGAAAAAUUCAUAAAUAAGAUGUUAACUAUCACAUAUUUCAAAAUUAAGAACAAAAGUUUCAAAUUUAAAAAAUCAAAUAUUUAUUACAAUUUAUUUAUUAUUUAUUUAAUUAAUUAUAUAUUUAAUUAAUUAAAUAUAUAAAAGUCACCGAUGUAUGCAAUUUGGUCACAAAUUCACAAAUUUAGUUAUUUACAUAUUAUUUUUCGAUCACAGAUCAAAAUUUUAAUAUGUCAAAAAUUAUUUUAUGAUCACAAUUCAAAAAUUUUAUACGCCAUAAUUCGUUCAUCAAUCACAAAUCACGAAUAUUAUAAGUCACAACUUAUUGCACAACUUAUUGGAAAGUCACAAAUUAACAAUUUUUUAAGUCACACAUUAUUUCUUGGUCAUAGUUCAUCUCUUUCAUUAAUCACAUAUCAUUUAUUGAUCACAGAUUAAUUUAAUGGUCACGGUCAACCGAAUGAUUUGUGACUACCAUUAAUGCUUGUGACAACCAACUCACCACUGCCUCCAACAGCAUCACCAUAACCGUCGUCGUCGCAGCCUGAACCUCCAUCACCUACUACAACAAAUCUAACACAUUGCCAAAAAAAAAAAAAAAAAAAAAAAAAAAAAAAAAAUUAAUUUGUGACUACCAUUAAUGCUUGUGACAACCAACUCACCACUGCCUCCAACAGCAUCACCAUAACCGUCGUCGUCGCAGCCUGAACCUCCAUCACCUACUACAACAAAUCUAACACAUUGCCAAAAAAAAAAAAAAAACAAAACAAAACAAAACAAUUCAUUGCACCAAAUCCAUCGCUACCUUACCGCCACAACCACCGACAAACAACCAUUUUCAACUACAAAACCACCACCCAUCAACACAUCUAUGCCAGAUUCACUAACACCACCACCUCCAUCAACAAAACCACCAAUCCACCACCGAUCUAACACCACCAAACCCAAAUAAUUAGUCACAACCCACCUCUAGAACCACAACCUGGCUACUACAGCACCCGCAAAACGACCACACCAUCAUCGUACAUAUAGCACACAGCCAUUGCCAUCGUUAUAUCCAUCUCUUCUAUCUCAGUCAACACAACAACACUUCCACGCCCCAAACAAAAAAUCCACAAACUUACCGCUACCAUUGCACAUAAUACCACCUACGCCACUGUAGGCAAAAACACCACAAAACUAACGUAAUAAGAUAAAAGGAAUAGCCCGAACUCCAUCUUUGGUUGCCACACUACAGAAACAGUAAGUGGUGCUGUAAUCUUGACAUAGAAGUGAGGCAAAUGGCGUCCAAAUCUCAGGCAAAUGGCAUCCAGAGCAUGAGGGGUUGCUGCCCAUCGCUCACACAACAUCGAUAGCGUCGUGUGAGUGCAGCACCGCCAAUGUGAGGAUAAAGACAGAAAAGGAGAGAAACGAGAUAUAGAGAGAUAAAUGAUGUGAAAAUCAAUUAGGUUUUGGGAUGAAAAUUGUAUAUUUCAUAUUUAAAUAUGAAAUAUCUGAUUUGUAAAAUAUGAAACGUCCCACUUACUUUUAGAACAUAGAUCUUUAAAAGCAAAGUGGGGUAUGAUUUCCUCUAACCCUCUAACAACCAACCAAUUAGUUGGGUUAACACACAUAUCACUCUCCAAACCUAAACAACAAAUGGGAUAACUCACAAAUGGGUUGUCCUGAAUGAAUUGGUAGUUUUUGAGCCAAGCCAAGCACUAUGGUGUCGAUGAAUUAUCCAACAUAUAUUUUAAAUCAUAGCCAAAAAUUUAUUUGGUAUAAAAAAUCCAACACUAUUUUUAUACAGUUUGUGGUACUAUUAUAAUUUGGAAAUCACAACUUCAAAUGGUUGUGUCUCUAUCUUCAACAAAGGCAGAAUAUAUUGUUUCCAUCGAUGCCAUUAAAGAAGGUAUUUGGUUAAGUGAUUUGUUAGGUGAACUUGAUUUUGUUGAUGAAAAUACAAUACUAUUUUUAAAUGACCAAAUUGUCAUACAUUUGAGAAUAAAAUCCCAUGUUUUAUGAUAAAACUAAGCACAUGGAUAUUAAAUAUUGCUUCAUAAAAGACUUCAUUUCAAAAGGGAUACUUAAAUGGUAAAUUGUUACUCAAUUUAAUCCUUCAGAUAUAGGUACCAAAGUAAUACCUUUAAGUAAGUUUCAAAAUUGCUUGAAGUUAUAUGAAAUAUAAAUUUGAAAAAUCGAGAGAGUGCUUAUGUUGUUUCAUUCAAAGUGUUGGUUUGAGGGUUAUUUUGUGAUUUCUUGAGUAAAUCUACAGUUUCAUCUUUGACAAGAUUAGUAUUGUGACUUUAUCUUGUAUUAGUUGAAUUAUUGUAACCUUCAUUGCCGUUUUUGGGUAAAUAGUACAAUCGAGUAUUAUCCAUUUCAUAUGGACGUUCAACAAAGAUUAGGUGUUAGAAGUGGUUACUGACUUUGGGACUUCGACUGAAACAAUUCUUUAUGUUAAUUUUCAUUUCAUGCAACUUUAUUUUCUGUACUUAGUUUUGAGUUUGACAAAUCGCUUAUAGUUUGUGUCUUUGGGCAUUUCAUCCUCUAACAUGCAUUGACUGUAUACUUUGGAUUCGCUUAUCAUAUCCAAAAAAGGAAAGAAAUAUGCAUGUAUACAUUUGGUACGCUUCACUAUGAAGAAAGAAAGAAAUAACAAUCCCCCCUCAUGAUGUGGCCGAGUUGGUGUGAGCGCGGCGGCUUUUAGUCACAAGUUCGAUUCCCCCUAUCAACACUUUCUCGAUCAAAUUUGUCGCAUCGGGCUUGUCUAGUUCAAUUUACCUAGCUCGCUAUUACGUCAGCUCGAGGGCUUAACCAGUACGCACCCGAAAAGUAGCAGCUGUGAGUUCCCCGUCAUAAAAAUAAAAAAAAUAAUAAAUAAUAAUAAAGAAAUAACAAUCAAAAAGUGUAUAGACACUGAAGAGGAUGUUGUCAUCCAUCCCGUCUAUCUCGUUUCUAGAAUGGAUUGACGAACUAAAAUAUUGCUCUAUUGAAAUUCUAUUAUAAUUGUCAAUUAUCCCGUCCAACCCACCUAGGAUGAUCGAGCACAAAAAUGUAAAAUUUGAUAAACUUAACCUGGAACUUAUUGUCUGAACUUGACAGCUCUGAGAUGAAUCAUCAACAUAUAUAUUUGUUCAUACUUUCUACAUUGUACAAUGGAAUUUUAAAAUCAACAUAAAUAUGUUGGUUGAGUCAAAUAUACAAUAUAUCAAGCAUGCCUAUAGAAGUAGAAGUGAAAUUACUAAAAAUAUGAAUCUCCAAACUUAUUCAAGGGAUUUUAUUUUCUCACCCAUGGCAAUGGAUUUCUUGCAAUGAGCAAUCGCUGCUUGAAUUGCACUCUGCAACUCUUCCUUAGUACUGUCACAUGCUGCGGUAGGAGUAAGAGUUCCAUUUGCUACUAAUAGACCAUUGUUUGUUGGAGAUAUUCUCACUGAACUUGGUUCUGAAAACUCCCCCCUUCUUCCUCUCAACUUUGGCUUCCCCCUAAUGAGUAAAUUUCAGGAAAAUGAAUAGGAUUGCCUGUGUAAUUUAUUCCCUCUUCUAAAGAUCAGACGGGGUCGAGCCAUUCUCGCGUAUCUCUUCAAAAACCGACUUACAUUGAAUUUUAACUUCUUUUUCUGCCUUUCUUUACAUUCCUUUUCUCCUUUUCGCCAUUUCAAUAAGCUAAACAAAGAAAAAGGCUUGGAAUUUGCUCUUCCUUUAGCAUCAAGCUGGGAUCAAUAUCGUUGUCAGUACUGUUGAUUGUCUGAAUGGAUUCUAAUUCUUUUAUGGAUAGGGUAAAACUAUCCAAAGAGUUGUUCAAAGAACGAGGGGAUACCGGAAGGUGGGAGAGUAGAUGGAGAGGAAGCAAAUGGCCAUGGAAAAAUAUAUCAUCUGCUGGAGAUAAAUCUACGGCGAAUGAAGAAGUGUUCUUAUUAUUUUCUGAGGUUUUUGCAGGGGCUGAAGGAUGAAGAGAAAUGGUGAAGGAGAAUUCAUGAGAAGGAGAUGAAGAAGCUGAAGGUGGCAAGGUUGCUGCAAUUGGUUGCAGCUGAUUACUCUCUCUCUCUCUGCUGAUUUUCUUCAUGCUUCUCUCUCAUCUUAUGAUGAUGUUUGUCUAUGCUUCAAUGCUAAAAGAUAUGUCGGAUCUGAAGUUUUUCUUGACUUGCUUUGAUAUGAUAUUCUCUGGUUAGAAAUGUGAGGAAAUAUUUUUGAAGGGAUAAAGAUGUUAGGAAGUAAUAUAGUUCGUGUGUGAGUAUCAAGAGGAUAUGUAGGGCUAACGGGUAGGCGUUGGAUGUGGGUAUGGGGUUACGGAGUGGGACAGGGUUUCAUUUGUUUUUUGAAGGGAAGGGGACUGUUCUCGGCAGGUUUGUUAAAUGAAAUCCGUAUUUAAUAGUGCGUUUCAUAUGGACUCGAUGGGACAUAAUAAUAAUAAUAAUAAUAAUAAUAAUAAUAAUAAUAAUAAUAAUAAUAAUAAUAAUAUUGAAAGUGCUUAUGAACAGUCUAAAUUAUAAAUUAAUUAAAAUAUUGAUAAAUAAGUGGAUAAUUUUUAUAAAUCUUAUAAAAUUGUAGAAUAAGGAGAAAUUUGACCAACUAUAAUCAUUAUCCAAGCAUGAGUUCAAAAAUUUACAGAUAAUUAAAAUUUUAUAUUGUCGUAAAAUAUCCGAUAAUAAUGACUGAUUAGUUGAUAUUAUUAUGCCCAUGUUUGGUUUCACUAAAAAUUUAGAUUAAAAUUAAAGUUAAAGUCAACAAUUAAUUUUAACUACACAUUUUAUAAGACUCAUAACUUUUCAUCCAAAAAUCCCAUUAUCUUUUACCAAAAUUUUCAAAAAAAUCUGAUUUUAUCUAAACUAAACAAGGGCCAGAAGGAUAGAUAACUUUCCUACCUUAGAAGAAUGUUUUCUAUUCAAAUUGUCACUCAUUGAAACCUUAUAUAUAACAGUCAGUGUUAUGAUGAAAUUCACACGAGUUUUGAUACCCUUAUUUUCUUCUAUUGUUCUUGCUUUUCUUCUUAAUUUAAUAGCAUGUUAUCAGCACGAGUUCUAGUGAAUUUAACUAGGAAAAAAAAAUUCCCCUGCAAAAGACAAGUUAAGAAUCCGGUAUGAUAAAUUUGAUUAUGCAAUCUUAAUAUGAAAAUUAGUUACGAAAAAUUUAAGAUAUGCAUUUUGUCAUUACUUGUGAAAAAGAAUGAUCUAAUAUUCAAUUAAAUUUUUUUUUUUAUUUUGUGGCCUAAUAUUCAAUUAGAAUUUGUGGGGGUGGAUAUUGCAUUGUUGCUCCUGUAGACCACAAACUUAAAUAUCAAUAUCUAUAAAAUAUAUUAUAUGGCUCAAAAAUAUAUACACAUAUAUUUCAAAAGAAUAUGGUGUCGUUCAUGAAAAACAUAAAACUUAUUUCAUUGUGUUUAUGGAGAAGUACAAACUAAACGAUUAAGUAUAGUGGUAUAGUGUUGUAAUUCUUGAAGAAAACACUUUAUUAUUUUAUAAUAUUUAUAUGGUACAUUAUGUUAAUACUUCGGAGGAAGUAUAGUUUUCCUGCAAUAUUGUGAAAUAAUAUUUUGUUUUUAAUCUUGAUGAAACAGGAGUUUAUAUUGUAUUAUUGCUCCAGAAGAAAAAUAGAUUUCUUAUUUAUCAAUAUUUUUUAAAAACAUAGUGAUAUUCUUGAAUAAUAAAUUUUAUACAAACUAAUAUCCUACAUAAUUUGAAAUUUUAAAAUUUUCAUAAAAAGCUCUAGAAGGGCCAAAAGUUUAUCAUAUGGGUGAACAAAAUGUAAUACUACAUUAAUUUUCUCCCCAUUUCAAAUGAAUAAUGAUAUUAAAAAUUCACAUAAAUAUUAAUUAAAGAACCAAAAAAUUCUUUCAAUGAAUUCCUUGUGUUUUUAUUCUCAUGAUAUAAUGUUGUAAUGUGACCCAAAUUCUUGUGGUUAUUGGUGUUUUAGUUGAAGUGGUCUUGUAGAAAUCAAAAUUAUAGACAAUGAAGAAAAGUUGUUGUAUUUUCGCUAGCCUAACACUAGUUGGCAGCUCGGGCUGCACCAACAUAUUUUGAAUAGAAAUUUUUCACCCUUUUGGUGCUCAAACGAUGGGGCUGUCACCAUCUUUCGCCCCCCGUAGCUUGAGCGAUGGGGUCAUUAGUGCAGCCCCUCUUUCCAAGUUUUAAUGUCUUUUGGACUCUUGUUUAUCUUCAACUCAGUUUCUAGGGUUUUAUAUAAAUAAGCCACUACUUAUAUUGUUCAGAUAACACUCAUACAACAUCUUGAGAGCUUUAGAUCUUAAUUGAGAGCAUUGAAAUUUUGUUGUAAACAAAUUGCUAUUGCCAAUAGUGGAUUUCUCCUCCUCAACCCAUGGUUUUUUGCCAUGUUAAGUUUUCACGUAAAUCUUGCUGUUAUUUAUUUUGUUCUUGUUUAUUUCAUUACUGUCAUAAACUUUCGAUCAAAUUCGCAACAAGUGGUAUCAAAGUGAUUUUGGUAACUUGUUUGUUCAUAUCAAGUGAUAUCAGAGCCAGGUUGAUUAUCUAGCAUGGCAAUGAUGAAGUAUGAUAUUCCAUAAUUGGAUCGAAACACAAGAUUUACUUUAUGGAAAGUGAAGACGCGAGCAAUUCUCACACGGAUGGACUUGAAAGAAGCCUUGGUUUUGAUAAGAUGCCUUCAACCUGGAUAUAGAAAAAAAGCAACGUAGGGAUCGAAAAGCCCAAUCCCAAAUUUAUCUACAUCUAUCAAAUUAAAUUCUUUAAGAUAUUCUCAAGGACAAGAGUGCCUCGUAUUAUGGUUAAAGUAAGAGCAGCUUUGUAUGAAAAAGACAUUGACCAGCAAGCUUCACUUGAAACAGUACUUGUAUUUUCACAGGAUGUUCGAAGAUACAUCAUUGGAUGAUCACUUAACUAUGUUCAAAGAAAUCAUGGCCAAUUUGGAGACAUUGGAGGUUAAGUAUGAUGAGGAGGACUUGGCAUAGAUGUUGUUCUGUUCACUGUCCCCAUCAUAUGUGACUUUUAGAGAUACUAUCUUCUAUAAUCGAGAUAUUCUCACCGUGGAAGAGAUCUAUGAUGAUUUGCUAUCUAAGAAGAAAAUGAGGCAUCUUGUUCGAGGAUCUUGGAGUCAAGCUGAAGGCCUGGUCAUUCGUGGAAGAAGUCAGGAUCAAAAUCUUGGUAAAAAUAUGAAGGCCAGAUCGAAAUCGAGACGUACAGAAAAGUUAUGUCAUUACUCUACGAAGAAGGGACGUAUCAUGGUUGAUUGCUAUUCUUUUGAAAAAUGGGAAUAAGGUUGUCGAUCCCAUUGAAAGGGAAAAAUAACAUGUUAACACAACGAAAGCUGAUGUUGUGGAAGACACACAAAGUGAAUGAGAGCUUCUUGUAAUGUUUAACAUAGAUUCUAAACCUUGUGAGGAAUGGAUUCUUGACUCAACUUCUACUUUCCACAUGUGUCCUAAUAGGAUUGGUUUACAACAUAUGAAAGAGCUUCGAGAGCUGCAAUGAUAAUGGGAAACAAUGCGCAUUGUAAGAUUGUCGGAGUUGGUAAAGUCAGAAUCAAAAUGUUAGAUGAUGUUAUCAGAACACUUUUAGAUGUCAUGCAUGUUCCAAAAUCAAAGUGAAAUCUAAUAAGUUCGAGUACAUCUGACUCAAAAGGUCAUAAAUACACUGGUGAAUGUGGAGUUUUGAAGGUGAGUUGGGGUGCUCUUACUGUCAUGAAGGGAUAAAAAACUCUACAUAACUAUAUGUUUUGCAAAGUUACAGGAGAUACAACAGUCUCUACUUCUUCUUUGACUGAUAAAGAAGUUCCAAAACUUUGGCAUAUGUGACUUGUCAUAUGAGUGAAAAUGGUAUAGCAGAGUUUAGUAGGAGGAGAGGGAAUACUUGAAUAUAUACAUUCAGCUCUUUGUGGACCGGUCAGGGUACCUUCAAAAGGAAGUACUUAUUAUCUAUUAAAAGUGUUUGAUGAUUUAUCCAAGAAAGUUUGGGUAUUUUUCCUAAAACAGAAGAUUGAUGUAUUUGGAACCUUCAAGGAAUGGAAAACAAUGAUAGAAAAGUAGAUUAAGUGUCUACGCACAGAUAAUGGGUUGGAGUUUUGUUAAAAUGAUUUCAUUAGCUUCUACAGAGCUGAAGGCAUAUUGAGACACUUGAUAGUGCCCAGAACUCCUCAACAGAAUGGUAGGCAGAACAAAUGAAUAGAACUUUGAUGGAAAGUAUUCAUUGUAUGUUUUCAAACUCUGUGUUGCCUAAGAUUUUUUAGGCUGAAGCUACUACCACAAAUUGUUUUCCGAUUAAUUGCUCACCCACAAUUGUCACUGAGAAAAAGGCACUAAAAGAGGUAUGGUCUGAGAAACCUUCUUGUUAUACUGAUUUAAAGAUUUUUGGGUAUCUCACUUAUGCUCUAUAUAUAAUGGGAAGUUGAAGCCUAAUUCAAGGAGAUAUGUCUUUCUUGGGUAUAAAUCAGGUAUGAAGGGAUAUAAAUUAUGGUGACCUGAGACAAGAAAGGUGGUGGUUAGUAGAGAUAUAGCAUUUGAUGAACUGACUAUGGUUCAUAAUUCAUCUCGUAUGGAUUCUGAUAAAAAUGAAGAACAGAAUCAUUCAACUCAGAUGGAAUUGAAAAUUGGUCCAAUGAAUAAUUAAAGGUUUUAGAAAAGUCUAGUUCAAAAUUGAUAGACAGUAAUACUUUGCCUACACCACCAGCAACACUACAGUAUUCAAUUGUUAAGGGCAAACCUCACAGAUAGAUUAGACUUCCACAGAACAAUGGAGAAGUAGACUUGGUAGCAUAUGCUUUGAAUGUGGCCGAAGAAAUUGAUUCCACUGAGGAACCUGUUACAUAUAUAGAUAUCAUCAGCAGUAGUGAUUCAUGCAAAUGGUUUAUUGCUAUGCGAGAGGAGAUUGAGCCAUUGAAUAAAAAUUGUACUUGAGACUUGGUGAAACUACCUAAGGAUAAAAAUGUUGUUCGCUACAAGUGGGUAUUCAAAAGGAAAUAAAGGACAUUAUGGAUUGAAGAUACUAGGUAUAAGGUCUGAUUGGUAACGAAGGUUUAUAAUCAAAUUCUAGGUGUUGACUUCACAGAUGUGUUCUCUUUGAUUAUAAAGCAUAGUUGAUUGUAAAACAUGGUUCAAUUCAAGCUUUACUUGAGAUAGUGGAAAAAAGAGUGACUUAGAACUUGAGCAAAUGGAUGUCAAUACAUCAUUUUUGCAUGAAAAACUUGAAUAAAACAUUUACUUGCAACAAUCAAAGGUUUUAAUGUUUCUGGGAAGGAAGACUCUAUGUGCUUGUUGAAGAAGUCCUUAUAUGGACAAAGCAGUCAUCGAGGUAGUGGAACAAAAUGUUCGAUUCAUUCAUGACUGCUCAUACUUUCAGCAGAAACAAUUACGAUAGUUUUGUGUACUUCAAAAAGGAAGAUGGUGGAGCGAUAAAAUAUUUGCUAUUAUAUAUUGAUGAUAUGUUCAUUGUACCCAAGGAUAAAGUAGAGGCCACAAAUUUGAAAUCUCAACUUAGUAAGCAGUUUGAGAUGAAGGAUUUGGAUGUAGCAAAGAAAAUUCUUAGUAGGAAAUCUUGAGGGAUGGAAAGUCUUUCAAAUUGUAUUUGAGUCAUAAUGGGUACAUUAAGAAGGUGUUUCAAAGGUUCAAUAUGUUGAAUGCUAAGGUUGUCAACACUCCCUUGGCUAUCCACUUCAAAUUAUCAUCUGGAUUGUGUCCUCAAUUAGAUGAAGACAUUGAUUAUAUGUCUCUGGUCCCUUAUUCAAGUGCAGUUGGUUCGUUAAUGUAUACUAUAGUUUGUACAAGACCGGAUUUGGUACAUGCAGACAAUACAAUUAGUAGAUACAUGGCAAAUAUUGGCAAAGAACAUGGGAAAACAAUGAAAUGGAUAUUCAGAUACUUGAAGGACUCAAUUAAUGCUUGCUUGUAUUUUGGUAAAAAUAAAGCUAGAUUUAUUGGAUAUGUCGAUUCAGAUUAUGCAGGAGAUCUUGAUAAAAGGAGAUCACUUAUAAGAUAUGUAAACACCCUUGGAGGUUGUGCUAUUAGCUGGAAAGCUAUUUUGCAAAAUAAAAUAGCUUUUUCUACAAUAGAGACAUAUAAGAAGGAUAUGCGGUUAAGUUGUUUGAUUGUUGAAAUCAGUGAUGGCUUGCAGAUUUCUACAGUAUAUGUGAUAAUUAGAGUGCUAUUUUCUGAUUAAGGAUCAAAUAUUCCAUGAGAAAACUAAGCACAUUGGUGUGAAGUAUCAUUUUGUACAUGAAGUGAUUGCUCAUGGUAAUAUUGUAGUGGACAAGGUUAAUACAAAAGAUAAUAAUGCUGAUAUGAUGACAAAUCUACUUUAUAUUGCUAAGUUUAAGCAUUACUUGAAUUUAGUUAGUGUUUAUCAUUAAUUUAGUCCAUUGGGUCUUGUUUAGAAGAGAAUGAAUGUUGUUUGCUUUAAAGAUGUGUUUUUGGAAUUUCUUGUAUUGAAAUUUGGUUCAAGGUGGAGAUUUGUUAUAAUGUGACCCAUGUUCUAGUGGGUAUAGAAGUCUUAGUUAAAGUAGUCUUGAAGAGCUCAAAAUUAUGGACCAAAAAGAAAACUUAUCACAUUUUUGCUAGCCUAACGCUAGUUGGCCGCUUGAGCGACACCAACAUGGCAGGGCCCUCUCUCCCUAUCACUCAAGUGACAGGAUUAUUCGGCCCAGUCUGUUUUAAUGCAUUUUGGACUCCUAUUUAUUUUCAACUUGAUUUCUAGGGUUUUAUAUAUAUGAGUUACAACUUCUAUUGUUUACAUAACAUUCAUACAAUAUCUUGGGAGCUCUAGAUCUUAGUUGAGAGCAUUGAGAUCUUAUUGUAAACACAACUAGUAUUGAUUAUAAUGUAUUUUGCCUCCUCUGCUAGUAGUUUUUUCCCAUCUUGGUUUCCACGUAAAUAUUGGUGUUCUUUAUUUUGUUCUUAUUUAUUUUAUUAUUGUCAUAAUCUUUCGAUCAAAUUCGCAACAGGUGGUAUCAAAGCGAUUCUGGCAUCUUGUCUAUUCAUAUCAAUAUAUACACUAGUUGGCUUUCACUAGCUAAAAUCGAGAUUGAAUUCCUUGUAUUUCUAAAAAUUAAUUAGGGUGAUUUAUGAGAUUCUUUCUAUUCACGUUGACUACCUAAAUAUUAUUUGUAUCUAACAAAUACAUCUCCUAUAUAAUUGUAUGUUAUUAUUUUGGCUAUGUUUGAGUCCCUUUUGUGUAAAAAGUGAGUUUUCUAAUAGUGAUUUUUAUGAAUAAUGUGUAAUUAAAAAGUAGAAAAAAAAUUUAAGUUUACGUGCAAAUUAUUCAUUUGAAGAAUAAUGGUUAAAAUUAAGCUUGAAGAAAAAUGAAUUUUUAGAAAAUGCAGCUCAAACAUGGGUUAUAUAUUCAUAACCUGACAUUUGCAAGAUUAAUUGCUCAAAAUUUUAAUUAUGAGAAUGAUUUUCAAGUUAUAUAAUAAGAAAGCUAGUGAGCAUAAAUUUCAAACUUUUAAUAAAUAUUAGUUAGGAUAAAAAAAAAAUGGUUUAACACUAUUAUUUAUUAAAUAUCUCCAAUUAAUUUUUGAACCAUUACUAUUUAAAAAAAGGGUUUUCCAUUUUAUGUCUAAUGAUACUAUUUUUCGUGGACAACGCUUCUACACAUUAUGUCAACAUCAAAGUUCUCCCUAUAUAGUUAGUUAGCUUAUGGUCAAAGCUUAAUAUUUCACAUCUACGAUUUUAAAAUAUUCAAUAUAUAUACAAUUGUUCCAACAUAGAGCACUAAGAUAGACAUUAAACCGUGAUACUAAUUAAAUUAUAAAGAUUUGUCGACUUCAUUUUGAUUACACAAUUUUCUUAGUAUUGGGAGGAGGUACUAAGAAGUUGAAAAUAAUAAACAUAAACAUAAGGAGGAGGUAUUAAGAAAUUAAAAAUUACAAACAUAAAGCAUCAUUUUAUUAUUUAGAUCAUUAUACAAGAUAAUGUGAAUUAAGAAUUUGAAAAGAUAAUUCAUUUAAGUGCAGUUACUCAUAAAAGAAUUUGACAAUAUAUUAAACAUUAUAUUUACAUGCUCCAACUCAAGUUGACGUCAUGGAGUAAGAAUCCAUUUACAUUAUACUUGAUAAAUCAAUGGCACGCUGAUGCGUGAUAAUAUUUGAUUCCAAGAUAAAAAUCUAAAAACAAAAUAAAAUAAAAAAAAUAGAGCGAAUAGUAAAGAUUUUCCCAUUAAGAUAUAUAUACUCUUGGUGAGUGUAUAACCACAUCAAUUUGUAAAACCGAAUAGAGGUUCAUGUAGAUGAGGUAUUGAAAAUUGAGAUAUCUCAAUAAAUUUUAUUAUUAUGAAUGGAAGAAACGAAAUUGAAAAGAAAAAGUUGCUAAAAACACUUUUGUAGAUGAUGCGGCAUGUUAUAUUAUGAACAAUAUAGAGAAUGUCAAAAAAAAAUUCAUCGAAAAAUACGGAAGUAGAAAUGAAUGGCUAAAAUAACAUGACAUAAUUCAGGCAAAAUUGAACGUAAUAGAGAUAUCUAAAGUUUUUGGACAUGCAGUUCAAACACCUAAACGUGUAAAGUUAAUUUUACAUAUGCGAAUAUCAAGUGAGAAACUGAAGUCACAAAAUAUAAUGCAUGACUCUUAACAUAAUAAAUUUUGGAAAAAAAUCGUAUAGAUAAAUUUUCAUGUGGAGGAUGAAAUCACAAAUAUAUAUCUUGUUAACCUAAUAUGCAUAAUAUCUAAUAAAUGUGGUUAUAAUUAACCCAUCGACAAGAUUAUUAAUACUAUUUUUUUAAAUAUGUUAAUUAUUCAAUAUGCUUAUAAUUCAAGUGAUAUUGUCAUAGGGAAGUAUAUAUAAUUUGUACACUUCUUAGUCUUCCCCUUUUUCUUUUUUUUUUUCUUUUACCAAGAUUGUAUCUCGUUGUUCUUCUCAAAAAUGCUCUUUUUUCCUCAUUAGAAUACUUUAGAAAGGUUCUUCCUAGUGAAAUUUUCACGAUGUAUAUUAUGUGUAAUGAAUAAUAAUAACAUACGUGACAUUUACUCUCAAUAUAACUUUAUGAUUUUACUCUCGUAUACUAUAAAUUGUAUAUUAGACUUCCGAAGGAAGAAUAAUAAAAUUUAUUUUUCAAUGGACCAUCAUACGGAAUGAAGUAAAAAAAUAAAUAAAUAAAUAUUAAUAUCUUUUAUGAAGACGAGUUUGCUUAAUACUAUAGCAAGACAAUAUUGAACAUAAUUCAUCAAAAUUAUAAUAUAAAUUUUUGGAAGAUGGUACAUUGAAACAUUGGCACAUAAUGAAAGACUCAAUAUAAGAAUUUUCAUUAGUACUUGUCACGAUACCGUACACUUACAGUUUAAGUGAACAAUAAUUCUAGGCAAUUUUUUUUAUAUAGAGGAACAAUUCUCUCAUUUAGUAGUCAGAGAAUUAAAGUCAUUCAUGAACUAUUUCUCUCCCAUUGAAAAGAGCGAUUGGCAUUUGCAAGAACUUUCAACAAAAAUAAAAAAAGAUGAGUACCCCCCCCCCUUCUUGCUACCACCAUCAACACCAUUUUUCGCUUUGAAUGGACCAAAACCAAAAAUAUUAUGAAUAGAAUGAAAGGAGAUAAGCUAGAAAGAAAGUUUAGUUGAAACUCAGAAAAAGAUACGUAGCUUGAACAAUAUUGAAAUUCAAUUUAGAAAAUAUAAAUAAUGAAAAUACACAAAAUCAAAGAUCACUCCAAAAACAAAAUCUCCACCCGUGAAUUAUUAUCAUGAUAAAUGAAUUCUUAAGUCCACAUAAACAAAGAUACGAUUUGAUGUUUUGUAUAAUUAAUGUGUAUAUAAAAUGCAAAUAAAAAUGAUUCUUUUUUCUUUUUUUGGUCUAGAAAAGAACAUAUUGUCCCUACCAUGAAUGAUUUUCAUUAAACAGAAACUUCAACUGUUUUUCGGCGGACUCUCACUUCACCAUUCAGUGUAAAAAAUAAAUUAGGAAUUCUUUAGUCAAUAAAUUUGCCAAAAAAUAAAAAAAGGAUUAUGAUGAAGGCAUCUUGACUAGUCAGCUGUUGAUUUGAUAGCUUAUAUUGAUGAAAUAGCUAUGUCGAUCUCUGUUUUAUAUUUUAGCUUAUAAAUUAUUAAGUCAUAUGAAUAUUUUAUAUGCAGUAAUAGAGAUGAUUGCUUAAAUGUGAAUUUAAGGGGGCAAAAAAAAAAUCAUCGAGAAAAUUGUAUUCAAUAAUUUAACAAUGGGAAUAAUGGUUGUAUGAAAAGGCGGAAAAGAUAUUAAGGCCUUGUUUGAGCUCCAUUUUGGGAGAAAAAAUAAAUUUUUGAAUAGUGUAUCAAUGGAAAAUGCAUAAUUAAAAAAUAAGGAAAAGUUUUGAAUUUGAGUGUAAUAUUAUUUUAUUAAAAAUGUGUGAUUGAUAUAAUAUCAAAAUACUGUUUAAGAAUGUAUCCCAAAAAAAAAAAGACUCAAACAAGGGUUAAAGUUUGAUAAAGAUGGGUAGGGACACACGAGUGUACUAAGUGCUCCAUUAGUCCAUUUCAGAGUUUGGUCGCUUAUUUAAGGUCAAAUUCUAAAUCUUGGAUGCAUUCUUUGGGUGGACAGGCUUAUCUUCCCCCACUUAGCACUCAAAAUUAUUGUGUGUGUGUGUAUAUAUAUUCGUUGCACUCAAACCCCAUAAAACAUUUAUUUAAAAAUGACGCGAGUAAUUAGAUGAGCAAAUUACAUUAGAAAAUAAAAUAAAUAAGAAACAUCUAUGAAAAUGUGCGUAACUUUCGAAUCGAGUUUCAGAUUUAUGCAAGCAAGUAAAAUUCAAAACACUUUUUUUCAAUUUUGCACAAUUUUUUGGGACAAUGUUGGCCGAAAGUCAAACUUUCGGGCUCAAAUUUUGUCGUUUAGAUGUCCAUUUUAGGAAUUUUCUAAUUUUAGUCCAUUAAAGGGCAUUUUCAUCACUUUACGCCUUAUUUUAGUUUUAUUUAGAUUUGUGUGUUGAAUUAGAAUUUCUCUUUGAUUAGGAUUUGUUUUGACUAGUUAAAUAUUUGUUAAGAGUUUGAAAAUUCUAUAUUCAUUUUUUAUUAAUAAUAAUUUAGUCUUCAGUUGCCUCGUUAUUUGAUGGAUUCUAAUAUAUCUCAAGUUUGUUCAAGUGCAAGUCGAACAAUAGUCGUUCAUGUGUGUUAGAUGGCAGUUCAGUCUCCAAAUAAAUAUUUCUCAUUAACUAGGACAUGGGUGCUGUUCAGGGACACCCAGUGAAAUUUAUCCUAUGAAUUGUAAAGUUGAUGUUUUGUACCAUGUUGAUUGACUUGUCAUUCUUUAGAGAAAAGAACAAGAUAUUGAAGCCGCUAAUGGGAAAAGUAGAAAAGAGAAUGUUUUCCCACUAAGUAUGUUUUGUGGGAUGACUUUGAAAUCACUGUUUCAUGCCAAAGAUAUUGGUCCCACAUCCAAGUAUCAAUAUUUUUAAACCAAUCUUUCUGAAUGUACAUAAUAAUUUAUAUUCUGAUUUACCGAAUUUAUACUUGGCAUAAUCUUACAACAUUUUUCACAUCUUACACAUUUAAUUCAACCAUCACAAUCUUACCACAUUACUCAUCUAUCAAUAAAGAUGUCAAUGUUAAUGUACAAAUAGCUAAUUGUCUUUCAACCUUACCCCUCAACACAAGUAUUGAGCAGAGAAAAAGAUAAAAGGAUAAAAAGAUUUAGCUCUUAUUUGGUCCUUAUUUCUGAGCAUUUAUUUUUUAAAAUUAUUUUUUAAUUAUAUAUUUUUUAUUAAAUUCAUUGUUAUCAAUUAAAAUGGAGAGAAUAAAAGCGAGUCCAUGUCCCAACUAGGUGAACCAUACCAAAGCAAGCUAAACCAUCUGCGAGCCAAAUCACAUACAAACUCGAAAUAACAUUAGCAAGCCUAUAUCGAUUUCACCAACUUUUCCACAUUAGCAAAAGUCAUUAUCAUAGUGCACGUGAACAAGCAUGGCAAGCAUGAUUUCACAUCCAAUGAAUAAAGAACAAGAAAGAUAACAUAUAACAAUUUCAUUUAUAAAUUAACUAAUCAAAGGUUGCGACAUGGCAUUAACCAAAAGAUGUAUUUACACCCCGCCCGAGGCUUUGAUAAGAAUCUAUAAGUAAGCGCCAAUUGAAAAAGAAAAGGAUAUGCAAAUUUGAAUAGCUUCCUCCCAAUUAAUCAUUUCUCCUCUUUCUCUUUAUUGAACAUAAGAUUAAUGAGUUUAGCAAGGAAAAACCUUGAUUAGGUAAGAGGAAUUUAUUAAUCAUCAUUUAGAGGUCAACAUCCACAAUUUUUAUUAACUAUUCAAGAAUACAUUUCAUCAACUUUUGUCAAUAUAUACUAAAAAUCUAAUUUUUAUUCAAAUGGUCAAGUGCUUAAUCAAAUUCGUAAAUCGGAGACUAAAAAUUAAGCCCCUAUACGGUCUGGCCAAAAAUCAAAUUUUUAAUUACUUUUGAUAAAAGUUAAUGGCAUAUAGAGUUAAAAAUUAAUAAAAGAUGUGAAACCAAUGAAAUGUAUGAUUAAAAAUAAAUUUGAAACAAAAAAUGAGUUAUAUAAAUUUGGAACAGCUAUAUUCAGAAUUCUAUACAUGUGUGUACCAUAAUUGUUUUCAACAAGUUUUAUCUUUUCCCAAUAUAAGACAAAGUUACAUCAAAACGAAAUGUUAAUGUUCCAUCAUGUUAAAAAUAUUCAUAGUAAAAUAUAUAUAUCAAGACUCAAUCGCACUUUGCAAGUGGAAAUACUGAUUAUAUUACUGCUCCAUCAUGUUAAAUUCGUGAUAUAGGCAACUAAAAAAGUAAGCUUGCUGCUCUUCAAUACCACCAACUAAAAAAAAAAGAAUCCAUUUCCGAUUGUUAGCUUCUAAAUUUUUUGGGCAUCCAUCUCAAUGUCAUUCCUGAUGCUCAUCAUGGUCCUAGCCAUUCAGACAAAGUGUAAAACUGAAGAUAAGUGGGCAGAAAUCGAAGAAGUUUUUGGAAUUUACUGUUAAAUGUGGCAUUAAUUUGUAAUCUUAGGAAAUAAGGUUACAUGCACUUGAAGAAAAUGUAUCAGGAAAAUACAUGAUGCACUUGAAGAAAAUGUAUCAGGAAAAUACAUGAUGCAAAUUCAUGAAUUAUUAGGUGUCCAUUUAUAUUCCCAUGUCUCUAGAGUUAUCCAUGUGGUCCUAUAAAUAGAGGUCAUUCUUGUAGUCUCAUUGUAAGAAAAAAAAAAAGAAAACAUUAUUGAGUGUGCUGUAGCAACUCAAAAACUAUCAAUAAAAAUUCAAGUUUUUCUUCAACACUUCGUUUCCGCACUAACAAAUUUGGUAUCAGAGCCAUAACUUGUAAUUGCAUUUUUUCAUGGCUUUAAUACAAACAGCUUCGUUGUUUACAUAUUCUUCCAGUCAAGUCCCAAUCUUCGAAGGCGAGCAUUAUGAAUACUGGAGCAUCCAAAUGCAAACUUUCUUCAUCUCCUUAGAUCUUUGGGAUGUCAUUGACGAUGAGGAGUACGAAGAACCAUCCGAAGACAAUGAAGAUUACGAAAAAUUGCAAAAAGAAUUUAAAAGAAAAGAUGCAAUGGCUCUCCGCUAUAUUCAACAAGGAGUCGGGAAAUCAAUUUUCCCUCGUAUCUUUGGUGUUAAUAAAGCCAAAGAUGCUUGGGAAAUAUUGAUGCAAGAAUUUCAAGGAACGGAGAAAACGAUCACCUUGAAACUUCAAUCCUUAUGGAGAGACUUUGAUAAUCUCCAAAUGGAAGAACGAGAAUCGGUUUGUGUUUUUUCUUCACGAGUAGCCGAGACAGUAAAUCAAAUCAAAAGCUGUGGUGACACAAUUACAGAUAAAAGAGUCGUGGAGAAAAUGUUAAGAUGCCUUCCUCCAAAGUUUGACCAUGUUGCAGCCGCAAUUGAAGAAUCGAAAGACUUGUCCAAAAUGACCAUUUAUGAGUUAACCGGGUCACUUCUUGCCCAUGAGCAAAGGAUCAAUCAUUCGAGUAACCAAUCUACUACCGAACAAGCUUUCCAAUCAAAGCAAACAUCAAAAAGAAGAAAAUAUUAUUGAGUGUGCUGUAGCAACUCAAAAACUAUCAAUAAAAAUUCAAGUUUUUCUUCNNNNNNNNNNNNNNNNNNNNNNNNNNNNNNNNNNNNNNNNNNNNNNNNNNNNNNNNNNNNNNNNNNNNNNNNNNNNNNNNNNNNNNNNNNNNNNNNNNNNNNNNNNNNNNNNNNNNNNNNNNNNNNNNNNNNNNNNNNNNNNNNNNNNNNNNNNNNNNNNNNNNNNNNNNNNNNNNNNNNNNNNNNNNNNNNNNNNNNNNNNNNNNNNNNNNNNNNNNNNNNNNNNNNNNNNNNNNNNNNNNNNNNNNNNNNNNNNNNNNNNNNNNNNNNNNNNNNNNNNNNNNNNNNNNNNNNNNNNNNNNNNNNNNNNNNNNNNNNNNNNNNNNNNNNNNNNNNNNNNNNNNNNNNNNNNNNNNNNNNNNNNNNNNNNNNNNNNNNNNNNNNNNNNNNNNNNNNNNNNNNNNNNNNNNNNNNNNNNNNNNNNNNNNNNNNNNNNNNNNNNNNNNNNNNNNNNNNNNNNNNNNNNNNNNNNNNNNNNNNNNNNNNNNNNNNNNNNNNNNNNNNNNNNNNNNNNNNNNNNNNNNNNNNNNNNNNNNNNNNNNNNNNNNNNNNNNNNNNNNNNNNNNNNNNNNNNNNNNNNNNNNNNNNNNNNNNNNNNNNNNNNNNNNNNNNNNNNNNNNNNNNNNNNNNNNNNNNNNNNNNNNNNNNNNNNNNNNNNNNNNNNNNNNNNNNNNNNNNNNNNNNNNNNNNNNNNNNNNNNNNNNNNNNNNNNNNNNNNNNNNNNNNNNNNNNNNNNNNNNNNNNNNNNNNNNNNNNNNNNNNNNNNNNNNNNNNNNNNNNNNNNNNNNNNNNNNNNNNNNNNNNNNNNNNNNNNNNNNNNNNNNNNNNNNNNNNNNNNNNNNNNNNNNNNNNNNNNNNNNNNNNNNNNNNNNNNNNNNNNNNNNNNNNNNNNNNNNAUGGAGAACGAAAGCACUACUUGAGCUUGUGCACUCGGAUAUUUGUGGGUUAAUGCAAACUCCCACUUUUGGAAACAAGAGAUAUUUUAUUCUCUUUGUUGAUGACUUCACAAGAAUGAUAUGGGUUUUCUUCUUCAGUCAAAAAUCUGAGGCAUAUUCCACAUUUCUUCAAUUCAAAGCUCAAGCAGAAAGGCAAAGUGGUUUUUUGAUAAAAACUUUAAGGAUAGAUCGUGGAGGUGAAUAUCUCUAUAAUCCUUUCAUGGAAUAUUGCAGAAAAAAUGGCAUCAAAAGACAAUUAACUGUGAGUCGAACUCCGCAACAAAACGGCGUGGCCGAAAGGAAAAAUCGCACAAUUGUUGAAAUGGCAAGAAGCAUGCUAAAAGGCAAAGGACUUCCAAAUCUGUAUUGGGCAGAAGCUGUAAACACGGCAGUAUACAUUCUCAAUCGGUCUCCAACAAAGGCUGUACGGAAUAAAACUCCAUACGAAGCUUGGAACAAAAAGAAGCCAAUGGUUGAUCACUUCAAAAUAUUUGGCAGCAUUUCUUAUGCUCUUAUCCCUUCUCAAAAUCGGGAGAAAUUUGACGAGAAAGGACAAAAACUUGUCUUUGUUGGAUACAAUGAUGAAUCUAAAGGAUAUCGGUUAUUAGAUCCAACUACAAACAAAAUUACAAUUUCACGAGACGUUGUUUUUGAUGAAGCUGCAUCUUGGGAUUGGAAAGGAAAAGAAGUUGUGGACCAGACACCAUACCAUUUUGUUGAUCCAUUAACAUUUAAAGCAGGUCCGUCACAAGUUGGAAAUUUAGAGCAUAAUCCAAACCCUACUCCAAGAAGUGAGGAAGAAUCUGAUCCAGAAAGCCCUCCAAGAAAGACACGUUCACUACAAGACAUAUAUGAGUCAUGUGAACUUGGGUUGUUCUCUAGGGAACCACAAUCAUUUGAAGAAGCCUCAAAAGAAGUAUGUUGGACAAAAGCCAUGAAUGAAGAAAUGUCCACAAUCGAGAAAAACAAAAUUUGGAAGCUUGUUGCCUUGCCAGAAGGGAAGAAAAUCAUUGGACUCAAGUGGGUCUAUAAAAUAAAAUACAAUGAAGAUGGGUCGAUCCAAAAGCACAUUGUUGCAAAAGGGUAUUCUCAACAGCCCGAAAUUGAUUACACUGAAACAUAUGCUCCGGUUGCAAGAAUGGAGACAAUUUGUACUGUUUUGGCACUGGCAGCUCAAUUGGAGGUAUGUGUUUAUCAACUUGAUGUAAAAUCGGCAUUCUUAAAUGGUGAAAUUCAAGAAGAAGUUUAUGUCGAGCAACCCGAAGGAUUUGAAAUCAAAGGACAAGAAGGAAAAGUCUAUCGUUUAUACAAGGCACUUUAUGGUUUAAAGCAAGCACCGCGAGCAUGGAAUAGCAAAAUCAAUAGCUAUUUCAUCCAAAAUGGAUUCAAUCGAAGCACNNNNNNNNNNNNNNNNNNNNNNNNNNNNNNNNNNNNNNNNNNNNNNNNNNNNNNNNNNNNNNNNNNNNNNNNNNNNNNNNNNNNNNNNNNNNNNNNNNNNNNNNNNNNNNNNNNNNNNNNNNNNNNNNNNNNNNNNNNNNNNNNNNNNNNNNNNNNNNNNNNNNNNNNNNNNNNNNNNNNNNNNNNNNNNNNNNNNNNNNNNNNNNNNNNNNNNNNNNNNNNNNNNNNNNNNNNNNNNNNNNNNNNNNNNNNNNNNNNNNNNNNNNNNNNNNNNNNNNNNNNNNNNNNNNNNNNNNNNNNNNNNNNNNNNNNNNNNNNNNNNNNNNNNNNNNNNNNNNNNNNNNNNNNNNNNNNNNNNNNNNNNNNNNNNNNNNNNNNNNNNNNNNNNNNNNNNNNNNNNNNNNNNNNNNNNNNNNNNNNNNNNNNNNNNNNNNNCAGUUUUUCAUGCCAGAUCGAAGCAUAUUGAACUACGUCAUCACUUCAUUCGAGAUUUGGUAAGUCGAGAAGAAAUUUGCAUGGAAUUUAUCAACACAAAUGAUCAGCCAGCAGACAUUUUAACAAAGACAGUCACAUUUGACAAGUUCGAAAAGAUCAAGAAAAAACUCAAGAUUACAAAUUAAGAGGGGGUGUUAAAUGUGGCAUUAAUUUGUAAUCUUAGGAAAUAAUGUUACAUGCACUUGAAGAAAAUGUAUCAGGAAAAUACAUGAUGCACUUGAAGAAAAUGUAUCAGGAAAAUACAUGAUGCAAAUUCAUGAAUUAUUAGGUGUCCAUUUAUAUUCCCAUGUCUCUAGAGUUAUCCAUGUGGUCCUAUAAAUAGAGGUCAUUCUUGUAGUCUCAUUGUAAGAAAAAAAAAAGAAAACAUUAUUGAGUGUGCUAUAGCAACUCAAAAACUAUCAAUAAAAAUUCAAGUUUUUCUUCAACACUUCGUUUCCGCACUAACAUUUACAAGGUCCAUUAGGUCCUUCUCAUCUAAAAUAGAUGACCAGGCAUUUUCUGCAGUAAUUUUGAACCAUGAUGAUAGAGAGCUCCUGCAAACAAGCUAGGUGGUACUAAAAUCUAGUCAAAAGAAGAAAAGAAAACUAGACUAGCGGUCGAGACCGGCAGGACCAUGCCAGGCCUUACUGCUUCAUCCUGCCUGGUUCAUCCUCUACCUGCCUCUAUCUGCAAAGACAUUACCAAAAAAUCUCUCCCAAGCAGCGUAUUACAACCCAUGAAUUAACAUGUUUGGACAAGGUUAAUUCCAAGGCCAAAAACAGGAGCGCCACAUGGCGGACAGCAGCCCUUUCAAUAGGGUGGCGCCCAUGUUGUUGGCCCUGGAAUUCACCCUGGCUGUCUAGCAGGGUUGAAAACCCAUUGAGGAGGGCCUUAGCCAAGGAAGGAGAGAGUGGCCAAGUGGUCAAAAGUGACAGACUCUAAAUCUGCCCAAGUCUACAGAACAAUCACCCAGAUACAUGAAAAACUCAUGUGCCUACAUUAUAGAGAUGUCAAACGGGCAAGGUCGCUGCCCUUCAAAGCAUGCUAAAAACACAAGGCCCAGUACAGCCCAUCUUGACACCUCUAUACGUGCAAUGUAAAAAAAUUUCCUUGGUACAGAAUUUUGAAAAACAAGUUCAUUGGGACCCAUCAAAAAAUGCAAUAUAUACAAUGAGAAAUGCUAUAACACAAUUGACAGAUUAACUAUAUCUUAUGAAUAAACAACCUUCACUUGGAAAUUUGUGCUUUUAUCAUGGUUACGUAACUAUUGCGUGCAAAUAUCACGGGGAAUUUCUGCGAGAUGCUUUUAGUUCUACAUUUAGUGCAAGGCUCAAGUAAGAAAAAAGAAGGAUUAGGUCAGAUUCUUAUUUGACAUCAGCUAUCUACAAUCAUAAGUUACAGUUGGCCGAUAAGAUACAUGUACAUUUGGCGUCAGUUGAAAGGCAAUAAGAUUCCAGAUAAUGUCGCUACCCCAGAAAACAUGUACAAAUCAUAGUGUCUACUUUCUGGUUAAUCUAGAGCAGUCUUCAUGAGAAAGUGAAGUCCUUGUGUCAUUUAUAAUCUUGAAUGACAAAUGCAUUUAGCGCCCGCUUGGUCCCCAUUUUAUUCUCAUUUUUCCAACUUUUGUCAACAAUAGUGGGCCCCCAAUCAAAAAAUCAAACGGCUCCCUGACAAAAAUUUGAGGCAGCAGCUUUUCAGACAUUUUGUUGAAUUUAGAAUUUUUGUCUUUCCACCUCUGCCCUCCAUCUGAAAUUUUAUUCCUUCAUUGUAGCACUUGUUGUCAACUGGAAUUUUAUUUUUUAAUUGAGGGCAAAAUGGUAAGAGAAAUUCAACGGCAUGGUACCUUGUUCUUUCAUUUCUGACGAUUUCUUCAAUGCUGUCGCCAUCAUCUACCACAAAAACUGUAGAAAAAUGAGAUAAGAUAGAAAAAUUGACAAGAACGAGCAUCAAACAGGGGCUUAAUAGGAUUCAACGGUGAAUUCCUUCGUGUAGAGACAGGCGGUACCCUUCUCAAGGACGGGGAUUAUUUUAGAUCCCAAUCUUCCACAUUCUUCGGUACAGAAACGUCAAAGAGGAAUUGACCAAGAACCCCACAAGCACUUAUGCUUGGUGGGCUAGAUAGACUUAUGUAAGGCUCUUUACGUUCAUCCUGCAAAGAUCCAAAAUCUCUACCCUCGUGAUAUUCUAUGGAAUUUGGAACAUAUAAGAAGUCAUUUAAGUCAAGGACAAUCCUCUGGAAACUCUGACUUGAUCUCUCUACGGCUUUUUUUAGAUUGGUCCAGAGAUCUCAUCAUGUGUGCCCUCGAAGCCUAUCUUCUCACCAUCAAGUUGCCGUAAUCUUCUAGAAUAAAUUACAGAAGCUUUUCCAAGCAGCUCAGUCACCGCAGCCUUUUAUUCGAUUGGAUAAUGCCGAAAAUGACCUGCACUACAAACAUAACAUGCAAAAUACAAUAUCAACAAAUAUGAAUUUUUCUAAGAUGCAAUAACAAAAACGUUACACGCCAAUGGUAGUUAGGAAAUCCUCCAAAGAAAAUCUUGCAUUACAGAUUUCAAAUUACUAGUGAUUUACUUAAAAGAAUUAUAUUCCAGUAAGUCAGCUGAUUGUCGGGGACCUAAUUUCGUUGCACCCAAUAAUUAGAACCAUGCAACCUUAACGUUCAAUAAUUUUCGCCCCUCACGAGAAAACGUUAAGUCAGUCUUACAACGCUCACAAAUAAUUUAACCAAUGAGGUUAAAUUAUAACUAUUUUGAGUAGAGAAUUUGUAGGAAAUAUAAGGAAAACAAGGUUGGGAGAACUCUCUUUAUAUAUAGCCCCCAUUUGGUUCUAAUUUUUCACCCAAAAAAAUCAAUUUUUUAACCGUUACUUUCCUAAGUCAACCGUUAUUUUAAAUUUCUUUACUCACAAGUAAAACCCACUUUUUCUCGCUAACAGUCAAAAAAUUAAUUCUCAAAAUCACUACCAAACAAACCCAUAAAUGAAAGGAAAACUUUACAAUUCUCUGAAGUAUUCAAACAAUUCGUUGCAAAUGAUUUACAAAUGAGACUACAUCUCUAUUUAUAGGCAAAACUUUGCAAGUUGUCUUGAAAUCAAUGGCCAAAAUUAAUUUUGAUUCAAGAGUCCUCAUUUGUUGCAAGUUACAUUAACCUCCUUUAAUCAAGUGGUAAUUCUAUACACUUUCCAAUCCAAGAUGCAUGUUACUUUCCAAUCUUAUGUUAGUUGACAUCAAAUGGCAUAUCUCUACAAUUCACAUGCAAUUGAAUAAGUCAUUUUCACAGUAGCCAAAUUGAACUUUAUUUCCUCCUUGACAUUAUCUUGCAAGUGGCACAAGUGGAUAAGUGGCACAAGUUGGCCAAGUUGUCCACUUGUGUCCCAAAACCAUUCGGCCGUAGCCCAUUGUAUUUCUCCUUCCCAAAAUAGUAGUUUUCAACUUAGAGAAAAAGAAAACACCCCUCCAUCUCAUCACUCAAUCAGCCAAAAUGGAUUCAACAUCUUUCUCAAAAGAUUUUGAGACAAUGAGAGGUGCCCUUUGUAAUUUGUUUCUCCCAAGAUCUUCCAAGUCCAACCUAUAUGGCUUCAACAUGCUUACAUGAAAAACUGGAUAAAUCUUCAAAGUACCCAAAAGCUAGUCAGUGGAAACUCUUCCAACUUUAGCCAUCAUGGGAAAAGAACCUUCUAACCGAGCCUUUAUUAACUUUGCGAUAGGCUUUGAAUUAUUGAGGCAACACUUUUACAAGUUCUUGAUCUCCAAUGUUGAACUCCAAUAGUCUCCGUUCAGAUCGACCCACUUUUUCAUACGUUUUCAAGCUUUCUCCAAGCAAGAUCUAGCUAAGUCCGCAUGAUCUCUCCAUGACUUAGCCAUUUUUUGUUACUCCGGGACUUCGAUCUACAUCACCAACCAUAUGCAAGGUAUGAGGCGUUGUGGGCUGUCACCCCGUUGCAAGUUCAAAAAGACUAUGUCCUAUGGAUUCACUUUUCUGCAAGUUGUAGGAAAACUGAGCUAUGUCUAUCAACUUCACCCAAUCCCACUGCUUAGCAUUAACAAAGCGCUGAAGAUAACACUCCAACGGUGCAUUCGCCCAUUCCAUCUACCCAUCCGUUUGUGGGUAGAAAUUGCUAGAAAAGUGCAAACCCGAUCUAAGGAGCUUAAACACCUCCAUCCACAAUUUUCCCAUAAAACUGGGAUAUUGAUCACUUAUAAUAUUCUAAGGCAACCCCCAAUACUUCACAACAUUUUUGAAAUAUAACCUUGCCGUCUCCUCCGCGGUGCAAUCUUUAAGGGCCGAAAUGAAAGUUGUAUUCUUUGAAAAUCAAUCAACAACAACAAUUAUUAAUUCGAGCCCUUCGGACUUUGGCAAGGUACUAAUGAAAUCAAUGACAACCACGUAUCAUGGUUGAUCAAGAACAGGAAGAGGAUCAAGAAGCCAACCGAUAAUGCAAGUAGACUUAGUCUAGGGACGCAGAUAGCCUGUUUUGGUAGAACGCAGGCUGGGGUACGGAGGAAGUUUUCCCAACACAAAAAUGAGGUUUCUCUAAGUUAAAAAAUUGCUAUUUUGGGAAGGAGAAAUACAAUAGACUGCGGUCGGAUGUUUUGGAGACACAAAUGGGCAACUUGUACAAUUUGUGCCAAUUGUCCACUUGUAUCACUUGCAAGAUAAUGCCAAGAAGGAAGCAAAGUUAAAUUUGGUUGCUAUGAAAGUGACUUGUCCACUUACAUGUAAAUUGUAGAGAUAUGCCGCUUGAUGCCAACUAGCAUGAGGUUAGAAGGUGACAUGUAACUUGCAUUGGAAAGUGUAGAGAAUUACUACUUGAUCAAAGGAAGUUAAUGCAACUAGCAACCAAUGAAGACCUUUGGAUCAAAAUUAAUCUUCGCCAUUGAUUCCAAGACAACUUGUAAGGUUUUGUCUAUAAAUGGAAAUGUCUCAUUUGUAAAUCAUAUGGAGUGAAGUGAGAUGAAUACUGGAGAGAGAUUGUAAAGUUUUCCAUUCAUUUAUAUAUAAAGAGAGUUCUCACAAGCUUACUUGUUUUCCUUAUAUUUCCUACUUCAAAUCCUCUACUCAAAGUUGUUAUAAUUUAGCUUCACUGGUUAAAUUAUUUGUGAGCGUUGAAAAGCUAACUUAACGUUUUCUCAUGAGGGAAAAGAAUUAUUGAACAUUAAGGCUGCACGGUUCUAGUUGUUUGGCUGUCCGUGACAUGAUGCUUACCAACUGAGAAAUGAAUUUAGUUAACAAGGUGCAGCGAGCCAUCUGAUUGCAUAUAACAAAGAAGGAAGGUUCAAAAACACGACUAUAUUUUAUUUCCAUGUAUUCUCAGAUAUGAAGCUUUAAUUUAUAUCCUAAGUAGCCAGGUUGAGAAGUAGAUGCACUAGCAACUGCAAUAAUGAAAGCAGUAGAGUGCAGAACAUGACUGAGAAUUCAAGGCAAUAGAGUGUCUCUAGGGCAAAUUUGUAGCAUUACAAAACAUUAAUAAGUUAAAUGCAUCAUACUUCAUCUAAACUAAUUCAAGGCAAUAGAAUGUCUCUAGGGCAAAUUUGUAGCAUUACAAAACAUUAAUAAGUUUUAUACAUCAUACUUCAUCUAAACUCAUAUUUUAUAAAUUAAAACAAUAUCAUUUCUAAUAGUUUAUUAAUAUUAGAUAAAAAAAUAAAAUAAAAUAAAAAAAGAGAAGGGAUUAAAAUCUCUAUGUAAGCUAUUCAUUUAGCAGGAGAAAUGUCAAAUAUAACAGUCUGCAAUAUACACAGAUAUUAUUACUUGGACCAGCAGUUCCUGCUUCAUUUGUCAAACCUAUAACCUGGGACAGGUUAUGGCAAAUGAAAAUAUGAAAUAAGAAUCUGACUUCAUCAUUGUUGCUCUGGCAAAAAUUGCACAGAGGCAUACUUGUGUUUGUAAGGUGCUGAAAAUUUGUAAAUUGGAAACCUCGUGUUAAAUUGCACGCCCUGAGUACAUAUGCCCUAUGAAGUGAAUUUUGUGUCCUUAGGUCAGACCUUUCACUGAGCCACUGAAAUACUGCAUCCAGUGGCCAAUACUGCUCCAUUUAAGCUAACACAAUUUCGUUCGCUCUUAUGAGCACUUAUUUCAGUCAACUGUGCAUAAAUAUAGCCUAAACAUCUCUUCAAAUUUUAUCUGCAUUAAGCCCAUCCCAAGAAAAUCUGACUGUAUAAUACGUUUAUAAGCAUACCUACGUGAGAUGAGUUAUUCCAUUUCCAUCAGCCCUGAGGUCUCUAAGCCUUUGGGUCAAAAUGCAAAUUAUCUGACAUGGAGCGAGAUCAUCAUCUCUUCAAAACAUCUCUUCAAAUUUUAUUUGCAUUAAGCUAACCCAAGAAAAUCUGACUGUAUAAGACGUUUAUAAGUAUACCUACAUGAGAUGAGUUAUUCCAUUUCCAUCAGCCCCGAGGUCUUUAAGCCGUCGGGCAAAAAUGCAAAUUAUCUGACAUGGAGCGAGAUCAUUUCUGGGAAAAAAAAUUAGGUACGAUGCCCCCCAUGCUCUGCAUAAAGAUAAUAAUUAAUCACUGAACAAUCAGUAGAAAGCAACUUGCCAUGGCAUUCCGUGUUUGGCACUUUGGCUAAUCUAAAGAAAUAGUUACCUUCUCCAUUCAUGUUUGCAUACUUACCUUAAGUGGAAAAGAAGUCACUUCUAUUUAAUUAACUCUCACCUUAUUGUCAAAUGAGUAACUUUUUCCAUCUUUGACCAUUAAAAUUUUAUUUAUAUUAAAACUUUUGACUUUACUUAUCAGUAAACUUAUUAAGAUUAACAAAACAUGCUGUAAAUUUAAUGGAUGCUUACUGCAGAGGAGUAAAGAUUCUGCCAAUACUCUGCACGUUGCGCUUCAAAUCUGCCAAGGAAGAAGGCAUCCAGACUGGACGAAAUGCCAUUUGCAAUCCAUGAUGCUAGGAAUGGGGCAGAGGACAUAUCGAGAACAGAUGGAUGAAGAAUAAAGCAAGUGGCCAAGUCACUUGUUAAAAUCCACUGGAGUAGAAUAAAAAAUGUGGCCAGAAACACAGUCUUUAACCGGUCGUAGUCGUCCUUCAGAUGAAACACGCCAUUAGAUAAGCCAUCACUUGUAUCAAGGUUCUUCAUCGAACAAUAUAGUAGAUAACCAUUACUAUUUCUUCUAAAAUGAGAAUAUAUGAUGAGUCAAUGACUAUGGUAUCCGAUUUUUGUUUGUUAUGGAGAAUGGUUAGAGCUCUAUGAUAUUAAUUGUUCAUUUUAUUGUCUAAUCAUGUCCAAUAUUGUGUAUGAGUGCUAAACUUUGGCCAUUAAGCAUCACGGAUGUUUUGACCAACAUCGGUAAGGAGAAACAUAUGCAUAAGCCAUCAACGGAAUGAGAAGAGUAUGUAGAAAGCUACAGAAACAUAUGUUACUUUUAGAAGAAAUGGAAGUAUGUGUUCACAAUUAUAUAAAUAAACAAGAUGUCGAGAUGAAUCAUUAUGAGAUAAAGCAUACCAUAUUGACCUGCUCUGGACACUUUCCUUCAAUUAUCUGCAACCAAAAGUAAAACAGGUUGCGUGUCAACUAUAGCUUCACAUGAAACAUUCAACAUCUGUGGUCUCUAAAAUGAUGAGUGUGAAUAAAUAUAAAAAAUUUACAAAUAUUUUAAGUUCCAGUUGUUGACUACGAGAAUGGCAUUUACCUGGUGAACCUUGUACGUGCUAGCUUUUGGGCCACCAGAAAAAGGCGCAAAGACAACUGGACAUGGCCUGAUUUUUAGCUCAUUUAAAUCAAAUCGAAAUAAAUAUGAGGAAAAGUUAAAACAACAACAUAUAUAGCAAAUUUAAAAUAUUUAGCCCCCGUUUGAGCCACAUUAUUGUAAAAAUGAGAAUGAAAAAUAUAGCUAUUAUGAGCCCUACACAAGAGAUAAAAAGUCAAAUGUGGUGGCUUGAUGUGAUGGAUAACGGUCAUAUUUUUCAUUUUAAUGAGGAAAUAAUGGGGCUCAAACAGGGCCUUAAUAACUAAGUCUAUUGUCAUUGUCAAAUCCCCAUCCCCAGGAUUACUUCGAAUAGUUUCUUUAAUGUAACAAAGAUACGACUCCAAGAGCAAGUCCACCAUUAUAGAUUAAAUAGCAAAAUGAACCACUCAACAAUUCAUGCUUUAUGGUAUGGCUGGGCAUUUGAACUAGAACUGUCGGUUUCAUUCAGGUUCCACAAAAAAAAAAAAAAAAAUUAGGAACUAGAACCUAGUACCAAAAAAUCAAUCAAAUAUAGGAUGGUUCUUAGUUCUUGAAUCAAAACCAUAUGUACGUGACUUUACAAUCGAAUUUAUCUAUUUAUAUAAGUUUUUUCAUUUUACAAUUUAUUCAACUUGACCUAAUGACCUGAUAGGAUGCAGAGGAAACGACGUGAUGGGAAAAAAGUUAGACCAAUGUUGAUUAUCAUGUUUUCAAAGGAAUGAAUUUUUUUUUUUUCUUUUUUGUUCAUCAUUUGUAGAAUCUAUUAAUUCCUUAUUGUUGGUUUCUAAUUUUAGGUUUGUUCUUUGGCUACGUGAUUUCUUUAUGCUCUGUUAGAUAUCAGAUGCUAUUUGAUGACAUAUUUUGUUAGUUAUUGGAUGUUAUUUUGUUGCAUAAUUGCAGUGGACUAAGAAAUCGUCGAAAUAUGUAUUUUGAUGCAUAUUUUAUUUUUUCUAUUUCAUCUAGAUAUUAGAAAGAUAAUUUGUAUUGUCGGUUCACGAUUUUAAAAAAAGAUACAUAUAUUAUAGGUAGAACCUUAUCCAAACCCAAAUAGACGGUUUGGGAUCAAGUCUGGUUUCUGUAACUAAGUGUACCCAAAUGGUUCUAUUUACAAAAUAUCCGAAGUAUAAUGGAUAGUUUUGAGUAUUAAACUACCCGUGCCAACCCAGUAGAUGUCCAUAACUAUUUUAUAAUUUUGAGCGUUGGGCUAUUAAAGGUAUGUCUAUAAGACGAAAGCGAAAAUGAAGAUGCUAAGAUUUGUUUGUAAUUAUACUAAAAUGGAUCUCAUAAAAAAAUGAGAAUAUACAGUAGUAACUGGCGGUGACACCGAUUGAUGAUAAAUUGAAGGAAGCACGACUUAGGUUGCAGGGUCAUGCUUUGAGUCUAUUUAAAAAGGCUAUAUUCAUAAGAACUGACGUUAUCUCAGUGGAGCAAAUUAAAAGAGAAGGUGGUAAACCAAAAUUAACAUGGUCAGUUGUAGUUGUAAAAGGAUCGAAUUGCUUUAGAUCCCCAAUAGUUCUCACAAUGAAUAACCAACUCUACAUUUAUCAGGUAAAAGGCUUAGUUCGUUGUUGUGUUUGCUUGUUUGCUGGAAGACCAUUUGCUGUCAAAUUUAUAACAGCUCUACAUUUCCAAACUUGGAAAGCUUUUAUAACCUCAAAGAAGUUCAGCAGAUUGCUUUGAUGCAGAGCUACUCAAAUACAGAUGGUGAAUACAGAUAAAGAUACUCCUUUAAAAAACUUCUUAUACAAGAUGCAGUUGAAUUUUAUAUGACUGACCUGGACAAAAUUGUUUAUAAUUUCUAGUGCCAACGAUGCUGCUUUGUCGGGAAAGAAUCGGCAACCAUACGAAAAUGAGAAUUGUAAACCGAAUAUUUGUAAAAGAAAAAAGAAAGCUAAAGGAUAGAGUAUGCUUUAUGUAAAUUAUUUAUCAUUCUGCAUGCACCAAGUUCAAGUACCAGCGGUCUAGACAGCAUUUAUAACCGAGAUAUUCAACCAUCCCUACCUAAGAUAUAAAUAUAGAUAUUUCUGAAGAUCCACUAAUGACAAAUUUUCCACUACUAAGACGACUAUGAUUAAUUACAUAUUCUUCAUAACAUAACAACUUCAUGCACAAUCGCUUGAAAUCUCGUUAAAGCCGUCUCUUCUACGAAGAAGGUAUUUUGUGUUCGAAAAUGAGACCCAUAUAUAAGAACAUUGCCAGAGAUGGCCCAUUGAAUUGGUCGCACCUAAGAACUGGAUUAUCAAUGCCUUAAGCGCUUUACAGAUUUGAGUUCUUGAUGAAUUUUCUCUCUCUAACUGUUGGUCGUUCACGUCUUUAUGAUUGAUGAGGACAUGUCAUUUGGGCCUAAGGUUUCUUAAAUUCUAUAAACCAAGAGAAAAGUUUCAUUUUAAAGAAACUAUAUUCUUCACAUUCAAUUUCCCCCCUGUAAAAAGCACUCUGAAAGAUGCUAUAACUUCCCAAACAGCCGUUCAUAUCUAUCAAAAUAUUUUUCUUUCCUUUGGAUACCAAAAAAAUAUUAGAACGCCGUCCAAGAACGAUAGACAACACAUGGUGGCCAAGUUACAUUAACUUACGGACAAACAAAAAAUCACUUUACAGCUCAUGCAACUUUUUACUCAAUUCUGCUAAAGAAGUAGGGCAAUCUAUUCUCCCAUCGCUGUUACAAGAUACCAAGUUGGUUAGGACAACAUCAAUCAAGACAAAAGUUGCAUGACAAUACCAAAAGUCCAGAUUCCUAUUAUUCAGACCCUCACUUGUUAAGGAAAAGUUAUAACCUAUAGAUAAUAUUAUUACUUCAAACAGCAAUUGCUCCAGUUGCACUAUUCCUCUUUCCUCCAGAAUACAAUUCAUCAAAUAUCCCAAUUGUAAUACUAUAUAAUAUCAAGCAUGAAUUCAAGCCCCUGACAAGAGUAUCCUGCAUAUUAACGUAAUCUUUUAUUACUACCUCAACCCACACAAAAAGAACAUCACAUCUAUAUGUGUUUAUCCAUUCCAUGGCCCUCAGCCAGCAUUUUGCAUUUUUUUCAGUCAAGAGUUUCAUUCAAAGUAAUGGUUCCUCCAAAAAAAUUGGAUAAAAUUUUAUAAACUCCAUCAGCUCCAAUCACCUUAUACAUCACUCGGUUCAAACUCAUAAUUUAAAUUAAAGUCAACCAAUAUUCACUAAAUCCCAUGUAAAUCCAAUCCAGCAGAAACAUAUCCCAAAAUUAUAUUAGUGUUUUAAAAAUCACUCUACUAAUUUAAACCUCCCAACAAAAAUCGAAAAACAAAUUCAUAUUGUGCAGCAUAAUCAAGAAACUCGGAAAAAGAAGAUAACACAAUCAAGAAACCAUAGGUCCAAAAAAAUAAAAAUAAAAGUAAAAUAUCACAAACUCACAAAAUGUUGGAAGAUUCAGAUCAGAAUCAGAUUCUAAAUCGUGAAAUUACCAAAAAAAAAAAAAUGGAUGAUGGGAGGGGAGGAGAGAGGUUAAUCUUAGAUUAUAGACUGAGGAAUUGGGAGUGGCAAAUGAUGGAAUUCCAACCAAGAGGGGAAAAUAGAUCAACAUAAUUCUUCAAGUGCUUAUCCUGACUUGAUAUCCAUGAAAAUACUACAAUUAUGCCUUCCACUUUCCCUAUUUCUUCUCCACCAAUAAUACCUUCCUCCAAACCCCCCACAUCUUUUCAAUUUCCUCGAGGAGAAAAAAAACAAUUUCCUAGCACAAUUUUCUGACAAUAAAGAAACAAAUCCCUUUGAACAAAAAGGUAUUUAGCUUUUAAUUGUUUAUUUGUUCAUGUGGAAUAGAUUUUUUCAAGAACUCAUCCGAAAUUCUAAUUGGGGUGUGCCCAUUUCUGCUUCUUAUGGUCUUUCUUGAAAAUUAUAAAGAAUGGAUACUUGUUUUAUGAGAAUUUAUGUGAUGGUUUUAAAUAACAAAAAUGCUACCUAUAUAGCCUAUGCUGUACAUUUUGUUUGACAGGUAUCUCAUAAAAUGUAGAAGUCGUGAUUAUUUUAAUCGUGGGAACUCGUGAUUAUUUUGAUCGUGGCCCCACUUCCUCAUGUGAGAAGGCUAUCAACAAUGCUGUGAAAGAAGUUGUAAUUGUAGCACAAUUUUAUAUAUAAUAACUUGGCUGUGUCGACUUGCAGUUGUUUGAGUUGUAAGGAUUGUAACGAGCAAAGCUUUUUGUAGAACUCAUAUGACCCCUUUGUUAUUUUUGUAGUAUUUUCGAUUGGUGAUAUUCUUUCAAUUUGAGGCCUUGUUACAAGGGACACUUUUUCAAUUCCAUGCUAUUCAUGCCCUCUCAAUCUGAGAUAAUUUUAUAAUUUUUAUUAAGAUUGUUCUUUCAAUCCAGUGUGUGUGUGUGUAUCUUAAUUUAGACCUCUUGUCAACUAGGUGUUGGUAGGAGACGAGACUCUUGCCUCACCCGAGUACUGGUACGAUCCUCUAUAGCUUGAUCUUUCGAGAUUCACAGCAUUUGCAUUGGUCCCACAAUAGUGGUGUCACUCCCAAGGAGACCUUUUAGCCAUUUUUCUUGGCAUCUAAAUCGUCCCUCUAUUUAUUUGGUCGUGAAUUUGCUUCGAGUUCACUUGCCUUAUCAUUUCCUAAUAGUGGAUCUCCUCUUUGAUCAAAUCUACAAAUUCAUCGUACAUUUUGGGUGCUUGAUUGCGAACAUCUCUUCAGAAAGGGAUAGUCACGUCUAAAUCGAACAUCAAAGCCUGAAAAGUUGUAUCUUGUCGAAUGCUUUUUACAUCAAAAUGAAACGGUUGAGACAGCAUAGCAAAGGUUCAUCAAGAUCCUGCCUAACAUCAUGGAUCUUCCCAAUCGGGGUCAAACAUUUUCAUGGUGAACAUAUAGACGAAUUGGUCUUUAGGUAAGGGAACUAUCGAUGCUACCUAGUGAAAGCUUAUUAUACUAUUUUCUAGCUCCUAUUGAGAGUGUAACAUGGAAGUCUUGUAAUUUGUAUAUUGAGCUUGCCCUUAAGAAGUUUAUGUACAUGUUAUAUUCCCAGACAUGGUUUGAGGGAAAUUUUCUAGAUUUUCAGCAUGGCAAAUUUUGGGAAGGCUCUUUAACGCUUUGAUUAGCUUGGUAAAAGAGAUACAUGUCAUAGCUCAUCGCCUUUGGCCAAAACUGCUUGCUCCCCACCCCCUUUUUCGAGAGCACAUAGAGAAGGUUGGUCCUUUUAUUUGAUGAACUUAUUGGGUUAAUCUUGCCCAACUCUUUUACCACAUCCUCUAAGGACCUCGUCCUAGAUGACAUUGAUGCCUUCCAGCCUAAGAUACUACCAGGCUUUGAAGAUCUAUGCUCUCACUCAUGAUAAGAUGCUUGAUUUCCCAAAAGUGGUGCGUAGGUUGCUUGAUUGGAGGAAUUUGAUGUGUAUUCUCUAUGCAUAGAGCCCUCUACGUUGCUCUCACAUUCAUUCUCUUGGAGAGGCGGAAUACCUUUUCUUGAUGCAUCAAGAGUUGCCUUAUAGUAACAUUUUCUUUAGCAAAAUGUUAAAUGUUGGCCGCCAUGUUGCUAUAGCUCGAGUUAGCUUAGCCACGGUUCUUUAUGGAUUUGGGUUUCUUCUCAAAGUAUUUCUUGUUGAAACAACAUGACUUUCAUUCUAGCUCCCCUCGGGUUCUCAUCGCUGUUUGAUCCACUUUACUCUUCUUCUUUUUUUUUUACUUUUCUUGCUUCUCGCAUAUUCUCUUCUGGAGCUCAGCAUUCUUACAUCUUUGUUUAGAAUCUACUUCUUAGUAAAAGAUAAAAUUUUGUGGAUAUCAUUUGCAUGCAAAUAAUUAUCGAUGCCGAGUUCCUAAAUUCAUCAUCACUGAUAUUGGAAAACUCUUUUACAAUAGUCAUAUAAAUAAUCUUUGCGCCAAGUUUGGGCUCAAAAAAUACAACCCAUACAUGUACAAUGCGAAAACUACUUUGUUGAAAAAUAUUGUUUCCAAUUUAUUAGGAACUGGCAUGAAAAAAAUUGAGAAAGUCUUUGGGUUUGUCACACUACUUACUGGACUCAACAAAAGUUACUCCUUAUAUCCUUGUGUAUGGAGUGGAACAUUUCCUUAUAAUGUCAAAUUUCGUAAUUGUAUUAGCCAUCCAAGAAGUUUUGUUGAUGAACGAGAAUGUUCCUUUUUUGACUUGAGGAGUUUGCAUCUUUGAUUGAAAAGCGAUUAGAGGCAUAAAUGCUUCGAGAAUGUUAUCAAGCUCGGAGGGCAAAGGGCUUCAACAAAAAUGUGUAGCCAAAAUAAUUCUAAGUUGAAAAUAAUUAACUCCGAGAGAAAUUCAAACUUCAAGAAGAAAAAGAAGCUUGGAGAUUGAACACAAGAAAAUUUCUCCAGUGCAAGGUCAAAAGUUUCAAGAAUAAAGUCUUCUUCAAAUCAAAAUCAAAACAAACCCCCCAAGUCCCGAAAAUUCAAGUCAAGCCCAAAUCCUGAAGAUUCAAGCAAAUCAAGUUUCCAAUAGACAUCAAAGUCUAAGAUUCAAGCCAAAUGAUCCCGUAGUCUUCAAUACACUACUCACUAAUUAGAGGAUUGUGAAUUUUGUAGUCAUAAGAAAAUUAUACACUUAGUAAUUUUCCAAAAUCAAUUUGCAAUAUUUUUUAUAUCUUGUAUAUGAAAAUUGUUGUACAUGGCCUAUUUCGAUAAAUAAGAUUUGUGUGCGGACUUGGGCAAAACAAAUGUUACAUAUGUGCAGUUGAAUAAUAAUGAUUUGUCACUUAAUUUGUACUACAGAAGUUUGAUCUUCUACAACCAAUGGAAAAAAUAAAAACUUUUCACUGCUGAAACGUGAGAUCGAUUUCAUUGUUUUACAUGCAUAAUUGACGCAUGCAACAGUCAAUACAUGAAGUCAUCAUGCUCAUAUUGCAAUCCAUGAAUGGUACAAGUCUCUAUCGAUGUAAAGUAAAGACAUAAUAUGUUAUACAAAGGCAUUCGAAAGCUUGUAAUGUGAAACUUUUGUAUGUGUGUCAUCAUUUAUAAGGACACGGCCUACUCCAGAAAUUGACAAUUAAUUGCCAUGAAUAAUGUUAUUUGCAUUUGCUCACUACUGCAAUUAACAUACAUGUAACGGUUAGUGAUUUAUUGUACAAAGUAAUAAAAGACCACCACAUUGAUGUAUCAAAUCACUAACCACCAUAUAUACGCCACAUAGAACGAUUACGACAGUGAAUGACUGCAUAUAGCAUUACGCAAUUGCCAUAUAUCAUCUUAGUUGAAAGUUGGAACAACCCGAAAGCAAACUAUAUAAUUACGCAUUGAACUGUGUAAAACUAUAACUAUUAUAUUAAAUUAAAAUUCCAUCAAAUUAAGAGGUAAACAUUUAAUGAUAUUUCGACCUAAAAAAUUGAUAAGCUUCGGGAGAAAACAUGAUAUUAAUAAUAUUAAUUAAGAGGAAAUUACAAAAAAAAUGUCUAUUUUGAAAUAAUCGUUUAUAAAAAUGUCCAAAAUUUUUCAAUAUCUACUUUUGCAAUUAUUUGGAUGAGAGUAUCACUAAGUACCUUCCAUGAAAAACUACAUUAAAAUGAUGUUCUCGAUAUUUCAAAUGUUGUUCUCGAUAUUUGAAUCUGUUUAUAUUUCAAAAGUACACAUAUUAAAUCAAAAUAUUAAAUGUUCUCGAUAUUUCAAAUGUUGUUCUUAACAUAUUAAAUAUCUAGAAUGACAUUUCAUUCCAAAUAUGACAUUUCUCUCCAUUUUAAAUGUUGUUCUCAACAUUUCUGUGUCUAGUAUUAAUUGUGAUUUGACAUGUGCAAUAUGAAAUUAUUUAUUCUUCAUUAAGGGUAAAAUAGAGAAUUUGGUGUCAAAUUUAGCCAUUUUUGUAAAGAUUAUCAAAAAUGAACAUUUUUAAAUUGACAUAUGUGAAAUUGGACAUUUUUACAAAUGUCCCAUUUAUUAAUUGGUCAAACUUCAUGAUCAUCACGUAACGAAAACUAUCUAUUGUCUAACCAAGGAUGACAGAAAAUAAAAAUUGUCUCGUUUAAUAAACUUCUAGCUGGUGAAUGUAUCACUUGAUUAUAAUUAAUGUUAUAUUAAAUAAUAAAAAAAUUCUAGUAAGACCAAAUGUUCACGUAGGACAUGACUAUUCUCCAAUAGUUUUUUUUUUUUAAUUUAAAAGAAAAAAAAAUGUUAAACAUGCUACGUUGAGUACCAGAAAUGAUUAACAAUUAUUAUAGUGUGCUUAAGGGCCCAUAAUUAUUCUAACUUUUGUCACUUGCUGAUGCUUUUGACCUCUGCGAAUCAUUUUUUGAACAAUGAAAUCCAUAACAUAAAGGUGAUUAAGUGAGAUGGAGCCUUAAACGAAUCCCGGUGAGCAGUUGCAUUAAUUAAACACGUGUGUGUGCAGAUAGCUGUACAUUUGUCCUUAAUCUAUUUAUUGAAUAGCAAGUUUUUAUUUUUUAUUUAUUUUUUAUUUUUUAUUUUUAAUGAAGUUGCACAUCAACGACAAAAAUUGUCCAAAUCUUCAUUAAACCACACAUGAUCCUCACAUUUCUAAAUUUUAACUUCGUAUAAUUGAAUUGUGUUUUGCAAAUUGGACCAAUAUUUAAAUGGGACAUGUUUGUUAUUGGAGUUUUUCAUGAUAUUUGUACUUGAUUUUAAUUUGUUAAAUUAUACGGAAGUCAACGUAUAGUUGACUAUCUUGGUAACUAUGGCUUAUGCUCAUCCAUUACAUAUAACGUUUUGUGAUGAUAUUAGGCAUUUAACACAUUUGGCCCCAAAAAGAAACACAACUUUUUUUACAUUUAGAUGUUCAAUAUUUAAUAAAAUAAUUAUAUAUUUUGUAGGUAAAUGGACACCUUGAUAAUUUUGUAAUUAAUUUUAUUAUUAUCGUUUGAUGUUGAGACUUCAUAUUAAAUAAAGAGGAAAUUUCACAAAAUGUCCAUUUUUACUUAGUCAUUUGCAAAAAUGUCCAUAAUUGCAAAAAUGUCUAAUUUGGAAGAAUUUAGACCAAAAUACCCUUAGUAACAAUUUAUAAUUCCACACUAAGACAAAAAAGGGACAUUUUUGCAAUAUUGUUAUUGGUCAGUAAAAUUUUGACACAUAACCUGUCAUAUUUAUUUCAAAAAGUAUACAUAUCAAAUUACAAUAAAUGCUAUAUUUUUCAUUGAUUCAGAAAUGUAGAGAAACGCCAUGUUCAAAAUGAAAUGUCAUUCUAGACAAAUGAAACGGUGUUCAAAUGUCGAGAAUGACAUAUGAAAUGUCUAGAAAUAUUAUUUUAAUGUAACUUCUCAUAGAAGCUACUUCUCAAAAUUCGUGACAAAUUGAUAAAAAAAUCAAAUGUCGAGAACGACAUUUAAAAUGUCGAAAAUACAAUUUCAAAAUGUAGCUUUUCAUUAAGGGCAUAAUAGACAAGUUGGCACUAAAUUCGAAUGAGUGGACACUUUUCAACUCAUACCUUUAAAAUUUGACAUUUUUAAAAAUGCCCCUUAAAUACAUGUUUCUAAAAUUUAUUUUCCAGCAGCACAAUAAAUAGUCACAUUGCUCACAAUUAGAAUGGUCAAUAAAUGUAGUAGCGUAAUGCACUUUAAUUCUUCACAGAGAAAUUUUACUAAAUAUAAAUUAAUAUAUAGUUUCAUCAAGAAUAAUAUUCUUACCAUAUGCAUCGUGUCUUACUCACACUUAAAAAAUAAAAAAUUGGGAGGUGUAGUUUGGUGAGCCAAUCACGCUUAUGGAUUAAUACCACUUUAUAAGUUUUGAAAAGAAGUCAAACCAUUCUCUAUCUCAUAUAUGAAGUUGAGAUUCUCACUCACACUUAAAAAAUAAAAAAUAAAAAAUUGGGAGGUGUAGUUUGGUGUGCCGAUCACGCUUAUGAAUUAAUACCGCUUUAUAAGUCUUGAAAAGAAGUCAAACCAUUCUCUAUCUACUAUAUGAAGUUGAGAUUUGACAGAAAAUGGAAGAUAUGCAAGUAAAAUUUGUUAUUCGGCUCGAUCCUCAACCUCCAUUUAACUUGGUCUUUGUGCAAUCAUGUCGUCAUCUUAUUAUGUUCAUCAAUUAUGCUUACACAUUUUUGGUAGAGCUCCACAUCAUUAAUGGAAGUAAAGAUUUUAUUUUAUAAGUUUUGUGAGGCCUAUGAUCAAGUACCAACAUGGUGAAGUGAUAGAAUAUGAUCCUAAUAAUUGAAUUUGUAAUCUGACUAUGAAAACCCUCAUCCGCAUGAAUACUUUCUUUAAUGUAAAUUCGAUUUGUGUUUAAAAUGUUCAAUUUUCAAUAAUAUAUUAUAGUCUUUCGAACGCUACGCCAUGGCCAAGUGAGGGAAUGCAUUAAGCACAUGAUAGUGCCUGCUUCAGCGAGGAAAGAAUCCAUUUUAUUUUUAUUUUUUUGGCUUGUUUAACAUAACUUUUUGUUUUUACUUUUAUUUCUGCUUCCUUUAGAAGAGUGAGGUUUUUGUUUUUGUUUUUGUUUUUUGAAAUUACCUUAAUUUUCAGUGGUGAAACAAAUUUAUGAUUAUGAUCAUCUUCAAAUGCUUUAACAAUCUAAUAGCCACCUUCAAUGUCGUUUGAGAUUCGCAUGUUAGCCUUACAUCUACCUCUAACCGUUGAGCAACUUUUUCCUUUUGUAGAACCCUAUAUCUGACAAUUCUCUAUUUCACUUAAUCCUUCAAAAAUCUUCCUACUAUAAUAUUUUCUUUCAUGUGAGCACACAAAUUUAAUAAGUGUAAAUUCAUUUAUACGUGGGUGUUACUUAACUACUGUUUGAGUACGAAUCCAUAAACCAUUUUGUCGUCCAUAGUCUUCGUGUUAUGCCCUUGCUUCCUUUGCCGUCUUAAAUUUCAUCCCAAUGUAAGGCGCUUUGCCUUGUAUUGACGAUAACCCAAUCUCAUCAAAUUGAUACGCAUGUACAUAAUUACCACAAUUGGUUGCACCCAUCUACAAAACAAUUUUGAAAGAAUCAAUCAAUGAUAUUGAUUGCAUAGAAUUACCGAUAAUCAAAUUCAUUGUUGAAUAACUCGUACAUAUAUUUUCUUAAACAAAUUGUAGCAUACUUAAUUUUUAAAGUAUUCCCUGUUGAAGUAUAUAAUAACAUUUAUUAACCAUUUUAUUAACACUUCAAGCUAGUGAUAGCAACGGGGCGGGGUUAACAUUUAUUAAUCAUUUUACUAACACUUCAAGCUAGUGAUGGCAACGGGACGGAUUCGGGGCAGGGGGCUCCCACCCAGUCUUGCCCCGCCCCAACCCCACCCGCUCCGUUUAGGCGUGGUUGGGUUCGGGGUAGUUUUUUGCCCCAUUUACUACCCCAUUUAACUUUUUUUUUUUUUACACAUUUUCAAAAUUUAGAGUUAUAUUAUUAAAUUAUUAAAUACAAAUUCAAAAUUUAAAAAUUCAAAACAAAUAAUGCUCAAAUUAAAAUCAAUAUUCAAAGAAACACUUGAAAAAACAAUAUCCAAUAUAUUCACAGGGAGGGUUCGGGGCGGGGCAGUCUCAACCUAUCGGGGCGGGUUUUUUUGCCCCAUUCAGGACCGGGGCAUGGCGGGCGGGGUAAAUUGUCAUCUCUACUUCAAGCAAAUUAAAACUCAAUUAUAACCUUUAAAUCACAGAUGAAUCAAGCAUUAUGCUGAAAUUGAUGCAACACUACUCAAACUGCAUGAUACAUUAUGUGGAAAUCAAAAGAAAAUAAACACGGAUCCUUUUCCCACCAUUCAUGAUAAAUCAGAUUUGGAUAUUAGAGGAAAAUCAGAUUCAAGAACAUGAUAUAACACAGUUUUGUAGAAUGAUCAAAAUAACAAAAUCGAAACCUCACGUGAGAUUUUGGUUGAAAAACAGUUAACCGCUUACAGAAUCAUACCUAAAAAAAUUACUUCAGUUCUUAUUCUGCUUUCUCCUAAAUAAAUGAUUUGAUGACACAAUAGGAAUCCUCUAAAAAUUUAUACAUGGGCAAAGAAAUUCUUUACAUGCAGUGAUGAUUUGAAGAUUCAAUUUUGUGAGGGAGAUGAUGAAUUUCGGUGGUGAUGGAGAAUGCAUAAGAUGAUAGAAAAUCAUGAUGUUGUUGAGAGAUUUUAGGGAUUAAUAUAAGGUAAUUAGGGGUGUUUGGAAGUAAGAUUAUGAAUUCUUUCAUGUUUUAAUAUAUAAACUCCUAGCAUUGGAUUGAUUUUAAUUAAAGAUCACGAUUAUUUGUCAUAAAUACUUGUCAAAUUAAUGGGUAGACUUCCCUAUGCUCAUCAGAUAUGAGCCGCUGGUGAAUUUGUCGGAUAGACAGAUCUUUGUGAAAUUGAAUCAAUUGCUUAGGUGAUUGCCCUUUAGCCCUUUGUUUGACCAAAAAGACUCCCAUGAGUUGGAUGGGCUAAUGCUUAAAGAUAAAUUUCAAGAGAUUCCCUAUUUUAAUUUUUGAAAAUAGAGAGUGGGUAAAUAUACGAAGAAAUUAAUAAAUAUUUCUUGAGAAAAGUAAAAGAAGAAGACAAAAUAGAAAGUAUUAUUGCAGAGAAUAAAAUUUAGACUCUCUAUAUAAUGCAUAAAAAAAUUUUUACAAAUAAAAAGUUUGUUGAAGUUGAUCUAAUGAUGGUAUAAAUGAAAGAUUUGGAUAAAAUUUGUAAAAAAAAUAAAAAUAAAAUAAAUAAAUAUGUUGUAAAUGGAAAGUCCAUUAAAGUUUAUUGGUGAAUGACAUUUGUACCCCUGUAACCCUAGAAAUUAUUACCAUUGUAUCCCUAAUUCUUACCUAUAAAUAUAGGGCUUUGAUUUUCAAUAAUAUACACAAAAAGUUUAUUGAAUUUUCUCUAUUCUCUUUGAGUUUUCUCUAUUCUCUUUUCCUCUCAUUUUAUAACACGUUAUCAGCAUGAAACUCUUAGAAGAUAGUAAUUUUUUUUUUCAUAAUCAUCUAUCACGUAUAUCAAAAUUAAUUUGAUAAUACGUGAAUUUUACAUAUACAUAUGUUGAAUCUGCAAUACGUGAUCUCAUCUUUCUCGAUCAUUAUGUUUUCUUUGUACCUCUCUUUGAAUUAAUUAAUUUUUUUUCCUUUACAUCAAUCCACGUGCAUUUUUAUGGAGAUAUAUUUAUGUUAAGUCAAUUGAUAUGUAUUAAUUCAUGUUCCUAUACCCUCCUUGUAUUUAGAUUAGUCCUUUACAUUCUACACAUGCUUAUAAUUUUUUUUGGUUUAAUUGGUCAAUGUUCUUUGUAAGCAAGCUUCAAUUCCAGAUCUCUAUUUUGGCUUAUUCCAUAUAUAUAUAAUAUACAAUUAACAAAUAACUGUACCCAACUCAUCUUUUCUCUCAAAUCCAUUGGUUUCUGCAAAUUUCAUGCUUUAAUUGGUUAAUACUAAUUCAAUUCUUUUAAUUGCACAUAAUUAGAAUUUCAUGCCAUAAUAUGUGAAUAGGUGUCUACAUGUCACCAAUUUUUUUUUUGUGUUUCACUCGACUCACGUUAUUAAUUGAAAAUAAUAUUUUACAUGUGUUUGUAUAUUAAUUAAUGGUGAGCAAUUGGAUGUAUUAUCAUUUUUUUUAUGUUUAGUUAUGAAACAUUACAUUAAAUUUAUUUUUAAUUGUUGUUACUCCUGAAGUAGCACAACAUUAUAAUUAAUAUUCUAGAAGAAUAUUAAUCAUAAAUCUAUUCGUUGUUGCUCCAGAAGUAGCACAACAUUAUAAGAAUAUUAUUUACUCCUGAAGAGUAUAAAUUAUAACUCUCAAUAUUCCAGAAAAAUAUUGACAUAUUGCACUUGAAGAAAUAAUAGCAAAAUAUAAUGUACUUCAGAAGUAGCAUAUGUUUCGAAGAACAUAUUAUUUCAAAUUAGUGUUUAUCCCUAGAAGAAAACACGUAAUUUAAAGUCAUGUUGAUAUUGACUAUUUGAUUAACUUGUGAUGAUUAAUCAUAUUCUUCGAAACUAAUUAUAUUUUUUUAUUGUGUAGUUAAAUAAAUGGCAAACAUUACGAAACUUGAGUUUGCUGCACUUGACAUAUCUGGUAAAAAUUAUCUGUCAUGUAUACUGGAUGCUAAUAUCCAUCUCGUCUCAAAGGGUCUGGGAGAGACAAUAAAAGAAGGAAACAACGAAUCCUUGCAGGAUCGUGUAAAAGCACUCAUUUUCCUUCGUCACCAUCUUCACGAUAGAUUAAAAAUUGAGUAUCUCACUGAGAAAGAUCUACAAGUUCUUUGGAAAAAGUUAACUGAAAGAUUUGAUCAUCAAAGGACUAUAGUCCUCCCCAAAGCCCGUUAUGAGUGGAUGUACCUUUGUUUGCAAGUCUUUAAAACGGUUAGAGAGUACAAUUCUGAAUUGUUCAGAAUAUGUUCAAAGUUGACUUUGUGUGGAGAAAAAUCACUAAUGAAGAUAUGUUGAAAAAAACUUUCUCCACCUUUCAUGCCUCGAAUGUGCUCCUGUAGCAGCAAUAUCGUGAGCGUGGCUUCAAAAAGUACUCAAAACUUAUAUCUUGCCUAUUAGUUGCUGAACACAAUAAUGAAUUGUUGAUGAAAAAUCAUGGAUUACGUCCAACUAGUUCUGUACCAUUGCCUGAAGCAAAUGGUACUACAUUGUCUGAAGCAAAUACAAUAUCAAGACAAGGACGUGGAUACGAAUUUGGAGGUGGACACAAACACGGACGUGUACGUGGAAUAAAUCAUGGAAGAAAUAAUCAACAAAAUUAUCAACAACAAGGUAAUAAAUUCAAAAGGCACAAAGCAAACGAGAGUGACAAAUCUAAAAAAGAGCAUGAAGAAAGUUGCUUCAAAUGUGGAAUGAAAGGGCAUUGGGCACGUAUGUGUCGUACCUCAAAAUAUCUUGUGGAUCUCUACUAGAGAUCAAUCAAGGGAAAAGAAAAAUUAGAGACUAAUUUUGCUGAUUAUGAUGGUCCAAUUGAUGUGACUCAUUUGGAUGUCUCCGAUUUCUUUACUGAUCCAAAUGAAAAUAUUGACCAUUUGGUUGGGGUGGUGUGAUAGAAGAUAUAAAUUAAUUUACUAGUAUUUCUUUCGUUUUAGAAAUUCAGUCUGAAAUAUGUUUUUACUUUUUUGCACAAAAAAAAUAAAUAAAUAAAACUCUAUUAUGCAAUGUUUAUUUCAUGAUAUUAAGUAAUGUUUACUUCUUUAAAUCUAAAUUCAAGUUUUUUUUUAAAAAAUUUGUUUAUUUUGUUAUAUUUAUAUAUUCAUGAUGAAUAGUCAAGACAGCUGCUUAAUUGAUAGUACAACUACACAUACUAUUCUUCAAGAUAAAAAAUACUUUUUGGACUUAAUAUUAGCCGAAAAUAAUGUUAACACGAUAUCGGGUGCGUCGAAUAUCGAUGAAGGCUCCGGAAGAGCUUGUAUUAUUUUACCAAAUAAUACAAAAUUAUAUAUUGACGAUACACUUUAUUCUAACAAAUUCAGAAGAAAUUUGCUUAGUUUUAAAGAUUUCGCUGCAAUGAAUAUCACAUUGAGACAAUGCAAGAAAAUAAUGUUGAAUAUCUUUGCAUCACUUCUUUUGUAUUUGGCAAGAAGCAGAUAAAAGAAAAAUUUCAUGCACUUCCGUCUGGGAUGUAUUUUACAUUUAUAAAAAUGGUCGAAUCAAAUAAUGUUACGAAUCAGAAGUUCAUUGAUUCAAAAAGUUUUAUACUUUGGCAUGAUCGACUUGGACAUCCAGGAGCCAUAAUGAUGCGUCGAAUAAUAAACAACUCACAUGGACAUCUUUUAAAGAACCAAAAAAAUUCUUUUUUCUAAUGAUUAUCCAUGUGUAGCUUGUUUGCAAGGAAAGUUAGUCAUUAAACCUUCAACUACAAACGUCAAUAUUGAAUCUCCAACUUUCUUGAAAAGAAUACAUGGAGAUAUAUGUGGGCCAAUACACCCACCAUAUGGACCAUUUCGUUACUUUAUGGUAUUAAUUGAUUCUUCUACAAGAUGGUCACAUGUUUGCCUACUUUCAACUAGGAAUGUAGCAUUUGCUAGACUACUUGCUCAAAUCAUAAAAUUGCGUGCACAAUUCCCCGAUUACUCAAUCAAGACUAUUCGUCUUGACAAUGCUGGUGAAUUUAGAUCACAAGCAUUUGAUGAUUAUUGUAUGUCGAUUGGGAUUGAAAUUGAACAUUCAGUUGCACAUGUUCAUAUACAUAAUGGUUUAGCAAAAUCGUUUAUUAAACGUCUACAACUUAUUGCUAGACCAUUACUUAUGAAAACAAAACUCCCAGCUUCUGUUUGGGGUCAUGCCAUAUUACAUGCUGCAUCAUUGGUUCGUAUAAGACCAACUGCCUAUCAUCAAUAUUCACCUUUGCAACUUGCAUUUGGUCAUGAACCUGAUAUUUCUCACCUACGGAUUUUUGAUUGUACUGUCCAAGUUCCUAUUUCACCCCCCACAACGUACUAAAAUGGGUCCCCAACAAAGAUUUGGGAUUUAUGUGGGUUUUGAUUCACCAUCUAUUAUUAGAUAUCUUGAACCUUUAACGGGUGACUUAUUUACAGCACGUUUUGUAGAUUGUCAUUUUGAUGAAAUGACUUUCACAACUUUGGAAGGAGAAAAACUACAUUCUGAAAAACAAGAUAGAAUUUCUUGAAAUGAGACAACUCUAUCUCACUUUGAUCCCCGCAGCAAUCAAUAUGAACAAGAGGUUGAAAAAAUCAUUCAUUUACAAAGAGUUACAAUUCUACUACCUGAUAUAUUUGUUGACAUGAAAAAAGUGACAAAGUCAUUUAUUCCAGCAGAAAAUAUUUCAGCAAAAAUUAAUGUCCCUACAGGACAAUCUACUGUGGCAAAUGAAUCUCAAAUACGCCAGAAGCGUGGUCGACCAGUUGGUUCAAAAGACUCUGUACCUAGAAAAGAAGAGUACAGAAGAAAAACCAACCAAAAAUUUCAGAAAAAAUCACAUUAGAAAAGAUUGAUCAAUUAAAUAUUGAAUGUACGGUUCCUGAAGAACCAGAGGUGUCUGAAAAUAAUGAGAUUUCAAUAAAUUAUAUGAUAUCUCAUAAAUUAUGAGAACGGAAUAAUAUUGUUAUAGACAAUAUUUUCGCCUUUAACAUGGCUCUUGAUAUUAUACAAAAUGAGGAUCCUGAACUACAGUCUGUUAAUGACUGUUGAAAUAGAAAUGAUUGGCCAAAAUGGAAAGAAGCCAUACAGGCAGAAUUAAAUUCUUUGGAGAAACGAAAAGUGUUUGAACUAGUAGUUUGAACACUUGAAAAUGUAAUUUCUGUUGGAUACAAAUGGGUUUUCGUACGAAAGAGAAAUGAGAAUAAUGAAAUUACAAGAUACAAAGCCCGACUAGUGGCUCAAGGUUUCUCCCAAAGACCGGGAAUUGAUUAUGAGGAAACAUACUCUCCCAUAAUGGAUACCAUCACUUUUAGGUUCUUAAUUAGUUUGACCGUGUCAUAAGGGCUCGAUAUGCGCCUUAUGGAUGUUGUAACUGCCUACCUAUAUGGUUCACUUGAUAGUGACAUAUAUAUGAAAGUCUUUGAAGGAUUUAAGGUGCCAGGAAUAAAUUAUACAUAUCCGAGAACUAUGUUCUCAAUUAAAUUGCAAAAAUCAUUAUAUGGAUUGAAACAAUCCGGACGCAUGUGGCAUAAUUGCCUUUGCGAAUAUUUGUUGAAAGCGGGUUAUAAAAAUGACAAUAUCUGCUCAUGUGUUUUCAUAAAGAAAACAAAUAUUGGAUUUACAAUUUGGCAGUUUAUGUUGAUGAUUUAAAUUUAAUUGGAACUCCUGAAGAGCUCAACAAAAAUGCAGAUUAUUUGAGAAAUGAAUUUGAGAUGAAAGAUUUGGGGAAAACCAAAUCUUGUCUUGGAUUACAAAUUGAACAUUUUCCAGAGGGAUUAUUUGUUCAUCAAUCUACUUAUACAGAAAAAGUCUUGAAGCGCUUUUAUAUGGAUAAUGCACAUCCAUUGCCAUCACCUAUGGUUGUUCGAUCACUUGAUGUGAAAAAAGAUCCAUUUCGUCCACUUGAAGAUGGAGAAAAGAUUCUUGGUCUUGAAGUGCCAUACCUUAGUGCAAUUGGAGCAUUAACUUAUCUUGUAAAUUGCACUCGACCUGACAUAGCUUUUUCUGUAAAUCUCCUUGCAAGACAUAGCUCUACGCCAACUCAAAGGCAUUGGAAUGGUGUUAAACAUAAUUUUCGUUACCUAAAAGGUACUAUUGAUAUGAGACUAUUUUAUUCUCAAAAGUCAGGAUCUGCUUUAGUGGGAUAUGCAGAUGCAGGUUAUCUCUCCGAUCCACAUAAAGCUAAAUCACAAACAGGAUAUGUGUUUACACGUGGAGGAACAGCUAUAUCAUGGAGAUCUGUGAAGCAAUCCUUGACAGCAACAUUCUUACAUCAUUCUGAGAUUAUUGCAAUCCAUGAAGCAGGGCGAGAAUGUGUAUGGUUGAGGAAUAUGACCCAUCAUAUCCAAUCAUCAUGUGGAUUGACUUCAAUAAAAGAUAGUCCAACAAUUUUGUUUGAAGAUAAUGCAGCUUGUAUCGCACAACUCAAGGGAGGCUAUAUCAAAGGCGACAGGACGAAGCAUAUUUCUCCAAAAUUCUUUCAUACACAUGAACUUCAGAAGAAUGGUGACAUUGAUAUUCAACAAAUUUACUUAAGUGACAAUGUGAUUGAUCUAUUCACAAAAACGCUGUCAACAUCUACAUUCAAGAAAUUAGUUCAUGAGAUUGGAAUGCGUCGACUCAAAGAUUUUCAGUGAUCAAUAUUAGGAGGAGUAGCUGUACUCUUUUUCCUUCGCUUAGGUUUUGUCCCAUUGGGUUUUCCUAGCAAGGUUUUAAUGAGGCAGCAUUUAAUUUUAAUACUCCAAAAUAACUGUACUCUUUUUCCUUCAUUUAAUUUUUUUUCCCCAUUGGAUUUUUAUCAAACAAGGUUUUAACGAGGUAGAUAUUUUGUAAUAUGUCAUUCAACGAAGAGUGUUGUAAAUGGAAAGUCCGUUAAAGUUUAUUGGUGAAUGACAUUUGUACCCCUGUAGCCCUAGAAAUUAUUACCAUUGUAUCCCUGAUUCUUACCUAUAAAUAUAGGGCUUUGAUUUUCAAUAAUAUACACAAAAAGUUUAUUGAGUUUUUUCUAUUCUCUUUUCCUCUCAUUUUAUAACAAAAUAGUAAUAAUAAAUGAAAGAUUUGGAAUUACAACUGUAUUAUUCCUACGAUGGUUAUGUUGCCACCAUAAUUUCUAUUUGUCACACCACAAUUUAAUUGUAGUUAAACUCCCAAAUCCAUGCUCAUUGUAAUAAUUAUUUCCUUUAUUUUCGUUGAAUUUUUAUCUUCAACUUUCAUUAAUUAGUACAUCACGUCCUGACGAUAAUUUAUGUUAAAAUAUUUUGUGUACAUGCUCUACAUUAAGGGAAAAUAAAAUUUUUUUAAUUUUUAUAUAUGAUAAAAAAUAAGUUGUUGUAAGCUGUUUUUUUUUAACAUAAAUUGUUAUCAAAUACAAAAUAUAUUUGUAGUGGUCCAAAUUAUCCGUUGGGCUCUUGACCCAAUCCAUGUAUAUUGAAUGUUCCUAGCCCAAACUAAUGUAUGCCAAUCAUGCUCAUCCUUGACCCACUAAUGAUUUAUCAGUCUUACUUUGUGUCCGACCUAUCACACGGUGUCACGUAGAGUCUAAAGGAUAAACUUCUCAACAAGCAAAUCAGUUCAACUCACCAUCUUUUCUAUAAGAGUCGUGAGCUAAGGGUAAGACCAUGUCUUACGAGGUGUUCAAAUGGUUAUGGUAACUCUACCCAAAGUUGGUCGAGUUUUUCGAAACUCGGAAAAUAUCAUCCUAAUUAAUCAAUCCAUCUGGUGUCCACAUGCUCCACUAUUUGUGGAUCAAACAAUUUUGCUGGUUCUCUUAUAAAUAUGAGGGCCAACUAUUCAAGGGGAGAAAAAAAAAUUAUUGAGCCUACACAGCUUCCUCAAUAUUUAUCCAAUUUAGAUAUCUUAUUGCCAUUACUAUCACUUUUAUUUGUCACCUCUCACAAUCAUAUCAUCCAACCACUUCGCUACUAUCACUAUUUCAUCAUGCCAAUCAUAAAUAUCAUCAAUGCCUACUUUUAGAAUCAACUAUAGAUUCGAACAUCUACAAUUUGGCGCCCACCCCGUGGGCCCCAGUGAUUUUCAACACAAAAAAUAUUCCACUAACAGUAAACAUUUUGAUCGCAAUGACGGAAUCCCUAUUAUUGUCAAAGCUAGCAGCCAUGCUUGUUCAAUUUACUUCUCAAAUGGCUGAAACCAACCAAAAGUUCUAGCAGCUAGAAGUAUAAAAUGUACAACUUAAGCAGACAAUUAGAGAGCUCUCUACACUCUCAACGUUAGCUGGGACCAAGAGCCACAUUCAAUUUCACACUGUAGUGAGAACCAUAUAGUUACUUGACAUGCCAAAGCGUGACAUGCUAGGUAUAUGAAGAACUAAUGUCAAUACUAACAAUGUCAAUACAGGCCACGAGACAGACAUGGAGGACGAGGUACUGCUUGACGACCUACCCAUUGUAAAGGAGCUGGUACCACAGGUCAUUAAUACAAAUUACCAAAACACGGACUCUUCACGCAACGAAGGCACUAGCCCAAAUCCGAUAUCGAUCAACGUUUCGCCAUGACAGAGGCCAUGAUCAACCAUAUCCUGAGUGUACCUAUACCGAUCAAGAAAAAUAGGCAAAGCUUUGCGGACUCACCAUUUGUCUAUUCGAUAGCUCUAGUUAAAAUGUCAAUAAAUUUCAAUUUUUCCAAUAUGAAGAUGUAUGAUGGCACCACCGACCCAAAUGCCCAUAUUGCCCAAUGUAAACAAAGAAUGUUCACAGUAACCAGGCCCGGUUCUGGGGCCAGGCGAAUAAGGCCUACGCCUCAGGCCCAGAUUCCAAGGGGGCCUCAUUUUUAGCCCAGAAUUUUAUUUUAUUUUAUUAUUUUUUUCGGUUGAACCAAACUAGUAAUGAAGAAGAGUACCUCACAACUUCAAGCCCAAAUCCAAUACCCUUAGUCUUAAUCCAUUUAUCCAACUUAUACAUCCAUAAAUCAUAAUCUAUUAUCUGUCAUUUACCCAAAAUUCCCAAUUUCCCAAUCCCCAAUCAAAAACCCCUUUCUCCCAAACGCUCGUCUGAGUAGUCCGUCCCCUUCGUAGCGUCGCCGAUCGCCUCUGUCUCUCUUCUCGACUUCCUCAUUCCGACUUCCAGAUUUCCUCUUCCUUGAGUCAUCAGUUACGGUCCAUGGAGUCGGACACCAUCGUAGUUCACACCAAUUCCCUUCCGUUGCGGAGCACAGUUCGCUGUUCACCCCUGUUAGCAAGCAAGUGCUUGGCAGUUGACUAUUAGUUUAGUAUGUUAAGAUUAUUAAUUCCUUUUGAGUUAUAUGAUUACAUUUACACUAAGUAUUCAACUAUUCAUUCAUGACUUUUACCUUUUACUUAUUAUAAUUUUGAUUACAUGACUUUAACUAAUAAAUGCUCUUUUUCUAUGUUACUGUUAAAUACUUUAAUAUUAAUGGGUUAACUGUUAUCUAGUCUAGGAUGGAGUCGAGGACUUGAAAAUGCUACAACUAUGUUUAAUGAUUAUUGAUUAAUAUAUAAUUUGUUGUACAAGUUUGAGACGAAGAACUCUCAAAUCUCAAGUAAUGACUAAUGUGUGAAAUAGUUUAUAGUUAAUUUCAAUAACUUAGUUUGAUAGGUCUUUGUGAGAAUAUAUAGUUGAGAACUUGAGAUAUUAUUUUGUUAAUGAACUUAAGAAAAGAUAUCUUCAGUUUUUACAACCAGUAUACUAAUUUGAAUUAAUUUAUUUUGUUGAUGAAACUAUUUUAACGGUGAUUAGCUCUUAUUAAAUGUGUUAUUUCCCUAAGCUUGACUAAAUGUGCGCCUAUUUUUAAGUAUUGGUGUUUGAUGUUAAAUUUUUGUUUCAGGUUCGUAAGUUAUGACGAUGAAAUUCGCAAGGGUGUGAUUCCAUAGUUUUUGUCGCAAUUCUGCUUAUCAAGUAAGCAGUGGUUUUCCCUAACUUGUUAUUUAAGAGAUUAGAAAUGUUUGGAGCCUUGUCGGCUUAUAUAAUUGCAGCUUGGUUGGCUUAUAUGAUUGAUUAUUGUACGAUCAACUAUUUCAGAAGAAAGAUAGAAUGGAUUGACUAUGUUGUCAAUAGAGAAAGAAAUAGUUGAAUAGCUAAACUAUUCAAAUUUUAUUAAUGUUUUUGCCUUUUAGACGAAUAAUAUUUAACUAAUUACUUGAAAUAUUUUGGUUUUGUUAUUUGAUAAUAUAAAUUUUUUAUAUAAUAUAUCUGUUUGUUGUUUUAACUAAAUUUUAAGUUAGCAAUAAGUUGCAUAAUAUACCAUUGCAUUUACGUUGAUUUCGGGAGGGGGCCUAAUUUAUAUGCUUUGCCUUGAACCCUGACAAUCACAGGACCGACCUUGAUAGUAGCAAACCCACAUGAUCUCUAAGAAGCAUACAGGUGCAAAGGAUUCGGCUCUAGUCUUAUAGGGCUAGCUUUAUAGUGGUACACCAAUUUAACUAACAACUCAAUAUCAUCUUUUGUACAAUUAAAUGAUAUUUUUGUAGAGCAAUUCGCAAGUAGCAGAAAAUUAAUUAUUCGAACAUCCUCUAUAAAAUUGUACAAUGCACAGAAAUCUCUACUUUCAAAAAAAGAUUUAAACCUGACUCAGACCUCUACAAGGAAUUGACUAAGUACGCUUACUACACAAUGAAAGAUGUGUUGGUAGAGGCCUAGGCUCAAAUCAAGAGGGAAGAUGACGAGGCUAAUGCAUUUCGCAACCUACUCUUCAAGAUCAAAGAACCUAAAGGUAUCCAGAGGAUACAAAGACGACAAACUGACCCAUAUCCAAAAUUGAUUGUAGAAUCUUGUGAAGAACGGACAACUAGAAACUAUUGAGUGCCUUCACCAUUCUUACGAUAGACCAAGGAUACCCGAGUACAACCUUAGCAUUUUAUCAGUUGAAGUUGUAGCCAUAAUAAAAGGGAAGGAAAAUACCAUCAAAUUGAUAGGAAAAAUGAGAAGUCAUCUAGGCAACAGGCGUGAUACAUCCAAACCGUGUGCAUUUUAUGGUGAUCACGAACACAAAAUUCAUGAUUGUAUUGGUUUGUGAUUGGAAGUUGCUAAUCUACUCAAAUGUAGGCACUCACCAAUCUCCUAACAAAGAAAGGAAAAAAUACAUUGUUUCUCGGCAACCAAUGCUACAAUGAACCACACAAUCUAUGAAUUUCCAAGCACAUCCAAAGCUCGGUCGAGCAAUAACUUCAUCACCAAAGGAUCGAAGGUUAGCGGGAUCACUUAUUCUGUUGUACAAUGAUGCAUUCAAAUAAUUGGAUAGGUGGCGUGGAACGAAUCUCGAAAGCUUUCAAUAAGCUGAGAAGGCCAUCCCACUACGCUUAACUUUACAAGUAACGAGGCAUCAAACCUCCAAAACCUUCAUUGCGAUGCUUUGGUUAUUUCGUUAUGUAUUGCUAGCUAUCUUAUGAAAAGAAUUUCUAUCGACAAUGUGAGUUCUACUAAUAUAUUUUUCCUUGAGACAUUAAGAGAGAUGUAGGUCCCAGAGUCCAGCAUUAUAUGCAAUAUUACCACACUCAUAUGAUUCAAUUGAGAACACAAAACUACACUAUGAGAGAUGAUGCUCUUGGUCUAUGAUGAAGAAGUAAAUCUUCAUACCAAGUUCCUUGUCAUCGAGUGCCCAUUGGCCUACAACGUUAUCAUAGAAAGACAUUGGAUAUAUGCAAUGAAAGAUAACCUUCAAGCUAUCACAAGGUCAUGGGCUUUCCCAUUUCCUGGAGAGUUAAAAAAAUAUGAGGAGAAUCAAAGAGUCUCACGCAACUGCUAUAUGAAUGCUUUCAAACCCUGACCAGAAUGAGUGCACUAGAUCCAACAAAAAGUAAGCGAAUCGCUUGAGCCAGAUAUGGAGGACAUCAACAAAGUCCAAUUAUAUCUAGACAUUUCAAAGCAUACAGUGUAGAUUUGAGAUUAAUUCCCAUCAGACAUCUGAGAUGUAAUAAUUGAAUUUCUAGCUUGACAUCAAGAUCGCUUUGCAUGGUCGCACAUGAAUAUGACAUGUAUUGAUCCUUCAAUAGUAACCUAUAAAUUAAAGGUCAAUCCCACUACUAACUAGUUAGACAGAAGAGACACAAAUUCGCUCCAAAAACGAUAAAAAUUAUUAACGACAAAAUACAAAAGCUCAUUGACAUCGGCUCAGUACGUGAAGUCUAAUAUCCAAAUUGGUUGGCCAAAGUCGUCAUCAUUGAAAGGAAAAAUGGCAAAUGAUGGAUCUGCAUAGACUUCAUAGAUUUAAUAAUCGUGCCCAAAAAAUUCCUUCCCUCUAUCACAUAUCGACACUUUGGUGGUCUCCACAGCAAGGUAUAAGUUACUUAGCUGUAUGGAUGCAUUCUCAAUAUACAACCAAAUCUUAAUGCAUCCAAGUGAUCAAGAGAAAAUGGCUUUAAUAACGGGAGGAGAUGUUCUAUUACUAAGUCAUGAUAUUCGACCUAAAAAAUGCAGAAGCAACAUACCUGAUACGACCCAUCCCAAAUCACUAUAAUGAACCCGACACGUGUCGUGCGCCAAUGAAUGAUACCAGCUAAAUGCCAGACCUACCACCAAAUCAACUAUGAUUUGCUUUGACUGUCACAUAAUUAUAUAAAAAUUUGACAGAGUUUCCUCUAAGAUAUGGACUAAAAUAACCUGAAAGUUUAUCAACUUUCUCAAAUCAAUACAUAUAAUUUAAAACAAGGUACAUCAGCCCUUCCAAACACAACUAUUCAAAAUAAAGUACGAUUGAAUGGAAUUUACACUUCUUUACAAACCAGAGGACUCCAAAUACAUUACUUAUACAAAUUAUGUAGUGAGGCCAUGAUAUAAAUUGACAAAAGAUGCAUCUACCCCAAAAAAUUAUGAACUGUAUAAAUUGACAAAAAGAAACAUACAAAUAACAACUGAGGGGCUCAAUUUGGUAAUUCAACAGGCUCCGAUGUGGCUUAACACAGCUACCGUCUGAUAAGAAAAAGGGAGAUGAAAUAUAUGAGUUUGUAACUCAAUGAGUGGAUAAUUUUGUAAACAAAUAUACUUUUUCCAUUUAUGCUAACUUUCUAAAAACUGGUUUAUAAUAGAAAUAUCAUUACAUAGUACUUUAAGCUAAAUUCUGUAUUCUGAAAUUUGAUAAGUUGUAUAAUACUGAAAAAUCACACUAAAAAGGUACCCGGAAUAACUAUACUUAUGUAUCGAUUAGCAUCGAUAGACAUGGCAAAGAUAUCCAAUUCUGAAAUUCUGUAAUUCUAAAAUUUUGGUCAUACGAUGCACAGCUUUCUGGUCAUACACCAUGGAAACACAUUAACAAUAGUGCAAAGUAGGUAAAAUCACCAUAAUUAGUCAUACACUGUGGAAACACAUUCACACUAGUGCAAAGCGGGUAAAAUCACCUGGGUACUUUCUAGUGAUUUUUAGAAAAUAACUUUAAAUAUGCUGAACUAUUUAAUACUGAAAUAAUGUGCCAAUGAAAUGCUUUAACUGAACUGAAUUUAACUUCAAAACACAACUGUUAAUAAAUCAACUUUUUUCUGAAAAUCGUGUUUUCAAAUCAACUGUAUGAAUUAAUAAAUUUUCUAAUUUAAUAUAAAUUUUAUAAAUACUAAUUUCUUAAAAAUAAGUUUAUAUCCACUCACACAAUACGAGCUACACACUAGGCCACUUGGUAAGCUUUUCCAAUUUCUUUGUCACCACAUGAAAUACGUUACAAAAUAACUAAUUUAACUACUAUUAAAAUCAAGAAACCUUUUAUCUCUAAUGAUAAAAUAAUUAAACUAAAUUUUCCAAGACUUGCGAAAUUUUUUUAAAUUUCCUUUAUUCAAUUGGAGUUAAUUUUAAUUUCUAAUAAUACCUUCACACAUGGGUACUUUACCCAAAUUUACUUUCAUCCCAUUCAUAAAAAUAAUUAUACUUUCUGAUCUAAUGCAAACUAGUAACCAUAAUUCCACCUAUUUAAACUUUCAUCUUGUUUCUCAACUUCAUGCUUUCAUAUGAGUAUUCCAUCAAUAUAAUCAUUUCCAUGAAAUAUCCUUACUUAAGAAUCCAAUUAAAAAUUCUAGGGUUUGCCAAAUUUUUUUUGAUAUUUCUUACCUUAAUUCAAACGGAGACUAACCAAUCAAGAAGCUUGAGCUAGAGAUCAUAAUCCUUUCUCUAAAUCUGAAAUUUCGAACCAAAUUAAAACCCUAGAAAUUUAACAUAAAAUUUAUCUACCUCUUGAAGAAAAUAAAGAGAAAGGAAAAAUGAAAAUAAACCUUGAACUACAUCUUUCCCUUCUUCUUCCUCUUUUUCUUUUCCUUUUUCUCCUUCUUUUUCUUCACUUUUUUUCCUUUCUUCCUUCCUUCCGCCGAUUUUUCUCCUUCUCUGCCGGUUUCAAGAUUUUUCCUAUUUGUGUGGCUGAGUGAUAUAUAAAAAAAUGGGCUAGUUGUUGUACAAUUGCCACAUGCCCUCCAUAACAUCAACUUUUGCAAAUUAUGUCCUCAUUAAUAUACUUAGGAUCCGUUUGAUUGCAAAUGUGGAAUUUGGGUGAAAAGAAAACGAAUUUCAGGGAAUUGAAUUGAUGAGAAAUUGUUUUACUGGGAGUUGUAAAUUAUUGUGUUUGAUUGAUAUAAUUUUUUACGUGAAAAUUGUUUAAAUUAAAUUUUUUUUGAUGUCUGUUUGGUUUUGUUUUACAUGAAAAAUGUCAAUUAAAGGGAUAGAAUUUACUGGUAUUUGGAAUGAAAUUUGUUUUCAUUGCCAAAAUAAAAAAAAAUUCAAGAAAAUCAUCGAUUUUUGGGUGUUCGUUUGAUUUUGUUUUACAUGAAAAUUGUCAAUUAAAGGAAAAUAUUUUUUUACAAUAAUUUUUAGAAUUUAUUUUCAUUGCUAACACAAAAAAAGAAGGAAAAAAAAAUUGAAAACCUGGAAUUCACUUUCCUACCGUAUAGGUGGAAAAACCAAUUCCUUGAAAUGAAGGAAAAUAGGCGCGUGUGAGGCUUGCAUGGAAAGUGAAUUCCAAGGAAAUGUUUUGCCAUCAAACACUAGAAUUUGGAAAAGAUGGAAAUUAAUUUUCACUUUCUAGGGAAUUCAUGGGCAAUCAAACGGUACCUUAGAAUCAUUUACUUCCCAAAAAUAGAAAAAUAAAUCCCUAACUUUUCCACCUUAAACCUUCCGAUUAUUUCUCAGUAUAAAUUAAACUCCAAUAAUUAAUUUAUUUUAUUUUAGUCUCUAUUUGACUUUGACUUUGACGAGUCAAUCUUUGAAUUUUGACUAAACAAAAAUCGGUUGUAACAUCUUACUUCCUUAAAAGAAUUUCAUUCUCGAAAUUCCACUGGCAUCUGAUUAGGUAACGAAUAGAUGAGGAUACUGAAUACGCAUCUGAUCCUCAUGCUCCCAGGUUGCCUCUUCUACCGUCUGAUUCUGCUAAAGCACCUUUACAAGUAAAAUUGUCUUGUUCCGCUGAAUUUGCACCUUUCUGUAUAGAAUUCUCACUGGCUCCUCUGUAUAAGUCAAAUUCUCCUUCAAGUGAACUAGAUGAGACUCUAGAACAUGAGAAGGAUCUGUAAUGUACUUUGGAGCAUGGAGACAUAAAAAACAUCAUGGAUCCUAGAUAAUUCAGUUGGCAAAUCUAAUCGAUAUGCAACUAGACCAAUUCGCUCAGUAAUCUCAUAUGGUCCAAUGUAUCGUGGACUCAAUUUUCCUCGCUUGCCAAAUUUUAAAACUCCCUUCCAAAGCGACAAUUUUAGAAAUAUUUUAUCUCCAACUAUGAAUUUCAGAUCUUUUCUGUGCCUAUCUGCAUAACUUUGCUAUCUAUCUUAUGUUGGUUUUUCAACUUUUCUCUGAUCAAUUUCACAUUUACUGAAGUCAUUUGAACCAAUUCAGGGCCUACUAACUUCCUCUUACCAGCUUUAUCCCAGCAAACUGAUAUUCUGCACUUUCUACCAUAUAAAGUUUCAAGAAGAGCCAUUUCUAUACUGGAGUGGUAACUGUUAUUGUAAGCAAACUCCAUCAAUGACAAAUGUGAAUCCCAGCUACCCUGAACUCUAAAACACAAGCCCUCAACAUAUCCUCAAGAGUCUGUAUGGUCCUCUCUGACUGACUAUCUGUCUGAGUAUGAAAAGCUGUACUGGGCCAAAAUUUAGAUGUAAAAUGAGGGUCUCUGUCAGACAUAAUAUAUAAUGGAGUACCAUAUAAGCUCACUAUCUCGUCCACAUACAACUUUGCUAACUUAUUUAAAGUAUAAGUGGUUUUGAUUGGCAAAAACCUUGCAGACUUGGUCAAACGAUCCACAAUAAUAACCCAAAGAUCAUUAUGACCAUUCUGGGUACGAGAAAGACCAAAUAAAAAGUCCAUAGUAAUGUGCUCCCAUUUCUAUUCUAGAAUAGGCAAUGGCUAUAAUAGUCUUGUUGUUUUCUAACGAAUUGGUUUUACCUACUGACAGAUAAGACGUUUGGAUACAAAAAUAUGUUAUCUCUCUCUUCCACAAGUAAUGUUCUUUCAACGUAUCAUACUUUCAAUGUAUGAUACAUUUUAAUACAUUUUGAUAGAGUCUUCUUUAAAAGAUGGACUAAAAUCACCUGAAAGUUUAUCAACUUUCUCAAACCAAUACAUAUAAUUUAAAACAAGGUACAUCAGCUCUUCCAAAAACAACUAUUCAAAAUAAAGUACGUUGGAAUGGAAUUUACACUUCUUUACAAACCAGAGGACUCCAAAUACAUUACUUAUACAAAAUUAUGUAGUGAGCUCAUGAUAUAAACUGACAAAAGAUGCAUCUACCCCAAAAAUUAUGAACUAUAUAACUGACAAAAAGAAACAUACAAAUAAUGACUGAAUGACUCAAUUUGGUAAUUCAACAGGCUCCGAUGCGACUCAACACAACUAUUGUUUGAUAAAAAAAAGGAGAUGAAAUAUAUGAGCUUGUAACUCAGUGAGUGGAUAAUUUUGUAAACAAAUAUACCUUUUCCAUUUAUGCUCACUUUUCAAAAACUGGUUUAUAAUAAAAAUAUCAUUACGCAGUAUUUUAAGCUAAAAUCUUUAUUCUUUAAACUGAAUAAGCUAAAUUCUGUAUUCUGAAAUCUAAUAAGCUGUAUUAUACUGAAAAAUCACACCAAAAAGGUACCCGGAAUAACUAUACUCAUGUCUCGGUUAACACCGAUAAACAUGACAAAGCUAUCCAAUUCUGUAAUUCUGGUCAUACGCACGCAGAGCUAUCUGGUCAUAAACUAUGGAAACACAUUCACAAUAGUGUAGAGCGGGUAAAAUCACCUAGGUACUUUCUGGUGGUUUUUAGAAAAUAACUUUAAAUAAACUGAACUAUUUAAUAUUGAAAUAAUAUGCCAAUGAAAUGAUUUAAUUGAACUGAAUUUAACUUUAAAAAUAACUGUUAAUAAAUCAACUUUAUUCUGAAAAUCGUGCUAUCAAAUCAACUGUAUGAAUUAACAAAUUUUCUGAUUUAAUAUAGAUUUUAUAAAUACUAAAUUCUGAAAAGUAAAUUUAUAUCCACUCACUCAAUACGAGCUACAGACUAAGUCGGUCGGUAAGCUUUUCCAAUUUCUUCGUCACCACUUGAAAUACGUUACAAAAUAACUAAUUUAACCACUAUUAAAAUCAAGAAACCUUUUAUCUCUAAUGAUAAAAUAAUUAAACUAAAUUUUUCAAGACUUGCAAAAUUUUCCUAAAUUUCCUUUAAUCAAUUGAAGUUAAUUUUAAUUUCUAAUAAUACAUUCACACGUGGGUACUAUACCCAAAUUUACUUUCAUCCCAUUCAUAAAAAUAAUUAUACUUUCCAAUCUAAUGCAAACUAGUAAUCAUAAUUCCACCCAUUUAAACUUUCGUAUUGUUUCUCAACUUCAUGCUUUGAUAUGAGUACUUCAUCGAUAUAAUCAUUUCCAUGAAAUAUCCUUACUUAAGAAUCCAAUUAAAAAUUCUAGGGUUUGCCAAAAAAAAUUUGAUAUUUCUUACCUUAAUUCAAAUGGAGACUAACCAAUCAAAAAGCUUGAGCUAAAGAUCAUAAUCCUUUCGCUAAAUCUGAAAUUUCGAACCAAAUUAAAACCCUAGAAAUUUAAUAUAAAAUUUAUCUACCUCUUGAAGAAAAUAAAGAGAAGGGAAAAAUGAAAAUAAAUCUUGAACUACAUUUUUCCCUUCUUCUUCCUCUUUUUCUCCUUCUUUUUCUCCUUCUUUUUCUUCCCUUUUUUCCUUUCUUCUUUCUUUCUGCCCAUUUUUUUCUCCUUUUCUGCCAAUUUCCAGAUUUUUCCUAUUUGUGUGGUUGGGUUGUGCUUCAUAGCCCACGAGCUUGACAAAGGGGUUGACACCCCACACACACAUGGGGAGAUCGGUAUUAUUUUAUUCAAUGGGACCCACCUCGGCAUGUGAGAGGGUGGUCAGCCGUGGUGUCAACCCCGCGGGUCGUUUAGCAUUUUUCUUGUGUGGUUUGAGUGGUAUAUAAAAAAAAUGGGCUAAUUGUUGUAUAAUUGUCACAUGCCCGCCAUAACACCAACUUUUGCAAAUUAAGUCCUUCAACAUUAAUAUAUCUUAGAAUUAAAUCUUUUACUUCCCAAAAAUAUAAAAAUAAAUCCUUAACUUUAAAUUUUAUCCACCUUAAACGUUCCAAUUAUUUUUCAAUAUAAAUUAAACCCCAAUAAAUAAUUUAUUUUAUUUUAGUCUCCAUUUGACUUUGAUUUUGACGAGUCAAUCUUUGAAUUUUGACUAAACAAAAAUGGGUUGUGGCUCAUCAAUUCAAUGUUUACCAAAUUGCUCGAAAAAGUGAUGAGUGCCUACAUAAACGAUAUGCUCAUCAAAUCAUUUGUAGUGACUGACCACAUCAGGUACCCGGGUAGUCUUUCUAAGUCCUCAAAACGUAUAAUAUGAAACUCAAUAAUUAUAAAUGUUCAUUUGGUGACUCUUUUGAAAAAUUUGCAGGUUAAUAAGCAAGGGAUAGAAUUAAAUUCAGACCAAGUAUGAUCAAUCAUCAACAUCCUGUCUCCUAGACACAUCAAAGACAUUUAGAAGUUGACUAGACGAUUAGCUGCGAUCAACCAGUUUAUAUCAAAAUAUUAGAAGAAAAAUUGCAUUUUCUUUAACACAUUGCGAAAGAACGAAGAGUUCAUUUCGACUCCGAAUGUAAGAAAGCUCUACAAAAAUUAAAGAAUUAUUUGACAAGUCCACCGCUCCUAUCCAAGCCAAAAGACAGCGAGAUGCUCUACCUUUACUUAGCAAUAUCUUUGUCUGCAGAAAACGUCAUACUUGUCCAGGAGGAGGAUAGAAAGCAGCAUGUGGUGUGCUACAUUAGUAGAUUCUUGCUCAACUCUGAAUAUCGGUACAGAAGCUGAAAAAGCUUGCACUCGUCCUCGUAAUCAAGGGAAGGAAGCUAAGGCCCAUACUUCCAGCACACCUAUAACGGUGCUUUUGACCUUCCUAUAAAAGAUGAUCCUCCAUAAACCAGAAUUGUCGAGCCGACUAGUGAAAUGGCAGUAGAACUUAACGAAUAUGACUUGACUUACCAACUACGGUCCGCGGACCACUAUCAAAUCACAUGUGCUUGCUGACUUUAUUGUUGAUUUUUCAACCGACAAACAUGUCCUGUCCAAGAAAGAAAUUUUUGCAGUAACGGAGAGCUUAAUUUCGAAAGAAUUGACCUAGCGUUGGAUGGAUCAAGCAACUCUAAUGAAAGUGGACUGGGCAUAAUCUUAACCUCAUCCGAAGCCAACAUAAUCGAACGAGCAAUACAAUGCUGAUUCAAAGCAACGAAGCUGAAUAUGAAGCUCUAAUUGGGGAUCUAUCACUUGUAAAAGACACGGGUAUGAAGAAAAUCAAAUUGUCGAACGAUUGACAAAUAGUCACCCACCAAAUCUAAGGCAACUACUCAAAGAACAAAAAUGGCGACAUAUCUCAAAAUCGCAAAAGAGCUUCAGUCUUUCUUCCAGGAUUUUGACAUAAUCUAAAUCGUUAGAGAAGAUAAUAAUAAUCAUGCUAACGCACUUAGAAAUUGCAAUACUUUAUUAUACUAAUUGUAUCAUGUUUUAUAUUCUAACAAAAAAUUAUAUUUUAUUUUUCUUUUUGAAAUUUAUUAGAAAAUUAUGUUAAUCUUCAAAGUUCUAAUGUUAAAUUUAUAUAAUAAAUAAAAAAAAAUCAAUAAAACUAUUUGUACAUCCAAGAUUGACACCCCGGAUGACACUCCCCUUACAAGAGAGGGGGGUCCACACGUAAUAAAAUAAUUGUGAGCUCCCCUCUUGUGAAGGGAGUGUCAUCCGGGGUUAACACUUCGGAUGUACAAAUAGCAAAGUCCAAAAAAUAUAUAAUAAUCACUUACAAAACAUAUACAUGCACGUUGGAAAAAGGAAGGAUCGCUUAUAUAUUGAUAGGUGUGCAUGGCAUAUGGCUAAUUGUAAUUGGAACCUGAAUUUCAAGAAAGGAAAAAAAAAAUGAAUGGGGAUUCUAGUGCCACAAGUGAUAUAAUUUUAGAAAACUUCCCACAAUCGAAUUGUUAAUCAAAAAUGAAUAUUUCUACUCAAACAGGGGCCGUGACAGCCUUAAUAGGCGCCCCCUCCAAUAGGGGGACGCCCAUGUCACAGUAACAAGCCCCAUCAAAAAUAGCAUAGACAAUUGUAGAAGAGGUGAACUUGAGACAGAAGGUUAAUUGAAGGUUUAAUUCUGAUUUUCUUAUUUCUUUUUUAAUUUUAAAAGUUUCUUGAUUUGGCUACUUGUGCUUCUUUGGAAGUGAUAAUGACCUGCUAAAUUUCGUUUAUCUUCUUCUACGUUUCUGAUUAUUUUCUUCUACAUUUUGUGCCCAAGCCUUUAUUCUAUAACUAAUUUUCAAUGCUACAAAAGGGUGAGUAGCAUUUUAUGAACUCUUUGAACCUUUUUUAAGUACUUUUUUCCUCUUGAACAAUCUGGAUUAUGUUUUUGAAGUUUUAGAUGUAUACAAGUAUGGACGGAGACAAAAUAUUAUAAUAUAUUUUUAAAACUCUUACUUUCAAUAUUUAGUUGUCACCAUAUUUCUAAUUUUGUUGGUAACAAAUGAGGCAUCUUUGACAUUUUUAGUUCACUUCCCAUAAAUAAACGAUGAAGAUUGAUUCUAUUUUAUGAUUCAUAUUUUUUCUAGAUUAUUUUUGUUGACGCAUAAAAAUUCAGCCCAAAUCGAACAGCCCAAGGAGUGAAGCCUAAUUGGAUGAUCCCCAAAUCAAAUAGUCCAAAGAAUGAAGCCCAAUCGAACAAAUCAAGAUGAAGGCCCAAAUAAGGAGGCCCAAGAACGCGGUAACGCCAUCGCCCAAGUUUGCAAGUCGCCCAGAAUCUGAGCGAAUGGAGUGUCAUACAAUCGCCCAGAGCUGUUACUCUAUUCACGCCCAAACCUUCAAGUCGCCCAAGGUCUUAACAAACAUAAAGCGUAGUGGUUAUCAAGAAGUGCAGUUAUCAAAGCAGUUAUUAAAGCAGCCCUAUCACGUUCCACGAUUCAAGGAAUUCAAUCGAAAGCGGUUGAACGAUGAAGAGUAAUGGCAGCAGUUAAAAAAUACAGUUUUCAUGACAAGUUGGCCAUUACAAAGAAAGUGGGCAGUUAUAGGACGAUCAAGCAGUUUUUAGGACGGUUGAUCACAAAGAGAUCGUCCAUGAAGUAUAAAAGGGAGAAAGAACAUAGAAGCAAAGGACCGAAUCAAAAACUCUCGAACAGAGAACAUGUAAUUUUCAUUUCCUUAGCUUAGACUUAAACGCUUUUCUUCCAGUAACUCGUGUGCUUGCGCCCAUUGGAGGCACAUUGUUUUUAAUUUCCAAUUGUAAAAUCAUCGCCAAUAAAAGAACACCCCUUUUUGGGACUUUGUCUCAAGAGGUUUGUCCCUUACACAAUCGUCUGAUCAUUUUUAAUUGUUAGAGACUAACCCACGCGAAACAAUUUGGCACGCCCAGUGGGACAGUGGUGUUAGGUGUUGAAAGUACAAAAGGUGAAACAAUAUGCCUCAGAGAUCCGAUAAGGAAGUAGCAAGUCAGGGAGGAAUCCAGUCUGUGAUCGAGCGAUAUGAGGAGCAGCAUGCCUCUCCACGAACAGAUGGACAGAAUCAGAGCAGUAACGGUCGUUAUGAACCAAUGACAGAGUUGAGUCCUCGAACCAUGCGUACAUUACUUGGAGAACUUACGCAAGACGUCAUUAAACAGGUAAAUCUUCGAAUUAUUCAUAAUAUGGAAAGAUUUACGCAAAAUGGGAAUGUACACUAUGACAACAUGGCCAAACAAUUAAAGACGUUGAACGAAACAAUGAAUAAGUUAGUAGGCCAAAUCUGUCAACCGGCUAUACCUCUUACAAACCACUUUCAAACUAGGACAAUUGUGGGACAUAAUCCCUCGGUCCUAAAUCCGAAUCAAGGGGUAGAACCGCUUUCUGGUCCCUCUACUUCAAACCAAGGGGGUACUACAGUGCCAAAUCAGAACAAUGGUAGUGGUAUGCCUAACAUGGGGGGUAAUCCAAAUGUGAGAGAUAAUGUCCUAAACAAUGGACAGAAUAUUCCACGUGUUAAUGAGGGAAUAGAUGUUCGGGCUAAUGGUAAUGGCCCUAAUCAUGGUAAUUUUGUUGCCAAUCAAGGACCAAACAUUAGGCCUCAUGCAAAUCAACCGGUUAGCCAACCUGUAGGAAUACCAUAUGACCCCAACGUCAUGUUGAGGAACCAGAUUAUGGAAAUCGUACAGGAUCAGAUGGCUUUUGGGGUGCGUCCCGUCAUUAGGCCGACGUACAUAAAGCCAUAUCCUGAUUGGAUAGACCAAGCAUAUCCAUGGCCUAGAGGGUACAAAGUGCCAGAAUUCUCACUGUUUACCGGUUUAGGAGAGGUGUCUACUCUAGAACACAUAGGGCGAUUCACAUUGCAAAGUGGUGAUGUAACCGAUUACCAUAAAAUGAGACUUUUCCCUAGUUCGUUAACAGGAGUAGCUUUCUCCUGGUUCAUCAACUUGCCAGCGAACUCUGUUCAAAUAUGGCUACAAUUAGAACAGUUGUUUCACACUCAGUUUUAUAAAACUGAGUCUGAAGUUACUUUGGCUGAUUUGGCGAAUCUACGUCAAAUGCCAAACGAAUGGGCAGAAAGUUUUCUCCAAAGGUUCAAGACAGCAAGAAGCAAGUGUUUUGUACCUCUGGUCGAAAAAGAAUUUGUCAAAAUCGCUUAGGGCUGCUUGAGCUUUGAUUUAAAAAAGAAGUUCCAGGACAAGAAAUUUCCUGACCUUUUCCAGUUGAGUGCGAAUGUGAUUAGGUAUGAGCGAUUGAUAAGAGAGGAAGAACAAAUGAAAAAUUUCAGUAAAGGGACUUAUUACAAAGACCCAAAUUUUGACGUUCAUACCAUCGACGACGAGUCAUACGAUCAGGCCGAAAUGUGUUUGGCAGAAUUGGUCAAAGGAGAUACAUAUACUUGUCCUAUAAUAGCCAAGCCUAGACCAUCGGGCAAAGAUGAGCCCAUAAAAGAUGGAAACAUAAAGGCUAGAACGUUCUCGUUCGACGUAACCAAAGCUGACCUUAUAUUCGAUAAAUUAUAUAGGGAUAAGCAGAUAAAAUUGAGCGAUAAGCACAAAUUGCCAAACCCUGAACAAAUUAAGGGUAAAAAAUAUUGUAAGUGGCAUAAUGCAUGGUCACAUUUGACUAACCAUUGCUUGGUUUUCCGCCAUGUAUUGCAGGAUGCCAUUGAAUUAGGGCGAAUUACGUUCGAUGAUAAGAAAAAGAUGGCAGUGGACGAGAAUCCUUUCCCACAGCCACUUGGAGUAAACAUGGUAACAUCUGGAUUCAAAAACAAGUUGCCAAAAUUCAAGUUGGUCGUAAACGAUGGAGAAGAGGAUCCUAGACCACAUCCCAGCGUCUUUGAACGAAUCAAGAGGAAAGAACCAAAAAAGGACGAAGACGUCCUGUGUGCAAGGUGUAAAAGAGAAGUGAAUGGAAAUACGGAGAAACCAGGGAUAUGACAGCAUCCUCAUCACCCUACCUUCUUCCCAAACACUCAACUUGGUAGAGGGCGAGGUACAUCAUUCUUAGAGGACCGCCUUUUGAGAGGCAGUUCAGGCCAGUAGAUAAUGGAAGAACAUUCAGGCCGCAACCUCACCGGCCAAAUGUAUGGCAUUCAUUCUAGUACAAUGCAGGAAGAGCAAUACCCUUCGAUGAGAUGACUAGGACCCAACAAAGGCAUUUUCAACGAAACUACGGACGGAUGAUGAGGCAGCAACAGGGGAUGCCACAUCCUAAAGCGCCUAAACUACUUAAGGUAGCCAAUCAAAACUUCCUCAAAAAUAAUGAAGAGACCGGUACAGAUGAAUCAAUGAAGAAACUGCUAGAAACUUCUUCUGGGAGAUCAAGGUUUGAGCGAGACAGAAGGGAUGAAGAAGAUCUAGAUCAGCCCCUCACUAUCCAACUCGGUACGUUGCCUCCUGUCGUGGCCAAUAAUUACUUACUGGCCAAUGAAUUCAAGAACAAAGAAAAAGAAGAAGAGAGGGAGGACAACGAAGGAGAAGCCUGCGUGCUGGUAUGUGAAGAAGGCCAGACUUCUAGAGAGGCCUACAACGAUGAAGAGGACAACGGGAUGACAGACAUUGAAGAAGAAAUCGACCUAGAAGCAGAGAGAAGAAAAAGAAGAGUAUCGCGCAAUACUCUGUUAAAGCAACUACAUCGAGAGGGAGUUCACGAAGUAGACUUGUUGGGGGAACCAUCUGGGCGCCCUUUCGAUUUCUACGUACUGUACGGGACACCCAAAAGGAAGAAGAGAGUACCUCUCUCUGAAAAGUAUGGAUCACCUCCAAGAAUAAUGUCCCCUCCCACAGGUUAGGUAACUGAUGAGGAAGCAUUAGAAAGAAGUAGGAAGGAAGUUCAGGAGACAGAGGAUCAGCGCGAUGUACUGCACGUCGACUUAUCACAGGGGGAUAAUUCGACAGAAAACAAGCAGGAAGUAGAAAUAGAGGCUGCCAAAAAAGUUAUUUUUAAACGGCCAGCCAUGAAAUUGACUAAACACUUGAGGCCAUUAUACGUUAAAAAUCUAGUUAACGGCGUCCCAGUGGCAAAAGUGCUUGUCGACAAUGGAGCAGCUAUAAACACCAUUCCAUCUAGGAUGAUGAGGAAGUUCAUAAAGAUAGAGGGUGACAUGAUUCCUACAGAAGUCAUCCUCACUAGCUUCAAUGGAGGAGCGAUUUCAGCUAAGGGAGUUAUGCCAUUGGACAUAACUAUAGGGACGACUACUAGGACCACUGUCUUUUUUGUAAUAGAUGGUCCUACUAGUUACAAUGUGCUAUUAGGAAGAGAUUGGAUACACGGAAGUCGCUGUAUACCCUCAUCACUCCAUCAAUGCCUGAUCUUCUGGAAUGACAAAGGCGAAGCUGAGGUGGUACAGGCCGAUCAUAGGCCUUUUGUCGCAGAAGCAAACUCGGUGAAAAAGUUCAUGUACGAAGGAAACUAUGGACCUGUCAGGGUAGUACAAGACGGGGAAGAAACUCAGGUUGUCGCGCAAAGCGAAGAACCAUUCUCAGUGGACGCACUCACUGAGAUGUUUAAACAGAUGAGGCCAAAUAUAGUAGCCCUAGAAGAGCCAGUAAUUGGCAAAAGAAUAAUUAAGGAGUCUUGAAUGGACUUUAAGUUAUGAAAGCAAAUGGCCGACGUUCAGGACUUCAAAGCCAGACUGAUGGCUUUCAAUAAGGAAUGCAAUGACAAGGCGAAAGAAGAGACAGCCCUAAAAGCGCUGAAGGAUAAGUUGGCAGUAUUUGAGUUAGAGCAAAGCAUUGGCCGAGAAGUCAACAAGGUGGACUAUUUAGAAGAGAAAGUACUUACAAGGGAACUAAACGACGAAGUAAUGCGGAUCGCCAAACCUGGAUACGCUCAAGCACAAGACCCUCUGAUCAAAGUAAAUAUUGGCAAUGAAGGAGAAGAUCGUCCAACAUUCAUCAGCCAAAUGCUCGACCAAGAGGUUAGUAACAAGUUAAUAGCUUUGCUAAAAGAGUACAAAGAUUGUUUUGUUUGGGAAUAUGAACAAAUGCCUAGUUUAGAUAGAGACUUGGUGGAACAUAGGUUACCAACUAAGCCUAACUUUAAAUCUCAUAGGCGGCCUCCUAGACGUUUUGCUCCCAAUGUACUCCCUGAAAUCAAGAAAGAGAUAGAGCAAUUAUUGAAAGCAGGUUUUAUUAGAACAGCCAGAUAUGUCGAAUGGUUGUCAAAUGUCGUGCCAGUACUAAAAAAGAAUGGUAAACUAAGGGUGUGUAUAGACUUUAAAAAUUUAAACAUAGCUACACCCAAAGAUGAGUAUCCAAUACCCACGGUGGAUUUUUUAGUAGAUUCAACUGCCGGACAUGUCAUGUAUUCUUUCAUGGAUGGGUAUUCAGGGUACAAUCAAAUUUAUAUAGCUGAAGAAGACAUACACAAAAUUACUUUUAGAUGCCCAGGGUCUCUAGGAUGUUUUGAAUGGGUGGUUAUGCCUUUCGGUCUAAAAAAUGCAAGGGCAACUUAUCAAAGGGCAAUGAAUUUAAUCUUUCAUGAUAUGAUAGGCAAGUUUGUUGAAGUGUAUGUGGAUGACAUAGUAGUCAAGUCCAUUAAAGAAGAAGACCAUUUCGAACAGUUAAGAUAUUCGUUUGAGCGAAUGAAGCAAUAUAAGCUAAAGUUGAAUCCCUUGAAGUGUGCAUUCAGUGUUAAUGCAGGGAAUUUUCUUGGUUUCUUAGUACACAAGAGAGGGAUUGAACUUGAUAAAAAUAAAGCGAAGGCGAUUUUAGAGGCCAAACCACCUAGCAACAAAAAAGAAUUGCAAAGGUUUCUAGGCCAAGUAAUUUUUUUAAGACGCUUUAUUUCUAACUGUGCAGGGCGAACUAAAGUCUUUUCGCCGCUUUUAAAGCUGAAAAAUCAGGACGAAUUCGUCUGGAAAGAAGAACAUCAAAAGGCUUUUGAAAGCCUGAAGACAUAUCUAUCAAGUCCACCAGUGUUGGUGUCACCAAUUCAAGGACGGCUAAUGAAAGUGUAUGUAUCGGCUGAAAAAGAAUCAAUAGCUGGAAUGGUCGCACAGGAAGACCAAUUUGGUGAAGAAAGGGCAAUUUACUACUUAAAUAGACGGUUAACGAAAUGUGAAUGUAAUUACUCUGCUAUCGAAAAAUUAUGUCUUACAUUGUAUUUCACAUGUACAAAAUUAAGAGCUUAUUUACGGCCCGUAACCGUUUAUUUUAUUUCUAAAGUAAAUUUAGUCAAGUAUAUGUUCUCGCGCCCUAUUUUACACCAAAGGGUAGGCCUUUGGACACUAGCUUUAUCAGAAUUCGAAAUACAAUAUAUACCUCAAAAGGCAGUCAAAAAGCAGGCUUUGGCUAACUUUCUAGCCGAUCAUCCAUGCCUUGAUAUGCUUGAAGAGAUCGAACUAGAAAUCAAUUCAUUCGAGUUAAAACCUUGGGUGUUGUAUUUCGAUGGGUCAAAAACUUCUAAAGGUGCAGGAGUAGGAAUAGUAUUGAUUAAUCCUUUAGGGAUUUGCUACAAGUUCGCAUUCACUUUAGAUAGAAUGUGCACCAACAAUCAAGCCGAAUAUGAAGCCUUAAUUGUAGGCCUAGAACUAAUGAUAGAUAUGGGAGUAAGAAGUGUGAUCGUUAGGGGCGAUUCUCAAUUGGUGAUCCAUCAAUUGAUCAGUGAUUUUAAAUGACAAAGUGAUUCCAUUAUAAGUCAAUACGAGAUCGCCUAAGAAUUAUUAGAAGAAUUCGAUCAAGUAGAACUCCAAUGCGUUAAUAGGAUAUAUAACGACGUGGCAAAUGAGUUAGCCCAAAUGGCAUCAAGGUACUCAAAGGUUUUGAAUUGGAAGUCUACUUGUGAGUAUGGAAUCAUAUUGCCCGUGACUUAAAGAAGGGCGAGAAAGAUUGAACUCCACUGCAUACAAGAUGGAGAUGCAAUGGAUUGGAGAACAGAGAUUAAAAGGUUCCUUAAAGAACCAAUGGAGGGAUUAGUAGGAAAAUGAAGCUGUGUUUGCUGAACUAUAUACUAAUAGAUGAAGAGUUGUUUAAGAAACGCUCUUAUGGUGUAUUAUAAAAGUGUGUAAGUUUGCAAAAAGUCAAGACGAUCAUGGCUGAGGUGCACGAAGGGAUAUGUGGAGCUCAUCAAGCUGGCCAAAGGAUGAGAUGGUUAAUUAUUAGGAAUGGAUAUUUUUGGCCAAAGAUGGGAGAACUAUGCCUUCAGUAUGCAAAGAGUUGCUUAGCAUGCCAAAAGCAUGGUCCAAUACAAAGGGCGCCAGCACGAGAAAUGGCACCUAUUAUUAAACCUUAGCCGUUCAAGGGUUGGGAGAUAGACCUGAUAGGGAAGAUUUAUCCCCCAUCGUCCAAGCAACAUACUUUUGUUAUAGUUGCAAUCGACUAUUUCACCAAAUGGGUAGAAGCAAUACCUUUGAAAGAGAUCACCCAAAAAAAUGUUAUAGAGUUUAUCCGUGAUCACAUUAUUUAUAGGUUUGGAAUUCCACAAACGAUAAUGGUAGAUCACGGAACAUCUUUGAAUGGGGAUCAAGUGAACAAAUUUUUGAGCGAGUUUGGGGUUAAAUUAGUAAACUCCACACCAUACUACGUUCAAUCCAAUGGACAAGCGGAAUCUUCUAAUAAGAUUCUAAAAAAUAUCAUUAGAAAGAUGAUAGAUAAAAAUGUCAGAAAUUGGCACGAAUGUCUGAAUAAGGCUUUAUGGGCUUAUAGGACAUCACCUCGGUCAAGUACCAAGAUUACUCCUUUCCAACUUGCUUAUGGACAGGAGGCUGUUUUGCCUAUGGAAAUCAACGUGCAAUCGAUCAGAGUGUGCUUACAGCAUAAGUUGAAUGAUGAUGAGUAUGCCGAAUCACUAGUUCAAAAUUUAUUGGGGUUAGACGAAUUAAAGUUGGACGUCUUAGAUAGAUUACAAGAGCAAAAAAAAAGAAUGACUAAGUUUUAUAAUAAAAAAGUCAUAGCCAAGUCGUUCAGCCUGGGUGAACUAGUUUGGAAGACGAUACUCCCUUUGGAUAGCAAAGAUCCCAAGUACGGGAAGUGGUCGCCCAAUUGAGAAGGACCAUACAAAAUAAAUAGUAUAUUGCCCAAUGGAGCGUAUCACUUGGAGGAUUUAGACGACACCAAGCACGUAAGAUUCAUUAAUGGUAAAUAUUUGAAAAAAUAUGUUCCUUCUUUAUGGGAAUGUGAACAGAUAAAAUCAUAAUCAAAUAUGGUGAACGAUUAAAGGAUAAAGAGGUCAGAGCGAAAUACGUUCAAGUGAAGUCCUUUAUUAUCAAACGUUCAUUACAAGAAUACAAAAAUACAAAUAAUGGUUGUUCUAGGAAAUAUAAUUAAAAGUAAGCUAAUCUCCCGGUUGAUCGCUGAGUAAGCCUCACGCCGCCUUCCUAAAUGCAUCACUGCAAUGGUGGGAUCGCCGAGUAAGAGGGUGUACUGGCCUCACCGCCUUCCUAAAUGCAUCGCUGCAAUGGUGGGAUCGCCGAGUAAGAGGGUGUACUGGCCUCACCACCUUCCUAAAUGCAUCGCUGCAAUGGCGAGCAAAGAGGCUGAGAAGCACUCCCAGCAAGCAAGCUGAGAAGCACUCUCAGCAAGCAAAGUGGCGCACAAGCAGCCCAAAAAUUGCCUUCUAUCAUUGACUCCUUGUAAAGGACAAAGAGACGAUGGGAAGAACUUUGAAGGUAAAAACUUCGCUGCUGGCCAGAAAAUAUUUCCUAUACCUCCCACACCAAAGGUGACAUCAAGGUAAAUUGUAAAAUGGACUGACUAAACUGUCCAUUUUUGGUCAGAUUGAUUGUCAGAAUGCCAAGCAAUGGCAGUAAAUUAGUUUCGAAGAAGAAAAUAAAGAUGAAGAUAGAAGAUGGAAAAUGCGAAGCAUUUAUAGGAGGUGGAGACGAAGAGACAGAAUAUGAACAGCUACAUUUCUGCCUAAUAAACGGAAUUAAAUAGCCCAAAAUCUUGGGAAAAGUGGUGGAAAUAUCAAAAGAAAAUGGACAAGAUUUUUUAGCACAAAGCAGUCAAAUGCUUAAAGAAUUGACGACUAAAAAACAAACGUCAAAUAAAUGCACAAAAAGUUAAUGUUCAUUAAUGAUGAACAAAGCUACAAGAGGAAAAAUCAAAUUACAAAAGAAAAAAGACAUCGUAUGUCUUAAUUACAGUCCACCCCAUACUGAACGAAUUCGUUCCCUAAGUUUUUUCCAAUCCUCGUUCUGCCGAGAGGAAGUGAUGUUCAAUUCAGCCACGACAUCAUCAUCAACUUCCAACUUCUUGUACUGCUCGACCAAGGACUUAGUUCGCUCAAUUCCUUGGGAGGCGUUGCACUUUUCAGCAGCCAUUCUCGCCCUGUAGUCGUCCAUUUUGGCUUGAAGUUCCUUCAUCUGAGCAUGCAAAUUAACCAUCAAAGAGUCUUCAACCAUGACUUCGGAAGAGAUUUCUUUCAACUCGUCCUCAGCCUUGUUAAUCUCCAUACGCAAAGACUCUUUCUCAGCAACGGCUUGAAGAUAUUGAGUACGUUUGGCCUUUAGUUCAGCAUUCUUGGCCAGCAAAGAAAGGACCUCGGAGUGAAUAACCUUCAACGUCGCUUUAAAAUCGGCAGAAAGAUUGAGCGACGGAAGCAUCAAUGCUUGCUCCAACUUUGCACUCAAGUGCUCAAGUUUAUCCUUGUGUCUGGUGGCACUGGCCCUUCCAAUAUCCAUAUCCAUGAAGGAUACGUACUCAAGUAUCGACUCCUUGAGGACCUUCAAAUCUUCCUCUGAAGAAGCAGCAGGAUGAUCAGAUGGAGCAGGGCAAGACGUCUGGAGUUGCCCCUAGGAAGCGAACAAGUCUUGGAUAGAACGCACAAUUUUGUCAGCAUCCUGCAAAGAAAAUUGCCAAUAUUAAAGAUCCUCACUACAACGAACAAGAUAGAAAUAGAAGUAAAGCAAAGACUACCUCAUCAACAAUCGUAGAAGAUGGCAUGUCCUCAGCCAAGCUUGCCGCCAACGACUCCUCCAUUCGUGAGGACUUCCCCUUAUCUGAGCGAGAAGAUGUUGCCACAACGGGCGGACUCAUAGGAGUAUUUGCAAAACUCAAGAGCAACAAAUCAGAAACCAACAGCACAAGCAAAGGUAAGACAUCAAAAGACUAAAUUACCUUCUGCUUCAAUGUUUGGGGGGUUGACACCCUGGUAAGAAGGUGGUUCAUCCAUGGGUUGUGAUGAGAACUCUGGGACUGAAGAUGUCUCUUUAAGCGUAGCCUCCUCAUCAACCGGUUUAGAUGAAGUAGCCUCAGCAGAGGAUGAUGGAGUAGGAGCUGUCGAUGCCAAAGCCUUUGAAGGAGAGGCUGAGCUUUUCUGAGAAGUGCAAAAGAUCAUCAGCACACAGAAAAGUUUCAAGUGUGGAAAAGUAUACUUGUGAGUAAACCAAUUUAAUUACCUUCCUCCUGACGAUAAGAGGGGCAUCAUCAUCAUCAACAUCAUCCUCCAGAAUGGGAGAUACUGAGGCUGGCCGUUUACGGCUUGGGGUACUCUUGGCCGUAGUAGGCUUGGCAGGGAGAGAAGAAGAUGGAUGAACAGACUGUUUAGUGCGAUGAGAAGGAGAAGGACUACGAAUGGACAAGGGAGUGACUAAAAUAGGAGGAGGGGAAGAAAUGCUCGGUUGGUCUAAUGAAUGAAAGGCACGAUUGGCGUCAAUCGCAAAUAAUCUGCGCUUCACUGACGGCCAGAGCUGUUCAAAAAGAGGGUGAAUUGCGUGGCUAGAAUUGAAAGGGGCUAAUGAAAAAUGGCUAGUUAAAAGAAGAAUACGAGCAUCUAUAGCCUCUGCCUCUGCCUUAGUAAUGGUAUAAAAACGGUCAACUAAGUUCCUUGAAUAGCAAGGAGGAACAGGCCAAGUUUGGCCAAAACCAAGCUGACGAGCAAAAAAUUGGGGAGCAUAAAUCUCUACCCUCGCUUUGGCAUUGGUCCCAGUUAGAAUAUCAUGAAAUAGCUCCCUCCCGCUUAAAAACUGGAUCCAAAUGAGCAGGGAGGUGCUCGCGCUAUCUAUAGUGGAAGGGGGAUGUACAUAGUUUGGAGUCAAAAAAGGAGAAAAAGGAAAAAAGGAAGGGAUUGAAUCCAAAGAAUAAAAGAAUGAAAAAAUGUCCCUUCUAGACAUAUUUACAGGAGCUAAGGGCUCCAUGGCUAGCCCAUAACAGCUAGCAGAGGAGCGAGAGAUGGAUGGAGCACCAAGCAAUGGAAAAUAGGAUCUCAACCACAGUUGAGUGAACCAAAGAGGUCCAUUACCAGUGGGAGAUGCACCAUUCUUCAAUUGAGCUUGAAGAGAGGCCAUGCUUCUAUAAAGGGCAGCCAAAAACAAAGAACAUAAAUUCAAAGGCCUGCCACGCGCCAAUUCGUGCGCUAUAGGUAAAUAACUCAGGGAGGGCUUUAUGCUUGGCACGCACAAAACAUAUUUACAAAGCCAAACUAAAAGGAAGGCCACUCGCUCAGUAUGGGAAGGCUCAGCGCUCGAAUGAUUGUGAAGGGUUUGCAGGCUUGAAUAAGAAUCGGUGUAGUUUUUACCAAACUUUGGAGCGCCACCAGAAACCAAGAUACUAGGAAAAAUGGUAUCGCCCAAAGGUGGUAGAUUCACUAGGGCCCCAACAUCCCUUAAGGUAAUAGACAUGGGGCCAAGAGGGAAAAUAAAGGUAUUAUACUCAGGAGACCAAAAACUCAAAGCAAUCGAAAAGAGUGCUGAAUCAAAAGUAGGGGGACGAAUAGAGAUUUCUAACAAAUCAGAAAUCCUAGCGCUAUCAAAAAGUGCCUUAGUAGGACCAUGACCCACAUGGCGAGCAUGCCACCUACGAAAAGCUACAUCAGAUUUAGGCCAAGUGCGAAUACCUCUUUCGCGAAGUGGCCCCAGCGGCAGAGAGUUUAGAAAAGGAGGGCCAUGAGUGUAAGGAAACAGCUGACCCGCCGCCGCCUGUUCAACUGCCUCUGCAUUGUUGAAAAAAGGACCCAAGUAGAACUCAUUACGUUCGACAUCGACGGGCGCGAGAAAACUUGGAGUUAUGUAUGGGCGACUCAGAAGUUUUUGAAAGUCAUCAAAACUAAAGGAGUCGCCAGCUUGAGAUUGUGAAGCAGCCAUUUGAAAAGGAACGAAGUUUUUCAGGGUUACGUAGCAGGGAAGCAAGAGAUGAACAGUAAAUCGUGAGAGAGACGCAAAAAAUUUGAGGCGUGGUUUAAUAGUGCAGUGAAAUGGCGUGUUUGAGGUUUAUAAGGGUUUGCAAAACGACGCACCUUUUCAAGUUAUAGAAGAAAACAAUGAUUGAAAUUCUUGAGAAUUUCGAAUGUUGCUGGAAACACAAAGUGAAUAUGGCAAAAUUUAUUAAUUAUUAUUAAUUCUGCCAUAUUGGGGGGUAAUUGUUAACACAUAAAAAUUCAGCCCAAGGAGUGAAGCCCAAUUGGAGGAUCCCCAAAUUAGAUAGCCCAAAGAACGAAGCCCAAUCGAACAAAUCAAGAUGAAAGCCCAAAUAAGGAGGCCCAAGAACGCGGUAACGCCAUCGCCCAAGUUUGCAAGUCGCCCAAAAUCUGAGCGAAUGGAGUGCCAUACAGUCGCCCAGAGCUGUUACUCUAUUCUCGCCCAAACCUUCAAGUCGCCCAAGGUCUUAACAAACAUAAAGCGUUGUGGUUGUCAAGAAGUGCAGUUAUCAAAGCAGUUAUUAAAGCAGCCCUAUCACGUUCCACGAUUCAAGGAAUUCAAUCGAAAGCAGUUGAAUGAUGAAGAGUAAUGGCAGCAGUUAAAGAAGACAGUUUUCAUGACAAGUUGGCCAUUACACAGAAAGUGGGCAAUUAUAGGACGAUCAAGCAGUUUUUAGGGUGGUUGAUCACAAAGAGAUUGUCCAUGAAGUAUAAAAGGGAGAAAGAACAUAGAAGUAAAGGACCGAAUCAAAAACUCUCGAACAGAGAACAUGUAAUUUUCAUUUCCUUAGCUUAGACUUAAACAUUUUUCUUUCAGUAACUCGUGUGCUUGCGCCCCUUGGAGGCACAUUGUUUUUAAUUUCCAAUUGUAAAAUCAUCGCCAAUAAAAGAACACCCAUUUUUGGGACUUUGUCUCAAGAGGUUUGUCCCUUACACAAUCGCUGAUCCUUUUUAAUUGUUAGCGACUAACCCGCGCGAAAUAAUUUUUUGUAGAUAUGAUUCUAUUAAUUUUUAUUCAACUAUUACGAGUUUCUCAUAUCUUUUUAAAUAUGACAUCUAGUUACGACGUCAUUUUGAUCUAUCUUCUUUAUUCUAAAAUGCUCAAAACAAAUUCUCUACUAUAUUUCUGAAGUCUUUUGCAAGUCUCUUCAAUGUUCUACAAAAUAUAUAUGUCGAGCACAUAUAUUGUUAGCUAGUUUUAAACUUUGACUCAUUUGCAUCUCAUGCACAUGGACGUCCCUCGCUUAGUCCUAAUUUAUUCUUAACAAGCGUUGACUGCAUUUAUAGGUUUUUAGUUAUGUCAAAAUCAGAGUAUAACACACUUAUUCCAUAUUCAAAACUGUAAAUACUCUUGAAUAUCUCUAACCCUUAUAGUAUAUCUUGAAAGAAAAAGUUUGAGAAAUAUAAUGUUACAAUGUUGAUUGAUUGGAAGGCACAGUUCUUUAAAUUAAAAAAAAAAUAAAAAUAGGCUACAUAUACGAGACAACAAUUUAUAUUACCUUUUAAAUUAAUUUUUUCAAUUUAAAUGUAACCAAACAGUUAUUAUCAUAAACAAAUACACCAGUUCACAAAUUAUUUAAAUACUAAUGUCUAUGGAAAAUUACGAUAGUUUAUUUUCAUAAAUAUUCAACAAUUACAUAUCAAAUUUAAAUAAUUAAAUAUUUAACAAUUUACUUUUUUAUGAAAUUAACAUAAAGAUUGAAUGAGAGAAUAUGGAUAGAAUUGAUCAGAAAUUUUUAAAUUAAGGAUGAAAUUACAGACUUGUGCAAAAUUGAUGAAGAUUGGUCACCUAAUUUUAACUUGUUCACAUCCAUAUAUUUCCUCUUCCUAGUUCUUGUCGUGGAAUAGAGAGGACAAAAUCCCGUUCAACCCACUACUCGCCGCCUCACCCGAGUGGUGUGGGGAUUACCUGCCUAAUUCAGUAAACGUGUGGGGGGCGGAAUGGGGUUUGUUGCCUCAAAGAACGUAUGAAAAACAUGAUCGCCCCGCUACCCAUCACGUUUAACGUUAAUUUUAAAUAUAAAUUUUAUCAAACAAAAAGAAGAAAUUUAUCAUUAUUUUUAAAGAGAACAUGAGUUGUUCUUAACAAAUUUAAAAAAUAAUAAUUAUAUUCACUGACUAAAGAUAUAAAAAAGUAAAAACAAAAAAAAUAAAAUAAAUGGGACAAUAAACCCCCGCCUCGUCCCAAUCUCGCUCUGAACCCAACUCGUCUUGUUUUAAUUGGAUAUAGAAGCAGGGCAAUUAUAAUAAAAAUACCCAAUGCAAUUGGGGGACAGAAAUAGCUGACCCGCCCCCACAACCAUCGCUACUAUGGAGAGUGGUGUUCUCUUGCAUCAAAUCUGUGGUGUUACUAUCUCAUCUUCAAUAUUUUAUUUUUCUACAAAUCUCAGCUUUUCAAAAUCCACCCCCUCCCCCCGGGUCAAAACUCUAGUCUCUGAGUGGAAACUUUGUACAAAGUUUAGUUAACAUUUGGAUAAUUCACUCUUAUAUUUCAUUUUUUAUUACCUACGCUGGUCCUUCUUUUUUUUUUUUUUUCAAAUAAAUAGAUGUUAAAAUAUGUUGUUCGGAUUUACAUAAUUGUGGUCAAUUUACUCAUAAUGUUUAUGAUAAAGCAUAUUUUGGUUAAUUUGGAAUACAACUUGUGCAUGAUAUUAGAUGUCGAAUCAUAUUGAAAUGGAUAUUUAUAAGGAAAAAUUUGAUAAAUCCUAUCAUUAAUGUUAAAUUUUGAGAAAUGAGAAGCAUUUCACGAAAAUCAGGUCACUCUAAAAUAAUUAAAAAUAUAUUAUUUAAAAUAUUGUGAACCAAUGUGGUAGGUUCCCUCUAUUAGAAGAUUCUUAAAAAAAAAAAAAAAAACCGAUGACAUUAUCAAAAUAAAAUUCUGCAAAUUCUGGAAUGAUAUUUAGUUAAAAGAAACAUUAAAGGUAUGUUAUGACUUGGGACAUAUGACUCCUACUAUGUGAUCUUGGAUGACUAUUAACAAAAAGCAAUUAUAUGACUUAUUAUGUAUCUUAUUAUUACAGUCCAUACAUAUGGAAUGAGUUGACAUGAGAUGUAACAAACAAUUGUGACUUUGACUUUGACUACUUCUAUUUGAUAAAAUUACGACAACAUCGUGUGACGGUUGUUCAUGUAGAAAUGGUUGUCAAAUGCAACAACUAUGACAUUUGAUGGGAUAUUUAGCAACAUGUAUUUAUAGCUCAUAUGAGUCGUAACCAUUUAAAGUUGUGAUAUUGAAUUUAUUGACCUUCUAAUUAUGUUAGUGAAGAAAUAAUGACUAUUUUAUAGUACAAAUCAGGUGAUUGAUCCACUUGCACUCUAUAUAUUGCAAUAAAAAAGAGACCAUACCGUUAAAAUUAUCUUAAUUUUGGGAACAAUAUUAGAAACGUAAAAAAAUAAAUAAAUUAUACACGAAAAUUCUGAAAUUUUUGAAUUAAUUAAAUUAAUGAAUGUGAUUUAACAAUUUUUUUUUAUUAAUAACUUAAUUUGUCAAAAGUAAAAGCUUUUUUUAUUUUUUUUUAUGGGAAAAUUUCAUAACUAAGAAAUUAAUUAUGGCACAUUUCACAAAACAAGAAAACAAGUUUCAAAUUUCUAAAAUCAGAUUUUUAUUAAAAAUUAUUUAUAAUUUAAUUAGUUAAUUAAUUAUUUUAUUAACUAAAUAUAUUUAGGUCACGGAUCUAUACAAUUUGAUCACUAAUUAACAAUAUAAUUAGUUACUUAUUAUUUUUUGGUCACAAAUCAAAAAUUUUAUGUCACAAAUUUUUUUACAAUCACAAUUCAAAAAUUUUGUAAGUCACAAUUUGUUUAUUGGUCACAAAUCCAAAAAUAAUUAGUUACGGAUUAAUUUUUAGUCACGACUUAUCAUAUUAUUGGUCACAACUUAUUUUUCGGUCACAAACACAAAUUUUAUAGGUCACAUAUUAUUUUUCGAUCACGAAUCAAAAAUUUUAUAGGUCACAGAUUAAUUUUUCGGUCACAACUCAAUAAAUUAUAAGUCACAAAUACAAAUUUUAUAGGUCACAUAUUAUUUUUCGAUCACGAAUCAAAAAUUUUAUAGGUCACAGAUUAAUUUUUCAGUCACAACUCAAUAAAUUAUAAGUCACAAACACAAUUUUUAGGUCACGUAUUAUUUAUGAAAUAAAAAAAUGGAAAAAUUAAUUUGUAAGAGUUUAUUUAUAGCCUACUUCAAAAUUAAGAGAAGAAGGUUUGCAAUUUCAAGUUUCAGAUACUAUUAAAAUUUAUUAAUGAAAUAAUUGAUUAAAAAUUUAUAUAUUUGGUCACAACUUAUCAAGUUAAUUGGUCACAAAUUAUUUAUAAGUCACAAAUUCAAAAUUCUACAGGUCACAAAUUAUUGGUCGGUCACAGAUCAAAAAUUUCAUAGGUCACAAUUCAUUGAUCGGUCACAAAUCAAAAUUUUUAUUGGUCACAACUCAUUUGUCGGUCACAAAUCAAAAAUUUCAUAGGUCAUAAUUCAUUGAUUGGUCACAGAAUCAAAUUUUUUAUUGGCCACAUUUAAUUUGUUAGUCACUAAUCAAAAAUUUUAUAGGUCACAAUUCAUUGAUCGUUCACAAAAUCAAAUUUUUUACGGUCACAAAUCAAAAAUUUCAUAAGUCACAAUUUAUUGAUUGAUUACAAAAUCAAAAUUUUUAUUGGUCACAACUUAAUAAAUUAUAGUCACAAUUGCAUUUUUUAGGUUACAUGUUAUUAUUAGACACAAAUUACUGGUCACAAACACCCCCUACAUCCCAUCUACCCCGACCACCACCCCCCAUGACAACCGUCACAGUAACCACACCACCACCACACGCCAAACUCUGAAACCAACAACCUCCACUGUCGCCAAAAACCACCACAACCACCGCCACCAAACACACUAACAAUGUUCAAUUCACAACCUCACCAACACCACCCAAGCGUAAUUUUUCAGCUAGUUCCACCCACCAGAACCAUCACCACCUCAACACAUCGCAGAACACCAACGUGCCACAAUCACCACGACCACCAUCGUUGAUCAUCACCGCCAACGCCAAAAUAUGUAAGCAGCCACCACCACCACCACCACCCAAAUAUCACCUAAAAAUACCAUAGAUAACAACUCAAUCCAAAGCCAUUCCCACCUCCACCACUACAGUGAACAUCACCACCACCGUAGCUACUACCACCACCAUAUGAUCGUAGCCACCACCACAACCCACGACACAGCAAUAAACACCGUAGCCACUACCACCACCAUAUGAUCGUAGCCACCACCACAACCCACGACACAGCAAUAAACCACGGUCUCAUCUCAAAAGAUCUCCUUCUCUUCUUGUAGAUCUUACAGAUAUGCUUCAUGAAUCACGAGGUACAUCACGGCACCACCACCACCACUUCAUCAUCACGACAAACCAGCUAUAGAACUCUACAAAUUCACCACACCGCAACAACAAAUCCACCACGGCACCAUAGCCAUUACAACUGUCACAGUCGAUCCAUAGCUAUAACCAUCGGUGACGGCGACAGAUCGCUGUGAUGCAUGGUGGUGCAUUCCAGAUCGCUGCCGAAGUAGAUGAGCCAAUAGAUCUCUGCUAGUCGCUGAUGGGAACGCCGUGCCGCGCCUCAACUCCACCGAUUAGAAGGGUGGUCGCGCCUCCGAUGCCGAAAUUGUGCUUCCGGGAAAGGUUGAGAGAGAGAAGGAGACGGCGAUUUUCUUUUUAAUCAGGGAGGCGACGGGUGUUUUAGGGUAGAAUGGAGAAAUGUGAGAGAGAGAGAGUUAGGGUUUGUGAGUAAUGAUAUUUAUUUUAUAGAAAUAUUAAUUAAAAUAAAAUUUUUGAUUUUUGAAAUAUUAAACUUUCCCCCUGAUUUUAGAAUUUAAGAUUUUAAUGAUAUGAUUUUGUGUAAUUUCCACUUUUUUUAUUACUCGCUUGCUUGAGGCCCAUCUGAAAAAAAGCCCAAAUUAAAGGCAGAGAUAUCCAACUCUUACCCAGCCUGUUUACAGUUUAUGUAUAGAGCAAAGGGGACGAUCGGAUCUCUUCCUCGGUUUACGCUAAAAUUCGGGAACAAUUCAUCGCCCCUGGGCACCAAUUUAUCUCGUGGUGCUGUGCUUUCUACUCAACUUCUGCAUCACCAAACUUGGGAGGUAGUAUCGGAUUUUAUUAGUGUAAAAAUGGCUUUAUAUGAUGAAAUCGCAUUCUAUUUGAAUGUUGUGUGAAUGAUUUAAUUUUAUCUCAACUCCUUAUAAUUUGUUCCAAAACUGUUGAUUCUUGAUGAUAAUUUUCCUCUAGCAACAUUGAUUUUUUCGACCACACUUCUCUUGAAUUUUUGAUGCGGUUGUUCACUGUUUUCUCCUAGCUUUGAAAACUUGCUGCCCCUCAAGUGUAAUACGUGAAAUACCCAGGACCAAAAUCCAGUGGGGGCAGUUAAUAUACCCCAGGUCCGGCUCCGGCCCUGUACACAUUUGAGUUAAAAUUCAUCAAAUAUGAAAAUUUUGUGUUUGUGCUCUUUGUUAUGAUGUGUAGGGUCAUACUAAAAACGGUAUGCCUAAUCAUUUUUCAUGACCAUUUACUUGUUUGGGCUUAAUUUUUCGUUAUUGAUGUUUGGUUUUUGAUAUUGCAUUAUUUAAUAUUGCUGAUGGGGAAAUUUUGAUGAGUCUACAUAUUAUUGGAGUGGUAGAAGCUUCUGGUAGUACUAUGGCUUGGAAUGUUACUUCACAUCUUAUUGAUUCGCGAACCCUCACAAAUGAAGCUGAAAUUAAAAGGAAAAGGGGGUUCUGAUUUUUUAUCUGAUGAUCUGUUUCUACAAAAUAUUAUGUGGUUUGACUGUCAUUCUAAUUGGUGUAAAGUUAUCUAACAAUUAAAAGUAUAAAAUAUAAAAAUGUUUACUUUUCUUGUGUACAACAAUUUUAUUGUGAGCUUGCUUGAUACUGUCUGUUACCAUUGAUGGAUGCUAUUUAUUCCCAUGAAAUGAAAAUAUUAAAUAUUAAAAUGUUAGAAUGAUAAGAACAAAAAAAGAAAAAAACUGAGAUGUGUUGAUAUAGGAAAAUGAGAUGUUGUAUUUAACAAGUGACAAAACUUUGUAUUUAGUUAGCCCCUAUUGGUUAAAAAUGGUUGCAAACUUCAUACAAUAUAGGCCCACUAUAGGAUUUUAGAAUAAAAAGUUACUUUCUUACGGAAUUAAAUGAAAGCCGACUUUGGGGUGAUAUGUUGUUUCUUUGGCAUGUUUGUGGAUCUCUAUUUCAAAAUAAUGGUAUAGACUGAACUAAGCACUUUGUCAGAAUGCUCUCCGGAAGACGAAAGCUGCCAACUUAUUAUCAAUAACUUGAGUCACCUUAAUUUGGGUAAAAAGCUGACUUUCCCUUGCCAUUCUGGUUGUUCAAGUAAAAACAAGGAGAAAACUUGUGGCUACCUAAAAAAUACGAUAAUUGGGCUGCUUUUGGGAUUGGAUGUGCAAACAUGGUAAACUUUUUGGUUUAUUCUUCUAUUUUGUGGCUUAGUCUGAUGAUUAUGCUCAUAUGUUGGUCAACACGUUACAGAAGUACAUUUGUUAGUGCCCAAACGGAAGAAGUUGUUUUAUGAAUUAAGCUCCUAGAUAUUACUGUAAGAUGCACAUAAUAGAUAGAUCCUGGAAGAUGUACAGCUGGAAGGGCCUAUUUCCCUGAUAGGAUUAUGAGGACUGUAUAAUCUGAUUCAAAUGCCAUGAUGGAAUAACAGGAAACUUUGGUUUCUACUAAUUGCAGGAUUUGGGAAUUAUUUUAAUCAAUAGUUGGUGUAGUCUUUUGCCUCUUGUUUGGUCCUCGACUUUGCAAUCUAGGUUUUCUUACAGCAUCUUUGGCUAAGCUUACAAAAAAAAAUAAAGUUAAUUUUUAAGGGAGUGUUUGAUAGAGAUUUUUAUGUAAAAAUACAUUUUAGAAUAGUAAAUUGAUGUGAACUGUGUGGUUGAAAAAUAAGGAAAAGUUUUUGAUUUACGUGUAAUAUUAUUUUAAUAAAGAAUGUGUGGUUGAAAAGAAAAAAGAGAAAAACGUAUUUUGAAAAAAAUAACUACCAUACGGGGCCUAAGUAACUUUUUGUCUUUAGAUAACUUACUUUUAAUAAAAAGUUAUUUUUUCUCAAAGUAAUACCUUAGUGUCAAAAUAAAUAAUUCAUUACCUUCUUUGAUCAAUAAAUUUUUUCUUUUUGAAAGAACUUAUUUACCUGUUAGAAAACCUUUUAAGCAUAGCCAAACUUGUAGCCUGCUAUACAUUUGAUGCUCUUGUAAUGGAUCUUUUGAUACGUGCAGUGUUCAAUCAUGAUUGAGAGUGGAAAUUUAAUCCUCAAAUCUCAUUAUGAGAUCCUCGAUGUGAAGGAAGAUGCUAGCUCUGACGAAAUUCGUACAUGCUACCGAACUGCCAUUCUGAGUUAUCAUCCAGAUAAAAUGCAAACGACAUCCCAAACAUCAAAUCCUGCAAACGAGUUGGGCGGAAGGUUUUUAGAGGUGCAGAGGGCUUGGGAAAUCCUCGGAGAUUCAAAAUCUCGUGCACUUUAUGAUAACGAGCUGCAAUCUUCGAGGCAAGAUUCUGCAACUGCUGAAGAUAUCAGAUUAGAGGAUCUGUCAAUCGAAGAGGUUGGUGAUAUUUUUGAGCUUUCGUACGGCUGCAGAUGUGGCGAUUACUUCCUAAUCGAUUCUUUGGAGUUGUCAGAUAUGGGAUAUCCACUGUUGAAAAAUGGGAGUAAAAUUGUUUUGCAAGCGCCUAGAUCUCCACCUGCAUCUGUUGUUCUUCCUUGUGGGUCAUGCUCGCUUAAAGUACGGUUAUUGAUUAAUUCUGAUAGUAAGCUUCAAACUGAGUUGAGUAAUUGAUAAUAGUUUUUCCAUUAAUCUGCAAUUUUGGUCUGAGCAAGUGAUUUAAGAUUAUCUAUAAUUUUGUGGAAUGUAACAGAGAAUUGGAAAAAUGACAGGUCAUUUUGAUUAAAAUUUGUAAUGUGUACUGAUUCAAUUGUUCAUGCAAUUGUUGUGGCCUGUGGUGCCAUUAUUUGAAUAGCAAAGGAUUUGAACUCGCAAGAGAUCUAUUGCAUAGUUUUUAUUAAGGUUAGACAAAACUCUCGAAUCAAAUGAGGCCGAAUUGGACCCGAUUCGAACUAAAUCGAAUCGAGCAGUUCUUCUUAAAUUAAAUAUUUGAAUGGGUGUUUGAAUCGAGAACCGACGGGUUCGAUUCGAUUUUCGGAUCUAGAUCAUGAAUUGAAGAAUUGAAUAAGAACUAAAUCUCUAUAAUUUUUUUAAUUUAUUUAUUUUAAAUAAGUCAAAUUAUUUUAUUUUUUUUUAAAUAAAUUUGUUAAUUAAUUAAUUUAGCUCAAAUCCAAAAAUAUGAUUUUCAUAUUUCUAAUUUUCAAUCUGAGUCCAACUUAAUCAAACUGUUCUAAGUUUUAUCCAAAUAUGUUAUUCUAUCGUAGUGUUAUUUUUACCGUUUUGGAGAAAUUGAAUUAAAGUUGGACAGCAGCUCUCUUAAUUAUUGUAAGCUUGCUAUCGUCCUCUUCCUGUGAUUAUAACAAUCAAAUCUAUGAAAAACUCACCAAAGAGAAAUGCAAAAGACAUAUAAGAUUGGAUUACGUUAUUUCGUAAGAGUUAAGAUUAAACAUGUCAUUAAUUGAAUUAAUUUAGUUUUAUAAAUAUUAAAAAAAUUAAUUAUAGUAUAGAACCUGGGAGCCGAAUCCGAACGGUUCCAUAAUUAACUUGGGAUCCGACGGUACUAUUUAUUAAAUACCUGAAAAUUUCAGGUUCGAUUCGGUUCUAAUGAGAAUCCAACUAAAUCGAACCAUGUCCACCCUUAAUUGUCGGCAGACCAUUUUAUCAUCUUGUAAUAUUAAGGAAGAAAAAAGUAGGUGAAUUCUUGUUGGUUGUGCUGUUUAAACCCAACAAAGCUGUGUGUAGAAAUGCCACAGGCAACACACAAUUGGGUGAGGGGAAGAGUGGGGGAUUUUUUUGGUAUCCUUUAUCACGACUUGGGAUUCACAAAUUAUGGGUAUCUGGUGGAAUUUUGUGAGUCCUUUUUUUGUACGAAUGACUUUCUUAGUUUAAACCAUACUAAACAUGCUACAGUGACAAAAAUAUCAAUUGCAGACCCUUGACAUUCUGUUCUCUGAAUAUCAUAAACAAAUCAAUAAAGAGAUCCCUAAACUAUAUCGAGUUUUGUUAAAAAAAUAAAAAAUAAAAAAAAAAUAAGGAAAAGAAAAAAUCAACAUAAAUAUUAGUGUGCCACAUUGCUUGGAGUUGUAUGACGCAUGUAGGGUUGAUAAAACCCAACUCAACCCAAUUGAUAAGUGUAUUUUUAUAUGCUUAUGUGGUUAUUAAAUGAAAGCAGCUAUUGUUAAUUUGAAUGAAUUAGAGCUUAAUUAUGUUUUAAGUAAAACUCGUGACAAAUUGGGUGAAUUGGAAGAAAGAAGCGAAAAAUGGACUGAAAAAGAAGAAUACGAAGUUCGUGAUAAAAUUGCAAAUAUCCAAUAAUUGAUUCAGACAAAAAAAAAAUGUAUAAUUGAAGAUUAUUAAGAGUCAAUUGAAUGUAAUUAGAAGUCAAAAAACAGUGAAAUUCAAUAAAAAAAUUCUAACAAAUCAAUUUUCAACUGUACAAGUAAUGUUCCUGAAAUUUAGUCGGAGAUUGAAACCCAUUUUGACAUAGUAGUCGCUCUAAUAGAAAAAUUGCUACUUUUUUUUAUUAGUUGUAGCCCUUCGAAUUAACUUUUUAACACAUUUUGAAUCUUCUUAAUCAAAUAUUGAAAUAGAAAGUUAUGACAAAAAAUUAACGACCGAGUAAAGAUAUAAUCAUGUUUGUGCGAAGACAACUUUCCUUAUUUAAUUGACACUCUUUUGGAACCCAAACUUAAACGUAUUUUUUUGACCUAAUUUCACCUUAUAUAAUAGAAUACAUGGACAACCAUUGAAGGAUCUCUCCCACCUCUCAAAUCACUUCCAUGUCAUAAAAUCAUUCAAGAACGAGAAUCAAAUUCAUCAUAAGUUGGAGAGGAGAACAAAUCUAACAUGUAGAUAAAUCAAGAAACAUCAAGAACUUGAAAAAUCAAAGCUUGGGGUUGAACACUAAGAAUAAAAAUUAGACCGUGACAUCUCUUUCUUAUAUUUAUAAAUUUAGGUGAUGUUUUUCUAUUCUUCUUCUUGUUUGAUCAUUUGACAUAUGUUUAGCUAGAUUCUUUGUAUUUGAUGAGGAUGAACCAUAUUAUUUAUUUAUUUUAAUUCAAACUAAUAGUUUAGUAAUUCUUGUUUUCUUGAUUAAUUUUAUAUUCUCAUUGCAUUAUAUAAUUAUUUUGCCAUCAAUUAGAUAAUUAGUUGUUUGUUGCAGUGUCAGAAGACUCACAAUAAGUUUAGAAUGUAAUAAAAUUAACAUAUGUGUAAUAGAUGUUAUGAAUAAUAUUUAUUUCAUGUGCAAUCAUGUAAAUAAUAUAUAGUUUAUGUAUUCUAAUGAUUCGAAUUUAGGUUAAGGAUAGACUUGGGUUGUGGUUAGAAUAGAUUUAUUUUGUCUUAGAAAAGAAAGUUAAAUAUAUUAAUUUUAUUGAACGUUAAGAACAUAUGAAUGGAACUAGAUUACAAAUUAAGACUUAAAAUAGGUAACAAUAGAUGAAUUCGAAAUUCAAUAACAGCUUUCUUAGGUUAAUAUAGACUAAUCAACAUUAAAAACUCUUUCGUUUACACACUUCAGAUUACAUAUAAAUUAGUAAAUUUGAAUUAAAAUUUAUUACUUGUGGGACGUAAGCUCUCAAUUCACUCAAAUCGAUUACUUAUCCAUGAUCUCGUAUGCUUGCGGGAUUUAGUGAUCGAGUUUUUGGCGUCGUUGUCGGGAAUAAAGUAUUUAAUUUUAGUUUAUUAGUUUAUUUAGGAUUUGACUAUUAUUAUUAUUAUUAUUAUUAUUAUUAUUAUUAUUAUUAUUAUUAUUAUUAUUAUUAUUAUUAGUUUUUUUAAAUUUAGGCUUCUCACCAUAUCUCUCUUUUGUUUGGUUUUCUACCAAGUACUAUUCAAUAGCACAUGGAUGAUUCUUACAUUAACAAGAGAGCAAACCAUUUGCAAUAAUUAAUCUCAACGUGGAUGAUGAAGAUAUGCUUGUAGAAGACAUAUAUUGUUAAUUUUGUUACGGGUUGCAUUAUACUGGGCACGGCUUAUAAAGACGCACUGUUGAACCCCUAAGGUUCAAGCUUCUACAAUUUCAACAAUAUUUAAGUUAUCAAAAAUGAGCAAUUGAGAAAUUUAAUGAAAACUACAUACCGGCAAUCGAUUAUGUAUCAUUAGACAUGCUUGUGGGAGUUGGUUCCUUUCAUGUUGAAUGAAGAGAUAUUUGUAAAAUAUUAUAAUGAACUUGCUAAGUCAGAUGAAAACAAAUGCAUAUGGAGAUGGCAUAUCUUGGGACAAAUUUAAAUGAUGGGGAUAUAAUCCACUUGAAAAGAUUGAAAGGAAAUAAGUGACAUUGCCAAUGAAUUUAGAUAGUGAACCGACCAUUUAACUCGAAGAAAUAUCAAUUAUUGAAGAAGAGCAUAAAGACGAUGACAAACUAAUUAUAAAGGAACCAAGCAAAAAUGUGACAAUUAAUGAUGAUGAAAUUUACUCAUAUUCUUUUGACUUCAUCGAUUGUCCAACAAUUGAAUUUAUGAUUAAGUCAAAGAAGGAAGAAGUCUACAUAAUUAGCUUGGAAUAAGAUGGAAUAAACGAAUCAUAUCACAUAGAAUGAGGUAAUGUUAAGGUUUGAAAAAUUAACGAAAGUGGACCAAAGUCAAAAGAAACAAAUUAAGCAUGGCAUCAAAAGCUUUCUCCAGAAUUUCAUGGUGCAGAACAUGAAAGUCAAGCUAAUGACUAUAAAUAAGCACUUAUUGGAAUGCAAUUCAAUUUCUUCUCUUUUAUUUAUUUUUACUUUCUAAAAUAUAGGAUUAGUAAAUUUCAUUUUUUUAGUAGUUUUGUAUAUUUUAUUGCUUUUAGUAAUUUAGAGUAUCCUUAUUUUCAUAUUUUCCUUUAAGAAGCUUUAGAGCUUGUUUAACUAUGCUCCAUGGUAUAAUUGAAUUUUAUUUAUUUAUUUAUUUAUCUUGAAGAAACAACAUGACAUCUAAGUACAUUGGAUAAGGUAAAAUACAUAACAAGUGAUCCAACACUCUUAUGCCAGUCUAUCUACCACCUUCAGAUAUAUAUAUCAGGGGAAUACUUAGUUCUCUUAUUUAUCCUUAGUUUUUCUAUAUUACUUGUUAUAUUUUUAGACAUUAAGGGCAAUAUCUAUUAUAAAUUUGGGGAUUAAAAAAUAUCUAGUUUUUAUCUAUUUUUACUAUUUGGUACUUGCAAAAAAACUUCAAAAAUUAAAAAAAAAAAAUUAUCUUCAGUUUUAUUUUUGCUUUUAUAUACUUUUGUUGAUUAUAUAAAUUCGUCUACUAUGAUGCAUAUAUUUGGAACCAUCUGUAAGGUUAUAAAUAGUGAAAAAGUUGCAUGAUAGGUUGAUUUAUGCUUAUUAAUGUAAAAUUUGACAUUUUUGCACACAAGAUUAUUGUUUUGCAUCAUUAAGGAUUAAUUUGAUUCAAAUUUUGAAUAGUUUGAAAUAAAUUUAGUGGACCAUAGAUGCUAAAACUAGAUAAACACUAAAUUGUACAUCCUUAAACCUAUUUUCAUAUAAUUUGGGGGCGACUGAACUGUUGUAGGGAGAUAUUGAGAUAAAUAUAGAUUAUAUGCAUAUUCUGUUAAUUGUUUAAUGCAAAUAAGAAAAAAAUUAAGUGUAAAUUUUUGUGUCAAUUUUUGAGAAUGAGUGUUUAGUUAGGGGCAUUGUACUGGACAUUGCAUGGGAAAAUAAUUUCAAAGAAGAAAGAAACUCACAUUAUUAAACUUCUUUUUAUAGCCUUCAUGACUUAAGUUUAUAAAGCUUAAUUGAGAUAAGUUUGAACAUAAAAUGAAAAUGAAAAUAGAAAUAAAAAGAGAAAAAGCAAGUAACAAAAGGUGUACUACAUGCGUUGAUUAAACUCCAAAUACUUGUUUUAGAGAAUUAGACAUUUGACAAAGGAUUAUUGGCCUAGUUGAUUUUUGGAGGUUGAAGUAACCAAAAAUAAAGAGAACUCUCAUUUGUUGAUGUGUUAGCUGCAAUUAGUAAGAUCUAACCAAAGUAAAGGGGAUAAUGAUUAGUAUAAAAAAUCCAACUUUAGAUCACACUAUAGGAAAAGAGUUUUAAAAAAAAAUUAGUUUGAAUGUGAACCUUAUGCGAGAAUGAAGUAAAUAUUUGACCAAUUAGGGCCGGGACAUAAGUCACCUAAUGAGAACUUGUUUGAGCCCCAUUUUGAGGGGAAAGAAUGCAUUUUUAAAUAGUGAUUGAUGGAGAAUGUGUAGUUAAAAAUUAAGGAAAAGUUUUGGGUUGUGUAUAAUAUUAUUUUAUUGAAAAAUAUAUGGUUGAAAAUGGAUUUUAAAAUUUUUUUUUUUUAAAAGAAUGAGGCUCAAACAAGGGCUGGAUUUAUGAUGUUUAACAUGAAUUUUCACACACGGGCGUCGAUUUUGCAUUAGAUAAGUAGAAAUUAAUUUUAACAUUGUGAUUUUGAAGUAGCUCAUAACGUUAACACAUAAAUUUCAAUCCUAAGACCAAUGACAAAUUAUCUAAUCAUGUUUGUUUAAAAAAGUUUUGGUUAAGUUAAGCUAUAUUUUGUUAGAGGCUAAAUAAUUGUUCAAGUUUGGAGGUAUUUGAUAAGUUCAUUUCUAUAUACUUAUUUGGUUAUUAAAUGAGAGCCAUUAUUGUUAAUUUGAAUGAAUUAGCGCUUAUUUAUAUUUUAAUUUUAUUUGUUAGGUAAAAAUCGAGAUAAAUUGGGUGAAUUAGAAGAAAGAAAUGAAAAAUGGGUGAAAAAAAUGAAAUAUAAAGUUAGGGAUCAAAUUGUAAAUAUCUAAUAGUUGAUUUGAACCACAAAAUGAUAAUUGAAGAUUACAAGGAGCCAAUUGUAUGCAAUUAGAAGUCAAAAAGGAGUGAAUUACAAUCAAAGGAUUCUUACAAAUCAAUUUUCAUCCGUACAACUUAUAUUCCAGAUUUUUAGUCGGAGAUGGAGACCCAUUUUAAUUUAGUAAUCGUUCUAAUAGAAGAAUGGCUACUUAUUCAUUAAUUGUAACACUUUGAGUUAGCAUUCUAAUCAUUUUGAAUAAAUUCAAUCGAGUAUUAGGAGAGAAAUUUAUGACCAAAUUAUUGAUGAGUGUGCAAAGAGAUAAUCAUGCACGUGUGAAGGUAUCUUUUCUUAUUUGAUUGAAACAUUUUAGGAACCUAACUUGAACGCAUUUUUUAAGCUAAUUUUGCCUUAUCUCUAUCUAAUAUAAUCAUCCAUGGAAGAUCUCUAUCUCACCUCUCAAAUCACUUCCAUAGCAUAAAAUCAUUCAAGAACGAGGGAAAAAUUCAUCAUAAUUUGGUGGGGAGAACAAAUCUAGCACAUGGACCGAAUAAAAAAUAAAUCAAGAACUUGAAUAAUCAAAGCUUGAGGUUGAGAAACAAGAUCAAGAAUUAGACCGUGCAUCUCUUUCUUAUAUUUAUAAAUUUCGAGUGAUAUUCUUCUUGUUGUUUUAUCAUUAGAAACAUGUUUAACUAGAAAUUCUUUGUAUUGGAUGAAGAUAAAUUCUUUUUUUUAAUUAUUUUAAUUUAAACUAGUAGUUUAUUAAUUUUCCUUUUCUUGAUUAAUUUUACAUUCUCAUUGCAUUAUUUAAUUAUUUUGCCAUCAAUUAUAUAAUUAGUUGCUUAUUGUAUAGUUAGAAGACUCACAAUAAGUUUAAAACGCUACAAAUUAAUAUGUGCACAAUAGAUGUUAGGAUUAAUAUUUAUCACUUAUGCAAUCAAGUAGAUAACCUAAAAUUUAAUGCAUUCUAGUCAAUCGAAUUUAAGCUAGGAAUAGACUUAUAUGUGAUUAGAAUAAAUUUAAUUUGUCUUGAAAAAUGAAGUUAAAUAAUUAGCUUUAUUGAUUGUCAAAAAAGCAUGAAAUGAAUUAUAUUACAAAUCAAGAAUUGAAAUAGAUAAUAAUAGGCGGAUUCACAGUCUAUUAUAAUCAUCCAUAAUUUAAUAAAAACCAAAUUUUUAUGACUUAUUAGAUUUAGAAUAAUCAACACCAAAAACUCUUUUGUUUACAUAAUUCGAAUUCCAUAUAUAACUAGUGAACUUGAAUUGGUAUUAACUCACUCAAAUUUAUUACUUGUGAAUGAUCCCUUACACUUACUAGAUUUUAUCAAACACUGAUCAAUUAAAAAAUUAAUGCCUAAAAUAAAAAAAAAAUCCAAAUAGAUACAAUAGUGGAGAUAAGAGAAAGACUUAGAAUGUACAAACGUCCUUUAUUUACAUAGACUGAUUGACACUAUUUACAAAUGCAAAGUUAUUUGAUGGUGAACUAAAAUUAAAUAUGGAAUGAUGAAGUGAAUGAAUUCAAAAAUUGUUGUAAAAAAAGCUCCAUAAUUUCAAAUUUACACAUUAUUUUUUAAAAAGAAUUUCUUAUAUAGAUUAAAAACAAUAGAUGUUUUCAAGUGAUUUUAAACCGUAAAAAAUUGUCCAAAUUUAACAAAAAAUAAUAAUCAAAUCCAACUUGAAUUGAGCCCAAGCCCCAACCCUAAAAUUGAUUGGUUUGGGUUGGGUUGGAUUGAGUUUAAAACAACAAUUGGGUUGAGUUGGAUUGCGGGGGAGCACUUUAAAAAAUUACGUUUCUCACUUUUCUUUGUUUUCUUUGAACCUUAAAGAGUUACUUUGCAAACAUUUUUUUUCCUUCCUCCCAAUGGCAGAUCUAGGUAGUGGCGAGCUUGGGCGGCCGCCCUAGCUGGAUCCGCCAGAGUCUUUACUAGCCGCCGGGUGGAAGAUUGGAAGUUGCAGAGCCGCGACUGAACUGAAAAAGGGAGGAUCGGAGGAGGAAGAUGAAAUUUUGAAUUUGGGUCUUUUUUUUUAUUAUUUUAGUUUAGGCCUUUUUCUUUGGGCUGAUGAGUUGGGCCUCUUUGUUGGAAAAAAAAAAUUAGACCCAAUCCAUGGAUGAUGAUUGAUGGAAAUACACACAUAACUGCAACCACACCUCCAAAUCAGAGGUAAUAAUCGUAGCAAACCCUUCUGUAACUGCUCUCCUUCUCCCUGCUGUUGGCCGCAGAUGUUAUUACUUAUUUCGGUGGUCAAAACCUCAAUUGGUGGCAUUAGAAAUAGGACGCCUAUGUCCUGGUGAGAAACUUCUAAGUUCUAAUGGCUCAUUUUUUCGAUUUCCAUGUGUCUGCCUUGGAUUAAUGCAAAUUAUGCAAACCUGUAUACUUACUUUUUUGUUUAAUAUCUUUUUCAGGAAAUAAGAAUGGGAUACUCUUGCCUCACACAGAGUUCGCCUGAGUGCUGCUCACGCAUGUGACUUGUGAGCCCUCUCUUCUCUUUCACUUUUUUGUUUGUUUGUUUGUUUGUUUUGUUUUUGUUUUUUGUCCUUUUAAUUCAUUUUUUUAUUUAUCUUUUAUUUUUGAGCUAUGAAUCUAUGACUUGUGUUUUACUAGUUAUGAUUUAUGUUUUAUGAGUUAUGACUAUGAUUUGUGAUAAAUAAUUCAAGAUGAAAUCCCUACCUUCUAGUUCUAGUUCGUGUUAGGUUGUUGCUAGUUCAUUAGAUUUGGAAGAUUAUAAAUAAUUUGAACUUUGUUAAUAUAGCAAAUUAAUAAUACUUGUUAAUUAACUUUAAUUAUAAACUGAAUAUUGGCAUUUUGUUAAUAUAUUUUGCCUAUUUAAUUGAAAAAUAAAUUAAGGCAAUUUUGCAGAUUAUGGAACUAUUUUUUCAUUCGAAAUGAAAGUUUGUACAUAGUUUCAGUUCUAGUGGUGCAUCUAGUUCUAGUCCGUACGGUUUUUUGAAUACUAUUUAAUUAAAUAUUAAUAAACGAUUCACCUAUCAUGGAUGCUGACAGUUGACAGUUAACAUUCAACGUUUACGGUCCGUCCUAGCUGAACUAAGACCCUGGAUUCGCCCCUACUUCCUUCCACCUAUUUUUUCCUCCCUCCAUUUCAUAACUACGAAAGAAUAUCACUAACACUAUCAAUACAUAUAAAAAUUCUAGUCAAUGAAUUGUUGAUCAGUUAAUUGAUGUCGUUUCAAGUUUUUGUGUUCGUUCUAUAUAUGACAAAGUUGUCGAUAAUCCUUACAGUUCUCACAUGGCCCUGUUGAGAAGAAACGAAUUGCCACUUGCUAGGGAACUUUCUAAGGUAGCUAGGAUGCUGUGGCUGUUUCAAACUCGGAUCCAGCUUCCAUUCUUUUGGAACCUGCAUAGCCACAUUUACAAUGACACUCAGAUUCGACGUGAAAGGUUGGAAAUACGAUUAACGACGACCAAUUUUCUAAAAUCGAUUCAGGUCAGUCACCUUCUCGUGUCAAGGUUCAAAGGAUACAAUUGGAGUUUAACUAGAUAAUAUUCGUCACAUAGCAUGAGAUAUGUCAAGGCUCAAAUUGCUCCUUAACCCAAAGUUCUUAUUUUCAGUUAAAAAAAGCUGAAAAACUUCUAGGUUUCCUCCCAUCUCUUUAAUAUGGUUUUUAAGGUAUAACAAUACGUUACAGGUUAAUUCAUCGUUUUAUCUCUCGAACCAGUCAGGAUAGUCUGGUUAUCAAAACACUAAAGAAAACAAGAUGAGAAAAAUAGAAGAUCUUGAUAUUUUUUGCAAGUCACCUUUCAAACAUUAUUCACUUUUGUUCGUGAGAAACCUACAACCGUAUCGUUGACAAGUAAUAGAAUUAACAAGUUUAAAGUUACUGUCCCACAGGAAAUAAACUCAAUUGAAAUUUACCAAUUUUAUAUGGAAUUCGAAUUACAUAACACAAAAGAGAUUUUUAAAUUGAUAUUUGAUAAAUUAAUUUAUGAAAUAUUUAAAAGUUUGGUUUUUAUAAUUUAUGGAUGAUUGUAUUAAAUUUACGCUCUUCUAUUGUUAUCUAUUUCAAUUUUCAGUUAUGUAAUCUAGUCUUAUUAAUGCAUUUUUGACAGCCGAUAUAGUUAAUGUAUUUAACUUUUUUUUCAAGAUAAAUUAAUUCUAUUAUAGUCACGACUCGAAUCUAUUUCUAGUUUGAAUUUGAAGAAUGGAAUACAUUAAAUUUCAGAUUAUUUAUAUGAUUGCACACAUGAUAAACGUCAUUUUUAACAUCUAUUGUACAUAUGCUAAUUAUACUGCAAUCUAAACUUAUUGUGAAUCUCUCAAUACUACUACAAGUAACUGAUUAUCUAAUUGGUGGUCAAACAUUUAAAUAAUAUAAUAAGUGUACAAAAUUAAUCAAGAAAUGUAAGAAAUACUAAAUUACUAGUCAUGAAUUAAAAUAAAUAAACAAUAUGGUUCAUCUUUAUCCAAUACAAAAAUAGAUCUAACAUGGCAUGCUUUUAAAUAAAUUAUAAGAAGAAUAAUAGGAAAAUAUCACCCGGAUCAUGAAAAUAAUGCAAGAAAUCUUGAUCUUCAAUAUCAAGAUUGAGUUCUUCCAAAUCUUGAUGUAACUGGCUUCAAUUCCUUGCUAGGGUUUGCUCCCUUCUCUCAAAUAUAGCAAUUGACCACUUGUUCUUGAUAAAUUUUAAGAUAUUACUGUGUAUCUAGAAGCUAGAAAGAGUUCAUUUCCAUGUUUAGAUGUUGUUUUGUAUUUAUAGGAAUUGAAAAUUCGGGUUAAAAUCAUGUAUAAAUUCAAAUUAGGAAGAGUUUUAUGUCAAACAGAUUUUAUGUCAAGGAAUUUACAAGGUUUUUUCAAAUGAAUGAUUUAACUUGGGAGUAAUUAGUGGUUUUGCAAUGGAGUGUUUCAGCAAAGAACCUCGGAUGGAGAUGCGCUUCGGCCAGAGAGAUCAACCCUUUUCAUUGAUUUCUUCAUGUUGUCCUUGUUGACUUUUAGAUGUAUUGCCUCCACGCAACUUCGACUUGGCUUCCACUGGAAGCUUUGGAUACAAAGCGAAAUUUAAUAUUUAAUAUCUAUUCCAUAUGGAUUAAAAUCUCUAAAUCAAAGCAAACAAUUAAUUUUCAUCACAUAUUUCGUGGAUUCUACAAUGGAUAAAUAGCCAAAACCCCAUGUUUGAAACAUUUUUGUGCAAGCCCCACCGUCAUCAAGAAUUAUCAAAUUGAUCGUUAAAAACACUAAAAAAAUGUCAAAAUUAAAAAGGAAUAAAUGCAAUUUCAGUAUCUAAACUUUUAUUUUUUUUUACAAAUUAAAUCCAAAUUUUUUAUAUGUACCACCUACAAUCCAAAUAUUUAAAACUUUAUUUUCCACGCCACCCUCUUCAUCUUCUUCCCCAAAAUAUUCUUUUCUAGGUUUUCCUUCACCAAAAUCUAUGAUUUCAUUCCUAUUUACUAGUCGAUGCCACGUGCGUUGUACGAUUAUUGUAUUUAAUAUGUCUUUAUUAGCGUGAUGUAGAGAUUUUAGUUUUCUUGUCAUAAUCGUAACAUGCUUUUGAAGUUUGAAUUAAUUUUUUUUGGCAUGAAUUUUCUCUGACAAUUAGUAAAAAUUAGAUUUAAAAUUGUAGGGGAUAUAAGUAAAAGAUAAUUUAUAAUUUUAUGAGAGUCCUGCACGCGACCGUGCAGAGUCAGCACCAAUUCCAUGCGAGGAAGUCCCCGCACAGAUGCGGAUUUCCUGCACAAUUCGUGCGGAGUCCUCACACAGUUUGUGCGAGGACUCCACACCAAUUCCUUCGAGGAAGUCCCGCACAGUUUGUGCGGGCACUCCGCACCAAGAUUGCUACAAAAAGCCAUAUUUCACGAGUUCUAGGUGUUUGCAUUCUCAAAGUGAUUAAGAGAACUAAUAUCACCAAAAUUCAGCAAAAAUAAAAAUGAGAAUAUUUAUUUAUAUAAGCAAGGGAUGAAAAGUGGAAAUAACUUCCUAAAAAAUGAAAUGUACUGCAUUCAACAUUGAGAAAAAAACACGUAACAUGUAAUCAUAUUGUGCUGCUGGCUCAUUUUCAAUUAAUUACUACCAAAAAGUUUUGCAACGAGAAUUCUACAGUUAUAAAUAGAGAUUCAAAUGGCCUAUCCAAUCACCUUACUAUGCUCUGCUUAAACUUAUAGCUAAAAACUUAACAGAAACAAUUUGCAACUAUUAACUAAAAUAACAAAACCCCUUAUACUUAGAGCAAUUCAAUUAUUUUCACCAAACUUAUAUGCUUCACCUAAUCAUUCAUCGAUUUCUUGCUAAUUUCUUUAGUCCUACAUUUUCCUACUUCAGGUGCCAAACCAUGGCCUAAAAAAUUAAUCUAUACUUCUUUUUUUUUCCUCUCUAUAAUCUGUUGUUCUUAUGGCCAAAAAUUCAGUUUAAAAAGACUUAUACAAACUGAAAAUACACACAUUCUUAAUAUGCAUAAAGUAUGAAUAAACCCAUAUCAAGAGUCCCAACAAAAAAAAAAUUGAAAAUAAGUAAAAAGGCAGAUUUUUUCCCUAGUUGACUUUAAAAAAAAAAUUAAAAUUCAAGACUUCUUUUCUGCAGCACAUAUCAAAAGUCUAUUCACGGCAUCAUCGGAACAAUCAUCAACAAACAAAACCCAUACACCCAAAAUUAAUGAAAUGACGAAAACUCAAACAUCUAACACAUAAAUUUAGGGAUUAAGAUAAGAUAAGCCCAUACCUUCAAAAUUAUUAGUGUUAAAACCCAAAAAGUCCCCGCACAGUCUAUGCGGGGACUCCGCACCCAGAUUACUACAAGAAGCCAUACUUCACGAUUUCUGCCAAGAUUGCUAAUGCAUGAGAUACACAAGAGACCUAAAUGAAUUAACAAGCCAAUAAGCAUUUUAAUUUACAUUAAACCAAGAAUAUACCUCUCUAUUCACACAAAAACCCAAAAUUGUGAAUUGAAUGAACAAAAUUAUAAUUAUCAAAUAAAAUCGAGGAUAUACCUCUCUAUUCACUCGAAAUAAAAAAUUUUGCACGUAGAAUCUUGAAUAAACAAAAUCAUAAUUUGAGAAAAAUGGCAUGCCAGGAAUUUACCUCUCUAUUCAUGAGAAUUUUGCACGAAAUUAAUCACAGAAAAACGAGAGAAGAAUUGAAGAAGAAGUGAGAGAAGAAAAUGAUGAUGAUGAUGAUGAUGAAAGCUUGUGUCUGGGUUUGCGUGGGGAAAUGGCUUCACCGUCCUUUUGAGUAAGAAAAAAUGGGUAUGAUUGAUAUCUACAGUAAAAUCACUGUUUAGCUAAAGUAGAAGUCCCGAAUACUAUUGCAAUUAUAGUAUAUUUUAUUCAUCUUUCUAUAAUAAGUAGUUAGAUUUAAAAAAAAAAACUGCAAAUGUGGUGUUUUGCAAUUACAGUGAAUUUUAUUCAUCUUUCUAUAAUAAGUAGUUAGAUUUAAAAAAAAAAAAAAAAACUGCAAAUGUGGUGUUUCUACAUGAGUUAACUUAUGCGUGUUUUAUAUAAAUCUCCUUGUUCUGUUUGUUAGUGAAGAUCAUGAAUUGGCCAGCUCUAAAAACAAGAUUCAGUAACAUUUAUAGAAUAAUAUAUUAAAUUGGAUAGCUUAAGGAGGUCGCCAGAAUUUGGGGUGGCCAUAUUGCUCAACCCCAGACGGUGUUCAAGUAUCUGUCUAUUCAUUUUCUGUGUAUAAUCGUAUCCAAGAAUGAGUCAUGUAUUCUAGCGAGAAAUUAAUAUCAAGAUUCCAGUUCUUGACAUCUUGUUUAUCCAAAAUUUUUCCUUUAUCUUGGUGUAAUCUAUGGUCAUAGGUAGUGUUUUUGUGGAAUCAGAUCUUUGUUUCUCAUUUUUUAAGUUGGAUUUCAAAUCUUGAUAUUUGGACUUUUGAUUCUCGAAGUGUUCAAUAAUUUAACUGUAAUUUUCAAGAAAAUAGGGGGAUGGACUUACUAUAUGUUCUUGGAACCAGAAAGAGAGGUGAAUUCUAAUUACAUAAUUAAUUCAUUAUUUAAACAUCCCAUUCUGAGACUUGGGGAAAUGGACUUCUUGUAUUUUCGUGGAUCGAAGAAAAUGAAUUGGGGUGGGGGUUGGAAAAUAAAGUUCUAGAGAUUUGGGAUUGUAGGUGGCAUAUAUAAAAAUUUGGAUUUAAUUUGUAAAAAAUAAUAAUAAUAAAUAACAAAAUAAAAAAAAUUGGGUAUUGAAAUUACAAUUAUUCCUUUUUAACGACAAAUUGAUGGAUCUUGACGGUAGGGAAAUUUGGGAUGAGAUCAAUGCACUAACUGAUGCCCACCCUUGUACUUGUGAUGCUCGCAAAAAAGUCGAAGACACAGCCAAUACCGAACGACUCUUUCAAUUUCUUAUGGGCCUCAAUGACUCAUUCUCCAACAUUCGAAGCCAAAUUCUCACCAUGGACCCCCUGCCCACAAUCUCCAGAGCAUAUGCCACCAUACAUCAAAAAGAGACACAACGCCUCCUACAAAUUCCAUUGUUACCCAAUCCCGAAAAUUCGGCCAUGGCUGUCUCACACACCAAUUCUUCGGUCAAUCACGGUUUUUGUUCUCGCAACAGUAGAAAAUGCACAAAGUGUGGGAAAGAUGGACAUCAAGAAGCCUCCUGCUUUGAAAUCAUUGGCUAUCCUUCCCAUUGGAACACCAAUAAGCCGAAGCAGCCCCUGCGGUCCACACCUGUCAAAAAUCGGCCACAGGAUUCAGGCAGUAAUCGGCUACCCACAGCGAACAUGGUGUCUCGUACCUCAGCCCCUUCCACAUCGAGUGCAAUCCCUGGCUUAUCUGACGAGCACUACUGGCAAUUGAUGGAAAUGUUGGAUCCUAGCACCAUUACACACUCGGCCUUCUCUGGUAUCUCUCUAUCACCUCUCCAAAUCGCCCUAGGUCCUUGGAUUAUAGAUAGUGGGGCUUCAGCCCACAUUUCUUGUGUUUCUAACUUACCCAAAGCCUCACAUAUUUGGGCCCAUAGUCAAUCCCUUACAUUACCUACAGGCUUCAAGGCCCACGUCACACAUAUGGGCCACAUCCAUAUUUCUCCCCAUUUAUGUCUACAUAAUGUUCUUUUUGUUCCCGAUUUUAAAUACAAUUUAAUCUCAGUAAGUCAACUCACAAAAUUGUCUAAUUGUGUUACCAUAUUUUCCUCUUCUAUUUGUUUAUUUCAGGACCUAUGUAUGAGAAAGCUGAUUAGGAUGGGUGAAGAACAUGGAGGCCUCUACCAUUUUAAACCAUUUAAUCAUGUUGCAUUUCAACUCAUAGCGAAUCCUGCUGCUACACCGGAUGUAUAGCAUCUUCAUUUAGGUCAUCCUUCAAAUUCUUGUAUUCCAAAAAUUUUAUGUGAUUCAAAUAAAGUUAGAAAUUGUGAUAGUUGUGUUCGCGGUAAACAUACGCGCCUUCCCUUCAAAUUGGUCGAAAAUAAAAGUACUUUUACCUUUAACCGAAUUUAUUGUGAUAUUUGGGACGGAUAUUCCACACCCUCUACAAUUGGUGCACACUAUUUUCUCACAAUUGUUGACGAUUUUUCACGUGUUACUUGGGUAUACCUCAUGCGUUUUAAAUCUAAUACAUUUACUUACCUAACCACAUUCAUUAAAAUGAUCCACACGCAGUUUAAUUGCCCUAUCAAACAUAUUAGGUCCGACAAUGGUCAAGAAUUUCUUUCUCAUCGUAUGCAACAAUUCUUCCUUGACCAUGGGAUCAUUCAUGAGCGCACUUGUGUUGAACCACCCCAAAAAAAUGGUGUAGUAGAAUGAAAAUAUCGUCACCUACUAAAUGUAGCUCGAUGUCUUCGCUUUCAUACACAUUUACCUAUUUCUUUUUGGGGUGAGUGCAUACUUACUGCAUCCUAUCUGAUUAACCGCGUAUCAACUCCCACGCUUGGUCACAAAGCGCCUUAUGAACUCCUUUUCAACAAACCUCCUACCUAUGAUCACCUCCGUGUCUUUAGAUGUCUUUGCUAUGCACACACUUUAAGUGUCCAUCGGGACAAGUUCUCUCCUCGUAGCACACCAUGCAUAUUCCUAGGCUACUCUCAAAUUCCACAUACUUAUCGUGUUCAUAACUUGCAAACCAAGAAAAUUUUCUUCUCUUGUGAUGUCUACUUUGUAGAAUCUAUCUUUCCCUUCGCUCCUACGAUGCAACCUUCACACAUAUCAUCAGAUACCAAUCAGCCCCUCGAUGUCCCUUACAGUACCCCACUUCCAACCAACGUUUCACAUGACACCCCUAGCCCAUCUCCUUCAUCCACGCAGACAUGGAACCAACUAUACCAACACCACAAGUUGUUGAUGGACCUACCAACUCCCUAGAAAUCGUCACCAGCUCACCCCCACUCAACUCAUCCCCACCAACUAGACCUCGAUGCACGAUUACUCGUCUUACAUAUCUUCAAGACUACAUUUGUUCAGAUUUACCUCCAGAGGGACCACGUUCAUCAUCUCAUUGCCAGUCUUUCUCAGGUACAGUUCACUCUCUACCUAAUUUUCUUUCUUGUCGUUUCUUUAGUCCAAAACAUUUUGCUUUCCUCUCUUCUAUCUCCAAAAAUGUUCAAGACCCCGUUCUUUACUCUCAAGCUAUUCUUGAGCCGUAUUGGCAAUAGGCAAUGGCUUUUGAAAUUCAAGCCCUUGAAGUCAAUCACUCAUGGACCCUUGAACAUCUUCCCCCUGGUAAGAAGGUAAUUGGUUGCAAAUGGGUUUAUAAAACAAAAUUGCAUGCCGAUGGUUCCAUUGAACGCCAUAAAGCUUGUUUUGUUGCCAAGGGUUUCACUCAGGUUGAAGGUCUUGACUAUAAUGACACUUUUGCUCCUGUGGCUAAACUUGUUACUGUUCGAUGUCUCCUUACUAUAGCUACAGCUAAACACUGGAUUCUUCAAAAAUUGGAUGUUCACAAUGCUUUCCUCAAUGGUGAUCUUGAUGAGGAAGUGUAUAUGCGACCACCACCAGGAUAUUGUCGUAAAGGGGAGACUCGCGUUUGCCAUCUCCACAAAUCAUCAUAUGGUCUCAAACAAGCCUCACGUCAGUGGUAUUCAAAAUUAUCCCAUGUUCUCAUCCUUACAAGUUUUGAUCAAUCUGCUGCUGAUCAUAGUCUCUUCAUCAAAACCAAGGGUACAACCUUUACUGCCGCUCUUGUCUAUGUUCAUGAUAUCAUUGUUGCUGGUAAUGACAGCUCUGCCGUUAGUUCUAUCAAACGCCAUCUUGCAUAGACCUUCAAAAUUAAAGACCUUGGCGAUCUCAAAUAUUUCCUAGGGAUUGAAGUUGCUCGAUCUCCUAAAGGCAUAUUUAUCAAUCAAAUGAAAUAUACCUUGGACAUUCUUACUGAUUCAGGUGAACUUGGCUCUCGCUCGGCAUAUUUUCCCAUGGAACGACAUUGCAAACUUAAUGACUCAGAUGGUGAUCUUAUGGACGAUCCUAGCUCAUAUCGACACUUGAUUGGUCAUUUGAUCCUAUAAUGCUCGGACUCGGGUACGGGUAUCGGGUACGGGUACUUAUCUAAGUAUCAAAUCUUUUAUUUUUUAAAAUAUAGGAUACGGGGACAUGGUUAAAAAGAAUCCAAAUUUCGGACACGGGUACGUGGGUACGUCUUUCAAGCUUCAAUUUUUUUAUAUUAACCCAAGAUGUCAUUUUGAAUAGACUAAAAUCAAUAGUUCAUAAAAAGGAAAUGAGUAUUAAAUAAGAUGUUAAGACUAAUAAAAUACAAUUUUGGGGUUUAGUUUUCAAUUAUAGGAAACGGGAAAGAAAAUGAAAAGAAAAAAGAAGAAGUAAAAAAAAGGGCGAAAUGUCCGAUUUAAAUUUGGAGGAUUCUACACAUAUCCCAUACGCAUACCCUUGUCGUGUCGUGUCCGACACGGGUAUUUCAACCAUUUCGAAGAGUCCGAGCAUCAAAGGUUUGAUCUAUUUGACCAUCUCUCAUCUGGAUAUUACCUUUGCAGUCAACAUUUUGAGUCAGUUUAAGCACACUCCUCGCAAGCCUCAUCUACAUGCUGCUAUACGCUGGCUCCGCUAUCUGAAAACAACACCUGGUUAUGGAUUCUUCUUUCCAUCCAACUGCAACCUUCAGAUAUCUGCUUUUUGUUACUCUGAUUGGGCAAGUUGUCCACUCACACGACGUUCCACAACUGGUUUCAUCAUCAAAUUGGGCGAUAGCCCCAUCUCUUGGCGCACCGAGAAACAAACAAUUGUUUCUUGCUCUUCUGCUGAAGCUGAAUAUCGUGCGAUGGCCACUACAACUUGUGAACUUGUUUGGCUUCGCCUCCUUCUACAGGAACUUACUGUGUUGCAUCCACAACCUAUUCUGCUUCAUUGUGACAAUCAAGCAGCAAUCUACAUUGCACAUAAUCCGGUCUUCCAUGAACGCACCAAACACAUUGAAUUAGAUUGCCAUCUUGUUUGUGAAAAAAUCAAAUCUGGUCUUAUUACUCCCUCCUAUGUUUCAAGCUCUGAACAUGUAGUUGAUCUUUUUACUAAACCAUUGGGACGUGAAUUAUUUGUCUUCUUUUGGUCCAAGUUGGACAAUACGGGCCUCCAUGCUCCAACUUGAGGGGGAGUAUUAUAGCCAGCUCAUCAACAACAAUCAACGACAAUCAACACAAAGAAUUUUCUUUUAUAGUUAUUUCCAUAUCACAGUUUUUACCAUGUAUAGAUUGGAUUCUCACCUAUAAAUUUAUACAAAAUCAUUUUAACAUAUAUGGAGGAAAUAAUAUAAUCUUCAAUUCUUUCCUCAAUCAUACCUGUGUAUGUCGAGAUUUGUUAUUUAUAUAGAGUAAUUUUAUUUUGAUACUUGUUAUUAAUUUUUCUUAUUGAAAUUUUUUAAAUAUGAAUAUUUCUUUAUUAUUUAAUAAUAAAUUUGAAUUAAAAAUAUACGAUAUUUUUGAUAAAGAAAGAAAAAUUACCACUAGUGUGUUUGAGAAGUAUCGGUAUUCGACAUGUAUCGGAUGUUACUCACAAUAUUGCUAAUGAUAUAUUUCAACUAUGGUCUACGAGAAUAAGAUAUCGUAUGGAACACGUAAUAUCAGCUAAUGAAAGAUAGAAUAAUAGUUGUUUUUAGUACGGCAUGGUAUGCUACAUGAAUAUAUUGUCAACUCUAAAUAUUUUUUCAAUUACCCACAACGUUGCCGAUUAAAAUAAAUUUAUCAAUAGCAGUAAGAGUAGAACAAAUAAUUUAAAAUUGUAGAAAGUGAUAAAAGAGCAAAUGAACUUUCAAUCGAAGUCUAAAUAAACACAGUUUCUUUAAAACAAAUUGGCCUCCUCACUCUACGUGCUUGAGGCUUAGUUUGAGCAUCUGUUUCCUAGGAUACAACGAAAAAUAAGUAGAGUCUAAGCACUGCAUAUACUACUCCGGUGAACUGACUUAGUAUCCGAACAAUAUCACCAAAAUUGAAAAGAAAUUUUUUUUCGACCAAAUAGAGAGCUGUAAAACUAUGUAGCAUGCAGACAAAGUAUUGAUUCUUGUGUGGGAUAUGGAAAACGAGUUCCAUAUAGACUUAACCCCAUGAAUGGUGAGUUAAAUCUGUCUAUAAGUGUAUUAUCUCAUCCAUAACUCUUGGAGUUUCAAUAGUUUUAGAAGUUAAAAGGUCAGUUGGAGGAAAAAAUUGACAAAACGUAGGCCUUCCUAAGGGCUCAAUUUUGGUCCCUUCGGUCUGACAUAUGUGUGUACAGGUUGAGCCCACACACAAGUUCAAGGUUCGAAACCUAUUUCGGUCUAUGAUUUGUACCUCUUACGUGCGCACGUGAUGAGAGCCUCUAUGCUAUAUAUGAUCACACCCUUCAAAGUGUAAUCCUAUAUGAGGUGGUAUUUGCCUUCAUUAUUUUUCUAUGUGGAACAAACCUUAAUUGGUGUCCUUCAAACACAUAAACUCCUUUCAAUUGGCACACUUUGAGCUCCAAUUUUUCAUUCACCCAAGCAUCAUAUUUGACAAGUAAAUAUAUGAUUUCAAUAUUCUCACGACGAACACAAAUCAAUCUUGAUCUUCCAAAAUAAACAACCAGGUCCCACUCAAAAUUUAUGCCAAAGUAAGCCAUUCAACUCAUUUAUUCAAUGAUGUGCCAUCCUAGAUGAAGUGUCCGUGCAACAGAGGUAUUAGGUGUUCGUAAAGUGUUCUUUGAUGGUCAUCCAUUUCUUUUGAUGACUCAAGUUUUCGAGCUUCGCUCUACUAAUCUGAGGAGCAGCGGCCUUCCCCACUAAUCAUCCAUUGUUUAUACCUAUGGAAAUGGUGCCAGUAGCAUAUGGAAAUGUUUAUACCCCUGAUCAUUUAUGGAAAAUCGUACGAGGCCCAAGGCAUGGUAAUGAUUUCAGAGUGGAUUUAGAAGAUACUAUCUGUGCGUUGAAAAUUCUAAAUUGGUUUUAGAUAAUCGUCAAGUUGGCUAUGACACCAAGAAUAAAGUAGCGAAAGGAAGGAUACCUUGCAUAUGAAGUGAUUGGCUAAGGGUUUAUGAGUGGAGUUCUGCAUAUUACGUGUAGUAUAUGAUUUUAUUUCAACAUUUAUUCAUUGGGCUAUUUGUGGCACCAAGAAUAGUGGUGGCUAAAGGAAGGACACAUGCUUAUGAGUGGACCUCUACAUAUUAUGCAUAGUAUUUGAAUUUUUUUUCCUUUUUUUUUUGGCAGAAAGAACUGAAUAAAUAUUGAAGUUAAUGGGCUUUGUGUAACGCUCCGACCCCUGGUGGACCAGAACGCUACUUACUUUAAUUAGCUUAACCGGUGGUUUAGUAACAAGUGUAUACGUUUUAACGGAAUCUUACAUCUUCGGAUAAUAAUUUAAAUAACAAUACUUCAAAUACUUUAAACACAAACACUGAAUCAUUUUUCAAAACAACAAAAUAUAAUUUAUUUGAAGAAAACAUAACUUGUUCUCGCAUUCUGCGUUAUUCAAAACUUUAAAGAAAUAACAUUGGAAAACAUUUCAUAAAAAUAAAUCCAAAUCACUUAUUCACCGGAUUUCCAUGGGCUCGUUGCAUCAUUCUCCAUCUUCUCCUCCAUCCAUGCCCGAGGUAGAAUUCCUUCAAUUUGUAGAGAUGAGAUUAAACCCAUGAGUUGAAAAACUCAAUAGGUGUCAUAAGUGCAUUCGUGAUCAAGCUAUACAUUUCAAAACAUUAACUUUAUAACUCUUCAUACAUGCCGUACCCGGAGGCACCAUUUGAUAUGAAGGGGCAUGCCGUACCCCAGGGCACCAUUUGACAUACGAACAUUUCUUCAACAUAAAGGGGUAUGCCGUACCGGAGUACCAUUUGACAUACAACCAUUAACAUAUAGGGAUAUGCCAUACCAGAUUACUAUUUGACAUACAAACAUUAACAGGAAUCGAAACUUAUAACUUAACACGAUUAAACACAUUGCACCUCUACCUACUUUGAUUGAUGUUUUUGAAACUUUGAAAACUUGGAUUGAAAAUUUCGAUGAAACUUGGACGUUGAAAGAAAUGCACUCCUUGGAUGUUUGAAAACCGUUGAGAAUUGAUGCUUGAAGACACUUUUUAAACUUCUAAGAAAAAUAGUUUUCCUCCCUCUCUUUUUCUCUCUUGGAAACUCUUUCUUUAGUAUGUAAAAACUCUUGCUUUUGUGUGAGAAAAAAUGAGUGAAAUGAGGUCUCUAUUUAUAGGUAAAUAUUCCAUAACUUAAAGCAAAUGAAGGGUCAAAUUUCAUUUAAGAGAGAAAACAUAGUUUCCAUUUAAGUUUGAGGUUAAAUGCUUCAAUUUAGUGGGGGGUUUUUAUUGCCAAAAACGUGGGUGGCCCUUUGAGAAAAUAAUUGAUGAAAAUAAAUAUUUAAAUUCUAGAGAAAAACGAGAAUUUUCAUUUCAGGCAGCUUCGGUCGACCGGUUGUAGUCCGGUUGACACUGCAUAACUUUCAGUGUUUCUAUCAUAACUUUUUUUCCCGAUAUCCGAUUGAGGUAAUCCAAAGUGCGUUGGAAAGCUAACUCAAAAAGCUACAACUUUUAUUUAGAUAUCAUUUUCCAAAUUGAAUGUUUCCUAUGUUGAAAAUGGGUCUCAAAAGAGACUAAAAAUCUGAAGUAUACUUUAGUCAUUCAAUAUUCAUGUCUUAGUGCCACUAAGGUGUCUAGAAUUAUUUGGGGUUCUACAUCCCCCACACCUUAAUUAAAAUUUCAUCCUCAAAAUUUACCUUCUGAUUGGGCGAAUAGUAUUGGAUACUUAUCUUUGGCUUCUUCUUCUUUUUCCCAAGUGGCUCUUCUACGCCGUGAUAAUUCCACUGUAUCUUAACCAACUGAAUCUCUUUAUUCCUUAGUUUAUACACUUUUUGAUCCAAUAUCUUGAUCGGUAGUUCCUCGUACGACAAAUCUUUCUGUACCUCCAAGGUUUGAUAACUAACUACAUGAUUAGGAUCAUGUACAUACUUCUUUAUCAUCGAUAUACGGAACACAUUGUGCACUGCCGAUAAUUCAGGUGGCAAAGCUAGUCGGUAAGCCACAUUUCCGACUCUAUCCAAGGUCCGAUAUACCGGGGUCAUAGCUUGCCUUUCUUUCCAAAUCUAAGUACACCUUUCAUCGAUGCUACUUUCAGAAACGCUUUAUCCCCAACUUGGAAUUCUAAAUCCUUCAUCCUUGUAUCUGCAUAGCUCUUUUGUCGAUCAUGUGCUGCCUUUAUUCUUGCACAGAUCUUAUCGAUUACCUCGACUGUCCUUUCAACUAUUUCUUGUCCUAAAACUCUCUUCUCUUCGACUUUGACUUCAUCCCAAUGAAUAGGGGAUCUACAUCUUCUACCAUAGAGAGCUUCGUAUGGUACCAUUCCAAUAGUUGCUUGGAGGUAAGUAUGACUCCCAAUUACCUCCUAGAUCCAAAACACAUGUUUUCAGCAUGUCUUCCAAAGUUUGGAUGGUCCUUUCAGACUGACCAUCGGACUGAGGGUGAUAUGCUGUACUAAAGUUCAGCUUCGUUCCCAUAGUUCCUUGUAUACUUUUCUAAAAUUUGGACGUGAACCUUGGGUCUCUGUCAGAUAAAAUGGAUACAGGUACACCGUGUAAUCUCACAACCUCUUUAAUAUACAACUGUGCCAAUUGGUCCAAACUGAAUGUCGUUUUCACUGGAAGAAAAUGAGCUGACUUCGUUAGUCGAUCCACUACUACCCAUAUAGCAUUAUUUCCUCUUGCUGAAUUUGGGAAUCCAACCACAAAGUCCAUCGUGAUAUUUUCCCAUUUCCAUUCAGGUAUAUCUAGUGGAUUUAACAAUCCAGUUGGUUUUGGGUGUUCUACCUUAACCUAUUGACAUACUAUGUACUUCUGCACGUAUAGCCCUAUACUUCUUUUCAUAUUUCUCCACCAAAAUGUAUCUCGAAGAUCUCGAUACAUUUUUGUACCACUGGGAUGUGCGGUGUACGGGGUGGAAUGAGCUUCUUUCAAUAUCUUAUUUCUUAAGGCUUCAUCCUUAGGCACGCAAAUUCUUCCUCUAAAUAUCAAUGCCUGAUCCUCAGCUACUCCAAAGUCCUUUUUCUUAUCAGUACCAAUUUCAUUCUUAAUCUUCUGCAAAAAUGAGUCUUUAUUUUGUGCUUCUAUAAUUCGAUCUCUAAGAGUAGGUCGAAUUAUUAAAGCUGCUAGACGAGCAGUGACUUGUCCUGGUGUGAUAACCACUUCGAUCUGCAACUUUUCCAAGUCCUUAACUAACUCCACUUGAGAGGUGGGUAGUGACGUCAAUUGUCCCAUUGAUUUUCUACUUAGAGCGUCGGCCACAACAUUAGCCUUACCCGGAUGGUAGUGAAUAGUGCAGUCGUAAUCGUUCACCAAUUCCAACCAUCGUCUUUGUCGCAUAUUCAAUUCCUUCUAUGUGAAGAAAUACUUGAGACUUUUGUGAUCUGUGUAGAUAUCACACUUCCGUCCAUACAAGUAGUGUCGCCAUAUCUUCAAAGCGUGUACUACCGCUGCAAGUUCUAAAUCAUGCGUCGGGUAGUUCUGCUCAUGUUUCUUCAAUUGUCUUGAAGCAUAGGCUAUCACUUUUCCAUUCUGCAUUAGUACACAUCCCAAUCCUCGCUUGGAUGCGUCGCUGUAUAUAACAAACCCUUUCGUAUCUUGAGGUAUUGUUAAUAUAGGUGUUGAUAUCAACUUCUGCUUAAGUUCUUGGAAACUUUGUUCGCAUUUUUCUGUCUAUUGAAAUUUUACUCCCUUCCUUGUAAGCUGCGUCAUUGGUUCAGCUAUUUUGGAAAAUCCUUCUAUGAAUUUCCUAUAAAAUCCAGCCAAUCCUAGAAAACUCCGUACUUCGCCAACAUUUGUUGGUGCUUUCCAGUUGGUUACUGCUUCUACUUUUGCUGGAUCUACUUCAAUCCCUUGGGCAGUAACUACAUGUCCAAGAAAUCCAACUCGUUCAAGCCAAAACUCGCACUUCUUGAAUUUGGCAUACAACUUCUCCUUGCGUAAUACCUCUAAGACUAUUCUCAAGUGCUCUUCAUGUUGCUCCUUACUCUUGGAAUAUAUCAGAAUGUCAUCGAUGAAGACUAUAACAAACUUAUCCAAGUAUUGAUGAAACACUCAAUUCGUCAUGUCCAUGAACACUACAGGUGCAUUGGUUAGCCCAAACGGCAUCACCGUAAACUCGUAGUGUCCAUAUCGAGUUCUAAAAGUUGUCUUAGGUAUAUCCUUUGUCUCUACUUUCAGUUGAUGGUAUCCCGAUCGUAAAUCGAUCUUGGAAAAUACCUUAGCUCCUUUCAGUUGAUCUAACAGAUCCUCGAUCCUCGGGAGUGGGUACUUAUUCUUGAUGGUUAAUCGAUUUAUCUCCCUCUAAUCGAUGCACAUCCUCAUGCUUCCAUCUUUCUUCCUUACAAACAACACUGGCGCACCCCAUGGAGAUACGCUUGGUCCUAUGAAGCCCAUAUCUAGGAGUUCUUGCAACUGCUUCUUUAAUUCUUGUAGCUCCUUUGGGGCCAUUCGAUAUGGGGCCUUAGAUACUGGUACCACCCCGGGAAUUAGGUCUAUGGUGAAUUCCACUUGUCUAUCGGGUUGAAUGCCAGAUAGAUCUUCUAGAAACACAUCUACGAAUUUCCGUACUACUGGUACAUCUUCAACCCUUAUUGUCUCUUGUUUCCCUCUUGCGAUACUUACUAGAUAUCCUUGACAUGUGUUCUUUUCUCAACAUCUUCUCAAGUUGUAAAGCCGAUACUAGUCGAAUAAGGGGUUUCGUCUUCAUUCCAAGGAACGAAAAUGGUUCCUCUCCUGGUUUCUAAAAUGAUACUUCCAUUUCCUUAUAUCGGAUGGUGGCGUAAUUACAACCUAACCAAUCCAUGCCUAGUAUUACAUCAAAAUCCUUCAUUUCUAUCAUGUAUAGGUUCGUUUCCAUUAGUUUUCCCUCAACUUUGAUACUUACUGACUUGGCUAUCCUAUCAGUAUUCAAAGGGUUGUCCGAAGGAAUACUAACUUCUAAUGUACCUUCUUAUCUUCCGUAUCCACCAGAUGUGGAGCAUACUUUGAAAGUUGAUCAAACUUCCUCUCAUACUCAGUCAGGGACAUAGUCUUUUGCUUGAUUUGGAGGAAUUCACUUUCUUUGUGAUCCCUCAAAGACUGGGGAAAAUACUUGUCCAUUACUUCUCCUUUGAAUUGCUCCCAAGUCAAUUCUUCUUAUUGCUUAGGGGUCCUUGUCCUUGACAUUGAGACCCACCAGUGACUUGCAUUACCGGAGAACAUGAACUCAGCACGCUGAACUUUCUAAGCGUUUGUGCACCCUAUCAAUCGGAAUAUACGCUCCAACUUGUGAAGCCACUCCUCGGUUGCAAGUGGAUCAGCUGCUUUGUUGAAGGUAGGGGACUUGUGCCUUCGAAAUUGCUUGACCACUGAAGUAUGAUUUGGAACAUUAGGAGCUAGUGGUAGGGGUUGAGCUUGGUUCGGGUUUUGCCUGCCUAGGUCUUGAACCGCUCGGAGGAGGUCUCUUAUCAAGUUUUGGUUUGCGCGGGCCAUUUCUUUUAGACAAAGCAUAUGGUUCUUAUUAGUUUCAUUCUUCAAAUACUAAAGCAAAGAAGAUAGUAUUUUAUUUCUUGAUAUAAGGGAAGCUAUUACAAGGAUUUAAAUCUAAUCCCUAUAAGUUCUACGGAUCUUCUUUGGUGGAGCUUCAUCUUCGAGGAGUCUUCCGCAUCAGGUUUGGCUCUAUGUUCAUCUCAACUUGUGGCUCAGGCUCAGGAUCAUUCUCUAAAUCAUCCUCGAGUUCUUCUUCGAGAUCUUCUUCCUCGGCCAAAGCUUCCUCCUCAGGCUCCUCGUGGGUUACAUCAUCCCACAAAUCAAUCAGGGCAUGGCAAUACCUCUCAAACUCGAAUAGGUUUGGGUUGCUUGCUAACAUUUCAUCUCUAACCGUGACUCCCAUAUCUCCCCAUUGAGGUGGGAGGGAGUGUAUGAGGUUAUUUAUGGCCUCAAUAUGUGUGAUCUCCAUACCAGCAUUAACCGUCUUCAUGCAUCUCUCAUGGAUGUCAUACACAUGUUCGCUAAGCGAUCAGGUCAGAUCAGUUACAUAGUUUUCAUAGGAAUGGAUAGCAAUUCUACAGUUCAAUGCUUCUCUAUAUGCCCUAGCCGUUCUACGAGCCAUGUCUGUUGCAUUUUCACAUACAUCAUACUUUUUUUUGCUUAAAGAAAACAUGCAAAUAUUUAAACUUUCAUAUCAUGCAAUUUCCUUUAAACCCUUAACUUUUACCCAAGUUCAUUACAUAUCUUUAAAUAACACAUCUCUAAAUCAUAUCAAAACAUCAUAACAUAAACAUAAUCAUUAACUUUAAACAUAAACAUACCUAGGCCAUAGGAUGAGAUUGAUGGAUGGAUGCACGAUGCCAUGGAAUACCUUAACUUAAACUUUUCAUUUUCCUUUUGUUUUUUUAAAAAAAAAAUACUUGAUCUACAGAACAGGCUAAACCUUGCUUUGAUACCACGCUGUAACGUCCCGACCCCUAGUAGACCGGAACGCUACUUACUUUACUUAACUUAACCGGUGGUUUAGUAACAAGUGUAUACGUUUUAGUGGAAGCUUACAUCUUCGGAUAAUAAUUUAAAUAACAAUACUGCAAAUACUUUAAACAAAAACACUGAAUCAUUUUUCAAAAUAACAAAAUGUAAUUUAUUUGAAGAAAACAUAACUUGUUCUCGCAUUCUACGUUAUUCAAAACUUUAAAGAAAUAACAUUGGAAAACAUUUCAUAAAAAUAAAUCUAAAUCACUUAUUCACCGGAUUUCCAUGGGCUCGUUACAUCAUUCUCCAUCUUCUCCUCCAUUCAUGCCUAAGGUAGAAUUCCUUCAAUCUGUAGAGAUGGGAUUAAACCCGUGAGUUGAAAAACUCAAUAGGUGCCAUAGGUGCAUUCGUAAUCAAGCUAUACAUUUCAAAACAUUAACUUUAUAACUUUUCAUACAUGCCGUACUCGGAGGCACCAUUUAACAUGAAGGGGUAUGCCGUACCCGAGGGCACCAUUUGACAUACGAACAUUUCUUCAACAUAGAGGGGUAUGCCGUACCGGAGUACCAUUUGACAUACAAUCAUUAACAUAGAGGGAUAUGCCGUACCGGAGUACCAUUUAACAUACAAACAUUAACAUGAAUCGAAACUUAUGACUUAACACGAUUAAACACAUUGCACCUCUACCUACCUUGAUUGAUGCUUUUGAAACUUUGAAAACUUGGAUUGAAAACUUCGAUGAAACUUGGAUGUUGAAAGAAAUGCACUCCUUGGAUGUUUGAAAAUCGUUGAGAAUUGAUGCUUGAAGACACUUCUUAAACUUCUAGGAAAAAUAGUUUUCCUCUCUCUCUUUUUCUCUCUUGAAAACUCUUUCUUUUGUUUGUAAAAGCUCUUGCUUUUGGUGUGAGAAAAAAUGAGUGAAAUGAGGUCUCUAUUUAUAGGUAAAUAUUCCAUAACUUAAAGCAAAUGAAGGGUCAAAUUUCAUUUGAGAGAGAAAACAUGGGUGCCAUUUAAAUUUGAGGUUAAAUGCUUCAAUUUAGUGAGGUUUUUAUUGCAAAAAAUGUGGGUGGCCCUUUGAGAAAAUAAUUGAUGAAAAUAAAUAUUUAAAUUCUAGAGAAAAACGAGAAUUUUCAUUUCAGGCAGUUUCGGUCGACCGGUUGUAGUCCGGUUGACACUGCACAGCUUUCAGUGUUUCUAUUAUAACUUUUUCUCCCGAUAUCCGAUUGAGGUAAUUCAAAGUGAGUUGGAAAGCUAACUCAAAGAGCUACAACUUUUAUUCAGAUAUCAUUUUCCAAAUCAAAUGUUUCCUAUGUCGAAAAUAGGUCUCAAAUGAGACUAAAAAUCUAAAGUAUACUUUAGUCAACCAAUAUUUAUGUCUUAGUGCCACUAAGGUGUCUAGAAUUAUUUGGGAUUCUAUACUUUGUGACAUAGAGUGCAAUAAAACCAAAUAGUAGAAUUAUAGAAGAAGGGGGAGUGAAUAGAAAGAAGAGGGCAAAAGUGAAGAAUUGGGGGGAGGGGGUUGGUUAGAAGGAGAGAGAUAGAAAAGGAACAACAAUAGAUAGACGGAAGCAGAAUUUAGGAGAGAGGAAGAAGAGGGAGAAAAGGAAGAGGAAAACAAAUAAGAAGAAUAUUGAGAAAGAAAGGAUUUCUAUCAUUUCUCCCUAAUUGAAAGAACUCGACUCCAAUUCUAAGCAAAGAGGACUAUCUUUCUUUCUGACCAAAUAAUGAAAUUGAUUGCUUGAUGUCAAAUCCUAAAUUAGUUGGCUGAUUUUCUUCUUUUGAGUUGUGGUUGGGGAGAUUUUUGGGUGGUUGAAGAUGGCAAAGGAAGUGUGUGUAAAUUUUGAAUUUCAACAUGAAAUUUGUGUACAACGGAAAUGACUUGCUCUGCUAUCAAAUUGAUGUAUACUGCAAUAAAACCAAAUAGUAGAAUUAUAGAAGAAGGGAAAAUUGAUGUAUACUGCAAUAAAACCAAAUAGUAGGAUUAUAGAAGAAGGGAAAAGGGUAGAGAAUAAGAGAAAUGGGGGAAAAAGAGAAGAAGAGGGGGAAAGAGAAGGAGAUAUGUAGAAAGUGAAGAAGAGACAUUAGAAGCAGAUUUAAGAGAGAGGAAGAAGAGGGGGGAAAGGGAAAAGGAAAAUGAACAAGAAGAAUAUUGAGAAAGAAAGAAGAAAAGAGAGGAGAAAGAGAAGAAGAGGGAGAGAAAAAGAGAAUUUAGGGAGUGAAUAUCAAGUUUAUUUUAUGUCAAAUUUGUAUCUAUUACAAUGCACAAACCUCCUUCAUAUGGGGUUUUGAAAAACCUAUUCUAAAUAGGAAACAAUGAAUCAAAUACUAGAGAAUCUAGUAAAUAAAUAUAUAAUAAAAUCCUCGGAAAUCCAGUAAAUAAACCCUGAUAAUUUUUCCCAAAAUAAGAAUCUAAAUAUGGAAAAUAAUCAUAAUAAUCUAAUAGGAUUUACAUCAUUUUUUCGUGGUCCCGUGGGAAUGUGAGACAAUAUCAUUUAAGAUGUAUGAGUUUUAACUUGUCGCGACUCAUCAAAAUUUUCACUUGCGACCUGGAAAGAAAUCGAUUUGAAAAGUAAUUUUCCCCUUUUUUGAGUAAAGAUCAUGUCUUGGGCUUUAGUAGUGGCUCCACAGGUCUUUUAAUUCUUUUUAUGAUGAUUCACAUUCUUUUCACAUGGUUAAUCCUUUGAUGAUGCUAUUAUACUCUCAAGAUGCUAAUACAAAUUACUAUUGAUUUGAUGUGUAUUACCACCCUGUGUUUGCCUUCUUUUCAUUGUUAACUGUAACCUUGUGCUACAAUUUACUCUACCGUAAUACAGGCAAAACAUGGAAUUAACUGUCUUGAGCUUCCUCUCAUUCAGCACAAGAAGUUGCCUGAUUCUGAUAGACUUCCCUCUGUGUUGAGUGGUAAGUUUCUGACAUGAUUGAUGGUUAUAGGAGAUUGUUUUAGAUUAUCUGGAUGCAUUUGUUCACGUUACGUGCAUUUCAGAGACAGUUUUUUUUUUUUUUUUUUUAAUUUUUUUUAUUUUUAUUGUGAGGGUUUGUUUAGAACGUUUGCUUCAUCAGUUAAUCUGUGAUCCCUAUUGUGUUUUGUGUCAUUAUUGUUUUUAUCUUACAUCUUUAAAGACGAUUCAUAUGGGUGCACAUAAGAUGUUAAUGCACAGGUUGUCAAACUUGAUUCCUCAUUGACCGUAAAUAGUAAAUAUCUUGGCCACAUUUCAGUUAGAUUCGUGAAGAGAGACAGCUCCUCCUUUUGGGCUGUGAGGCACAAGGUACCAAGGUUAUCCAAUCACAGGUUGUAAAUUCACAUGGAUUAAAUUUCUCUAUGCACAUUGUUGUUAUUAUCUUUCUGACUUUGGUGUGAAUGCCAGAUCUUGUGUAUCUAGUCUCCCGCGGAAGUAAAUUGCUAAAUUGAAUGCUUGUUCUUAGUUGCUUUGAAAUGAAUGUUGUGAUCAGACAGAAAAUAAAACUCUCUCAAUCCCCCUUCCCCCUCUUACACAUGUUUCAUGACAGUUACUUCUAUUUAAAUUCACAAAUUCUACAAUGGAUGCACAUUAUGAUUUUUUCUUGCUUAUCUAUUGCUGCAGAUACUGCAUUUGAUUGGAUUGUCAUAACUUCACCUGAAGCCGCUCUAGUUUUUCUUGAUGCUUGGAAGUAAACUUCACAUGGAUGUUGGCACGUCAUUUAUUAUUCUAGAAUGGUCAUUAGUCAGUUAGAGGAAAACUCUAUAAAUAAGAUGGGAGAGGGGAAUUAGAGGGGAUUCAAUGAAUUGUUUAGAAAAAGUGGGGGAGAGAUCAAGGCCUCUCGAAUGCCUUUGAUUAUGUUUAAUUUCAUGACUUUCAUUCCAGUUAAUAUCAAUACAAUUCAUCUAUCUUUACAAUAUACUAUUCCAGUAACUCCAUGGACAUCUUGCAGUCACAUUACAAUUUCAGUGUUUUACCGGACAAAUUACUUCAUAACACUUCCCAGUUGGUCUAGCGGUUUUCUUCCAGUAGCAGUAGCAACAAACAAUAGCAGUAGCAGCAACUAAUCCUCUGCAUUAGCAUCCAGAAUCUGCAGUUUAUCAACCACAUUAGCUAGGAUCUUAUCAUAACCUUAAUUUUUCCCUUUACCUUUUGCUCUCCACGUGUGUCAACAUGAAGGAAGUUCCCUUUGGGUCAGGAUUGUUAUGAUGGAAAAUGCUGCUUAAACAAAUCAAAUGUCAAACUUAGAAGCUGUGGCAUCCUGAGGAUGUUCCUGAGAACAAUAUUUAGCUUGACUAUCUUAAUAUUUUAUAAUUCUUAUGUUGACUUGCUUGAAAAGGUUAAGAAUGUGACUUUUUGAAACAUAAACUGGAAAAAAUUCAUAUCUGAUUCUUUCAUGGGCAUAAACUGAUGACUAUCGGAUCUAUAGGCAGCAAUGAUUAGAAAAACCAAAAAUAAAAAAAGGAAGCCAAAGAUUAUUACAAGCUAUGAAUUUAUGAAAGUUGGUUUAUUGAAUUGGAAUAACUCCAAAAUACAUGGUGAAACACUAUGUAGAGCACCGGGAUAUCACAAUGAGUAUACUCAGAGUGGGUUGGUAAAGAAGUGUUUUAGCGCAGGUUUGAUGCAGUGGCGGACCCAUGACUGGGCCCUUCAUUUUUUACAUUUACAAAGUAGGCCCUUCUGUUGAGAAUCACACCAAAUCAAAUCAGUUUCCUGAUUUUUAGGGAAACUUGGCUGUAUAUUUCGUAAUUAUAGGGAUCCUAUUCAUUUUCAAAAAAUCAGUAUUGUAUAGCUGUAUAUUUCAGUUACAUAGUUGUAGCUUUAUUUUCUAUUUUAUUGACUGUAUUGUAUCUAAAAAAGGGUGACUAUGACUACUUUCCCAUUCAUUCGAUACAAUAUUCUUUUUCUACCCAAUCUAUAUGGUAUCAAAGCCGACAUAAUUGGCCUCUAUUUUUUUUUUUUUGGGUUCUUCCUACCCAUUACCACGUCAGAAAUCUCUAAAUCAACCCCUACCACUGGUGCCAAUAUCAACUCCUCUAAACCUCCAACUGAACCUCUCUCUCAUUCCGUCCAAAUCACCACGAUUCGACUCAAUGGGAACAAUUUUCUCAGGUGGAUCCAAUCCGUUCGAAUAUAUAUUAGAGUGAAGGGGGAAAUCAGUUACUUAAUUGAUGACAUUGUAGAGCCAGAAAAACUGAUGUUGGCCAUGCUGUUUAGGAUGCUGAAAACUCCAUGAUAAUGGCCUGGUUAGUGAAUUCUAUGGAGGAGGAAAUAAGUGCAAACCACAUGUAUUGUCCUAUUGCUAAAGCCCUGUGGGAUAAUGUCACCUUGAUGUAUUCAGUCCUUGGAAAUCAAUCCCAAACAUAUGAGUUACAACUCAAAUUGGGGGAAGUCCGUCAAGGUGAGAAUUUCGUCACUAAAUAUUUUAAUAUUCUCAAAGUUUCCUUGAUUUAUUCAAUGAUGACCAUGAGUGGAAGAACAUGGAUGGUUGCAAUUACUUUAAGAAAAAGGAGAUCUCACGAAUUUUCAAAUUUCUGGCUGGACUCAAUGUUAAUUUUGAUGAAGUAGGAGGCAGGAUUUGAGGUUGUAAACCUCUUCCUUCCCUCGGUGAAGUUUUUUUCUAAAGUUCGACGUGAAGAAAGCAGGAGAAAUGUCCUGCUUGGCAAGAAAAUCAUUGCUGGACUGGUGGAAAAUUCGACAUUAAUGGGGAUUGCUGUUGCUGCCAUCGUGCCCCUAGGGGUGAACCCACUAAGUACGAGGGCGGUCAGCCGCCCCCAUUGAUUUUUCAAAAACCUUCAAUUCGACCUUAUUAAAUUUAAAUUCUCAGAUUUUUUUUUUUUUGGUUUUUUCACAAUUUAUUUUAGCCAAUUUUCCAUCUCUUCCCCACUGAAAAAUAAUUUUAGAUCCACCCCUGUGUGUCCCUAAUACUUAGCGUCGUCAAGAUGACGAAUCGAAGGUUUGGUGUGAUUUUUGCAAUAAAUCACGACAUACUUACGAAACUUGCUAGAAACUGCAUGGAAAACUUGCUAAUUGGAAACCUGUAGAGUGGAAGAAUAAUAAAACUAAUUCGAAUCAUGCCCUAACCAAAGCACAUACUGUGAGACCACCUCUCUCAGUGAAGAACAAAUAGAACAACUCCUAAAGCUACUGAAAUCUGCUCCACCGACUCCCGGUACUCCUGUAGCAUCCUUGGUUCAAACAAGUAGAACUUUGUGUGCCUACUCUUCAUUAUCUACAUCUUGGAUCAUGAUUCAGGUGCCUCUCAUCACAUAACUAAUCUAUCCCAUUUGUUUAUAUCUUAUGAACUCUUUUCUGGAAAUAAAAAAGUACGUACUGCAGAUGGAAAUUUAUCUUCCAUUGCUGGCCAUGUUUCAUUCGUUUAUGAGAAAAAAAUAUUCUGAAAUCUGUUUUACAUGUCUCAAAACUCUCUUGUAACCUUUUGUCAGUAUGUCAUUUAUCUAAAGAUUCUAACUGUCGUGUUAUCUUUGGUGUCUCUUGUUGUGAAUUUAAGGAUUUAAAUGUGGGGAUGAUGAUUUGCAGUACUAGAAUGAUAGAUCUCUACUAUUUUAAUGACAACUGUGUUAGGAAUAAACAAGCUCAGGGUUUUAUUGGUGGUAUCCAAUUAAAUCUUGUUUAUGAUCAAAUAAUACUAUGGCAUAAUAGACUAGGACAUCCUAUUUUUUCCUAUUUAAAGUACUUAUUUCUAGAUUUAUUUAAAGGAGUGGAUUGUAACUCUUUGGUUUGUGAAACUUGUUUCCUGGCUAAAAGCCAUCGAAACUUUUAUAAAAUUAAACUUUUUUGUGCUUCAAAACAUUUUUAUCUAAUACAUAGUGAUGUUUGGGAUCCUUCUAAGAUUACCACUUCAACCUGAAAAAAAUGGUUUGUGACAUUCAUUGAUGUUCAUACACGCCUAUGCUGGCUUUAUUUAAUGAAUUCAAAAAAUGAAGUUGCAAAAUUUUUUAAAGAUUUUUUACUCUUUGGUCGAAAACCAAUUUCAAACUAAAAUAAGUGUUCUUCGAAGUGACAAUGGAAUAUAAUUUUUUAAUGAAUGUUUAGGAAAUUUUUGUACAAGAAAAAGGCAUUGUUCAUCAAUCUAUUUGUAGGGAUACUCAACAAAAUGGAAUUGCAGAACGUAAAAAUAGAUACUUAUUUGAAGUUGCUAGCGCUCUUAUGUUUCAUAAGAAUGUUUCUAAAUAUCUUUGGGGAAAUUCAAUCUUAACAAGUUGUUAUCUGAAUAAUAGAAUGCCCACUAGGGUUUUGAACUAUAAAACUCCUUUACGAACUCUUAAAAAAUCUUUUCCAAACACACGUCUCAUCAAUAAUCUCCCUUCAAAACUUUUUGGUUGUACGAUGUUCAUUCAUGUUCCAUCCCAUCUUCGAUCCAAAUUUGUCUACGAGCUGAAAAAUGUAUUUUUUAGGCUACUCUCCUAAUAAAAAAGGCUAUAAGUGUUUUAAUCCCGACACUAAAAAAUUUCAUAUUAGUAUGGAUGUUCAAUUUCUUGAAACAACUCCAUUUUAUACUAAAACCUUUCUUCAGGGGAAGAAUCUAAAUGAUGAUUAGUUUUGGCAACAAGAAGAACCAAAACUAGUUUCUUUUUUCCCUCAAAUAAAUUAGGAAAUGAAUACUUUACCUAGAGAAAAUAAGAAAAAUACUGAGCUAUAUAUGCCAAGUAAAAAUGUAUCACAAAAAGGGGAAAAACUUUACCACCUAUGCCCACUGAGCUACGUCUUUACACUAUAUGUAGGUUCAAUCCCAAUAUUUAGAAUCUUCCAAUCAAUUCUGAGCAUGGUCAAUCAUCAUCUCCUAGGUCUUCAAUUCCAGGUAAUCUUCCUAAAAAUCCUACUCCUUUACCUUUCUUUGAUCAUGACAUUCCUAUUACCAUUCAUAAAGGAAUUAGGAAUUGUACCAAACAUCCUAUUGCCAAAUAUCUGUCCUACCACAGACUUUCAGAAAAAUACAAAGCCUUCACAACAAAUGUUUCCCAUCUAUUUGUACCUAGAACUAUACAGAAAGCACUACAACACUCGGAGUGGAAGUGAGCAGUGUAUGAGGAGAUAAAAGCACUUCAAAAAAAUAGAACCUGGGAAAUUGUUGAUCUACCUAGGAAAAAGAAGAUAGUAGGGUGCAAGUGGAUUUUUACAAUCAAAUGUAAGUAUGAUGGGAGCAUUGAGAGAUACAAGGCAAGGCUGUUGCUAAAGGUUUUACACAAACUUAUCGAAUUGACUAUCAAGAAACCUUUGCACCUGUUGCAAAAAUCAAUUCCAUUCGAGUGUUACUUUCUCUUGCAGUACAUCUUAACUGGCCUUAGCAACAGUUAGAUGUAAAGAACACUUUCUUAAAUGGAGAGUUGGAGGAAGAAGUGUUUAUGGACUUACCACUAGGUUUCGAAGAAAACUUUGGAGAAAAGAAAGUUUGGCUAUUAAAAAAGUCAUUGUAUGGUCUUAAGCAAUAUCCUAGGGCCUGAUUUGACAGGUUCGGAAAAGUCAUCAAGCUUCAAAAGUAUUUGUAAAGCUAAGCCGAUCAUACAAUGUUCUAAAAACACUCAAGAGAAGGUAGAAUGGCAAUAUUAAUAGUUUACGUGGAUGACAUAAUUUUGAUUGGAGAUGAUAUUGUUGAGAUUGAUAGAUUGAAGAAAGCCCUAGCUCGUGAUUUCAAAAUCAAAGACUUUGGUCCUCUUAAAUACUUCCUUGGAAUGGAGUUUGCUAUAUCCAAGAAAGGUAUUUUUAUCUCUCAAAGAACGUACUUGAUCUACUAGAAGAAACAGGUUUACUCGGUUGCAAAGCAACAGAAACCCCUAUAGAACCAAAUCUGAAGCUUUAGCGUGCAAGUCUAGAAGAAAUGAUUGACAAAGAGAGAACCAACGCUUAGUUAGGAGACUAAUUUCUCUCUCCCAUAAACGUCCUCAUAUUGCAUUUGCAGUGAGCAUGCUAAGUUAAUUCAUGCACUCACCUAAUCAAGGACAUUUUGAUGUUGUGUACAGAAUUUUAAGGUACUUAAAGGGGACCAUGAAAAGGAAUUCUAUAUGAAAAUAGGGGACAUCUCCAAGUUGAAGUGUUUACAGACGCAGAUUGGACAGGAAUGUAAUAGACAGAUGAUCAACUUCGGGAUAUUGUACCUUUGUUGGGGGAAAUCUUGUAACUUGGCGUAGUAAAAAAUAAAAUGUGGUGGCUAGAAGUAGUAUUGAGGUGGGGGUGUAGGGCAGUGGCACAUGGUAUCUUUGAGGUUCUGUGGAUCAAACAUUUACUUGAAGAACUUAAAACUACCCGUUCCUUACCUAUAAAGGUAUUUUGUGAUAACAAAGAUGCUAUUGCAAUCGCACACAAUUCAGUGCUCCAUGAUUGAACUAAACAUGUUGAAGUUGACAAAAACUUUAUAAAGGAGAAAUUGGAGAAUGGUCUGAUUAUUAUACCCUACAUUCCCAGGUCUGAACAGGCAGCAGACAUUCUUACUAAAGGUCUACCAAAGAAGUAGUUUGAUACGUUGGUGAGCAAGCUAGCCAUGAACCACAUCUUCCAACCAGCUUGAGGGGGAGUGUUGAGAAUCACACCAGAUUAGGGCAAAUCAGUUUCCUGAUUUUUAGGGAAACUUGGCUGCAUAUUUCAUAUUUAUAGGGAUCCUAUUUAUUUCCUAAAAAUCAUUAUUGUAUAACUGUAUAUUUCAAUUCCAUAUUUGUAGCUUUAUUUUCUAUUUUAUUGACUGUAUUGUAUCAAUAAAAGGGUAAGUAUGACUACUUUUCCAUUAAUUCAAUACAAUAUUCUUUUUCUACCCAAUCUAUAUCUUCAUUUUUUUACAUUUACGAAGUAGUUCACAUAAUUUUAAGCCAUAAUUUUUACAUAAUUCUGUCUCGCCCCCACUAAAUUAUGUUCUUGGAUCCGUCCCUGCUUUGAUGGCCAUUAUUUGGGAAAAACAAUGUUUUGAAAAGUGUUUUUUAGGAGAAUGUGAGAUUAAAAAAUAAGAAAAUGUUUUGGAUUUACUUGCAGAAUAUUUUAUUGUGUUUAUGUUUGGUUGGAAAUGAGUUUGUAGAAAAAAGAGUUUUCAAAUAUUGGUUAUCGAACCCGGGCAUAAUGGUCCAUGAGAUUUGGAUGAACACAUUAAAGGUCAUAAGCAAAUGUUCUUGCUGCUGCUGCUUUUCCACUCCCCAUUCACCUGAAAAAUUCUUAAUAGAAUUUUAUUUAUUUCUCUUAUUUUUCCAUCCUAAUACUGCUUUUAGCUGUUAAAUAGACGUAUAAUGAUUAAAUCAAUACAGUAUGCUAAUCUUAAUCGCCAACUGUUCUAUAAUUCAAUUAUUAUGUUUCAAUAUGGAGUAAUUAAAAUUUAACAUCCACCGUUAAGAGAAGCCAAUUUUGCAAUUUAGUUAGACUGCCCAUUUUAACAAAUUAUCAAUCUUCGAAUUAAGCAAAGAUCUUAAAAUUUAUACAAUGCCUGUUGGAUCCUUUAGAUGAUGAAACAUGUAGGUUUUGCUUUGCAUUACUUUUGUACUCAUGCGAGCUGGUCUACUCAAGUAUGACUCAGCUUCACGAGAAUUCUUUUAUUAGAUCCUACUAUUUCAAACUUAUAAUUUUAUCUGUAAGGAAAUAUGAAACUGAUUUAACCUGCUAAUUGAAAUUGUCUGUUUCAGAAGAAGGCCUUGCCAAGCGUGGAUUCCAGGUUACUAGGCUCAAUACAUACACAACGGUAUGAUACUCUUGUAAUUUUGUAAAUGUUCUAAUAUCUCAACAAUUUCAUGUAAUUUAUAACUUUAAAUUUUAAUUUGCCUCCACAUAAUGCAACAGAAAAUUUAACAUUACAGUUACAGUCAUCAAUUGCAAGUGUUUAGAUGUCACUAAAUAUUGAUCAACAACAAAUACUCAUCUUGUUUCUGUUAAUUUGGUGGCCUCUGAUAAUUUCCUGUAGGAACCUGUUAGUCGUGUGGACCAAAAGUUCUUGAAUGGGCGGUUUCUGCUCCUGUUGUUUCUGUAGCAUCACCUUCUGCAGUUCGGUGUACUUUUCUGUUAUAGCAGUUCUGUUGAAAAUUAGUCUAUACUGUUGAGCCUGGACUAAUCUUCUGAAUAAAAAGUUUCUGAGUUGAAUUCAAACCUAAGCACAACUCACAUGGGUAUUUGUGUUCACAUAUUAAAUGGAUUGGGUGUACAGUGCUCUUUCUACAUGGUUUUAUGAAAGACAGGCUAUCAGAAAAUGUGAAAUAUGUUAACGGUCUAUUUGUGUUACAGGUGUUUUCGUGAAUAUUUUUAAGACUCAUUUUGAGUGUUUUUUUAUUGUGAAUCUUAGUUGAGGGGCUUAUGUUGUACCAAGUCCAACACUCUUCCCAAAAAUAUUUACCAUUUAAUCUUACCAAUUCACUUGCAGGAUCCUGUUCGUAUUACUGAAUAUGUUAAUUACAGUUUACUACUUGUGGACUUAUUGCCAUUGAAUGUGUUGGGAAAACACCUUCCAAAGAUAGCCCAAAGAUCAAACAAAGUUGACAAUGUGAAAAUUUCCAACCACUUCAAGAACAAGAAAAUGAGGAAGAAAUGAUUUUAAUGGAAUACAUGAAGAUCAAUGUAUUUGGAUUACUUGAACAAGCCUCAAGUUAAUCCCCAAAAAAGAAAAUAACUUUGAAUUUAUACCCAAGAUGAAUAACCUUCUAUCUUGUAAAAUUCUCUCCAAGUUUUCUCUCUUCUUUCUCUCUAAUUUUCGGGUGCAAGGGUUGUCUUAAUGAAAGGGGGGAAAAUGGCAAUAUAUAUAUCCUAUCGGGACGCCUAGGCGCCAGGUUCCUGGCUGUCUUCAUAUUCGGGGCACCUAGGCGCCAUGUGAGUGGCGCCUGGGCGCCCGGCAGAACCAGCAGAACCAACCCCCUUCCUCUCUUCCUUUCUCACAAUUCUCCAUCUCGUACAUCAUUUGAUAGACCUCAAAUUUUGGACGAACACAAGAAGAAGAAGCAAGCACCGACUCGGCUGCACCAUUCAAAUCAUGAUUGCCUACGUACCCAAAACUCGAGAUCAAGCCUCCGUAGUUCACCUCCACCUUCAUAAACACUCCACCUCAUUUCAACCCCGCCCCGAAGGGCCAUGCCCUCUCGGGCAUAUCAACACGGACUAAUGUGAAGCAAGUCCAAGCAAUGUUGAAACUUGCUACCCGUCACAACUUUGGUUAACAUGUCAGCUGGGUUCUCAUUUGUGUGUACCUUCGAGAGUGAAAUAUCACCUUCCUCUAUGACAUCACGCACAAAAUGAUACCUGACGUCGAUAUGCUUGGUUCGAGCAUGAUGAACCUGAUUCUUAGCCAAGUGAAUCGCACUCUGGCUAUCACACCACAAGUCCACACAAUCCUGCCCAAUCCCCAAAUCAUCUAGAAGACCCCAUAACCACAAUGCUUCCUUCACUCCCUCUACCAUGGCCAUAUACUCGGCCUCUGUAGUAGAAAGAGCAACUGUAGCCUGUAACAUCGAUCGCCAACUAACUGGGGCACCAUGUAUGCAGAACACAUAUCCAGUAGUAGAUCGUCGUCUAUCUAGAUCACCUGCAUAAUCCGAGUCCACAAACCCACUUAUAUGACAUGCAUCUCCACCAAAACAUAAACCCGUAUCCGCGAUACCUUUUAAGUACCUCAGGAUCCACUUCACAGCUUCCCAGUGUGCCUUCCCCGGAUUCGCCAUGAAUCUACUGACCACACUCACCGCCUGUGAAAUACCUGGGCGUGUACACACCAUGGCAUACAUCAAACUGCCAACAGCACUAGCAUAAGGUACACGAUUCAUGCGUACCUUUUCUUCCGCUGUAGUAGGAGACUGUUUACCAGAGAGCCUAAAAUGUGGAGCCAAUGGAGUCACCACCGACUUUGCACCUUGCAACCCGAACCUAGCAAUAACCCGCUCAAUGUAGCCUUUCUGACUCAAGAACAUUCGCCGGUUCGUCCUCUCUCUUCUAAUCUCCAUACCUAGUAUUUUCCCAGCAAUCCCCAUAUCCUUCAUCUCAAACUCUUUACCAAGUUGAGAUUUCAACUUAUCUAUCUCCACCUUACUUUUCGAAGCGAUAAGCAUGUCAUCCACAUAUAGAAGAAGAUAGAUAUAGUUACCUCCCCGAAGUUUUCGAAUAUAAACACAACAGUCAUACUCACUUCUGGAGAAACCAUGCUUUAGCAUGAAGGAGUCAAAUCGCUUGUACCACUGCCGAAGAGAUUGCUUCAAUCCAUAUAGUGAUUUUCUCAAGCGACAUACCUGACGUUCCUUAUCCUCAACCUUGUAGCCCUCAGGUUGAUGCAUAUAGAUCUCCUCAUCCAAGUCCCCGUGCAAGAAGGGGGUUUUGACAUCGAAUUGUUCCAACUCAAGAUCAUGAUGAGCAACAAUACUCAAUAGCACCCGAAUGGAAGUGUGCUUGACCACAGGAGAAAAGAUCUCAUUGUAGUCAACUCCCUCUCUUUGUGCAAACCCCUUAGCCACUAACCUCGCUUUGAAUCUUGUACCACCGAGUUUGGUAGGAUCCUCCUUCUUUUUAUAUAACCACUUGCAACCAAUAGCUUUCUUACCUAUGGGCAAUGGGACAACCUCCCAUGUUUGGUUCUUGUGGAGUGAUUCCAUCUCUUCUUCCAUUGCCGCCGACCAACUCUCGCUAUUGUUGUUUAAAAUAGCUUCCUUGAAAGUGGUAGGCUCAUCAUCCUCCACCGAGAGUGCAUACUCAACCAAAUUUGUCUGCCCAUAGUGCCUCAAAGGUUCAUCUGACUCCAACUUUAGAACUUGCUUGUAAGUACGGCAUGGCCUAGAGGAAGCCAAAUUAUCUGCAAGCUACUGUUGUUGCUGUGCCUGUACAUUCUCUUGCUGAACCGCCUCUUGUUCAAGUGCAUCAUCACUCUCAUCUUGAGUGUCUAUUUGAUGCUCCUCUUGAACAUGCCUAGAAUCAGGUUGAUCUCUAGGUUCUAUGUCAACAACUUGAGACAUUGUAGUCUCAACACCAUCACCACCGGGCACUGUAGCUUUCAACGACGCUACCAUGGAGUUCUCAUCAAAAGUAACAUCUUUGCUGAUUAUGAACUUAGAAUCCUCUACACACCAAAGGCGAUAGCCUUUAACACCUGCCGCAUACCCCAAGAAUAUAGCCUUCUUGGCCCUCGCAUCAAGCUUUCCCUCGUUGACAUGAUAGUAGGUUGUGCAUCCGAAUGUUCUGAGUUUCUCAUAAUCUGCAUGUUCUCCUGUCAAUACCCUAUAAGGUACAUCUCCAUCAAACCUUGAAUGUGGAGACCGGUUCACUAUGUAGCAAGCAUUUACAACCGACUCUGCCCACCAUUCUCUACCCAAACCAGCAUAGGAUCGCAUACACAUCGAUUUCUCUCGAAAUGUGCAAUUCAGUCUUUCCGUGACCCCAUUCUAUUGCGGUGUAUUUCUUACUGUCCAAUGUCUCACAAUGCCUUCCUUACCACAGAACUCCUUGAAAGCACCAUCUGUAUACUCAAUACUGUUAUCAGAUCUCAGUGUCUUCAAUUUCUUUCCAGUUCUAUUUUCAACCAUUACUUUCCACUUCUUGAAAGUGUCGAAUACCUCAUUCUUAUGCUUCAAAAAAUAAAUCCAAGCAUAGCUAGAAUAAUCAUCAACAAAUGUAACAAAAUACUUGGAACCGCCUUUGGAAGUGACAGAAGCCGAACCCCAUACAUCCGUGUGCACAUAGUCAAGAAUGCCUCUACUUCUAUGUUUGCUUGGCUGGAACUGAACUCGAUGUGAUUUACCGUACACGCAAUGCUCGCAAAAAUCCAUGCAAGACUUCUUCAAGUUCUUUAGCAAACCUUUCUUGACUAGCAAAUCUAGCCCCUUUUCAGACAUAUGCCCAAGCCUCCUAUGUCAUAGCCAAGUGCACUCACAUGGGUCUCCACCACUUCCACUUGUUCCAACUGCUACAUCUUCAGUAACUGUAGUACCCUGAAGAGCAUAGAGAUUACCUUCACGGAUACCCUUCAUCACAAUCAAAGAACCACGAACAACCUUCUUUACUCCAUUCCAUGUUACAAUCUUGCAACCACCGGAGUCUAAGGCACCAACAGAGAUAAGGUUCUUUCGCAAAUCAGGAACAUGUCUAACAUCCAUCAAUAUUCUAACCACUUCAUCAUGCAUCUUGAUUCUAAUUGAACCAAGCCCCACCGUUUUACAUGAAUGCUUAUUACCCAUCAACACGGUUCCACCAUCAGUGCUUCUAUAGGUAGUAAACUACUUCCUAUUUGGACACAUAUGGUAAGAGCAUCCAGAGUCAAGAAUUCACUUACCGGAGGUCUCUUCAUCACAAGAGAUGGUGUAGCACUCAUCGCUUUCCCCUCCUUUCGAGACAUAGCUUACCUUUUGCUUGACUUGCACCUUCCCACUGUUGUUGUUCUUAUUGUUCUUCUUCCAACCCUUUUUGUUUGGACAAUUCACCUUGAAAUGUCUAAGCUCGCCACAUUUGAAACAAGACCUUUCCGCAACAGGUCUAGAACUCGAUCUAGAUUUUUCUCCCUUGCCCUUUGGUCACACAUUGCUUCUACCCCUUACAAACAAUCCUUGAGCUUGCUCCUUGUUACCAAUGGUAGACAUGUCACUAGUUGCAAUCUUUCGAAGAUCAUCCGCUAGAAGUGACGUUCUAGUGUCCUCCAUCACAAGUUUAUCACCCACAAGCAUCAAUGUUUGUACUAGGUUCUCGUAAGACUUUGGCAAUAAAAGAAGUAGUAGAAGUGAUUGAUCCUCAUCAUCUACAUCCACAUCAAUGUCUUUCAAGUCCGAUAUGAUCUUAUCAAACUUGUUGAUGUACUCCCGGAUUGGUGUACCUUCAUCCAUCUUGCAAGUAUACAAUUUGGACUUCAAAUAGAUCCGAUUUGUUAAAGUCUUCGUCAUGAAGUUCGCCUCCAACUUUGUCCACACCUCCGCCGCCGUUACCUCACUAUCAACCAAGAAAGCAACAUCUCUUUCAAGGCAAAGAAUGAUAGACGCUCGUGCCUCAAGAUCUAGCUCUUCCCAAUCCUCGUCCGACAUAUCAACGUGCUUCUUCUCCUUUCCCGCCAAUGCCUUGUGCAACUUUUGAGAAAUCAACAAAUUUUUCAUUUGCAUUCUCCAAUAUGAAAAAUCAUUCUUCCCAUUGAAUUUCUCUAUCUCAUCCUUCCCAAUCUUCACCAUUCCUCUAGUAGACAUGAUUUAUCCACUUGUUUACCGAAAAUAAACCACAAAAGUUCACUUGGGAAUUUUCACAAACACCUUGUGCACAACAAAGUUCAAGCAACUCACCACAAAAUCGAAACUUAACCACCUUGAUUUAGGAUGUAGCUCUGAUACCAAAUUGUUGGGAAAACACCUUCCAAAGAUAGUCCAAAGAUCAAACAAAGUUGAUAAUGUGAAAAUUUCCAAACAACUUCAAGAACAAGAAAAUGAGGAAGAAAUGAUUUCAAUGGAAUAUAUGAAGAUCAAUGUAUUUGGAUUACUUGAACAAGCCUCAAGUUAAACCCCAAGAAAGAAAAUAACUUUAAAUUUAUACCCAAGAUGAAUAACCUUCUAUCUUGUAAAAUUCUCUCCAAGUUUUCUCUCUUCUUUCUCUCUAAUUUUCGGGUGCAAGGGUUGUCUUAAUGAAAGGGGGGGGGGGGGGGGGGGGGGAAAAANNNNNNNNNNNNNNNNNNNNUAAUGGCAAUACAUAUAUCCUAUCUGGGCGCCUAGGCGCCAGGUUCCUGGCUGUGUUCAUAUUCGGGGCGCCUAGGCGCCAUGUGAGUGGCGCCCAGGUGCCAUGUUUCUGCCGGGGAGGCAGAAACUGGGCGCCUGGGCGCCCGGCAGAACCAGCAGAACCAGCCCCCUUCCUCUCUUCCUUUCUCACAGAAUGCUUUUCUCGAAGCAUUUUCCUUUCUGCAGAUUUCUAUGAAUUUUGUUUACCUUCUCUUGUCUUUUUAUCCCUUAUUAUUUUAACGAAUGAUUGCAUAUCUUCCUUUACAGUGCUUGGAUAAAUCUAAUCCCAAAAUCACAACAGUGGAGCAAUUCUGUUGCAUGUAUUGGUGAGACAACUGCCUUAGCAGCUAAAAAUCUGGGUUUGAGGAAUGUGUAUUUCCCAACCAAUCCUGGCCUUGAAGGGUAAUCAAAUAUCCAUUUGGAACUUUUGGGAAAUCAUGCAUAUACUUGUUUCUGAUGCAAUUGUCUCUGUCUCUAUGCUCUAUGAGUGGUAAAAAGCACUAGCAGUUUUCCGUUCUCUUUACUUUCUGAGAUGUGCGUGAUAUAGUUGAAGAGUUCACUAUUUAGGUGAUAAUUUAGAAGAAAUACGAGGAUGUGACAUAAAUUUACGAUGCAGGGAGAUAUAUUUUAUUUGUAUAUGCCAUGUCUCAGUGCAUAAUUUUGUAUAGUAAUGGCAUGUUUAGAAAAGUGGAUUGCACAAUAGUAUUAAAGGAGAAAAAGAAGUUUAAAUAUUUUUAAUUGUAGUGUUCAUUGUUCAAUCCUGUUCAUUAGUGCAUAUCAAACAUGUUUUAAGUAUCACUGGGUUUAUCCUUCUGUUGCAGGUGGGUUAAUAGCAUUUUAGAAGCCUUGCAAGUCCAGGAACAAGUUCAGAAAGUCUAGGAGUCGUAUGUUGAUGCCCUUCUAAUUUCACCUGGUAAUUUCUAUAUACUGCUUACACUAAGUUGUUUCCCAGUGAAUAAAGAUGCUAUUGAAGAUUAAAUAUAAAUCAGUAAACGUCUCCUCUCUAACAACUUUAGCUUCUAAACGGCAUGGUUCAACACAGUAUCAAAGCACACGUGGAUCAUGAGUUCAAAUAUUGGGGGAUUAUUGGAGAACACUUCUUCCUAUUUCUUUCUCUUGAUAUCCGAUGAUCAUGGUGAUGCCCGUGAAUUCUUAUUUUUACGUAGCAAGUACUUAUUAAUUUGUCUCCUGGACUGGAUCUAUUAUGUCAGAUUUUCACGUACCCGUUGAUAUGCUAUUCCCAAGGACUAUAUCCUGGUAGUUUGUCGGUUAAAUUAAUAAGUGGGGNNNNNNNNNNNNNNNNNNNNNNNNNNNNNNNNNNNNNNNNNNNNNNNNNNNNNNNNNNNNNNNNNNNNNNNNNNNNNNNNNNNNNNNNNNNNNNNNNNNNNNNNNNNNNNNNNNNNNNNNNNNNNNNNNNNNNNNNNNNNNNNNNNNNNNNNNNNNNNNNNNNNNNNNNNNNNNNNNNNNNNNNNNNNNNNNNNNNNNNNNNNNNNNNNNNNNNNNNNNNNNNNNNNNNNNNNNNNNNNNNNNNNNNNNNNNNNNNNNNNNNNNNNNNNNNNNNNNNNNNNNNNNNNNNNNNNNNNNNNNCGAAGCACAUAGACGUUACUCAUUUUAGCGAAUAUACCUCAUCAGGAAAAUGAAACCUUUAGAUACGAGUAUAUAUCUAACAUUUGAAAUCGGCUUCUAGUAGAAGUGUGUUUCUAACAUUAUCUAUCAUCGUCUAUGAUUUUUAUCAGUGUAGGUGGCAGUGAAUGUCGUGAUUUACUGUUCAAUUAUUAAUGCAUCAAAUUACAUCAUAAUUUUAUUGAACAAUGAAUCAGAAGACCUUGUUGUCAAUUACAUCGCUGAUAAUCACCACUCCAUUGACACUCCAUAAAAAACAUGAAAAUGAUUCCAAAGCUGUGGUAUGACCAUGCAAAACCAAUGCUACAUGUUUAAAACUUUUAUCCAAUGAAUAUCCAUUCUUUUUUGUUCUUUAGGGAGAAAUUGAAAUAUUCGUCAGCAAGUCUGUCUCCAACUUUUUAAAUUGAGCAUUUGUUUGAUGCCAUUGAAAAGAGUUUUUUAAUUUUUUCCCCCUUUUGGGAAAAAUGAGUUUUGAAACAGUAAUCUUUUUAAUAGAAAUUUUGAGUUUAAAAAGUAAGAAAAUUUGUUGGAUUACGUGUAAACUAUUUUAUUGUGAGAAUAUUUGGUCGAAAAUGAGUUUUAGGAAAAAGGAGUUUUUGAAGAAUGGUGGACAAACGGGGAUUGAAUGAGUUAUGUCUUAUCCUUUGAUUGAGUUAAUAAUUAUACAGUUGCCUUUGAAAAUCGUUCAAAUCUCUAUUAAAGAUGUCCUGCUUCAAAUUUAUAUGCACUAACUUCAGUUGAAAAACAAAAUUAGUAUCAUAAAGUCGCACUGUGUAAAGGCCAUGACAGAAUGCUUCAUUAGACUGUUCAAGUAAUAAUAAGGCCCAAUGUAGCAAUGUUAUAGGUUUGAAAAAGUAGAAGAGAUUGGUAUUAACUAUAUUUCAAGUCUUGGGAGGCAUAUUACUUUUGAUCGUGGGUGGUCAUUGGCAUUUUCUUGGUUUCACGGUAAAGAUUGUCGAAGACGAUCUAGAAAAUCCAACAAAAUUGUUUACUAUAUGGAGCUUCGAUGGGAAGAUGGUGUACGAAAACAUCAUUGAAUCGACUGAGGGCUUCCGCUUUAGCCACUUUGUUGGGUGGGAGGAUGUGGCAGUGUUUUAGAGCUAAAUUGAAUGACCAGACUGUCGCUAUAAAGAAAUUACAUACACCAUGUAACGUCCCAAAAUUUCAUAUAAUAGAAUUAUUUGGGGAUAACGAUUUUGAUCUAGAUGCCUUUGGUGGACUCAUUCUGUAGUUCGUAUUUAAUGGCAUGUCAUGGACUCGAGAAAAGUUAAUUCAAAUAAGUUAGGUCCAAGUUAUUGAAGUUCCGAGAAAUUGUCUUUAAUUGGUAAUUAAUGAAGUUGGUUUAUGAUUUAAUUUCUAUGACAGCAUCACGUGUAGGACAAAUUUUAAUCCUAUUUUGAUAAUUGUUAAUUGUAAUCCUAUUUUGAUUUUGAUAAAUGUUAAAAAGGUUAAUUGUAAUUGUUACGAUCCAAAUUUUUCUAGUCAAAAAUAAAAUGUUGAAUUGUCAAAGUCAAAGUCAAAAGGGAUUAAAAUGAAAUAAAUUAUUUUAAUUGGGACUCAAUUUAUUAUGAAAAUUAUUUUGAAGGUCUAAGUUGGACAAUAUAAAAUUUUAGAGAUCUACUUAUAUAUUGCUAGAAGUUUAGAAUUUAAUGUUCUAUUAUAGAAAUGUUGGAGGACCUCCUUUGCAAUUUUGAGUUUGUAGCUACUUGAUAUAUUACAAUAAACCCAUUUCAAUUAUAAUUCAACACACACACACAAAUAAUAGGCAAAAACGGGAGAGCGCUGAGAGAGAAACCGAGAAGAAAGAGGAAGAAAAAGAGAAAGAAAGUGAGAAAAAGAAGAAAAGAAAGAAAGAAAGGAGAAGAAGAAGGGAAAGAGGUAGUUCAAGGUCUAUCUUCAUUUUUCCUUCUCUUUAUUUUCUUCAAGAGGUAGAUAAAUUUUAUGUUAAGUUGCUAGGGUUUAAUUUGUGGCUAAAAUUUCAUAUUUAUGCAAGAUGAGUACAAAUUGGAGUUCAAGUUUGUUGAUUAUUUAAUUUUCAAUUUCAUUAAGGUAAAAAUACCAAUUUUGGCAAAUCCUAGAUUUUUAUUUGGGAUUCUUAAUUAUGAAAUGUUAGUGGGAAUAAUUAUAUUGAUGGAAAACUCUCAUCAAACCAUGAAUUUGAGAAACAAGAUAAAAAUAAAAAUAGGUGGAAUCAUUGUUACUAGUUUUCUUUAGAUUGGAAGGUAUAAUUAUUUUUAUGGGUGGGAUGAAGGUAAAUUUGGAUGUAGUAUAUAUUUGUGAAGGUAUUAGAAAGUAGAAUUAGCGCUUAUUGAUUAACGGAAAAUUUGGAAAAAUCAUUCAAAGUAUCGAGAAGUCAAGUUUUAGUAUUCAACUAUUAAUAUUAAGAUAUACUUAGUAUGAGAUUUGUUAAAUUAGUUAUUUUACAUCGUAUUUCAGGUAGUGACGUGAAAGCUGGGCAAGACUGGUAAAUUUAACAAGAUUGCAAUACAUGGAUAUGUGAGUGGAGAACCUACUUUUCCAAUUAAAAAAAAAGGGGGGAAUUUCCUUUUUAAUUUUAUUUUAUAGAAGUAUAUUAAUUACCUGAAAUGUCUUAUUUUCAAGAAAUUAGUAAAUGAGCAAGAUUGUUUUGAAAUUUUCAAAAAAUAAUUGAUGUGAUUAUCUUACUCUAGUGCACUGAGGGGAUACGGCCGUGUACUAGAGUCAUGUAUUUAACUCUUAUACAUUGAGGGGUUGCAACCGUGUGUAAGGAUAACUCUUAUCCACUGAUGGGCUACGGCCGUGUGUAAGGGUACCUAUUAUACAUUGAGGGGCUACAAUCGUGUGUAAGGGUAACUCUUAUCUACUGAGGGGCUACGGCCGUGUGUAAGGAUACCUAUUAUAUACUGAGGGACUACAGUCGUGUAUAAGGAUGAUCAUGUUGUUUCCAUCUUAUACACUGAGGGGCUACGGUCGUGUACAGAGUGUUGAUCAGACGGUUUAUAUGCGUCUGACUUUGUAGCUUUUAGAUCAUCAGUAGAUGUUUACAUGGGGUAUAUUUUGAUGUGAAUUUUAUGUAUAUAGUGGUUUAUUAGCCUUCAACUUAUAUUUCCCCGUUUGCUAUUCAGCUUAUGGAAUUCAGAUUAUAGAAUUCAAUUCGUUCAAUUUUCAGAGUAAAGCUUCCAAUUUAUAGUAUUGAGCAACAAUAUUUCACAGAUUUUCAUAGAUUUCAGAUUAUUUAUAUUCACUAUAUUUUACAAUUAUUGAACUAGAAUGAAGAAUAAAGAAUUUUAUCAUCCAAUUAUGUCAGUUUUAAAAGUGUUACUAAAUUUUUGAAUUUCUCAAAGUUUUAGUAAAGCAAGAAUUAUACAUAUAUGAAAAAGUAUACUUAUUUUCAAUUUAUUCACUCACUGAGUUACAAACUCCAAUUUUUUUACCAUUCUCUUAGCAGAUAGCAUCUAUGUUGAGUAGCUUUGGAGCCUGUCGAUCCACCGAGAGUGCCAGACACACACAUUGUCAUUAGAUGUAUGAUUCAUUUCGUCAAUUUAUAUAGUUCAAAUUUCCUUUAGGAUACAUGUAUGUUUUGACAGAAUCGUUAAUUGGUAAUUUAUAGAUCCAUACCAUGGGCUCACUGCAUAUUUAAUAUUCUCAUUGCUUCUGGGGUCUUUUGUUUAUAAAGCAUGGUAAAUGUUUUGAAUUGUUUGUAUUUUAAAGGACUAGCGUGUUAUAUUUUAAAUUAUCUGUACAGUUUUGAUAAAUUUGAUAUUUGUUUAGGUGAUUUAGUCCAUAUUUUAAAGGAAAUUCUGUCAAAAUUUUUACACAUAUAUGUCAUAGUCAAAGUAGGUCAAAUCUGCUUUGGUGGUGCGUCCAACACUUAGUUGGUAUCUACCAUCGGCUCACAACACAUGUCAGGUCUAUUAGGGUGAUUCGGGACGGGUUGUGUCAGUAAUCCCAACUUAAUCCUUUUUACAGCAAAUGUACGAGAAAAUCAUCAGUGGAGUACAAUCCAAAUUCAACUUUUUGAAACUAUGUUUAAUUAAAAUAUUUAAAACACUUAUCAAGUUGGUAGCCACUUGUGUGCAGUGCAUUAGGAGUUAAUCUUUUUAUUUUUGGAUUAGAAGGAAAACUAAUUUUAAUCAUAAUUUUAUUAGAUUUUCAUUGAUUACUGGUUUAGUUCAAUUAAACAAGUAGAAUCCUACUUUCAAAAAGAAAUCUCAAAUCUCACCGAUUUAUACCCCCACAUUGAAGCAAAUCUGCAUUCGUAAGUUAUUACUUUCAAAGCAUACAUGCACCCAUUUGGUCACAGAAGCAGAGAGUUUAAGAAAGUUUUGAAAUGUACAAUCAUAUUUUUCUUUUCGAAAUUUUGUUUGAUACGAGGGAAGAUACAUAAAGCAUAAGUGGUUCGUCGAUACAUGCAUGAAUUGUUGGUUGACCUUUGGGUUCGACUUAAUAAAACAUGAACUUUUUUGGGUUCUUUAAAACGAAAUAUGAAAUAUCUCAAGAAUUCGAAAUGAGUACGUGAUGAGUGUCUCAUUUUAUCACCGAUAUACUCCAAAUAAAUUGUGGUAUGAGAUGUUUAUUUUAUUGUUAUAUAAUUGUAUAUGAAAACUGCAUGUAUCUUAUUAGGUACUAUCAAAUACUCAUUCUUAAAAUAAUUUACAAGUUAGUUGAGAUCGAUUGAAACUGUGGCAGAAUAGUGAUGUGGACUACCAAGAAGAUUUGAAGAACUAAAAACAUUAAAUUUUCGAUCUUUCAAUUGAUUAUUUAGUUUUAAAUUGUUCAAAAAUAAGUUUGUUCAAUAGUUAGGUAGUUAUAUCUAUUUUUUUAAGGAAAUACAAGUUACAUGCUUUAAAUUGAUAUUUAUUAUUGAAAAUAAAGAGAUUAAUUUUAUUAUUAUCGUUUUCCACAAUAUCGUGAAGGAAAUUGAAUUUUAGUAUCAUUCUAAGGUUUAUGAAUAUUGGGGUGUUAUAAUUUGAUAAUAAAGCACAUGUUUAUCUUUCUGUAUUCUUUUUAACAAAAUAGUUAUUUGUUUCAAAUAAAUGAAUUUUAAUAGGAAUUUACCAAUUAAAAAAUUUGUAUUUUAAGAGUUCCCACUUAUUAUUUGAGUUUUCUUGAUUUACGUAUUUGUAAAAUUGAAUGGUUUAGUCAAAACGACCUAAAUUGUUUAAAGAGAGUUUGAGAUUUAAGUGGUUCACUUAUAAUCUUCCUCCUCACCUGAAAGCCUUUUAGUUGCACGCUAUUCAAAUCAUAAAAAUGAAAAAUAACAUUUCAAACCAUUCCAUAUUUAAGAAAAUUUUAUUUUUAACAAAUUCUAUUUCAAGAGAAUUCCUUUUUAGGAAAUUUUUAUAUUGAAAAAAAAUAAAAAAAUAAAAGUAUUGUCAUAGGAUUUUGCCACUUUGACAGAAAAAUUGUAACAGAUGCGAUGAUAUAAUCCCAGUUGGAAAUAGAUGAUUUGAUGGGGAUGUUUAUUGUGUUUGAAAUUGUCCAAUAAUGGGAUGUCAUGUGAUAUUAUAUCAAAAAUUAUGUCAACUAUUAUGUUCCUGUAGCAUGAUUGAUUUUCAUAAGAAUUAUGAGUUUAAGGAGAAUAUUUUUGUAAAGUUUUUGUAAUGUCCCCAAAUUUUCAUAGAUUAGAAUUUAAUUUAUGUGUGCUAUAUUUUAAUAUUUUGGAAGUUUAGUGACUAAAGUGUAUAUAACGUAAAAUUUAAUCUUUUUGGGCUUAAAAUGUAAAUAUUGGCGGGUUAAUGAUUAAUAUAUGAAUAUUGGGCUUGUUGGAUAGAUCGUAAUUAAAGACACAGUUUAGGCUCGAGAAAAACUUUAUUUGGAUUAGUCGAGCCCAAGUUAUCGAAGCCAGAAGAUAUAACAUUAAAAUAUUAUUUUUAUUACUUUUGUUUUUGGAAGAAUUUACGUGGAGAGAGAGAUGAAAGUUGUUGAGAUAUUUUAUUGUUUUAUUAUUAAUAAUAAUAUUUUAUUAAGUGUUUUGAAUUGGGAGGUCUCACGUGAAGUACUAGGAUUCUAAGUAGGGGUAGGUAAGUGAUAAUCGAUUUGUUUAUUAAAUGAAAUAAAGUAGAGAGAGAGAGAGAGAAUUAUGGGGAGCCCCAACCACGUGAGUGAUUGUUGAGAAACCAAAUGGAUGUGUAGGGUAAUGUUUGGCUGUUGGGUGAUUGGUUAGUUGACAGUACAUGAUCUUAUAUUGAUAAGGUUUGGGUCUCCGAUUUUUUUCAAAAACAGUUUUUUUUUACUUUAUCUAAAUAUCCACUCUCCCACAUGUUUUCCUAUGAAUACUUCUACAUAUGUAUAUGGAAUGAACUGCACGAGAAUAAGGACACAAAAAAUAUAUUGGUACGUGCACACAUUGUCAAUAGAGGCAGAAAAAUAUAGAAGAAAAGAACGUGAUUUUAUUAUUUCUCUUCCGGAAAUUAAAUCAAGGUAGGAUUACGAGGUGCAAGUGGGUUGUCCCAUUUAAAUUAUUUCUUCAUAUUUGAUAAAUAUUAUACUUAUGAAAGUUAUGAUAUGUAUAAUGUAAUUAUGAUAUGUAUGUUAUGGUCAUCCGGUACCAAAGAUAUGAUACGAUAUGAACUCUUACCGAUUCUAAAGAUAUGAUAUGACGGUAUGAUAUUUUGACGCGUGAUUUAAUAUUUUAAUUGGGAUUGCACAAUUUCUCGUACCCUACUGAGUAUUCCCAUAUACUCACCAUUUUCCUACUCCUCACAGGUUAGACCGGGUCAUGUUGGAGCGUGGUGGUUCGAAGGUGUGGUUGUGUCUUGUUUCACCAAAUAAAGAUCUAAGUUAGCACGUAAUGUUUAUUUAUUUUCAGUUUAUUUCAAUAAACAUUUAUUUAUUUACGAAUAAAUUCUCGUUUAUGUUAGUUGCAGAUGAAUAUACGUAUUUUAUGAUUUUUAAAUAGAAGUUUGAACUAAAUGUUAUUUUCCUUCCUAUCGAUUUGCAAAUCUGUUCUUUCAUAUACGUUGGGAAGAAAGAAUUUAAUAGUUUGCAUGCCUAUAUUUGUACUUUACUUUGAUUUUCCCCAAAUUGAUGGAAAUUUAGGGUCAACACAAUGAUUCCCUGCCACCCCACACCUUCAUUUGUGUCCCAUCACAUCCAUAGCAUUAAUUAUGAUAUGAAUUUGAUAGUUUUUGCUUGUACGUGUUAGUCAUGAAUCAAUGUCUUGUUCGUAGUUUUUUUUUUGACAUAAAUGAAUUCUGUUUUGGAUUUUUUUUGUUUAAUUGCAGUAAAUAAACAUUCCGUGAGUUAUUUAAUUCCAUCCGUUGCCUUUGACUUAAUUAAGUAACUAAUUGAAAUUAUGCACUAAUUAGGGGGAAAUAUUGUGUUAUGAACCACUGUAUUAAUUAUGCCAGGAGUUAGCAAAUUCAUGUUUGUCUGCCACACCCGUGUCAAAUUCGUUUUAAUUCAUAAGUCUUAGAUAUAAAUUUAUUGGAUCUCCCGAAAUACAUAGGAAUAAGAUGUUAUUUUAAUUUGACUUGAGUGUUCAACACGUGAAGAUGAUUGAUAAUUGGAGAUUCAAUGAAAGCAAUAUUUUUUUAGAAUUCAUUAUAUAUAUAUAUAUAUAUAUAUAUAUAUCCAUGUGUUUUAUUUAUUUUAUAGAUGGAACUAGAAAGAUUUUCAUGUUGGAUGUUUAUUAUUUUAAUUAUUUAUGGAAUGAAAGGUUUGGUAACGAUUUCUAAAUCUAUAUAAGAUUUGGGUCGUUACAGUUUGGUAUCAGAGCAUAGGUUUAAAUUCCUGUAGACUCACAUGUAUUCUCAUAAUUCGGUUUUAAAAAAAAAAAAAAAUUAUUGUGAACAGUGACCGGACCGUUCACGUGAACAGUACUCGGUACUGUUCACUGUUCACGUGAAUAGUAUUGUACUGUUCACGUGAACAGUGUAGGAUAAAAAAAUAAAAAUAAAUAAAAAUUGUGUGAUGUUAUAUAUAUAUUGAAUUUUCUUUUUUGUUACAUGUUAUAAAAGGCUUAUUUGCUUAUUUAUUUUCCUAGAUAAUAUUUGUUUAAGGUUAAUAUUUAUUUAUUUAUUUAUGAAUUUAACGAUAAUAUUAAAUUAAAAGUUAUGAAAUAUGUGAAUGAUCUUUGGCACUCAACGACCACCAAUCGACCACCCUCCAACGACUCUAAGGUAUGUAAAAAGGGUAAGAAGAUAAAUGUACUUAAAGCUUUUUGCGAGAUUUAAAUGCUUUAAAUUUCCUAUCUUUAAAUGUUAAGACAUCCACGUUUAUUUUUCCCACUAAAUUAUGAUAUAUAUUGUCAUAGAUAAUUAUAACUUAUUAGACUUAGUACUAAGUGUGAUUGGUGACUUCAUAUUAAAUUUUAGGAAAUGGCACCACCUACUCAUACGAAUUUGAUGCGCGAUUUACUACGAGCGGUACAAGAGUUGAGCAGGCAAAAUCAAGCACCUCCACCACAAAAUGCACCGCCACAGCAGAAUGCACCGCAUUUUGCCCCUGGAGCUAUCUCAGUGGUUGAGCAGUUUCGUAGGUACAAGCCUUCCACUUUUGACGGUAAUUCUGAAUCACUGGUUGUCGAAGAGUGGAUAAGAGGCCUGGAGCGCAUAUUUCGACACAUUGCUUGUACGGAUGCACAGAAAGUAUUAUGUGCAGAAUUUAUGUUGAUUGGAGCAGCUGGUCACUGGUAGGAAUCUGUUUCACGUACAAGGACGGAAGAGCAGCACCGUAAUCUGACUUGGGAGCAGUUUAAAGAUGAAGUGAUGGCAAAAUAUUUCCCACAGGCUUUGAGAGAUUUCAAGGAAUUAGAAUUUUUGCAGCUCAGACAAGGGAGUAUGUCACUUACUGAUUAUGAAAGACAGUUUGAGCAGCUCUCAAGAUAUGCCCCGCACUUGGUGGAUACAGAAGUUAAGAAGAUUAGGAGGUUUGAGAAUGGACUGCGCCCUGAGAUCGGCAUGAUCAUUAUGUCCCAUCGUUUCACCUCAUAUCGUGAAAUGUUAGAGAGGGCUCAUGCUAUUUCCUAUCAGAGGACUACCUUUGAACAGUAUGCCCAGCAAAGCAAGGGGUCAUCGGGAAAAAGAAAGUGGAAUGAUCCAAACAAGGACAGACGUAAUUGGUAGAGUAAAAGGCCAAACACAGGAGUUCGUAUUGGGGGAGCGAGUGAGAAUAUUACACCGUGUCCUAAGUGUAAUAAACUCCACAGGGGUGAAUGCUUACUCGGGAAGAACAUGUGUUUCCGAUGUGGUAAGCCAGGGCACAUUGCUCUCAACUGUACAGAGCCACCAAAAAGGAAGGAUGAUGAUCAGGACAAGAACAAGAAAGGAAAGGCCCGAGUUUUCACACUAAAUCAGCAUGAGGCGGAGCAGGAUCCGAAUGUGAUAGCGGGUACUAAAUUAUUAAUAUUUUAACGCACUUGCUUAUGUUCUUUUCACAUAGGACUACACAUUGUUCCAUCUCCGUCCCUUAAAUGUUAUUCUAACACUAUAAAUUAUAAAAACAUGUAUUCUGUUAUUAUCUGAUGUGCCUGCUUAUGUACUUUUUGAUUCUGGGGCUACCAAUUCUUUUAUCUCUGCAUCCUUCGUCGUUAAGUCCAACUUUGCAUGUGUAAGAACGAAUAAUGAACUAGAGGUUAGCAUCCCUUCAGGAAGAACUCUUUGUACAAAUUAGAUGACUAAGGACAUAAAAUUAGAGAUUGACGGAAAAAUAUUAGAGGCAGACUUGUACCUUUUGGAGAUGAAAGAUUUCGAUGUUAUUUUAGGCAUGGAUUGGUUGGGAAUUAAUCAUGCAACCAUUCGAUGUUACGAGAAAGAAGUAUUGUUUCAUAGACCAGGAGAGGAAGAGUUUCGUUUCUUGGGAGCAAAGUUCAAGUCUUUACCGCUCCUAAUAUCAGCUAUGCAAGCAGAAAAGAUGUGAAGGAAGGAGUCAUGCCAGGGAUUCUUAGUUAACAUCAAUAGUUCUCAACAUACAGAAAUGACCGUUAAUGAUAUUAACAUCGUCCGAGACUUUGCAGAUGUAUUCCCAGAAGAUUUGCCAGGCAUUCCACCAGAUAGACAAAUGGAAUUUACAAUUGAUUUAGUUCCUGGAACGGCACCAAUAUCUAAGGCCCCAUACCGAAUGGCACCGAAAGAACUACAAGAAUUGAAGUUGCAAUUAGAGGAGUUACUGGAGAAAGGCUUCAUACGACCAAGUGUAUCUCCUUGGGGAGCACCUGUACUUUUUGUCAAGAAGAAGGAUGGGAGUAUGAAGAUGUAUAUUGACUAUCGGGAAUUGUACCAUCUGACCAUAAAAAAUAAGUACCCACUGCCAAGAAUAGAAGAUUUGUUUGACCAGUUAAUGGGUGCUGCAGUAUUUUCAAAGAUCGACUUGAGGUCAGGGUAUCACCAGCUAAAAAUCAGGGCAAGCGAUAUACCGAAAACUGCUUUCAGGACUCGUUAUGGGCAUUAUGAAUUCACUGUCAUGCCUUUUGGUUUGACCAAUGCUCCAGCUGUAUUUAUAGAUCUCAUGAAUAGAGUAUUCCAUCAGCAUUUAGAUCAGUUCGUCAUAGUGUUUAUUGACGACAUACUUGUGUACUCAAAAGACAAGAAGCAACAUAAGGAACAACUUCGAAUUGUACUUGAAACUUUGAGGAAUGAGAAAUUAUAUGCCAAAUUCAAAAAGUGUGAAUUUUGGCUUGACCGUGUAGUUUUUUAGGUCACGUUGUUACCACCCAAGGAAUCGAAGUAGACCCCGCUAAAGUGAAAGCAGUAACAAAUUGGCUAAGGCCGAGCGAUGUGGGUGAAGUCCGCAGUUUCUUGGGAUUGGCUGGUUAUUAUAGAAGAUUCAUUGAAGGCUUCUCAAAGAUAGCAGGGCCAAUGACUCAAUUGACAAGAAAGGGUAUAAAGUUUCGGUGGACAGAAAAAUGUGAAAAAUGCUUUGAAGAACUCAAGUAGAGACUAGUGUCAGCUCCUGUAUUGACGAUACCUGAAGGUUCAGAGGGAUUUGUGAUUUACAGCGAUGCCUCCAAGCAGGGCUUGGGUUGUGUACUGAUGUGGCAUGGAAAAGUGGUUGCUUAUGCCUCGAGACAGUUGAAACAGUAUGAACAAAACUAUCCAAUGCAUGACUUGGAGCUUGCAGCAGUUGUUCACGCCUUAAAGAUAUGGCGUCAUUAUCUUUAUGGUGGGAAGUGUGAAAUUUAUACGGACCACAAGAGUCUCAAAUACUUUUUCACACAGAAGGAACUAAACAUGAGACAGAGGAGAUGGUUGGAGUUAGUGAAGGAUUAUGACUGCACAAUUCAUUACCAUCCGGGUAAGACUAAUGUAGUUGCAGAUGCCCUAAGCAGAAAGACAGGAACACAGUUAGCAGUUUUACCCACAGUACAGGAACACUUGAUAAGGGAGUUUGAUAAAUUGAGAUUGGAAGUUAUCACGCCGCCAACUCAGAUUUCAGGGAGAAUAAGAGCAUUCAUGAUUCAACCUACACUUCGAGAUCGAAUUAAGGAGGCACAGGAUAAAGAUCCAUUUUUAUAGAAGAUAAAGGCCAAGAUUGGUACAGAUAAACAUAUAGGGUUUGCAGUAUCUGCAGAUAAUGCGCUAACUUUCAAAGGAAGACUGUGUGUACCUAAGGAUGAAAGUAUAAGAAAUGAGAUAUUAGAAGAGGCUCAUUCAACCCCUUAUUCUGCUCAUCCAGGUGGUACGAAAAUGUACCGAGAUCUCCGGGAUGUAUUUUGGUGGAGAAAUAUGAAGAGAGGAAUUGGUCUGUUCGUGGAGAGAUGUAUUAUCUGUCAACAGGUUAGGGCAGAACAUCAAAGGCCAUCAGGAUUACUGAAAUCGUUGGAUAUUCCAGAAUGGAAAUGGGAACACAUAACGAUGGACUUUGUGGUAGGCCUCCCGAGAUCAGCAAAAGGUCACAAUGCUAUCUGGGUAGUGGUGGAUCGUCUGACGAAGUCAGCCCAUUUUCUUCCAAUUAAAGUAAACUUUAAUUUGGAACAGCUGGUACACUUAUACAUCAGGGAGAUAGUCAGGUUGCAUGGAGUCCCAGUCACCAUUGUUUCAGAUAGAGACCCGAGGUUCACAUCUAAAUUUUGGAAAAGUUUGCAGACAGCCAUGGGAACAAAACUGAAGUUUACCACAACUUAUCAUCCUCAGACGGAUGGACAAUCAGAAAGAACCAUCCAAACUUUGGAAGAUAUGCUAAGGGCAUGUGUUUUGGAUCUUGGAGGUAGUUGGGAGACACACCUGCCGUUAGUGGAGUUUGCUUACAACAAUAGUUUUCAGGCCACUAUAGGAAUGGCCCCGUAUGAAGCUCUUUAUGGUAGAAAGUGCAGAUCCCCUAUCCAUUGGGAUGAAGUCGGGGAAAACAGAAUUUUGGGUCCAGAAAUCAUUGAACGAACAGUUGAGGCAGUGGAUAAUAUUAGAGCAAGAAUAAAGGCCGCACAAGAUCGACAGAAAAGUUAUGCUGACAGUAGAAGAAAGGAUUUAAAAUUUCAAAGAGGUGACAAAGUCUUUCUAAAGGUAGCACCAAUGAAAGGUGUAUUGAGAUUUGGAAAGAAAGGAAAGUUGAGGCCGCGGUUCGUCGGACCUUUCGAAAUUCUUGAAAGGAUUGGUAGUUUGGCUUACAGACUUGCCUUGCCACCUGAACUAACAGCAGUGCAUAAUGUGUUCCAUGUUUCGAUGCUCAGAAAAUAUGUUCAUGAUCCCAAUCAUGUAGUAAGCUAUCAGACGUUGGAUGUACCAAAAGAUCUAUCAUAUGAAGAAAUUCCGACGGUAAUUUUGGAAAGAAAGGUACAUCAACUUAGGAAGAAAGGAGUUCCACUGGUCAAGGUGCAAUAGCGAAAUCAUGGACGAGAGGAAUCAACUUGGGAGAAAGAAGAAGAGCUUAGAACCAAGUAUCCAGAACUUUUCAAUUAACCAAGGUAAAUUUUCGAGGACUUAAAUAUUUAAGGAGGGGAGAUUGUAAUGUCCCCAAAUUUUCAUAGAUUAGAAUUUAAUUUAUGUGUGCUAUAUUUUAAUAUUUUGGAAGUUUAGUGACUAAAGUGUAUAUAAAGUAAAAUUUAAUCUUUUUGGGCUUAAAAUGUAAAUAUUGGCAGGUUAAUGAUUAAUAUAUGGAUAUUGGGCUCGUUGGAUAGAUCGUAAUUAAAGACGCAGUUUAGGCUCGAGAAAAAAUUUAUUUGGAUUAGUCGAGCGCAAGUUAUCGAAUCCGGAAGAUAUAACAUUAAAAUAUUAUUUUUAUUACUUUUGUUUUUGGAAGAAUUUACGUGGAGAGAGAGAUGAAAGUUGUUGAGAUAUUUUAUUGUUUUAUUAAUAAUAAUAAUAUUUUAUUAAGUGUUUUGAAUUGGGAGGUCUCACGUGAAGUACUAGGAUUCUAAGUAGGUGGUAGGUAAGUGAUAAUUGAUUUGUUUAUUAAAUGAAAUAAAGUAGAGAGAGAGAGAGAGAAUUAUGGGGAGCCCCAACCACGUGAGUGGUUGUUUGGAAACCAAAUGGACGUGUAGGGUAAUGUUUGGCUGUUGGGUGAUUGGUUAGUUGACAGUACAUGAUCCUAUAUUGAUAAGGUUUGGGUCUCCUAUUUUGUUUCAAAAACAGUUUUUUUUUUUUACUUUAUCUAAAUAUCCACUCUCCCACACGUUUUCCUAUGAAUACUACUGCAUAUGUAUAUGGAAUGAACUGCACGAGAAUAAGGACACAAAAAAUAUAUUGGUACGCGCACACAGUGUCAAUAGAGGCAGAAAAAUAUAGAAGAAAAGAACGUGAUUUUAUUAUUUGACUUCCGGAAAUUAAAUCAAGGUAGGAUUACGAGGUGCAAGUGGGUUGUCCCAUUUAAAUUAUUUUCUUCAUGUUUGAUAAAUAUUAUACUUAUGAAAGUUAUGAUAUGUAUAAUGUAAUUAUGAUAUAUAUGUUAUGGCCAUCCGGUACCAAAGAUAUAAUAUGAUAUGAGCUCUUAUCGGUUUUAAAGAUAUGAUAUGACGGUAUGAUAUUUUGACGCGUGAUUUAAUAUUUUAAUUGGGAUUGCACAAUUUCUCGUACCCUACUGAGUAUUCUCAUAUACUCACCAUUUUCCUAUUCCUCACAGGUUAGAUUGGGUCGUGUUGGAGCGUGGUGGUUCGAAGGUGUGGUUGUGUCUUGUUUCGCCAAAUAAAAAUCUAAGUUAGCACGUAAUGUUUAUUUAUUUUCAAUUUAUUUCAAUAAACAUUUAUUUAUUUACGAAUAAAUUCUCGUUCUUGUUAGUUGCAGAUGAAUAUACGUAUUUUAUGAUUUUCAAAUAGAAGUUUGAACUAAAUGUUAUUUUCCUUCCUAUCGAUUUGCAAAUCUGUACUUUCGUAUACGUUGGGAAGAAAGAAUUUAAUAGUUUGCAUGCCUAUGUUUGUACUUUACUUUGAUUUUCCCCAAAUUGAUGGAAAUUUAAGGUCAACACAAUGAUUCCCUGCCACCCCCACCCCCUCAUUUGUGUCCCAUCACAUCCAUAGCAUUAAUUAUGAUAUGAAUUUGAUAGUUUUUGCUUGUACGUGUUAGUCAUGAAUCAAUGUCUUGUUCGUAGCAUUUUUUUUGACAUAAAUGAAUUUUGUUUUGGAUUUUUUUUCUUUAAUUGCAGUAAAUAAACAUUCUGUGGGUUAUUUAAUUCCAUCCGUUGCCUUUGACUUAAUUAAGUAACUAAUUGAAAUUAUGCACUAAUUAGGGGGAAAUAUUGUGUUAUGAACCACUGUAUUAAUUAUGCCAGGAGUUAGAAAAUUCAUGUUUGUCUGCCACACCCGUGUCAAAUUCGUUUUAAUUCAUAAGUCUUAGAUAUAAAUUUAUUGGAUCUCCCGAAAUACAUAGGAAUAAGAUGUUAUUUUAAUUUGACUUGAGUGUUCAACACGUGAAGAUGAUCGAUAAUUGGAGAUUCAAUGAAAGCAAUAUUUUUUUAGAAUUCAUUAUACAUGAUUAAAUACAUAUAUAUCUAAUAAUUUGUUUUUAAGUUCUUCCAUGCGUUUUAUUUAUUUUAUAGGUGGAACUAGAAAGAUUUUCAUGUUGGAUGUUUAUUAUUUUAAUUAUUUAUGGAAUGAAAGGUUUGGUAACGAUUUCUAAAUCUAUAUAAGAUUUGGGUCGUUACAGUUUUAACCAGGUAAUAACAUGAAAAAUCCUUGGGGACGUUCACUGUUUGACCACUCUCCAAUUGAUUCUAGGUAUGAAUUGAAUGUUAUUCUUUUAUCAUAAUUACGAGUCAUCUUGCUUCAUGUUAUGAAAUGUAUAAGCAUGUUUACCUCUCGUAGUUUAUUAGUUGAACUAUUUUACAUUUUAUAUGAAUAUUGUUUAUGUUGGGAAUCUACUUAUACAUGCACAGUGGAAAAUUAAAAUUAUUUUGAUUCCCACCGAGAAUCCCUUUGUGUUUAGAUAGAAAUCGUGAUAAGAUUGUACCUUUUCAAAUCUGAAAAUUUCUUUACUAUUAUUUUCGUUCCAACAAUCUUGAUUCGCCACCUACAGCUGUCCAAUUGUCCAGCCUCCAACGGUGAUCCACACAAAGAAUAAGAUUGCAGCUAAUAGGGUUUUCUCUCUUGUGCCAGCAAGAAUAAUGAAAAUCAUAUAGACCUCAAACCCUAACCAUGUAUUUAUAUACACCCAAAUGGGCUCGGCCCGAUCCGGUCCAAUAUUUAAUUAAUCCAUUUAAUUAAACCCGAUCUGUGAAUUAAUUAAUCCAAUUUAUUAAUUUAUACAAUGAUGUUAAAUUAACUAAUUGACAAUUUUCAAUCUUCCAAUUCUUUUUUGUGUGUGACCCAUUAGGUUCCCGACCACGAUGUCUAACGACGUGAAAUAUUAUUUUGAUCUAAUCAAAAUUGAUAAAUUAAAACACUCUUUUAAUUUAUCGUCAAUUCACACUCGCCGUCCCUGAUUGACAUCUAGCAAUGUGUCAGGGCAAUACAUGUGACGAAAAAUGUCACGUGGUAUGACAAAAUCAAAUUCGUUCGUUUACCGUGAAACUAUAAUCCCUUCGUCAAUAUGAUCCGAUCAAUUACGAGAUAUGGAAGUGUGUCAAUCUCGAUCAUCGAUCAUAUCUUUCACUCCACUAUUAAGUCAAUAUAAGUCGAAAACUCAUUUUCGACUUAUGAAUACACCUUGGCCAAGGAUUUCAUCAUCGACUUAAUUGAAUGAAACACAGAUCAUAAUCUCCUACAAUCUAAGAGUGACAAAUCCUUUAUUGAUUAAUCACAACCUUCAUACGAUUCUUGACGUACCCGAACGAUAUCGUAUUAGCGGCCUUUUUCAGAGCAACAUCCAACACUGUCAAAGUAUGACUAUCCUCAUGUAAGGUACCAUGACGACAUCAAGUCAAAGGACCAAUUCCAUUACCGAACGUUAGAGAUUAACCACUGACACUUAGAUAGUUAUCCAUGUGGAAUCUCUUGGCGGGUCUCCAAAGUUUUGUUCUAUAACAAAACAUCCACGUGUUCAUUUAAGUGUCACCACACUUUAGCUUGCGAGAUCAGCUACUUACUUUACAAGUAAGAAAUGUCACACGUAAUGAUCUAUCCAUAAUAACGAUAUCCGUAUCUCGUUAUUACUUACGACCACGGAUGAUUUAAGAUUCAAUCAGAUGUAAUUUAUAUCUCACAAUCACAACUCCUUGAUUAACAAAUUACGAAUAUUUGAAUCUACGGACUCUAUUAUUUAUUUAAUUGCCUAUUAAUUAAAUAAUAGAUCUGUCAUUAAAUUGCAUUAAUUAUAUAUCAAAAGUAUUUAUGUCCAAAGUUGAUUGGACUUAGGGCAUAAUACUUACAGUUUAUUCGAGCAUAGAAUGAAAUAAAUUGUCAUUGAAAAAUUAAGCAUAAUUAAAUUUAUACAUUUCACACAUGGUUAAGACUAGACAAAUAUAGUUGAACGAAUAGAAUGGCUAGAAAGAAUAUGAUUUACACAAGUACCUUAGGACCUAUGAUUGUAGCUAUUUGAGAGUAUGAGUACUUUGUGUCAAAUAUGGCCAUGACAAGUUAAAUGCAAAAUUUAAUACAAGGAAUUGAGAAUGGACCAAGAAAAAUCGGAAGGAAUAUUUAAUUAUUUUCAUUCAACCGAUGUAGUAGAGGUUUGCAAUUCAUUGAGUUUCAUUCAAUCAAUGUAGAAGAGAGAUUGUUGUGUUUAAUAUUUCUAAGACAAAAUUUUGUUUUGUAUAAAGAAAAUUUCGAAACAACAAAAUCAAGUUACAAUCAUCAGUGAUCUGUUAAGAGUUGUAUAGGAUCUUGAUAGACAAUAAGCACAGACUGACCUUCAAAUUGCAUCGAUCAAUGCUAACAACACAACUCAAUUGUUGAACAGUUCCACCGUUAUGAGCCCUCAGUUUCCGAUGGCAAAGUAGACUCACUGGCAACUGAAGAAUGGAUAAUCUUCAACAUCUCUCAUCCAAUGAUGCUCUGAAAGUAUCAUGUAAAGUGUUCACGUUGGUUGAUGUAGUGGGCUAUUGGUUGGAAUUUGGCUCAAGCACUAGAACUAAGGCAUGCAACAAGUUUUGACUAGGAUACAAUUCAAAGAAGUGAUAGAAAAAUACUUUCUACAAGCCCUAAAAGAUCAAAAGGAGGUAGAGUUUCUAAAACUUAACAAGGAAAAGUGAAGCUUGAGGAAUAUGAGAGAAAGUUCGAAUAGCUCUCUAGGCACGCACUGCACCUGGUAGAUACCAAGGCAAAAAGCGAGGAUGUUCGAACUAGGAUUGCAUCCAAAGAUUGGUAGAAUAAUGACCUCCCACCAAUUAACCACAUACAAUUAGGUUUUGCAAACUGCUCAAGCAAUCUCAAAUAAAUUAGAGAUUGACCAAACUUUUCAACAAGAGUUUUGAAGAAAGUGAAAAUGAAAUGGGUCCAACAAAGAGAAAAGGGAUGGACAAAACAAGAAAUUCAACAUAGUAUGGAGUUCAUAACAAGUUGUUACACUCUGUCCUAGUGCAAUAAGAUGCAUAGGAGUGAGUGUAUAUGGGAGUAAUAUGUGUUACCGAUGCGACGAAGCAGGCCAUGUUGCUAAAAACUGUAAAGAAGCCCCCUCGAAGAGAAAUGAUGAGCAAGGCAAGAAAGCGAAAGCUAGAGUUUUUGCCUUAACUCAAGACAAGGCAAUGGAGGAUUUGAACAUGAUGGCAGACAUUUUUUUUAUACGUGGAAUUCCUGCUUAUGUUCUUUUAGGCUAUGGAGCCACUCUUCCAUUCACUUUUGCUGCCUUUAUUAAUAAGUCACUUAUUACAUGUGAAGAAUUCGAUAGUGUUCUAAAAGUUACUAUCUCAUUGGACAAACCUUUGAAUACCAAUAAGAAAACUAAAGCGAUUAAAGGACUGGGUGUUCAAAGUCGUUUAUCUUAUGAGAAGGCUCUAACAGCUAUUUUUGCAAGGAAGAUACACAAAUCGAGAAAUAAAGAAAUUGUAUUAGUUAAGGUCCAAUGGUAGAAUUCUGGAAUAAAAUAGUCUACUUAGGAGAGAGAAGAUAUCAAGGUCAAGUACAUGGAAACCUUCAACUAGUUAAUGUAAUUUCUAGGACGAAUUCAUUUGAAGAAUGAGAGAUUGUAAUGCUCCAAAAUUUUAUAAAAUGAAAUUAUUUGGUGCUAAUGAUUUUGAUCUAGAUUCCCUUUUUAUAAUUUUGGGAAAUUGAACGAUUAAAGUGAAAUAGUAUUAAAUUCAAUUUUAUUUGGGGCAAAUAAUUAAAUAUUGAUGGCGAAGAUAAGUAUAUCAAUACUUGGCUUGUCUUGUAGUUCGUAUUAAAAAACGCGUCGUGGACUCGAGAAGAGUUAAUUCGGAUAAGUUAAGCCCUAGUUAUUGAAGUUUAAAGAAAUUAUCAUCAGCUAAUAAUUAAUUAAGUUGGUUUAUGAUUUAAUUUUUAUCGCAGUCUCGGUUCAAUUGUAGAAUAAAUUGUAUUACUAAUUUGAUAAAUGUUAUUUAAUUAAGUUUAGUUAAUGACUUAUCAAGUUGGAAGCCACGUGUGAGUAGAUUAUUAGAGUAUUUUUUUUUUCCUUUUUUAGAUUGGGAGGAAAACUAAUUCUAAUCCUAAUUUUAUUAGAUUUUCAUUGAUUACUGGUUUAGUUCAAUUAAAAAACUGGAAUCCUACUUUCAAAAAAAAAUCUCAAAUUUUACCUAUUUAUACCCCCCAACAUUGAACCCAAUUUGCAUUACUUAGAUAUUAUUUUCAAAGCAUACAUGCACCCAUUUAUUUACAGAAGCAGAGAGUUUGAGAAAAAGUUUUGGAAUGUGCAAUCAUAUAUUUUUUUUUUCAAAAAUUCGUUUGAUCUAUCCAGGUAAGAUACAUAACAUGUAAGUGGUUUGAUUCCUUAUAACUUUAUUUGUGUAUAUAUAUAUAUAUAUAUAUAUAUAUAUAUAUUAUUAGUGGACCUUCGAAUUCGACCUAAAAAUGCCUUUUUAGUUCUUUAUAACGAAAUGUGAAAUCUUUCCAGAAUUCAAAAUUACUAUGUGAUGAGUGUCACGUUUGAUCACCGAGUUACGUUAAAUGAAAUUUGGUAUGAAGUGUCUAUUUUAUUGUUAUAUAAUUGUUUAUAAAAACUGCAUCUUAUUGGGUAUUGUCAAAUACUCAUGUAACAACCCGGUCUUUAUGCCAAAUCCGUUAACUUAUGUACUGUACAAUUUGUGAGAGCUUGAAUUUAUCUUACCUCUUACGAAUUUCUGUCGAGUCCCCAAAAUUCAAACAUAUGACAAUCACCUUAUGAGAGAUUUUAAUUUGAAUUAUAGUACCAAUUGAGCAAGUUGUUUAAUAAGUACCUGGAUUCAACUUAAAUUUCUCAUAAGGUGGAGGUAUUGGGUUCAAAAUUUGACGAUAGAAAGUCAAGAGGGAUAAGAUGGAUUUAGCUCUCCCAAAGCGAACAGUAUGUAAGUUAAUGAUUUAGAUACAGUGAGAGAUUGAAAAUAAGUUUGGAGGUAUGCAUUCAACAAGAAAAUGAGACAGUUGUCCAUUAAGGGUAAAAAAUAAUCAACCUAAAUGAUUAUAGUGAUUGAAUUGACUAUGAACACACACAUCGAUCGAGUAUUAAAUAAGUAUAAAUUUAUUUUGGUGGCAUUGCUUAUGAGACUUAUUUGAAUUGUCAAACAAUUUCAGUACUUAGGACGAAUACAACAUGCUAUCUAAUACUUUGACGUUUAUGUUUCAUUGCUUAUAUGCUCGCGAUGGAUAAGAGUUUAAGUUUGGGAUAUUUCAUAGGCAUAUUUUAUAAACGUCUUUAGUCUUUUAAACUCAAUUAUGGAUAAUUGAAAGGAUGUCUAUCUAAUUUAGUAAAUAUAUUAAUUUUAGGUAAAAUUUGACAUGAAUACAAUUAAUGCAAGAAAGGCAAUUUUUAACUUAAAUGGAGUUGAUUUGGAGCAAUUAAAGUAAUCGAAUUGCACGUGAUCAAUUAUAAGUAUUAAGAGGCAAUCCUAAGAAACUCAUAAGUUUUGUGAGUAAAGUUUGACAUUUGAAAAGUUUGGGAACUCUAUUGUAAACUUUCAAUACUUUUAACGGAUCAAUUAUGAAAGAGAAAUGAUGAUGAUGAUGAUGAUCAAAGUAUAAAGAUUUAAAGAUGAAGGAUCCAUGAUGAAUAAAGAAUGACUCGAGCAUUACCAAGAGGAAGAUUCAGGGAACAAUUUGAAAGAAAGGCAAACAUUGAUCUUGCAAACGCAAGAUUGAUGGAUGCGAUCGCAAGGCUGCUUAAAUUAAUUCAAACAAGUAAAAAUGAAAUAAUGUACGAUCAAAAUGGUUAAUACCAUCAAUCACAUGGAAUUAACAGACUAGGAUUUUUUUUUUUUUUUUCGAAUUUCAUUUAACCUCAUUUUGGAAAGCAAUUAGGAUAGAAUUUACACCUAAUUCCUGGGGCAAUAUAGACAACCUUUCAUCUGUUGUAAAAAGAAGAGGCUUUUGGGAUACAACAAACAUAUAUCUUACAAAGAAGAAGCCUUACAGAUAGAACAUAGAUAUUUCUCGCAUACUUUGAGUGAACUUUUUAUACAAAACACAUAUUUCAUACAUCUUCACUUGGGUUUGAAGAAGAAGAAGAAGAAGAAGAAGAAGAAGAAGAAGAAGAAGAAGAAGAAGAAGAAGAAGAAGAAUAUAUUCAAGGAGAUUGAUCAAGAACCAUUGAAAGGAUUCAAAAUUGUUUUCCAUCUUUCUUCUACCUUUAAUUUCGGGAAAUGAUGUAAUGAUUCAAUUCAUAUUUUUGUAUUACUAUGAUGCUCAGUUAAAUGUAUAGAUGAUAUGAUAAUGAUAAACCCUAUAUUUUGAUACAUUUAUAUUGAAAUCGAAAAUCCAUGAUUUGAAUUGAUGUCAUUUCAUUGAUUCCUUCUAAAUUGCGUUGGAUUUCACUUGACUGUCUAUGGUUCCAUUGUUUGUGCUCGAGGUAAAAGUUUUGUAUAAAUAUAUCACCAUGCUAUUAAGUAUUUUGAUUUAAGAUCUUUUAUUUCUAAGAGGUGGAAUAGAAUAACCCGGUGACCGAGAGAUAACUAUCGAGUAUUUGGACUAUCCGGACACAAACUUCGGGAAAUGGUUCAUGCGUGUUAAGUUUCAAAUAUUGACAUUUAAAUGUUUGUAUGGUUUUGAACGCUUCUUAUUGUCUUCAUGCUUUUUCAAUUACAAGGCCAUGAAUUGAAUUAAUAUAAUUUCUAUUGUCAUUUGAAAGAAGGAAAAUACAGCACAUGGUAACAAUCAUUGUAAAGUCCUAUAGACUUUUCCUAUGCUUUGUAUGAUCUCAUUGAUGUUCUUGUAAUUGAUUGUAUGAUCUCAUUGAAUAUUUUUUUGAUUGAAUGUAUCUUCAUAUAUUCGCGUCCAAGAUAUGAAUAUUUCAUGUCAUGUAUGAGAUAGAUUUAAUUUUUAUCAGGAGAGGUUAUUGAAUAAAAUAUGAGCACUGAUAUACGAGUCCAAAUAAAUGUUAACCAAUUAUGAGAUUGAUAUUAAGAUGGAAGGAUAUACGAGGAUUUGAUGUCCCGGUGACUUAUUGUUUAAUUGAGCCCCCGGUGGCACAGUAUGCCUUCGAUAUUAAGAUGGAAGGAUAUACGAGGAUUCGAUGUCCCGGUGGCUUAUUGUUAAUUGAGUUUAUACGCGCUUCCCAUUUAGUUAAUUAGAUCAAUUAGUUAAUUUUAGGUAUGAUCGGUAAAUAUAAUCAAUCUCAUCUUAAUUGUGAUAUUCGAUUAAAGUUCUCAUUAAUUGGAAUUUAAUUAAAUACUUAGUACUCGUGGAAUUAAUAUGUGAACCAAGAUCGACUUUAAUGUUUGUUUAUGACAUUGUUCAUAGUGGUAUUUUAGCACAGCAAACACAAUUAUUAGUUUAAUCUUUUGGAGAUAAAACAUCUUAAAAUAUAAGGCUAAUUUAGGGAGCCUUUAAAACAUUUCCUCUCCCUCUCUCUCACACACACGCAUAGGUGACUAUAUGCAAAUCUACAUGGGCUGUACUUGCUGUACAUGCAGUUCGAGCUAGACUGUACAAGCAGCUCAACCCAAUCUAUAAAUACAUUUUUUGCUCACUCUAACAAAAAUUGAUAGGCACCAAGAUUAUUAGACUAAGAAAAAUGAUUAGGAUGGUUGAUAGUACGAUGAUUAAGUCAACUAUUAGUAAAAGCUAUAUGGAGAAUUGUGUGUGGGAGAAAUAAAUAGGGAGAGAUUUGGCUAGAAUUCAAAGAAUGUGUAACUUUUUCUUUACACGUCCAUGAAUAUUUAUAGGGACAGAGUUAUAAUGGAAUUAGGUUAAAAUAUUGCAACCCCUAAUUCUACAUGGUGUGUUGUGAUUGAGCAUAGAGUUUUGAAUGAAGUAUGGUAUGUUUCCUUUGUCGGGUUUACUUCCUUGUAAGGCUAAGUUUCCUUAUAGAGAUUGAUUUUCCAUGAUCUUUUCUAAUUCCUCGGCAUCCUCUCCUUAUUUUAACAGAUUGACAAGGCUAUAAAUUUUAGAAUCGAUAAAAUUGUCUCAUUCCAAGAUUUAUCCCAAUAUUGAUUUUAUCUCCAUGUUUCAUGGAUCCUUUGACAUCAACAAGGUAUGGGUCUCAUCCAAAGGCAAUAGGUCACUAGGCCCAUUAGAGCCACAUCCUCCCAUCUCGACACGAGGGGUUCAAUUCGAAGACUAUCACCACUAUCCAUUACUAUGAAUAUUGUAAGAGCUGAUGGGAUAUUUCAUACGAGGCUUGUGACUUGAUUCUUUUGUGCAGGCGAAGACCAUAGGAAAACAUGUAGCAUGUUGGCUCUUGCUCAUGUGGUGUUCGUAAGUCCUCUUGACUUCCAAGUGUACCCAGGAUGUAACAGUGGUCUCUCAAGUUCAAUUUUGUUAUUUAUACUAGGCUUGUGGCUUAUUAGUUUGCUUGUGUUACGAAAAUUUGAAAGUGAAAGGCUUGUGAUGCAGUUGGGCCUCGUUGCUCUUUGGCUAAGAUUGAAUUUAUGCCCAAAAGAAUUUCACUGGCCUUUGCUUACCAUGAUGGUGGUGUGGCGAAGAUGUCUUGACAAAUGCCUCUUGGCCAAGCUAUAACAUCGAAGUAUAACAACUUCGUUUUGAAUACCGUUGUAGAUUUUCCUAUUCCGAUAUAUAAUGUUCAUUUUGAUAUUUAAACCUCUUGUUAUAGUAAAUUCAUUAUUGUCGUUAUAGUGAAAGAUUUACGCAAUUGUCAAACUCUAUUUCUCGCACAUUUUAUUUAUUUCUAAAUUUACUAUGACAUAUUGAGAUUAAUGACUUUUUUACAAAGAUCGGUAGUCUAAUCUUAAUGACACAAAAGAUAGAAAAGAAAUUUCCUUUUUCUUAAAAUCCACCAAUCCAAUAUAACUAGAUCAACCCUUCAAGUUCGCAUUAUUUGAAAAUAGUGCCACAAAGUUACUUUUUUCAAUUGUACUCGAGGAAAAUAAAAAAUAAUAAAAUAAUGAUAUUUAUUUAUUCAUUUGACUCUUUAAUUGCAUAUGCAAAAUUAAUUAAAGUUAAUCUUGUUUCCCAAGCUUUUGGUAAUUCAUUCUUUCUUCACAAUUGUCAUUGUCUUAGAAUAAUCUUUCCCUACGAACCGUCAAACCAAGCACGUAUUCCCUGAUCUCACGGAUUUCUUCGGGUAACACUUUACAGCCUCAUAUUUAGACUUUUCGUCGGCUAUAUAUUAUUAAUAACUACAGAUUACAUUUACAAUUUUUAAUUAUAAUUAUUAUACGUUUUUUUUCUUCAGAAGGCUGCUAAAAAAUACAUAAUAGUGGGUACAAGUAAUAUAUUGAGGUUUCAAAUGAUUUUAGGCCACCGUCAACGCAGAAUGAACUAAUUCUUAACCAGCAAUUCGAAAUUAAACUGAAUGGAAAUUUUACUUUCGAAAAAUCUUGGUGAAAAUCAAAGAGAAUUAUGUUCAUUUUUCUCUCGUCUCUUGCUCUUUUAAAAUAUUUUGUCAAGAUCGAAUGAUUAUUAUAAAUUGAAAUAUUGUAAGGUCAAUGUAUAAGAAUCUCAAUAAUAUAAACGAUCUUUUUUUUCCCUUAUCUAAUAUAAUACGAUUAUAUAUCCGUGAAAAAUUAUCCAACAAAUUUUUUAUGCGAAAAAAAUAUAAUUUUAUUAAUUGACUUGUUGAAAUGAAUUACGCAUGCAUAUAUCUAUCUUGUGCUUGAAGGAAAAGUCGCGCAUUUGCGUGUAAACUACUUAUUUUGUUAUUAAAAGUACAAUCUAACAUAAACUACGUCAGCAGAAACUUUGAGAAAAAAAAUCAGAAAUAUUUACAACAAAGGCUCCAAAUCUAUAGGAUAGCAACAUGUUGAUCCCCAACCUAGAAAUGAGCAAUAUAAUCCUCAAACUUUCAAAAUAAGUGCAAACCUAGUCCUAACAUAUAGAAAAAAUAAUAAUAAUAUUCAUCUAGAAUCCAGAUAAUCAUCUGUCAUUUUUAGAUAAUUCUAUGCAUGGGACAAUGCAGUAGUAGUUUCACUAUAAAUGAAUAUUUCUAGUCUCUUCAAGAAUACUCUUACUCAUAUGGAAAUAAUGUAUCUUAUUUAGGAUUAACAAUGCGAUAAGUCGAGCUCGUUGACCAAGGGACUACACUUCGCUUGGCCCAUGGGCCUUGCCUAUGAUGAGCCGUGCCAACCUACAAGCUUUUUGAUUUUCUUGGUUCAUUAAUCUAAUUUAUUUAACUUAAAUGUGAGUUAAAAAAAAAAGGAAACUCUAACAUAAUUAAAUAACAAUGCAAGGAAAAUAUGACACAAUCGCAAAGUUCAUGUACCCAAUGCUUUACUUGCAAACGUCGACUCGACUCAUUUACUUGUUGUAGAACAAGACUAGCAGAACAGUUGAGCAGUCGAUUUUCUUUUGGUUAUGGACUUUCCGGUUGUAGGGUGAAGGUAUGACAAGGGAAUUCCAUGCUUUUAAGAAGCUUUGUUCUAAGCCUCGGGAUGAAAUUCGAAUCUCACUCAAAUAGGGCAGGUGAAGGAAAAAGAUCUCUUAUACGACCACGCUCUAAGCUAAGUUUAUCAUUGGAUCACUCUUGAUAUACGAAUUUACUAGAGAUAUCAUCCAAUUCGAUUGAAGUAAGGAAAAUACAAAUAGAAAUAGAAAUCAAAAGAAUUAGAAUUAGUUUUGUGAAAAGUGAAUCCAAACAAUUGUGAACCACUCAUUGCCAACCUAAUCCUGUUUUUAAUUGUUCACGAUAAGACAAAAGGGGGCAGUUAUCAUGCCUCGAUAUGCACCUAUUCAAAAAGGUUGAGGACUAUAGUCCCACUACCGCUAUUUAUACGGAUCCAUUUAUGCAAUUUUCUUGAAAAAAUCAGAAAAUUUGUGAAGUGUCAUCAGUAGCGGCAGGUUUGCCAACAAUAAAUCCUGUCUACCAUUUCUUCUCUCCUCUCUAUAAAUAUAACACCCUACAUAUCUGCUUUCCUUUGUCCAUUAGAAUAUACAGAAACUAAACUCAAUGGAAAUGGAAGUGAUUAUCUCUGUAAACAAAAUGGAUUUUGACUUUAACAGUCCACAUGUCAGUGCACCUUCGACGCCCAAGCGUUUUGGGGAAUUCUAUUGCAGCGCUCCGACAAGUCCGACGCAUUUGGCGCAGUUUUAUCGUGAUUUUGAUGAUUUCUCGAACAGAGCCAGCGGAGUCACAUCGAGGGUGCCGUUUGGUUCCCCUAAGAAUGAAGGUGAUUUUGCUUUUGAUAUUGGUGAGGAGUCAUCGGAAAAGGAGUCUCUUUCGGCGGAGGAACUGUUUGACGGCGGCGUAAUUAAGCACCUAAAGACCCCAUCGCGGCUGCAAGCUUCCACCGGAGCAAGAAUUAAGGGUGAUUACUCACCAAGGCAUAAGAAAGAGGACGACCCUUUUGCAAUCUCUUCUCAAAGCGCCACGGCGGAGCACAGUCACAGAAGAGGAAGAGAGAGAGCUCCUGCAGCAGGUUUAUCUUCAUCAAGCCGAAGAGCAACGCGUUCACUUUCUCCUGCGAGAGAUUCUGAUCAAAAUUCACGGGAUCAAGAAGAGAAAAAACAGCACAAUACAAAGAUUUUGUGCUCAUCUUCAUCCUCAAAAUGUCACAGAAAAUGGAGAUUGAAGGACUUUUUCUUGUUCCGAAGUGCAUCUGAAGGACGAGCAGCAGAUAAAGAUCCUUUAAGGAAAUACACAGCAGGGUUCAGAAAAUCAUAUGAAGAUGCUAAGAAUCCGAAUUUCCGGAGAAUGGAUAGCCAGGAUUCUGGAUCAAAUUCAAGUAGAAGAGGAAAAGUUUCAGCUCAUGAAUUGCAUUACACAACAAAUCGUGCAGUUUCUGAAGAUUUGAAGAAGAAAACCUUCUUGCCAUACAAGCAAGGCAUUCUGGGGCGCCUUUCAUUUAAUCCUGCCGCCCAUGCACUGGCUAAUGGUUUCGGGUUUUCUCGUAAAUGAAUAUUCGUCCGGUACAGUUGAGGACGGCAUUGUGAGAAGGAAUAAUUCUCUGCUAAUUAUAAUCUUUUUUUAUUUUUUUUUAAUGUUUUGGAUAGGUAUUUUUUUUCAGAUUUUGGUCAUGAGAUGUAUAAAAAUAAAAUUUACACAUUGAAGCAUCAUAUCUUAUUGUGGAAUUAUUUAUCAAUGUACUAAAUUUUAUUGAUCCUAAAAAAUUUAGGGUCUACUAGAUAAAAUCUUGUUUCAUUACUUCUUUUAGCUAAUUGCUAUGUAGCUGUUCAAAAACAACUAUUCAACGGAAUAUAUUCUACGUUAUGGAUGAUUUCUAUUCUUUGUUUGAUGAAAGACGGAAAAAGACAUCGAUCAUAGAAGGUGACAAUUCAAAAGUUUGAGACAAGCAAUUCGAGACGACUCUUCUUUCUGAACAACGUCUGAGUUAUGGGGAUAUUUAUUGAUAUUUUAAUAUUUAAAACCUUUAAGAAACGUAUUACGAAUUCCGGAAAAUAAACCCAUGGACAAAAAUGAAGAGAGAGAGAGAGAGAGACUAGCGUGCAUUGUGGACUAUCAAUUUCUUUAAUCUAGAAGACAAUUUUUAGGGCGGUCCAUUUGUCGCAUUUUACUCUUUGGUGAAAUCAGAAAUGAAAUGGAAUAUAAACAACAAUUCAUGCAUGAUAUAAAGUUCGACAUUUUUCUAUGUGGCAGUAAGAUAUACCUUGAUUUUAAACAUAUCCAUCCCAUUGCUAGCCAAAUUUUCUCCAUUGACAGGAUAUCAUGUAGGAAAAUUUGUUACCUUUUUAAUCACAAGAUCUUUCGUGUUGAAUAAUCAAGAAUAUAUAAACUACUAUAAAACCUGAAUUAGAAAUGAUUAAUACAAUAGUUGAAUCUUGCGGUUUAUUCUUCCAAAUCAACACACAGACCUUAAUUCUUUAUAAUGAUGGGAGGCAGAACAGAAUGAGCAAUUCACAUGUGAUUUGAAAACCAUAACUGUAUUUAUAUAUAUUGUCGCCAUUUGACCUAAUUCGACCUAUCAUAGAAUUAGGAACCUGACUCAGUUUUUACCCAUAAAAUAUCCACCCUUUAAUUGGAUGUAUUAAAAUUCAAAAUACUGGAAACUUAUUAGAUCACUUUAACUAGGCUUAACCAAAUUUUAUAGCCUUUAAUUUGAUGCACAAUAAUUUACAUAUAUAAACCCACACGGUCAUUUAAAAUUCCUUACAUAUCAAACUUGUUUUCAACCAAAAAUAUACAUCUAAUUUUAUUUUAUAAAUACGAAAAGAACUAGAGAAUUGAAAUGAAACAUAAGCUAUUGUUUGACAAACAUUAUUUAAAAACUUCUUUUUUUUUUUGUACAUAUUCAUUUUUAAUUACACAUUUACAUUAUAAAAUAUUAUGCAUGUAAACUCAAUAUUUUUUCAUACUUUCUAACUGCACAUUCUCCUAAAAAUUAUUUUUUUCCAAAUGAUGAUUGUCAAAUAGAAGACUAAUUAAAUUGUUCCUUGUACAUGACCAAAAUGGAAUUAUAACUUGCUUUUUGUAUAAAUAAACCAUCAACUUUAUUUUUGAAUUGGAAAUGUUAAAUACCUAUGUUGAUGUAAUUUCCACUUCUUUACUCUUCUUUUUUUCUUUCUUUCUUUUCCCCUUUUUCAAAAAAAUAAUUUGGUUGCCCAAUUCUUUGUGCAGAACUGUUUCUCCUACUUAUAAAUUUGAUACACUUAUUUAUUAAAUAAUCGUGACAUUUAAUUUAAGUAAAUUCAACGCUCAAUAUUUUAUGGAUCUCAAACAGUUAUAACAAACUCUCCCAUGAUUUUAGUGAAAUACAUAUUAAGUGUUGGAUUGAUUUAUAUUAAAGGUCAUGAUUAUUUGUUAAAUAAGUGUGUCAAAUUUAUGACUAUUAGGAAUUUGGAAUGUUCUCGUUCUUUGUGCUCUCUUUGUCCGUGUAAUUUGCAACCCAUGUAUCAUAAAUAAUUCUCAUAUACGAAUCAUAAUUGAUUGCCUAUUUGCGUUAUAUGUCCCCUAAUUACUAGCAUUCGUUUUCUUUCUUAAUUUAUAUAAAGAUUCAUUUCCCUAAUAAAUCAAUAAAAAAAAUGAAAUCUUUUACAUUAUUGCAUCAUUUCAUCGCUAAACAGUAGUUCCUUUUCCUUUUCCUAAUAGGACUUUUCUAUUUCACAUAUUUGGGUCGAAUCCAACAAUUUCCAGUUGAUCCAAAACCUCCCAAUCACAGCAUACAUUGACAUUGAUUAUACCACCAAUUUACCACUGUUCUUCAAAUAAUUGUAGUAGACGAGAAAAUUCAUCAAACUGUUAUAAAUUAGAGAAAAAAGAGAAAAAAAAGUAGAAGUUAAUUGACUUGUGUAUUUUAUUAAGAACCAAAAUCACAUAUAUCUAGAGAGAAUAAUUAGGAACACAAUGGUAAUAAAAACUAGGGCUACAAGGGUCUAAUUUUCAUCCACUAAUAAUCAUAUUAUUUAUAACACCCCCUUUCAUUGUUACAUUACAAAAUAUUUGCAUCGUCAAAACAUUGUCAAAAAAAUCUAGUGGGACAAAAUUUGAUCGAAGGAAAAAGAGUACAAUUACUCCCAUUGAUUUCAAUUCUUGUAUCAAUUCAUUAUUGUCUUAUAAAUCAGUAUUUUUAAAAUUGCAAAUUUUGGUUAAAUAUAUCUCAUGUUGUCUUGUAGGUAUUCAAACAAUAUCGUCUACGUACAAGAUAUUUAUAAAAAUUUUGUGACCAUAGUAACAUGAUGAUUGAAAAAUAGAUUUUGUUGAUCUUUUUGCGAGUUUCAUACAUAUAAAAGCAUUAUUUUGAGGGUAAAUGUCUUUAUACGUAAUUGGAUAUUCAUUAAAUAAAAAAUAUGCCUCAUUAAAACCUUAUUCGAAAAAAUCUGUAGAAAAAUCCUAAUUAAGGAAAAGAGUACAUUAUUCUUUUGAAUAGGGAUAAAAGUUGUCUCAUUAAAAAUCUUAUGAGGAAAAUCCAAUGGGACAAAACUUUAUUAAAGGGAAAAAGAGUAUAGCGUGUAUUUACUCCUCCCUCAUAAUAAUAUCUCUUAAAUUAUGUAUCAGGCACAUUAAAUCUGUCAGUGAUAAUAUUAAUAGUCAUGCCAUAUGAAUUGAUUGUAACCGUAUUUCAAGUUUCACGCAUUGUUAUGAUAACAAGAUACAAACAAUGAUUUCAUCCACCACGAAAUUCAGUAUGUUAAGAGUCGUUCAUUCAUAUUGCGACAUUAUUUUUCUAAUUUCUUUUUCACACAAGUGUACACAUUUUGAUUUUUGGGCUGCAAGUCCAGAAACUCCAAAUUUCCUAAUAAAUUCGAAUUUAAUAAGAUUGUGUCCUUUUAUUUGGCCAAUUAUAUUUUCGAUCGAUAUGCGUCAACGAAUUUAUUUCGAUAUCCUCGAAUUCAUAAAUAAGUUGAAAUAUCUCUCGAUUGAGUUUUAACUAUUGGUAAGGCGUAGAGAUAUCAACGAGCCGAGCCAGCUUGUGAAUCGAAACUCCUGACUCGGACUCGGCUUGGCUUUUUUAAGACGGACUUUUUUCGGCCCUAGCCGAGCAAAAGCUUGGUCAAAAAAUUAAGGCUCGACAUGCGCUUUCAGCUCAGGCCUUAUCGAGCGAGCUUGAUUUUUCUUUUUUCUUUUUUUUCCUCUCUCCCUCUUAGCUGCCUAUUUGGCAGCUAUUUGCUACCUCAAUUGACAAUAAAUUGAGUUUCUUUCUCUUUUUUUAAUAACGGACCGAAUCGACUAGAGCCGACUCUCUGAAAUAGGGCUCGGUUUGGGCCUUAGCUCGAUGCCUCCGAGCCAUGGGUGACCCAAGGCUCGAUGCCUUCGAGCUACGGGAGACCCUAGCCGAUGAGCUUGAUUGUCAUUCUUAAUAAGACGGUCAUAUUUCUUUUAACUAAACUAGAACUUGAUUUAGUGGCUCUAUCCAAUAGGUGUGCAACAAUUUUUUCUCUUCGAUUCUUUUUUUCGUAGUGACAUAAAUUAUUGAAAUAUCUCAAUUUUCAACAUAUCAAGAACCUGAAGGUCUUCUGGAGUUUUAUGAUUUGUUAUGUCUAAAUAUUCGUCAAGAGAAUGGAGCCAUCUUUGUUAAUUUCUCCAUUUUUGUUUGAAAAUUUUUAUAUUAGAAUCAAAUAUCAUAACAUUUCAAGCAUGCCAUAAAUUCAAAUAUAAUAUUACCAAGACAUUAAUUCGAGUUAGAGCAUUCAAAGUUCGUAUAUGAGAUAUUGUUGAUCUCUUUGGUCAGUAAAUGCAUUUAAAUAUCUUUCGAACUUUUGAUUCCAAUUAUUUUUGUGAGAAUUUAAAUAAUGAUGCAUUUGUACAUUAUUUUAGUUUCUUAAUUCUUCUUCCUCAUACUGAGAAAAUUGUCUAUUCAAAUUGAUAAUUGCAAACCAUAUUAUAAAAUAUCAUCAGUCUGAAAUAAAAAGUUCGAACAACUCAUUUAUUCUCUAAAUUAUUUACUUUCCAUGUCAAUGCAUUGUGGUGGAUCAAUUUUACAUAUACUACAUUAUCAAAAUUAUUUGAUGAAAAAAUUAGGCUCGGACCAUAUGCCUAGUUAUAGUAGGGAUAACUAUGAUGAUAUGACACGUAAUAGCCUUUCCUAAAUAGAAAUGGAAAGUACUUCGUUUUCAAUUAAAUUAAUUGGAGGUGUAUAACAAUCAAUAAUGUUGAAUCAUUUAUCAACAUUUCAUCUAGUACAUAUUAAAAUGUUGAGAUUUACAAUUACUAGAUUAAGAGGUUACACCGUCUUAACUGUAUAAUCUGAAAAUUCUACUCAUAAUUUAAAAUUUGAGAAGUAAUUUCGCAAACUAUAAGUUAUAAACAUCAUGCAACCAUCGAGCAUACAUGUUAAAUCUAUUAGAUACAAAUAAUAUUUAGAUGGUCUACGUCGAGGAUAAUGAAGCCCCAUUUAUCACCCUGAUUAAUUUUCAGAAAUAUAAUGAAUUCGAUCCCUAUUUUUAACUAGCGAUGAUCAAUUUUCGAUAAAAAAAACAAAUAACGUAUAGGAAUUUAUUGGAUUGAAGAUUCAGGUUCUUUGUUGAAUGUCCAUUUAAAUUUUUUAUUUCAUAUCAUUAUUGAUCCAAUAUGAUCCAACUGGUCAUGCCGAACAAUAAUACAUUCAUUAAUUAAAAUUUUGAGUUAAUAUAUUAUUCGUUCUAAUUAUACUACACAUUUUAGAAACUUAUCACAUUUCACUUUAAUUUAGAGGGGAAUAAAUUAUUAUCAAUAGUAAAAUUUAUUCUCUCACAUAACGCAAUACUAACCCUUCUAUAGUAUCAAAACAUAUUCUUCUAAAAUAUUGCUAUAUACUUGGUUAUGAUUACUCGCAAGUAAUAAAACAAUAUUUUUCAGGAAUAUUGAUAUAUUAAAUUAAUCAUAAUAUUUUUCUAAAAAUAUUAAUAUGCAUAUAUUUGUGCUUCUUCACAAACACAAUAUGGUAUUCUUCAAAAGAAUAUUAAUAUAUAUUAUUUUUGCUUCUUCUGAAGCAAUAUAUCAAUAUUUUUCUGAAAUAUUGAAAUUUUAAUGACAUGGUCUUCAGGAGCAAAUAAUUCUAUCUAGAACAUUCACAUAAGGUAUGUGUUAUGAUUUUCCUAGAAUAUCAACACCAUAUUUCUUUAGUAUAAAUGUAAUUUCUAGUUGUGCUUCUUCAAGAGCACAAGAUAAAUCAAAAUAUUUAAUUAAUCUAAUAAUUCACAAGUAUAAUAUAUAGCAGUAUAGAAAGACUUUUAAAUAAUUUUCAUCCUUGAAUUUGAAAACUUUAGAAAGCGUUAAAUAGUUGAAAAUUUUAUAUUCUUCAAAGAUAUAAAUUUGAAUUUUUUUAUAAAACUUAAAAUUUGCUACUGUCCCACAAAUAAGCCGUUAGAUUUUGAUAAGAAUAGAUUGAUUUAAAAUACAAUGAGCUAUAAACAUCUUGUCCAAAUUUCAUUACGAUCAAACCACGAAUGUUGAGUUAUCAACGUUUUUAUCACAGUUGCUCAGACUGUCCAAAUUCUACAAAUUUUUGCACUGUUGAUUCCAAUAUAAUAAUACAAUCAUUCAAUAUUAUAUAGAAUCACUAUAGGGUCAAUGAACUUUGAGUUUGUGACAUUAUUUGACUCAAUCAUUUUCACUAAUGUACGUAUAGUAGAUGCGAGAAUAGAAUGUCAAAAGUUUUUCUUUUGUUUACUUCGGGUCAAAUAUAAAAAAAGUUAUGUAUAGAUAUUCUAUAUUUUUUCUUGCACAUUCUCCAUGUGAUAUUCAUUGCAUUGACUAUCUUUAAAACUAAUCAAUUUUUUAUUUUAAUUUUUUUUUAAAUUUGCUUGCAUAAAGUGUAUUAUUAAUAUAUAAUUUUGUAUUAUUAGAUAAAAUAAAACAGGUUCUUCGGACCCUUCAAUGAUAUUUGAUGCAUCUAAUAUUGUAUCAAUAUUAUUUUUUGUUAAUGUUAAUUAUAAGUACUUUUUAUUUUAAAGAAUUUUUUGCAUAGUUACACUAUCUUCUAAACAGAUAUCUUAAUAAUCCAUCUUAAUCUUUUUAACAUUCCAAGAUUUAUACUUUUUCAAAAAGAAAUAAUAGAAUAUUCUCUGAGAAUAUUCAAAAACUAAAUAUUAUGCUUUUUCGGAGCAAUAAACUAAUAUCUUCUUGAAUAUUAAUAAAAUAAAAUAAAAUAAAAUACUUUUUUUUUAAUUACAACACAAUAUUGAGUAAUUUAAUUUAUGUUUCCUAGGGAGCACAAUGAAAUAUAUAUUCUUCUAGAACCGUGCCACUUCGAUAACACAUUAUAUUUUAUUACUAUUUCUUCAAAAGUAAUAUAUCAAUAUUCUUGUGGAAUAUUGAAAACUAUAAUUUAAUGCUCUUCAGGAGCAAUAACAUAUUAUUGUUUAGAACAAUAAAUUAUGUAAGAAUUUACUCUUUAAGAUUACAAAAAUAAUUUAUGUUAGAUCUAUUUUAUUAUUCUCUUUGAGAGCAAGUAAAAUUUAAUUAGAAUACUAACGAUUGUGAACCAAUGCUACAAGUCUUUGUAUAAGCUUUUGAGAUCAAGGUUGACAAAGCUGAAGAGCAGUAGCAUUCCACUGACCUGCAUCACCAAAUAAUGCCUUUACAGGCAUGGAAACGUGUCUACUUUAGGAGCAACAAUAUGAUACGGUUUAAAUUUAUUGAAAAAAUAAAAAAAAUUAAUCAAUUUAUAGUAGAAUAAUUUUUUUUUGAACAAAAGUAUAAAAUUCACAAAUUAAAUAUAUUAGACAAUUGCAUAAAAAUAUGCUAUUAUAUUAAUCUAAUCAUGCAAAUUAUAUUAAUGUAAUCAUGCUACUAAAUUGGGAGAACAUUCAAACGGCACGGAGAUGGAUGUGUGCCUUCAUUAAUUACAUAUUAUAAUAAUCAAAUUGUUUGUUAUAAUAAGAGUUUUGCUAUAUGGACAGGGCCACAUAGGCGCAGACAACUGACCAAUAAGAGGAUGCCACAUCGCCGCCAUUUGGAUAAGGCCUACGUGGCCUUGUCCAAGAAGAAUUAUUCAUUAUAAUAAUUCUCUCAUUUUUCUCCUCUAGACAAUUUCUAGUCAGAUUUUUGUUCAAGAUUUGUCAGUGCAAAUUCAAUGAUUGCCAUUGCAAAUUGAUUACAAGGCACCCUCUUUCGCUAGCACUGAAUGGAAUCAAUUGGAAAUAUAUUCCUCUGAAGUCUAUAGAGGAAUUCAAGAAUCACUCGAGCUAAAAUUAGAGACCAAAAGCAAGUUGAGCUUUAAAUUAAAAAAAUUUGUGCUGAUAACAUGUUAUAAAAAUAGAGAAAAGAAUAGGACAAUGAAGAAGUCAAUAGAAUUGUAUAUUAUUAUUAAAAACCAAAGUCUUAUAUUUAUAUUGAAGAAUUAGGGAUAAAAUCAUAAUAAAAAUUAGGAUUGUAUGGAUUUAAUUUUCAUUUACUCAUAAUCAUAUUAUUUACAAUACAAACUUGUUUUCGUAAUUUGCUUCUUCAAUCUAUAAUCUUCAAUUUUCAUUUUUAGUGUCACAUAACUCAUAUUGGCGACUUCGCAAUCUUUUGCAAUAGCAGAAGGCUUUCCUUGAAGCGACUCUAAUGUGACAACUCCAAACUUUCUAUGAGUAGCGUAUACAAAUUACCAACCUUUUUACCUCAUUAAUGCGAUAUAAUUAAUCUUCACAUCAAUUCUCCCAAUGCAUGCUGAAUAUUUAUAUGUCAACGUGUCCAGUGCUCCCAACAGUGUCAAACUUUUUCUCAAUCUUGAGACCUAUUAAUAACCGCUCUGCUACAUCAAAAAUCUUCACACUUAAAAUACUUGAACCUUUAACUUCAAGUUUAUGAUUAUUAGUCAUGACGACAUCAUGAGCAUCUAAUAGCUUAUAAUCCUCAAAGCAGUCCUUGUGUGGGCAUAUAUGAUUACACAUCCAAAAUCCAAGAGUUACUUGAAGAGUCGUAAUUUGUGACACAAUAAUCACUAUCAAUAUCAUCAUCAACCAUGAUCGUAGAAUCAGAGGCCUCUUUAGACUCUAGACUCUUCUUUACUUUAAGAUGAUAUGUCAACUUCUCACAUUUUGCCUUAAUGUGUCCUUUCUUGUGGCGGUAUUAACACUUGGCAUUUCUCCUAUAAUGACAUUGAGAAUGAUCCCUCCGGACAUUAUUUCUUCCUCGCGAUUUACCACACCUCAUUUCAGACUUUGUCUAGAGUACUUGAUUUAAAACCUUCUUCACUAUCGAAGUAGAUUUACCAACUAGUAACGUGGUGACCAAUGUCUCAUCUGACUUAGGUAAGGAAGACAGCAAAAUUAUUAUCUUAUCUUUUUCCUCAAUUUUUGACAUCAAUAUUAAACAACUCAGUUCACACUUAUUCAAAUGAUUCCUAAGAUCAGUGUCCUCAUCUAUCUUCAAAUCAUAUAAUUAUUUUCUCAGAUAUAAACAUAAAUUAAAACAUAUCAGGAUCUUUUAGCAUUUUGAAUAACUUAAAAUGCAAAUUUCUUAUUCAAAACACUAUAAUUUACCUAAGCAAUCAUGCUACGUGGUCAAAGUUAAUGACUAAAAAGUAUUUCCAAAUUACACUUGACAAUUUUUCAUUGAAUAAAGGGUAAAAAAACAUCAUAAAAAUACUCAAUUAUUAGCUGCCACAUCAGUCUAUUUUUUUAUUCCCUAUUUGUUCAGCAUUAUUCUUACCUAAGUACAAGCCAAUCUAAUGGUGUUGACUGUCUCCAGUUUCAAUUCUUCCAACUCCGCUUCUUCAUGCCUUGUGACAUCUUACCUUACAAAUCUUUGUAAAGUCCCUAUUGCAAGAGAAUAACUUCAACUGUACUUCACAAAAUAUUUAAAUUAUUUUUCUCGCCAAAUCGUUUACCCUCAAACUUUGCACAUGCCAUCAUCUUCGAGGCAGUAUCCCGAGUUUGAAUUUUGAGCUCCGAAACCAGUAGACUUCGCAGGAUGAAAUUGGCAGAAAAUGAACAAGAACCAAUGAGAGGUUGAUUAGGGACGAGAAAAACGAAUUGCAGAGAACGAGUCACAUGAACCACCAAAAUCAAACCAAUAAAAUGAAAUAGAGAUAUCAAAUUAAACACAAAUAAAUAUGUAAUCGUUAAAUUCAAUUUUACCACGUCAAUCUGCAGAAAUUUUCGGUGCUCGCAGGCGACAGAGAUAGGUGGAAGAAAGGGAUUCUAUGGGGGCUCAAGAGAGAGACUGUAGAAGUGAUUGCUUUUCUCUCUGUGCUAUUUUAUUAGAGAGAUAUUUAUGAAAAGGAGUUAACCAGUUAGUGAAUAGUGAAUAGUGAAUAGUGAAUAGUGAAUAGUGAAUAUCCGGUUAGUGUAUGAAAUGGGACACCAUAGAAAUGAACAGUGAAGGCUGGUUCCCUCUUUUAUAUAAGUGCAAUGAUUUUAGCAAGUUUUAAAACUUCAAGUCAUAAUAUUUUGGGUUCUAUGGAUAUAUUCACAUUAUACUUUUAGAAAUUGUGUUUCAUUAGGCCAAAAUUAUGUACUGAAUAGUACAUAAGAGAAAUAAAGAAAAAAAAUUACUAGAUUUUUGUGUCACACAGAAAUUUCUCAAUGUCACCCUCUAGGGUAUGCAUUUUGAGAGAGAUGUAAAAUUCAAUCGAACAAAUAUUAAUUUCAAAAAACUGUGAGGCCAUAUGGCUAACACUUGUAGAGAUUGUUAGUUUAAUGUCCCUUUUUUCAGUAGUAUUUUGAAAAACGACAUUCUGAAUUGACAUGCUACAAUUUGAAAUGAUUAUCUAAGGUUCCAUGAACAUAUAGAACGUCACAAAUUAUAUACUCAAUAGUUUAGGUAUAGUAAGAUGCAAUUCAAGAUGUGAUCAAAAUAUGUCGUUUACAAUCUCAGUACAUGAAGUUGGACACUUUAUGUUUAUAAAAUUACAUUGUUCUUAUUAAGAUUUGUCUAUAUUUGGCAAUAAGAACAAUAAUGUGUUUUGUGAUGCACAUUAAACGGGAACCGCAUAGAUAACUCAUUUGUGAUCGUUCGAAAUGAGACUCUAUCAAACAAUUCAACUAAAUCCUGAGUGAGUAAUAUACUUUUGAUUGCUAGUUCAAAUUUUUUGAAGUAACAAUGAGUGAAAUCUUAAUUAGAAGAUUGAUCUUGGUGCUUUGGGAAUCAGGUCGAAACAAUUAGAGAUCAUAUACUUGUGAUAGUGAAAUCCAUUAAUCAUUAAGAUGAGACGAUCAUCACUCUAAGGUAUUUUAGAUAGACAAUUGAACCUGUGCUCAGUAGCUUGAUGAUGAGAUCGUUGGACUCUAUAUUGUUAUUUGAUCACAACUAAUUCAUCUUAUGAAAAUGGAACUUAGAGGGUAAUAAUGUUCAAGGACAAAACGGUUAUUUUAUCAUUUUCAACUUAUUAAUGGUCCAAUGGGGGUUGACUUGUGGAACAAUAAUCGGAGCAUAUUUUCAUCGAAUCAUAAUUUACUUCUAUAACUAUCACUCGACUCGACAAUGGAAUCUCGAUUUUUGGUACAAUGAGCCGAGAUUAAUAGAUGUAUCUCAAUUGGUUAAGAGUUGACCCAAUUAGAAACUUCUAUUGUAGCUUAAGUCUUGUUGGUCUGAUUAGGUCCCUUUCUUGACUACAAUAAAUGUGUGACUUAAUUGGUCUACUACAAUUAAGUCCAAGAAAAUUUGUGCAAUUAUAAAAUCCUAAUUGAGUAUUAUAAAUAUGUCCUUUAUGGACACAUUUUCACUUAGUUUUUAGGGUAAGCCAUAUUUUUAUUUCCCAAAGAGGGAGGCACCUAAAGAACACAAGGGAUAAGAUAUAAGGGAAAAAGCACUUGGCUAGGCCACUAAAAUCUCCUUCAAGGUUAUCAUUUUCCUUUUAUGUGGAAGAAUUUAAGACAUCCAAUGAUCUCAAGGUGAUCGUAGAUCUUUUAUUUAUUUACAUUUAAUCUUCAAAGGGAAAUUAAUUUCCUAUUUUGAUGAUUAAAUUCAAUAACCAACAAAUGGAAUCAAAGCCAAGGUUACUAAGAGCCUUGAGUAGGAUUAAGUGCUUCGAAUCCUAGUAUAAAAUGCAUUUUUAGUAUGGGCGGUGUUAGGUUAUUUAAUUUGACAUGUUUACUACUUUAUAUGCUUAAAGUAGAUGUUUAUACAUAAUCACUUUUGGCCCUGGGAUUUUUUUUUACUUCCCAUUCUAAUUCAUUCCAUUUGUCUUUCUUUUCUCUAGAAAAAUUGUAAGCCAUGCGUCAUUAGGGUUUUGUACAUAUUUUUCAUACUUCUACACUUGUGUAUUAAAAGAAGAUGAAGUUUUUUGGGCUUCAUGCAUUUUUCGUUUCUGAUUCUUGUUAGAGAAAUGGAAGGAGAUAGAAAUAGGACAAACAAAAUGCAAAAACCAUUGUAGAAUUACAAGUGGCGGCAAUAACAACUAUCGCGACCGGAGUGGCUACAGUCGCUGCGUCCAAAUGCAACAGUUGCUCCAAGUUGUGAUAGCUGCUUCUGUUGCCUGUCAUGACAACCAUAGCUACUGCAAAUGUAGCAGCGGCGCUUGCUAUUACUGUUUGCAGUCGCCAUUGCCACUCGACGGCUGCAGCUAUGGUGGCCUCUUUUGGUGUUGCUACUGUCGAUGUCAUUGUAGGAGAUGGAUGGUGGAUGUGAUACAUGGCGAAUUUUCCAGGAUUUGUGAAAUUAGGUUAUUUUUGAGUUUUUGUGCUUUUCUUUAUGACUUGGGCAAAUAUUUUUGGCUAAGGGCUUUUGAUUUAAGGAUUGCGAAAAAAUUAAAUGGACUCAAUUUUUGAAUAUUGAAUGGGUUAGAUUACAAGGAAAUUGAAGAAUUGGGGCGAAAAUUGCUUUAUGGAUGAUGAAUGAAUGUAUGAUUAUCACAUGUCAUGUAGAUUAAAUUGAACACCACCCAAUGCACUAAACAUAUGCAUUGGUAUUGGAUUUUUUUUAUCACUCUAAAUUAAUUAGAUGUGGUUAAAAAAUUAUAUUUAACAAUUUAGUGCCAUUAUAAUUGUUUAUAUUUGGCACAUUAAUUAUAAAAUCAAAAUCCAAUGGUUCAAAAUAAUAAGUGGGGGAAGGUUUAUAGCGUGUAUAAACUUGCGGCCUCCUCCUUCAUCCAAUUUAUUAUUAAAAUACGUAUGUCUGGUGUCAAAUUACAUCGGUCUCCCUAAAGGAAGACUACGUUAUUCUAAAUUAACUGAAAUUGAAUCUUAUAAUAGAAAGUUUUAAAAAUUGGAUAAUCGGCUGAUUAUCCUAUAGAUAACAUCUCAUAUAUUUUGGAUAAUUUAAAAAUUAUUUGCAGAGGUUAUUACACUUAUAUAUGACUUUAUUUUUGGAGGACUUCCAGUAGAAGGUUCCAACAAAAUAUUUAUAAGUCAAAUGAUAAUAAAUCCUCAUUUUUAUUGUGGCACGAGAUGCCUAACUCCAUCAAAUGAGUGGGAGUGUUCCAACUUUGUGAUGAGGACAAAUCAAAAAUCUAAUUAGUGAAUAAAUCAACGCUACAAUCUUCCCGUAUAAAGUGGCAACUCUAAUUUAUUGGUUGUGAACAAAAUAUUUGUAAUCAAAAUAUAAGUUAUGUCACACUACACUUCUCAGUACAAGUACCCAACUUAUAUUGUCACAGGUAAUUAUAAUUACUUUAAUUCAUAUGCUCACAUACUCAAUAAUAAAUAAAUACAUUAAAUGGAUAAAAUCACAAUUUGUUUAUUAUAAAUUAUUAUUUAUUAUAACAAAAUAUACUAUAUGGACACACAACCCCACAGUCUCCACUUCCUACGUACUUUGUUUAUAUUUUUUAUUAUUUUAACCCCAAACCUUAGAUCUCUCUCUUUUAUUUGCACACGCAAACACAUAUUGAAAGCACAGGUCAGCAGCUACAGAAACUACCUAAGAGCCACUAACUUAGGUUGUACACGCCGCAAGAAGAUAAGUAGAAGAAGCCGAAACAAAGAGAACCAAUGCUAAAAGGAACUCAUAAAUAAGGAAUGGGUGGAGAAGACACGACUUCCAAAUAAAAGAGACGAGAUUGGGAGUAUCCCUAUGCUGCAGGCCAGUGGCGGCAUCACGAAAUUGAUACCCAUCAAUGUCGACAGCUCGGGGUUGCUCCAUCGAGGUGCUAAGAGAUUUGGGGAUUUAGAAAUUCCAAAAUGUCUAUCCAGUGUUUAUUGGGUUGAUUACAAGAGGAAUGGAUCUGGUUAUUAUCAAAAAAUGAUUUUUAAUAUGAGAUCAUAAGAAAUUAAAAAAGCGAUUCAAUAAGAGAGGGCAAACGACUAAUGAAUUCAAUGUAGUGAAGUAGUUCUUUUAUUCAAUGUCUCAAGAUGGGUUUCAAUGCCCAAUAACGUUAAAUUAAUUUUUCUUCCAAUUAACUAAGGUUAUUGAGGCUGAGUUUGAGGCGGGGACUUUAUUUCUCAUCCCCUACUCGUGAUAAGGACUUUUUUUCCAACUGUGCUAUGUGUACAAUCGGGAUUGACAAACCCAUUUGACAAUUGGACACUUAGGAGGGGGGCUCACACUGAAUAGAAAAAUCGUGAGCCCCCCUCCUAUGAGUGCAUUGUCAACAUGGAUUGUACAAGAAGAAUAAUUUCUUUUUUCCUAACCCCCACCCCAAUUCAUUGAUUAAUCUAGAAUCCCCCGCUAGUUUGGGCAGGCCAUAUGGGGGACUAGAACAAUUGAGGAUAAUUGCUCCCCCGAAUAUCAUUUUUGAAUGUGUAAUGGUUCGUGCGACUCACAAAGACACUAUACAAAUGUUAUAUAUAUACGUAAUAUAUAUUAUAUUGCACACCCAUGAUAUAUAUUUUGUACGCUCACACGAUCUGUGAUUUGAAAUCGAUCUAGCAAAUUUAUUCAUAAUUUGAUUAAUCUCUCGAAAUAAGUUGGUCGUAUUUUACGUUUAUUGUGGUUAAUGUUUAUGCAUAUAAUAUUUCUACGGAUGUGUUUUAUUUUUUGGUCCAUAUUACGUAUGAUUUAUUUAGAAUUGACAGGAGUUUAAUAGCGUUACGUACGAGAAUUUAACAUCAUCUAAGUUCGGUUUAAUUUUCAAGUCUCUCUCUAUAAUUAUGAUUUUUUUUUGGGUAUAAAAAUACAUAUAUAAAUUCAUUAUUCAAGCACAUUUAUUGAUAUUUAUUCUCAUCCCUUUAUAUCUUUUCUUCUAGAUGAUUGAUGAUUCGAGGCGGUUGGCACGAAUAUGGCUUAUGGUGGCAAAAGUUCCGAUAAUAGAUUAUUUUGUUAUCUUUAAAAUAUUUCUUUUUUCAAGUUAAAUUAUCAAAAUCACUGGAUCAUUUGAAUUAUUAUAUAUGUUUAAUAAUUUAUAUAAUAGUGUUGAAUAUUCCUUAAAUUAUUUUAAUUUAGGAGUUAGUGGCACUCGAGUCGUUAAGGAUUCAGGUUGUCAUAGUUGUCCAAUUAGUAUCAGGAUUAAUUUAAGUCUCUCUUAUGGUAAAGAUCAUGAGUUCGAAUUCUUGGGACGCAAUAGAAAUCUAUUAGAGAUAGGAUGAAUUUAGGUUCUUCCAGAACGAACAAUACAUAAAUUAACGACUUUGGCAUAAAGAUCAGAUCGUCACAUAAUAUUGGGAUCCGAAACCACAUUAAUUGAAAGAUUAUCGAGAACAACCCUAAAUUUUCUCAUAUUGAACAAAAAUCCAUGUGUCCAUGUAUAAACAAAACAAUUGCAAAAGAACAAUUAAGAAAAUAUAAAGAAUAUUGCAAAAUCAUCUAAGGGUCACUACCUCCAAGUACCUUGGCCACCAGUGACUGGGUUUGGAGUAUAUUUUCCUUUUAUGCUUUCUGAUAAGUGUGUUUUUGCACACUUAUUGGGCACUUAAUUUGAUAUAAUUAUUGACGAAAAGAAUAGAAUUCUACUCAUAGUUAAGUAAUAUUCACUUUUGUAGGUAAAAAUCACCUAAAGAAAAGAGAACAAGGCAAAAGGAAGAAAAAUGAGGAAAAAGGACUAAAAUUGUACAAAAUUGUGAAGUUGGAGGCCAAGGAAAACAAGUCAAAAAGUGGAGGAUUUGAGAUGCAAUUUAUGGAGGGCAAAAUCGAAUUGGAAGUCAAAAUUCGAGGACCAAAUUGUACAAAAUUAAAGUUGAGGGACUAGCAUGCAAAUAUUUGAAACUUGGCUUCAAAAAGAAAACCAUUUUCAUGGUUUUGGACAGAGAACCAGGCACCGAGGCGCCCAUUUUAAAAGAAAAAAUGAGUUGGGGACCUUUUUGUUCACUUUUGAAACUUCAGGGACCAAGGCUGCAAUUUUCCUAGGUUUUAAUAUAAAACCAGCAGCUGAGUUUUCAUUUGCAGUUCUUCAGUUCGAUCUUCUGCUGGGUUCUGUUUUCUGCUGGGUUCUUUCUUUUUUUUCAUUUUGCUUUCAUUUUCUUUUCUUUUUCUUGGUUAUUUUGGAGAUAUAACAUAGAGUAACAGGGAGAUAACAUCAAGGAUUUGGCAAAGCAUUUGGGGAAAAUCAUAGUCAAUCUACAAAAAAGGGUUUUAUCUAUAUCUUUGUAUUUUCUUCAUCAUUUAGCCUUAUUUGUAAUACAUUUGAUGAAUAUUCUCCUUGAUUAUCAUUUAUUUAACAUGGGCUAAGUAUUUUGUUGGGAUUUAUGGUAGUAGCUUGACAUAGGUUUAAUUGAUUUUCAAUAUUUGCUAUUUGAUAUUAAAUUGCCCAUUUCCAUGUGUUUCUAUUAUUAUAUUUAUUGCAUUUUCAUUUAUGUGGCCAAUGAAUGAAUAUGUUUCGUGAAGUGUACAUAGUUCGAGAGAAGAUUGUGUAUUUUAGACCAAAUGGUAGAAACUCUAGGUUUGUAUAGAGGAUAGAUAUAUAUCUUUAGCCCUAUGUGACCCAAUGAGCUAUUUUCAUAACAAUUUAAUGCUGUUAUUUAGUUGUAAUCGACAUAGAGAUAUAAUAGGUUAAACCAAUCAAUUAUGGUUAAUUUCACUCGAGAGAGGUAAUUAGCUAAAAUUGAAGAAUCGGAUCUAACAUCGUAAAUGAGUAAUUCGUUAAUUGGCAUAUGGAGAAAUUAAUUAGGCGACGGCUAAGCGAAACCAUGAAUCUCAAUCACGUUUUCCUCCAAAAUUCCCAAGAUUUCCAUAUUUUCCUAUUUUGUAUUUUUUUUUCUUUAGUUUCUAAAAUCAACUCUUUGUUGUGUAUUUGUUUAUUUUCAUUGUUAGAAUUAAAUUGAUUAAAGUUGUGUAAUUUAAAUUAAACAUUCCUCGAGGGAUCGACAACUCGGACUUCAAAUGUCCACUUUAUUACUUGAACGCGACCCGUGCACUUGCAGUAUGAUUUUAGCGAACAAGUUUUUGGCGCCGUUGCUGGUGAAUGUUUUAUUUCAAUUAUCAUCUUUUGUUGAUUCUAAUUUUUACAAGUUUCGUUCUUUUUUUCUUUUGCAUAGCUUUUAUAUAUUUAUUGUGUAAUUAACUUUUAACCUUAGGUCUUUGGUGGUGCAUGCUUCGUUCGAGAAGUUUUGAUCUUUUCGAGCUUGAUCCGGAUAUUGAAAAACCUUUCCAAAGAAGGCGACGGGAACAAAGGGAAUUGAGAAGGCAACAAUUGAUUGAGAUGACACACCAAGGGAGUAAUUUGGAACAUAAUGCUCAACCGGAAAAUGUUCCUCGAGGCGGCAUUCCACCGGGUUUUGGUAACCAAGCGGGUAGAGUUCAAGAGCCUAUUGUAAAUGAGGAAGAUAUACUGUUUGGGAACUUCAUGAACCCACCCGUAGUAGAGAAUGAAUCAAGUAUUGUUUACCCUCCAUAUUGACAUCCAAACUUUCAACUUCGUCCGGAUGUUAUUAGUUUGUUCUCCAAUACCAUUCCAUUCUAUGGAAGGAUUGAUGAGAACCCUCACUCACAUGUUGCACGAUUCAUAGAGAAUGUUGAAAAUUUUAAAUAUGAAGGCGUAAAUGUGGAGACGAUCCGGAUGAGGUUAUUUGUUCACACAUUGAAGGAUAAGGCAAGGGAAUGGCUUGAGACUCUACCGCCCAGAAGUAUAAAUAGUUGGUUGGAAUUUAUUCAAAAAUUCACAGCCAAAUUCUUUCCACCCGCCUGAGUAGCCAAACUCAAGCAUGACAUAACCACUUUCCAACAAUCCGAAUUUGAGAGCUUUCACGAGGCUUGAGAAAGGUUCAAGGAUAUGCUUCGAAAAUGUCCAAAUCAUGGAAUCACAAUGGGGCAACAAGUGAAUCAUUUUUAUGCCGGGUUGACUCCUUCUUGCCGUUCAAAUGUGGAUUCAUCAUCUAAUGGCUCAAUCAAGAAGAAGAAUAUUCGGGAAGCAUAUGAUCUAUUUAAGGUCAUGAGUGAACAAAGUGCUAUGUGGCCGGAUAGAGGUUCACAAAGAGGGGUUGGUGGAGUUCGAGAUGGUGAAGCUUUCUCAAUGGUUCUAGCAAAGAUCGACUCACUAGCAAAGAAGGUAGAAGGACUUUCUUCAUCUACCUCGAGCUCUCAUUCCGCUCAUAUGGUACAAUCUCCACCUAUUUGUGAUAUUUGUGAACCAAAUCACCGAAGCCCGAGUUGUCCAUUGAUAGGUAGUGGUUCAGCAUCUACCGAGCAAGUGGUAUAUACUCAAAACUUUCAACGCCAAGGAUACAAUCCUUAUUCGCAAACUUAUAACCCCAGUUGGUGAAAUCAUCCGAACUUUUCUUAUGGAAAUAAUCAAAAUGUGCUCAACUCGAAGCCACAAGAGAAAAAAAAGGUUGGGAAGAGGCUAUUGCUAAGUUGGCAAACCAUCAAUUAUAAUAUUAAGAAAGCAAUGAUGCCUCUUUGAAAAACUUGGAAUGUCAAGUGGGUCAAAUUGCCAAGCUUAUCUUCGAAAGGCAAUAGCGGGCAUUGCCUAGCAACACCGAAACAAAUCCAAGGGAGAAUGUACAAGCUAUUACCACUAGAAGUGGGGUGCAAUUGCCCGAAAUCACGGUGACACGCCCUAAGGGUCAAACCGACAAGACACCCAUUGAAGAAGAAAGGAUUAUGCAAGAACCUAGUCCAAAGGACGAGACACUAAUUGAAGAAGAAUCGGAGCCAUCAACAUCAAAGGCUCCAAUACCGGUCAAAGCCUAUGUGCCUCAUAUUCCCUUCCCACAAAGGCUUCACAAACAGAAAUUGGAUGCUCAAUUUGGAAACUUUUUGGAGAUAUUCAAGAAGCUACACAUAAACAUUCCAUUUGCCGAUGCAUUAGCUCAAAUGCCGAAUUAUGCCAAAUUUAUGAAGGACAUUCUUUCAAACAAAAGGAAACUAGAAGAACAUGAGACAGUAAUGCUAACGGAAGAGUGUAGUGCUAUCCUUCAGAAGAAGCUACCACCGAAAAUCAAAGAUCCAGGGAGUUUUACUAUUCCAUGCACUAUUGGAGAUUUAAAUUUUAGUAAAGCUUUAUGUGAGCUUGGUGCCAGUAUUAGUUUGAUGCCUUUGUCUAUUUUCAAGAAGCUGGGAUUGGGAGAAGCUAAGGCCACCACUGUAUCAUUACAAUUGGCUGAUUGAUCAAUUAAAUAUCCUCGGGGUGUCAUUGAGGAUGUAUUGGUCAAGGUGGACAAAUUCAUAUUUCCAGCUGAUUUCAUAAUUCUUGACAUGGAAGAGGAUCAUGACAUCCCUAUCAUUUUAAGACGACCAUUUCUUGCCACCGGUCGAGCUUUGAUUGAUGUGCAAAAGGGGCAGCUCGUUCUAAGAGUCCAAGAUGAAAAAGUUACAUUCAAUAUCUUGAAGGCCAUCAAGUAUCCAUCGGAAUCUGAUUCAUGCCUUCGAGUGGAUGUUGUUGAUCAUGUGGUUGCCGAGUCUUUUUACAGGCUUUCUAAGGAUCCUCUAGAAGCAUGUCUUGUUUAUCCUUUGGCUAUCAAAGAGGAAGACCCUAAAGUUGAGCAUAUGGUACACUAUUUGGAGGCUACACCUUCUCGGUCUUAUAAGAGAGCACCAAAUUAUGAGGACUUGGAAAAGAGCUCUUCACCACCACUGCCAUUUCUUCAGCAGACACCUAUACUUGAUUUGAAGCCUCUUCCAUCUCAUUUGAGGUAUGCUUAUUUGGGAGAGUCAUCUAUGCUUCCGGUUAUCAUUGCUAAUUUCUUAAAUGAAUUGGAUGAAGAGAAGUAACUCGGGUGUUAAGGGAGUACAAGGGAGCCAUUGGUUGGACUAUUACAGACAUUAAGGGAAUUAGUCCUUCACUAUGCAUGCAAAAAAUCCUUAUGGAGGAUGAUUUCAAAUCAUCAGUGGAGCAUCAAAGGCAAUUGAACCCCAACAUGAAAGAAGUGGUAAAGUAGCUUGAUGCGGGCAUUAUUUAUCCGAUUUCAGAUAGUACAUGGGUGAGCCCCGUUCAAGAGGUGCCAAAGAAAGGAGGUGUCACGGUUGUGGAAAAUGAGGAUAAUGUACUUAUACCUACUAGACCCGUGAUCGGUUGGAGGGUAUACAUAGAUUACCGCAAGCUUAACAAGACUACAGGGAAUGAUCACUUUCCUCUUCCUUUUAUUGAUCAAAUGCUUGAGCGGUUAGCGGGGUAUUCUCAUUAUUGUUUUUUGGAUGGGUAUUCAGGCUAUAAUCAAAUUCCUAUAGCCCCAGAGGAUUAAGAGAAAACCACCUUCACAUGCUCAUAUGAUAUAUUUGCAUAUAGAAAGAUGCCCUUUGACCUUUGCAACGCACCCGCCACUUUCUAAAGGUGUAUGAUGGCUAUAUUCUCCGACAUGGUGGAGAAAUUUACUGAGGUUUUUAUGGAUGACUUCUCGGUAUGUGGGGCCUCAUUUGAUGGAUGUUUGAGCAAUUUAGAGAUAGUGUUGAAAAGAUGUGAGGAGACAAAUUUAGUACUUAAUUGAGAAAAAUAUCAUUUCAUGGUCCAGGAAGGCAUAGUUUUCGGCCAUCGGAUUUCACGUAAAGGGAUAGAGGUUUACAAGGCAAAAAUCCAAGUCAUUGAGAAAUUACCUCUACAUACCUUGGUGAAAGGGAUAAGGAGUUUUUUGGGGCAUGCCGAAUUUUAUAGGAGGUUUAUCAUGGACUUUUUGAAGAUCACAAAUCCACUUUGCUCCUUACUUGAGAAGAACACUCCAUUUGAUUUCUCUCAAGAGUGCCUCCAUGCUUUUAACACUCUUAAAGAGAAACUCAUCACGGCUCCUAUCAUUGUAGCUCCGGAUUGGAAUUUACCAUUUGAGCUUAUGUGCGAUGCAAGCGAUUAUGCCGUUGGAGCAGUUUUAGGGCAAAGGAGAAAUAAAAUCUUGCAUGUUAUUUACUAUGCUAGCCGGACUUUGACUGAUGCUCAACUGAACUAUGCCGUUACUGAAAAAGAGAUGCUCGCAGUGGUAUUUGCAUUUGAUAAAUUUCGAUCUUACCUCAUUGGAUCGAAAGUGAUUGUUUACAGGGACCACUCAGCCCUCAAGUAUUUGCUAGCAAAGAAAGAUGCCAAACCUCGGUUAAUUAGAUGGGUCCUUCUUCUACAAGAGUUUGACUUGGAAAUUCACGAUAAAAAAGGGACCGAAAAUGUUGUUGCCGAUCAUCUGUCUCGACUUGAGAAAACCAAAGAGGUAGUGGAUAGGGAGAUAAAUGAGGUAUUUCCCGAUGAACAACUCUUGCAAAUUAUGCAUCUUCUACAAGCCACCCAUAUACCAUGGUAUGCGGACCAUGUGAACUUUCUUGCUAGUGGCAUCAUUCCCUCGGAUCUCUCUUACCAACAAAGGAAGAAGUUCUUUGCCGAUAUCAAGCAUUAUUUUUGGAACGAUCCAUUGUUGUUCAAACAGAGCCCGGAUCAAAUUAUACGGAGAUGUGUGCGGAAGAUGAAAUGGAGCAAAUCCUUGAACAAUGUCAUUCCUCACCCUAUGUUGGUCACUUUGAGGCCCUGAAAAUCGCAUCAAAGGUACUUCAAUUCGAUUUUUAUUGGCCUACAUUAUUCAAAGAUGCUCAUAUUCUUGUCUCCAAGUGCGACAAAUGCCAACGCAGUGGUAAUAUUUCCAACCGAAAUGAAAUGCCUUUGAAUUUUAUAUUAGAGGUGGAAAUUUUUUAUGUAUGGGGUAUUGAUUUUAUGGGACCUUUUCCUCCUUCAUUCUCAAAUCAAUACAUAUUGGUAGCGGUUGAUUAUGUGUCAAAGUGGGUAGAAGCGGUGACUUUGCCCACUAAUAACGCUCGGGUAGUAGUAAACUUUUUAAAGAAAAAUAUUUUCUCUCGCUAUGGCACCCCCCGAGCUAUCAUUAUGGAGGUAAAAAUUUUUGUAAUCGCCUCUUCGACUCAGUAUUGACCAAAUAUGGAGUAAAGUAUCGUGUAGCCACUCCCUAUCAUCCCCAAACUAGUGGCCAAGUUGAAAUUUCGAAUCGGGAGUUGAAGAGGAUUCUUGAAUUGACGGUGAGUGCCUCUAGAAAAGAUUGGUCCAAGAAAUUGGAUGAUGCAUUAUGGGCUUAUUGUACCGCGUUCAAAAUGCCCAUUGGUAUGUCUCCCUAUCGUCUUUUGUUUGGAAAAGCUUGCCACCUCCCAGUAGAACUUGAGCAUCAAGCUUAUUGGACAGUGAAAGCUUUGAAUUUUGAUGUGAAAUUGGCCGAUGAGAAAAGAUUGCUCCAAUUGAAUGAACUGGAUGAAGUCCGCCUUGACUCUUAUGAGAAUGCUCAAAUUUACAAAGAAGAGACAAAGAAAUGGCAUGAUAAACACAUUGUGAAAUGCGAGUUCUUUGUUGGGCAACAAGUUCUUCUCUACAAUUCUCGACUCCGAUUGUUUCCCGGAAAGCUCCGCUCAAGAUGGUCUGGUCCUUUUACCAUUGCUAAGAUUUUUCGACAUGGAGCAAUUGAACUUCAUCAUGAGGAAAAGGGAAAUUUCAAGGUUAACGGGCAACGAUUGAAACCAUACUUUGAAGGUGAUUUUUCUAAGGAGAAGUCCUCCAUUCCUCUUGCCAAUUUGGAGUGAACAAGGCCUAUAGUCGAGCUAGGGACUAUAACCAAGCGCUUUUUGGGAUGCAACCCAACUUUCUUAUCCUUAUACUUUUGUUAUUACAUUUUGAAUUAAUACAAUUCUUUUGUAGGUCAAAAUUUUUGUAGUCCUAGCCACCCAUAGAUCUCAACAAAUUUGGGGGUGCCUGGUCCCCAAAGUCAUAAACAAAAAAUUCAUCUACAACAUCCUUCAAAAAAAUCUAAUCGGCGAAGUUUCGUUAUCCCUCUCCUCUUUAUCUUGUUUUUUACACAUUGAGGACAAUGUGUGGUUUAAGUUUGGAGGUGAUUGUGCUUGAAUUGGUGAUAUUAUGUUGAUGUGCUAGAUAGCCUUGCCGGCUUUGCAUGGUUUUGAUGUUUGAAAUUGUUAUUGAUUCAUGAGUUAUGCAUAUAUGACCAAAUAUGCUAUUUGUGCGUAAUUUUUUCCCAAAAAAAAUAAAAAUUGCUUAUCUAUUGUGAGAUUUUGAAUUACUUUGGGCACAAUAGUCAUGAUUAAUUGUUAUCUAGAUGUGGAAAAUUUUUGAUUGAAGGAUAUAUUUUUGAAUUGCUUGAACUAGGUUGUGACUUGUAAGUUGUUUGGAAAUUUUUAUCAAUCUGUAUUCUCUUUUCUUUCACUUUAUCAUAUUAUGAGAUAAGUUUGGAGGUGGUCGAGCCGGUGAAGAAGAUUAUCUAGAAGUGUGUGAUUUCGUGCAUGUUGAAAAUAUUUGUGUAGAGUGUCUGUUACCGAGUAUAAGCUAGGUAAUGACCAUAUGCUAGGGAUCUAAGCCCCAUUUUUGUUGUGUUAAAAAAAAAUGGAGUUAUUGUACUUGUUGAAUCUUGGGCCUCACUUUGUAGCCUUUUUGACUUGAGUUAUUAAGUGCGUAGGGGUAUUUUGUAACCCGGUACCCUUUGGCCUAAACAACCGGAGAGUUAUCGACCUAAAGCUCGCUACAAGGGUCAAAAAAAAAGUUUAAGGGAGUGAGGUAAAACAUGGGAUUCGGCUAAAAAGGAAAAAAAAAAAAAAAAAAAGAGAAAAAAAUGUUAUUGAUAUUUGGGCUUAGAUAACUAGUGAGUUUGAAUUGCUUAGUAUAAACUUGAAUGUGAAAGCACUCAUUAGUAGAGAAUCAUCACAUAACUAGAGAUUGAUAUUACUAGUUAGACCCAAUCGAACUAGAGCGGGAAAAGAAAUGAGUGACUUGAGAGCAGCCUUAUAUUUACACCUCGGGGAAAGAAAUGAAUAUCUAUUUGAGGAGUGUAAAUUCCACGAGUGGGAAAGGAAAUAUUUGACUACAAAGGGUUGGGUUGGAGAGAAUCUGAAGAUUUUUCCGUCUUGACAAAUUUUUCCUAAUUUAGAUGAUAAUUGAAAGUGAUUUUACACAUAUACACCGAUCGAACAUUGGAUAAACUCAAAUUAUUUUUGUUAGCAUUAUUUGGAGCAUAUUUGUGAAUUGAUUAUACAAUUUUACACUCAUUGAUAUUUUUGGCAAGCUAUUUAGUGUGUUGACCAUGAUCACUUUUGCUUGAUUGUGUGGUAGAUAAUCUUGCUCGGGACGAGCAAGAGUUUAAGUUUGAGGGUGUGAUAAGUGUGUUUUUGCACACUUAUUGGGCACUUAAUUUGAUAUAAUUAUUGGUAAAAAGAAUGAAAUUCUACUCAUAGUUAAAUAAUAUUUGCUUUUGUAGGUAAAAAUCACCCAAAGAAAAGAGAACAAGGCAAAAGGAGGAAAAAUGACUAAAAUUGUACAAAAUUGUGAAGUUGGAGGCUAAGGCAAAGAAGUCAAAAAGUGGAGGAUUUGGGAUGCAAUUUAUGGAGGGCAAAAUCGAAAUGGAAGUCAAAAUCCGAGGACCAAAUUGUACAAAAUCAAAGUAGAGGAACUAGCAUGCAAUGUUUGAAACUUGGCUGCAAAAAGAAAACCAUUUUCAUGCUUUUGGACAGAGAACCAGGCGCCGCGGCACCCAUUUUAAAAGAAAAAAUGAGUUGGGGGACCUUUUUGUUAACUUUAGAAACUUCAGGGACCAAGGCUGCAAUUUUCCUAGUUUCUAAUAUAAAACCAGCAGCUGAGUUUUUAUUUGCAGCUCUUCAGUUUGGUCUUCUGCUGGGUUUUUUUUUUUUUUUUUUUUUUUUUUUUUUUUUUUUUUUUUUUUUUUUUUUUUUUUUUUUUUUUUUUUUUUUUUUUUUGGUAUUAAAAAAAAAAAAAAAAAAAAAGGGAUUGAAGUUGGAUGAAUUCUUGAAUUCAGGGACCAAUGUAUUGAGUUUGAAAGUAGAAGAGCCUAACAUGCAAUAUUAAAGGACUUGUGACUAAAUUACACAAACCUGUAAAAAGUCGACCCUUGCGAUCACAAGGGUAUAUUUAGUUGCGGUCGCAAAGACUUUUGCAGAAUUGCUUGUGAGAUAUAGUAGGUUAAAUCAAUCAAUUAGGGUUUAUUUCACUCGAGAGAGAUAAUUAGUUAAAAUUGAAAAAUCGGGUCUAACAUCGUAAAUGAGUAAUUCGUUAAUUGACAUAUGAAGAAAUUAAUUAGGCGACGGUUAAGCGAAACCAUGAAUCCCAACCACGUUUUCCUCCAAAAUUCCCAAGAUUUCCAUAUUUUCCUAGUUUGCGUUUUUUUCUUAGUUUCUAAAAUCAACUCUUUAUUGUGUGUUUGUUUAUUUUCAUUGUUAGAAUUAAAUUGAUUAAAAUUGUCUAAUAUAAAGUAAACAUUUCUCGAGGAUCGACAACCCGAACUUCAAAGGUCCACUUUAUUACUUGAACGCGACCCGUGCAUUUGCGGUAUUAUUUUAGCAAACACUUUCCUUUUAUUUUCUUGAUUUUAUGUUUCUCUUUUUUAGCGGACUUAAUAGCCAUUUUGCACGGAUUUGUUAGUGAGGAGUAUUUCCAAAAUAAAAAUGAAGGGUCGAAGACUGUGAUGCAAAUAAAUGAAGUUUGAGGAUAUAAAUGCAUAAGGAGUUGAAGAUUGAGAAUGUGGCUUAAAUUUUCCAAUAUUAAAAAGAAAAUGUUUUGCCCAAGUCAUUUUCUUGACUACUGUCAAGGAAAAAAAAAUAAAUAAAUCUUUUUGCGUUGAAAUUUGACUCCACAUUGUAGGAACUGUAUGGUCCACCCAUGUGAAAUCCAUUGAGUGCCAAAUCAGAGUUCCCGACAAAUUGUCGUAUGCCCAACAUGAUACAUGAUCUACAAUGUGUUACAAAUUGCCCCUGUAGACAUGUAUGUUUAAUCAAUAAAAAAAAAAGUCUGAAAUUUCCUCAAAUUCAAUAAUGAAUUCUUAAAUCAAAUCUGAAUAAUGAAUUUUCAAUCUUUUGAAUUACAAAAUUCGAAUUUUGAUCUCUAGAACUUGAUGAUUUUAACUUGCCAUUUCUAUAUAGUAUUACGUGUCAAACAUGCAAUGAUUUCAUACUUAUUCGUCCUUAUACUACAUCCUCAACUCUCUCCAUCAAAUUCUUCAUCUAUUCUUGCAAAAUAUAUUGUAGCUUAAAGUUAAACCGGUUUCAAGCAUAAUUUAUCGCUCGGGAAUUAUUCACUCAUAAAUAGAAUAUCUGCAAAUCUUGUAUUUUUGUGAAUUUAGUUAUUUUGUUAAUUGAGAAUAAGAUGAAUGAUAAUCUUCUUGGGAGAUCAUUCUUAUGUGAAAUUCAUACAAAUGUCUUGAGUGCUAUUUUCACCUUCACUCAUUUAUUAAAUAUUACAAGUUCUAGCUUUCAUAGGAAAAUAUAUUUUACUUGGUGUGCUGAAGAUAUUCUUCAACCUUCAGUAAAGUGGGGUUCUAGGUUCUCGACCCAAUUAAAUUUGGAAAUUACAUAAAUUGUUAACGUGAACGUCAAAACUGGACAUGACUUAAAAUUGAAUGUAAAGUGGUUUGAUGCUUUGCUCUCCAACUUUAAAUUACAUAAAAGUCAAGCAAUUCUAAUUUUCACAAUGACGAGUUUUUGCCACAUGGCGAUCCAAAUUCACAUAUUUAAAUACGUUGGGUACCCACGAUAGGGAUGACAACGGGAGAGAUGAGACGGGAUGGGAAGCCGCUAGGGAUUCGUCACGCCCUGUCCAAACCUUGAUCCCAGCUUAAGGUGGGGCGGUUGCAGGGGAUAGGGCAAUAUGGAUGGGAUGCCUCCUCUAUGCACAUAUUGUCCGUUUAAUUUUAUUUAAAUCAUAAGCCUUAGAUAUCUCUUUUUAAUUUUCACGCACUAACACAUACUAAAUGCCCACGUCAAUGGCUGCAAAAAUAGGGUCGGCCCUAAUAUUUUGGGGGCCUUAUGUCAAUUUCAAAUUGGGGCCCUAUAUUUUGAAUUUUCUUAUAUAGAGUUUUAGCCCCUGUUUGAUGAAGAUUAAGCCAUUGUUUGAGACUCAUUUUUUUCAUAAAAAUAUAUUUUUCAACAAUGAUUUGACACCACCAUGUCAACAUAUAUUUUUCAAUAAAAUAAUAUUACAUGCAAAUUCAAAAAUUUUCCUUAUUUUUUAAUCACACAUUCUCCAUCGUAUCACUUUCUCAAAAUGCAAUUUUUUUGGAGAAAAAUGAGGCUCAAAGGCUCAAACAACCCCUAAAAUAGAAUUUUCAUUUUUUUUUUCAAAAUGCAUUAUUAUUUUCUUAUGUUUGCAUAUGAUACUUCUAUACUACAGAAUUUCAUAAAUAUAAUUUUCAUUUUUUUUUCAACCAACAAAUUAACUUUACAUAAUUUGGGCCUCACUUAGGUGAUCGCCUAUUUCGUCUAUACUUAGGGCCACCACUGUGCAAAAACAACACAAGCCACCAAAUUUUGUGGUAAACACUGCAAGAAGAGGAGAACCCUAAACAAAGAGAGGUAAUGCUAAGAGGAACUCAUAAAUACGGAAUGGGGUGGAGAAGACAUGGCUGCUAGUUAAAGGAGAUGUGAUUGUGAGUCUCCAUCCUGUGCAACGAAGUCAUGACAUUGAUACCCAUCAACGUCGAUAGCUAGGGGCUGCUACAACGUGGUGCUAAGAAAUUGGGGGGGGGGGGUUUGGAAAUUUUGAAAUGUCUACGCUUUGUGUAAUGCACGUGCUUAUUUUUUGUGAUUAUCAUGUUUAUCUAAAUUAGUUGCGUUUAUGUUACAUUUACUAUUAAAUUAUUAUAAUUAUCAUAGUCGUGAUUAAUUAUGUUGAUAUAGUGGAAUGUGCCUUGGAUCAAAGUCGUGAUUAAUUAUGUUGAUACAGUGGAAUGUGCCUUGGACACUCUAUGCGAUCGACAUGCCUAUAGCUCCAAACUUAAAAUACAUAUGACUCUAUUUAAAUAUGCAAUUUAAUAUAAUUUGACGCCGUAUCACAUUCCUAUUAAUUUAAUUGUAUUGUCUAUAAUUAAUUUUAUUUAGUUAGAUUAAAUUAUAUAACGUAUUUAUCCUAUUAUGUACAAUCUCUUUUUUAGAUUGAACCUAGACAUUGAGUUGGAAGAUUUCUUUUUAUAAGUAAAUAAAUAAAUAAAAAUAAUAAUGAUAUAUAGUUAAUAAUUGAAUUAAUUUUCUAAUAGGAUCAAUUUAAGGUUAAGGAAGUUAAUAUAGAUAAAUAAGGAGGCGUAAUUUGUUAGAUUAGUACAAAUUAAACUAAAUAAACGCCAGUAGGUUUAGGAGUCUACAUAGUUGCCUUAUUUCACAUCUUUUUAAAAUUAAGUAGAAACUCUUUUUCCUGCCAAAAGUUUAAUUUCAAUUUCUUAUUUUGGGACUAGUAUGCUCUUGCAAUAAGGUAUGGUUCAUAAUUUAUUCAUGAUAUAAUCUAUCGGUUAACCUAUGUGUUUAAUUCUCUCUCUCUCUCUCUCUCUCUCUCUCUACACUACCAUAAAAGAGAGAAUGAGGGUUUACUGUUUAUUUUUGUCACACUCGUUUUCACACUUAACCGGUUUGGGAACUGGUUUGACAACAAGAAAAAUUCUAUUAAAAAAUACUAUAGGAAUUUUGUCAGGAAAAAUUCUAUUCAAAAUACUGUAGGAAUUUUGUCACACACCAUUGUCUACUGUAAUAUUUCUCCCUUGCUUUGAAUCUGACACACCAUGCUCUUUCUCCUAAUUCUCAAGCUAUAAACUACAAACUAUAUCUUAUAUAUUUAAAUUUUUUAAAUUAUAUUAAUAAACAAAAUUAUUGUAAAUAAACUAUAAAAAAAAUAUAUUCACUCUGUGCAUGGAGAAAAAAAUUUACGUCAUACUACAUAAUUUUUUUUGAGCAAAAUGAUGUAUUGAGAAAAUUGUUGGGAAAAAAUAAUAAAUAGUAAUAAAAUAAUUGAUUUUUUUAAAAGAAAAAUGACUUAUACGCAUUUUUUAACACAUACGUUUAAUGUCCGUUUAACUAUUUUCGAUAUUCAUUUAGAUCAUUCGAUGUGUCUAUGAUAUAGUUCUUGAAAUGAGUUUCGAGAGAAUGUAAAAUAUUUAUCGAUUCGACUAUCGUGCAAUCGUCAAUGAAUUUUUAAAGUUAACUCAUUAUCGAAAAUUUCGAAAUAUAGUUUGAAAAUGCCUAUUUUGACGUCCCGUAACAUUUGCUACGAUUAGCCGUUUCACGCAUCGUUAACGACAUGCAAUACUAUGCCGCAAGUACUUCAAAAUGAUAUUAAGAAUGUAAUAUUUCAAUUUCGUUUGAUAUCCCGUAAUGAGCCUGAGAUGAAUACAAAAACAUAAAUUAAAAAAAAAAAUUAGCAAACCUCCGUGCACGGAGGUUAAACCUCCAUACACGAAGGUUUAUGCGUGCGGGGAGUCCCCGCACAAAUAUGCAAUUUUUUUUUUUACUUUUAUUUGUAGUACAUUUUUUUAUUAAUAUUUAAUUUAAAAAAAUUAAAUAUAUCUAAAUAUUUACUUAAAAAUGUUGAAAUUAAUAUUUUUUACGUAUAAGUAACUUUUACAAUUAUAAUUUUUUUUAUUACUUUUAAAUAACUUGAAGUGAUUUGUUUAUUUAUAAAUAACUUUUUACAUUCUCGAUAGUUUAAUCUUUUUAUUAAUAUUUAAUUUUAAAAACUAAAUAUAUCUAAAUAUUUGUACUUAAAAAAUUCACAUUUUUUUAUAUAAGUAGCUUUUGCAAUUAUAAGAGAAUGAGGGAUUAAUAUUUUUUUAUCUUUUAGAUAGUGUAAUCUCUUUUUUUACUUUUAAAUAACUUAACCGAUUUGGGAACUGGUUUGGUAACAGGAAAAAUUCUAUUCAAAAAUACUGUAGAAAUUUGUCACAUGCCAUUUGAGUGCAAUGUCACAUCCACUGCAAUAUUUCUCUCUUACUUUGAAUCUGACACACCAUGCUCUUUCUCUUAAUUCUCACGUUAUUAACUAUUAAUCAUAUCCUAUAUAUUUAAUUUUUUAAAAUUAUAUUAAUAGAAAAACUUAUUGUAAAUAAAAUGUAAAAAAAAAAAUAUAUAUAUAUAUAUAUUCACUCCGUGCAUGAAGAAAUUUUUUUACGUCAUACCACAUAAGUUUUCUUAAGCAAAAUGAUGUAUUGAGAAAAUUAUUGCGAAAAAAUAAUAAAUAGUAAUAAAAUAAUUGAUUUUUUUUGAAGAAAAACGAUUUAUACGCAUUUUUUAACACAUAUGUUUAAUGUGCGUUUAACUAUUUUUGAUAUUAAUUUACAUCAUUUGAUGUGUUUAUGAUAUAUUUCUCGAAAUGAGUUUCGAGAGAAUGUAAAACAUUUAUUGAUUUGACUAUCGUAUAGUGGUAGAUGAAUUUUUAAAGUUAGCUUAUUAUCGAAAAUUUCGAAAUACAGUUUGAAAAUGUCUAUUUUGACGUCCCGUGACAUUUGCUACGAUUAGCCGUUUCACGCACCGCUAAUGACGUGCAAUACUAUAUCGCAAGUACUUUAAUAUGAUAUUAAGAAUAUAAUAUUUUAAUUUCGUUUGAUAUCCCCUAAUGAGUCUAAAAAUGAACAUAAAAACAUAAGCUAAAAAAAAAUGAAGCAACAUGUAUUAAACCUCCUCAUGUCCUCGGUGCACGCACCAAUCCGAUUUUUGGUUACCCAUUUUCUCCACCACUUAACCCUAAUUGUUCUCUCUCUCUCUCUCUCUCGAUCGGCACCAUUGUAGCAAGAAAUUCUGGAAAACCUGAAGCAACUGAGACAUAUACUUGUAAGUCUAAUCAUCACUGCUUCGACUUCUUUCUCUUCUCUUCUGUAUAUUGCUUCUAAUUUGUCGAGUUGUAUUGUUCAAUAUAUUCUUAGUUUUCAAUUUUUUUUUUUUUUUUUUGUUUUUUGAAGAGUUCAAGCCCAAAUACGUAAAGUCAUGUUUCAAGGGGGGGUUAGGUUUGGGUUGUUGUGUAUAUGUUUUUCAAUUUAUAUAGCUGUGGUAUUGAAUAUGAGAUUUCUUGUCCAAUUUGCUUUUUUUUUUGUUCCCCGUUUUCCUUCUUCUGAGAGGUCGAACCCAAAAUACCUAAAGUCUAUUAUUUUCAUGUUGUUAUUAUUUUUUUCUAUUAUUAUUUUCAUGUUAUUAUUAUUAUUUUUUUUUGUUCAAUUUCUUCGUGUUGUGUAUAAGUUUUUUUUUAUUUCUGCAGCCGUCAUGUUGAAUAUGAGAUUUUUUGUUCAAUCUGUGUUUUUUUCCUCAUUUUUUGUAAGAAACUGAACUGAAAAGACAUAUAAUUUGUUCUUCCCAUGUUUGGCUCUUUGAUUAUAUUUAACUUUAAGAAGGAGAACAAAAUGUUUCAAGUCGGAUAAUUCAUUAAAUACCCAAAUGCAAAUUCCGAAAAAGGUUAUCAUUGCUUUUCACUUGCUGCAAUUGAUACACAUGAGUGCUUAAUUUGAUGUUUGUGAUUGACAGAUUUUGAUGAAUACUGUACUACCANNNNNNNNNNNNNNNNNNNNNNNNNNNNNNNNNNNNNNNNNNNNNNNNNNNNNNNNNNNNNNNNNNNNNNNNNNNNNNNNNNNNNNNNNNNNNNNNNNNNNNNNNNNNNNNNNNNNNNNNNNNNNNNNNNNNNNNNNNNNNNNNNNNNNNNNNNNNNNNNNNNNNNNNNNNNNNNNNNNNNNNNNNNNNNNNNNNNNNNNNNNNNNNNNNNNNNNNNNNNNNNNNNNNNNNNNNNNNNNNNNNNNNNNNNNNNNNNNNNNNNNNNNNNNNNNNNNNNNNNNNNNNNNNNNNNNNNNNNNNNNNNNNNNNNNNNNNNNNNNNNNNNNNNNNNNNNNNNNNNNNNNNNNNNNNNNNNNNNNNNNNNNNNNNNNNNNNNNNNNNNNNNNNNNNNNNNNNNNNNNNNNNNNNNNNNNNNNNNNNNNNNNNNNNNNNNNNNNNNNNNNNNNNNNNNNNNNNNNNNNNNNNNNNNNNNNNNNNNNNNNNNNNNNNNNNNNNNNNNNNNNNNNNNNNNNNNNNNNNNNNNNNNNNNNNNNNNNNNNNNNNNNNNNNNNNNNNNNNNNNNNNNNNNNNNNNNNNNNNNNNNNNNNNNNNNNNNNNNNNNNNNNNNNNNNNNNNNNNNNNNNNNNNNNNNNNNNNNNNNNNNNNNNNNNNNNNNNNNNNNNNNNNNNNNNNNNNNNNNNNNNNNNNNNNNNNNNNNNNNNNNNNNNNNNNNNNNNNNNNNNNNNNNNNNNNNNNNNNNNNNNNNNNNNNNNNNNNNNNNNNNNNNNNNNNNNNNNNNNNNNNNNNNNNNNNNNNNNNNNNNNNNNNNNNNNNNNNNNNNNNNNNNNNNNNNNNNNNNNNNNNNNNNNNNNNNNNNNNNNNNNNNNNNNNNNNNNNNNNNNNNNNNNNNNNNNNNNNNNNNNNNNNNNNNNNNNNNNNNNNNNNNNNNNNNNNNNNNNNNNNNNNNNNNNNNNNNNNNNNNNNNNNNNNNNNNNNNNNNNNNNNNNNNNNNNNNNNNNNNNNNNNNNNNNNNNNNNNNNNNNNNNNNNNNNNNNNNNNNNNNNNNNNNNNNNNNNNNNNNNNNNNNNNNNNNNNNNNNNNNNNNNNNNNNNNNNNNNNNNNNNNNNNNNNNNNNNNNNNNNNNNNNNNNNNNNNNNNNNNNNNNNNNNNNNNNNNNNNNNNNNNNNNNNNNNNNNNNNNNNNNNNNNNNNNNNNNNNNNNNNNNNNNNNNNNNNNNNNNNNNNNNNNNNNNNNNNNNNNNNNNNNNNNNNNNNNNNNNNNNNNNNNNNNNNNNNNNNNNNNNNNNNNNNNNNNNNNNNNNNNNNNNNNNNNNNNNNNNNNNNNNNNNNNNNNNNNNNNNNNNNNNNNNNNNNNNNNNNNNNNNNNNNNNNNNNNNNNNNNNNNNNNNNNNNNNNNNNNNNNNNNNNNNNNNNNNNNNNNNNNNNNNNNNNNNNNNNNNNNNNNNNNNNNNNNNNNNNNNNNNNNNNNNNNNNNNNNNNNNNNNNNNNNNNNNNNNNNNNNNNNNNNNNNNNNNNNNNNNNNNNNNNNNNNNNNNNNNNNNNNNNNNNNNNNNNNNNNNNNNNNNNNNNNNNNNNNNNNNNNNNNNNNNNNNNNNNNNNNNNNNNNNNNNNNNNNNNNNNNNNNNNNNNNNNNNNNNNNNNNNNNNNNNNNNNNNNNNNNNNNNNNNNNNNNNNNNNNNNNNNNNNNNNNNNNNNNNNNNNNNNNNNNNNNNNNNNNNNNNNNNNNNNNNNNNNNNNNNNNNNNNNNNNNNNNNNNNNNNNNNNNNNNNNNNNNNNNNNNNNNNNNNNNNNNNNNNNNNNNNNNNNNNNNNNNNNNNNNNNNNNNNNNNNNNNNNNNNNNNNNNNNNNNNNNNNNNNNNNNNNNNNNNNNNNNNNNNNNNNNNNNNNNNNNNNNNNNNNNNNNNNNNNNNNNNNNNNNNNNNNNNNNNNNNNNNNNNNNNNNNNNNNNNNNNNNNNNNNNNNNNNNNNNNNNNNNNNNNNNNNNNNNNNNNNNNNNNNNNNNNNNNNNNNNNNNNNNNNNNNNNNNNNNNNNNNNNNNNNNNNNNNNNNNNNNNNNNNNNNNNNNNNNNNNNNNNNNNNNNNNNNNNNNNNNNNNNNNNNNNNNNNNNNNNNNNNNNNNNNNNNNNNNNNNNNNNNNNNNNNNNNNNNNNNNNNNNNNNNNNNNNNNNNNNNNNNNNNNNNNNNNNNNNNNNNNNNNNNNNNNNNNNNNNNNNNNNNNNNNNNNNNNNNNNNNNNNNNNNNNNNNNNNNNNNNNNNNNNNNNNNNNNNNNNNNNNNNNNNNNNNNNNNNNNNNNNNNNNNNNNNNNNNNNNNNNNNNNNNNNNNNNNNNNNNNNNNNNNNNNNNNNNNNNNNNNNNNNNNNNNNNNNNNNNNNNNNNNNNNNNNNNNNNNNNNNNNNNNNNNNNNNNNNNNNNNNNNNNNNNNNNNNNNNNNNNNNNNNNNNNNNNNNNNNNNNNNNNNNNNNNNNNNNNNNNNNNNNNNNNNNNNNNNNNNNNNNNNNNNNNNNNNNNNNNNNNNNNNNNNNNNNNNNNNNNNNNNNNNNNNNNNNNNNNNNNNNNNNGAUUGAGCUGGUGUGACUGCAAUGGUAUAAUUAUUGCAUGUUUAAUUAUUGUACAUGCAUGUAUUAGCCAAUAAUUUUUGCUUCCCCAGAAAAUUCAACUGAUGGGGAUAAAUUGGAAAAACUUUCUCGUUGUCAUUUGCAUCAUCUGCAAUCAAGCGUUAGCAAGCGCAAUCGUGCUUGGUGUACAAUCAUUUUUACAAUAUUGUUGAUAACAUGCCAUGGGUCAUGUUGUCAUUGGAUAAUUUAAAAAACAAUUUAUAUUUCCUACUAACACUUUUAUGACAUAUACAACAUCGUCAACAAUGUUGUCAAAAAUCAUUGUACAAAUGGCAUUAUCCUAGCAAGAAACACAAGGCAUACGGUGAUGCAAAUAAUGGGCAUAAGCCAUUAGCAUACGGAGAAAAGCCAAGGAAGGCAGCAAACGUUCCUUUUGAUAUUUCCUUACUUGAUAAGUUGCUGUCAGCUUUCUUCCCUUCAUUUUUCUUCCUAAAAAAUAAUUUGUUAUUUGUACUCCUCAUACAUGUGGAAUUCAUGGAUCUUAGGAUAAUCCCAACGCCUAAAAUAUUCGUUGAUGACUUUUGCAUUCCCUAGGCUAAAUUUCACUGGUUUUGUUGAAGAUAUCUAUAUAUAUGUAGAUGAAUAAUACUAUUUUUUCGAGUGUAGAUGAUUUCCUUACGAUAGUAGAAUUUGUUGCUCAAUUCUACACUAAUGGUCAUUAGUUGCUUUCUUUGCCAUUUAUGCUUGUUUUCUUAUUAUAUUUCAUUUCGGGUUUAAUUUUAAUUUAGUGAUAUUAUGGUACAUGGUGUUUGUUAUACUGUGGCUAAGUUCUCAUUUUUAGGUACAUUUGGAUUCAUUAACAUUCUUUUACAUGGCUGUUCUUUAAAACUUAGCCAAAGAUGAUGUUGCAUGGUUGAAGUGGCAAGGUUUUCAUAUUUAGGUAGAAUCAUUUUUGUAUCUAAUACUAAGAGUUGUAACCAAAAUGGUUAAAGUAGGACAAAAGCUUUUACUUAGUGUUUCAUUAUGAUACAUGGAUUGAAAUUUAGAUCUAUCCUAUAACCUCUAUAACUGCAGAUAAUGUAUGUAUUAGAUAGUUUUCUCUUAUAAUUAAAUAUAUAUUAAAUUCUUUUGUCAAAGCAAUUAGUUACAAGGUGUAAGAAAUAUUAAUUUUGUAACAUAGAAUGGAGUUAAUUCGUGAAGUUUAUCAGUUAUUAAGUACUAUUAUUUUACAACAUGUUCAUUUUAAGAGAAUUGAUGUUACUUGAGAAAUUGAAGGAAUGCAUUUGUUGCGCCAAAAGGGGAUAAAGACUGAAUAGACAUAGGUAUUCUUUGACCUAACGAAAGAACUGAAAAAUACCAUGCAUGGUGUUUGAUUAAUAAAGUGCUUUCUCUGUGUUGUGGUAUAUCUUAUUGUCUGAUGCAGGCAAUAAGAUCACUAGGGAAAUGAGAGCUUUCCAAAAUACCAUAGAAUCUUGAAGGAAAUUCAAGUUUGAUUACUUCAGGUAUGUUAGUUUCUAUUUUUUGUUGUCAAUCUUCAAAUUGUUUGUUUUCUCUUUUCAGAAAAUUUAACAAACCGUUCCCAAAAUACCAGAAAAUUUCGACAAAAAUUGGACUCCGAGGACCUCGAGUAUCUUCCUUUAUUAUUUUUCUGUGUAUUUUUUGUUGAAUUAUCUUCAUAUCUACUCUGAAGUUUUCGUUCUUUUCCGUCUAUGUUUGAAGUUCUUUGCAAGGAAAGAAAAGAUUCACGUACAAAUUGAAGAGUAUCAAAAUAAGGUAUGUCGAUUUCAUAUUUGCCUUUAAUAAGGUAUGUCGAUUUCAUAUUUGCCUUUUUUUUUCUUUUUUUCAAAUAAAUCAUUCUCACUAUUUGUUAUCUGUUUGUAUUUUAUUUGAUUUCUCUAUUUCAUUUUAUUGCUUUUUGUUGGUUGUUUAACCUAUUCGGCGUUCGUCGCAACUUGUACAAAUAAACCAUGACAAGAAUAUUGUACUUGUAAAUAGGUAAUAUUAUUUCAUUUUUUAGAUAGUAAUUAUGAAUAGGGAGAGGAGAAAGCGAUUAAACUAUUCACAUUCUCCUCUGUGAUUCCUAACAACAAAGGACUGAUGACUCUAUCGAGAAACAAAAGUAGCAACUUCAGAAGGAAAGAAUUGAAUCAAAUUGCCAUUAAUUUUUUUUGGUAAUAAAUGAAUUAAAUUUCGGUUAUUUUGUUAAUUAAUUUAGUGUUGAUUGAUUUUUUUUUUUUACCGUAUUUUAUCUUUAAAUACAUAUGCAAUCAUUUGUGCCAAAAGACAAAAGUGAAAAUUGAUGGGGUUUUAUUUUUUUUUUUUUUAUUUUUUAAAUGGGUUUGCAUUGUGUUAGAAAUGGGAAGGAUUUUGACACCAAACCGUCUGAUUAUGGAGAAAAGAUAAUAAGUUAAGAAAGAACGGGAAGUUAUUUAAAAAAUUUCAAGUUUUUUCAUAUUAUGUAGGAGAUGGGAUUUCUAUUUUUCUGGCAGAAUUUUCAUCAAUUGUCCAAAUUCAUUUGUCAAUGAGGUAAUUGCUAUUCCAUUAUGCCACAUACAAAGGAUAGAUUUUUGAAUCAAUUUUCGUCUAAGGAUUUGGUUCUAUGGUGUCUCAAAUCCAUGCAUUCGCUGCAUAGUUCUAGCCAGUAGUUCUUAGCCAAAGAGAAUAAACAUUCUAUAACUAUUUAUGAUAAAUAUGAAAUUCACUCAUUUGCUUAUGAGCUGCAUUAUUUAGAAAUAGAUUUUUUUUCCCUCUCUCAUUUUCCCUUCAAAACUCCAUUUUCUCCCCUCUUUUCCUUUUUUUGGAUGGAAAUUUUUUUAAUGGAAUUAUCCUUUUCAGACUUAGAAUCUGAUAUAAUCAUUUUCUUAUAUCUUCGAAAGACAAUCAGGUAUGACUUUUAGAUUUCCUUUUGUAAAAAUCUUAUGUUGCAAUGCUAUUGGAAUUUCAAUGAAAGAGAAUUUUUCUAAUACCCUUUUUUUCUUUUUUUAUGGAGAUUGUAUAUUCACCCAAUGGCUAUUAUUUCGAUUAUUUGUUUAAAUUUUUUUGUGUUAAGGUUGCAAUUUUUUUUGCCUUUUGGAAAUCACUUAAUGGGGUUGUCAGUCUCUUUUCUUGAUUUAAAUAUCUCUCAGGACUUAAUUUGAAGGCAUGCAUUAUGUGAGAACAUGUGAAGGAAGUGAUAAUAUUUUAAUGUAGGGUUUUGAAGAAGUUCAAAGACAAGAUAUCUGAGUUCCAGGUAAAUUAGAUACACAAUAUAAUGGAAAGGUUUGAAUUUCUUCCAAUUCUUCUUUCCAUUUCUCAUUAUCUCUUAAUAAUAAUUUUCUAUAGGCUUUAAGACAAAACAUCCAUCGAGAGUAUCGUGAAAGUUGUCAAGAGGCGUGUAUUCACAGGUUUAACCCUUAUUAUAUGAAAUGAACUUGUGUAACUCUGUGUAAUAGGUUCCUUUCUCUUUAUUCAAUUAACAAUUUCCUUUUUCAUGAACCUCAGUGACAGAAAGUCAAGCUAAUGAAGAGGUAAAACUUGCAACCACGUUUUUAUUCUAAUAAUUAGAAUGUCAUGGACAGGUUUCUCAUUGCUCAAAUGUUUUGCCGCAGACAAUUGAUAAUUGACCAGGACUGGGGAUAGUGAACAAAUCCUUAUGACAUUGUUGUUAUGUGUUAAUUGUCUCAAUGGCAUAUUUCUAUUUACAUAUCUAUAUUAAGGAAGUUAGGACUAUUGGAAUGCUACAUGUUGCAACUUAUAAGCUCAAAUUAAUAAGCAAGUAUGAAAAUAAAGCUUAAUAUCUCAUGGCUGAAAAUAAUCGUUUAUUAGAUUCACGUAUUAUAAUUUUCUGGAUGUAUUCAUCUGUUGUUUUGGUUCCAUUAAGCAUGUGACUUCGGGAUUGCCUCCUCUAAAAUUUGUUCACAUCAAAGAGCAUUCCAUGUUUUAUUGUUAUUUAUUUUUGAAACUUUAACUAAUUCAACUAUGUAAUUAUGGCCCCAUUUGAUCUAUGUACAAGGUUCUGAGAAAUUAUAUAAUUGCAACUGUUGGAUUGUCAAAAGCUUCCACAUGUUGAGCUCGUUUUAAUUUUUCAGUAGAAUUUGAAUUGUAUAAAUGUUGUCUUUAGCAUUCCUCUCAAAACGUUUGUUUUUUUAUGUUUCAUGUAUUGCUUUUUCUUAAGAGUUAUUUAGUUUUACUAGCUUCUUUUUUAAUACAUUGGUCCUAAAAUGGUUUUCUACAAUUUCCUUUGUAACAGGCAAGCUUAGUUACUAGCACCACAAGUUACCAUGUUCCACCACAAAAGUAAUUGUCAAAGUGAUUAGGCGAGUGAUGACCUGAGCAUGAACACGUGGAUAGUUAGGAACAUCUCCCAUUGUCAUUCAAAAACCAUAUUACUAGGAUUCAAGGUAAGUAUACCUCACAUUGUCUUCAUGUGCAUAUUUAAUUAUUAAAUGUAUAAAUGUGUUACUUAAAUUUGUUAUUAUGUGAUCUUGAUAUUUAAUUAUUUCGUUUUAUGUCAUUAAUGCUUCUUUAUGACAUAUUCAUACACAUCAAUGCAUCCAUAAGCAUACAAGAAGUUCCAAGAAAAAAUGAAAGUUUCCAAAUGUUAAUGAAGCAAGGAAUGUUUUUAAAGAUAUAUAUCUCGAAUAUUUUCUUACGAGGUGUAUAUCUAUGUCAUGAAGGGUGUGAGUGGGGAACCGGCACACCCGACUAAUGUUCAAUGAUAAUGUUAAUGUUAUUCGUUUUGUGGACCUAUUGGUAGGACUCGAUCGUGUUCCAAAUAAUAAAUGUACACUGCAUUUUGAUUGGCUAGGUGAUACAUCAAGUGAGCUCACGACGUCAAUAUUAAAUUUUUUUUUUUUUUUAAAAAUGAAUGAAAGAGGAUACAUAUUGAGGAAUGAUUUUAUCUUAAAAUAAUUCAUGUGCAUAUCAUAAGCAUAUAUCAUAUGCAUGAGAUUUGCUUCCUAAGCGUUCGCUCAUUUCACGUUAUUCCUCCCAAUUUUUAGAUAAUGAAGGCAACAAUUCAAGACGAUUACUUGUGGUGCAAUGGAUUGAGUACUAAUAUAUUCAAAAAUUGACUCCUUUUAGAAUAUAAAGUUAACAUUUAAUUUUAUUGUUUUUUAAAUUUAAGUGUAAAAGUUUUCUACAAGUUACGCUCAUAAACGAAGUUAAUAAUGUUCAUUAUAUCAAAGAAAAAUUUCGUUGCUUCCGCAUUUAUAAUUUUAAUAGAAAACCUUUAGCACCAUAUCUUAAGACAUCGAGGAUGUCUAGGAUCCAGGCCCCCCCCCCCCCCCCCCCCCCUUCCCCCCANNNNNNNNNNNNNNNNNNNNNNNNNNNNNNNNNNNNNNNNNNNNNNNNNNNNNNNNNNNNNNNNNNNNNNNNNNNNNNNNNNNNNNNNNNNNNNNNNNNNNNNNNNNNNNNNNNNNNNNNNNNNNNNNNNNNNNNNNNNNNNNNNNNNNNNNNNNNNNNNNNNNNNNNNNNNNNNNNNNNNNNNNNNNNNNNNNNNNNNNNNNNNNNNNNNNNNNNNNNNNNNNNNNNNNNNNNNNNNNNNNNNNNNNNNNNNNNNNNNNNNNNNNNNNNNNNNNNNNNNNNNNNNNNNNNNNNNNNNNNNNNNNNNNNNNNNNNNNNNNNNNNNNNNNUUUUUUUUUUUUUUCAAUUAGGGGCAAAAAACGACGCCGUUUGCUUGAUAUAUAUUUUAUUUUAUUGUACACUACCUCCAAAUUUACUGCAACAUGCAAUUUUCAUUCUUCGCCUACUUCGAUAUAGAUAUAUAUAGUAGAGAUAUAAGAAAAAUACCACUUUUAUAUUAAAAAAAAAAUAAAAAAAGAUAGAGAUAAUAUAGGACUGAAUUUUUUUUACAACAUAUUACUUGUAAGUAAAAAAAUUGAAGAGAAACGAAUUAAAGAGAAUUUUAAAUUGAAAAAAAAAUUAUAACGUAAAAACUACACAGCAAAAAAAAAAAGUAAGUAAUCUCUUCGUGCAUGGAGCAAAAGCUCCCGUGCAUGGAGACAUUAGUCAUUUUUUAUUUUCCAUUUUGUUUAUGUCAAACAAAUGUUCUUCUACACAUCAUGUCAUUAGCAUUAAAAAAUAAUAAUAAUUUUAGUAAAUAUAAAUUACCACGAGCAAAAAAAAAAAACUCCUCUCCACACAAUGCGGAGAGAUGGCAAACCAUGUGCGUAGAGUUGACAAACUCUCUGUACAGUGAGAAGUUAAAAAAAAAUUUAUAAAUUUUUUUUUAUUACAAUUAACAUAAAAAAAUCAUUUUUAUCUUCAACAAAAAAACACAUUUAAAAAUUAGCAAUUUCAUAAUCACUUUUUUUUUAUUCCCGAAAAUACAAUUAUAAAAAAGAAAAUAAUAUUGAAUUAUAAAAACCAAUAUCUGCGAAAUACGGUAUCUAAAGACAAUAUGUGCAAAUACGGUAUGAUGUAAAUACAGUAUGAUGCAAAUAUGAUAUACUGUAUAUAUAGUAUGAUACAAAUACGAUAUGUUGUAAAUACGAUAUGAUGCAAAUAUGGUACGCUGUAAAUACGGUGUGCUGCAUAUACGGUAUAAUGCAAAUACAGUAUGAUGCAAAUACGGUAUGCUGUAAAUACGGUGUGCUGCAUAUACGGUAUGAUGCAAAUAUAAUAUGCUGCAUAUACGGUACGUUGUAAAUAUGGUAUGCGUAAAUACGGUAUAUUACAUGUAUGAUAUAUAUAAUGCAUAUGCGGUAUGAAUAAAUCCGGUUUCAUCCACUACAAUAAAUUUCAAUACCAUAUAUGCUGUCUUUCGUAUUUGCAGUUUACCAUAUAUGCAGCCUACCGUAUUUGCAGGCAACUUACCGUAUAUGCUACCUACUUUAUGUGCAGCUUAUCGUAUAUACCAUUUUUGCACUUACAAAUACCGAGAGUGCAGAACACCAUACAUUCACUUAUCAAACGAAUGUCAGAAAAAAAUUUCAGAUUUUUACUUUUCAACAUAAGCAUAAAAUAAAUAUUAAAAUAUAUGAAAGACAAAAUAUAAAACGCAUAUAAAUAUGCAAGUUGAUUUAUAAUUAUGCAGUGGCACAUAUUAUACAUUUAAAAUUUCUUAUGUCGGUGCAAAAUAACUUUGAAGUCAUUCUAGAGCAAAUUAAACCACUGCAAUGUCUAUUCUAGAAAUACAAUUGUGCAAAUUAAUAUGAAUUAAAUCUACAUUACAUUGGACUUGGAUUUAUUUAUAACAAAUAUUGGUGAUUAGUCUAAAGACAAUAUGUGCAAAUACGGUAUGCUAUAUACUAUAUGUUAUAGUUAAGAUAUAACAUACUAUACGUAUAUGUUAUAAUACAAUGUUUAGCAUAAUAUAAUGAGAAAUUAUUGUUGUACAAUUUUUUUUUGUUAUAUUACAGCAAAAUGCAUAUUACAACAUAUAACUUACCGUAUGUGCUCUAAUACAAUCUGUGCGGCGACUUUCUAUUUUUUUUAAAAUUUAAUCAUGUAACCUAAUAUUUGUUUAGUUUGUUAUUUUAUUAAUUAAAAAUAUGUAUUAAAUCUAAUAACAAAAUAUAAUUACAAGAAUAAGUUUAAUUUCAAUAUAAUAAAAAAAAUUUCGAGGAAAUAAUCAUUGCUAACAACAAAAGAAUCUAAAAAAAUGAAGAAGACAAAAACGAAAAAAGUAAAAUUUGUGAAAAGAAGAAAAUGAAAACAUGAUACCAAAAAAUUUGGCAUUAUUGUUUGAAUGAGAAAUGUUUUAUUGAUACACAAAAGACUUUUGCAGUCACCAGGUUAAAAGUAUAGAUUUAUUGUGUUGUGAAUUUUUUUUAAAUAAUCGUAGUAAAUCUUCUUGUUACGAUAAUAAAAUUACAAUAAUUUUUUUUUUACAAAUAGCAUAAAAAAAUCAUUUUUAUCUUCAACAAAAAACACAUGUAAAAAUUUUCAAUUUCAUAAUCACCUUUUUUUUUAAAUUCCCCAAAAUAAAAUUAUAAAAAAGAAAACAAUAUUGAAUUACAAAAACCAAUAUCUGCCAAAUACGGUAUCUAAAGACAAUAUGUGCAAAUAUGGUAUGCUGUAAAUAUGGUAUGAUGCAAAUACAGUAUGCUGUAAAUACGAUCUGAUUCAAAUACGGUAUGCUGUAAAUACGAUAUGCUGCAUAUAUGGUAAGCUGCAAAUACGGUAUGCGUAAAUACGGUAUGUGGCAUAUAUGAUAUGUAAAGUGCAUAUACGGUAUGAAUGAAUCCGGUUUCAUCCACUACAAUAAAUUUCAAUACCGUAUAUGCUGUCUACCGUAUUUGCAGCCUACAAUAUAUAUAGUCUACCGUAUUUGUAGGCAACUUACCGUAUAUGCUACCUACCGUAUUGCAGCUUACCGUAUAUACUGAUUUUUGCGCUUACAAAUACUGAGAAUGCAAAACAUCAUACAUUCACUUAUCAAACCGAAUGUCAGAAAAAAAAUUUCAUAUUUUUAUUUUUUCAACAUAAGCAUAAAAUAAAUAUUAAAAUAUAUGAUGCUCAAUCUUCAAUUUUUCAAUAUUGAAUUACACAAAUUUUAGAAAUAUAAUGUUCACAUUCAAUUCAAUCAUAUCAACACUAUCAAAGAAUACAGGCAAAAUAGUUUGUAUAACCUCGUAUAUUUCUUAUUUAAGUAUGAAAUAUACAAGCAUAUUUUUUUAGAUAACACAAUACUGUUGUAAUUGUAAAAAUAAUUUGCAAUCAUUUUCUUAUAUCAUGAAAAUAUUUCUAGAUAUUACUUCAAAAACUUUCCAAAAAACUAAAAUUCAUAAGCUAAUAAAAAUAUGAUAAAUACAAAAUUCGUGCAACGCACAUGACAGCGACUAGUAUGAAGAAAAAGGGCAAAUGACUAACCUAUUCAAUGUAGUGAAGUGGCUCUUGUAUUCAAUGUUCACAUGCCCAAGAUGGGUUCAAUUCCCAACAUUGUGAAAUUAAUUUUUCCUCCAAUUUUCGGGGCGAUUUUGAGGUGGAAACCUUGUUCCCUUGUAGUGUCUCUACACGAGAUAAGAACUCUUUUCCUAGCCGGGCCAGCCUACCCUAAUUCCUCGAUUAAUCAAGAAUUUUCUGUUAUUUAGGAUAGUCCUUGUUGGCAUCAAGACAAUCGAAAAUAAUUGUCAUCCUAACCUAAAAUAUCAUUUUUGAAUGUUGAGACCCGAAACCAUAUUAAUUCAAAUGUUAUCUAGCACAAAUCUAAUUUUUCUCAUAUUGAAUAGAAAUUCACGUGCCCACCUUUAAACAAAACAAUUGUAGAAGAAAAAUCAAGAAAAUAUAAAGAAUAUCGCAAAAUUCACUUAAAGGCCACUGCCUCCCACUACUGGGCAAAUCUCCUGAAUCGAACCGAAUCGAACCUGACGGUUCUUCUCAAAUUAAAUACCCAAACGGGUAUCUGAAUUAAGAACUGACGGGUACGAUUCGGUUCUCGAUUCUAGACGAAGAACCGAAUAUUCCUAAUUUUUAUUUUUUUAUAUUGAAUAAAUCAAAUUAUUUUAAUUUUUUCCAAACAAAUUAACAAAUUAGGUGAUUAAUUGAUACUUUAUCUCCUAAGCCCUAGCCUAGCUAGCUUGACCUAACCCAACCAAUUUCUAAAUCCAAUUUUUUGGCCCAAUUAUUUGUUUCAUUUCUAUUUUUUUAAUUUUUAGCCCAAGUGUCAUUUUUAGUUUUUAUUCUUCCAUUUUUUUAGCCCAACAUCCAAGUGAUCCAACCCACUAGUGACUAACCCUAAAUAAAUUACACACAUUAUCACCUACACAUAACACAUUUGACAUUCCAAAACUCAAAUAGAUGUAUAGAACCUCCGACUUCGAGUCCGAAGCUAUGACCUCCGGGCUCCGAUGACGACCUUUGACCGUUGAUUAUUUGAAUAAGGUAGUGUGUAAGCUUUCCUAUAUGUGAUUGGUAAAUUAAUCUUGUUGGACAACUUGUUAUAUACAUGUCAAAUUGGAUUACGUUAAUUUAUAAAAUUACGAUUGAAUGUGUUAUUAGUUGUAUUUAUAUAGUGUUGUUAUAAAUGUUAAAAAAUUUAAUUAUAUAGUACAGAACAGAACCGAACCGAACGGAACUGAACCCGAACGGUUCCAUAAUUAUAUUUGGACCCGACAGUUCUAUUUACUAAAUAUCCAAAAUUUUUGGUUCGGUUCUCUAGUGUGUAAGCUUUCCUAUAUGUGAUUGGUAAAUUAAUCUUGUUGGACAACUUGUUAUAUACAUGUCAAAUUGGAUUACGUUAAUUUAUAAAAUUACGAUUGAAUGUGUUAUUAGUUGUAUUUAUAUAGUGUUGUUAUAAAUGUUAAAAAAUUUAAUUAUAUAGUACAGAACAGAACCGAACCGAACGGAACUGAACCCGAACGGUUCCAUAAUUAUAUUUGGACCCGACAGUUCUAUUUACUAAAUAUCCAAAAUUUUUGGUUUGAUUCGGUUCACUUUAAAAUCGAACCGAACCGACUUACGCCCAGGCCUAAUCAUAACAAUAAUUAUAUACAUCUCUACCUUAUUUCAAUACCAUUCCUUUCACACCAUGUGGGACCCAUCUUUAAACUAAUGGUCAAAAAUUGAUUUUCAAAAUAAGCUCCUAACAGGUUCAUAGAGGUAUAAUCAUUAGGCCCUUAUUAAGCCGAGUUACGAACAAUUUUUUUUUUCAAAAUUAGUUUUAAAAUAAAUAAAGUUUAUCUUUUGUAUAUAGGUGGUCGUGGACCAUGAGCCUCUACCUAAGUCCAAGUGGUGUGGUCUCGAGCCUUGGCGGCUAGGUGCACAUUUAUUUUUCUAGUUUUGAAUCAUCCGUAUAGUAAUUAAUUCACAUGCAGAUGCUUAGUUAUAUGCAGACAAGAUGAUCCUCCAUUAAUUUACACAAAUGGAACGAUUCCAACCAUUCGAAACUUGUGCUAUUUGAUGAUGAUAUUAAAUGGUGCUAAAAAAUAUGUCAUUUCAUAUGUGAAUCUAUUCAUAGAUCUUAUCUACACAACUAACACAUCAUAAUCAAUGACUGUCAUUACAAUAUUGCGUGACAAAUUAUCGAACUUUCACAUAACAUUAUUUAGGAAAUCUUUCUUUUGACUUUAUGUUUCAUUGUAAUAAUCUAAAGAUCUCAUGAAUCCAUUUCGAAAAUAGAACAUGACUUCAAUUCAAUUUGGCAAUUUAUACUAAUCUAUCUUUUAAUUUGAGGAAUUUCCUUUAUAUUUUCUUGCUUAACAUAAAUAUACUUUGCAUUUUUAAUUUCCAGCCUAUUUCAUUAUUUUAAUUUUGUGAUUGUCAUCAACAAUGAAACGAAUACUAGUUUUAUUGAAACAAUCUUUCAUGCCUAAUUAAUUUAAUCCUUGAGCAAUAAAAAUCAUAUUUCUUUUGGAAUUUAUGGUUGGAAUGUGAAAUAAGAAUCACCCGAAAAAUAAAAAUAAAAUCAAUUUAAGAAAUCAAGAUCGUUACUGGAUGUUUACAUGUAAAUUUAAUCAAUAAAUAAAAAAUAUCUAAAAUUUACCCAAAUUCGAUAAUUAAUUCUUAAAUCAGAUAUGAAUAGCGAAAUUUCAGUCUUUUGAAUUGUGAAAUUUCAAUUUUGAUUCCAAUAAUUUGAUUUAAGUUUCAAGCCUUCUAUUCAUCAAAAUCAAGAUUACACUAGUGUGUGGACAUCUUCUUUUAAUUACACCAAAAAUUAAAUUAUAGACCUUAGAAAAAUCACUUCAAUCCAUAUAAACUUUUGGUAAAAGUUUAAAAUAUCUACUCAAUAAAUCUUAAUGUCUCUUAUGAUUUUUAUAGUGCUAUGUUGAUUUCCAAAGGGAGUACUAUUUCAUGUUUGACAAUACAUCGUUUUCACAACUAACACCAACAAUUUUAUUUAAUUUCUAAAUUAAAAAAGGAGAUGCUAUUUACAUCCACCAUUAUUAUAUUUAUCUACUUUAAAAAAGAAAAUUAUAUUAUAUUUUUAACCUUAUGUAAAUUUACUUAAAUAUCAUUAUAAAAUUAAAUAAAAAUAUAUUAGUCUAAAUUUAUCCACUAAUAUUUAUUUUCAUUAAAUUCUUCUGGACUUUUUAUAUUCUUUUAAAUUUAUGUUUAAAUAAAAUUCUAAUAUUUAUAAAAUAUCCUCUUCGACUAUAGUCAAAACAACAAUGAAAGACACAUCAUAAGGGCAAAUGCAUAUAGACAUAACAAUAUAUGAAAAAAGAAUUUGAAAAAGUAGGAUUGCCUUUCAUUGUAAGCAUAAUGAAUUUAGUAUGUGAACAAUUCUUAAUUUUUGUUUGGAGUUUUGAUAAUAUGCAUUUUAAACUCAAGUUGUAUCAGUAAGAAAUUUUAUUACAAAUUAUUUUAGUUUUCUGUUGAGAUUAUCUUUUUUUCUCUAAAUUUUUUGAAUUAAAAAUAUUGAUAGUUAUAUUUUCUGUUGGGAUUAGUAAAACAAGAAUUUGAGUUUCCUGCAGGGAUUAUCUCUUUCUUUUUUCCCCUUUCUUUCUUUCUUUCUUGAUUUUCUUUCUAUGGAUUUAUAAGGACAAUUUUGAAAUAUAGUGCUUGUUUGGUAGGGAAUUUUGAUAAUAUAUAUAUGUCCCGUUUGGGAGUGAUUUUUCACCCCAAAAAUAUGAUUUUUUGAUUGUUAUUUUAUUAUUCCAAUCAUAAUUUUUGACUUCUUCUUUCACAGGUGGCUCCCACAUUUUUCCUAACGAUUAAAAAAUCAAUUUUCAAAAUCACUAUCGAAUAUGCCUAUAGAGUGUAAUAAAUAUAUAUCUAAUAAUGAGAGUAAACAGCGACUCUAUAAAAACUAUGACUCUUUGAAUGAACAUAUAUUAUUGAAUGACAAAUAAAGUACUAUAAGUUACAAGAUUAUUCCAAAAAAUGUGAGACUCUAGUUGCACAAUUUGAAUAAAAUUCCAGCAACAGUGACAUUAACUUUGAAAGGGACUCAAUUUUUUUUAUUUUUUUUUCAUUACUAUCUGUGAGGUGACACACUUUUUUAUCCUUAAUUUCAACGACACUUAAAAUAAUUCAUGACAUAUAUUUUUAUAUAUCAUACAAUGUCAACCUUAAUGUAUGCAUAGUUGAUAAAAUAUACAAAUAGCAUUUUCCUUUGAAUAAAUGCGUAAAUAAAUAUUUUCCAAAUAAUUAUUCCAAAAAGGAUUAGUCAAAAUAAAUUGAGAUUGUGGUUGCACGAUUUUGGAUGUUUGGACUUCCUGAAUAAUUGUAAAAAUGUUAAGUUAAUUCGAAGAGCUUUGCUGGGCCACACAAUCCAUUGUUAUUGAUCAGUUUCACUGUUGCCUUCAUCGUGUUCUUUGACCCCACCAUGUUGAUUAAUUGAACCAAUGAAAUUUCUCCGUGUUCAUUGACCCCACCAUUUUGUAUAAUUGAACCCAACCACUGUUGGGUUCAAUUAUUGAUCAGUUUGCUGGGCCAGAUGGAUGCUUGGGUUCAAUUAUUGAUCAGAGACAAUCCAUUGUUAUUGAUCAGUUUCACUGUUGCGAUCAUCGUGUUCUUUGACCCCACCAUGUUGAUUAAUUGAAACCAAUGAAAUUUCUCCGUGUUCAUUGACCCCACCAUUUUGUAUAAUUGAACCCAACAACCAGCAGACGACUUUCAUUUAUACAUUAUACAAGUCAAUCUCACUUGCAUUCAUCCCUCUUAACUCUUGCUUCCUAUCUUACAAAAAAGAUAAUAAUGGCUGUAAUCGAAGUUUUUCUAGGUGCAGUUCUCACUGUUUUGCUUGAGAAGCUGGCCUCUGGUGAGCUACUGAAAUUUCUGCGUCAUGUAGGAAUCGACGCCCAGCUGGUAGAAUGGAAGACAACUUUGAAGAGGAUCCAGGCAGUGCUUACUGAUGCUGAAAACAAGCAAACAACGGACAAAGAUGUGAAAGAGUGGCUAAUUGAUCUGGAAGAUUUGGCUCUUGAUCUUGAAGACUUAGUGGAUGAGUUGAAUACUGAAGCCUUGCAGCGCAAAUUAAAGGAAAAUAAAGGCAGCACCAGUAAGGUAAAAAAGCUCGUCCCCACUUGUUGUACUAAUCUUUCUUUCACUGAUUUCAUGUCUGAUCGCGGGAUUGCUUCCAAGCUAAAAGAGGUCAGUGGCCGGUUGAAAGAUCUGGAAGAACAGAAAAAAUUUCUCGAUUUGGUGGAAAAUGUAAGGGGAAGGUCUUAUGGAAGAUUGCCAACAACUUCGCUCGUGGUAGAAUCGAAAGUUCAUGGAAGAGAGAAGGACAAGGAGGAAAUACUGAAUAUCUUAUUUGGUGUUGAAUCAAAUGAUAGUCAAAUAUCCGUGAUUCCAAUUGUGGGCAUGGGAGGUAUCGGCAAAACAACUCUGGCCCAACUUGUGUAUAAUGAUGAAAGAUUGAAGGACAAGUUUGAUCUUAAGGGAUGGGCUUACGUUUCGGAGGAAUUUGAUGCUGUAAAAGUAACAAAAAACAUUCUUGAGUCAGUUUCUUCUGGUGGAAAGUGUGAUUAUGAAAAUUUUGACACGCUUCAGAACAAACUAAAGGAGAGCCUUUCAAACAAGAAAUUUCUAGUAGUUCUAGAUGAUAUUUGGCAUGAAAAUUACGAAGAUUGGGAGAUCCUAAGCCGUCCUUUUCUUGCUGGAAAACCUGGAAGCACAAUCAUCAUUACCACUCGACAAGAAAGGGUGGCCAAAAUCAUGUCUGAAAUUCCAGCAUACAAUCUGGAUCUGUUAUCAGAGGGCGAUGCUUUAUCAUUGCUAGCUCAACAUGCAUUUGGAGCUAAAACUUUUGACGGUCAUCCAGCUUUAAUAGAGAUUGGUAAGUCUAUGGUAAGAAGAUGUAAGAUGUUGCCCCUGGCAGUAAAGGCCCUUGGGGGGCUUCUUCGAGUUGGUCGUGAAGAUUGGGAAAAGGUGUUGAAAAGUGAAAUCUGGAUGAAUGAAGAAAAUAUUGGAAUUCUUCCUGCUCUAAAACUGAGUUAUCACCAUCUUCCUCCGGAAUUGAAAAGAUGCUUUGGUUACUGUGCUCUCUUUCCCAAGGACUACGAAUUUGACAAGUUCCAACUAGUGUACUUUUGGAUGGCUGAAGGUCUUCUGCAGGAAACAAAGAAAGAUAAGUUAAUUGAAGAUGUUGGUAGUCAAUAUUUUGAUGAACUAUUGGCUAGAUCAUUCUUCCAACAAUCAAGUGCCAAUGCUUCACGCUUUGUGAUGCACGACCUCUUUAACGAUCUAGCUAUGUCUGUUGCUGGUGAUAAAUGUUUGAGGAUGGAUGAUGAACUGCAGGAGAUUUCUGUAAAGGUCCGUCACUUGUCAUUCAAGCGCAGGAUGUUUGAAACUUAUCCUAGAUUUAACUUUCUUGACAAAGUUCAAAAGUUGAGAACCUUUUUGCCACUACCUGUUGAGGCGUCAUUUAAUUACUUAUCCCAAAGAAAUUUGCUUCACCUAUUCGCAAAUUCAUACUGCUUAAGAGUGCUAUCCUUGAAUGGUUAUGCCAUAUAUGAGUUGCCAGAUUCUAUUGGUGAUUUAAGACAUUUAAGAUACCUGGGCCUAGCUGGAACAAGACUGAGGUGGUUGCCUGAAUCUGUGUGCACUCUUAUCAAUUUACAAGUGUUGAUUCUAAGUGGUUGUAGUAGACUUACCAAAUUACCCACAAGCAUGGAAAAUCUUGUUAAACUUCGGUAUCUGGACAUUACUCAUACUUGCAAUUUACAUGAGAUGCCUCAGGGAAUUGCUCAACUAACAAGUUUGCGAACGUUAACUAAGGUGACUGCAAGUAAAAAUAAUGGAAUGAGUUUAAAGGAGUUGGGCAAUCUAUCAUUUCUACAAGGUAAUAUUUCUAUUGAGGAAUUGCAAAAUGUUGUGAAUGUUAAAGAAGCAACGGAAGCAAGGCUAAUGGAUAAGCCAAGCCUCAACGGAAUAAGGUUGGAAUGGAGCGCAGGCUUUGAUGAUCCUCGGAAUAAAAUUUUAGAAUUGAAUGUGCUUAAUGCAUUAAAGCCCCAUAAGAACUUAUCAACACUUGAAAUCAAGUAUUACGGGGGUGAGAAUUUCUCUAAUUGGAUUGAAGAUUCAGCAUUCCUUAAGUUAGCAAGGAUAAGCUUUGAAUAUUGUAAAAAUUGCACGAUUUUGCCACCAUUAGGGCAACUACCUUUGCUAAGAGACUUAAGCAUUCGAGGCAUUGAUCAAGUAAAAGUGAUUGGAGCUGAAUUUUAUGGAAAUAGAGGCCAUGGAGAAUUACCUUUUCCAUCACUCAUUAAUCUGACUUUUAGUGACAUGUCUAACUGGGAGGAAUGGGUUGGAAUAGGAGGUGUUAUCCAACUUCCUAAGCUAUGCUCAUUGAUUAUAACUGAUUGUUCAAAAUUGGUCAGUCUUCCAAAUCUUUUACUGCCAUCCCUACGUCACAUAAAUGCUGCUGGGUGUAAUGAGGUGGUGCUAAAUAGUAUGCAGAAUUUGAAAUCUUUAACCAGCAUAAUAUUGUGUAGAAUUUUCGGAUUAACUUCAAUUAUCAAAGCAUUUGUACACUUUCCUUUUACACUUGAAAGUGUCACAGUUAAUGAAUGUCACAACCUUGUGACUCUAUGGCCAGGUGAUAGUACUGCACGAAACCUAGUUGACCUACAACGCGUGGAUAUUGACAGUUGUCCUCGGCUAUUGUCCCUUCAAGAGAUUGACGUUCUUCCCGAUCUUAGGAGACUUUAUAUAAGAAAUUGUGGAGCUCUGGAGUUGUUGCCUCAUAAAAUAUCUUGUCUUGAGAGAUUGUCUAUCAACAAAUGUCCAUCGUUAAGGACGAUGAUGAAGCUACAGAAUUGCAACAUCUCGCUCGAUUAUCUAAAAAUUUCUCGUGUGAAUUUGAAUUUGGCAAAUUUACUAGGCUCUGGCUCCAAUUACCAAAGUCUCACUCAUCUACAAAUACGGUCUUGUGAUGGUCUAGAAUUGUUUCCCAAUGGAGGCUUGCCCACACCAAAUUUAAAACUACUAAAGAUAAUUGAGUGUCAACAUCUCAAGUCGUUACCUGAUCGGAUGGAUCUACUUUCAUCCCUUUCGUUCCUGGGGGUGUCUUCUUGUGCUUCAUUGAAGGAACUCUUUCCCCAGGAGGAUAUUCCCCCAAAUCUGUGUCACCUUGAUAUCAGAAAUUGCGGAAAACUAAAACCCCCGGGGGAGUGGGGCCUACACAAACUCACCUCUCUUCAAACCUUUGAAUUUGGUGGAUGUCUAGAGCUGGUUUGCUUCACUAACAAUGCUGACGAAGAACACUGUGUGCUUCCUCCAUCUCUAACAGCUUUGUCGUUGGAUGACCUGCCGAAUCUCGAAACACUAUCAAGGGGCUUCCAAAGCCUCACCUUUCUUCAACAUUUAUGCAUCUCUAGAUGCCCAAAGCUUGAGGCGUUGCCUAUGGGAGACUAUCUUGAAAAGCUUUUGAGCCUUGACAUUCAAGGCUGCCCACUUCUUAAGAAACGGUGUUUGAAGAACAAAGGAGACUACUGGCCCAUCAUUGCUGACAUUCCGGUCGUCGAAAUUGAUUCCCGAUCCAUCUAUGAUCCAUGUCCAUGAAUUCAAUUACACGAGGUAACAGAUUUAAUUUGAUACCUAUGAAUCUCAACAUCAUUUCAUGCAAAACACUUCUCGACAUUUCUGUCAAUUUUGUUUUCAAACAGAAUGUGAAUUUUCUGCAGCAAAUAGUGGAUCUCCCUUUCUGCAAUAGCUAUUCAAGUGUUCAUGCCACUCUGUAUCUUAUAUUUGUGCUUCUGCUCUGCAGCAUAAAUCAAUAUCAGAGCCGAUGUACCAACAAUCAAGUAACUGAUCGGCUAUGGCGCUAAAAUUAGCCUCUUUUUGUACUAACAGUAAGAUUCUAUCAAAUAGAUAAAAUCGGAGUGAUAAUUGUUAGUCGAAUGUGGUUAAAUUAUUAAUAUUUUGAUUCGAUCUGCUUUAGCAAACUGGAAAUGCAUUGAUUUGACUUACUGUAUGUUUAUGCAUUUUUGGGUUUUUAUGUGGCAUGCGUUUUUAAACUUCUCUUGUAGAUUGGAGGUUCCUACGCCAUUUGAAUGGAACUAAUAAAAAUGACAUCGUUUUGGUGUAGGCAUUUUCUGAUUACUUGUAAGAACACAAGAUGGAAUGAAUGUGUCUCUUCAUUAGACCUUCAAGUAAGUUUUUUGUUCGAUUCUUUUGCGUUUUAAGUGUUUGUAUAAAUGCCUCAGUGAAAUUAUAUGGCUGGAUCUGUGACUGAAGCUAUGUUCUUGCCUUUAUUAUUAUUAUUAUUAUUAAUUUCAUGAUUUUAGUAAUAUUUUCUGAAUAAUUCUUUGAAUGAACUUUUCCUUUUGGGGGUUUCCUUCCAUAAAUGUCAAGAAAUCUGUUUAGUCUCUGAAAAUUGUCUUGACUGGCCAAAAAUCCUUUCUCGUGUGAUUUUGGUGUGGUUUAAGGUAUGAGGUACCAUGUUUUACAAUUGCUAUUUUAAAAAUUUUCUUGAUUUUAUUAGAUUAACCUCUGCCGAUUGUGUAUUACAUUCAUCCGUAUGAAUUGGAUGUUUUAAUCCAAUCUGAAGAUUUGAAUCAUUGCUUCACAAUUUCAUGCAAUUAAAUUAAGAAACCGAUUAAUUUUUUAUGUGAAUGCUUUUUAAUCGAAAACUUUAUUUCAAUUUGGAAAGUUCAAUCAUUUUAAGUUUGCAGUUAUACCUCUUGCUGGUAUGCAUUUUUUUAAUGUUAUUAAUUCAUUCUAAUUCUUAUGGAUUCUAUUUCUUUGUAUGGGACUUUUUCACUGGUUAUAAAUUUUGGCUUCUUUGAAUUUUCACUUUCGUAUUUAUUUAUUUAUUUAUUUAUUUUUGGUAAAUAUUUUAAAAAAUGAUUGAUAAUAUUGAAUUAUCCUAGACAUUCUAUAACAUAAUAAAUUGAUGUACUAAUUUGUUAAAUUCAAUUAUUCAGUAUUCUGUUUCUUAAUUUAGUUGAUCAAGUAGGUUAUUUUUUUUUUUUAUCCUAAUCUGGAAUAUAUGUGCUCAGAAUGUCGCUGUGAGCAUAUUGCCUGUCAAGAAGAAUCAUUUGAGUUGAGGACGAUAAGAUGUUACAUUUUUUAGCUAUGCUGUUUUUCAGCUUACUCCAACUUGAACUCGGUACAAUUUUAAUUUUUUGAAUUAAUUCAGUUUCCUUCAACUGAUGAAUUAUUGCAGUAUCAGUGUGAGUUUGUGUGGUUAUUUCAUAUUUGCCUGUGAUUUUGUAUUAAUCAUUUGAGUUGAAAUCCUGACUCGGAUUUAUAAUCAUUGUGGACCCAAAUUGCUGAUUUUAAGAUGUGUUUUUAUAGUAAACUAAUUGCUGAUGUCAAAAUUCUUUUCAUUAGUUUUGGGUUGAUUAGUUAAUAAGUUCUUCUGUCUUUUACUGUUUGGGGAUUCAGCAUGUGUUUCAUUAAUUGGUUCUAUUCUUUUUUUAUAUGGUAUGUACUGACUUCAAUUUGGCAAUUUCUUGGGGAUAUCUUUUUUGUCAAAUUGUAUUUUCACAGAGUUCAACUGUAAAAAUGUGAAAUAUGUCCAAUUAUUUGAAUUUUUGUUGAUAUUUUGAAAUUGAUAUUAUGUAUUGAUGAGCCAUCAAGUUAAAUUUAAAACGAAUUCCAUGUUGCAAAUGCUAUUUGGAAGUUGAAUUUGCUCUGCUGGGUUGCAAAGUAUACUUGAAUUUAUUUUAUCAAAAGAUGAAUAUUUAUCAUCUCUUAGUUUCCCCUUCAUUGUCAUAUAUCUUUACGAAAUUCUUGUAGAAGUAUUUAGAUGAUAAUUGGAUUGUGUUGAUAAUGUAGCUGGAAGAUCAUACGAGGAAUUUCAGGAAAAUAGGUUUUGUUGCUUGAGUCCAUUUUAUUUAAGGUGUCCGGAAAAAAAAGGUUGUGUGAGUGUGGAAAGUAUAUCAUCCUUGCGCGUUUGGAUCUGUUAUUCAUAUUGAUAGAUGGCAUUCCGUGUGUGGAAGCAUAUUUCACUUAAAACAUAUAUUCACCUUGUGUUGUUAGGUAACUAUUGUAGCUUUUCACAUCUGCUUUCGUAAUGGUUUAUUGUUGUACAUUUUAUAGGCUAAUGUUGCUAGAAGAAAAUCGAAUUUCUUUCUGCUCAAACGAUGGAAUGAUGAUUGAUGGCAUCACCUGGUUGCUGAAAUGAUAGGAUUGUCGUAAGUUUUAACUUGCUAUGUAUAGCUUCAUUUCUUGCUUUUAGUUUUGGUCGACUUCAACUCUAUUAAGUAUUUUGAGCCAAAUAUUUUUUAUUAACAGCAUCAACAUAAUUAAAUUUAUUUUACUCUUGAAACAACAAAUAUGUUUCCUCUUCCUUUUUGAUGGAAGUUACAUCACAAUAGAUCUGUCUUUUAUAUGAAGAUUUUCUUCUUCUCAAUUGCUAUUGCACACUGUACUUGAUAUUAGUUGUGGGUCUGGUAGCUUUAAUGCUCGUCUUCUAUCGCUUAAGCUGAUGUGUGACAGCAUAUGAGCCAACAGGUAGACAUGUUCAAUUGGCACUUGAUAGAGGUCUCCCUUCAAUCAAAACUUAAUCUAAAGACAGCUCCCUCUUCAUCCUUUGUCAUAUGAAGUGGUUCACUGCACUCAAUGUAGCAUUGUCUGUGAUAACAAAGGUAUGAUCUUCAUUAAGGUUUGGGGUUUUGUUUUUUUCCAUUAAAUCACCAUUUCUUCAUCAGAUUAAGUGCAGUGGUUUUUAUUGAUUUUUCACCGAUGAAAAUUCUUGAAAUUAAUUUGACAUUUAGCCUAAUGUAGUGCGAACUUUUCUGUGGUUUUUGCUAUUUUUUGCGUGCAUUUCUAUUUCUUUUUUGUUUAUCACAUUUUGUUUGAUACUAUAGUUAUCUGUAAUAAAUUUUGCAAUGGUAAUAUUAGGCUUGCUGUAAGGAAGGCCAAGAAGGAAAAGAAAGCGAAUGAUCCAAACAAGCCAAAGAGACCUCCAAGUGCUUUCUUUGUUUUCAUGUAUGCCCAUUUGCAUUUUUGGUCUCUAGCAUUUCUGUCUAUUGUUCUUAUAUAUUAUCUUUUUUAUGCUGCUUGGCAGACUACAACAAUAAUUUGGUAAUCCAUCUAUGAGAAGCACGGUGUUAUACACAGUUUAGUUUGAAUUGUGAUACUGAAACGAUUUGUGCCAAACUGUUUUUAUAGGCUAGAGGGGCUGUUGAAUUCGACAAGGCAAAGUCUGAGGUUAAUGGUGAUGAGGACGAUGAGAACAGUGGAGACGUUAGUUGAAAUUAAGCUCUACAACUUUUUUGUACUUGAAACUUAGCUACUAUGCUGACUUUUUAUUUUGUUUUAAUUAAUUUAGGAGGAAGAUGAUGAGUAAGCACUAUCAUGAAGAAUUAUUGUGUAAAAUUUGGCUUCAGGUGAAUUUUACUGAAAUUAAUUGAAAGUAAUUAUCAAUAAUACUCCUUUUUUAAUUUUUAUUUUUUAAAGUUGCUAAUGUGUUUGUUCUUCCUUUCAGUGAGGGAACAAGCGUCUCUUUGCCAUUAACUUGGGGCAAAAAAAGAGAGGAAACGUAUGCCUUGUUUUUCAUUAUUGCCUAUUGGUACACAAGACGUAUUUAGAGGAAAGGGGUGGAGGAAGAGGGGGUUGAGUGCUUGUAGACCAUGAGCAAAAAAUGGCAGACUACAAUAAGAAUUUGGUAAUUUCAUCUAUGAAAUUCUCUAUUACAAUGCACUACGUGCAUCUCACAUGCGAAGAACUAGUUCGAUAAAUAUUCAAUAUUUUGCAGCAAGCUUCAUAUCUUGUUAAAUUUUGAAGGUCCUUCCUUUUGUGAAAUCAUUUAAGUUAAAAAUGUUAAGAGAGAAAAACAUUAAUUUAUUAAUAUCUUCAAAACUCUUCUUAUGGUGCAGGUAGAUUUAAUUUUUCUAUAAACAUUAAAUUUCUGACUUUGAUGGGGAUGAUGUUAUUAUUUUACAGAUUUUCAUCUGGUCGUCCAUUACCAAUACAAUUUCGAGACUCGAUUUGAUUAGAGACUAAUAGCUCAGUCAUCUACCAGGUCAAGAAAGUUAUUAAUUGGGUUAGUUGCUUUAAGCUUGUGGGCUGACCACCUAUAUGCCUGCUUUGCAUAUAUUUCGUUGCCAGCUCCAAUCCACAUCAUUUGAUGACGUGUUGUUUACACCAAAUUUGACUUGUACACAAUAUCUGUUACUACGAGAGUUAGAGAGAGAGGCCAAUUCAAACCAUCAUUUGGUGACACAUUUUUUAAGAGCAAUCGUGGAACCUAUAUUUGUUAAGUGAAGUCAAUGUUAUGCUGAAGCAAACAAAAGAUUAUGACGAUUGAGGAUGGUCAAGUUCACAUUUCACUUCUUAUCUUUCCAUUCUCUCUCUUUUAGAGUAAAGAUCAUUUGUAGUAUUUCGUGGCUACCAAAUAUUCAAAUACUCCAGGGAACAUUGUAGAUGUAAAAUUCUGCAUUAUAUAAUAGGAGGAAUUUUUUUUUUUUUUUUCCUAAAUGGAUUAUCAGGUAAGUUGUCAUUAUUUGCAAUAGUAAUAGGCUUUUUAUUAUGAUGUGCAGUUGCACAUGUCCAUGUGUGUCCACGUAUACUUGUGUGUGUAAAUGUGGAAUAAUGAUAUUUACAAUCUAUUCUUACCUAUUAGCAAUUAGCAUUCUAUGUAGAUGUAUUGUUACUGCCACAUUUUCCUAUAAUUUUAGAGUAGGGAUAUUUGUAAGCAUCGUACUGAAAACAACAAUCUAUAUGACAAUGAGAUAUCUGUCUUAUUCUCCUAUGAAAUUGAGUUCGUUUUAAUUUAUUGAAGAAUGUGAUAGUGACCCCAUUAUUACAUCAAAUGUUGGUAAUAAGUACUGUUAUAAACUUAGCAUACAUUUAAUUUAUUGAAGAAUGUUACAAUAAUCAACUGUCGCAUGGACGGUUGAUGGAUAAGUACUGCUUACAAAGAGUAUUACUCCUUAAAAAUGGAAAUUUACUCGGGAUAUGAAGCCAAGUGGACAAAUAUCAGACCUUGCUAAAGAAAUUUCACUCUUAACAAAUACGAUUAUCCAUGAUAGACCAUAUGAAAAAUCAAAAUUGAGGAACAUUCUAACAAUAUCCCUCGACACCCAUCUCACCCUUUUAACUAUUUACCCACCAACCCCCACACUUUAUAUAUAAAUGUUUUUUCUUGUUUUUGUCUCAAUUUUAAGGGUCAAAAUGUCAAACAAAGUUAAAAUAUUAGAAUUUUAAUAUCAUUUUGAAGUGCUCAUAGCUUAGUUUCUCGCAUCAUUAACGGCGCGUGAAAUGACCGACCACAACAAAAGUUACAAUGCGUCAAAAUAGGUCAUUCAAAAUUAGUAUUUCAAGAAUUUCGAUAAUAUGCUAACUUUAAAAAUUUGUUGGCGAUCGUAUGCUAACUGAAUUCAGAAAUCGCUUGUCAUCUUGAUCCAAACCGAUAUAGGUUGUACAUUGAAAAUAAUUAAAUUAUUUGAAAAUUUUUGACGUCAUGUGUCAUGUAAAAUUAUCCUAAUAAAAUGAUUAUAAAAUGAUGUAAAUUAUAUUAAUAUAUUUGUUGAGCAAAAAUAAUAAAUGUUAAUGAAAUAAUUGAAAAAUUUUAAAGGAAAAAAUGAGUUAUGCAUCUCUUUUUGAGACGAUCAUUUAAUUAUUUUCGAUAUUCAAAUUUUGGACCAUUCGGUAUGUCUACGAUAUAAUUCUUAAAACUAAAACAAAUUUUAAAAUUAACAUGUUAUCGAAAUUCUCUAAAUACUAGUUUGGAAUGAUCUAUUUUAAGACAUCAUAACUUUCGCUACGAUUGAAAGUUUUACGCGCCGUUAACGAUGCAAAGAAUUAGACUGUGAGCACUUCAAAAUGAUAUUAAAAAUGUGAUAUUUCGAUUUCAUUUGACAUUCCAUAAUGACCUCAAAAAUUGAGACGAAAACAAGGGGGGAAAAAAACCUUUAUAUAUGAAGAAUGGGUGAUAAGAAUGGUGAGGCGUAGGUGUGGGGUGGGGUAAAAGGGGCGGGGGUCGGUAAAAAGUUAAAAAAUUGGGCAAGUGCAGGAGGAAACAAAAGUUGCCACAUUAGUAGUGGGUAGAAUGUUCUCCUGCACACCAUUGCCAGCAGAACAAUUCUACGAAAAAUAAUACGCGAAGAAUUAAUUUCAUAAUUUGUGAUCGAUAAAAAGUUAUAACCUAUAAAAUUUGUGAUUUUAAGUGUAACGUUUUGUAACUGUGACUGAUACGCAACCGUGAUCAUAAACUAUAUGAUAUUGCGAUCUUAAUAUAUUAAUUAUAUAUUUAAUUAAUGUACCAUAUUUAAUAUUUAUGACCCGGGUUUUGGAAAAUAAAAAAAUAAAAAUUUCAAGUUCGUCAAAAUUGAAAUUGUAACUUAAAAUCUAUGUAACUAUGCAUUCUUCCCAUUAUAAAUAGCAGUGGUGGAUAUAAUUUAUCCAUGGAAAAAUGCAAAAUCUCCAUUAGACUAGAGGAACUGGCUGUCUCGGCAGAGUUAUAUAUCGAAUUUUACUUGUCAUGCUGAGGUCGAGGGCUAAGAUCUCUAGCUUACGUGUAUAUAGGCAGGGGCAGAUCCAAGCACGGGCUCCACCAUGCUAUAGCCCGUGUACGGCCCUUAAAAUGUCUACUGUAUUUUUAUUAUUAUUAUUUUUUUUUAUUGAAAGAUAAAUCCAUGUAUAUUUGUAUUGUAACCCGUGUUCAAACUCAAGACUGAAUCCGCCACUGACAUAGGCGUUUAUUUCUAACCAAGUUACGAACACCAUCACUACUAGUAGUCGAAGUGGGCAGAUAUACAACAGUUACCAUCUAAAAAUGGACCAAAAAUAGUUCAGUGUGUUAUAGCAGAUCGAUGACCACACACUUUGAGCCAUCUAGGUAUCAACUAAUCAUUUACUAUCCUAGAUUAAGAAUAAGUCAUUAUAAGUGAAGUGUGACCUCCCAUUUCCCUUGAGGAGACCCAAACUAACCAUAAUCGUAUAGAAUAGAUGUAGUUCAUAAUCACAAAUCAACAUAGAAUCAAGCAGAAAUAAUACAACCAACAGACGGUAUACUCUGUUACAUUAAAUGUUGCUUUAUUGAAUUCCUCAACAGAACGUGAAAGUGUUCACACCUCUGUUUGAGUCUCAUUCUUUCAAAAAUUCAUUUUUUCAAAACUCAUUUUCAACCACACAUCCUUCAAUAAAGUAAUAUUACACGUAAAUUCAAAACUUUUCUUUACUUGUUAACCACAUAUUCUCAAUCAAUCUACUAUUCAAAAUGCAUUCUUUUCAAAAAAAUGGGGCUCAAGCUAAGUGAAGACUUCACAACAAUGUAAAUGGUAUUCUAGCAAUCAAUAUUCCAGUUUCAAGUUGAAAUGAAAUUAAGAAAAGAAACAUGUUGAUCAGUCUUAGAAAACGGUCAUAUAAAGAUAUUAGAAAGCACAUAACAAUCAAGUGUAUGGAUGGAACCACCUUUACAACAACAAGAGAAACUGGAUGACAGGCAACAAAUACAGUAUCAUAAAGCACAACUAAUCGAAGCUAUAGGAAUUAGAAAAAUACAGACCUCGAUCGAUUGUAUGAGACUCUUAUUAUGUAUACGUAAUAGUCUAGUUCAGUACAUUUGAUCAGCCAAGAAGAGGAUUAAGAACGUGCCCAAUGAAUAGCACUACCCCCGUCAUAUCUUCUCUGAUGAUGAACAAAAAUGGAUGAUCGGCAACAAAAUCGAACUCAUCCUCGACUAAUAAACCCCUCAGUUUAACAAGACCAGCAGAAGCAGCAGCAGCUUCCGUGCCUUCCUCAUUUACCUCGAUAAAUGACUUGUGGAAAAUGCUAGAAACAUAAAGGUUCUGACCAACUUGUGAGUCCACCAUAUCUGUGAGACCACCACCAGAAAAAGGCAACACGACUCCCAGUCCCUUGAGAACUUCCGAGGCUUCAAACCCAAAUGACAAUUUGAAUUUUGGGAUACGGAAUUCACCAACUUCGACCUUUUGAUAUGGGAGGUGAUGCUCCAAGAAUCCUGAUUCCGAACUGACUUUCUCUACCAAAGCCAGCAAUCCAUCUUUGGUGUCUGGAAGAAGGAAGUUCAUAGAGAACUUGCGCUUAUCUUCACCUUGCUUAUACGGAAGGCUCAAAAUUUUGAAACCAUCAAAGGAACGUAUAUAUUGCUUCUUCUUGCUACUCAUGAAGGGUACUUGUACUGAGCUCCCAUCUAGGAGGAAAAAGUCAUGGUCCUUUGUAAUUGAUGCAUCAAACUUCUCACUCCAAGCUCCUUUGAAAUACACUGCAUUUGCAAAGAUGAGCCUCGUGGAAGCAUCAACUGAGCCAGGUGGAAGAAUUUCUUCGACAAGGCCACUUGUUUCCUUUUCAGCCCAUUGAUUGACUUCACCGAUUACCUCAACAGCCUUCAGAAAUAUCAAGAAUAAAGAACAUAACAAUUAAUACAUUGUUAAAGAAAUUUACUUGCAGAAGUAGAAGUUCUACAACAUGAAUGAUUUCACCCAGCCAGUUCCUCUUUCUCCUACAACUCAAGGUGUACAAGCAGAUAAAUAACUGUUUACAUCAUGAAUUCGUUGACAUUACAAUAGAGACUAUUAUGUGUAAGGUUUAUUCUAAAUGUCAUGGGCCAUGAAUACCAUUUACAGAUAUACUUGAAACAGAAGUUGGUUACAUGCUUAUGAACAUAACCACCACCAAAAAACAAAAGCAAAAGCAAAGCCGUCCCCAAUAAAUUUGGAGUCAGGGAGCUAGAAGCAUUUUUCAUCCAUUCGACAGGGAUUUCUUGGUGACCAAUACUAACAUGAAGACAAGAAUAAAUCGGAUGUUAUCCAUUUGAUAUUUUCAUAAUAUCAAACUAUCACAAUUCUGUAAACAAUUACAGAAUUUACAAUUUUAAAAAAAAAAAAAAAGGAGGAUAAAAAUAAUGCAAAUUUUCUUACAAUGUGAAGCACCACAUGGAUUUACAACCACUGGUGUAUGGCAAGUGUUUUAAAGUUUAAAAUUACAUGUCAUUCUAUUUUGGUAUUUGGGAAGAUGAAAUCGAAGUAAUUAGGAGAAAAUGCCUCCGGCUUGGUUGGGCUUAGUUUAGCAACUUUUGAACGUACAAAGGUCAAGUUUUCAGUUAGAAACAGAAAAAAGUGAAAAUUUUUAAAAAAUGANNNNNNNNNNNNNNNNNNNNNNNNNNNNNNNNNNNNNNNNNNNNNNNNNNNNNNNNNNNNNNNNNNNNNNNNNNNNNNNNNNNNNNNNNNNNNNNNNNNNNNNNNNNNNNNNNNNNNNNNNNNNNNNNNNNNNNNNNNNNNNNNNNNNNNNNNNNNNNNNNNNNNNNNNNNNNNNNNNNNNNNNNNNNNNNNNNNNNNNNNNNNNNNNNNNNNNNNNNNNNNNNNNNNNNNNNNNNNNNNNNNNNNNNNNNNNNNNNNNNNNNNNNNNNNNNNNNNNNNNNNNNNNNNNNNNNNNNNNNNNNNNNNNNNNNNNNNNNNNNNNNNNNNNNNNNNNNNNNNNNNNNNNNNNNNNNNNNNNNNNNNNNNNNNNNNNNNNNNNNNNNNNNNNNNNNNNNNNNNNNNNNNNNNNNNNNNNNAAAAAAAAAAAAAAGAAAUUUGACAGCACACAAACCACCUAUAGACACCAAUAAUAAGCAAAAAAAUGUUAUAAGGAAACAAUCAAACCUUGAUCAACGAUAAACAGAUUAAUGAGUUCUACAAUUGAAAAUAGAAAUUAAACUAACCUUAGUUUGAAAAUCAACAGGAUUAGAAGCAGCCUUGUAAAUAUUAUCAACAAUUUCUUUAAAACUGGGCUUGAAGCUGAGACUCUGAUCUAUCCAAACCCCAUUAGCGAAUGACAAGCAAGGCCCACCAAGGGGGCCACCGUCAGCGAAAAUGAGAGUUACAAGCUGAGAGGAGAGUGAGUUGAGUUCAUCAGUGGACUUCGAUUUGAGGAAAUUAAGCAACUGAUUAAGGGUUUGAUCUUUGGAUCCGGCCGCGAUCAGACCCAACACCACGUGAAUCGAGAGCGGCGAGAACACCAAAUUCUUUUCCUUGGCCUCAGUCGAAACCAAGUGAUGUGCAAGCUGAAGUGAUGCUUGUGUUUGGUUCUUGAUGGAUUCUCUUAGGUCCAUUUCUGUGUGCGUCGGCGUGUGGAAGAGGUGAUUGAAUCAAAAUUCGUGCGCGUUUGGACGUUCUGAAAAUCUGCACUGUGUUCACCGACACAUCAGAGGCAAUUUAUAUGUGCCACUUGUGAUGGUUGACUCAAGCGUGUCUUUCAAUGUCUACUCAACACGUUAGGAUUCGUUUCUUCGGGAUAAAGAUAACAAAUUGGGGGAAUCCAUUGUUUAUCCAAACGACCUUGAAGAAUACUUCGACGUAGAUGUUUUGAAAUUAAUUUUGUGAAUAGUGAUUAAUUUAUAGAUUGUAGGGUUAAAAUAGAUAUAAUUAUUUACGUAUAAAAUUAUUUUACCAAAAGAAUGUGUAAGAAAAAUUAGGUUUUAGGAAAAUAUAAUUUUUUUAGUAACAUAACCAACCAUCCAAUAAACUUCUCUAGGGUCUAAAAAAAUUAUAGUAUCGUAACCAACCAUCCGAUAAACUUCUCUAGGAAUUUAAACCCUGAUUGUCACCCAUUAUUUGGAAAAUUAAAAAGUUAUGAACAGUAUUUUUUGAAGAAUAUGUUGUUAAAAAUAAAGAAACUUUAUUAAUUUGUGUGUAGAAUAUUUUAUUGUGUGAAUGUGUAGAGUAGAAUGGUAACGUAACAACAACAAUUUUAAAUUUUAAAUGGGGCCAAACAAGUUUCUUUUACGAUGGAGAUUUCUUGCUUGUUUGACAUUCUUUAAUUUAUUUUAUGGAUUGUAACAUGAUCAUUUUCAAUAUAUUCAUACAAUAAAAUAUUAUACACAUAUACUGCAGAUUUUCUAUACUUUUUAAUCAUACACUUCUAAAAAUUAUUAUUUAAACUCCGUUUUUUUUUUUUUUUUUGCCAAAAUUGUUGUCAAAUAGGCUUCAUCUUGUGUGAUUUUUUGAAAAUUACUUUUUCUGAUAUUUAUUUUCAAUAUAUAUUCUUUAAAAUUACUUUCACGUUUUUCAAUUUUUUUAAUAUUUUAACUGCACAUUUUCCAAGAAAAUCACAUUUCAAAAUCUCCAUCCCACACACUGAUUUCUUUAUUGAUUUUGAAUAUAUAUUUCGACUUUUUUUGCCUUUUUCUUUUCUCCCUAAGAUGAAGUUUAUCAGCCUAUUUGGGAGUGAUUUUUUUUUCUAAAAAAUUGAUUUUUUGACCAUUAUUUUACUAUUACAGUUGUCAUAUUUGACUUUUUCUCUCACGGAUGGACCCCACUUUUCUCCUAACGGUCAAAAUAUCAAUUCUCAAAAUCACUUCCAAACAGGCUCUAUAUCAAGGGCCUGUUAGACAUAAAUUUUCCUAAAUUUUUUUUUCUCUAAUUAUUGUAUAUGUUCCAUAACUUUUUCUUACAUUUUAAUUACACAUCCUCUAAAAAUUUAUAUUUCACUUGAAAAAUCCAUGUCAAACAAACUCUAACAGUGACAUGAUUGAAGGGAAUUCUUCAAAGCUUUCACAAGAACAUAAAGAGGAACUGUGGGCUUUAGCUCCAGGACCAUACCCAUUUAUUUUUGUAUUAAUUCAGUGAAAAUAGUUUUUUAUUAUCCCUUGACUCCACCACUAAUAUCAACCCAUGAUGCGCAAUUCUAAUUAUCACACUAUGCAAAAAUCUAUUUUUGGUUGAGACAUACUUCUCAUUUGUAGUAUUCAAAUUUAUAUGAUUAAAAAUAGUUUAUACGUUUCCUAAAAAUAAGACAAAAUAAUGCAAAAUUUUGGACAAAAAAUGAUUAAUAAAGUAAAAUAAUUCUUCCCUGGAAAAACAAGGCCUAUGUGUCCCUGUUUGAGAAGCAGAACCCUCGUAUAUAAUGUUUACUACCUUGAAAUGUCAUUUCUAAACAUGCACCUACUUGACACCUCCUUAUGAUAUUUUGACUAUGCUUAAGAAGCUCAAUUAUUAAAUAAAAAAAAAGCCUUCUAAAAUAAAUUUUUUAUUGGUAAAUGUUUAACAUAUUUAUAUUAUUUAUUAUAAGUUUUUAUAUAGAAAUGUGUGGAGGGUAAGUUGUUCGUCGAGCCAUGAUUAAAGAGGCAGUUUCGACCUUCUCUCUCUCUACUGUUAAUUUUGAUAUAUUUUUCACUCGAAAUUUGUUUUACCCAGUUUUCAAUUUAUUUAUUUCUUUAUUAUUAUUAUUAUUAUUAUUGUGCAUUUGCGCAUUUUACAUAUUGGUUAACUCAAUAUCUUCAUCUCACAAAAUAUUUACAAUUUCUUAGAGAUUUCAGAGAUCCAACGAAAUGAAAAUUUGGGUUACAAUGUUAGAAAAUGAAAUAUUAGUUAAAAGUAUUCUUCCUAAACUAUUGAUAUAGUAUUUUUUUUGACAUUUGAUUCUACUUAUUCUGGUGGACAUCAUCUAUACGUGUUUUUAGUAGUAUUAUAUUUUGACAAUGAUCAUUUGACUCUUCAGAAGAAACUAUUUUAUUUUAAAUCAGCUCCAUCAAAUGGACCUAACAUAUCGUCACGUCGCACAUACUUUACAACAGUAUUAUAUAAUUAACAAAAUAUUUAACAUCUUUUCUUUUGAUUGNNNNNNNNNNNNNNNNNNNNNNNNNNNNNNNNNNNNNNNNNNNNNNNNNNNNNNNNNNNNNNNNNNNNNNNNNNNNNNNNNNNNNNNNNNNNNNNNNNNNNNNNNNNNNNNNNNNNNNNNNNNNNNNNNNNNNNNNNNNNNNNNNNNNNNNNNNNNNNNNNNNNNNNNNNNNNNNNNNNNNNNNNNNNNNNNNNNNNNNNNNNNNNNNNNNNNNNNNNNNNNNNNNNNNNNNNNNNNNNNNNNNNNNNNNNNNNNNNNNNNNNNNNNNNNNNNNNNNNNNNNNNNNNNNNNNNNNNNNNNNNNNNNNNNNNNNNNNNNNNNNNNNNNNNNNNNNNNNNNNNNNNNNNNNNNNNNNNNNNNNNNNNNNNNNNNNNNNNNNNNNNNNNNNNNNNNNNNNNNNNNNNNNNNNNNNNNNNNNNNNNNNNNNNNNNNNNNNNNNNNNNNNNNNNNNNNNNNNNNNNNNNNNNNNNNNNNNNNNNNNNNNNNNNNNNNNNNNNNNNNNNNNNNNNNNNNNNNNNNNNNNNNNNNNNNNNNNNNNNNNNNNNNNNNNNNNNNNNNNNNNNNNNNNNNNNNNNNNNNNNNNNNNNNNNNNNNNNNNNNNNNNNNNNNNNNNNNNNNNNNNNNNNNNNNNNNNNNNNNNNNNNNNNNNNNNNNNNNNNNNNNNNNNNNNNNNNNNNNNNNNNNNNNNNNNNNNNNNNNNNNNNNNNNNNNNNNNNNNNNNNNNNNNNNNNNNNNNNNNNNNNNNNNNNNNNNNNNNNNNNNNNNNNNNNNNNNNNNNNNNNNNNNNNNNNNNNNNNNNNNNNNNNNNNNNNNNNNNNNNNNNNNNNNNNNNNNNNNNNNNNNNNNNNNNNNNNNNNNNNNNNNNNNNNNNNNNNNNNNNNNNNNNNNNNNNNNNNNNNNNNNNNNNNNNNNNNNNNNNNNNNNNNNNNNNNNNNNNNNNNNNNNNNNNNNNNNNNNNNNNNNNNNNNNNNNNNNNNNNNNNNNNNNNNNNNNNNNNNNNNNNNNNNNNNNNNNNNNNNNNNNNNNNNNNNNNNNNNNNNNNNNNNNNNNNNNNNNNNNNNNNNNNNNNNNNNNNNNNNNNNNNNNNNNNNNNNNNNNNNNNNNNNNNNNNNNNNNNNNNNNNNNNNNNNNNNNNNNNNNNNNNNNNNNNNNNNNNNNNNNNNNNNNNNNNNNNNNNNNNNNNNNNNNNNNNNNNNNNNNNNNNNNNNNNNNNNNNNNNNNNNNNNNNNNNNNNNNNNNNNNNNNNNNNNNNNNNNNNNNNNNNNNNNNNNNNNNNNNNNNNNNNNNNNNNNNNNNNNNNNNNNNNNNNNNNNNNNNNNNNNNNNNNNNNNNNNNNNNNNNNNNNNNNNNNNNNNNNNNNNNNNNNNNNNNNNNNNNNNNNNNNNNNNNNNNNNNNNNNNNNNNNNNNNNNNNNNNNNNNNNNNNNNNNNNNNNNNNNNNNNNNNNNNNNNNNNNNNNNNNNNNNNNNNNNNNNNNNNNNNNNNNNNNNNNNNNNNNNNNNNNNNNNNNNNNNNNNNNNNNNNNNNNNNNNNNNNNNNNNNNNNNNNNNNNNNNNNNNNNNNNNNNNNNNNNNNNNNNNNNNNNNNNNNNNNNNNNNNNNNNNNNNNNNNNNNNNNNNNNNNNNNNNNNNNNNNNNNNNNNNNNNNNNNNNNNNNNNNNNNNNNNNNNNNNNNNNNNNNNNNNNNNNNNNNNNNNNNNNNNNNNNNNNNNNNNNNNNNNNNNNNNNNNNNNNNNNNNNNNNNNNNNNNNNNNNNNNNNNNNNNNNNNNNNNNNNNNNNNNNNNNNNNNNNNNNNNNNNNNNNNNNNNNNNNNNNNNNNNNNNNNNNNNNNNNNNNNNNNNNNNNNNNNNNNNNNNNNNNNNNNNNNNNNNNNNNNNNNNNNNNNNNNNNNNNNNNNNNNNNNNNNNNNNNNNNNNNNNNNNNNNNNNNNNNNNNNNNNNNNNNNNNNNNNNNNNNNNNNNNNNNNNNNNNNNNNNNNNNNNNNNNNNNNNNNNNNNNNNNNNNNNNNNNNNNNNNNNNNNNNNNNNNNNNNNNNNNNNNNNNNNNNNNNNNNNNNNNNNNNNNNNNNNNNNNNNNNNNNNNNNNNNNNNNNNNNNNNNNNNNNNNNNNNNNNNNNNNNNNNNNNNNNNNNNNNNNNNNNNNNNNNNNNNNNNNNNNNNNNNNNNNNNNNNNNNNNNNNNNNNNNNNNNNNNNNNNNNNNNNNNNNNNNNNNNNNNNNNNNNNNNNNNNNNNNNNNNNNNNNNNNNNNNNNNNNNNNNNNNNNNNNNNNNNNNNNNNNNNNNNNNNNNNNNNNNNNNNNNNNNNNNNNNNNNNNNNNNNNNNNNNNNNNNNNNNNNNNNNNNNNNNNNNNNNNNNNNNNNNNNNNNNNNNNNNNNNNNNNNNNNNNNNNNNNNNNNNNNNNNNNNNNNNNNNNNNNNNNNNNNNNNNNNNNNNNNNNNNNNNNNNNNNNNNNNNNNNNNNNNNNNNNNNNNNNNNNNNNNNNNNNNNNNNNNNNNNNNNNNNNNNNNNNNNNNNNNNNNNNNNNNNNNNNNNNNNNNNNNNNNNNNNNNNNNNNNNNNNNNNNNNNNNNNNNNNNNNNNNNNNNNNNNNNNNNNNNNNNNNNNNNNNNNNNNNNNNNNNNNNNNNNNNNNNNNNNNNNNNNNNNNNNNNNNNNNNNNNNNNNNNNNNNNNNNNNNNNNNNNNNNNNNNNNNNNNNNNNNNNNNNNNNNNNNNNNNNNNNNNNNNNNNNNNNNNNNNNNNNNNNNNNNNNNNNNNNNNNNNNNNNNNNNNNNNNNNNNNNNNNNNNNNNNNNNNNNNNNNNNNNNNNNNNNNNNNNNNNNNNNNNNNNNNNNNNNNNNNNNNNNNNNNNNNNNNNNNNNNNNNNNNNNNNNNNNNNNNNNNNNNNNNNNNNNNNNNNNNNNNNNNNNNNNNNNNNNNNNNNNNNNNNNNNNNNNNNNNNNNNNNNNNNNNNNNNNNNNNNNNNNNNNNNNNNNNNNNNNNNNNNNNNNNNNNNNNNNNNNNNNNNNNNNNNNNNNNNNNNNNNNNNNNNNNNNNNNNNNNNNNNNNNNNNNNNNNNNNNNNNNNNNNNNNNNNNNNNNNNNNNNNNNNNNNNNNNNNNNNNNNNNNNNNNNNNNNNNNNNNNNNNNNNNNNNNNNNNNNNNNNNNNNNNNNNNNNNNNNNNNNNNNNNNNNNNNNNNNNNNNNNNNNNNNNNNNNNNNNNNNNNNNNNNNNNNNNNNNNNNNNNNNNNNNNNNNNNNNNNNNNNNNNNNNNNNNNNNNNNNNNNNNNNNNNNNNNNNNNNNNNNNNNNNNNNNNNNNNNNNNNNNNNNNNNNNNNNNNNNNNNNNNNNNNNNNNNNNNNNNNNNNNNNNNNNNNNNNNNNNNNNNNNNNNNNNNNNNNNNNNNNNNNNNNNNNNNNNNNNNNNNNNNNNNNNNNNNNNNNNNNNNNNNNNNNNNNNNNNNNNNNNNNNNNNNNNNNNNNNNNNNNNNNNNNNNNNNNNNNNNNNNNNNNNNNNNNNNNNNNNNNNNNNNNNNNNNNNNNNNNNNNNNNNNNNNNNNNNNNNNNNNNNNNNNNNNNNNNNNNNNNNNNNNNNNNNNNNNNNNNNNNNNNNNNNNNNNNNNNNNNNNNNNNNNNNNNNNNNNNNNNNNNNNNNNNNNNNNNNNNNNNNNNNNNNNNNNNNNNNNNNNNNNNNNNNNNNNNNNNNNNNNNNNNNNNNNNNNNNNNNNNNNNNNNNNNNNNNNNNNNNNNNNNNNNNNNNNNNNNNNNNNNNNNNNNNNNNNNNNNNNNNNNNNNNNNNNNNNNNNNNNNNNNNNNNNNNNNNNNNNNNNNNNNNNNNNNNNNNNNNNNNNNNNNNNNNNNNNNNNNNNNNNNNNNNNNNNNNNNNNNNNNNNNNNNNNNNNNNNNNNNNNNNNNNNNNNNNNNNNNNNNNNNNNNNNNNNNNNNNNNNNNNNNNNNNNNNNNNNNNNNNNNNNNNNNNNNNNNNNNNNNNNNNNNNNNNNNNNNNNNNNNNNNNNNNNNNNNNNNNNNNNNNNNNNNNNNNNNNNNNNNNNNNNNNNNNNNNNNNNNNNNNNNNNNNNNNNNNNNNNNNNNNNNNNNNNNNNNNNNNNNNNNNNNNNNNNNNNNNNNNNNNNNNNNNNNNNNNNNNNNNNNNNNNNNNNNNNNNNNNNNNNNNNNNNNNNNNNNNNNNNNNNNNNNNNNNNNNNNNNNNNNNNNNNNNNNNNNNNNNNNNNNNNNNNNNNNNNNNNNNNNNNNNNNNNNNNNNNNNNNNNNNNNNNNNNNNNNNNNNNNNNNNNNNNNNNNNNNNNNNNNNNNNNNNNNNNNNNNNNNNNNNNNNNNNNNNNNNNNNNNNNNNNNNNNNNNNNNNNNNNNNNNNNNNNNNNNNNNNNNNNNNNNNNNNNNNNNNNNNNNNNNNNNNNNNNNNNNNNNNNNNNNNNNNNNNNNNNNNNNNNNNNNNNNNNNNNNNNNNNNNNNNNNNNNNNNNNNNNNNNNNNNNNNNNNNNNNNNNNNNNNNNNNNNNNNNNNNNNNNNNNNNNNNNNNNNNNNNNNNNNNNNNNNNNNNNNNNNNNNNNNNNNNNNNNNNNNNNNNNNNNNNNNNNNNNNNNNNNNNNNNNNNNNNNNNNNNNNNNNNNNNNNNNNNNNNNNNNNNNNNNNNNNNNNNNNNNNNNNNNNNNNNNNNNNNNNNNNNNNNNNNNNNNNNNNNNNNNNNNNNNNNNNNNNNNNNNNNNNNNNNNNNNNNNNNNNNNNNNNNNNNNNNNNNNNNNNNNNNNNNNNNNNNNNNNNNNNNNNNNNNNNNNNNNNNNNNNNNNNNNNNNNNNNNNNNNNNNNNNNNNNNNNNNNNNNNNNNNNNNNNNNNNNNNNNNNNNNNNNNNNNNNNNNNNNNNNNNNNNNNNNNNNNNNNNNNNNNNNNNNNNNNNNNNNNNNNNNNNNNNNNNNNNNNNNNNNNNNNNNNNNNNNNNNNNNNNNNNNNNNNNNNNNNNNNNNNNNNNNNNNNNNNNNNNNNNNNNNNNNNNNNNNNNNNNNNNNNNNNNNNNNNNNNNNNNNNNNNNNNNNNNNNNNNNNNNNNNNNNNNNNNNNNNNNNNNNNNNNNNNNNNNNNNNNNNNNNNNNNNNNNNNNNNNNNNNNNNNNNNNNNNNNNNNNNNNNNNNNNNNNNNNNNNNNNNNNNNNNNNNNNNNNNNNNNNNNNNNNNNNNNNNNNNNNNNNNNNNNNNNNNNNNNNNNNNNNNNNNNNNNNNNNNNNNNNNNNNNNNNNNNNNNNNNNNNNNNNNNNNNNNNNNNNNNNNNNNNNNNNNNNNNNNNNNNNNNNNNNNNNNNNNNNNNNNNNNNNNNNNNNNNNNNNNNNNNNNNNNNNNNNNNNNNNNNNNNNNNNNNNNNNNNNNNNNNNNNNNNNNNNNNNNNNNNNNNNNNNNNNNNNNNNNNNNNNNNNNNNNNNNNNNNNNNNNNNNNNNNNNNNNNNNNNNNNNNNNNNNNNNNNNNNNNNNNNNNNNNNNNNNNNNNNNNNNNNNNNNNNNNNNNNNNNNNNNNNNNNNNNNNNNNNNNNNNNNNNNNNNNNNNNNNNNNNNNNNNNNNNNNNNNNNNNNNNNNNNNNNNNNNNNNNNNNNNNNNNNNNNNNNNNNNNNNNNNNNNNNNNNNNNNNNNNNNNNNNNNNNNNNNNNNNNNNNNNNNNNNNNNNNNNNNNNNNNNNNNNNNNNNNNNNNNNNNNNNNNNNNNNNNNNNNNNNNNNNNNNNNNNNNNNNNNNNNNNNNNNNNNNNNNNNNNNNNNNNNNNNNNNNNNNNNNNNNNNNNNNNNNNNNNNNNNNNNNNNNNNNNNNNNNNNNNNNNNNNNNNNNNNNNNNNNNNNNNNNNNNNNNNNNNNNNNNNNNNNNNNNNNNNNNNNNNNNNNNNNNNNNNNNNNNNNNNNNNNNNNNNNNNNNNNNNNNNNNNNNNNNNNNNNNNNNNNNNNNNNNNNNNNNNNNNNNNNNNNNNNNNNNNNNNNNNNNNNNNNNNNNNNNNNNNNNNNNNNNNNNNNNNNNNNNNNNNNNNNNNNNNNNNNNNNNNNNNNNNNNNNNNNNNNNNNNNNNNNNNNNNNNNNNNNNNNNNNNNNNNNNNNNNNNNNNNNNNNNNNNNNNNNNNNNNNNNNNNNNNNNNNNNNNNNNNNNNNNNNNNNNNNNNNNNNNNNNNNNNNNNNNNNNNNNNNNNNNNNNNNNNNNNNNNNNNNNNNNNNNNNNNNNNNNNNNNNNNNNNNNNNNNNNNNNNNNNNNNNNNNNNNNNNNNNNNNNNNNNNNNNNNNNNNNNNNNNNNNNNNNNNNNNNNNNNNNNNNNNNNNNNNNNNNNNNNNNNNNNNNNNNNNNNNNNNNNNNNNNNNNNNNNNNNNNNNNNNNNNNNNNNNNNNNNNNNNNNNNNNNNNNNNNNNNNNNNNNNNNNNNNNNNNNNNNNNNNNNNNNNNNNNNNNNNNNNNNNNNNNNNNNNNNNNNNNNNNNNNNNNNNNNNNNNNNNNNNNNNNNNNNNNNNNNNNNNNNNNNNNNNNNNNNNNNNNNNNNNNNNNNNNNNNNNNNNNNNNNNNNNNNNNNNNNNNNNNNNNNNNNNNNNNNNNNNNNNNNNNNNNNNNNNNNNNNNNNNNNNNNNNNNNNNNNNNNNNNNNNNNNNNNNNNNNNNNNNNNNNNNNNNNNNNNNNNNNNNNNNNNNNNNNNNNNNNNNNNNNNNNNNNNNNNNNNNNNNNNNNNNNNNNNNNNNNNNNNNNNNNNNNNNNNNNNNNNNNNNNNNNNNNNNNNNNNNNNNNNNNNNNNNNNNNNNNNNNNNNNNNNNNNNNNNNNNNNNNNNNNNNNNNNNNNNNNNNNNNNNNNNNNNNNNNNNNNNNNNNNNNNNNNNNNNNNNNNNNNNNNNNNNNNNNNNNNNNNNNNNNNNNNNNNNNNNNNNNNNNNNNNNNNNNNNNNNNNNNNNNNNNNNNNNNNNNNNNNNNNNNNNNNNNNNNNNNNNNNNNNNNNNNNNNNNNNNNNNNNNNNNNNNNNNNNNNNNNNNNNNNNNNNNNNNNNNNNNNNNNNNNNNNNNNNNNNNNNNNNNNNNNNNNNNNNNNNNNNNNNNNNNNNNNNNNNNNNNNNNNNNNNNNNNNNNNNNNNNNNNNNNNNNNNNNNNNNNNNNNNNNNNNNNNNNNNNNNNNNNNNNNNNNNNNNNNNNNNNNNNNNNNNNNNNNNNNNNNNNNNNNNNNNNNNNNNNNNNNNNNNNNNNNNNNNNNNNNNNNNNNNNNNNNNNNNNNNNNNNNNNNNNNNNNNNNNNNNNNNNNNNNNNNNNNNNNNNNNNNNNNNNNNNNNNNNNNNNNNNNNNNNNNNNNNNNNNNNNNNNNNNNNNNNNNNNNNNNNNNNNNNNNNNNNNNNNNNNNNNNNNNNNNNNNNNNNNNNNNNNNNNNNNNNNNNNNNNNNNNNNNNNNNNNNNNNNNNNNNNNNNNNNNNNNNNNNNNNNNNNNNNNNNNNNNNNNNNNNNNNNNNNNNNNNNNNNNNNNNNNNNNNNNNNNNNNNNNNNNNNNNNNNNNNNNNNNNNNNNNNNNNNNNNNNNNNNNNNNNNNNNNNNNNNNNNNNNNNNNNNNNNNNNNNNNNNNNNNNNNNNNNNNNNNNNNNNNNNNNNNNNNNNNNNNNNNNNNNNNNNNNNNNNNNNNNNNNNNNNNNNNNNNNNNNNNNNNNNNNNNNNNNNNNNNNNNNNNNNNNNNNNNNNNNNNNNNNNNNNNNNNNNNNNNNNNNNNNNNNNNNNNNNNNNNNNNNNNNNNNNNNNNNNNNNNNNNNNNNNNNNNNNNNNNNNNNNNNNNNNNNNNNNNNNNNNNNNNNNNNNNNNNNNNNNNNNNNNNNNNNNNNNNNNNNNNNNNNNNNNNNNNNNNNNNNNNNNNNNNNNNNNNNNNNNNNNNNNNNNNNNNNNNNNNNNNNNNNNNNNNNNNNNNNNNNNNNNNNNNNNNNNNNNNNNNNNNNNNNNNNNNNNNNNNNNNNNNNNNNNNNNNNNNNNNNNNNNNNNNNNNNNNNNNNNNNNNNNNNNNNNNNNNNNNNNNNNNNNNNNNNNNNNNNNNNNNNNNNNNNNNNNNNNNNNNNNNNNNNNNNNNNNNNNNNNNNNNNNNNNNNNNNNNNNNNNNNNNNNNNNNNNNNNNNNNNNNNNNNNNNNNNNNNNNNNNNNNNNNNNNNNNNNNNNNNNNNNNNNNNNNNNNNNNNNNNNNNNNNNNNNNNNNNNNNNNNNNNNNNNNNNNNNNNNNNNNNNNNNNNNNNNNNNNNNNNNNNNNNNNNNNNNNNNNNNNNNNNNNNNNNNNNNNNNNNNNNNNNNNNNNNNNNNNNNNNNNNNNNNNNNNNNNNNNNNNNNNNNNNNNNNNNNNNNNNNNNNNNNNNNNNNNNNNNNNNNNNNNNNNNNNNNNNNNNNNNNNNNNNNNNNNNNNNNNNNNNNNNNNNNNNNNNNNNNNNNNNNNNNNNNNNNNNNNNNNNNNNNNNNNNNNNNNNNNNNNNNNNNNNNNNNNNNNNNNNNNNNNNNNNNNNNNNNNNNNNNNNNNNNNNNNNNNNNNNNNNNNNNNNNNNNNNNNNNNNNNNNNNNNNNNNNNNNNNNNNNNNNNNNNNNNNNNNNNNNNNNNNNNNNNNNNNNNNNNNNNNNNNNNNNNNNNNNNNNNNNNNNNNNNNNNNNNNNNNNNNNNNNNNNNNNNNNNNNNNNNNNNNNNNNNNNNNNNNNNNNNNNNNNNNNNNNNNNNNNNNNNNNNNNNNNNNNNNNNNNNNNNNNNNNNNNNNNNNNNNNNNNNNNNNNNNNNNNNNNNNNNNNNNNNNNNNNNNNNNNNNNNNNNNNNNNNNNNNNNNNNNNNNNNNNNNNNNNNNNNNNNNNNNNNNNNNNNNNNNNNNNNNNNNNNNNNNNNNNNNNNNNNNNNNNNNNNNNNNNNNNNNNNNNNNNNNNNNNNNNNNNNNNNNNNNNNNNNNNNNNNNNNNNNNNNNNNNNNNNNNNNNNNNNNNNNNNNNNNNNNNNNNNNNNNNNNNNNNNNNNNNNNNNNNNNNNNNNNNNNNNNNNNNNNNNNNNNNNNNNNNNNNNNNNNNNNNNNNNNNNNNNNNNNNNNNNNNNNNNNNNNNNNNNNNNNNNNNNNNNNNNNNNNNNNNNNNNNNNNNNNNNNNNNNNNNNNNNNNNNNNNNNNNNNNNNNNNNNNNNNNNNNNNNNNNNNNNNNNNNNNNNNNNNNNNNNNNNNNNNNNNNNNNNNNNNNNNNNNNNNNNNNNNNNNNNNNNNNNNNNNNNNNNNNNNNNNNNNNNNNNNNNNNNNNNNNNNNNNNNNNNNNNNNNNNNNNNNNNNNNNNNNNNNNNNNNNNNNNNNNNNNNNNNNNNNNNNNNNNNNNNNNNNNNNNNNNNNNNNNNNNNNNNNNNNNNNNNNNNNNNNNNNNNNNNNNNNNNNNNNNNNNNNNNNNNNNNNNNNNNNNNNNNNNNNNNNNNNNNNNNNNNNNNNNNNNNNNNNNNNNNNNNNNNNNNNNNNNNNNNNNNNNNNNNNNNNNNNNNNNNNNNNNNNNNNNNNNNNNNNNNNNNNNNNNNNNNNNNNNNNNNNNNNNNNNNNNNNNNNNNNNNNNNNNNNNNNNNNNNNNNNNNNNNNNNNNNNNNNNNNNNNNNNNNNNNNNNNNNNNNNNNNNNNNNNNNNNNNNNNNNNNNNNNNNNNNNNNNNNNNNNNNNNNNNNNNNNNNNNNNNNNNNNNNNNNNNNNNNNNNNNNNNNNNNNNNNNNNNNNNNNNNNNNNNNNNNNNNNNNNNNNNNNNNNNNNNNNNNNNNNNNNNNNNNNNNNNNNNNNNNNNNNNNNNNNNNNNNNNNNNNNNNNNNNNNNNNNNNNNNNNNNNNNNNNNNNNNNNNNNNNNNNNNNNNNNNNNNNNNNNNNNNNNNNNNNNNNNNNNNNNNNNNNNNNNNNNNNNNNNNNNNNNNNNNNNNNNNNNNNNNNNNNNNNNNNNNNNNNNNNNNNNNNNNNNNNNNNNNNNNNNNNNNNNNNNNNNNNNNNNNNNNNNNNNNNNNNNNNNNNNNNNNNNNNNNNNNNNNNNNNNNNNNNNNNNNNNNNNNNNNNNNNNNNNNNNNNNNNNNNNNNNNNNNNNNNNNNNNNNNNNNNNNNNNNNNNNNNNNNNNNNNNNNNNNNNNNNNNNNNNNNNNNNNNNNNNNNNNNNNNNNNNNNNNNNNNNNNNNNNNNNNNNNNNNNNNNNNNNNNNNNNNNNNNNNNNNNNNNNNNNNNNNNNNNNNNNNNNNNNNNNNNNNNNNNNNNNNNNNNNNNNNNNNNNNNNNNNNNNNNNNNNNNNNNNNNNNNNNNNNNNNNNNNNNNNNNNNNNNNNNNNNNNNNNNNNNNNNNNNNNNNNNNNNNNNNNNNNNNNNNNNNNNNNNNNNNNNNNNNNNNNNNNNNNNNNNNNNNNNNNNNNNNNNNNNNNNNNNNNNNNNNNNNNNNNNNNNNNNNNNNNNNNNNNNNNNNNNNNNNNNNNNNNNNNNNNNNNNNNNNNNNNNNNNNNNNNNNNNNNNNNNNNNNNNNNNNNNNNNNNNNNNNNNNNNNNNNNNNNNNNNNNNNNNNNNNNNNNNNNNNNNNNNNNNNNNNNNNNNNNNNNNNNNNNNNNNNNNNNNNNNNNNNNNNNNNNNNNNNNNNNNNNNNNNNNNNNNNNNNNNNNNNNNNNNNNNNNNNNNNNNNNNNNNNNNNNNNNNNNNNNNNNNNNNNNNNNNNNNNNNNNNNNNNNNNNNNNNNNNNNNNNNNNNNNNNNNNNNNAGUGGUGAUGUUUUUGGUUUCGAAUGGAUCUAAUCAUUCCUAAACUUAUUCUAAAAGGAUUUUCAAUAUGGUUCUAAAUGAGUGGUUGGUUUAAUAAAUAUGUUCUAAGGUCUUAAAAAAUUCUGAGGUGAUUGACUUAUGCAACUCAAUUUUUAAUCAAUUAUAAGUGUAGUCAAGAAUGAGUACGUGCUUGAAUUGUUCAAAAGACAAGUAUAAAUUAAUAGGAUUCAUAAAUAAUUAAAAAUCUGAGUGUCCAUAGGAAUCGAUUUACAUUUUCAUCAGUUGAUAUGAAUUACUUUGUCCAAGUCAAAUCACACAGAAGUAUACAUAAUAAAGUUAUUUAUUUAUUUAUUUUUUUCAAAAUUUUUAACGAGUUUUCCUGUUUUGACUCAAAAUUAAACCUAAAUUAAUCACACACAAAUUAUUCAUGUCCUCCAAAUUUAAUUUCUACAUUGUCCUCGUAAUGCUAUAAAGCCUAAAUUAUCGAAAUUAAAUAAAAGAUAGAAAAUUUGGACUUGCCUGAUAAGUUUUGCGAGAUGGAGUUAGCCUUGAAACUAGAAGAAUAUUUUCCUUUACUUUAUCUUCUCUCCUCCUUCAAAGGAAUUUCUCGUUCUUUGUGCCUAUUUUCGACGAAUAAGAUUGUAAGUUACUUUAACAAAAAAAUAAUAAGUAAUUAUAAUCAAGAUUCCAAUAAAAGAGCAACACAUCAACUACUUAAUCCAUCUAUCUCAAUUUAGUAUAACAAAAUUAGAAAAAUUCCAAAGAAAAAAAUCUUAUGUAAUACUAUUGAGUGAAACUUAAACUUUUCAUGAUUUUUAAAAACAUUGAACAUACUGAUGAUGAAAAAGUUGGUGAUUAUGUGAAUUUGGGUGUCAAAUAUAUGGAGGAGGGAGAGAAUUUUGAAAUUUUGAAGUUAAAACUUAUUAAAGUUAAAAAAAUAAAUAAAUAAAAAAUAGAUCUCUUAUACCAUUUCCAGCACUGCACCAAAUUUUGCAUCAAAUUUUACACCAAAUCUUACACCAAACUAAAAUUUAUCUCCAACUAUUACACUAAAAUUUGCACCAAAUGAACAGUAUUUAACCAUUUUCUUCCCCUUUUUAUUCUUAAUAAUUUAUUUAUUUGAAAUAUUAUUUACAUAAUAUUUUAUAAAUACAAAAAUUACUAAAUAAAUAAUUACAUUAAAUUACAAAAAAGAUUAAAUUCAUUAAUAAAUAUAAAAAAAAUAGUACAAUUAAUAAAAACACUACAACAAUGAUAAUAUUAAAUCAUGCCAUUAAAAAAUAGUGCAAUGCAUUUCGAAUUAAGAUAUUACGAUAUUACGAAGUCGAAAUAUUAUUGCAAUUUAAUUCUCUGAAUUCAUAUCGUUUUCUUUAAAUAAAAUUAGAUUAUCAUACGUAUGUCGUCAUUUAAUAUAUUUCAUUUUUAAUUUAAGAAACAAUCGUGUUUGUUAUAUUUUAAAUUUUUUCUUCUUUUAAUUAAUAUAUUGAUUAUUAUUUUUUAUAUUUAAAAUACAAAUAAUAAUAUUAAUAAUUUAUUGUAUUAAAAAAUAUAUAGCACAAGACACAAAUAUCCUUAAUCAAUUUGUUUGGAAAAGGAAAAGCAAGGGCAAAAAUGAUAUUAUAUACUUUGCACCAUUUGCACCAAAAUGGUGCAAAGCUUGGUGCCACAUUGGAGGAAAUUUGCACCAAAAUUUGGAGCAUUUUAGUGAAAUGGUGCAUACAUUGGAGAUAGCCUUAGUUCAUUUUCUAUGUUUGACCACGGUUGACCACGAUAAACAACAAACUUUUAGUGAUUGUAUUGCAUCGCAGUUGACCGCGGUCAACCAUAUUGUUUAUUUUAAUUUUUUGCAGUGGUAUUAGAAUGACGACUCCAAAAAUAAUAAAAAAAUUUAAAACAAAAUUUAUUUUAACUAAAUAAUAAUUAAACAUGCCUAAUACUAAAUGCAAUUGUGUUAUUUAUAAUCUUGUACAUGUCUAAUUCCUGAAUUUGUCUUGCAUCUUUUACAUGCUUCAUGAAAACUCCCUAAAUUUGCCUGUUGAAAUGUCGAGAUCUCAUGACUUUUAGUUACCUUUGACAUUGGAAAGUACUCUGUGAAACACUUAUGUACCAUAUCAUCAUCCUAAUGCUUUCUUCGCCCGGUGAAUCCAAUCAUUCUCUGGCUUUAUAACAAAGAGUAUGUAGGAAGAGUCUCAAUUAAUUGCUUCAUUGGAUACUCCAUGAAAAUUGUAGUUUUAGUAGAUGUCCAAGAAGCGUGAGAUAUAAUUAUGUAGAUUCCCAUAAUGUUGAAAUAAAACAAAAAAGAUUAAAAGAUAUCACCGAGUUUAAUUACAAUAAACAUGAUAAAAGUUACUCCUCGCUUUCAUUGAUUUUUGCCAUACGAUUCCAAAAAUAUUUUUCGUUUCCUUCCUUGUGUAUCGUAAAUCUCUCGAUAAUUAGUUGAUGUAAUAUGAUAUAUUUUCUUCAAUUUUGCUGUCUAGCCAUCUUUUCUCUUCCAUCACAUUUUUCUGCGUCUUCCUUUUUGUCAUCCUUCCUCUAUGUCUUCUGCUUUUUUCUUUUAUUUGCCUAUCGCCAGCUUCUGUUUACUUUAAAAAAGGAUUCUAAUUCCUUUGGAUUUGAUUCCCAACUAAUUCUAUGUUUCAAGGCCCAUUUGAUGUAUUAUUUCUCUCCAAGGCCUCACUUUUUUCGAAUAAUGUAAUUUAGUCCUUGAUAAAAAUUCAUUUGUGCAGCUCACAUCCUCUUUAUUUCAAAUCAAGCCCUUCAAUUUCUAAAGUGCUGAAUUUGAUCUCAAAGCUGUAGAUUUCAUUCAUUUUCGUCAUUCUUAACCAAUAUUUAGUCCAAUCCCAAAUUUUCUCCUGACAUAAUCCAAAAAUACGAAUAAUUAAGUGUUAAGUUCACUAUAAUACUAACGAAAGACACUUUUUGUGGCUUAAAUAAGUGUAAAUUUAAUACUUAUUCAUAUCCACCUUCACAUCUACUCCUUUAUUUUUAUUUUUAUUGUUUUUUUACUCAUUUGCACACAAUGAAUUUUGUCAUUUCCAGUGUGUCUUCAAUUUCCUAGACCUAAACAAAAUGCAUGGAUUCCAUAUUAGCAUUUAUAUCUUGUUGCCAUAAAUCUGCAUUGACAUAAUCUAUGGCCUCUUCAUAUGAAGUCUUAUUAUCUACUUGUAUUGUGGACAUCAUCUGUUUGGACUGUCCAACUAACAAGUACGUGCAAAGUCUUUUAAUGACCUUAUAACCUUAGCUAAGAGGUUGUAGCUCCUAGAUUGUGGCGUUAUAUGGAAUCACAAUGUUUUCAUCAAAGCGAGUAUCACCAUCAGGUUGACUCCAUUACUUCCUCAUUACUUUUGACAAUUUCUUCAUCUAUAGGAUCAUAUGAAAGAUCAUAGCUCCUACUCUGAUCAUGAUGUCUUAAUAUUCCUAAAACUGUAGGUUGGUUUUCAUCAAAGCUAGCAUCACCAUUAAGUUGACUCCAUUACAUCGUCAGUUUCAACAAUUUCUUCAUCUAUAGGAUCACACGAAAGAUCAUCCCUCCUACUUUUAUCAUGUUGUCUUAGUAUUCCUAAACUGUAGGUUUGUUUGUCACCGGGCUGUGUUUCUAGAAUUGAUAUCGUAGAAUUAUCCUCACUCAUUUCUUCCAAAACAACCUUAUUUUGGUUUGAAAGGACAUAGAUUGAACACAAAGUCAUAAAUAUUAGUCUAGAAUUUCAUGUUAAAACUAAAUAGUGACAUUACAAAUAUUAGAAAAAUCAAAGUUCACUUAUAAUCAUUACAUGCAAUAAUAUGAUACAAAUAUUUUAGAGCUAACCUAUUAGCCAAUGCCAAUUUGAGCCACAUUCGCAGCUGUAACACAUUAUUGAUUCUCCAUAUAAAGAUAAGAAUAUAGUGAAUGUAUUCAUUAAUUACAAUCACAAUAUAAAGCAAUUAAUAAAAAAACGAAUAAGAAGAUCAAAUACGAUAAUUUAUUCUACAGUUUUCUGUGAUCAUCCAAUACUUCUACAUUAUUCAAAUAUUGACGAAUUGUUAUAAGUUCCUUAUUACUCUACAACAUUUUAGGGCAAAUCAUCGCCUCAACCAUCUUUAAGCUCAACCAACUCCUAAAAGAAUAAAAAAAAAAAAAAUUCAACAACUAAUAGGGAAUAUAAAUUCAGUAAUUUUGGAUAUUUGAAUAGCUAACACAUAUUUGACAAUUUUCGAAGGUAAUCUCAUACUUAUUUGCAUUCAAUUUCCACCAAAGUAAUAGGUUGAAAGGCUCAUUAGUCAAAUCUUGACAAUAAUCAUUUAAGUAAUCUAUCAAAUUAUUCUAUCGAUUAAUAGUAAAAUUCAACAAGUAAGUUUAAAUAUAAAUAAUAAAUCAUAUGAUCUAACCAGAAAAUUGAGAUGUAAAUAAACAAAUAGUAUCGUCUAAAAAAGUUAAGGGCUUGGACAAAUCACAACAAAACAAAACAAUUAUCAAUAAAAUAUAAUAAACAAUUACAAAAAAAUAAGAAAAUUUGGAUAAACUUACAUGGAAAUUUAGGCAAAAUUUGAGAAAAAAUAUUAAUAGAAGGAAAAGAAAUGGUGUGAGUUUAUUAAAAUUUAAUUGUCUACUCAAUGCAAUGGACGGUUGAUGAUUAUGGUUUGAAAAAAGUUCAAUACUUCAACCAAUUUGAGGAGUUUUCUUUCACAAUUGUGAUGACUUAUGGGUACUUAUUAUUUUAUUCAUUGGAAUGGAUAGUUGUCUAAUUGGGUAUUGAAUUUAACUGGGUUGGAUAUAAUAUGGAUAUAUAUUUUGAAUUUGGAUGCUUUAAGUUUCAGUUGUGUUGAAUAAAAUUUAAAGUCACUUAUUUUUCAAUUAUUUUUACUUGUUGUAUUGAUUUGACAAUUUGAAAUGGUUUGCAAAAAUUGAAAUCUAAAUAAAACUAAUUUGAAACGAUUUGGUUCAAUCCAAAAUCAAAAUGUUGAGGGAUCUAUGUGAACCCAAUUCAGCGAUUUCAAAAACUAGUUUCAGUUGAUUUCACGGUUUGACAAUUUCGCUAUCCGACCCUAGUAAUAGCUGUUUUUAUUAAAAUAAUGGAUUUUUGCUUAAAGUUGAAAAGUGCUUGUUGACCAAUAAAAUUUCUUUAUAAGUUAUUUUAAAGAAGCUCAAAUUCUUCAGAAAGCUUUGUAUCUAGGGAUGGCAAUGGCUCAACUCGGCCCGUAUACGCAUGAGCUCGGCUCGCACUCAUGGCUCAUUUUCAACUAGAAGAGUUUGAGCUCGGCUCGUUGCUUCUGUGCGAGCUCAACACGGCCCACGAGAGUCGAGCUUUGGCUCACGAGCUCGUCCUUUUUUUUUUUAACGGAAAAAACAAAUGAAUACAAAUGUAUUUUUAAAAAAAAUAAUUUAAUAAGGACAAUUUAUUUAUUUAUAUCAUAUAGUAAUAUUUUCUAUAAAGUAUUAAAUAUUUAUAUAAUGAAAACAAUUUUUUUUUGAAAUAUAUAUAUAUAUAUAAAAUACAUUUUUUUCAUUUUCUUUUUGAAAUAGAUAAAAUAUAAACCCUCCUCCUUUAUUCGGGUUUGGGAUCGAUUACAUCAAUUUUAAGUAAGUGGAUUUAAAAAUUAUACACGAAAAACUUGUUGGUUACGUGUACAAUUUUUUAAAGAAAAUUAAAUAUAACAAUUAAAAAAUAAGAAAUUUUGAUUAAUAUAAUUAAAUCAAAUAUCACUUACCUGACGACAUACAGUUUCAGUAUAUUUAUCUUAUAGUCGAAAAUGAGCGUUCUGUCAAUUCUUCAAGCAUAUUAGAGCUUCCAAAACAUAUUCUUUCAGCCAGCUCCUGACAUCGGUCAAAACCCCUUUUAUCUGCACUAAAAACAGGCUCAGAAAUACCAGUGCUAAUCGGAGGUGUCAGUAGAUCUUUCGCAAUUGCAGAAACAAUUGACCAACGUCUUUCAUACUUUUGCCAGAAUUCAAUUACUUCUUCUGAACUUUUUUUUAAUUUUUUUGUUUGUUGGCAUAUUCUGAUUGAAGUAAUCAAUUAAUUUGGCAAACAUCGCAUUUUGAGUUGCGACCGAUGUUUGAUGAGAUGCAAAUGUAGACGACAUGGCACUAGAUGAACAAAUUGUAGUUGCAUCAUAUCUAUAUGUAUUAAUGCCUUGAAAUAAAUUCAUUAUUUCGACAUCAUCUUUUUCAAUUUCAGCCGAAGACGUAGGUGCAAAGAGUACCCGACUAACAUUCACACACAUUCAGUCUGUAUAUAAUUCAUACAUUUUACAUAAUGUUUGUUCUAAAUUCCUAUAGGUGAUAGGUGUAUCAAAUGUUAAUGCUUUAUUGAUUUGAUCAAUUAUGUAUUUAGUUUCCGAUAAAUUAUAUCGGGGGUCCAUUACGCAUGCUAAAAGAAAUAACAUAGGCAGGUCUUCCAAAUAUUUUUUAAACUUUAAUUCCAUCACAAUUAUAAUUUCACUAAAAUCAUGAUCAUUUUUAUAUUUUUGGAAUGUUCUUGUAAUUAUAUAAAGGCGUUCAAGUACCAUAUAGCUUGUGGGGAAAUAAACGCCCGAUAAAAUUUUUGUGGUUUCAUAAAAUGAUGUCAAAAAUCUUUUAACUUUCAAAGCUAGUAUCCAAUUGGAUCAUUCAACAUAACAUCGCCAUCGCUUCUAACGUGUCUGUUGUUAUAAAAGUUAGUUAUUAAAAUAUUCGAAACAUUCACAUGACUUUAAUAGCAAGUAAGUAGAGUUCAUCUAUGGCUUACAUCGCUAACAAAUGUUUUAACAGUUGUCACUCCUAUUUCGGCACAAUAAUCUUCAAAUGCUUGUUUUCUACUAGAAGAGAUCGUGAUAUAUACUAGUGCAUUCCUAAUACUUUAAAGUUCAUCCUUUAUAUAUUGAAAGUCACCUUACACAAUUACAUUCAAAAUAUAACACACACAACGAAUAUUAAAUAAAUACUCAACGAAAUCAGGUUGCAGUAUCCUACACAAUUUAUCGACAAUUACCUUAUUAACACUAGCAUUAUCGAAAGUAAAAGACCGAAUUUUAGUCUCACAAUUAUAUUCUCUAACAAUAAUGAUAAUAUCAUUAUAUAUAUUAUUAGUAUUGCGAGGAAACUUAAUAAUUCUAAAAGCAAUAAUUUUUUAUGCAUGUACCAAAGUGGGUCUAUAUAGUGUGUGGUUGCAGCUAUAUAGGCUUUUUUAUUAACCACUUCCCAUAUAUUUGAAGUUAAAGAUAUAACACCCCCAUAUUAUUGCAAAGCCAUAAUUAAUUGUUGUUUCGAAUUAUUGAAAUAUUGUAUUGUAUCGACGCGAAGAGCGUUUCGAAUUACCCCAAAGUACAUUGGUUGCAAAUAUUCUUUUACGAAUGAGAUGAAGUGUUGGUUGUCGACAAUAGCCAGAGACAACUCAGUGGCUGCAACAAAUUUCACCAUUCCAGUUUGAUCUUUCUCCUCCGAAUACACUCACGUGGAUAGGGGUAAAGUCGUAGAAUCGAUCCUUAGACUGCCAAAUUGCAAUUGUAUUUGAUCGGCUAGAAGAAGUCCAUGUCUGACCAUACAUGCUUUGUAGUAAUGGUUGAGAUGGGUGGUACCAAUUCCUUUUCACCAUGCCAAUAUUUGUUGGCAGUAUUUAUAUACUGCUUUAGAUUCUAUGAGAUUAUUGACGACUUUUUCCGUUGAAAUCAAUUUAAAGUAAUCCCAACAUUUUUCCUUUUUUCUUCCUUUCGUUUUUCCCUAGCAUCUGGAAUGUUUAAUUCGGGCUCUUUAUUCUCAUGUUCCGCUUCGGGAACAUCAAUAUCAUCCAAAUCAAUUAAAUUGUGGCUUCCAUGACCGUGAAUGUCAACGUCUUCAUGUAUGAUUACGUCAUUUAGACCGGCAAAUUCAUUCUGAAAUUGACUUUGUGGCGUCUUAGGUGAUUUGUCAUGUGGCCCACAUUCUGUAUUGAACAAGCUCUCAACAAAUGAGCGUUAAUCCAUUUGUUUGAUUAUUUGUGAUAAAAUCUAAAUAUAAAACUAGUAAAAAUAUAAAUGUAGUGAGAAACGAGAAUUGGACGAAUUUUCAAUAAAUAAAGUGAGAAAUGAGAAUUUGAUGAAUUGAAACUAAAUAAACUGUAAAAAAUGAUCAAUAUAAUAUAAUGAUAGAUAAUUGACUAAGUAAUCGAGGCUGUUUUGCACAAGAGAGUUGAAACUUGAUAUAAAGAGAGUUGAGAAUUGAGAUGAAAAAAUUGGGUGUUAAUAAGACUAUUUAAUAGAAGUGAGAAAAAAAAAAUCAGUGACCGAAACAGUUACUUUUUCAAAAAAAGUGACCAUUUCGAUCACUUACAAUUAAUGAGCCAGGAGCCGAACGGCUUACCAUUGUGCAGCCAAGCGGGCUUAGCUCGACCAACACACCGGCCCUCUCUGCUCGCGCUUGAGCUCGUAUUUUUACGAGUCUGAGCCAUCCACAAGCCCCCCGUUUUCGCGAGUCGACAAGCCGCUCGACCCAAUUGUCAUCCCUAUUUGUAUCCAAGAAAUUUGAAAUAUGUAUUUAAUAUAACUUUUCAAUUAAUGAAAUUAUCCUUAUUAAUAUAUUAAAAUACAAAUAUAUCCAAACUAUCUUAACAUCGAAAUAACAAUGGAAUAAUAUAAGAACUUUUAUAAUUUAAACUUUCCUUUUGAAAGGUUUACAAAUAUGUUUCUAUCUUAUUUUUAGUAUUAUUUAUCAUUUUAACUAUUAAAUGUCACAUACAAUCCCCAUUUCAAUUAGUUAAAAUAUAUAAUAAAAUAAAUAAUGUGAUCUACACAAAUAAAUAACUUGAUAUUCAUUUACAUAAUAAUACUUCGUUAUUUUAGUUAAAAUAAAUUUUAAUAGUUUCAAUGAAUGGAAAUAAAUAUUAUAUAUUAAUAAAUUAUUAAAAUUUAGCCACAUAAGUAUGUGGUCAGCACUUUUUAGUUACACUACCAAACAAUCUAUUUAGUACUCACAACAUUUUUCAGAUUGACUAUCAAACGAACAACUUUUUAUUAAAAGAUUUUCUUGAAAAGGCUCUACUAGUAAAAACUCUAUUGAUAAAGUUUUACACACAAUAGUCGUACUUAAUAGACCCUAAAAAGAUUAGAUGCAACGUCAUUCUCCAAUUUGACACAAUAACAAAGAUGUUGAUUUUUCAUUAAAUCUUAGUAGAUGGAAUGGCUGGGAUAUAAAAAGCAACAGUGGCUUAUUUAACACAUUUGAAAUUUAUUGACCAAAUAGUAACAGGUGGGAAAGUUUAGUGACCAUUUCGAUAAUUAACCCGACAUUACUCUAAAACAGAGUAUUAUUAUAUAAUUUUUGACCACUUAUAAUAAUGUUUUGUGUUUCUUGAUAGAUCCUUCUAUGACCAGUUUUAGUACUUUUCCAAACUAAAUAUUCUAUGACAUUUGUGGGACAUAGGAAAGAUAAUUGACAAUUGAUAUAUACAAAAUGACAAUUAGAGUCGUUAGGGUGAUUAGUGGUUAAAUAUGAACAUUGCGGGAAGUCUAAAAGCUAAAAUAUUUUUUUUAUAGAAGUCUUGCCAAAUGUUGAACGGCUUAAUUGCAAUUUGUUGGAGGAACUUUGUGAAUAGUGACGCCAAAAUAAGUAUAAUGAUGGUUUGUAAAUCCGUGCCGAAAGUUGGACAGAGUAACGGCAAAAAAAACACAAACAAGAAGAAGAAGAAAGUAGGGACAAAGCCGAGGCAAGAGUUGGACUCUUUGUCCUUAAGUCGAAUUUGCCCCGCAACGGUGCCUACGGAUUUCGGCAAUCGACUCCCAAGAUACAAUGGCUACACUUGUGUUUGUAGCACUCCAAAACACAAGUACAACGAACCAAAUUUAGGCUUAUGUACUCCAAGGAUGAAAUGAAGGAAAAUCAAAAUAAAUGAAAUGAUUUUGAUUUUGGAUAGAAGAGAGGAUGAGAGAUGUUUUGCAUAUCAAAUUGUGAGAAAUAGGACACCCAAAGGGUCCUAUUUAUAGACCAUGAAAGGGUGUGGACGAAAUGGUUGAUGCCAAACCAUGCACCCUUUCCAAACAAUGCACCUUUAUGAAAAGGUGUCUAUUCACCGGACAACCGUGCGGUUUACCAACCAUGCGGUCGCACGGUCCUCAAAAGGUCGAUCCCCGUUUGUGCGCCCGGAAGCGGCGAAGUGGCAAACAAAUUUGCCUAAACGGAUUGAGUCGAGCUUUUGAGUUUUUGGCCGAAGUCGAUACGAAGUCACUUUAAUCGAUUUUCAAUUCUCGAUUUAUUUAACCAAUAUCCAACACAAUUAAAUUACUUAAUUGUGAAAGGAGAUUUUGACUCUUCAGGAUCAUAUUCUCAAAAAAAUCUCCACGACUAGGGAAUUAUUUUCAUUUUAAAUAUAACGGAGAGAUGUCUAAUAAAUAAUAUGCCAAGGUUCGGGAAUUUUAUCGUGUCAGAGAUCUUAACUUUGUGAUUCUCACCUUAUUUUCAUAUAUAGUAAAAUUUUGUUGCAACACUAUUUUGUCUAAGAAUAUUUGAUUAAUUUUCUCACCACCUUUGUAUCUGAAAUUGAAAAAUUCAUAAAAUUGAAAAUUAUCAAACGAUAGAAGGAUUGUGUGCAAUAAAUAAAUAUUAUUGUUCCGGCAUAAUGCAUUAUUUUUCUUUCCGUAGCAGUAAUAUUAUGAAACUUGUACAAAAUAUUUUUCACAAAGUAAAUCGUUAGUUUUUGGUUCCUUUCAAGAAAAAUAGUAAAUUUUAAUCUAGAAUUAUUUAAUAAAAAAUUAGAAGUAAAUAACUUUGGGGACCAAUUUAGAAAUCUCUAAAAAAUUCCUCUCCAAUUUUAACAUUUUAAGAUUUAAACGGGCCAGUUACUAAAUACGUCCAUUUCUUUAUUAACAAACAAAUGUGGAACUGUGGAAGUCAAAUAUAAUAAAAAAUACAUAUCUAAUAAUUAACAUUCAAGGUUGAAUGUCAAAUGUUGAACGAAAUCUUAACAUUUCAUAAGAAUUUAGAGGAGAGAUAAAUUUAAGUCAAAUCUUGGUUGUUAAAAGGGAAAAUUUCAAAUAAUUAAAUCCAUCCUCUAUAUAUCUAAUAAUUUAAGAAUUUAAAUUAAAUUUUAAUAUAUAGUGUCGAAAAAUUAGACAAAAUGUCAUCAACUAAAGUCUCAUUGUUACUUUUAAAAUUUGUAUAUGUAUAAGAUCUUUAAUAAAAAAAUUAAUCCAAAAGUUGUGAAGAAUUUGGUCAAGCAAAAUGAAGAACCCAUUUUGCAAACUCAUAUUUGUAAAUGCAUGUUUUAUAAGCACCAGAGGCGGACCCACAUGGUGUCAUGUGGGAUCAAAUGACCUCACAGUUUUUUUCCCCCUGCUGAAAACGUAAUUUUAUGCUAAGUUGGUAAGUCAACCUAAUUAAUUUUCCUAGUCCAAUACCCAAAAAGCCUAAAUUCUAAAUCUAUAUCCAUAUCACAUUGUCCAUAUCCAUUAAUUAGUCCAUAAAUAUAUCAUAUAAUCCACCGAUUUCUUUCCAAAGUACAAACACCGAACAUGAACAGCAAACCACCGAUUUCUCCUUUUUGUUCAUGAUACAUUGUUCGAAAAAAAUUUCAUUUUUGACUCCACAGUUCGAACUGUUUGGGUCUGCCCCCGAUAAGCGCGUAUAAUGAAGAUUGAGAUGUAAACAAACUGGUGCAAGCCUCAUCCUAACUGUAAAAAAAUUGAAACUUCGACAAGGGAUCCCAACAAGUUGGUCCCACUUCUUUUUCCUAACUUUCCUUGGACGAUAACAAUUAAAAGUGAAACACUAACGAAAAGUUGGGGACCAACUUGAAAAAUGAGGCAAUAUGUUGGGGACCAACAGUGAAAUUUUUGCAGAUUUUGACAACUAUAUAUACGGGUCACAAGUGAGUCAUCUGAUAUUCCAAAAAUUUCUCAAAGCUAAUUGUCCCCUGCAUUCAUUGUCCCUAUAUUCCACGGAAGAAUGAAGGUACGCACACACACAUAGUUGACAUGCAAGAAAUGGAAAAGAAACCCUUGAACCUUCUUAUAUGUAUAUUUACUCUUUCAAUGUUUUUCAUGAUCAGCAAAAAGUGGUCAUUGAGAUCUCGUUAAAUGGCCAUAUCUCUCAAGGCAUCAUUGAGAUGUUGAUGUGCUGCGGAAGUCAAGAGUCGAACCAAGCUACGAAGAUUAGAACGAAGGCCAUGAAGAUUGCAGUUUGCAUCCCACGUAAGUUAAAUCUUUUUUAUGAGUAACAGAGACUGUGUUUGAGCUCUUUUUUUGGUGAAAAUGAGUUUUAUAAUAGUGAUUUUUUGGAGAAUGUUUUGUUAAAAAGUUUUAGAUUUAUGUAAGAAUUAUUUUAUUGAAAGAGUAGAAAUAUGUGGUUAAAAAUAAGUUUGAGAAAAAAAUAAAUUUUUAGAAAAUUGAGCUCAAAGACGGGCUGCAAAAGUAUCUUGCUUAGUACUUGAGACUUACACAUACAUCUAGGAAAUCAAACAAGUCCNNNNNNNNNNNNNNNNNNNNNNNNNNNNNNNNNNNNNNNNNNNNNNNNNNNNNNNNNNNNNNNUUCAAUAUUGUCUAAUCAACUUUAUCAGACAUGCAAUUAGAAAACUUCAACUUAGACAGUGUUAUUCACGUUAUUUUAUAGGGGUAGAGUCAGCAGCAAUGGAGGGGGAGGAAAUGAACAAGCUAACAGUGAUUGGCGAAGAUAUCGACACGGUGACUCUCGUCAAAUUGCUUAGGAAGAAUGUGUGCUUCGCGAAGAUCGUCAGUGUUGGCCCUACAGAGACUGCCAAUACUGCCGAGGACAAGAAUGAGGCCGCUGUGCAUCCCAAAUGCUAUAAUCAUGUGCCUCAUUAUCAAUUAUUGGAAAUCAGAGAACCCUACUAUACCCCCUCAUGUUUCAACUUUUGAGUGCUUAUUGGUUUUGAAUUUGUCCAAAAAAAAAAAAAAAUUAUAAUAAUAAAAUUAUGUUUUGCAAUGGAAAUUAAUAAAGUGACAAAUUUUGCUUGAAAUAAUCUUACAGAUAGAACAUAUUGUAUAAUUAUUGUUUGUUGUGGAAGCUCGCUUCAAGAUCUUCGAACAGUGAUUUUCUUGUUCAGUUUCGCAUUGGCUUUCUCUGACCCACAACCAAUCUAAACGUUUUCGACCCUCAACCAAUCUGUUUACCUUGAUUGCUUCUCAAUCUCAUCCAUAAAGAACAAGAUAACGGUGUUGAUUUGCAAGCCACAAAGAAACGAGAAAAAUAAUGAAUGAGGCACAAAGAAGAGACCAAAACGAAGGUGGAAGUCACUGGCUUUCACUCUCAAUUGCGCACAUUUUUCUCCAAUAGUAGGCAGCCAUGUUCUCUCUUUCAAAACAAAUCACACACUAAAAAAUAGCUAGCGCAAUACACCAGAUAUAUAGAUAUGGGUUAGGUUUUAGUCGGACCAAGAAAGGGGUUAAAUUGACUAAGAUUUAAGAGCCAUCCAAUAGAUUAUUAUAUGGGCAGUAAAUAACAUUAAUUUCUUAAGCUACUUUCAACUGUCCACGUUGUUUUCGUGUUGAGCCUUUAGACUUGGUUGUUAGCAAUCAAUUCAUCAUUGGCUGAGACCUGUGAAAAUAUAUUCCAACGUUUUACAUCAUCGCCCAAGAUUUAUUGGUUAUCAAAACCUAACAAAUUUUCACCUUGAUACCCAAUCAACCUGUAAGCAAUCAAAACCCAAAAUUAAUACUCACAUAAUCAAUGUAACCAAUAAAAUUGGAAUCAUAGACCUUACCUCGUGUUUCGGACCCAAAGUACAUACCAUACCUACUUCAUAUACUUACCAGGGCUAAGGUUAAAAAUUAUCCAAGUAGGAACAAGUAAUCACUGUAAUCAGUCAAGAGCAUAUAAACAUACAAUGAAAAUAUAAUAUAGGAUAACACAGAUCUUUUCAAACAUGUUCACACAGAGCAAUAGACUAACACCAAGUUAAUCAAUCUAAUGGCCAAAUGCUUAUGUAACAAAUGCAUAAAUUGACCCCAUGAAAAGAUCUUACCAUACUUAUCUUAUCCCAUUCUAUGUUGCUCACACAUCAAGAACAUAUAUCUCCUUCCAUCGCCCACCAUGAACACUAAAUUGAUUACUAAACUUAUGUCAAUUUGGUAAAUCAUAAUAGAUCCUAAGUCCACAGAAUAAUCCUCUAUCACCACUCCACUGCUCCCAAUCUAAGUGGAUAAAUAGUCUCCACCUAACAUAAGCGAUAGAAGUGUCUCUUUGACACUUUACCUGAUCAAAGUUUUCACAAAUAAAAGAUUCCAACAUUUAAUUACAUCUCCACUCGUGAUCCACAAAUCACACUCCUCAUCUUCUGUACAAACAACCAAUGCACGUCUUGGCAUCUAUAAUCUACCUUACCAAAAGACACUGCUAACGCACCCAACCUACUAUUCCUGCAAUCACAUUAUACCAAAUAAUCAAAUUGCUCUCAAAUUCAUGCAAAUAUAUAUAUCAAACACAUUGAGAUGCAAAAUAUAACCAUGCAACGGAUUUAAGCAAUCACACACAUGUAGAAGGAAUUACACAUAGAUGCACAUGUAGUAACUAGGUUUAUCUCAAUAAAUCUCGUUAGGGUCAUCACUCGAUCCAAAAGCAACAUUCUCCUCACCUUUCGUCUUACUCUUAUGCUUAUCCUUCUUACUGGGACAGUCCCUCACAAAGUAUAUAGACUUACCACAGCUGUAAACAGCUUACCAACAAGCUCGUCCCAACCCUUACCCUUCUAUCUCCAUCACCACCUGAGUCACUACUCAAAUCAGUAUUGUUUCAAGCUAUACCCAAACUUUUUUGCUUAAACUUCAUUCUACUCCUCAUUAUAUGUACCUUACCACUCCUCCUAUUGUUUCUUUAAGCCUUAAUCUCAAUUUCUUUAUUUAUAAGAGAAUCAAUGAUAAUCUUAGGUGUUAGGGUGUCCAUAUCAUACUUAAUCUCAUUCUUAACCUCCCUAAACAAGUUGGGCAUACAAUUCAACAAAAUAAUAGCACUAUAUGUUUUAGAUACGUUUUCAUCACAAUUAACAAUGUCUUAAACAAGUUUGUUUAAAAUAUCCAAUUUAUCGUCAAGAUCCUUUGAAUGAUCCAUUUUAAAACUGAAAAAAUCUUUCAAACAAGUACAACUUAUUAGAAGUAAACUUAAGCAGAUGUAAGUCCAACUUUUUUUAAACUUCUUUAGUAGAAUCAAAAUUUCCAACUUUUCUCAAAAUAGUAUAUGACGGAUGUAAAAUAGUUGAAGUGUAAGCAAAUUCGUCAUUUUUUUUUUCUUUUUGUGCUUUUGUCAAAUUAGCUUAAAAAAAUUACCAUCUUCAGCUUUUGAAACUUUUUGUUGAAUUAAAAUUCCCUCAACCUUUUAUUGCCAAAUUGAAAAAAUUCCCUUUCUAUUGAAAAUUUCAACUUCGAAAUGUGAAUUCAUUUUGAAAAUAUAGGACAACCAAAGUGCACAAAUAUGUCACACAAAGUGAUCUUAAAGCUGCAAUAUAUACCAUUCUCUAUUCUUAGGGUUUCAUUAGAUUCUAGAUCUCAGCAUUAAGGGAGUGACCAAAUGGGUCAAGUCCAGUGUUCUAAUAGAAUAAUCAAUAUAACACAAAUGUAUGUCAACAAAAAUUUAAUUUUUCACAUAAUGCAGUCUCACACAGUGAAAUUAAAACACAAAAGCAAUUAUAAAUUUGCAAUUAAAUCCGACAAUUUAAAUAUGGCGCAUAAAUCUUAAUUUUCUAGCACAAGGAAUGAUUAACACACACAGUAAUCCUAAUCCUAAUGCCACCCACAUGAUGAUUCGCUAAUACUGAAAUUUAAAUGAAAUAAGUCAAUAUACCAUAACAGACCAAUCUGUAGUCCAUAAAUAAUGAGAUGAAAAUUUUACUACUUUACAACCAACACUAUUCGCUAAUCUCCAAUAACCACGCCAACCAAUUGAGAAAAAAGAAUCCUAAGUGCACAAGGGGCAAAAUUGUCCAGAAUCUCAAUUUUUGCCUAAAAUAGAAAUCAAACACCACAAGGUCCAUCUCAUCAUGUGGAACAAUCUAUUGGAAGAUAACGUCAUUGGAAUCACCUCUACGCGUUCUUACAUGCAUUUAGUGGAGUUCCACGCCCUAUCUGACCACUUCAUGCGCCGAUCAUGGAGCUGUGCCUCCACCUAAACGUGAUUGCCAGCGGUUUUCAUUUCACCAACCAGUCAUUGGAUUGGCUCGAAACACAGAAAUAUGUUUUGUAGCCUUGAAGAAACUGGACAAAUCUGGUUUCUAUUUCGAUUCUACAAAUUUUCUAGUAUGUUGUUAGUCAAAAUUUUGAGCCACCUUGAAGCUCUAACCAAUUGUUGCAAAAGCUCGCUCCAAUAUCUUCAAAAUUGUUAUUUUUUAGCCCAGUCUCAUAUUAUCUUUCUCCAGUUCAAAUGGCACUAACUCACAAUCAAUCCAUUUACCACGGUUAGUUCUCAAUCUCACCCAUACAAGAUAAAUAAUGGUGUUGAUUUGCAAGCCAUGAAGACACGAGAAAAAAAUGAAUAAGGCACAAAGAUGAGACCAAAACGAAGGAAGAAGUCAUCGAUUUUUCACUCUUCAUUGCACAUGUUUUUCUUCAACAAUAAGCCGGCAUUUUUUUCUCUCUUUACUCUCAAAUCACACACUAAAAAAUGGCUAGGGCAAUACACCAUAUAUAGUGAUAUAGGUUACGCUUUAGUUGAACCAAGAAAGGGGAUAAAUGGGCCAAGAUCCAAGAGCUGUCCAAUAGGUAAAUAUAUGAGUCGUAAAUAGCAUUAAUUUCUUAAGCUACUUCCAAUGGUCCUUGUUGUUUUCGAGUUGAGCCACUAUACUUGGAUAUAGGUAAUCAAUUCACCAUUGGUCGAGGUAUGUGAAAAUACAUUCUGACGUUUUAUAUCAUUGUCCGAGAUUUAUUGAGUAGUCAAAAUCCAGCAUCGUUGAAAGAUAAUGAGAAAUAGGUAAAGGAGAGAACUCAACAAAUUGCAGAACCAAUAGGUUUUAAUACUUAAUUGUUGUACUCAAACGGUGUAGGAUGUUUUAUAGUGCUUAAAGAGAUUCACCAGCAAAUGAUUUGUAGAAUAAACAAGUAUUUAAAAAAAUUAAGUACGUGUGUUUUCUUCCAAGACUUGAUGAACAUUAAAAACAUUGAAUAUGUAUAAAAAUGGGAGAAAGAAACACUUAAGUGGAGUUUAAGAAUUGAUAUAUUAUGGUUAUAAUUGAAAACACUUAUUAUAGUUUUCCUAAAACAGUACACAGAUUAGUGCAUAACUUUUUUGAAAAGUUGUUAAUUUUCAUGAAAGCUACCAGGAUAUCAAAAUUGAAAACUAGACUAAUGACUAGUUCUUGUAACCAUGCAUACGCAUUGUUUAAGAAAUACAUGGCACAAAGAACAUGGGUUUAAAGUUGCCCACCCUCCAAUUUCUUCCCAUUUUGAUAUCAUAUUGAUUUUUCUUUUUCAAUGGUAAUUAAUUUUUCAAUUCUCCCUUCCAAUAUAAUUUUUGAACAAAAUAUAACAAUCCUCCAGUUGUUCAAAAUUAUAUGGAUCACAAAUAUAAAUUAUCAACAUUUACACAUAAGGUUUAGACAUCUUUCAAUUUGAAUCUUACUUUAGUGUAAUUCCCACAAAGUAUAAUCAAAAUUUCAGGUAGCAUAAUAGCUUUGAAACAAUUAUUACUUGUGAUGAAAUCGAUAAAAAUAUAUGCAUAAGUGUCAUGUGUUUCAUAGUUCCUCAAACUCGCUUAGAGCUAAUAUGAACUUAUGUUUAUCCUAUUCGUUGAGCUUUUAAGAGAGAAACUCUAAUUCUCUAUUGAGUUGCCUCAAAAUUUAUUUAGAUGAAGUUAUUUUGUUGCUUUGUUACUUUUAGAGUUACUUGUACUUUGUAUUGAAUUUCAUUAAGAGCUUAAAGCUCAACCCUCCUUUAAGUAUAACCAACAUUAUUACAUUUUAGGAUAGAGUUCUCGCGAAUAUAAUAAUGCUGAAAAUAUUCACUUAUUGAAUUACUUAUUUUUACCCUUUCAGCCCAUAGUUAUUAUUUUGAAAUGACAAAUAAGAUUACCUUCAUUGGUGGAUCUUUUAAUUUAGGAGUUUUAACCCCAUCCUACUCAAUGUAGAUAUUACUAAAUCUUUAUUAAGAGGUUUAGUAAAAUGAUCUACUAAAUUCUCAUUUAAAUUAAUGUAAUUUAGGGAAAGUAUUCCAUCUCUGAUCAAUUUUCUUAUGUAGUCAUGUUUUAGACUUGUAUAUCUAAACUUUCCAUUGUAUACCUCAUUGUAUGCUUUUAUUAAUGUGCCGUGACUAACACACAAAAUAAAUAUGGAAAAAUAUAUUCAUUAUUCCCAAAGAAAUCUCAUAUAUAUCUUUUCUUAAGCAACAUAACCCCUAUGUAGGUGUCGGUUAAUCCCACUAAUUUAGAUUCCACGGUUGAAUGUGUUAUACAUGUUUGUUUCUUAAACUUUCAAGAAAUUACACCAUUUCUAAGAAUAGAAACCCAACUCGAAGUAGAUUUAUUUUUAUCAGUGCUAGAUAUCCAACUAACAUCAAUAAAUCCUUUUAAUACAGUAAAAUAUUUAGAAUAUUGUAGAUCUAUAUUUUUGGUUUCCUUUAAAUAACAAAUAACUCUCCCGAUGACCUCCAAUGUUCCUUCUUUGGAUUACUAGUAAACCUACAAAGUUUACUAAUUGCGAAUGUUAUAUCCGAUCUUAUGUAUUAAGCUACAUAAUAAGGCUGUCUAUAGCCCUUGCAUACUCUAGUUGAACAAUUGCACUUCCAACAUUUUUUUUAUAAGUUUAGAGUUUGUAUCAAGAGGGGUACUAAACUCUUUUGUGUUCAAGUGAUUACACUUAUUAAUUACAAUCUCUAUAUAAUGUAAUUGACUUAAAAUUAGCCCUCACUAGUUUUUGUAACUUUAGUACCUAAUAUGGUGUGAACUUGUCCAAAAUCCUUUAUCUUCAAUGUGAAAAAUAGAAACUUGUUGUUUCUUUUAUUUCAUUUAUGUAAUUACUCAAACUCUACACAUCGUCAACAUAAAAGGCAAACAAACACAACAAAUUCAUCAUACACUUUGAAAUAUAAACACUUAACUACACUAUUAUGUAUGAAACCAAACUUUUCAUGCCAUUUCUUUGGUGCUUGUUUUAAACAAUAUAAUGAUUUUACUAACUUGCACAUUUUAUGUUCAUUACUAGAGCGACCAAAGCCUUUCGGUUGUUCUAUAUCAAUCUCCUCUUCCAUAUCCCUAGUUAGGUUUUUAUAUCCAUUUGAUUUGAUGAACAUUCAAGUUAUAUAUGGAAGCUAAUGUAAAUAAUAUUCUAAUUGAUGUAUUCUAGGUACCGAUGCAUAUUUAUCAAAAUAACCAAUUCUUUCUUUUUGUCAAUAAUCUUUAGCUACUAAUCUUACUUUAACGGUAUUAAGAGUACCAUCUACAUUGUAUUUCUCCUAAACACCCAUUUACAUCAAUAUGUUUAAAUUCAAGUGGCAAAUCGACAAGUUCCUACAUAUUGUUUGACAUAAGUGAAUCCAUUUUGUCUUUUGUGGCAUCUUUACAAAAUAUAAUAUCAUAAGAAGCCAUAUUUUCUUUACAAGUCUUAGAAUCGGUCUCUACUUGUGGAAUAAAAGGCACUGUCCUAAUAAAAUUUUUAUUAUUUUUCUCUACCAUGUAAAGUGAAAUGAGUUCAGAAUCUAUCUCAUUCUGUCCGAAGGUUUUUUUUAUUUCCGAGUUCUUUUGCUUCUUUUAAACUCAAUAGAUUUAUCAACAUCUUUAGAAGAUGUUUCCUCUUGUUUUCCACUUUACACUAGGAAUCUUUUCUUGAGUUUCCUUAAGUCAUUAUCCAAAGAUAAUAAAUUCUCAAAGAACUCAACAUCAUUUGAUUCGAUUAUUACAUUUGGUCUCCAAAUUUAACAAUACAUAGGAUUUGCUAUUACUAGCAUAUCAAACAAAGGCAAUUUUGAUGCCUCUUGGUCCCAAUUUGGUCUUUUCCAAGUCUAUGUUCUUAUAAUAAUCGAGACACUCUCACACUUUAGAAUAUUCAAUGUUUUGGUAUUCUUCCUUUCCACAAUUCGUAAGAAGAAAUUUUUUUGAAUUUUAAAGGAAUUCUAUUUAAGAAUCUAUACGCAUAUAACAAAACUUAACCCCACAAGUUAAAUAGCAACUUAACAUAUGUUAAUAUGGCAUUUAUCAUUUCAAAAAACUUCCUAUUUUUUUUCUUUCCCUCGAAAUGUUAUGCCCCUCACAUAGGCACUGAGGCAUCUUCACGUGCCGAAACGUGUAAGGAGGAGGUGCUCCUAAAAUACGAUAUCGUCUGAGGUGUCUUCAAGUGCCACGACAUUGCUUCCAAAAUGUGAGGGCCGAGCCGCAUUGACUGAGGCACUAUGUCUAAGGUGCUAUGUCGCGGAGAAAAGGAAAAGCACCUUUCCUUCGCAAAUUUCAGAGAUCUUCUGGCCAAGAUCUGCUCUGUAUCUUUAGAAAUGAUUGAUGUGAUGUCUCUGCCGUGUGUCAACUUAGAAUCAGUAGAAUUAAUUGCCCACCCUUCUAGGAAGCGAUUGGUGGAGGCCUACGAGCGACGCCUCGCACUGUUGGAUGAUUUCACAUGUCACGCAUCUAGCGGUGCUCUUUGCCUAUAAAUACCACACGUUUGACCAAGAAUAAAGUAACCAUUCCACAACAAAGCAAUUAUAUUUCUUCCUUCCCCUAUUUAGCUGGCACAUUCCAAUACCGUCACUACCACCGUCGAUUGACUUGAUCAACGGAGUAUAUGUGGCUGCCAUCGUCACCACGGGGAUCGGACAUAUAUGCCUGACCAUUUGUUGUUGUACACAGGGAGGAACACGUGGAAUAGCUCUCAAUUGGCCACAUUGGAGGUUCAAUUCAUGGGGUCAACAUGAACCAUUUUUGUCGAAUAUUUUGGGUACAGAACGUUGAUGUAUUAUAUCUCGUUGUUCAUAAAAUGAAUUAAAAAUUACUUGAAAAGUAUUUACCACCUCUAUCACUUCUUAAUUUAUUUAUUUUUAAUUUUCCGUUUAAGUGAUUUUCAACUUCAUUUUUUUAAAGUUCUAAACAUAUCAAAUGAUUCGUGUUUAUGUUUCAUCAAAUAAAUAUAAGUAUAUCUUGAAUAAUCAUCUAUGAAGGUGAUAAAAUACAUAUUUCUCCCAUGUAUAACGUGUCAUUUAAUUCACAUAUUUUCAAAUGAACAAUUUCUAAAUAUGUGAAGUCCUAUUCACACAAUGAUAAAGUUUCUUAGUCAUUUUCGAUUCCACAAAAUUUCUAUAUUUAUGUGUAUAUUUUAUAUUGUAAGAUUUAUAUUGUAAGAUAUCAUAUCAUAGUUUAACAUAAGAAAGAAAAAUUUGAUCACAAGAACUUAAUGUUAGGCCUAUUACUUUAGUACAAAUAUACCUAAACUGAAUUGAGAACGUUGGAGUGCGAGUGAAUGCUAAGUUCCUAUUCAUGUUGGAAACAUGUAAUACAUUUAUAAGGGUAAUUGUUUUUCCAAAAGUGAAGACAAUAUCAACAUUUCAUUUACCAACCACUUUGAAGUAGCCUUCAUUACCCAUUUGCAUCUCUUGCUCACCAUUCGAUUCGUGACAAGUCUUGAAAAAUGACUUAUCAUAUGAUACAUGAAUGUUGUUGCACACGUAUCAUACUUCCAAUCAGGAAUAUUUUAUUUGAUAGCAUUGAUUUCACUCACAGUAGACGCAAUGUUAUCUUCAACAAAUGAUUUUAUUUUGCUCUCAUUCUUGUUUUGUUUUCGAUGCCAACAAUUUUUCACAUAAAUUUCGGGUUUUCUUCCCAAAAAAAAAUCUCUCUUGGACUUUUUGUGAUCCUUAUUAAAAGAAUUCCUUUCGUGUAUGUUAACCUAUGGUUGAUUGUAACCUUAAGCUUUUGAUUUAUAUCAAACAAGUUAAUUUCGUUUACUCAUAAAUUGAAUUCAAGUGAUUAUAGUUUUUCAAAGCAUACAAUGAAAAAUUGAUCAAUGAUGAUUGAAAGAUCAAAAGCUAUUAUCAUAAUCGGACUUCUAAAGGAGGUCAAGAUUGAAGUCACACACUCAAGAGCUUAAGAGCCAAACUUUGAAGCAGAUCAAUGACUAGAUUUCUUAGAUAAAGUUCAAAGAUAUUGGUACUUUGAUAUUUAGCAACGAACAUUUAGGCUCCAAAUCCUUCUCUAUAUUAAAAAUAAUUUUAUGCAUUAAAAGUUAUUUGUGAUAUAACUUUUGAUCAAAUAUAAAAAUGACUUUUAAAAUGGUAUUUUAACGGGAAAAAUAUCUUUUAUCUUGAAACGAUAGUUAAAAAUAUUUUGCAAAAGUCAAACACUUUUCAAAACCUUCAAAUUGGAUCAAAUAGGGCCAAAACUUAAAAAUACCGAAAUUGUCAAACAGUUGACCAGCUAGAAGAAGCGAUCAAUCAAAAUUUUUCAACGGUCCAAAAUUUGACCGUUUUGACCUCUAUAUUUUACUAUACAAAACGCUAUAUUUAUCAUCCAAACAAGACACUAUCGACCGGACAUGUCAUCCGAACAUACAAUUUUGACGUUUUGAACUAUAUAAAUACCUCCAUUUCUUCAUUCAUUACUGCAAUCUUGGAGAGCAUUAAAAGUGAAAAAUUACUAAGUAUAUCUCUUGAGCUUACAUCUCAUUUAUUCUAUCAAACAAUUACUUAGAAAAUCUUUAAUUUAUUCAACUUUUUUAAAAUCAUCUUUUUAUCAAACUUUUUUUUAUCUAAUACUUGAGCUUCAUUUAUUGCUAUUCAACUGAAGUGUUGAAUUCAUCCUUUUUUUUUUUUACUUUCCAUUCACUCGGAUUUCUGGCUUUGGUUUUUUCAUAAAAGUGCAGCCGUAGUAUUCAGAAAAUAGAGAUCUUUUUUAGUGUUUUUCCAAGAAAUCUCUAGCCUACCCAACGCGUUUCGAACUAUUUAAAAUCAAAAUAUCUUAAUUUUCGAUUCCAUUGGACUCCUAUUUCUCUUUUAGUACUUAAUUUAUUUAUAUUAUUUAUUAAGAGAGAAGUUUCAAAUUGUAAAAUCAUUUCUUAUCAAAUUUGUGGAUCUUAUUGAAGUCCUAUAAAGCUCAAUAUUAGAUAAAGAACAGAGCUGCUUGUUUGUAAGCCAUCGAAAGUAUUGUAAGGAUUUGGAUUUUACCAUAAGUUAAUCAAAUAUAGUGAAUUGGUCUUGCUCGUAACUGAGAGCUUGGUAACGUAUGAUAUAGAUCAUCAUUUUGGAUCAAAUCUGUACAUUUAUAUAAUUUGCAUUCUCUCUUCUAUUUUAUUUAUUGCUUUUGUAUUUGUGCAUUUUGUUUGAUUGAUUUAUUCAUUCCCAACUUACUUGAAUUUGAAUCAAUUUUUCGAAAACAUUUUGAAAACCAAUUCACUCCUCUCUUGGGCUAUCAAUUUGAUUUGUUGGACAAUUCAUUCUUUUUCAUGUCAUUGGCUUUUAACAUGACUUCACAAGAGUUUUCAUUCUUAUCUCUUGCCCUCAAUUCUUCUUCAUUUUGGAGAUGUUUUUGAAUUUGGAGUAAAGAAAAUGAAACGAUGAGGGUUCAAUUUAUAUAUUCAAUGCAUCUAUCUUAAUAGUUACACCUUUCUACAAAAAUCCAUUUUGACCAUUAAAUCAUACAUUUUUUAUUGGAACAUGGCCUGAUGGUCUAUAUCGCACACUUUAUAAAGGUAAUGACUCUUCACUAUGCACCAAUAACAUAUGAAGAGUCAUACCUAAUCAUCACAACUAUUGGAGACUUAUUCCAAUUCGUAUAUUAAUCAUUAAAUAACCCGAUAAUUCCAACAAUCGCAAAAUGAACAAAAUAAGUGACUCACCACAAGCAAAAAUAAGAAAAAUUCUAUCUGCGAGAUAAUGAAUCAAUAUAGGUAACUUUUCCUUUGAACCUCCCUUAGUAAGAAAAUUCAUCAGACUUGCUUCGGUAAUAAGUGAAACAACAUUUCAAACUAUCAACCAUUAUCACAAGUUUAAACAAUAGAGCAAACACAUUAUUUCUUAUAUUAGACCUGAUUCUUUAUUAUAUUCAUGAAUUUGACCCUAAACUCUCUUGAGUUCUAAGUACUCUGGAGAAUUCGCCUAAGUAAAAUUUUUCAUAUUUUAUGUUCAUUGAGAUAGUUAAUGAUUCAUUUAGUGUAAAUUGAGUUCUUUGACUUCAAUUGGUCAACAUUCAAAGUAAUUACCAAGCAAGUUAAACUAACAAAUUAUCUAUAUUCCCUUUUGUGUUUGAGACUUAGUUUGCACUUUCCUUAUCCUCAACAAUAUUUGUAGACAUCACUUAUUUACGUUAUAGAAAUAGGGAGAAGUUAAACUCCUAAGUGCUUCUUGUCAAGUCAUUCAUAGUUAGUUUAACUAUUAAAUCCAGUGUUCUAAGACGUGACAAAAACUCCACACUUAAGACCUAUGUGCUAAUUUUUUGGUCAAGGGAAGCAUUGAACGCUUUAAGGCGUUAUUUUUUAAUUAAAUUUUUGAACAAUUUUUAAAAAGCUCGUUUGUCCUACCCUACAUAAAGAUUUCAACUUUUAGGCCAAUUGGAUUGAAAGACCCAAAAAUAAAUAAUUAUAAAAUUUUCAACUUUUAGGCCAAUAGAUUGAAAGAUCUAAAAAGUUGCUCACUUAUUAGUCCACUAAUUUAUAGAGGGCAUCUCCAACGAUUUUGUUACAAACUUUCGAUGUGGGAUAAAAAUUCCUUCAUUUUGGCUACAGUGCAUUAUAUCUUUGAUUUGGUUGUAAUGUAUUGUACCUUCAAUUUUGACAAAUUUAAAAUAAUAUUAAUGUAAGAAAAUGCUUUUUUAACGCCUAAGACUCGCCUAGGUGCGCAUCAUUCGAAGUUUGACCUUCACAUAUCGUCACGCAUGACUUUUUUGGAACACUGAUUAAAACUAGUUCGUAAGAUCUAUAGUAGUUAGGUUAGGUUUUUUAAGAUAUCUCUUUAAGUUUUAAACUCAUUUCCCUCGAUGUACAAUCUAUUCGCUCUCUAGAUAAUCCUUUUUAUAAAUUAAUUGCUAGGUUUUCUCUUGAUUUAUUGGCCUUUGUGUGAACUUCGAUCAAAUAUCCAAAUUCAAUCCGAUAGUCAAAUUAUAAAUAUAAAUAAACUAAUUCGUUCCACUCGUCGAGUAGAUCUUCUUGAUAUAUUUGAAUCUAAAAAUCAAUUUCGGAUGAAUAAGAAAUUGCGGUCUAAAUUUGGAAGAAAAUAGAAAAACUGUCCUGGAAAUUUGCCUAAUAUCAUCGCUCGCCUAACAUUUGAGCGAGUCUGGUGAAAAGUUUCUGUUGAAAAUAUGUCACUGAUUUUUUGAGUGACAGGCUAGACACAAGCUAAGAACAGCAAGGAUGCUUCCCUUCGUGAAGGUUGAUAAGUUCGGAAUGUGACACUUCACUCACAACCUCAUCUUCUAUAAAUAGGACUCUUUGGACGACCAUUAUGCAUCCCAUAUCAUUUUGCAUUGAGCAUUAUAUAAAAAAUACUUGCAAAAACUCUCCAAAAAUCUUUCUAAAAAUUAUUUUCUUGCAGAGUGAAGAAUUUCAUUUGAGUUUGUUGUUGCUUGUAGUUUAAAGUGCUUCUACCACAAGUCUAAUUCGUUGUAUCUUGGGAGACAAAUGCAAUUAUUUAUUAGCACCGUUGUGGGCAAUUUUGUCUUUAAAAAAAGUAUUAAUCAUUUGCCUCGGAUUUCUUUUCCUUACUUUCUUUUUAUUCUUCUUCUUUUUUUUCGUUUCUAAUCUUCAUAGAGUUUAAUUAUACUCCUGCGACUUAAACUUAAUCAUUUUUUUUUUUGUGUUGAUAAACAACCAUUUCCCUACACAUCUCAACAAAAAUUUUAAGACAAAUUUUUUGUGGUUGUUUGUUGAAAAAAAAAAUUAGAAAAAUUAAAAAAUUAAAAAACCCACUCUUCAUCUUUGGAAUAAACCCAUCACAUGCUUUUCCUUUCAUUCGUUCUAUGUGUUGAACUUCUAUUUAUGUAACAUAAAUGAAUACUCUUAAGACUACUUAGAGUCAAGCAACAAAUAAUAUGAACCAUGUGGUUCUGUCUCUGGCUAUCUCAAUAUCAAACUCUCAUAUCUCACAUGGGGAAAAUCGAAAAAGUUUAGAGGUGUGGAUUUCAAAAGAUGGCAACAAAACAUGUUGUUUGAUCUUACUACUUUGAAUUUAACAAAAUUCUUAAAAGAUAACUUUCCUAUUGUAGAAAAAAAGAAGAAAAUAAUCAUGAGUCAAUUAUUGAAUUGGAUACAUGGAAGCACUCAGGUUUCCUUCGAAAGGAUUACAUCCUAAAUGGAUUGGACAAUACAUUUUAUGAAGUGUAUAGUUCGAAGGACUCCGCCAAGGAUCUAUGGGAUUUAUUAGAGAAGAAGUACAAAGCUGAGGAUGCCGAAACAAAAAAGUUUAUUGUCGACAAGUUUUUGGAGUACAAAAUGGUAGACCCCCAAACUGUAAGAAGUCAAGUGCAGAACUUCAAGUUCCACUUCAUGACAUACACAAAGAAAAGAUAGAAUUGAGUGAAUCCUUCCAACUUGCAGCCAUCAUUGAGAAAUUCCUCCUUUAUGGAGAGAUUUUAAGAACUAUCUUAAGCACAAAUACAAGGAGAUGAACUUGGAGGAAUUGAUAGUUCAUUUGAGAAUUGAGGAAGCCAAUAGAAAAAUCGAAAGAAAGUCAAUUGUUCAACUUGGAGCAAACUUUGUUGAAAAUGGCCUGAAGGGCACCAAGAAGAGACAACUCCAAGAGUACAAAAAAAUAUAAAGGCAACUCUUACGAUUGUGGAAAAGUCGGACAUCGUUCAAAUGAGUGUCGAAAGUCGAAAAAGACUACACAAGCAUAUAUUGUUGAAAGAGACACCCUCUCUAAAGGAAUUCAAAGAUGAGUCUAUCUACUGUUAUUUCUAUAUGCAAUAUGGUUAGUAAUUCAAAGGAUUUGUGGGUCGAUAAUGGUGCUACCGAUUAUAUUUGUGCAGAUAAAGCCAUGUUCUCAAACUAUUAUGAAUCAAAAGGACAACAAUUGUUCAUGAGGAACUCUACGAGUUCGAGCGUUGAAGAACUUGGAAAGAUCACAUUGAAAAUGACAUCCAGGAAAGAACUAAUCCUCAAUAAUGUCCAUGUACUAGACAUUUGCAAGAACUGGUUUCGGAGUCUUUACUUAGCAAGAAUGACUUUAAAUUUGUAUAUGUAUCGGACAAAUUUGUACGUACCAAAAGCAAUAUGUAUAUUGGUAAAGGUUAUCUUUGUGAAGGAAUGUUCAUGAACAUCCCAACAAUUUUACGAAAAAGCAUUAUAAAUAAAAAUUCUAAUUAUGUUUAUAUGCUUGAAUUGUCUUGUUUAUGGCAUAGUCGAUUAGAACACAUCAAUUACAAAUCUAUGUUCAAACUUAUGAAUGAAAGUUUAGUUUCGAUGCUUAAGAUUGAUCUUAAUCAUAAGUGUGAAGUAUAUGUUGAAACAAAGUUGACCAAAACACCUUUUCACUCAAGUCAAAGAGUGAUUAAAGUAUUAUUUUCAUGAGGACCAAAUAUCCAAUUCGAUUUUUAAUUAACAUAUAACUAUCUAAAUGCAAUGCUAAGAAACUAGUACGAAGCAUUUAUGAACUCGAUUAACAACAAUCAAUAGGACUUCGAAUCUCUCUUUAUAUUAUGUUUUAACAACCAUCGAAGAUAUUGACAACAUGUUUAAACUUGAUGAUUAAUGUACUUAUUGCGUUUAGUAAUCUUUCUCGAUUAAUACUAAAUAUAUUCUCACAUGUGAACCUACAGUAUGUCUAUGAAAAUUGUGAACGCGUGACAAUGCAUUUAAUCACUAUAUAAUAAAAUCAUGCAAGAUAUAUGGUAUGGGUAUAUAUCUCUAUCACAUAUCGAACCCUACAAAGAUUAUUAUCAUGUGCAUAAUCCUUAUUCUUUCUAUCAAACAUAAUAAAGAUCAUUAAUCUGUUCAACUAAUGAUCAAUUAAUUGAAGCAUUAAACAUGUAACAUACUAUUCAAGCUAAAUAAGAAUUAAUAGUUAGAGUCUCGAAAUUAAAAUUAAAACAUUAUCCUAGUGACUAGGAAUUUAGUCAAGCAUCAUAAAGUUACAAAAACAAAUGCUUGCAUAUUUAGCCAUGUCUCUUAUUUUAAUUGUAGAAAAAAAAAGGAAAAUGUCUUGAACUCAUGAGUUUCUUCAACUCUUAAAUAAUAUCCGUGUACGAAGAAGCCAAAAUCUAAAUUAUAAUCUUCAAUUUUGGUAGAUGAUUGUGUGUUCUUGUAUCAAGCUUCUUGAUUUCUCUCUAACGAAUGGUCCUCCAAGGUAAGGUUUUAUUCCAUGUAGAAGUUGAGUCAAAUUAGGAAACGAAAUUUUUGUUGUCAGACACUACCAUGCAAUCGUACAGUGUCAAGUUUUCACUUGCUAGAAUUCAUGUACCUUGUGAUAGCAUGUAAGGACCCUUGCGGUCAUAAUGCCUUACUUUUCAUUCUUGGUUAAUUUUGGUUUCUGAAUUCCUUCUUCGGCUCAACUUGAUUCAUCUUCUAUUUUCUCCAUAAGUUCAACUUUCAGUUCUUCUCACUUUAACAAAUGUUAUCCACUAUUACCCAUUCUUGGUCUGUCUCAAGUUUUGGAGAUUUACAAUUUAGUCCCCAAACUUUUACAAUUGUUCUUCUUUUGUACUCUUCAACUGACUUUCACUUCUUUUUUAAUCUACAAUCCAAUAUCAAAACUUUUACAUAACAAUCAAUAUUUAACUAAAAUUAAGUGGAAAUUCAAUUGAAGUGACUCCCAAACAUCCACUUUUAAAAGCUUGGAUAAGUGUUCAAAAUACUCUUAUCAAUAACAAAAAUUAUUGGUUUGAGAAUUUUAAAAUUUCGGGAGUUUUAUAGAUUGUCUUUCCUGAUUCUAACUUAGUAUAUACUUAAACUCAUUAAUUUAAUUCUAACAAUUAAUUAUAUAUAAAAUGUUGAGGAACAUAUAUUGAACAACACCAGUACUUAAAAAAUAAAUGAAAAUCUUAUAUAUCAUAGAGUUUAGUAAUCUCCGACGUUUGAUUUCAUUUGCAGACAUCCCAUAAAUACAUGACUCGGUCCAACACCCUAACUUAAAGUAUAGGUAUGGAAUUUUCGACCACUAACAUAAUUUUUUGGGUGUCUUGUUGAUCAGUUAUACAGCUUUUCCACAUUAUGAAAUUUGUGGGACAGUGUUUUUAGGUUGAUUGAUGGUAGUUACAUAUAAACAAUAGGGCCAAGGGGAACCUUAAAAGGCACUAGGGCCUAGGGGAAUCUUAAAAGGCAAAAGCUUUUAUAUAAAAGUCUCGUCGAGGGUAGUUGAAUGGCUUAUUAUAAUUAAAAAACUAGAUUAUGAUUGGAGAAUUUGAACCUUAAAUGCAAGUUCUCGAUUAUUUCUGACUUUUGAAUUAUUUUCAUAUUUUUUUUUGCGAGUCAAGUGCCCGAGUUUCGUCCGACUAAUUUUGAGGAGUAGUUCCUCCCGGUUCGGUUCACCGCCCGAGUAAUUUUGAAUGCGGUUACAAUUAAUGCACACUUAGACCGGACAUUCGGGAUGCAGUUUUCACGUGCAGACAGGACUCUUGGAGGGAUGACUAAGCACAUCAUAACUUUGCCUUUACAAGACAUCUGCCUUCCAACAUAACUAUUGCCUUCCAGCUGCCGCAUGGAUUCGAACUUCCGAUACUCCGUAGAGAACUCUUCUUUUUUACCACUAAACCAUGCUCGGGGGGCUAAUUACUUUCAUUUUAGAUAUGGAAUAGACAGGUGUAAUUAACUAUCAUGGGUCCAUUGAGAGCUGGGAUAUUUUUUGAGUACGAGAGAGACAGAGUCAACCUGUAUUAUGUUUCAAUAUCUUAUUGACUCAUCCAAUUGCUUUUCAAAUAUAGAAUUUCUUCUUUAAAGGCAUUUCUGUCACAAAAUCUCCACUAUGACAAGUAUAACUUGGCCUUUAAGUGUGAAAGCAUGAUAUUAUUAUAAAAUUUUACAAAAUGAGAGCAAGAGUGCAAGACUAAAACUAUCCAAGAUCAAAGAUGAUAUAUGUGAUGGAUUUUUCAUCACAAUUUUGUCUAAAAUUUUAAAACUUAUAAACUAGAAAAUUAUAAUAUAAUAUAGUAAUUGAGGUGCAAUAAUUGUGGGAUGUCGUUAAUGAAAUUGAAUAAGAUUACGGAGAUCGUCGAAGAUUACGCCUUGACGUCUAUUUUAUCAUUAUAAUUGUAUUAUAUAUAGAUAGAUUAUUUUUACCAUAUUUAUAUUAUAGGAUAAUAUUAAUUAAUAUUGUAAUAGAUUGCUACCAUAUUUAAUGGUGAUUUUGCUCCAAUAUAAUGAGAGAACCUCUCACAUUUAGAGGUAUCGAGUCUUACUGAGUAUAUUUGACAUGGUAUUAGAGCGUGUUUAAUUUUAUUUAGGUUAAACUUACAAACUUCUGUUCUCCGGCAAGCGGCAUUGUGCCGCUCCUCCAGUCAAAUUUUCUUGUUUUUGUUUUACAUUUUUAGACCUUCCAUGUCAUGUGAGAGGUAUGGAGUCUUAUUGAGUAUAUUUGACAUGAUAGCAGAGCGUGUUUAAUUUUAUUUAGGUUAAACUUACAAACUUCUGUUCUCCGGCGAGCGGCAUUGUGCCACUCCUCCAGUCAAAUUUUCUUGUUUUUGUUUUACUUUUUUAGACCUUCCAUGUUGAUGUAUUAUUGAGCAUCACCAAGCAUGCAAAUAUAUAGCUUGGACUGAGGGAUAUGAAACCCUUGUCCUUAGGAUCAUACUUUUUUUUUAUCAACCCAAUAUAGAGCUCAAUUGUCUAGUCAAGUUUUAGUUGGAGUUAUUUUGGAGAAGAUUUUGUGUUCUUUUGACUGACCAAUUCGAGUAAUACCCAAUUUCAGGUGACGUGAUUAAUGGCGAUGUUGGGUUCGGCUAUCGAAGGUUCAAGUUACAGAUUUAGGAGUUUGGCAUUAUCGACGCCAGAUUGUGGUCGAAAUGGCACUGCUUUUGGAAAUAGCUUGGAACACCAAAACAGAGUGGUGAGACACAAUGGCACGGUCGCUUUCACUGCAAAUCACGGGAUGCUUCACAGCAGUACGUUCACACACGAAUUUUACAGCUCGAGCAACAACAUAAGCAUAAUCUUCAACACUGUAACCAACAAAAAUUUCAGAGUUCCGGGAUUUUGAGCCGUCAUAAUCAAUUCCAAGACCACUGCCAUUGUCAAUGACUUUCAUACAAGUACCGAGGUAGAUUAAUUCACAGUAGAUUGGGGAUGCUUCACGUACUCCUUCAGAUGUUGUUGAACUCGUCGUGGAUCUGCACUCGCUGAGAAUGGAACGGUGGAGAUGGAGGCUAGCAUCAUGGAUGGUUCUGGCAAGAGAUGUGGCGUCGUUUUUUGUAUCACCACCGUGAAGAACCCUAUUUCCCUUGCCCAUCUCAUCAUGGAAAAAUCUCCCUAUUCUUAUCUUGCAUUCUCUAGAGCCGAAGAAUAUGCUAAACAACAGGAUUGUGGUGUAGAAGAGAGGUUUCGAUGGAGAACAGAGGCAUUGAUGCAGAUCUGUUUAAGGACUUGGGCUAAUUCUAGUGGGCUUCUAUUAUCUUGGGUUAGCUUUGCAAUUAAAUCUUUUGGGCUGUAUGUUAUUUAAGGGUGUUUAUUUGAAGUGGGCUUAUUUUUUUAUUUUUUUGUUGUGUGGGCUGAUUUUGGAGUGGGUUGAAUUUAGGUGGGAAUUUGGUUGGCUUGGAUCUGAUUCUAUUGGGACUUCACGUGGAUUGUGUCUAUUGAUUUUAAGCUUAGUGGGUUUACAUAUAAAUUAUAGAUUGUUGGGCGUCAUAGUUUUAUAGGGCCUACUAUCAUUUGGGGUUAUUGGGUUGUAAACUGUGGAAGCAUGGGAACAUAAGGAGCUGAUGUCUGCUAGUUUUGAAUUGUGUGGAAAAUUCUCUAAUAUGUAUCUCAUGGUUUUUGCAAAGGCGCUGCUAAACAACAAGGAUUUUCAUUUUUUGGUUGAAGAGACAGAGACAUGGGAGUGCAGACUAUUGAGUUCUUUAGUUGCUCGGAUAAUGAGCUAAAGCUUUGGAUUCUCGGUGGAGGAUUAUCUUUGAAGUUUUUAGUAUUGGCUAUUUUGUGGAAUUUCUUUGAACUACAGUACCUUGGCUAGCAAUAUAUUGCUGAAAUUUUGGCCAGUGUAUUGGCGUUAGAACUUUUGUUGGAACACAAAUUUUGUGUUCAAUCUAGUUUUCCCAACAAAUAGAGCUCAUUGUGUAUCGGCACACUUCAUGAAUUUCUUUUGGAAAUUUUUCUUAGGGUAUGAGCUUUCUGAAGUGGUUUUGGAGUAGUUUUUAAUUGUUUCUACACAAUUUGUUAUUCUUGGUUUCUAGUCGUUACUAAUUUUCGUAGAUGGUUGCUCUGAUUUGGGUUUCUUCUUUGUGAGCACAAGUAUUGUCGUUGUCGUCAGUUCAUGAUUGCAAAAUGAUACUUUUACCAACAUCAAUUUGAGGGUGAUGUCAAUAAGAUUGAAUAAGAUUAUAGAGAUUGUCGAAGAUUACGACUUGAAGUCUAUUUUAUCAUUAUAAUUAUAUUAUAUAUAGAUAGAUUAUUUUUACCAUAUUUAAAUUAUAAGUUACUAUUAUUUAAUAUUGUGAUAGAUUGCUAAAAUAUUUAGUGGUGACUUUGAUCCUUUAUAAUGAGAGAAUCUCACUUUGAGAGGCAUCGAGUCUUAUUGUCUGACAUCUCCUAUGUUCAUACAUUUAUCUUUUGCUAUUCAAUAAAUUAUGCCACCUUGCGUGGAUUUAAUUUUUAAGAAAAAUAAAAGCUAAGCCCUACUGAUACGAUUUCGGCACAAUAUUGGUGAUUCUUCUAUGAAAACAAUAUUUUGAAACUUUUUGAAUAUAUUUAUUUUAUGUCUUGUAAAGUAACUAUGAGUUUUUGUCUCUUUCAAGAAAAUAGUGGUGGUGUUUCAAAGAAGGAAAUAAUUUUAUCUUUUUAUUUACUUAAAAAAUGAUAAUAAUUUUUUUAGACCAAUAUAGAGAUUUCUAAGUAUUGUAAUUCCUUAACAUUUUUUUAAGAUUACUAAGGUUGAAUGUGAAUUUCAAAUGUUGAUGAAAUCUUGAAAUAUAGAAUUUACGAUUGAUUUGGUCGAAGUUGGGGUUGUUUUAUAUAUAUAUAUAUAUAUAUAUAUAUAUAUAUAUAUAUAUAUAACUAAAAUUUUCAAUUUAAGUCUCUCUAUUGCUUAUUUAUAAAAUUUGUUCGUGUAUAAGAUCUUCAAUGAACUAUAAAUUUACUUGCACAUUGGUGGUGGAUAAUCUACUUUUGUGGUUGUUGGAUAAGUAAAGCUACUAUUUUUUACCACAAAAGGAUAAGUUUGCAAUUUCUUAAUUGUUAAGUUAAGCACAUGCAUGCAUGCAUAGAAUGGAGGUUGGCAAAUUCAAGUUUUUUUCUCCUGCAAGUGGUAGUCGAAAUGCUUGAAAAAUUCCAGCCACUUGACAGGCCGAAUGUGUAGAGAAUUCCAACAAAUGAAGGUGUUAGAACUUUGACUCUUUGAAGCAAUUAAAGGUGGUAAAACUUCCAGCAAUAUCCAGCCCAUUUACAGCCAAGUUUAGCCAUUAUUCUUGACAAUUGAAGGUGGUGGAAAUCCUACAAAUGACAAGCAAAGUUGUAGAUAAUUUUCUUGAAUUUUUCAAGCAAUUAUGGCGGCCAAAAAUCUCUAUAAAUAUGGGCAAGAGUUUGAGAGAAAAGUAUGCCGUAUGUAGAAGAAAAAUUGAGAGAAAUUAAAAGUAGAGAGUAGAGAGAAAAUUGUGGGUGGAAAGAUAAAAUUAUAGAGAGAAAAUUCAUUAUUUUUCUCCUAAGUAUUUCCUACUUGUAUUUUCCUAUUACAAAAGAGACUAAUUGUUGUUAUCUCCUUGUAUUUAGAGAGUGUGUUAUAAUUCUCCGACUAUAGUGAAAUCCUCCUAUACUUGCUCGUGGACGUAACCUAAAUGGGGUAAACCACGUAAAUACUUGUAUCCAUUUUUAGCUUCGUUUUCUUAAUUCCAUUUUUUGUCAGCCAAACUCGACCCACGUUUUUCCUAAUAGUGGUAUCAGAGCUAGGUUCUAUGCAGGGUCUUUGUUCACUACUUACUAUUUUUAAUUAUAGUAUUCGUGAGCAAAAUGGCGACAAAGUAUGAGAUUGAAAAGUUCAAUGGGAACAAUUUCUCAUUAGAAAAAAUGAGAACAAAAGCAGUUUUGCGAAAAGAUAACUGCUUGUCAAGUGUGUGUUGCUAAUCUGCAUCUAGCACCAGCUGAUGGAGUAUUGUCAAGUGUGGUGGAGAAAAAGAUAGCGAAAGAAAUAUGGGAUACGCUGACAAAGUUGUACGAGACCAAAUCAUUACACAACAAAAUCUUCUUGAAGAGAAAGCUUUACACCUUUCGGAUGAUGGAGUCAACUACGGUGACCAACCACAUCAACACCUUCAACACUCUAUUUUCACAAAUUACAUCAAUGGAGCAUAAUAUGGAGGCAGGUGAGCGUGCUGAGAUCUUACUUCAAAGUCUACCAGAUUCGUAUGAUGAACUCAUCAUCAACUUAACCAACACCCUUAAAACUCUAGUCUUUGAUGAUGUUGCAGCUGCUAUUCUUGAAGAAGAAAGUCGACGCAAGAAUAAGGAGGGCAAAUUGACAAUUUCACAUCAGACGGAAGCUUUAACGAUAAUGAAAGGGAGAUCAACGGAACGUGGCUCCAGUGGGAGUCAAAUCAGAAUAGAUCAAAAUCCAGGAGUAAGAAAAAUGUCCAGUGUCAUUAUUGUGGCAAGAAUGGGCACUUAAAAAGAGAUUGUUGGAGUCUCAAGAAGAAUGAAGAAGCCAAAAGAAAAGGUCCUGAGAUGUCAAAAGCUCAGGGUUGUGUAGCAAGCACCUCAGAUGACAGGGAAAUUUUAUACAGUGAGGCAACAACAAUUGUUGAAGGCAAGUAAUUUUUUAAUGUCUGGCUUAUGGACUCAGGAGCUAUAUGGCACAUGACAACAAGGAGGGAAAGGUUCUAUCAAUAUGAACCUAUCCUAGGAAGAUCCAUGCUUAUGGAAAAUGAUCAUGCCUUGGAAAUCCCUGGUAUUGGUACAGUCAAAUUGAAAAUAUAUGAUGGUAUAGUUCACAUUAUCCAGGAAGUACGACACGUAAAAGGCCCGAAGAAAAAUCUAUUAUCUCUAGGACAACUGGACAGCAUUGGAUGCAAACCCAUAUACAAGAUGAUAUCACGAAAAUUAUCAAAAGUGCACUUGUGGUGAUAAAAGUGAAAAAGAUAGCUGCAAAUUUGUACAUGCUUAAAGGAGAGACACUACAAGAAGGAGAAGCAUAUGUCACAUCUACAUGUUCAGUAGAAUAAUUAACGAUGAUGUAAGCUUGGCCACGUGUCAGAACGUGGUUUGAAAAUUCUCUCAGAACAAAAGCUUCUUCCAGUGCUAAAAAAUGUUUCAUUACCCUUUUGUGAGCAAUGUGUUACUAGUGAGCAGCACAAAUUGAAAUUCAGCAGUUCCACUGCUAGAAGUAAAUUUAUCUUGGAGCUGGUCCAUUCUGAUAUUUGGCAAGCACCAGUUAUAUCCCUAGGAGGUACAAGAUACUUUGUAUCUUUUAUUGAUGAUUACUCCAAGAGAUGUUGAGUGUAUCCAAUAAGAGCAAGGCAGACGUGUUCACAAUCUUCAAAAUGUUCAAAACGCGUGCGGAGGUUGAAUCUGAAAAGAAGAUCAAGUGUCUGAGGACUAACAAUAGAGGAGAAUAUACUAGUGAUGAAUUUGAUAACUUUUGUCAACAAGAAGGUAUCAAGAGAUAGUUCAUGAUGGCAUACACUCCCCAGCACAAUGGAAUGGCAGAGCGGAUGAACAGAACAUUGUUAAAAAGAAUAAGGGCAAUGUUGAAAACUGCGGGGCUAGCCAAGUCGUUCUGGGUAGAAGCAAUCAAAAUUGCUUGUUAUGUGAUCAAUUAGUCGCCAUCAACCGCAAUUGAUCUGAAAAUGCCUAUAGAAAUGUAGACUGUAAACCACCUGAUUAUUCUCGUUUACAUAUAUUUGGAAGUCCUGUGUACGCUAUGUACAGCAGCAAGAAACGUCAAAACUGGAUCUAGAAUCCAGAAAAUGUAUUUUCUUAGGAUAUACUGAUGGAGUCAAGGGGUACUGCCUGUGAGAUCCCACUAUCCACAAGGUGAUAAUCAGCAGAGAUGUGAUAUUUUACAGAAGGCAAGGUACAUGAAAAAGAAAAUGAUAGCACUUCAAAAGAAAAAUAAAAAACUACUACAGUCGAAGUUGGAGAAGAACGAGAAGUUAUAGAUUCUUUUGAAACAAAACUAGAGCACGAAGAAUAAGAACAGGCUGAAUCUAGUGCUCUGAUACUCGACGAUCAACACAGGAAAAAAGAGAGCCGGCUUGGCACUCAGAUUACAUUAUAGAGGGCAAUGUUGCGUACUACUUACUGACAGAAGAUGGAGAGCCAUUAACUUUCCAUGAGGCUAUAAAUGGCCAAGAAAUUUCUCUGUGGACAGCAGCAAUGCAAGAAGAAAUUGAAGAUUUUCAUAAGAACCAGGCAUGGGAUCUUGUUCCACUACCACAAGAAAGGAGGGCCAUUGGGAAUAAAUGGGUUUACAAGAUCAAGCGAGAUGGUAAUGAACAAGUGGAGCAGUAUCGUGUGAGACUGGUGGUGAAGGGAUAUGCUCAGAAAUAAGGCAUUAACUUUAAUGAAAUAUUUUCUCCUGUGGUUUGACUCACAACAGUUCGAGCAGUCUUCGUAAUGUGUGCUACAUUUGACUACACCUGGAGCAAUUAGAUGUGAAAACUACAUUUCUUCAUGGAAAACUUGAAGAAGAGAUUUAUAUGCUCCAAUCAGAAGGUUUUGAAGAAAAAUGAAAAGAGAACUUGGUUUGUAGGUUGAACAAAUCUCAAUAUAGUCUGAAACAGGCACCGAGAUGUUGGUAUAAGAGAUUUGAUUCCUUCAUCAUGAGCCUUGGAUACAACAGACUCAAUUCAGAUUCAUGUGCAUACUACAUGAUAUUUGGAGAUAAUGAUUUCAUUACUCUGCUAUGUUGACGACAUGUUGGUAGCAGACCUUAACAAAGAUCGUAUUGAAGACUUGAAGGCACGGUUGGUUAGGGAGUUUGAAAUGAAGGACUUGGGACCGGCAAACAAGAUUCUAGGGACGCAAAUUUACCGAGAUAGAAAUAAUAGAAAGAUUUGGCUUAGUCAGAAGAAUUACUUCAAAAAAUCUUGCAUCGCUUCAAUAUGCAAGAUUGUAAGCCAAUUUCUACCCUUCUUACUACUACUUUCAAGUUAUCCUCAAGUAUGAGUCCUAGCAAUGAAGCAGAGAUGAUGGAUAUCUCUCGAGUAUCGUAUGCAUCAGCAGUUGUUAGCUUGAUGUUUGCUAUGAUCUGUACAAGACCAGACAUUGCACAAGCAGUGGGAGUGGUCGGUUGAUACAUGACAAAUCUUGGUAAAGAGCAUUGAAGUACUGUAAAGAAGAUCUUGAGAUAUGUCAAAGGUACCUCAAAUGCUACAUUAUGUUAUAGAUGAUCAAAUUUUAUUGUCAGAGGCUAUGUUGAUUCAGAUUAUGCAAGUGAUCUUGAUAAAAGCAAGUCCACCACAAGAUAUAUAUUUACUCUUGCUGGAGCAUUUGUAAGCUGGGAUUCGAAACUGCAGUUUGUAGUGGCUACUUCUACAAUGGAGGCAGAAUACGUAGCUGCUACACAAGCUAGCAAAGAGGCAAUCUGGUUGCAAAUGUUAAUGGAAGAGCUCGAACAUAAACAAGAGAAGAUUGAUCUAUUUUGUGAUAGUCAGAAUGCUUUGCACUUGGUAAAGAAUCCAGCAUUUCAUCAGAAAACAAAAUCUAUUCGAGUUCAAUAUCACUUUGUUCUAGAAAAGGAUGAGGAAGGGAGUGUAUAUAUACAGAAGAUCCAUACAAUAGACAACCUAGCUGAUAUGUUAACAAAGCUGAUCAAUAUUGACAAGGUUAUAUGGUGUCGAUCCUCCAUCGGCCUAGCAGAAAUGUAGCAUGGAAAUGACAAGUAUGGGAAGAAUUGAAGUGGUCAACAAAAGUGACUUUAGGAGGGAGAUGAUAUGUUAAAAAAGCUGAUCAAUAUUGACAAGUUUAUAUGGUGUCGAUCCUCCAUCGGCCUAGCAAAAAUGUAAGUAGCAUGGAAAUGACAAGUAUGGGAAGGAUUGAAGUGGUCAACAAAAGUGACUUUAGGAGAGAGAAAUGUUGGAUAAGUAAAGCCACUAUUUUUUACCACAAAAGGUUAAGUUUACAAUUUCUUAAUUGUUAAGCUAAGUAUAUGCAUGCAUGCAUGCAAAGGAACUUGGCAAAUUCAAGUUUUCUUUCUCCAACAAAUGGCAACCGAAAUGCUUGAAAAAUUCCAACCACUUGACAGGCCAAAUGUGUAGAGAAUUCCAGCAAAUGAAGGUGGUAGAACUUUAACUCUUUGAAGCAAUUAAAGGUGGUAAAACUUCCAGCAAUAUCGAGCCCAUUUACAGCCAAGUUUAGCAAUUAUUCUUGACAAUUGAAGGCGGUGGAAAUCCUACAAAUGACGAGCCAAGUUGCAAAUAAUUUUCUUGAAUUUUCAAGCAAUUAUGGUGACCAAAAAUUUCUAUAAAUAUGGGCAAGAGUUAUAGAGAAAAGUAUGCCGUAUGGAAAAGAAAAUUUGAGAGGAAUUAAAAGUAGAGUAGAGAGAAAAUUGUUAGUGGAAAGAUAAAAUUAUAGAGAAAAAAUUGUGAGUUUUUCUCUUAAGUAUUUUCUACUUGUUUUCUCUUAUUACAAGAGAGAUUAAUUGUUGUUAUUGUGUUGUAAUUCUCCUACUAUAAUGAAAUCUUCAUAUACUUGCAUGUAGACAUAGUCUAAAUUAGAUGUACCACGUAAAUACUUGUGUUCAUUUUAGCUGCAUUUUCUCAAUUCCAUUAUUUGUUAGCCAAACUCAACCCAUGUUUUUCCUAAUAGUGGGUAAAAAGGUUUCCAUUGUAUUGACUUUUAUAAUGGCUUAAUAGCACAAAACAUCACUACGUUUGAUUUGCAGUGUGCAAAAUGUCCCCACAUUUCAAUUUUUUACAUUUUCACCCCAAUUUUCACGUUUCAUUGUGAAAAAUGUCAUUUUUACCAAUUUUUAAUGUAAAAUGACCAAUAUACCCUCCUAUUUAAAUAAAACAAAAAUAAAAGAAAAUUAAAGAUCAAAUUGCAACUAUAGGCCCAAAUUUUUCAAAAGGCUCAAUAGCACAAAAUAUCCUUACUUUUUUCCCACACCCCAUCCCACCCCAUGCCAACCCAACCCAACCCAACCCAAUUCACUCAUUAUUUUGAAGAUUCAAGGAACUGUCGGCCUCCAUCUCAUCAACUUCCACCUAACCGCCACCUAAAAUACUAGAGCUCAUACUACAAAUAGCUGUCAUCAACACCCAAACACUUUCUUAUAAACAAAUUGAACAAACAACAAAUUUAUAAGGUCAAAAUCAACAAAAAAUGUAACUAUCGCAUGAGCAACAUGUUGCCUUUUUCCGUCAAUUUCGACACAGGUAAUGCUUCUCACCAUCGCAGACCACCCAUUUCAACUUCACCACAUCAUGCCACACUGCUACAAUAAUAGGUUUCCAUCAAUUUCAUCUAUUAUUCCCCAGAAUAUGUGGCCAUUUAUUGCCCAAUAAGAAAUUGAAAGAUGUUGCUAUAGAUUUUGAUUUUGUGCACCUGUUCAAGUUUUAAGUCUAUGAAGAGAGGUGCUCCAAUGAAUAUAGUUGAUUUAUAAGUUGGGAAUGCAAUGGGUCUUGUCGGAACAGAAAAAGAAAAGAAGAGAAAAAAGAAUUUUUUUUUCCAAAAUUUUUUAUUUGGACUCAUUUAUACUUUUUAAAAAGUUUAGGAGUAAGAUUGCAAUUUGUUCUUUAUUUUUCGUUUCUUCUCUUUUUGGUUUUAUUUAAAUAAGAGGGUAUAUUGGUCAUUUACAUUAAAAAUUGGUGAAAAUGAUGUUCCGCAACGAAACGUUAAAAUAAGUGUGAAAUGCAAAAAUUUGAAACAUAUGGACGUUUUGCACACUACAAGCCAAACAUAAGGAAGCUUUGUGCUAUAAAACCUUUAAUAAUUUCUUUAUGACUUUGGUAGAGGGUCUAGAGGUGUAAUUGGUCUAGCCUUCAGUCUGUUCACAUUUAAAAUCAAACGACAAAAUCAGACAUCAUAGGCCUACAAAUAUAGAUAAAUCACACCUUUGGUCUUGAACCAUUUUUCGAAUCUUGAACAAAAUUUACAAGCACCAAAAUAUCCAUUUAUGCUGCACCAAAAUCAAGUCAAGGAAGAAUCUAUUUUGCAAAUCUAUAAACAUAAUUUUUCACUACACAUGCCAACGAGUUGGUCAAGUUUUUUUCUUCUUGAUCUUGCUAUUAAAUUAAAAAUUUGUCGGAGUCAUCUAGUGGGAUUAAGCUCUUGUUUGACAACCUUUAAAGCAAACGCUUUUUUUCUUAAACUAAAUUUUUAAAAUAAAAUAUUCGGUACAUAAAUCUAAAUUUUUUCCUACUUUUGUUUAUAUAUUCCUCAAAAAAUCACUAUUCAAAACCUUGCUUUCUCCAAAAUACUCAUUUUAAUGAUUGUUAAACAGAGGCUAAUAUUGCGACACCAGAGGCUAAUAUUGCGACACUAAUGAAAGGUUGAGGAAAUAUUUGCUCCUAUUCAUAGGCUGGUGACUAACAUGCAACUAACACAAUAGAUUGGGGCUGCUAACUUACAACUUUCACAAUAGGUUGGAAAGGAAGGUAGAAAUUUUUGAAUUUUUCCACAAGUAUAUAUAGGACGCAAGUCACUCAUAUUUUAUUAGAAUUAAUUGUAGGCAUUGUAUGUAAUUGCACUGUAGCUUAGUUUUAUUUCAAUUCAUUAGUUGGCCAGCUGUGUUUUUUUCCUUUCAUUUUUGGCGCCAAGCUCCAUUGCUAUUUAUGUAUCUCUGAACAUUCAUUCAAUUGAUUGAAUGAUCAAUAGAGUUUCAAUUCAUUUUCUCUCUAUAAAUCGAAGAUGGUAUCAGAGCAAAAUCAUUUCCACGCUCUUCUCUCCUCAUCACAGAUUUAAUCUGUUGCUGGAUCUCCUCUUCAUAUUUCUUUUUUUACUUUCACAAAUUCAAUUAAUCUGUUGUUCGAUCUAAUCUCCACAUAGAGUUAUUACAGUCCGGAAAUUGGUUUGAUUCAAGGUCAUCAAUGAACAAAUCAAGUCCUUACUUCUUACUUCAUUCAAUGAGUAAUUUCCAGAUCUCCAGAUCUGCACCGAAUGAAGAUAAAAUGCAUAAUUCACAACAACCUGGGAUUGGAAAUUUAAUUUAGAGCUUGAAUCCUGCUCAAUAUCAACAAUUGAUGUCGACAUUGUCCACUCAUCUGGCAUCAAACUCACACACAGCAGCUUCUGAUUAUCAGGACAACAAAAUUACAUUAUAUAAUGCAGGUAUAUGCCAUUUCAUAUCUGUUAAUCCAGUCUUGUAUUCCAAAGAAAUUUGGAUAGUGGAUUCGGGAGCCACUAAGCAUGUGUGUUCUAUUGCUGCUUCAUUCAUGAACAUGAGGAUUAUUGAUGGUUCAAAUGUGACUUUAACCAAUCGCACACAAAUUCCAGUUAGAUUGUGUGGGAAUAUCAGGCUGAGUCCAAAUAUUGUGCUGCAUGAUGUGUUAUUUGUACCACAAGUUUCAUUAAGUUUCUCUCAUGAUAACUUCAUUAUUCAAGAUGCCAAAACCAAGAUGAUGAUUGGUAGGGGUGGUCAAAUGCAAAAUUUGUAUGUUCUAGAUACCAGAAUUCCGAAUUCCGUUUCUAAUGCAUUUGUUAAUACUGUGUCUAUCCAUGUAUGGCACAACAGACUUGGGCAUCUUUCAUUCAAAAGGCUAGACUGGUUGAAGGAACAAUUAUUGUGUGAUGUUAAAAAAUUUAAGAGGCAUAUGCCUUGUUAUGUUUGUCUACUUGCUAAACAGCGGAAAUUGCCUUUUGAAUUGAAUAAUAGACCGUUAAAUGAUCCCUUUGAUCUCAUACAUUGUGAUGUAUGGGGACCUUACCAUGUUACUUCACACUCGGGAUACAAUUAUUUCUUGAUAUUGGUGGAUGAUUGUUCAAGGUUUACAUAGGUCUAUUUGUUAAAUCACAAAUCAGAUGCCAAGAUUGUUAUUCCCAGAUUUUUCAACAUGAUUGAUACCCAAUUCAAUGCCAAAAUAAAGACAUUCAGAUUUGACAAUGCUUGUAAAUUAACCUUUAUAGAUUAUUUUACUAAAAAGGAAGUAAUGCAUCAGUUUAGUUAUGUGGAAAAACCACAACAAAACUCCGUCGUUGAGCGCAAACAUCAGCAUUUGUUAAAUGUGGCUAGGUCUCUGUACUUCUAAUCACGAAUCCCCAUCAGUUUCUAGUUUAAAUGUGUUUUGAUAGCCACAUUCUUGAUAAAUAGAACUCCAUCUUCUGUGUUGAAGCACAAAAUGCCAUAUGAAGUUCUAUAUGGAAGACCUACAGAUUAUUCCUCACUUAGAGUUUUUGGAUGUCCAGCUUUUGCAUCUACUCUAACUACACAAAGAAACAAAUUCUAGCCACGAGCUAGGCUAUGUGUGUUCUUGGGAUAUCCAUCUGAAGUUAAAGGUUACAAACUCUAUGAUGUUGAGUCAAAACAUUUCUUUGUAUCACGUGAUGUUGCGUUUCACGAAAAAAUCUUUCCUUUUCAUACAGUUAUGGCAAAUGAUCAACUGAUAGAUCCGUUCCCUGACUUAGUCUUACCAAAUCAUUUUUUACAUCUUCAUCAAGAUUCACAUGCAUCCUCAACUCAGUAUAACUUACCUCAUAUUUCUUCCUCUGAAAGUCAUAAUUUGCAUCAAGAGUUAUUCCCUACAUCACCAUCCCUUGAUACAAUGUCUGCACCUGACAGUCCUGAUAAAAAUGGCACUCCACAUACUGACAUUAGUCACACAUGUCAACCUACUACUAUCACUAAUUUGAGACGUUCACAAAGAGCUGCUAGACCCCUACAAUGCCUUAGAGAUUUUCAUUACAACUCUUUUCUCAACAAGAUAACUCCCAUCUUCAUUCACUCCAUCAUGUUAGCCAAUUUAUUUUCUAUAAUCAUUUAUCCCAAAACCACCGGCAAUUUGUAUUGAACGUGUCCUCUCAAUUUGAGCCUCAAUUUUUUCACCAGGCGGUUAAAUAUCCACAAUGGCGUGAAGCCAUGAAAGCUGAAUUGGAGGCUAUGGAAGCCAAUCACACUUGGUCAGUAGUUCCUUUACCAGUUGGUAAACAUAUUGUUGGAUGAGGGUGGAUCUUCAAGGUAAAACAUAAUUUUGAUGGGUCUAUUGAAAGGCACAAAGCACGUCUUAUAGCUAAAGGUCAUACACAACAAGAGGGCCUUAAGUACUUUGACACUUUUUCCCCACUAGCAAAGAUUGUCACUGUUAAAGUAUUGUUAGCUCUUACAGCCUCUCAACGGUGGCACUUGUUCCAAAUGGAUGUAAAUAACGCCUUCUUGAAUAGUGAUAAGUUCGAUGAAGUUUACAUGGAUCUCCCGCCUGGUUAUGAGGUUCCCAAUGCUGUCAAACAAGUGAAGAAAUUGGUUUGCAAGUUGCAAAAGUCAAUUUAUGGCCUCAAGCAAACGUUAAGGUAGUAGAAUUCUAAAUUCACCCAAGCAAUGGUCCAUUGUGGUUUCAAUCAAUCAAAGGCCGAUUAUUCCCUAUUCACUAAAGGUUCUGGGAAUGAAUUUGUGGCAUUGCUUGUGUAUAUAGAUGACAUUGUCAUCACUGGACCAAACAUUCAAGUUAUUGAUUCUUUAAAGAAGUUCUUAAACUCUCAGUUCAAACUUUAGGAUUUAGGGAAGUUGAAGUACUUCUUGGGCAUAGAAGUGGCUCGUUCUAACUCUAAGAUUGUCAUAUCACAAAGACAUUACGCCCUACAGUUGCUUGCGGAUUCAGGUUACCUGGACUGCAAAUUAACAAAUACUCCUAUGGAUCCAAAGGUUACCUUAAAUAUUCAUGAUGGAGACCUUCUGCCAGAUGCAUCUUCUUAUCACAGGUUGAUUGGAAAAUUGAUUUACCUGACAAUAUCACGACCAGAUAUUACUUUUGCUAUCUACAAGCUGAGCCAAUUUUUGUCAUAGCCUCCACUACCUCAUCUCAAGGUAGCUCACCAUCUUCUUCGGUAUUUAAAGGGUAGUCAAGGUCAGGGACUAUUCUUUCUGUUCAAGAAAUAUUUUCUUUCGAUUUAAAUCACCGCAAGUGUAUGGUUCGUUAACAAGUAAUAAAAUGGAUCAAUUGAGUCCAAAUAUUGUCCCAUAGAGAUUGACUAGUUUAAUUUUACUUAACUUGGCCUUAACUGAAACCGAUUUGUCAAACGUGAAUUGUAGUGCCUUAAAUUAACCUUACUUGGACUAAAUAUGCAAAUAUGUAUGAUUUGAAUGAAUUAAAAUGCAAAGUGAAUGUGUUAAUUGCAAGUUGGUGUACUAAAUCAAUGAAUAUAAAAGCGCACUAGGACCACGAAUCCCCAAGCAAUGCUCAAUUUAACCUUAAUUUCACACUUUGACAACAUGAUGACAUUGUAAGAAUCAAUACUCCUAAAUCUAUCCAACACUCUCUCUCGAGAUGAAUUGAAUCUAUUCUCAUACACCACCAACCUAUAUCUCUAUGACGGAUACAAAUAUAUGAGAAUGCAUGUAAUUUUAUGAGUACUUAGAGAUUCACCAAAGCAUAGGGGUCUAGUCCUAUCCUCUAUCGGACUCUAUGAUGAUUUAUACCUUGUCGAAUUUAUUCCUCUUCUUUCGAAUAGAUGAAACAAACCACCAAAACUCACACAAUUACGGGCCCAUAAUCAUGAAAGCAAUUAAAUGAAUAUAAAUCAUUCAAAACAAUUAAUACGUGCUUUAAUGUCAAAAUACAGAACAAAGAAUUAAAUAUCAAAUUACAAAGUUCAUCGAUCUCCUAGUAUAGAUUUUUCUAGCCUAACAUGAUGGGAAGAAGAACAUAAUAACAAGAAUCUAGAAAAGACAUCACUCUAUCGCCCUUUAAUUUGAAAUCUUGAAUCUUGGAAUGAAUCCUCUCAUUCUUGCCUUUUUCUUGCUCUUCAAAUCCUCCCAAAAUAAUGUAUAAUGCAUGUUGUCUGUUUUUGGACAUCCCUAGAACUUUAAAAGACUCUCAAGAUUUAUUUCCAUAAGAGUUUUAAUCAAAAAAAUCAGAAAAUUUUUGUCCGCUAUUGGCCUGGGCUAUCACUCAGGCCAACAUUUUCUUCUCAGUAAUAAGAAAAACAUAUGGGGUGAUCGCCCAGUUUUUAUAGCUGAGUUGUCAUCCAUGCAAAAUUUCUUCCAUAUGUUGUAUUUUAGCCCCCGAAGUCAAUUUUUGAUUUUUUCAAGCCCUUUCUCUUGUAAUUUCAACUCUUUGACUUUCAUUUGCUUCCAAUUGAACUCGCAACAUCUUUAAUCUUCAUUUUGUGAUCCUAACAACUAUUGAAAUAUUUGAAUUUAGUCCUCAUACUUUUGAUUUUCUUCCUUUUUGGCUCUUUUUCUUUUCUUUUCUCUUGAAGUCCACCACAUUUAUCAAUAUAGUCCUACAAAACAUAAUUAUAUAGAAUUAAGUCAUAAUUCAAACUCUUUGACCAUAAUUAAGUCAUGUUUGUGAACUAAGUGUGUAAAAACACACUUAUCAAACCCUCAAACUUGAACUAUUGUUUGUCUUCAAACAAGAUAGUGACUCAAUACUAAACAAACAUGUCUUAAUAACCUGUCGUGUCUCGAGAUUGGACUAAGUAUUUGACUUAAAUAAAUUUUGAUUAGUGUAAGAAUGAAAUCAACAGUUACCUGUUGAUUGCAUACCCGACGUGCAUGUAUGAAAUCAUGCUAACAUAAUUAGUUCAUGAUGGAGUUAGUCCUGACCCAAAGUGGUCAAAUAUGUCCUUACUUCGCUCGAGAGGUACACAAAACCCCAAACUAUUUCUUUUCACUCAGUUAACCCGGGGUUGUGUUUUGAAGUUAGGAUUUUAGGCAACUGCAGUCCUUACCCUCUCUUAAUUUGGAUAGAUCUCACUAUCACAAGUUCACAUGUCAACAAAUGAAGGCUCUCCUAGAUUUGUUUGCUUCAACACCUAAGAUUAAACUAAGUUAUUAGGCUCGCAUCAAAGGUAUAUUUUCUUCAACCAAAUGUCCAAGGACCUCUUGAUGUUAUCGUGUCUUUUCUCACUUAUUUUCUGAUAAUUUUUUUUUGUCAUCUUCUCAUUUGCUUUCUGUAUAACUCCUAUAGCGAGCUUUAAAUCGAUGACUCCCAAACCAAUUGGCUUUAGGAUAUCAAGUUUUAAACCCUUGCCGGCUUAUUCACUCGAUUUAUAAAGGCUCGAUCAGAUGACUUUUUAUUCACCUCUUCUCCUAUUGCUUUCUAUAUGACUCAUGUAACAAGCUUUAAGCUGAUAACUCCUAAACCAGUUGGUUUUGGGGCACCAGAUUUUGAAAUAUGCUUAUAAGCUUACUUACUCGAAUCAUAAAGGCAUGGACAAAAGUGUCCUAUUUUCACAAGUUAGAUUUAUGCCCUUUAUUAUUUUUCUAGACAUUUGGCUUCCAAGACCAACCCCCAAUUUAAAAUUUUCAUCUAAUUUUUAUUUCACUGGUCUAGGCAAUCCACACAAUAAAAUUCAUGCACGGAGCCCCCACUUAUCUCGAUGUUUUCCUAUGAUUGCUCAACCAUCUCCAAACCGUCUUAAGGUGGUUUAUUAUUUGAUUUAGUAGAGGGUUAUAACUCUUCUCCUACUUUAUGUUCAAAACCCCAAUCACUAGCCUGACAUGUGAGCAUGAGUGGCGUGCAUAAAUAAUGUUAAGUAUUACAUCAAUAAGUAUUGGCUAAUUUAUUCAGCACCAUAUCCACAGUUUAUAAUUUAUACCAGUCCAAUAUUCACAUCAUAGCCGACAAGACAAUCAAGCCCACACAAGCAUGCAAAAAAUGAAAAUACAGCAAACUAAAUAAAAUACAAAGAAUUAUCUUUUUAACACUCAUCAAGCACAUAAUAUGCACUCAUGAAAUAUAGAUAUUGAUGACCAUAGGCAAAAUGAUGAAAAGAUGUUCUUGUCCAAGAUUAUGUCACCCACCCUCAAACUUAGAUAAUACAUUGUCCUCAAUGUGAAGAUGAAAUAAAAGUGUAAGCAGACAUAAUUGAAGGAAAAUAAUAAACUAAAAGCACAAGAUGGGAUACGAGUACUCCCCUGAUCUAUAUGGAGAUGGUGAAUGAAAACUAGGACCCGCUGUGUUUUUCCUUUCCAUGUGACAUUCUUUUUGGUGGCAUCCUGUAAAAGUGCAAAGUAUGCGUAUUAGUUCACAUGUUGUAAACAGAUGCAAUUAAGGCAAGAAAUAACCUACGUAGUGCACAAAUUUUCCAAAAUUGCUUCAAGGUGCAUGUGUACAUUGUUGGUGUACAUAAUGCAUAAUUUAUGUCUCAACAUAGGGUUUAUAUCACAAAAAUGUGAAUCACCAAUGAAACUUCACUCAAAACAUGUACUUUGUUCAGUUUGACACAUGACUGACUAAAAUAGGACUUCAACCUCAUGACUCGUGCUCAGUGCAUUGGGACUUGUGUAGACCAUGCCUAGACUCCAUGUGAUAGGGAUGUAUGAUUGAUGAUCGAAAACUACUAAUAAUGCUAAAAAUGAAAAGUUCCUAAACUAUAGCAAAACGAAGUAAAUGAAAUGAUAGAAACGUUAUGUUGCCUCCCAACCAGCGCUAUUUUAUAGUCAAUAGCUCGACUUUUGGCAUAGGUGUGUUAUAGCACUUUAAAUAUGGCUUGGAAAGUCCUACGUAGUUUGUUCAAUAUGGUCUUGUUCCGCAUUGCAGUUAUCCUCCACACUUCAAAACUGUCCUUUUCCAAGUGGUGUGACUCUCCCUCAUCAUCCAUUUGAGACUCCACGGUGCAUAUCUCGAUCUCCUUUGAGUCAGUGAGAGUGGAUUGAGGGUACAUCAUAUCAACCUAUUGAAUGUCUAGCGGUUUCUUCAACUGGUAAUUGUAGAGGAUUUCUAUGUCAAUCACAUCAAUCUGGAAACAGGUGUUUGGCUUCGUGGGAUAUUUCAUUGAUUUGAAAACAUUAAAAGAGGUCUGCUCCUCUCCCAGUCUCAGAGUUAAUUGUCCUUGUUGCACAUCUAUGAGAGCUCUUACAAUUGCCAAAAAUUGUCACCCCAAUAUGAUAGGCACGUCCUUGUCUUCUUCCAUGUCCAGAAUUAAGAAAUCUGCUGGGAAUAUAAGUUUAUCCACUUUGAUUAAUACAUCUUCAAUAAUCCAUCGUGGAUGUAUAAGUGAUUGAUCAGCCAGCUGUAGAGUUACUGUAGUUGCUUUAAGUUCUCCCAAUCCUAGUUUCCUGAAAAUAGAGAGUGGCAUCAAGUUAAUACUCGCACUAAGAUCACACAAUGCUUUAUUAAAAUAUAAAUCACCAAUUGUGCAAGGGACAGUAAAACUCCAUGGAUCUUUCAAUUUUGGUGGGAGCUUUUUCUGGAUCCUGGCACUGCUCUCUUCAGUUAACAUCACUGUUUCAUGUUCCUUUAGCUUGCGUUUAUUUGUUAAGAUGUCCUUCAGGAACUUGGCAUAGCUGGGCAUUUGGAGUAGUAUAUCGGUGAAUGGGAUGUUGAUGUGGAGCUUUUUAAAGGUUUCAAGGAACUUCUUAUAUUGUUGCUCCAUCUUAUGCUUCCUUAACCUCUAGAGAAAUGGAAUGGGUAACUCAUAGGGGUUAACUGAAAUGGUGGCCUUACCCCGUGAUGUCUUUGAACUCUCCUUUGGUGUGGAUUCAUGUGUCUGCUCGUUUUACUGUACAAUCUCAGAGUGUUGUUUCAUUGUUUACACUCGACCUCUUAACGUGUCUUUCAGGUAGUUGCAUCCCAUUUCGAGUUGUGAUCGCUUGAACAUGCUCUCUGGGAUUCAACUCAGUAUUGCUUGGUAAAGUAUUUGGUGCCCUUUUUGUCAUAGCAAGUAUCAUCUGCUCCAUCUACGUCUCCAAGUUCUUAAUUGCAGUACCCUGAUUUUGGAGAGUAGUUUCAGUUUUCCUUAUGAACUGGUUAUUUGCUUCCAUAUAUUUCUCAGUCUUUUCCAUGAACUUUGCAAAUAUUUCAUCCAAUUGAAGUGUCUUCUCCUAUUGAAAUUGCCUCUGGGAUCUAUUCUGAUUCUGGGUACCCCAUGAGAUAUUUGUAUGUUCUUUCCAACUGAGAUCGUAAGUGUCUGAAUUUUGAUAGUUCUGUUGAUGUUGACCCCAUUGUGAGUACUUUAUUUGUUCCAUUUCUUGUGACAGAAUUGGGCAUUCUGUUGUACUAUGAUUCGCUCCACAUUCUUCACAAUUUGGUUUUCACACAUACGUUGCAUUCGCUGACUGUGAUAUGUUUUCUACCUUAUGAAAUAGUAAGUCAAUCUUUGCUGAUAAGGCAGAAUAUGCAUCUACCUCAUAAACACGCAGAGGCUCUUUUUGAAUCACUUGCUCAGAGGACCACAUGGCUGAAAUGGUAGCCAUUCUCUCAAACAAUUCCAAUGCUCCGUUGAUUGUUCGUGUGGAAAUUAAGCCGUCUGAUGAUGAGUCCACCAUGCUUUUGAAGUACGGGAGUAACCCUAUAUAGAAUAAUCGAAUUUGGGUCUUUUUGUUGAACCCAUGUUGAGGGCACCUCUAGAGCAUAUUCUUGAAUCUGUUCCAGGCUUCAUCAAAUGAUUCGGAUUCUCCCUAGCUAAAAAUGGAUAUUUCGUGUCUCAUUUUAGCUAUUUUGGCUGGUGAGAAGUACUUCGUGCAGAAUUUUUGAGCCAGGUCGUUCCAAGUAGUGAUGCUUACAAUAGGAAAUGAAUCCAACCAGUCAAGUGCCUUAUCCCGUAGUGUAUGUGGAAACAACCUUAGCCUAAUAGCAUUAUCCGAAAUUCCUUGAUACCUGAAGUGUUGUCACAUAUCCAAGAAUCGAGAUAUGUGUGUAUGUGGAUUUUCUUUGGCUUUGCCAUAAAAUUGGUGUCCAUUCUGGAACAGUUGUAUCACAUUAGUCUUCAAUUGAAUAUAAGGCUGCCCAAACGAUGGAUACACUAUGCUAGACUAGCUUUGAAUUUCUUGAGGAAUCAAGAAAUCUCCCAAAAUCUCAUUUCCUUCAUUAGUUGGGAUAACAUCGUUGUUAGGUUCAUUAGCCAUUUGCAACUGUGCUUCUCUAGUAUCUCUUUUUAGUCGAUGAAAAGUUCGCUCAAUUUCAAGAUCAGUUGGAAUAAUUCUCCUCCAAUCGAUCUUAGGAUGCAAUUCGACAAGAAAACCAGUAGUAGCACUCAGAUUCAAACAAUCUGAAAAACUAUAAUAAAAAUAAAAAUAAAAAUAAAAUAACCUAAACGAAAAUUAAUAAAAAUAGAAAUUUCAAGUUCGAGUUAGUGUCUAGAAAAAUAAAAUCAAACUAAUGCUCAAUCCCUAGUAACGACGCUAAAAACUUGUUCACGAAAUAUUUUCUUUCGAUUUAAAUCAUCACAAGUAUACAGUUCGUUAAUAAGUAAUAAAGUAGAUCAAUUGAGUCCGACUAUCGGCCCACAGAGAUUGAUUAGUUUAAUUUUACCUAACUUGGCCUUAAUCGAAACUGAUUUGUCAAACGUGAAUUGUAGUGACUUAAAUUAACCUUACUUGGACUAAAUAUGUAAAUAUGUAUGAUUUGAAUGAACUAAAAUGCAAAGUGAAUGUGUUGAUUGCAAGUUGGUGUACUCAAUCAAUGAAUAUAAAAGCGCAUUAGGAUCACGAAUCCCCAAGCAAUGCUCAAUUUAACCUUAAUUUCAUACUUUGACAACACGAUGGCAUUUUGAAGAAUCAAUACUCCUAAAUCUAUCCAAUACUCUCUCUCGAGAUGAAUUGAACAUAUUCUCAUUCAUCACUAGCCUAUAUCUCUAUGAUGGAUGCAAAUAUAUGAGAAUGCAUGUAGUUUUGUGAGUACUUAGAGAUUCACGCAAAGCAUAGGGGUGUAUUUCUAUCCACUAUCGGACCCUACGAUAAUUUAUACCUUGUCGAAUUUAUUCCUCUUCUUUCAAAUAGAUGAAACAAAUCAUCAAAACUCACACAAUUACGGGCCCAUAAUCAUGGAAGCAAUUAAAUGCAUAUAAAUCAUUCAAAACAAUCAAUACGUAUUUUAGUGUCAAAAUACGAAACAAAGAAUUAAAUAUCACAUUACAAGGUUCACCGAUCUCCUAGUAUAAAUUUUUCUAGCCGAACAUGAUGGGAAGAAGAACUUAACAACAAGAAUCAAGAAAAGACAUCACACAAUCGUCCUUUGAUUUGAAAUCUUGAAUCUUGGAAUGAAUCCUCUCGUUCUUACCUUCUUCUUGCUCUUCAAAUCCUCCCAAAAGUAAUGUAUAAUAGGUGAUAUCUAUUUUUGGAUGUCCCUAGGGCUUUAAAAGACUCCCAAGAUUUGUUUCCAAAAGAGUUUCAAUCAGAAAAGGAAACAAGAAAAUUUUCGCCGCGAUUGGCCUGGGCUGUCGCUUAGGCCAACAUUUUCUUCUCGGUAAUAAGAAAAACAUAUGGAGUGAUUGCCCCAUUUUUAUAACUGGGCUAUCGCCCGGGCAAAAUUUCUUCCAUAAAUUGCAUUUUAGCCCUCGAAGUCGAUUUUUUAUUAUUUCAAGCCAUUUUUCUUGUAAUUUCAAUUCUUUGACUUUCAUUUGCAUCAAAUUGAAUCCACAACAUCUUUUAUCUUCAUUUUGUGAUCCGAAUCAACUAUUGAAAUGUUGCAAUUUAGUCCUCAUACUUUAAAUUUUCUUCCUUUUUGGCUCCUUUUCGUUUCUUUUCUCUUGAAUUCCACCACAUUCAUCAAUAUAGUCAUACAAAACAUAAUUACAUAGAACUAAGUCAUAAUUAAAAUUUUUUGAUCAUAAUUAAGUCAUGUUUGUGAACUAAAUAAGUGUGUAAAAACACACUUAUCUCUUUUCCUUCAUCAUUUGACCCACAUUCACUUCUCAAGCUUUGGGCCUUUUCAGAUGCAGACUAGGGAGCUUGUCUUGAUGCAAGAAAAUUAGCUACUAGUUUUUUGCAUUUUCCUUGGAGACCCUUUAAUAUAUUGGAAAGCUAAGCGACAGUCCACUGUUUCUUGAUCUUCAACUGAAUCAGAAUAUAGGGCUCUAGCUACCACCAUUAGUGAAGUCAUCUGGAUUAGCCAAUUGCUCAAGGAUUUUCAGACGCUAUCUCCCCAGGUGCCUUAUUUUGUGAUAACCAAACUGCCAUUCAAAUAGCCACAAAUCCAGUUUUUCAUGAACGAACGAAACACAUCGAAAUCGAUUACCACUUCAUUCAGGAUAAAGUUGCAGCUACAAUUAUUAAGCUCCUUCCAAUCUGAUCUCAACAUCAACUAGCUGACGCAUUUACUAAGCCACUUUCUGCAUCUGUCCUUCUCCCUUUAACGUCCAAGAUGUCUGUAAAGAAUAUUUAUCAUACAUCUUGAGGGGGAGUAUUAGAAUUAAUUGUAGCUAUUGUAUGUAAUUGCACUCAGCUUAGUUUCUUUUCACUUCGUUAGUUGGCCAGCUGUGUUUUCUUUCUUUCAUUUUUGGCACCAAGCUCCAAUGUUAUUUAUGUAUCUCUGUACAUUCAUUUUCAAUUGAUUGAACGAUCAAUAGAGUUUCAAUUAAUUUUCUCUCUAUAAAUCUAAUAUAUUUUCUACAUUGAAUCAUAAAUUUCACUAAAGAAAUUGUCUUCUAUAUCCACCAUCUACAGUCAAGCCAAGGAUGACGGUAUGUACACACACACACAUAGUUGACAUGCAAGAAAUGGAAAUCUAAAAAAGCCCAAGGACCUUCUUAUAUGUAUAUUUGCUCUCUCAAUAUUGUUCCUUAUCAGAAAAAGGUAGUCAUUGAGAUCCCUCCAAAUGGCCAAAACUCUAUUGGUCAAGGAGGCAUCAUUUAGAAUAAAGGCCAAGAAGAUCACGAUGAGCAUCUCGGGUAAGUUAAAUCUUUAUAUGACUAAUAUAAACCGUUUCUUUGGUAUUGUGUACUGUACAUCAGUAUGUCUAGGAUACGAAACAAGAUUUUAGUUCUUUAUUUUCCUUUCUUCAAUACUUUCUAGAAUAAUGCUAUCUAUUUAUGACUACUAGUGAAUGUGAUGCAUUUUCACUCACAAAUUGGAUUGUAUGGCAAACAAUUUCACUGAUAUUAGGAUCUAUUAAGACUUAAAGUUGCAUAUUAAAAGGUCAAACUUGGUAAGAGAGGUAACCCAAGUCUUUAUAUGUUGGUCUAUAUGUCAUCAAUUUUUGAUGUGUAAUUUAUUCCUUAACAUAUAUCCGCACGAAGGUGGUUUGUUUGAGCAAACCAAUCUGAAAAUUCAUGUACUCUUUUAUGGGUCUUUAUCAAAUCAAAUUGCUCCUUGGGGUUUAAUAACCUUUGAUAUCAUAUUAGAAUUUAGGGUUCUAUCUUAAAAUGUCGACUUUGGUUAGAAGAGUGGCUCAAGUUUUUAAAUGUUGGCCUAUAUUUCUACAAUUAUUCGAUGUGGAUAAGGAUCUUGAAGCUGCAAAAAACAUUUUAUAUUUAUCAUUCUUCUCAUCUUCGAUGGACAUUGGAUUUACCAUUAAAAUCUUCCCUACUCUCAUGAACGUUAUUUGUAGAAGUUGAGUCGGUGGCAAUGGAGGGAAGCGGGAACAUUCUAACAGUGAUUGGUAAAGAAAUCGACUCGGUGAGUCUUGUCCAAUGCCUAUGGAAGAAGGUGUGUUUUGCUAAGGUAGUGAGCGUACCAAACUGAGAGGUGUUAGGUAAUUUGUUGUCAAACGACCCCCCGGGCUAUAAUGUAACCCCAUAUUUAUUUAUUAUAAAUUGGCUUUGGCUAUAUGAUUGAUUUAUAUGUCGACACUUUUAUCGAAACAACCCAACCCACAUCUCUGUGGACCGUUAGAAGCAACCUAUUUUUAAUAGUGUUGCUCAUGGUUCGUCCCACUUCCUUGGAGGGCUAUGGUUUUAAUUUGGAGCCCAUUACUUUGAUUUGAGCCUUGUUUGGUCCACUAAAUAAACCUAACCUAACUUACUAUUUUGGUCACUCAUUUGGCUUAUAUUCUCGGCUUCUCUUCACCUCCACUAUGAAGAAAUCUCUAUCUCUCUCUGUGACUUUGAUUCUCGGUUUUUUCUCUUCAUAUAACCUUUAUGGUUUCUUGUGGCAACCUAUUGUUCUUCAUCUUGGCCAACUCUUUGUGAGUAUAUUGUAACAACCAGAGGUGGGAACAAAGGCGGUGGUUUUGGGUGUUGUCUCAACCGGCGGUGUUGUCGAUAUAUGGUGGAAACUGAGCCCAGUUUACCUUGGUAAUUGCUGGAAUUUGACCCUACAACUGGUAUUAGAACAGCCGGUCAUCUCGUCCGGCCAAAAAUCCACCAAAAUGGCGGCGGGUCUCACGAUUUCUCAAAGGGACCGAAUCUGCAAUUGUCAAUUCUGACCAAACGUGACCUCUAUUGGACGAACGGAGGCCGGACCCAUAACCAGCAGGUGGAGGCACCUCCGGUGGUGAGGCGCGUGGGACAGCGACCGGCGGCGGGCGAGGGCGCGUGGAGGACUUCAUGCGUAGUUUUUUUGUGCCAUUUCACUCAUUUUGAUUUCUAGAACGUAUUAAUGUGUUUAGUUUAGUGUUUCAGGUUAUGCAGAAAAGAUUGGAUGAUUUUACCCCUACCUUCAAUCUGCAUUUGUUGCUUAUCAGAAUUGCUAUAUUUGCUUAAUCUUUAAGGCGAAUAGUGGUGGCCCUAAAGCAGCAAAUUCGCAUCUCUCCAUGUUACGGACUCAGACAGGUUUGCUCUGGUAAAUUGAUUGAAACCUUUAUAUUUCUGCAUUAGCAGAUCAUCAUGUGAGGUGAUCAUUAGGUUUGGGAGUUGCCAAUGCUUGGCAGCCAUUGUUUGUGCAAGAAUUAGGGUUACGUGAUCUUAAUUAUUUUGAUUGAGUAUUUAUUUUUGGGUUAAAAUUAGUUUGUAAUUCUUAGUGAUCGAAUUACUGUGAAACUAGUUAUCUACUAAACGUAUCAUUUUGCAUUGUUACUUCUGCUGCUUACUUAUUUCGUUGGAAAUAUCGUGACCUUACCCGUUCGAACAUUCCUUUGAUCUAAGACCACGAGACUUACAAAACUCUGGGAAUCUAGAAUGGUGUAUACUGUCUGUGACCCUAUGACUAGUUUGUGUAGUUUGAUUGUGGUUUGUACAUUCUUUGACUGUUGUGUAAAGAUGAUGACUCACAACUUUGAUUUGGGAGUUUUUAAUGGAAAGGGUGACUUUGCUAUUUGGCAACAAAAAAUGAAGGACAUUUUAGUCCAACAAAAAGUUUCAAAGCCAUUGAAGGCAAUUUUUCAACUGAUUUUUCAUAAGAACAAAGAGAAGAAGCCGAUGAGCUUGCUUAUACCUCAAUCAUUUUACACUUGUCUGACGUCAUUUUAAGAAAUGUGGGUAAACUAAAAACCAUUAAAGAACUUUGGAAAAAAUUAGAAAACUUAUAUUGCUCAAGUCUGCAUCGAAUAAACUUUACUUGCUCGAACGUUUUUUUAGUUAUAAAAUGGAUCCUUCAAAAGAUCUUGAUGACAAUUUAGAUGUAUUUAACAAAUUGGUGCAAGAUAUAGUUAAUUGUGAUGAUACUAUGUUCAAAACUUAUAAGGCUAUAAUUUUGCUCAAUGCAAUUCCUGAUUCCUAUAAGGAAGUUAAGAACGCCAUUAAGUAUGGUAGAGACACGUUGACACCUAAAAUUGUCAUAGAUUCCCUUAGAAGUAAAGAAAUGGAAAUUAGGGCUGAAAAAUACGAUAAGAGGAACGGUAAGGUACAUAUGAUGCGGGGUAGAACUCAAUUUAGGCAAAAUAGUCAUGAUGGAUAUCAAACUAGUGGCGACUCAAGUGGUAAUGGAUGGAAAAAGAAGAGCAACUGUAGGUCUAGAUCAAAAUCUAGGACUAAGGUGAGAAAAUGCUAUGGUUGUGGAAACACAAGGCAUUUUAUAAAGGAUUUCCAUAAGGAGAAGGGUAAGCUAAAAGUUAAGGAGAGAGAUGAGGUCAAUGUGUUAGCAUCUACUUCCAACAUAAAUGGUGGUGAGGUCUAUAUGAUUACAAGUCCCGUUGCAUAUACUGCUGAAUUAAAUCUAACUACUAAUUCCCACAUGCAUGAGUGGAUACUUGACUCUGGUGCAUCUUUUCAUGUGACGUCUAAAAAGAAUUGGUUUUAUAAGUUGCAUAAAUCUAAUGUUGGGUAUGUUAUGUUGUGUGAUAACUUCGCCUAUACUAUUGCUGGAAUUGGUGACAUAAAUGUAAAAUUUGACACAGGUUUUGUGUAUACGUUAAAGAAUGUUAGAUAUAUUCCUGAGUUGUCUAGGAAUCUGAUUUCAGUAGAGAGACUUGAAAAGGAUGACUUUACUUGUAAAAUUGAAAAUUGUAUGCUAAAAAUGAUCAAGGGUACUUUAAUUUCCAUUAAGGAAAUUAAGAAAAAUGAUAUAUAUAUAUUACUACUGGGGAAGUGAUUAGAGGUGUGAACCCCUCUAUCUCCUCUGCCAAGAUUGAUCACACACACACAUGGUAUAAUAGACUUGCUCACGUAGGGGUCAAGAGACUUAAGCUACUUAACGAAAAAGGUGCUUUUGGUAAUGACUAUGUGUCAAAUUUUUCAUUUUGUGAUCAUUGUGUGCUUGGUAAGCAUCAUAAAACUUCUUUCUCCACGAGUGUUAAUAGAGCUAAAAGCAUGCUCGAAUAAGUGCACUCUGAUCUGUAGGGUCCUGCUAGUAAUCCCACAUCGGGUGGAAAUAGGUAUUUCUUGUCUAUUAUCGAUGACUACACUAGGAAAGUGUGGGUCUAUCCUUUGAAUGAUAAAUCUGAGACCUUUAAUAGUUUUAACAGUUGGAAGAGAUAAGUGGAAAACCAAACUGGCAAGAGAAUCAAAAUUUUAAGGACAGAUAACGGCCUAGAAUUCUACAAUAAGGAAUUUGAUAGUAUGUCUAAAGAAAGAGACAUAACUAGACAUAAGACCGUUCCUUACACUCCUCAGCAAAAUGGGGUAGCAGAAAGGAUGAAUAGGACUAUACUUGAUAAAGUAUGUUGCAUGAUGAUAAGUUCUGGUGUUCCCAAGUCAUUUUGGGGUGAGGCUGUUAUUACUGCUUGUUAUUUGAUUAACCUGACUCCUUCUACUGCAUUGAAUGGUGACAUUUCGUAUGAGAGAUGGUCGGGUAAACUGAGUGAUUACUCGAUGCUUAGAACUUUUAGCUGUACAACUUUUUCCAUCAAAGUGAGGGUAAGCUGGAACCUAGAGCUAGGAAGUGUGUCUUUCUAGGAUACCCCAAGGGUGUUAAAGGUUAUAGGUUAUGUGAUAGAAGCCAAAAAGGAAUUAAGAUUAUCAUAAGUAGGGAUGUCACGUUUAACGAGAAUGAGAUGCCGUGUUUUAAAGGGAAAACUGAACUUGAGAGUAAAAUUGAACCAGGUGAAGAGAGAGGCCUGUUUAAGAUGGAGUUAGGAAAGCUCAGUACACCUAUCCCUACUGCUCCUAAUGAGAUGGAGAUUCAAGGUCAGGAACCUGAGGUGGAGAAUAGUAACGAAGUAAUGAUAGAAGAGCACUAUGAGGAAGAAAAUCAUUUAGCUAACUACAACUUAGUUAGGGAUAGAGAGAGGAGACAAACGAGAAAACCUAGAAGGUUCGGAUUUGAAUCUGAAUUAGCUUUCGCCCAGGCUAGUUAUGAAGAACUAGCUGAUAAAGAGCCAAAGACUUUUGAAGAGACAAUAGGCAGUGAUCAAUCAAUGAAUGGCUUAAGGAAAUGAAAGAAGAGAUGAGUUCUCUAGAAAAGAAUCAUACUUGGGAGCUAGUACCUAGGCCUAAGAACAAAUUGAUUGUUGAUUGCAAAUGGGUUUUUAAGGUUAAGGAAGGUACUAGUAACUCGGAACCCCUAAGGUUUAAAGCAAGGUUAGUAGCUAAAGGCUACAUAUAGAAGGAGGGCGUUGAUUAUAAUGAAAUUUUCUCACCAGUUGUUAAGUAUACCACUAUUAGGGUCAUGCUCGCAUUAGUUGCACACUUUGACUGGGAACUUGAACAACUUGAUGUAAAAACUGCUUUUUUACAUGGUGAGCUUGAUGAACAAAUCUUCAUGAAUCAACCAAAAUGUUUUAAGGAUAAGUCAAAACAUGAUUAUGUGUGUCUUCUGAGAAGAUCCUAGAAUGGGUUAAAGCAAUCUCUUUGACAGUGGUACAAGAGGUUUGAUUCCUUUGUACUCACUAUAGGGUUCCAAAAAAGUAAAUUUGAUCACUGUUUGUAUUUUCAACACAAUGAGACUGAUGAUAAUUAUCUAUUUUUGUGCUCUAUGUGGACGACGUGCUUUUGAUUGGAUCAUUUUCUAAGUGGAUAAAUUACAUAAAAGCAAAACUAAGUGGUGAAUUUGAUAUGAAAGACCUAGGUAAGGCUAAGAGAAUCUUAGGUAUGAAAAUCGAAAGAGAUAGGUCAAAUUCCUUUUUGUUUUUGCAUCAAUCUCCAUACAUAUCAAAGUAUUGAAGAAAUUUAAUAUGAGUGAUUGCAAACCUGUCACGUUGCCUCUUGCUAAUCAUUUUGUUUUAUCGAAGGAACAAUCCCCUUGCAAUGAGCGUGAAGUAGAGUACAUGAAUAGAGUGCCUUACUCUAAUGUGAUUGGUUCCAUAAUGUAUUUGAUGGUUUGCACUAGACCGGAUUUAGGUUUUGCUGUUAGUACUCUAAGCAGAUACAUGGCUAAUUCGGGACCUGAACAUUGGGAAGCGCUAAAGUGGCUAUUAAAGUACUUGAAGGGUACAAAUGAUGUUGGUUUAAAGUUUAGUGCUAAUAAAGAAGGUAUAAAAUUAAAGGGUUUUAUAGAUGCAGAUUACACGGGAGAUAGGGAUGGUAGGAAAUCCACUUCGUCUUACGUGUUUACCUUAUCUAAUUCAUGUGUUAGUUGGAAAUCACGGUUACAAUAUAUUGUUGCACUAUCCACUACAAAAUCAGAAUAUAUUACUACCACUGAAGCUAUUAAAGAAGCUUAUGACUUAGAGGCCUUCUUCAUGAACUAUGUGUUUUGAAUGAUUAUGUGGUAGUGUAUUCUGAUAGUCAGUCAUCUAUACAUUUAUGCAAGAACCCCAUUUUUUACAAGCGCACUAAACACAUUGAUGUUAGACUCCACUUCAUUAGAGAUAUAGUAUCUCAAAAGAUGGUAAGACUUGAAAAGGUCCACACCCACUAUAACCCUUCUGAUAUGGGGACGAAGGUACUGUCGCUGGCAAAGUUUAGAAGUUGCAAGGAACUUUUAAACAUUGGUACAGGUAAAUGAUUUCCAAUUUUAAUGGUUUUUAUUAGAGGUGUCACUAAUGGGAGACAUUUUCUUUUGCAGGUCCUUUGACACCAAGGUGGAGGUUGUUAGGCAAUUUGUUGUCAAACGACCCCCCGGGCUAUGAUGUAACCCUGGAUUUAUUUACUAUCAAUCGGUCUUGAUCAUAUGAUUGAUUUAUAUGUCGACACUAUUAUCGAGACAACCCAACCCACAUCCCUAUGGACCGUUAAAAACAACCUAUUUUUAAUAGUGUUACUCAUGGUUUGUCCCACUUCCUUAGAGGGCUAUGAUUUUAAUUUGGAGCCCAUUACUUUGAUUUGAGCCUUGUUUGGUCCACUAAAUAAACCUAACCUAACUUACCAUUUUUGGUUACUCAUUUGGCUUAUAUUCCCGGACUCUCUUCGCCUCCACUAUGAAGAAAUCUCUAUCUUUCUCUGUGACUUUGAUUCUCGAUUUUUUCUCUUCAAAUAGCCUUUGUGGUUUCUUGUGGGCAACCUAUUGUUCUUCAUCUUGGCCAACUCUUUGUGAGUAUAUUGUAGCAACCAGAGGUAGGAACAAAGGCAGUGGUUUUAGGUGUUGUCUCAACCGGCGGUGGUGUCGAUAUAUGGUGGAAAUUGAGCCUGGUUUACCUUGGAUUGCUGGAAUUUGACCCUACAAGAGGGUUGAAACUAAGCAACUGAAACUUGAGAACACGAAUCCGGCUACCUGUGUCUGUGCCUCACCGAUGCUGUAAUCACUCGCCUCACUGGAAAAUAUUGGAAAUCAGGGAACCCACAUCCUCCUGCUUCAACUUUUGAAUGCUUCUUAUGUUAAGUUGUCAAACAAGAAAAAAUGAAUUUUUGUUGUGAAGAAAAUUAAGCAACAUUAAUUCACAAUAGAUUUUGUUGCAAAUUCUGUUUGAGAUAAUGUUACAAGUGGAACAUUGUAGAAUAAUUUCAAGAGAUCAGAAGUAUAAGUUGAGAGAAAACUUUGUUUUCAUUUCUUGGAUCGGAUAGAUAGCAUCACUCUUAUUGAAUGGAGGUUUGCAAGAGUAUAUAUUGUAAUUUUAGCUUCCAUGAAGAGCAGUAGAAAGCUCAUUUUCUAGUUGUCAGAUGUCUCCGGUGAUUGAGUGUCAUUGGACUGAAUUGAUAGAUUCAUGUUUAAACUGGACUCAUUGAGUCUUAUUUGAUUUGUGUUUAUGCAUCGAAAAGACAAAAAAUAUUUUUUUAUCUUUUUAUACAGAAUUUUUAUACACAAAUUGAUUCCAUAAUCGUAUCUCAAGAAAAUGCGAGUUGCAAGUGUCAUUAUAAUAAAAGGGCAAAAUGGUCAUUUAAUCAUGAUUAAUUAUUCGAUGUUCGAUGGGGUAAUAAAUAUUGAUGAUAAGUCAAAAGAAUAUAAAUUAACUCCCUGCAUAUAGGGCUAGUUUCGGAUUGGCUUGAUUGGACGUAACUAUUGUAGUUUCAAUUAUAUUAGUCCGAUCAGGCCCUUUUGAUAGCUUUAGUAAAAGUUUUGAGCUUAAUUACAUUAAUAAUUCAAGUUCUUAGACCAUGUGUAAAAAGUCCAAAAUAGAACUUGCAGUUUAGUGAAAUUGGGGAACAGGUUGUGAUACAUGUACAGGUACGGGUUGACCUGUACUGAACACUCACAUACACUGGGUGGGUGAGUUUUUUUCUUCUUCUCUCUUUUUUUUUCUUUUUCAAUGCAAGUGGGGCCCAUUGUGUUGGUAGGGGUUCUGUUCCUGUACACCCAACACUUUCCUUGGGGACCAAGGUCCAAGCCUUAUUAGUAGGCCUAAGUGGAUGCCCUUGGCAUAAUUGAAUGCCCUAGUCGUCCAAUACACAUAAAGAGAUCAUUUUUCUAUUGUUUGAUUCCUCAACUUGAUUCUUGAUUGGCUUUCAAGUUCCACUCAUUAAUUGCAGUUCAUACUUUUGAAGAAUACUAAAGAAGAUAUGAGGUUGAAAGCUUGAAGAUUGAAUAUCAAUAUUAAAGAACAGAAUUGGAGCAUCUUCUAAGGAAUUCAGAACUAGUCACACACUCACACUUCAAGGGUGAUUCCAAAGUCCUUUAUAUGAUUAAUUCAACAUGUUAUAACCGAGUUUAAUUAUUUAGUUAAUAUUCUUGGGUUAAAACUUCUUAAGAAAAGAAAUUAUUAUCCAACAUUGCUGGACAGAGACUAAAUUGGUUCUUUCAUUUAGAAGGGGCUAAUCUCAUUUUUCACACGCAUUGUGCUCGUUUUCCUUUCUUUAGACAUUUUUUAUGUGUUCUAAAGAAUUCUGAGUGAUUUCUUCAAUCACUGUACUGAAUUUGUUCUUGAUUUUCAUUCUAAUAUGAAAGCCAUAUCUACUUUGGUAGAUUCUCAACGGACAAAUAAUGUAGCGCACAUGAACAUUUGGAUCCAUUAGUGAACAAAAAUUCUUGUGUUUAAAUUUCUUUAAUUUUUUACACAUUUAUUUCAAUCUUUUAUGGUUAAAACAUAUAUUUAGGACUAACAAGUGGCAUCAGAGUCAGAACUUAAUUUUGAUAUGGUUUCUGGCUUUAAAAUGGAAACCUAGUUUGUUCUUUUUGAAAAUUCUUUGUACUAUACUAGCUCUUGAUCUAGAAUUUUUUGUGGAAACCAACUUAUUUCCAAAUCUUUGUGACUUGAUGUAUCUUCGAUUCAACAUUCGAUGGCUCGUUUGCAUUCCCUGUUGGGGUGUGAUGACUUUACACAGUUUCUGGCGAUUCUCGGUGACUCCUUAUUCUUCUCAACUCAUUCAAUCUGUUACUGAUUCUUGGUGUUUCAGUUGGCAUUCUGGGAUAAAUUUUAGUAGAGCAGAGUUUAAAUAUAGAAAUUAAUUUGUUUUGUAUUGAAGACACAAACUGAACAUUAGACAAUUUAGAAGUUCUAAUGACAUAGGAAAGGAUGUUAUAACUAUUAGGUAGAGAAGAAAGUGGUGGAUUGUGCUAGCUAGCCAUGAAUAUGAUGUAUAUAAAGAGCUUUGUGGUAAACAUUGGCAAAGAUUGUACCAGAGGUUGGUUUGGCUUUGAAGUGUUGGAGAUUAGCCUCAAAGCUUAUUUGUUUCUUAUGGAGCUUCUCAAAGGUAAUGGGAUAUCGCGUGCACCAACAACAGAUGAGAUGUCCUUAUUGUUAGAAUUUUGAGGUGACCCAAAUUCUUUUGUCAAAAUAAUUGUAGAAUUCUAUUUGAAGUGCACAUAAAAAGGAAUUAUAGUUGGAAUGCUUUGAGAAAUCCUAUUUAAGUUUAAUUGUCAAAUUCUAUUUAAAGUUCUAUUUUGAAGCCCAUUGAGAGUUGAAACUUGAGUUGGACUUGAAGAGUUCAAAUAAUGAAACUUUUAGGCAUUUUAUUUUAUCUAUAACUCUACUUCUAGAUAAUGAUUUUUUUCUAUAAAUACGAGGCUCCUCUGUCAGUGUUGGAAGAAGCAAUUUUGCUAAGUUGUAUUUGUUUUCUCCAUAUUGUUCAGUAAUAAAUAUCGUUACUCUGCAUUUUACCCUUUUGGUUUUUCUUUACUUUAAAUCUUGUUUUCGUAGUGUAAUUUUGUUUACUUCAAUAUUAUCAUUAAAUCUCAUUCUUUACAAUCCGGUUUGGGAUCAACAAACGGUAUCGGAGCUUUCGUGCCCAACACUUAUGGUCACUGCGUAGGCCAUCAAGAAUUUUUAGAGUCAGGUCUUCAUAGUGAAUGGGAAAGUCCUUAAUAGAAAGUUCAACAAUCAUGCUUUUCUAAGAUUGUAGAAACUCGAUAAUGGUUAAAGAUCCUAUAGUAAGGUUGGGAAGUCGACUUUUUCAUUGCAUAAUGCAUCCUCCUGAGGGUUCGUCAUUUAUUUCAAAAAUAUUGUUCCCCACAUUAUGAGAUCUUUGGUAAGAAGUGAUGUAUGGAAUAAUAGUGGAAGAACGGAUCCAACAAUUGCAUUUAAUAGUAGUUGUUUUUGUCCAAUACCAUAAGCAAAUGAUUGAUUUAGUAAAGUAUUGGCAUUUUCUAUAAUAUGUAGCUCAUAGAGUGAAACACAUGUAUGCUAGAAAGCAGGCCGAUGCCAACAUGGAGCAAGGGGAGCACACCUAACGGAAUGGUACAAGGAUAUUUUUGGAUUUUUACAAUAUCUUGUACGAGCUAGGUUAGUAUAUAUGUUGUGACUCAAUUAUUUCCACAUUGUGAAAAUUAUAGUUGCCUCACUCUCGUAGAUAUAGGCUACUGUCAAACCAUGUAAAUCUCUCUCUCUCUUUCUCUUGAAUUUGUACUAUUCAUCAUAUCAUUAUUGUCGCACAUAACACAACACCAUUGAUAUAAGCUGGUUGUAAACCCAUGAGAUCAUACGUUAUGAGAAGGGUAUUAAAUUGUAAUUUCUAUAAGGACUAAUAUCCUACGUGCAAGAUACUCUAGCGUCCAAAGCUUCAGCCUUCUUCCUCCUGCUCAAGUGAGCUUUUCUUUUGUUUAAAUGAUCAAUGACUACACUUCUACAAUGUCAUCUAGUCAUCUUGUCCUACUCUCUCGCCUUCUCAUUGAUCCUGAUCAUGACCUAACUGCUUCCACCUCCACCUCACACGCUCAGUUCUCGCCCUAUGAAAACCCUUGACGAAGAUCAUAUUUCAAAACCAAUUCCAAAACUAAAUCUCAGCCCUUGAUCUUGAUUCCAUUAUUCUCACUCUUAGCCACAAGCCUUAAACGUCCACUUUGGUUCUAAUCCAUGUGUGAGGAUUUUGAUGGCCUAUUACGUGAUGCAUUUAAAAGCUAGCCUCUCCGCUUCAAUUCCAAAUUAUUUUCAUUUUUAAAUGGGCUUUUUGUGUUGAACGGAAACCUAAUGUUUACAUUUAUCGUGCCCGACGAAUGGUUUUCAUCAACGCUCACAGUAGACUAAAAUGAGAAUUUUAGCCUAGUUGUCAAUCCUACCACCAUCCGUCUCAUCCUUAAUCUUGCAUUGGUACGGUAUUGGUCUCUACGUUGUUCGAUGCCAGUAAAGCGUUUCCUCGGGAUUCACUAAUGAAAACUAUUUACGCGUCUCAUAUUCAAGAAUUUGACAAUAUAGAAACUUCCAUUAUGAUUGUCCAUUUCAUGAAGGUAUCUGUAAUCUCAAACAAGCUUGUCGAGCGUAGUACAAUGAAUUACGAAACUUCUUGCUUGCCCGUGGGUUUACCAAUUCCAAAUCUAACUAUAUUCAAUUGCAACUCCAACCAGUGUCGAAUCUUAGUUUUGGUUUAUGCUAAUGACAAGGGCUGGCCCCGAAAAUUUAGAGGCCCUAGCCGUCUAAUUAUUAUGGGCCCCUCAACACAAAAUUUACUUUUACAAAAGUAUAACAAUAUGUAAAUAUUUAAAUAAUUAAAAAAGUCGGACCUUAUAUCAGCUUCAAUAUCUUCCAUUACAGCCAUCUUUAUAAUUUAUAUGCCAACUUUUAUUUUCUGCCAUCCACCCAAAACACCUUUUUAAAAAUUCUAGGUUGUCAAGUUUUUGCCCUGAGCAAAAAGAAAGAACAAACAAACAAAAAAUUGGGAAAUAUAUAUUUUACACAAAAAUAAGUAUAUGUUUGCAAACUCUCUAUGUGUGAAAGCGAGCUGAAUUACUCUUUUUUUUCCCUCCAAUUUACCCAAAUGAGAUGCGAAUCAUUUCAGCGGAGAAGUCUUGAAAUUCUUGCAAUUUUAAUUCAGAUGUUUCCAAGGUGUGAUUGGGGAGGGGAGGCUCUCCAGGGUUAGAGUAAAAAAAGGGAGUCAGAAUGGGAGAGAGAGGUGGGCGGCUAAAAGUUUCACAAAACAUGGAUAGGUUACACAAGCAUAAGAAGAAGACGAAAAGGCCGAACUUGUUGUUGUGUAAUCGGAGUUCUCCAGAAUUUUUGCAACUUUGCUGGUACACUGGUAGUUUUUAGGGAUUUUCGAAUUGGGAUUGUUCUCUACUUCUCUUAAAAUUUAUCGCGUACACGUUCUUGAUAAAAAGGAUGGAGAUUUUUUUGGUGAAAAUGAUUGGAAUGGAAUGGAGAAGAAUCAUUGUCACGAGAGACUCUAGUUUUAAUAUCUUUGUUACUCAUUUGGCACUAUUUUCUCUAGAGAUGUCAAAAAUUCUAAUCGAACACAAUCCCCAUAGGGACAUAUCCCAAAUAGGACAAGAGUUUCUGGCUUUAAUCGAGUUUGCAUCCGUUUAUAUUUUAACAAUAUUAAUAAAAAUUUGCCCAAUUUCUAUUAUAAUUUUUUUUUUAAAAAUGAAUAAAUAAAUUUACGUAUCAUGCAAUCCAAUCUAACAUCACAUUCCAUUCGAGAGAAAAUGAAAAAAUAGAAAAUUGAUUUAAAAAAAAAAAAAGCAAAAUAAAAUAUAAUGGCCCUGUAAAGUGGAUCCCGCUCUAUUGUCAUCCCUAGAUUUGGAUACUUGUUUCUUGGGGAUAUAAGUUAUUUUUCUCUCCUUUUUCUCUCACGACAUUUGUUUGUGUCUCAGUAAUCUUCUACGCAACAUAAUUUGCAUGAGUACAAGUCAGUGUCUAUUUCUAUGUACAUGACAACUACCUUCAGCUUGAUAGAUGUCACAACUCUUCUUGAAAACUACCUUCAGCUUCUAAAUAUAGGCAAAGUUCUUGGCAACUUGCAAUAUUCUUUACUCACUCGCCAGGGCAUUGUUAUUUAGUUAACCAUCUGUAUCAAUAUAUCACUAAUCCAUUUCUAACCCCUGGAUGGCUGUUAAACUUAUGUUUCUUGACUUUUUUGGCACUUUGGGCUCUUUCUUCGUCGCCAUUCUCCUAUCGUGUCGUAUGCCUUCUCUAAAUCUGAUUGAGAAGAAAAUGGUAAUGAUCCCACAUCCAUCCUUGCCAAUCUAGUGAUUCUUGAACGGAACCUAAUUGUUUCUCUUUUUUUUUUUUUUUUUAUUGAAAUCGACUAUCAUAUGGCUUAAAUAUUUAGUAAUUGAAUUCAGCGAACCAAUUUCCACCAAUCGAGUAAUCUAAUUUCAUACUAUUAGCACCACAUGCUUAAUGACCUAACACUAUUUCUCACCUGUAAUGGAAUACAUUAAGAUUCAUGUGCACUUUGUUCAUGACAAGAUUUAGACCAGUGAACUCUGGAUUUCUUGUGUUGUCUUGUCCAAUCAAUUUGUUAAUGUUCAAACUAAACAUUAAUCAUAUGCGUUCGCAUCUACUCCUAUCUGAUAUAUGUGUCACUAAUAAGACCGCUUUCUUGUGCGGGGCAUAUUAUAGAUAUUAAAGUAAUUAGAGAUAGCAUAGUACGAUAAUUAGAGCUUCAUCUUGUGAAAUAAUAUUAAAGUAGUUAUAGAUAGUGUUACACAAUAGUUAGAACUUGUCAUUACUGAACGUGCAUCAUAUAUUUCUGUUACAGAAUGUAUACAUAUAUAUAGCACAUACAAGGAGAUAUUUUAGACUAUGCACUAAUUUAGGCUAUGAUUGAGAUUGACCCUCAUUAUAUGUGGAGUCAGAUGACAAACUAUACUUCCCUAUAAUUAUUGAAUAAUGUUAUUUAAUAUUAGUAGAAUUAGAGUGCUAGUCUAAGUUGACAUACUUGAUAAGUUCAAUUAAAUUAAUCGUGUGGUAUUGCAUUUAAAUGAAUUUAUUGCUUAGUGUCACGAAAUUAGGGUGGCAACAGUUCGGUUCAGGGUCGGUUCGGCCAAAACCAUCACCGAAUCACCAAAUUUUUUUGUCAUACCAUAACCACGUAAGUUGGUUCGGAUCGGCUCAGUUAGGACGAUUAAUAACUACAAAAAUAAAUUAUUUUUUAUAAGUUCAGCUAUCAAAUUGGGAAAAAAAAUUAUGAUAAAAAAAGUCAAUGAAAACAAAAACACAAUACCAAGUCAAUUUAACAAACAAUAUCCCAAUUUCCAAAGGCAAAACACAAUACCAAGUCAAUUUAACAAACAAUAUCCCAAUUUCCAAAGGCAAAAUCCGAAUUUAACAAACAAUAUCCAUAAAUGUUUAAUAUUUGUGUAGUAGAGCGUAGGGUUAUCGGGUUCAGUUAGUUGGACUUAACGGGUUUGUAAUGGGCCAAAAAUUUGAACUGAACAGAAUCAUAGAAAGACUAAUGGAAAGCCUAAUUGCCCAAUUAGUUUUUUUUUAACGGGUAAUCGGUUCGGAGUUGGACGACGGUGUAAAUAUCAUACUCGUCCCGCUCCAAAUCGGGGCAUUAAAAUCAAAUACCAUAUCCACUCCAUUGCGCCAUUGGUUUGGUUAAUCGCGAUUUUCGAUUUUGAUAGUUCGAAUUGCCAUCCUUACAUGAAAUUGCAUCUAAACUAAAGUUUAACACUAAUGGUGCUAAAGUGCAUUACUCAUAGUUAUUAUAUGAGUAAUGCCAUUUACCACUAUUAGUUAAGCACCGUUUAGGUGGCAUGCAAUAAUCAUUAAUUGAAAGAUCGCCUUAAAAGUAGAAAAAUGAGUCACAUUUAAAAUGUUCUAUCACUUGCAUGCCAUCUAAGUUGGUGCUAUGUAACAUUAUUCUUAUUACUUUUCUUGAUUGACAACUUGCACCAAUAGUCAUCUUGCAACUUAUUGAUAUACUAAAAUCAAUGUGAGAUAGAGUUUAUGUAUUUGAGUUGGAGUCGAUCAAGUUUUUAUAGAACCUAAAUAAUCUUCAAAUGAAUCAUAGUUACUCAAGUUGUUUCUUACCGCUCUAAGCAUCAAUCCAAACACAUUCUUAUGUCAAUCAAUAUGUCAAUUUUUACAUGAAUCAAUUCAUCCUUUGUUGUUAGAGUUACUUUAGUUAGCUACUUUAGCAGAGAUAUCAAGUUAUACAAAAGCUCAUUAGAAACAUCAAAGUUAGAUAUAAACUGUAAGGCUUAAUUAUAGUUUUGUGUACUGUUACAGAAACAUUCAAAGUUUUUCGAGUAAUAUAGAUCAUUUCACUAAUCCUUUUUAUUUUUAUUUUUUUUAUAUACCAUUGUAUGAUUAAAUAAAAUUAGUAUAAAACAUCAAUACUUCAUCUACAAUGUACAUAGUUUAGCAACAAUGUUAAUAGCAUUGAGUUUAUAUUUCAUCAUAAUUCUCUAGACCAAUUAGAAAUAUUAGGAAGUCUCUAGUAUUUGAUCUUGUCUUCCCAUUUCUUUUAAUCGAUACAUAUAAUUAAUCAAGCAACCAAAAUAAAAUUUUUAACACCAUAAUACCAAUAUAAAAGUUACAAAUCUAGAAUAAAUCACUAUUACUCAUAGGAGUUACUUUGUAGAGCCCAUAUAGAAAACCUUGAAGGCAUGUCGAUUAAUACAUGUACUAUGCUGUUUCAAUUAUAAGUUAAUGUAACUCAUUUUCUUUCUUACACCAUAUAAAUACUUUAUCAACUAGGCCAACACUCAUCAUAAUUUAGCAAAUAAGACUUAGAAAAUGCACCGUUUUUUAUCCAUAACUCUUCGACUUUAAUCUAUCAUGAUAUCGUCAUGCCAUUACAGAAGCAAAGAGAAUCUGGCAUAUAUAAUUAUUAAUAGGGUAAGGAUGCUUUAGCAGAUUUCGUCUAAUCUGCAAUUUAGGAAAAAUUGCAUCAUACAACCAUUUGUUAAGGGGAUGCCCAUGGCAUAAGUGAAUGCCCUAGUCGUCCAAUACACAUAAAGAGAUCGCUUUUUAUUGUUUGAUUCCUCAACUUGAUUCUUGAUUUGGCUUUCAGGUUUCCACUCAUUAAUUGCUGUUCAUACUUCUGGAGAAUACCAAAGAAGAUAGGGGUUGAAAGCUUGAAGAUUGAAUAUCAAUAUUUGAAGAAAAGAAUUGGAGCAGCUUCUAAAGAAUUCAGAUCUAAUCACACUUCAAGUGUGACUCCACAAUCCUUUAUAUGAUUAAUUCAACAUGUUAUAAUACGAAUUUAACUAUAUAUUAUUGGGUCAAAACUUAUUAAGAACAAAAUUUAUUGCCUAUGUUUUUACUUAUUGUCUAACAUUAUUCUUAUCUUUACUUUGGCUUUGUGAACAUACAUUUUCAGUUCAGUGGUUAUGAGUUAACUUUGUAUCUAAUAACGCUAAAAGAUAAGGUUCUUUAAUACAUUAACAUUGUUCAUGUACCAUAAAAAGCCUCCUUGUGCAUAAAGAAAUAUACAACUCUAUUAUGGGUCUUUCCUAUAUUUUAUGUACUUUAUAUAAUAAGUACUUAGAGUGGGAGAAGAAGAUUGAGUUGAUAUUCGAUUGUCACAAUUACUCGGGAGAGAAAAAGGUGAAAAUUGCGGUUCUUGAGUUUUUCGACUAUGCAAUAACUUGGUGGGAUCAAGUAGUGACGACGAGGUGGAGGAUUGGGGCACAACCUAUAAAUACUUGGGAGGAGUUGAAGAUGUUAAUGCGAAAAUAGUUUGUACCUAAUCACUAUUACCGGAAGCUUCAUCAACGGUUACAAAAUCUAUAUCAAGACACUAGGAACGUAGAGGAUUACCAUAAGAAGAUGGAGAUGCUUAUGAUUAGGGCGAACGUGGAAGAGGAUAGGGAAGCCACUAUGGCUUGAUUUUUGAGGGGGGGAAUAAAGACAUUGCCAAUGUAGUGGAAUUGCAACAUUAGGUGGAGAUUGAAGCAUGCUACAUGUGGCCAUGAAGGUGGAAAAGCAAUUGAAGUGAAAGGGAACAGCAAGGUAUUAAGGUGGAUCUUCGAUUUCUAAUCCUUCUUGGAAGCCGAGGUAGGAAAAUAAUAAAGGAGAUGGAGCUAAUACAAGAGCAAGACCGGAGCCACUGAGAGGAAAGGAGGAAGGAGCUAGCAAGACUACACCAAAGGUAGAAUCCCAGCCGUCAAGGAAUCGAGACAUCAAGUGUUUUCGUUGCUUAGGAGUUGGACACAUUGCUUCACAAUGUCCAAAUAAAAGAACCAUGAUUUUGCAAGACAGCGGGGAAGUGGAGACCGAGAGUGAAGGUGAUUAUGAAGACAUGCCGGAGUUGGAGGACACUGAGGAGGAAAACACCACUGAGUAUGCAGUUGGGGAGUUGUUGGUCACGAGGCGAGCACUUAGUGCUCAAAUCAAGGUAGUUGACUUGGAGCAGCAGUGAGAAAAUAUAUUCCACACACGGUGUCACAUCAACCGGAAGGUAUGCAGUGUAAUAAUUGAUGGUGGAAGUUGUACAAAUGUAGCUAGCACUAAUGUAGUGGGAAAAUUGGGAUUAACACUAUUAAAAUAUCCUAGAUCCUAUAGGGUGCAAUGGUUAAAUGAAUGUGGGUAGGUUGAUGUGACAAAAAAGGUGUUGAUUAAUUUUUCCAUUGGGAAGUAUUAUGAUGAGAUAUUAUGUGAUGUUGUACCUAAGCACGCGGGACAUAUUUUGUUGGGGCAACAUUGGCAAUAUGAUAGGAAAACAAUGCAUGAUGAGUAUAAAAAUAAAUAUAGUUUUGUGAAAGAGGGAAAGUCUAUCACUCUACACCAUUAACACUGGUACAAGUGUAUGACGACCAAAUCAAAUUGAAAAAUGAGAAAGAAAAGAGAGUGAGAGAGUUAGAGAAAAAGAGAGAAAAUAGUAAGAUGGCCGGUGAGGAAGAAAAAAGAGUGGGGCCACAUGAGAGAAAGAAAGAGAGUUUUCCGAGAGGAGAGAAAAGCCGAAAGUGAAUUUCUUUGCAAAAGGGAGUGAAGUGAAAAAGGCGAUAGUGGAGAGACAACCAAUGAUUCUUUUGGUAUAUAAGGAAUCACUCCUCAAUUUUGAGGAGUCUAACACAUCCUUCCCUAAUUUGGCUACUUCUUUAUUGCAGGAACUUGUCGAUGUGUUUCCGGAAGAUGUGCCUAGUGGAUUGCCACCCAUUAGGGGGAUGGAACAUCAAAUUAAUUUCAUACCUGGAGCUGUCAUUCCAAACCGACCAGCUUAUCGAAGUAAUCCGGAGGAGACAAAGAAGCUUCAAAGGCAAGUGGAGGAGUUGAUGAGCAAGUGUUAUGUAAAGGAGAGCAUGAGUCCAUGUGCCGUACCCAUAUUGUUGGUGCCAAAGAAAGAUGGAACUUGGAGGAUGUGCGUGGAUUGCCGAGCUAUCAACAACAUUAUGGUAAAGUAUGGUCACCCAAUUCCUAGGUUAGAUGACAUGUUAGAUGAAUUAUAUGGUGCUUGCAUCUUUUCUAAAAUUGACCUUAAGAGCGGGUAUCAUGAAAUUCGUAUACGGGAGGGUGUUGAAUGGAAAAAAACAUUUAAAACGAAAUAUGGGUUGUAUGAAUGGCUAGUUAUACCCUUUGGACUCAUAAAUGCACCAAGCAUGUUUAUGCGAUUAAUGAAUCAUGUUUUGCGUGCUUUCAUUGAAAAAUUUGUUGUAGUUUACUUUGAUGACAUUCUAAUCUAUAGCAAGGACCUAGUAGAGCAUUUAGAACAUCUUAAAUUUGUGCUUAGGAUUUUAAGAAAUGAACGACUUUAUGCGAAUUUCAAGAAGUACACAUUUUGCAUGGAUAGAAUCAUAUUUCUAGGAUUUGUGGUGAGUGCUAAUGGGGUUGAAGUUGAUGAAGAAAAUGUAAAAGCUAUUAAGGAUUGGCCAACACCUAAAAACAUAACCGAGGUUAGGAGUUUUCAUGGGUUAGCUAGUUUUUAUAGGCGAUUUGUUAGGGAUUUUAGCACACUUGCCACACCACUUACAAAAAUUGUCAAAAAGAGUGUUGGGUUUCAAUGGGGUGUAGAAUAAGAACAUGCAUUUAACACCAUCAAAGAAUUUUUAUGUAAAGCACCUGUUUUAGCACUUCCUAAUUUUGACAAAACUUUCGAGAUUGUGUGUGAUGCAUCAGGAAUAGGUAUUAGAGCAGUUUUGAUACAGGAAAAGAGGUCGAUAGCAUACUUUAGUGAGAAACUAAGUGGGGCAGCUCUUAACUAUCCUACUUAUGGCAGGAGCUUUAUUCUCUAGUUCGAGCCUUGGAGACAUGGCAACACUACCUAUGGCCAAAGGAGUUUGUUAUUCACACCGACCAUGAAUCAUUGAAACAUUUGCGGGGUCAAGGUAAGUUGAACAAACGACAUGCACGUUGGAUGGAAUUCAUAGAGACUUUUCCAUAUGUCAUUCGAUACAAACAAGGUAAGAAAAACAUAGUAGCCGAUGCAUUGUCGCGAAAGUAUGUGCUUCUCACUUCUUUAAGUGCAAAAUUACUUGGUUUUGAGUAUGUUAAGGACAUGUGUAAAAACGAUAUUGAUUUUUCUAACAUCUAUAAUUCAUGUAUUGAGAGGGCUAUUGACAAGUUCUUUAAGUAUGAGGGGUAUUUGUUUUGAGAAAACAAAUUAUGUGUUCCUAAUUGCUCAAUGCGUGAAUUGUUGGUUAGGGAGGCACAUAGUGGGGGUUUAAUGGGUCACUUUAGGGGUAGCAAAGAGUUUAGACAUGUUAAAUGAACACUUUUAUUCGCCUAAAAUGAAGAUUGACGUAAAAUGAAUUUGUAGUCGUUGCAUAACUUUUAAAAAGGCUAAAUCAAAGGUUUUACCCCAUGGACUUUAUACACCUUUACCGGUACCUAGCGAACCUUGGGUUGACAUUUCAAUUGAUUUUGUGUUAGUUUUGCCUAGGACUAAAAAGAGGCGUGAUUCAAUUUUUGUUUUUGGUGGAUAGGUCUAGUAAAAUGGCACACUUUAUACCAUGUCACAAAAUUGAUGAUGUCACUAACAUUGCGGGACAUGUUUUUCAAAGAAGUAGUGUGUUUGCAUGGUGUUCCCAAAAGUAUUGUGUCCGAUAGGGAUAUUAAGUUUCUUAGUCACUUUUGGCGGGUCUUGUGGAAUAAGUUAGGCACGACAACUCGUCACCUACAAAUCGAUGGUCAAACUGAAGUAGUGAAUAGAACAAUAACACAACUAUUGCGCACUGUGGUUAAUAAAAAUCUAAAGAAUUGGGAAGAAUGUUUGCCUUUCAUUGAGUUUGCAUAUAAUAGAGCCACGCAUUCUACUACAUCGUUUUCACCAUUUGAAAUUGUUUAUGGUUUUAAUCCUUAAACACCUAUGGAUUUAGUACCUUUGCGUGUGAAUGAACGAGGUAGUUUGAAUGGGAAAAAGAAAGCCUAAUUGGUAAAGACACUCCGUGAAAAGGUAAGGGAGCAAAUAGAGAGGAAGAACAAUCAACGAACAACACAAGCAAACAAAGGCCGAAAAUAUGUCACUUUCGAACCGGGAGAUUGGGUUUGGGUGCAUUUCAGGAAAGAGCGAUUCCCAGAGCAAAGAAAGUCAAAGUUAUUGCCACGAGGAGAUGGAUCGUUCCAAGUAAUUGAGAAGAUCAACGACAACGCUUAUAAGAUAGAUCUUCCAGGUGAGUAUAGUAUUUCUGCAACUUUCAAUGUCUCUGACUUAUCUCUUUUCAAUGCAGGUACAGAUUUGAGGUCGAAUCCUUUCGAAGAGGGAGGGGAUGAUGCGAUCCAGGAAGCACAAGUAUCAAAGUCAAGUCCAGAGUCGAGCCCGAGGAAAGAUCCGUUGAUAGUCGAGAGGCCGAUGACAUGAUCGAGGGCCAAGCGCAUGAAAGAGGCGAUGGGAUUGCUUGUCAAAGUAACGGUUGAUGAAACAAUGUUCGGGAUACAAAAUGGAGCAAGUUUCAUGUUGGGGACGAAGGCCGAAGAGUAUUGGAUCAACGUGUUUAAAGUUGAAGAAAAUGGAGCUGGAGCAUUAAAUCAUGCGGCCGCAUAGGUCUAAAGUCCUGCAGUCGCAUACACUCAGUAGAAGUUCCAAAGUCGCGGACCAAUUACACUAUGCGACCGCAUGCUCUAAAGCUAUGCGGCUGCAUAGGCCAAGUCCGAGGCGAAUUUUUUCAAAUUUCGCAUUUUUUCCUUAUUUUAAUAGAAUUUCAUUAUUAGUAGAUUUUUAGCUAUUGUGGACGAAUUUUGCAUUAUUCUUAGAUAUUUUUCCUAGUUUACUUAGGUUCUCUAUAAUAGUAUAAAUACUUUAUUCAUUAUUGUAAAACAUUACAACUCUCAUAUUAUUGAAUAUUAUUCGUGAGGCAUUAAUUGCUUUCUCUAGUUUUUCGUUGAACAGCUUGUGAACUUAUCAAGAUUAAUCUUGUGGCGUUCAAAUUAAUCGGGUAAGAUUCAUUUAAAUUUCGUAAUCAAGAGGUCCACGUAUUGUCGGCGAUUCGAAUUGCUUGGUUCCAGUUUAUUGGGUUUAAUAAAAAAUCUUGUCUUUGGCUUUCUUGGGUUUGAUUCUCAAUUUGUUGUGAGUUUGGUAGUGAUCGUGCUAUGCGGGUUCGCAUCAGAUUUCUUCAAACAUUUUACUGAAUUUGUUCUUGAUUUUCAUUCUAAAAUUAAAGUCAUAUCUACUUUGAUAGAUGCUCAACGGAAGAAUAAUGUUGGAGCACGUGAACAUUCAGAUCCAUUAGUGGAUGAAAAUUCUUAUGUUAGAAUUUCUUUAAUUUUUUACACAUUUAUUUCAAUAUUUUAGGGUUAAAACAUAUAUUUGGGACUAACAAGUGGCAUCAGAGUUGGAACCUUAAUUUUUAUAUGGUUUCUGGCUUUAAAAUGGAAAUCUACUUUGUUCUUUUUGAAAAAUCUUUGUACUAUACCAGUUCUCGAUCUACAAUAUUUUUAUUUUUAUUUUUAUUUUUUGGAAACCAAUUUAUUUCCAAGUCUCUGUGACAAAUAUGUAUCUUCGAUUCAACAUUUGGUUAAAUUUUUUGAUGAACUCGUUUUGGUUUCUAGCGAUUCUUGAUGGCUCGUUCGUAUUCCUUGUUGGGGUGUGAUGACUUUACGCAGUUUCUGGCAAUUCUCGGUGACUCCUUAUUAUUUGUUGAGUUGAGGUGACUCAUUCAAUCUACUACUGAUUCUUGGUGUUUCAGUUGGCAUUCUGGGAUAAAUUUUAUUAGAGCAGAGUUUAAAUAUAGAAAUUAAUUUGUUUUGUGAUGAAGACACAAAUUGAACAUUAGACAAUUUAAAAGUUCAAUGACACAGGAAAGGAUGUUAGGACUACUAGGUAGAGAAGAGGGUAGUGGAUUGUGCUAGCCAUGAAUAUGAUGUAUAUUAAGAGCUUUGUGGGGGAACAUUGGCAGAGAUGGUACCAGAGGUUGGUUUGGCUUCGAAGUGUCGGAGCUUAUUUGUUUCAUAUGGAGCUUAUCGAAGGUAAUGGGAUAUCGCGAGCACUAACAACAGAUGAGAUGUCCUUAUGGGCACUACGUAGGCCUUCGAGAAUUUUUAGAGUCAGAUCUUCAUGGUGGAUGGGAUAGUCCUUGAUAGCAAGUUCGACAAUCAUGCUUUUCUAAGAUUGUAGAAACUCGAUAAUAGUUAUAGAUCCUAUAGUAAGGUUGGGAAGUCGACUUCUUCAUUGUAUAACGCAUCCUCCUGAGGGUUCGUCAUAUAUUGCAAAAAUAUUGUUCCACACAUUAUGAGAUCUUUGAAAAGAAGCGAUGCAUGGAAUAAUAGUGGAAGAACGGAUCCGAGAAUUGCACUUAAUAGUAGUUGGUUUUGUCCGAUACCUUAAGCAAAUGAUCGAUUUAGUAAAUCAUUGGCAUUUUUUAUAAUAUGUAGCUCAUAGAGUAAAGCACAUGUAUGCUAGAAAGCAGGUUGAUGCCGACGUGGAGCAAGGGGAGCACACCUAACAGAAUGGUACUAGUAUAUUUUUGGAUUUUUACAAUAUCUUGUGCGAGCUACGUUAGUAUAUACAUUGUAACUCUAUUAUUUUCACAUUGUGAAAAUUAUAGCUGCUUCACUCUCGUAGAUGUAAGCUACUGUCAAACCACAUAAAUCUCUCUCUCUCUCUCUCUUGAAUUUGUACUAUUCAUCAUUAUCAUUAUUGUCGUACAUAACACAGCACUAUUGAUAUAAGCUCGUCGUAAACCCAUGAGAUCAUACCUUAUGAGUAGGGUAUUAAAUUGUGAUUUCUAUAAGGACUAAUUUCCUACGUGCAAGAUACUCCAACAUCCAGAGCUUCGGCCUUCUUCCUCCUGCUCGAGUGAGCCCUUCUUUCGUUUAAAUGAUCAAUGGCGACACUUCUACAAUGUCAUCUAGUCAUCUUGUCCUACUCUCUCACCUUCUCAUUGAUCCCGAUCAUGACCUAACUGCCUCUACCUCUACCUCACACGCUUAGUUCUCGCCCUAUGAAAACCCAUGACGAAGAUCAUAUUCCAAAACCAAUUCCAAAACUAAAUCUCAGCCCUUGAUCUUGAUUCCAUUAUUCUACACUCUUUAGCCACAAGCCUUAAACAUCCACUUUGGUUCUAAUCCAUGUGUGAGGAUUUUGAUGGCCUAUUAGGUGAUGCAUUUAGAAGAUAGCCUCUCCGUUCCAAUUCCAAAUUAUUUUCAUUUGUAAAUGGGCUUUUUGUGUUAAACGGAAACCUAAUGUUUACAUUCAUCGUGCCCGACCAAUGGUUUUCAUCAACGCUCACGGUAGACUAAAAUGAGAAUUUUAGCCUAGUUGUCAAUCCCACCACCAUCCAUCUCAUCCUUAAUCUUACAUUGGUAAGGCAUUCGUCUCUACGUUGUUCGAUGUUAGUAAUGCAUUUCCUCGGGAUGCACUAAUGAAAACUAUUUACAUGUCUCAUCAUCAGGAAUUUGUCAAUAUAGAAACUUCCAUUAUGAUUGUCCAAUUGCCAGUGGGUUUACCAAUUCCAAAUCUAACAUGUAAGUCUAUAUUCAAUUGCAACUCCAACCAGUGUCGAAUCUUAGUUCUGGUUUAUGCUAACUACAUCAUUGUCACGAGAAACUCAAGUUUUAAUAUCUUUGUUACUCAUUUGGCACCAUUUUUUUCUAGAGAUAUCAAAAAUCCUAACUGAACCAGUCCCCAUAGGGACAUAUCCCAAAGAGAACGAGAAUUUCUGGCUUUAAUCGAGUUUGCAUCCAUUUAUAUUUUAACAAUAUUAAUAAAAAAUUGCCCACUUUUUAUUAUAAAAAUUUUAAAAAAUGAAUAAAUAAAUUUACCUAUAUUAAAAAAAAUGAAUAAAUAAAAAUUGAUUAAAAUAAAAUAGAACGGCACUGUAAAGUGGAUCCCGCUUUAUUGUCAUCCCCAGAUUUGGAUACUUUAUACUUGUUUCUUGGGGAUUAAGUUAUUUUUCUCUACAAGGCCUUUUUCUCUCACAACAUUAGUUUGUAUUUCAAUAAUCUUCUACACAACAUAAUUUGCAUAAGUACGAGUCAGUGUCUAUUUCUAUGUACAUGACAACUACCUUUAGCUUGAUUUGAUGUCACUACUCUUCAUGAUGCUUCUAAAUAUAGGCAAGUUCUUGGCAACUUGCAAUAUUCUUUACUCACUCGCCAAGACAUUGUUAUUCAGUUAACCAUCUGUACCAAUAUAUCACCGAUCCAUUUCUUACCCUUGGAUGGCUGUUAAGCUUAUGUUUCUCGACUUUUUUGGCACUCUGCACUUUGGGCUCUUUCUUCGUCGCCAUUUUCUUGGCUUGUUGCAUGCCUUCUCUAAAUCUGAUUGAGAAGAAAAUGGUAAUGAUCCCACAUCCAUCCAUGCCGAUCUAGUGAUUCUUGAAUGGAACCUAAUUGUUGGUUUUUUUUUCUUUUUUUUUUUUUAAAUCGAGUAUCAUAUGGCUUAAAUAUUUAGUACUUGAAUUCAGCGAAUCAAUUUCCACCAAUCGAGUAAUCUAAUUUCAUACUAUUAGCACCACAUACUUGAUGACCUAACACUAUUUCUCAGCUUGAAUGAAAUAAAUGAAGGCUAUUUUGAUUGGUUCAAAUUCCAUGGAAAAUGGAAUUCUAAUUUCACUUUCUUCCAAUUUUGUUUGUUUGAUAGGUUUUGAAUUCCAUGGAAUUUGGUUUCUUGAUUUUCUUGGAACUUGAAAUUUUCUUGAUUUUCCUUAAAAACCAAUUCUCACCAACAUGGUGGGAACUAGCUUUCUAGUUCCUUGUUACGUAUUUUUUUUUAUUAUAUCUAUAUCUUUUAAGGUAAUGGAAAUAAAUUCUAAGAAAUAUUGUACAAAAAUAUUUCAUUUUAAUUGGCAAUUUCCAUGUAAAACAAAGUCAAACGAACACCAAAAGAUAGAUGAUUUUCUUGAUCUUUUUAUUUUUUUGUUGGCAAUGGAAACAAACUUCAUUCCCAAAACUAGUAAAAUAUAUCAUUUUAAUUGAAAAUUUUCAUGUAAAAUAAAGCCAAAUGAACACCAAAAACACUUUUAUUUUAAUAUUUUCCACGAGGAAAAUUAUACCAAUCAAAUACAAUAAUUUACAAUUCUCAUGAAAAUAAUUUAUAGGCAAUUCAAUUAUCUAGAAUUCGUUUUCAAUUUAAUUCAAUUCCAUCUUUGCAAUCUUGUGAAAUAAUAUUAGAGUAGUUAUAGAUAGUGUUACACAAUAGUUAGAACUUGUCAUUACCGAACGUGUAUCAUAUAUUUCUGUUACAGAAUGUAUACAUAUAUGGAAAAUUCUAUUUGUAUAUAAUUAUUGUACAUAAUAGUGUCCAUAAUGUGAUGUGGCAAUCAUCCGCAUGUUGAUAUGUAAGUGUGAGAUUUGAAUUAAAGGUUGAAUCCAGUGCCAUAUGUAAUUAUGGACACUAUUAUGUAGACAAUUAUGUACAUGUAGCACUUCCCUACAUAUAUAUAGCACAUACAAGGAGAUAUUCUAGUCUAUGCACUAAUUUUAUUCUAUGAUUGAGAUUGACCCACAAUAUAUGUGGAGUUAGAUGACGAACUAUAGUUCCUUAUAAUUAUUAAAUAAUGCUGUUUAGCAUUUGUGGAAUUAGAGUACCAAAUCAAAGUUGACAUACUUGAUAGGUUCAAUUAAAUUAAUCAUUUGACAUUGCAUUUAAGUGAAUUUAUCGUUUAAUGUCAUGAAAUUGCAUCUAAUAUGAUGCUUAACACUUAUGGUGCUAAAGUGUAUUACACAUAAUUAUUACAUGAGUAAUGCAAUUCAGCACUAUUAAGCACCAUUUAGGUGGCAUGCAAAGACCAUCUUAAAAGGAUGGAAAUGAGCCACAUUUAAUUUCUUCUAUCACAUGCAUGCCAUCUAAGUUAGUGCUAUGUAACAUUAUUCUUAUUACAUUUUAUUUUUGACUGACAACUUGUACCCAUGGUCAUCUCUUAACUUAUUGAUAUACUAAAAUCAAUGUGAGCUAGAGUUUAUGAAUUUGAGUUGGAGUCUAUCAAGUUUUUAUAGAACCUGAAUAAUCUUCAAAUGAAUCAUAAUAACUCAGGUUGUUUCUUACCGCUCUAAGCGUUGAUCUAAGCACAAUCUUAUGUCAAUCGAUUAAUCAAUUUUUUACAUGUAUCAAUUCAUCCUUUGUAGUUAGAGAUACCUUAGUUAGCUAUGAUGCCCGGUCAUUGCAUAAACUAAAACAAAGCAUUAAAAGCCUAACAUAUUAAGAAGGAAAUGAAUUUUAUAAAAAAAUGAAAAAAAAAAAUCCAACUAUUCGAUUUUCCCACUAUAAUAUUACUUAGUCCUUGUGGGGGUGGUCCAUCGUUUUUGUGGUGAAAAUAAGGUCCAACAUUUUAACUUUCCGUCGAAGUUAAAUUUUAGACCAACUCAAUAGAAAUUUAGGAGUGAUUGUUGGAAUUGCCAGAAUUUCAGAAAAUUAAAGAAUAAUUUCACUAAUUAAAGUUUGAAAUGUUUUGGAGUGAAUAUAGUUAGUUCAGGAGAGAAUUUGUUCCUAUUCUAGACCAAAAGAUCAAGCCACUUGCCCGCUCAACGUCAUUUUAGUCAGAGUACUGACCUAAAGUUUGUGCCAUCGUGUCCAAGAUGUUGUACUCCUGAUUGGUUGUUGAGAUCGGCCAUACAGGUCAUCAUGGCUCCUAGGUUGCAGCUGUGGCUUAGGCAAUGAUUACUUGAUUUUAGUGAUCAUUGCUAGCUUAUGAUUAAUUGAAAAUAAGGUGCUAACGUCGCAGAUGCCACAUGUCUUUCUAGGAGAGGUGGAUCGAUAGGUGAAGACCGAUUGUCAAUAAUUGUGAAUCACAAUGUUUCUUCAAAUUACGAUAGCCAUUUCUCGAAAUGUGCUCAUACUUCGAGAAUCUAACAUAUCAGCAGUAUAGAAAUCGUAUUUUAACCUAUUUUUUACUUUACGUGCAAAAUAUUUUAUUGUGUGGAUGUAUGAUCAAAAAUGUGUAUGAAAAAUAAAGAGAUUUAACACAAAGAGAGUCGAAUAGGGGCUAAGAUCUCAAUCUCGCUUGCACGCAAUAUAUGUAUAAGCUAAAAUAUAGUCAUAAAAAACGUUAUUAUACCUAUAUGUACUUGUUCUAAGUUAUUUGUAUGAAUGUUAGAAUUGAAAUAAGAAAAAUGUCCGUCUCAUUACAAUAAUUUGUUCUAUUAAAUACUCUUACCGUUUCAUAAAGAUAAACUUUUUUUUCAUUCUCGCACAUGCUAAGAAAAUAUAAUUUUCGCUUAUUUUUUUCCGGAACAACCAAUGUUUGAAAAAUGGAACUUGUCCAAUCAGUUCAACUGGGAAUCAGGAUCGAAAUCGGUCCAAUUAGGCUUAUAAAACCCCCAAUUAAAAACCCGUCCCAAAGUCAAGUAAAUCGUUUAAUUUUUAGAAAAAUCGUGGCCCUUUGUCUAUUUAACCGAUUCAAUCUAUGUAAAUAUAUAUUUUUUGAAAUUUUUAAAUGUAUGUGUGCAUACAAGUUUCGUAAAAUGUAUAUUUUUAAGUCUAAAAAAUCACGGUUAGAUCUCGGAUCAACUUUUUGACCUCGGUUAGAUCUCGGUUCCACUUAAAAAUCCUUUUCUUGUCCGAGUCGAUGAUCGGGUCAUUUUUUAAAAACAAUGGAUACAACCCCAUGUUAAUAAUCAUUUAAAUAGGAAUAGUUCAUAUUCAUUAAUAACAAAUUAUAUAAAAUCAUGGUAUAUAAAAAAAAAUUAAAAAUCAACUAUACUCUGAACAAAGAAAAUAACCUAUAAUUUGGAACAUACGAAAAAGGAAAGCUAAGAUACUUUUCAAGAAAUAGAGAGAUCAAACUUGCCCUUAUUUAAAGCAAAUUCUCAAUAAAUUUUACUUUUUAAUCACACAUUCUCUACAAAAUUAUUAUUACAAAACAAUAUUUUUUACAAAUAUGGAAUCAAACAGAUCCUAACAUCAACAGUUCUAUAUGUACAGGCUCAGUAAUAUAAAUACUUUUGCAAACAACACGGGGCGACAUUUGAUUGGAAGUUGCCAAAAAAAAAAAGAUCAUAUAGUGUAGCACCUAUAAAAGAUGUGCAUUAUUCUCUCGAUUGUGUUACAUGUACAUAAUUGAUUUACAUAAUGAUUUCCAUAGACAUAACGUAAUGAGAUAUGAUUAUGUCAGAAUUUAAUUAUUUUUUAAUUACAUAUUCUCUUAAUAAAAUAAUUUUAUAAGUAAAUAUAAAAUAUUUUCUUACCUUUUAAUCACAUUUUUCAAAAAAAUCACUAUCACAAAAUAUCUUUUUUUUUUUUUUUCAAAAAAUGGGGCUCAAAUAUAGUUCACCAUCAUCUUUUAUGUUAGUUGCAUAUUAACAUAACUUACAUUCAUAUUUUGUAACAUGAUUAAAUUGUAAAAGCUUUUCCAAAGGGCAAGCUAAAAUUCAGAGAAAAAAAAUGCGCACACAAAAAGGGAAAAAAAAAUACCAAUAAAGCGUAUCUUCGGUACUCCAAGAUCUCAAUUUUGAUCGAGACUUGAACAAUUCAGAAAAUUUCAAUACAUUCUUUAAUUUUGUAGAACACUAUUCAGUAUUUGGUGUUGUUAAAAAUUAUAUUUUUAAUAGAUUUUGAUAAAAAAUUAAUGAAAUAUAUAAUUGAAUUUAUCAUUAAUUGUUGAAUUUAAUUUAAAUUUUUUUUUAUCAACUUUUAAAGGUGAAUACUGAAAAGAAAUUAUAAAUAACAGUGCACAAAAUUUUGUCCUUUAAAUGGCCCCCUUAACAUAUAUUUUCACCAUUUGCAUGAUCAGUCAGUCAGAAGUUCAAUUAUUCUUCACUUGUUCGAGUCUCUGAGUUCUGACCACUUCACAAUGAGAAAACGAUACAAAAGACAGAACCCAUUACCUCAAUUAUUAUUUCACUUGUUAUUUGCAAAUCGGCAACGGAAGAAAGGCCAGAGACUGAACUAAUAUCAAUACCUGCCACCCCACGUGCGUCGACGCCGGAGAUACAGACGCCGUCCUGUCAAAGGUCGCCGAGGAAGGAAUCCAGCACAGCCAAGUCAUGGACUCCAACUUCGUUCAUUUCGCCGAGGUUUUUGAGCCCCAUUGGGACACCCAUGAAGAGGUUUUUGACUAAUAUGAAGGGGUAUUUGGAGGAGGUGGGGCAUUUGACGAAGCUGAAUCCUCAAGAUGCUUGGCUUCCCAUUACAGAAUCACGAAAUGGGAAUGCCAAUUAUGCAGCUUUUCAUAAUCUGAAUGCUGGUGUGGGAUUCCAGGGAGAACGUUGGUGGGAAAUGCAGCUUUUAUUUUAUUUUUUUUUUUUUUUUAAAUAUCAAAUUGGUAUGAACGUUGGUGGAAAUAUCAGCUAGACGUGAAGAAGAGAAUAACUUACACCAUUCGGACACAGGGAGAAACACGUGUCAAAAAAAAAAAAAAAAUAAAUUUUAUGUGACAUACCCAUACUUCUUAUAUUCAUAUGUCGAGUAAAGUAUACAUCUUUCCAUCUUAUAGUCCCUUUCAAACACAUUGCAUGAAGGAAAUUGAGUAAAUUUACUAUGAUACGUAAUUUCAAAGAAUUUUUAGCUUUCAAUAAUCCCUACUUUACUUGGUCCUCAUCCAAAUACAAAAGGUGUCAAACUUGGGUUUUUCCAAGUUCCCCUCAUCAUUAUCUUACGGCCAACUUUUCAUCACCAUUGGAAUAUUAUUUUCAUGUGUUAGGAGAACACAAAUUUAAAUAAACGCACUCCGUAACUGAAUUAGCCUUGCAUUGUACAUAAUGACAGAAUUAUGAUAUAUUUAACAUCGCGCACCCAGACACACACAUGAACUGCCGGUAAGUAUUAUAAAGCAUGCAAUAGUACGAUCAUUUAGCUUAGACAAAAGAAAAUUGUAUUAUAAUUAAGGAGGGUAUCAUGACGAAAUUAAGUUCGAUUUGAUACAAUUUCUUUAAAACUUAAUUUUAACCAUAUUCUCUCAAUAAAAUAAUUUUGUAUAUAAACUCAUAAAUUUUAAUCUACUUUUUAAUUAUACAUUCUUCAAAAAUAUUAUUUUUGAAAAAGUUAUUCUCAAAAAAUCUAAACUUGAAGAAUGUUUAAUUUAAAAUAAAGAAGUAAUUGUACUUGAUCCCCAACCUAUUCUUUGUGAAGCAAGUUGGUACUCAUUCUUUGAGAACGAGACUUUGUCCUCGUCCUUCCAUUCAAUUGCACAUAAUAAUAAAAUUUAUAUAUAUAUAUAUAUAUAUAUGUUAAACUAGCCUAUCAAGAAUAAUUUGGCUCCUUCCAAUCCGGAGGGAGAAAAUAAUAAUUAUGUGUUUCUCGUAAAAGGAGUGCUACUUGGACAGGGAAUUGUCCAAGAAGAAAAAUUCUUCUCAUAUACGAAGUUACUGGAAAUGGACCACUGGGAAAAUGACAAGUGUCAUCCAGCUGGCUCAGAUUGCGAAAACCAUCGUUUAUAUUCAAAAUGGCAUAAUAAUAAUUGAAAAUGGGUCCAUGAUUAUGAGCAUACCACGUAUGUGUUAGUUGCCAUACUGUUUAUAUACAGAAAUUUUAAUUUAAAUCAAAGUUAACAAUUCAUUUCAAUCACAUAUUUCAUGAAAUUCACAAUUUUUCAAUCACAUAUUUCAUCAGUUUCUAUCAAAAUCAACUAAAAGUAGAUUUUAAUUUCGAUACGUGGGGCCCAUAACACUAUCCAAUCUGGAGACAUGGAAAUCUUAUGAUAUCGGACGUGCUGAGCUGUAUAGCACCGCCGGAUUCUUGUGGGGCAUUCCUUACUUAUUCCACGCACCAAUACAUUUUUGACCAAUAACAAAUUGGAAAACCACACGGACAACCACCUAAGCUUAAAAAUAUGAAAUUUCACUUUUUUAUUUUUAAGUAAAUAAAUUUAAUAUUUUCAAAAGUAAAUUUUUUACUUUGUAAUUCAUACAAGUAAACUUUUUUUUUUUAAUUACUUUGUUAUUCACACAAGUAAAUUAUUAUUUUCAUUUCAUAAAUAUUUCAGAACUUAUUUAUUAUAACAUAAGUUUUUUAAGGGUAAAUUAGGGCUGAGCUUCCCAUCCUUUUAUGUGGUGAGAUUACGUAUCUUCAACCUUUAAAAUUGAGAUUUUGGGUUUUCAACUUAUUUGAAUUUGUGAAUUUUUUAGCCUAACUUGAUGAAAAUUGUUUUUUAGAUGAUUUGAAUUGAAUUGAAUAUAAAUAUUAAGUUGUUUGAUGAUUUUUUCCUCCAUUCGUGAGUCAUAUAAAUUUCACAUGUAAUUUUAAACAUUACGUUGAUGGUUUCGAUCAAUUGAAGAUCCAAAUAAAUAAAUUUAAAUGGAUUGAGGAUUCAUAGCCUCAGUUUUGAGGGUUGGAGGAUUUAUAACCUCAUUCAGUAAAUGGUUGGCAAUUCUAAUCCUAACUUAACCCUUUCUAAGCCUAGCCAAAGUAAUGUCUACUAGAUUCAUAAGCCACAUGUUCGAGUGUCAAAAAUAAUUAAGAAGUUUAUUUGUGUACAUCAUGGUUGCCUCGCUGUGCGAUGACCUACGGUCGACUGAUUUGGUGUAACACAUCAAGUUAUUAUAAAAAAGAUGUACUUUUUUGUAAGUUAUGAGCAAUUUAUAUUUACUUGAUUGAUGAGCAAGUCUCGAAAUACUAUUAUGUCAACAUUAUCAAAAGAGAAAAGAAAAAUAAAAGAUUAAAUUUGUUGGGUUAAUUGGUCGAACCGAAUUUAUUUACUGUAGCCAAUGCUUCAGGAAGAUAAACGAUGGAUUUGAAUUUAUAUUGUAACAAUAAUCAAGAUAGACAAAUAAUAUUUUUAUUCUCAAUUUAUAGUUAGUGCAUACAAAAAUGUGAUAAUCAUAUCAUUGAUUUAAUUGUAAGUGCAAGUUAAUAUGUUCAAAUAUUGAAUAUUGGUAUAAAAACAAGAGAAACCUGUUAGAUUGAAACAUCAUCAAAUUUUUAUUCCGUCCAUUUUCUCAUUACCAAAUGACCCACGUGCACAAAAUUGAGUCAAAGUUUUAACAUAGUGGAAGGUACUGGUUUUUUCUUGACAAUGAAUCAAGAAUUCAGUGACAUUUCUCUGAUUACAUGCCCUCAUUAUGAGCAAGACAAAGAUUGAGUAAUAAAUCGAUUAACAAGAAAACUCUCGAAAAGUUCAAUUGCUUAUAUUAGAUCAACGACUAAAUUUUCAGUGGGACAGGCAUACUAUCCACGUUGUGCACCUCAGCAUUGGAUGGUGUGCCCGCCCAAUGCUGAGACACUACCUUGAUGGGUGGCCCACACACUUGGGGGUGUGUGGUGGGCCACCCGCCGAGGUGACGCACAGGACCGCCCCGUUGAAGUUUCACUCUAGAUGAAACACUAGUACAAUCAAGAAACUUUGUAAAUCUUCUUGGCAAUAAAGAAUCAUGUAAACAUAUAUAUGUGUGUAAACUUAUGUGAUGUGGAUCCUGUUAUGCAAGAAAAUUAUGUAUUUGUUUUUCAGGGAAAAUGGAAAUUAAUUUUUUUUUUGGAAUGUUAUACCUUAUAUAGAAACUGUUUUCAUCUAGUCUAAAUUAUACGUAAAAUGCUAUGAUAAAUUAAAAAUGAUAGGAACACUAUGUCAGUAGAAGCAAUGAUUUUGAAAACAAAAAGGAGAUAUGAGAUAGACAAAUGAAUAAUUCGCAUGAUUCAAUUUCUUAAUCGAGUUAUUCACGUCUUUCUCAACAUACCAAUUUUCUUUAUUGAACAUAUUACUAAAUUUUGUAAGGUAACAAAUGUAGAUGAAAUAAAUGAAUGGUCAAGUUAGCGAUGUAAAUCCAAUACGGGUUGGGCAGGUGUGGGCAAAUUCAUGAGCUAUUUUUUUCAAUUCUUUUCAUAAAAAGAAAUGUGUUCGGGGUCUUGUGGAAAAAUGAGAACUGUGUAAGGAUAAAGUCACUCUUAGAGAAAUUGAACACUUCCCACAUAACGCCUACAACGUAGUAACAUGAAGGGUCUUCAUUAAAGGUUUUACAAACUUAAAACUAUUAGGAAUAGAUGUCAAUAGCUUAUGAAAUUACAAUAAGCUUCCCUAAGAAAAAGGUAAUCUCUAUAAUAAGUGAUAAAUUUUAAAUUAUACAGAAAUUUUGUCUUUUAACUUUUUCUGUAUCCACCUUUCUGAUUCUAUAUAAACGAGCAGACCUCCAUUUCUCAGCGACUCAAUUAUCAACACAGUAUACAAAGGCAGAGAGAGAGAGAGAGAGAGAGAGAGAGAGAGAGAGANNNNNNNNNNNNNNNNNNNNNNNUGUUGCGUGUUGUCACACCUGUCCUACCCACCUGGGCCAGUGGCCCACUCAUCCUGAUCCACGUGGCAUUCCUGCCGAGGUGGCCCAUAUUGCCGAGAUGGGUUAUAUCCGAACUGCUUCUAACCGAGGCCCAUGGCCCGAGGUGUGGAAGCCUUUGGUUGUAGCUGAGGUCCUCAAAUGGACGAAACCCCGAAGUUGAUGCGCGAGCCUCAACCACAAGGAAACAUCCUCCAUGGUCAUUUCUCCCAAGAGAUCGCCUGCACGGAUCUUAUUCGAAUGAUUGAUGGAAUGUCUGUCAUAAGCAUAAAGGUCAAGUCUUGUCACUAGCAUGGAGGCCCUGCACAAGCAAUAAAUGCGCCUUAAGCUAGCAAGUCAAAUCCCAUGCCUAAGAAUAGACGUUUAAACCAAGGAGAUGAGGCCACGUGCCAUUUCAUCCAAGGGCUCCCAUUCCAUAUGUAUCACUAUAAAUACCCCCAUUGUAUAAUGUAAAAGGCUAAUGCAAGAAUCAAUACAAAAAACUACAUUUUACUCAACUCUCUCCAUUUACUUGCACACAUUUUAUACACUUUUACACAUAUAUUCAAGAGCACCGGUUGGUAAUUAUUGUACAAUCGGAUUACGAACAACCCGCCGGAUCCCGAACGUUACCGUCCCGCGUCGUUGGGCUACUCCCACGCCCCUUUGAACCGCUCGUUUAGACCGUCCACGUGUCUUAGCGUGUUGGACAUUCGCCCACGCAAGCGCGGGUGGGACCGGCAUCUGUUGGCGCACUUUUUGGGGUCAACAGAUUGGCGCCGUCUGUGGGAAUCCAUACCAUAACCACGAGCAACCUUGUGGUAAAAGCUUGCUGGAAAAACAUUUGGGCAACCCCCCUUGAAAAAGGAUUUGUUCUUGAAAGAGAACAGGAAGAACCCCUACCACUGGGAGGAAACUAAGAUUGGCAUAAAAGAAAAAUGAGUUCUAACGAAGAUACUCCCCCAAGGAGGGUAAGAGAAAAUACGAAUGUGCCUCCCCAGCCUGCUGUCCCAGCAGCUCGGCAGAGGCUCCACCACCACCAGAGGAGAGGUGGGAUGCGUGCGACGGCACGACUGUCAAGAGAAAUGGCUACUAUGACAGCCAACAUGAGGGAUAUAGCCAACCAAAACAUGCAAGGCCAAGGAGGUUUCCCCAUUCCUCCAUAUGCCCCCCAUGGGCACUAUCAGCAAGAGGACGAGGUCCAAAGUCAUAGGGCUGCCUCGCCAGACUAUGACCGAGGUGAAAGUCCAUUCGAGAGGGAAGUGGAAGUUGACAUUUCCUCCAAUUAUGCAUCUGGCCGACCCUCUGAGGUCCAAAUGAGCCAUGAUAACUUUCCACCUCCGUAUGAGCAAGACCCAAGACAAAGGAGAGCAGGAAGUGUUUUUGACAGAAUCAGCCCUGCCGAACCAAGGCCCAGUCAACAGCGAGCUCAGCAGCCUCGGACGAGGCCACAGCCCCCACCUCCGAUGCCCCAACAGCCGGAGAAAAGGCAUGAAAAUGCCCCCCACGCUGUCCCGCCUAGAAGUAGGCCGCCAAGGAGGGAGGAAGAGGCUAGGAACCGACCAGGACCUUCUCACCAACAACCUAGGUACGAGGCCGAAGAUUACGAUUCUGAUGAGCAGCAGAGGUCCUGUGACUUGGACGAUGACGAUGAGAACCUGCCAUUCUCAAGGGAACUAAGAGAUGCCUAGGUCCCGAGCCAUUAUGUUAUGCCGAAAAUACCAAAGUAUGACGGGAGAGGUGACCCAGAAAAGCACCUCAAUGCUUACAAAACUCACAUGAGCCUGAGGAGCGCCACCCCAGCUGUAAAGUGCAGAGCAUUCCAUUUAACCCUCAGUGGAGCGGCUGAAAUCUGGUAUAGUAGACUACCAUCUGGGAGCAUCCGAAGCUGGCCCGAGUUCAAAACUACUUUCUUGAAGAGGUUCGCAAUGAGCAAGGAAGGAGAGGCCCCCAUCCAGCGUCUUCAAGACAUGAGACAGGCGCAUGGCGACUCCUUGAAAAGCUUCCUAUCCCGCUUCACCGACGAGAUGACCUACUGUGUGCAAGUCACCGACAGGGAAGCACUAUCUGCAUUAAGAGGAGGAUUGAACAUGAACACCAUAUUCUGAAGGGAUGUGCAGAAUAAGGACCCAACCACCUAUGACGCCCUACUAGAAAUGAUGAGAAGAGAGAUAAUCAAUGAAGAAUUGAUUGAGCAUAGAAACAGGGCAAGCAGGGGCCUCCCACCUCCACAGAGACAGCGAGGUAGGGGCCCGACCUCCCACCUCAUGGACUACCAGAUGAACCGAUCUGGAAAUGAGAACUCCGGCCAAGCCCUGGCCACCACAACUCUGAACGCGGUACCAACCUUGGCGUAUGAGGAUGUCAACCCAACCGCUGACCCAUAUCAGCUACAGGCGCAUCAGGGACCCCGUAGAGGGAGAGGCCGAGGUCGAGGUCUAGGUUUUGCACCUAGAAAUAGGUCUAAUCCGAACCUCCCUGGAUACUGUUUGCACCAUAGGUCCUACGGACAUGACACCGCGGAUUGCAGAGACUAUGCACACCGCUCGCGGCAGGAACCCGCCAGGGAAAGACAUAACUCGCCCCAAGCCAACAGGCCCCCGCCCAGGCAAGACAACCGACAUGGGCGUGAGGCGGCCGCUCCUCGCCAAAGGGAUGUUUCCCCAAGGCGAAGAGAGCAAGACACGGAGAGGCCCAGGGAAGGGCGUAGACACCGAAGGAACAGGCAAGCUCAAGAUGAGGCCCCUAUCCACGAGAUAGAUACCAUAUUUGGAGGCCCUUACGUUGGCGGUGAAACGCGAAACGCCAAAAGAAACUAUGCUAGGGAGGCUAAGCACCCCCUCUGACAAGUUACAUUGUAGAUAAUAGCUCCCGAAGAAAUCAAGCACCACCCAUUGUCUUCACCCAGGAAGACGCCGAAGGAGUUCAUUACCCCCACUGCAAUGCGCUGGUAGUGAGGGCGGUCAUAGCCCGAAAUGGGCUCAAACGAAUGCUGGUCGACAACGGCAGCUCCGUCAACAUCUUAUUCGGGUCCGCCUUUGAUAAAAUGAUAUUGGACCAUCAGUUGACACCCACCACCACUCCAUUGUACGGAUUUACCGGAGAUAGCAUUACUCCGAGAGGAAAGAUAACACUGGCGGUGGAGAUGGGAGAAUCUCCUCAAACUACGAUGAACUUUAUGGAGUUCCUCGUAGUCGACAGCCGGUCGGCUUACCACGGAGUCUUGGGCAGACCGGUCCUAAAGGAAUUGGGAGCAGUCACCUCCAUCCACCACCUAUGCAUGAAAUUCCCAACAGAAAAUGGGGUGGCAAUGGUGAGAGGCGACCAGAGAGGUUCGCGAGAGUGCUAUCAGAGCUCCAUUAAGAAGGUGGAGCCCCGAGACAUCCAUGUGAUCGUGGCUGAUGUGGUUAUGACGGAUGUCCCAGGUGACGCUCCCAUUGACCAGGAAGAUGUUGAUAUGAUUGACGCACUCCUCGUUCAGGAGGCGCUGAUCGAUGAGAUCGACCCCCGCAUAAUGGAACAUGAGCCCCAAGCAUCCCCUGUAGAGGAACUUGAGAGCUUCUCAGCCGGCCCUCAAGAUCCGUCCAAGGUGCUGAAAGUAGGCAGGGGGUUAUCCGACAUUUUGAGAGAAAAGAUUAAGGAUUUUCUAGGUAAGAACCUGGACGUCUUCGCCUGGAGACAUGAGGACAUGGUUGGCAUAGACCCCAAGGUCAGCUGUCACCACUUGAAAAUCAACCCUAAUUUUACCCCGCAUAGACAAAAAAGGAGAGCCCUCAACCCAGAGAGGUAUGAGGCCCUGAAGGAAGAGGUUCAGAAGCUAAUCCAAAAUGGCUUCAUCAGGGAGGCCACCUACCCGAAGUGGGUGUCCAACCCGGUCUUGGUUAAGAAACCCAAUGGCAAAUGGCGAGUGUGCAUCGACUUCAUCAACCUUAAUAGAGCUUGCCCGAAAGACAGCUUUCCGCUUCUAAGGAUUGACCAAUUGGUGGACUCCACGGCUGGGCAUGAGUUAUUGAGCUUCAUGGAUGCAUACUCCGGAUACAACCAGAUCCCCAUGCACCCGGCUGAUGAGGAGCACUCCUCUUUCAUCACGGAUCGAGGCCUCUAUUGCUAUAGAAUGAUGCCUUUCGGGUUGAAGAACGCCGGAGCAACUUACCAAAGACUCGUGAACAAAAUGUUCACCGACCUCAUCGGCAAGACAAUGGAGGCCUACGUGGAUGAUAUGCUAGUGAAAAGCUUAGAGGCAGAAAGCCACGUAUCGCACCUCAACAACACCUUCCAAAUCCUGAGAAGGUAUAGGAUGAGGCUCAACCCCUUGAAAUGUGCCUUCGGGGUGGCUUCCGGCAAGUUCUUCGGGUACAUGGUCAACCAGCGAGGAAUUGAAGCAAAUCCCGAGAAGAUUGAGGCUCUGUGCCAGAUGAGGUCCCCCCAAAAGCCAAAGGAGGUGCAAAGCUUAACUGGGCGAGUGGCAGCACUUAGUCGCUUCGUCUCCAAAGCAACUGACAAGUGCCUCCCAUUUUUCAAAGUGCUCAAGGCUGGGAAGAAAUUCCAAUGGACUGAGGAAUGCGAAGAAGCCUUCCAAGGAUUAAAAAGGCACUUGGGGCAGGCCCCCCUCCUCUCCAAGCCGAAGCCCGGCGAUAUCUUGCAACUAUAUCUCGCGGUCUCUAAUGACGCCAUCAGUUCGGUUUUGAUUCGGGAAGAAGGGUCCACCCAACUUCCCAUCUACUACACGAGUAAAGCGCUCCUAUCGCCGGAGACCCGAUACCCCGAUAUGGAGAAGCUUGCUUUGGCCUUAAUCACGGCCUCUAGGAAAUUGAGACCUUACUUCCAAGCUCAUACCAUCCAUGUACUUACAAAUUUUCCCCUGAGGCAAGUACUCCAGAAGCCCGAUGCCUCGGGAAGAUUGUUGAAAUGGGCAGUGGAACUAAGNNNNNNNNNNNNNNNNNNNNNNNNNNNNNNNNNNNNNNNNNNNNNNNNNNNNNNNNNNNNNNNNNNNNNNNNNNNNNNNNNNNNNNNNNNNNNNNNNNNNNNNNNNNNNNNNNNNNNNNNNNNNNNNNNNNNNNNNNNNNNNNNNNNNNNNNNNNNNNNNNNNNNNNNNNNNNNNNNNNNNNNNNNNNNNNNNNNNNNNNNNNNNNNNNNNNNNNNNNNNNNNNNNNNNNNNNNNNNNNNNNNNNNNNNNNNNNNNNNNNNNNNNNNNNNNNNNNNNNNNNNNNNNNNNNNNGCCUCAUCCCAUCCUUUGAAAAGUUCGAGUUAAUCCAGAUUCCCCGCAUCGAAAAUGCUCAUGUGGACGCACUCUCGAAGCUGGCUAGUAGCAAGGACUCAGAACUACUCACUGUAGUACCUAUCGAGCACCUCCUACGGCCUUCAACCGGGGCCCCUAAUGUCAUGUGGGUCGGUGGAAUUCCCACCUGGAUGCAACCAAUUAUAGCAUACCUGAAAGACCAGGUGCUACCCACCGACAAAAAUGAGGCUUACAAGCUAAGAAGGAGGUCAGCCCAUUUCCUCUUCAUCGACGACAUUCUCUACAAGAGAAGUUUCUCCUCUCUACUCUUACGAUGUGUCGGAGGGGAGGAGGCUACAUACAUACUAAGAGAAGUCCACGAGGGAGUGUGCGGCAACCACUCUGGAGGCCUAUCUCUAUCACAAAAAAUACUGAGACAAGGAUACUACUGGCCUACCCUGAAACGGGAUGCCCUCGAAUUUGUGCGAAAAUGUGAUAAGUGCNNNNNNNNNNNNNNNNNNNNNNNNNNNNNNNNNNNNNNNNNNNNNNNNNNNNNNNNNNNNNNNNNNNNNNNNNNNNNNNNNNNNNNNNNNNNNNNNNNNNNNNNNNNNNNNNNNNNNNNNNNNNNNNNNNNNNNNNNNNNNNNNNNNNNNNNNNNNNNNNNNNNNNNNNNNNNNNNNNNNNNNNNNNNNNNNNNNNNNNNNNNNNNNNNNNNNNNNNNNNNNNNNNNNNNNNNNNNNNNNNNNNNNNNNNNNNNNNNNNNNNNNNNNNNNNNNNNNNNNNNNNNNNNNNNNNNNNNNNNNNNNNNNNNNNNNNNNNNNNNNNNNNNNNNNNNNNNNNNNNNNNNNNNNNNNNNNNNNNNNNNNNNNNNNNNNNNNNNNNNNNNNNNNNNNNNNNNNNNNNNNNNNNNNNNNNNNNNNNNNNUUGAAGCCGUAAACAAGACAAUCAAGCACGUCCUGAAAAGAAGGCUUGAUGUGUCCAAAGGAGCUUAGGUUGAUGAGCUGCCCCAAGUACUUUGGGCAAUCCGAACCACCACCAGGACCCCAACCGGGGAGAUCCCUUUCCUCAUGGCUUUUGGGACUGAGGCGAUGAGCCCCGUGGAGGUCGGACUCCCAUCUCCACGACGUCUGCACUUUAGUGAAGUGACCAACGACGAGCUCCGGAGGCUAGACCUCGAUUUCAUUGAGGAGAGGAGGGAUGACUCCCAGCUGAGGUUAGGCACCUACCAAAGGAAGAUGACAAGGUACUUCAACUCCAAAGUGAAGAAGAGGUCUUUCCGAAUCAACGAUCUUGUGCUCAGGAGGGUCUUUCCAUCUUCAAAAGAACCCGGUUCCGGCUCCCUGGGACCGAACUGGGAAGGUCCAUACAAGAUCAGAGAAGAAAUCCGACCUGGAACCUAUUGGAUUGAAGACAUGGACGGCAAGGCACAACCCCGUCCAUGGAACAUUGAACACCUCAGAAUCUUUUAUCAGUGAAUUGUAUCAUGCUGGAUGACUUUCCCAGCCUUUGUAAUAUUUCUAUGGCUCAAUAAAAUGCGUUGAUUAAAUCGCCAUACUACUUCAAUAACCUCGGAGGAGAGGCUCGGGACCCACCACUGGGCCACAUCGCUUGGACUCCGAGGCUCUAGCACAUGCCUCCCUUUUGGCCUUGCUGAACGCCAAGGGGAGAAGCCUCAACAUGGCUGCACCAUCCACCAUGUCUGGGAUGCGUCGUAACCUCGAAGGAGAGGCUCGGGACCCACCACUGGGCCACCUCGCUUGGACUCCGAGGCUCUAGCACAUGCCUCCCUUUUGGCCUUGCUGAACGCCAAGGGGAGAAGCCUCAACAUGGCUGCACCAUCCACCAUGUAUGGGAUGCGUCGUAACCUCGGAGGAGAGGCUCGAGACCCACCACCGAGGCACCUCGCUUGCACUUCGAGGCUCUAGCACAUGCCUCCCUUUUUGGCCUUGCCGAACGCCAAGGGGAGAAGCCACAACCUUAAACCCGAGGCCCCAACAGUUCAUCUUAAGUUAUGUUCAUUUUCUUAAGUCCGAGGCUCCAACAGUUCAUCUUCUUAAGUUAUGUUCAUUUUCUUAAGUCCGAGGCUCCAACAGUUCAUCUUAAGUUAUGUUCAUUUUCUUAAGUCCGAGGCUCCAACAGUUCAUCUCCUUAAGUUAUGUUCAUUUGCUUAAGUCCGAGGCCCAUACAGUUGACUGAAGUCAAAGUUAUUUAGUUCGUGCGCUUAUCAACUUCCAGUUCGUUUGUUUAAACGAGGCACAAAAACUUGGAUAAAGAACAAUCAUGAAUGAAGAAAAACAUUAUAUUAAUAUUUAAAAAGGAUCACAACGGAGGGCCUCUGGCCAUUACACAAAGUACUGAAAAGGAAAACCUAAUCUAAACCUGGCUGGAUGAAGGAGGUGCCUCAGCACUUGGGGGUUCGGCAACCUGAGCAUCAGUAGUUGCUUCCCCUGCCUCAGCAUUUGGGGCUUCGGCAUCAGCUGCCUCGUCACCCUGCACCUCCUCAGCUGGGGUCUGAGGAACCUCAUCCACAAAUUCGGACCUAAGUUGUGCCAGGUCCAAGUUUGGAUAAAGCUCCUCUGCCCUCUCCAGCACUUCGGCAUAGGCGAAGUUCCUCCAAUACGCGCUGAAACUUUUAUACUCCUCUGUAGUAUGGAAAUUGGCGAUGUAUGCCCUCACCGCCUCUUCCGCUGCAUCCCGAGCCUCUUCUCUGGCAAUCGAGGCGUCGUUCAUGUACCACUUCGCCUGGCCUUCGAGAAACUGAUUGGCAUCAUGAGCGCCGGCCAAGGCGAGAUUCGCCUGCUCCAGAGCCUCGGCAGUCACCUUUUGGUGCUCAUUGGAGACCUCCACCUUCUUCGUCAGGGAGGCCACCUCGCACUGAGACUCAUAUACUUCCCUCUUUAGGGCCUCAAUUUGGGUCAGGGCAGACUCGAGCUUCGCCGCUUCUUCAACCCUCUGUGCUUUGGCUUCUUCGGCCUCGGCCUUAGCAGCUUUGACCUCCUCAACGAGCGAAGCAGCUUUCCCCUCCGAGGCGUGAGUCCUUGUUUGGAAUUCACUUAAUGCCUCCCUGCAUUCUAGUGCGAGGCCAAAGGUCCGGGCGCUUUGGCUCACCAGUGCCCUCGUGAGGUCGGUGGCAUCACAAGACGAGGCAUGAAGCUGCCACCUCUCCGUCCAGAACUUGUAAAAGCUCUCAGUGGCACCUCUGAUCUCCUCAGGGAGAGCCUCCACCAAGGCUGGGGCCAGCUCAUCCUCCCUCCCAGCUAGGAAGUUUGGAGACUUUCCCUUCUCCCGAACUGGUUUCUCCUUCGCCGCCUCCUCUUCGGCUGCUUCAGCAGCUAGCCUGGCAGCCUCUUCCCUGGCCUCUUCAGCCUCCACCUCUCUUACCAUCUCCAUUUUGAUGGCUUUAGAGGCUGCAGCGAGAAGCUUCGGCUCUCCAGUUUGUUCUGCCCUAUGGGACACUGAAGUCCCAAACUUGCCAGCUGAGCUGGAGAUGUGCACCAGCUUCCUCUUCUUAGUCUCCUCAGAGACUUUCUCCUUGCCCCGAGGCUCCUUGGACUUCUCUGGCCUCUGAGUAGAUGCCUCUUCCGAGGCCCUGGGAGUGCAGUCCUUGGACAGGCGCUCAACCCUGCCACGGACCUCCUUUGCCCCACUAGACCCGGGUUUCAGAGGCCUUGCCUUCGCAGUAAAAGUGGCCUUCAAGAUGGAGGCCAUAUUCGGAGCCGGGUAUUCCCUCUUCUUGAAUUUGUCUGCAACACGUCAGAUUAGCAUCAGCACAAUAAACAUUGAAAUUAAACAUCAAGUGUUGGAGCCCCAUACCUCUGGACGCCAUAAGCCCGAAGUCCAAGAAGUAUCUGCUUCCAUCAAUCAGGUGAUCGAAGUGCCGAAGCUUUAGAGGCCUCUUGUAAAUGUCCUCUAUCACCUCGAAUUCCUCCCUGCUGAGCUCGAACCUCGUACUACUAUCUACAAAGACGAACCUUCAACAGUUAGACGAGUAAAUACUCUGAUUUCAAAACACAAGCAGAGGUUGGGAGACUCACGAGCUUCGUAGUACUGGGUCGGCACUGUGCAUGACAGGGCUUUGUCACCCUCUACUGCCUGCCAUUUACCUCGUACCCAGAACCAGGACUCCUUCCACCCCUUGAUAGAGGAAGGAAGUCCCACCACAAAGGGUGCGUGAGCCCCUCAAGGCGUGAGGUAGUACCACCCCCUUAACUCCUUCCCAAUUACCCGGGGCUGGUACAGGGUCAUAAAGACAUGAAGGGGCAUGUCCUCCCCAAGUGAAACUUCCUUCCACAGGAAGUAAGAGCCGACCAGCUGGCUCCACCCAUUCGGCAGAACCUGGGUCGGCGACAGCAUAAAUUUCCUAAGCACCGCCCUAAAGAAGGGGUGCAAAGGAAGACGCAUACCUGCUUUGAACAGGUAUUCACUCACGGCCACGCAGCCGGGCCUCGGAUAGCAGGCCCGCUCGUUCGGUUCAGGGACUAACAUCUCUAUGUUAUGAGGCACACUGUACCUCUCCCUAAGCUCCCCCAACCUCUUCCCCGUCAUGUUUGAGGGCACUCUAGAAGCCCCCCACUCCUGGGUAUAAUCCACGUCCUCCUCGGCCAUGGCAUACCUAUCCACCUCGGACGUCCCCCCAUGACCUACCCCGUGGUCUAAAGACGCUACAGUGACAAGUUCCCUACCCGAAGUGGACUCCAUUGUUUGAGGACAAAGAAUAACAACGGUUUUUUUUAUGCAAACAAUACCUAAAAGAGUUCAACACAAACGGAGACCGGUCGGAAUCUAAUCGCAGACAACCUCAACGCCGGAAAAUGGGAGAUUUGAGAGAGUUUGAGAAUGCAAAGUGCUUAAAAUUUCUGGAAAGUAGAAUUUUCUCGCCUUUUAUAAAGAUCCAAGGCGAACCCCACCCGUCAGAUCAAAUCUCAGUCAAUCCGAGCCCUCCGUUUCAGAUCCAAUCCGAGGCGUUGAAUUCAAAUAGUCUUUGAAAUCCUACGCCUCCUAUCUAUGCGUACCUCACACGCACCUCUCCAGCGCGUCUGCUUCUGGAAACGCCAGCUGCCCUCAUAAUUGCAUUUUUAAUUCGUUGGCGCUAGCACAUUGGAAGCCGUAACGGUUCAGCUACCUUUUCUCGAAAACAAGCACAAAACAUCAAAUCAUUGGCACAGAGACCAAAGCAUAAUCAUUACAUUGGACCUCGGCUUCUUCACGUGCCAGUCAGCAUUUCAGCCUCGCAGGCUUGGUUUCACACCACCUCGGCUCCUCAUAUGUCAUUCAGCAUUUAAGCCUCGCAGGUUCGGUUUCCCAACCACCUCGGCUUCUUCACGUGCCAUUCAGCAUUUAAGCCUCGCAGGCUCGAUUUCACACCACCUCGGCUCCUCAUAUGCCAUUCAGCAUUUAAGCCUCGCAGGUUCGGUUUCCCAACCACCUCGACUUCUUCACGGCCAUUCAGCAUUUAAGCCUCGCAGGUUCGGUUUCCCAACCACCUCGGCUUCUUCAUAUGCCAUUCAGCAUUUAAGCCUCCCAGGUUCGGUUUCCCAACCACCUCGGCUCCUCAUAUGCCAUUCAGCAUUUAAGCCUCGCAGGUUCGGUUUCCCAACCACCUCGGCUUCUUCACGUGCCAUUCAGCAUUUAAGCCUCGCAGGUUCGAUUUCCCAACUACCUCGACUUCUUCAGACGCAAUCAGCAUUCAAAUCAUGCAGGUUUCGGUCCCCCAACCACCUCGGCUUCUUCAGCAUAAACCUACACCAAAACUUCUCUAACUCCAAUCAUGAUAUAAAUUUUGUAAGGUAACAAAUGUAGAUGAAAUAAAUGAAUGGUCAAGUUAGCGAUGUAAAUCUAAUACGGGUUGGGCAGGUGUGGGCAAAUUCAUGAGCUAUUUUUUUCAAUUCUUUUCAUAAAAAGAAAUGUGUUCGGGGUCUUGUGGAAAAAUGAGAACUGUGUAAGGAUAAAGUCACUCUUAGAGAAAUUGAACACUUCCCACAUAACGCCUACAACGUAGUAACAUGAAGGGUCUUCAAUAAAGGUUUUACAAACUUAAAACUACUAGGAAUAGAUGUCAAUAGCUUAUGAAAUUACAAUAAGCUUCCCUAAGAAAAAGGUAAUCUCUAUAAUAAGUGAUAAAUUUUAAAUUAUACAGAAAUUUUGUCUUUUAACUUUUUCUGUAUCCACCUUUCUGAUUCUAUAUAAACGAGCAGACCUCCAUUUCUCAGCGACUCAAUUAUCAACACAGUAUACAAAGGCAGAGAGAGAGAGAGAGAGAGAGAGAGAGAGAGAGAGAGAAUGUUGCGUGUUGUCACACCUGUCCUACCCACCUGGGCCAGUGGCCCACUCAUCCUGAUCCACGUGACAUUCCUGCCGAGGUGGCCCAUAUUGCCGAGGUGGGUUAUAUCCGAACUGCUUCUAACCGAGGCCCAUGGCCCGAGGCGUGGAAGCCUUUGGUUGUAGCUGAGGUCCUCAAAUGGACGAANNNNNNNNNNNNNNNNNNNNNNNNNNNNNNNNNNNNNNNNNNNNNNNNNNNNNNNNNNNNNNNNNNNNNNNNNNNNNNNNNNNNNNNNNNNNNNNNNNNNNNNNNNNNNNNNNNNNNNNNNNNNNNNNNNNNNNNNNNNNNNNNNNNNNNNNNNNNNNNNNNNNNNNNNNNNNNNNNNNNNNNNNNNNNNNNNNNNNNNNNNNNNNNNNNNNNNNNNNNNNNNNNNNNNNUUUUAACUUUUUCUGUAUCCACCUUUCUGAUUCUAUAUAAACGAGCAGACCUCCAUUUCUCAGGGACUCAAUUAUCAACACAGGAUACCAAGGCACAGAGAGAGAGAGAGAGGGGGAUGGAGAAGAUUAUUGCAUUCUUUGUGCCUAUUUUUACCUUUCCAUUUACUGUAUUUUUAUAUGUAAUUUCACUGAGAAUGAAAAGAAAACAUUCAGAGAGGAAAACUAAGCUCCCUCCAGGCUCCAUGGGGUGGCCUUAUAUUGGAGAAACUCUUCAGCUCUACUCCCAAGAUCCAAAUGUCUUUUUUUCUGACAAAGUAAAAAGGUUUCUUGCUUUCAUUCUCAAUUACUUACCGUCCAAUUCUGUCUAAUACUAAAUACCUGAGAUUCCCUGAUAGAAUUUUUCUAACAAUAAUUCUAAACGGGGCAGGCACCCUACCAAUAGGGGGACACGUGUCCCCCCGGACAAACAGGGCCCUGUUUGCCAAGCAAAUCUCUUUUUCUAAACUGUAUGUUCUUAUGCAGAUAUGGAGAAAUCUUCAAGACUCAUGUACUUGGUUGCCCUUGUAUAAUGUUGGAAAGCCCAGAAGCAGCCCGAAUCGUGCUAGUCACCCAGGCACAUUUGUUCAAGCCAACGUAUCCAAAGAGCAAGGAAAAUUUCAUCGGCCAGUCUGCGCUGUUUUUUCACCAGGGAGAGUACCAUAUGCGGCUUAGGAAGCUCGUCCUUGGAGCAUUAUACCCAGAAGCAAUCCAAAACCUAGUAGCAGAUAUUGAAGCCAUAGCAGUGUCUGCAAUGGAUUCGUGGGACGGUGGCCGUGUCAUCAACAUUUUCCAUGAGAUGAAAAAGGUUCGUCUCUUUGAAUUCAUGCUAACACCCAUUUAUAAAAAUUGUGCACCUGUCACCUCUUUAAUGAAAAAAUAUCGUUGGCAUGCACACAGGGACGUGUUGAAAACUUCAAUUUAAAUGAACAAAUCUGUCUCUUUUAAGAUUCUAGAUGAGAAAUCUAAUUUGUCAUCUACCAUUGAUUACCUGCAGUUCUCAUUUGAAGUAGGUAUACUCUCCAUUUUUGGUCAUUUGGAGCCCUAUUAUAAAGAAGAACUGAAGAAGAACUAUAGCAUACUCGAUAGAGGGUACAAUUCUUUUCCAACAAAGUUACCUGGAACUCCAUACCAAAAGGCAAUGAAGGUAAAGUAACGAUAAUUGUACUCUGUUACAUAGUACUAUAAACGAGAUUUUAACUUCCUUUUUUAUUUUUAUUUUUAUUUUUUUUUUCUUUUUUGUUUAGACUGUCUAGUCUACCUUAAUACACGUGUUGAAAAUGGACUCUCAUUUUGAUUAGUCAUAUUUACCAUUUUAAUGUAUGAAGGCAAGGAAGAGGCUGGGUGAAAUAUUAAAUAACAUUAUGAGAGAAAGAAAGGAAAAGAGGAUUACGAAGGACCUGUUGAGUUGUCUGCUAGUUUCGAAAGAUGAGAACGGUGUAACUCUAAACGAGGAUCAGAUUGCUGACAACAUCAUCGGAGUACUUUUUGCAGCACAAGACACGACUGCGAGUGCCAUGACAUGGAUUCUCAAGUACCUUCACGAUUACCCAAAAAUUCUCGAGGCUGUCAAGGUAAAAUCUAGAAGGCAUUUUCUAGUUGCUCUGGAAUAAUACAAGGUUCUCUAAGAAAAACGUAGCUCUAUUUUCUGUUUGUGGGGUCAAAUCAAUAUAUUGUAAGAUUCUCGUGUCUCUAGAUCAUUCUCAUUUCUUGACCUUAUUCUUAAAUUUGCUUUGUAAUCGUCGUAGAUAAUAUGUUUCUGAUUUGCAUGCAGGCUGAACAGAAGGCAAUAUACCAAUCAAAUGGAAAUGGAAAUAGUCAUUUAACAUGGAAUCAAACAAGAAAUAUGCCAUUUACUUACAAGGUAUUUGACUACCAUAAAUAAUAUAUUUGGUAUAUUUCGUUUCAAUUAGGUCGGUUAACACCAUUUUUAUUUUUUUUACAAAAUCAUUUACAAGUAGUAUCAAUUCACUUUCAUUCUCUAACGUCUAACUUGCUUCCAUCAUCCACACGCAAUAUUUUGACCUGUAUUUUUGUUUUCAGGUGAUUUUAGAGAGUUUGAGAAUGGCAAGCAUUAUAUCAUUCACAUUUCGAGAGGCAGUGACAGGUGUGGAAUAUAAAGGUCGGCUUUCUUGUAAGGGAUAUGCACCCUUUUCGGGGGCAUCCUAAUUCUUGUAAUAUUAUCAAAUAAUCCACUGAAUUUUGCUAUUUGUAUGCCGACAUUCACACUCCCCUUACAUGAGGGAGGGGCCCACACCCAAUAAAAAAAGUGUGGACCCCUUGUGUGAGGAACGUGUACACUGUCGUGCCGUUGUACGUGUAGGCGUGUACUUAUCUGAAAUAAAUGUUUUUUGGUCACUGACAGGGUACCUAAUUCCAAAGGGAUGGAAGGUCAUGCCUUUAUUUAGGAAUAUUCACCACAAUCCUGAUUUCUUUGUUGAUCCUCAGAAGUUUGAUCCUUCCAGAUUUGAGGUACGAGUUAAUAUUAUACUUUUAAUGGUUGACGUUAAGUGCAUAUUUAGCCCCUAUCUUACAGUCAUGAUCAUAAAAUUUAUAUUUUUUUCUACGUGCUGAUUUCAACCACACAUUCAUACAAUAAAAUAUUCUGCACGUAAACUCAAAAUUUUCUCGUACUUUUUAACCACAUAUUUUCUAAAAAUUCACUAUUCAAAACUUUAGUUUUGCCUUAGUGCUUGUUUGAUACUUUUCAACUUAUCAAACUUAAACUUUUAGCUACAAAUUGGAUCCACAACUUUUUAUCAAUUUUUUUUGUCAAAAGUUUUGUUAAACAAUCCCAUGGUACUUAGAACUAAAUCUAAGAAUCUUUUGUUAGGGCAUAUGAAAAUAGAUUAAGUAUUAAUGCCAAGCAAUUAAACUUCAUUUUCACCAUAUAUUGACCUAAAUAAAAAAUUGAGUUCGACUAAAAAUUUAAUGACCACCAUGAUUUUAAUCCGAUGAAAGUAUGGUACGAAAAAUCUUUUUUUCCUCAAAAUAUAAAGAUUAAAGAGACUUAUUAAGGAGAAAAAAAUUGUAGGAUGAAGUAACGAAUAUUAAUUUAUGGUUUCUUGUAGGAUGUGGUGAAACCCAAUACGUUUAUGCCAUUUGGCAGUGGAGUACAUGCCUGCCUCGGUAACGAACUUGCUAAGCUAGAAAUGCUCGUUAUGAUCCACCAUCUAAGUUCUCAGUUCAGGUACUUUAUCAAACUACAACAAGUAUUUUUGGAAAUGCGUUUUUUAGAUAAAUUAAAUCAUAAAUAACCAAUUCUAUUUUAUACUGCUCGGUUCCUCGUAUGUUCAGUUGAAUUCACCAAACAUGUCAUACAUGUAUUUUAUGCACCAUAUAUCACAAGAUUCGAUUAAAAUAAUGUAACUUUUUUUUUUCCUCUCAAUUUUGUGUUAUACUAUACAGUUUAUCUUACUAACUAUGUGACGACGUUGGUGAGUGGUAUGUGAAAUUAGGUAUUAUUUGACAAUUGUGUUUGUAGGUAUGAAGUGGUGGGAUCCCAAAGUGGGAUUGAACACACGCCAUUCCCCAUCCCUUUCCAAGGACUCCCUGCCAGAUUUUGGAAACAAGAACCAACCAAUUAAGUAGGACAUACCAAGACAAUUGUUCCUUAACCAAUUUUCACUUUUCCUUUCUGUUCCCAUAAUCCAAUUUAAUAUGGAGAUGGCUUUUUUUCCUCAAAGUGAAUUAAUAUAAGUUCAUAAUCAAUGAACUAAUAAUCAAUGAAGAAUUUAGAAUUUAUUCAGAUAUCUCAUUGGUUAAAUAUAGCAAAAUUUGUACUAUUUUUAUUGCAAGGUUGGUAUUGAAAUUGAAAUAUUAAUGAAACAAAAAGACAAUAGAUUUGAUUCAAUCGAAUUAUCUUGUUUCUUGGCUUUGUUGACUUGAAAAAUCGUUUUAUUUUCUUGAUUGUUAUUGAAAAUCAAUUAUUACUUUUUCUCAAGAAAAUUUGCUUGAUAGAGGUCAUAUGUCGCGAGAAAAUGGAAAAUAGUCACUUUUUAUUUUCAUUAAAAUCAUGAGUAGAAAUUAAGGCUUCGAGCAGUCUUGAGCCACACAUUGUGAAAUUAAUUAAAUAAAAAAAAAAAGGAGAGUUUUUAUUAAUUCCAUUCUUUCAUUUCAAUUCCGACAUCUCUGCCCUUAUGUUUUUGUUUAUGAUGUUUGUGAUGCCACUGUUAGUUUACUUAAUGAAAUGUUGAACUAUUGCAAUGUUUAAAAUUUGUUUAUCAUUUUUUUUAUAAACUAGUCGAGUAAAAUUCAAUCAUUUGGUCAAAAUGAUCGAUUUAAGUUCCUAGUUGGUUCUAUAUUGGAGGAAUCGAGUUUGGGAACUUCUAAUUUAUGUAGAAUUAAAUUAUCACGCAAUUUGCAUCCGCUUUUCACAAAUUUUCCCUCGAGUAAUGCAAUUCAACAUUACUGAUAUCAAGCACUAAUUGAAGAGGCAACUUCAUGACAUUAAAUAAUUGAUUCAAAUAAAUGUAAUGUCAUAUGAUUCAUAUAAUUAAAUCUAUUAAAUGUGACCAUCUAAAUCGGCAUUUCAGUACAGUUGGUGCUUGACAACAUUAUUCGAUGUGAAAUGUGAUGUUGGGUGAUAUUUGUUGAUGCCACGUUUUGAAAUGUUUCAUAAAGUUCUAGUUGUGAUGAGAGGCCAUAUUAGAACCAGAUGGUAAGAAUAUGAUUGGUCAAGUGAAGAUGGGUUUGGUCCAUAAGAGCAAUCUCUAAAAGAAUACUAUUGCUUUUGUCGACUACAUUUGACGUUACAUUUCACAAUACGUAGUGAAUUAUUUCAUUUCCUAACAUAUUUUAGUGGAAUUGUAUUUCUUUUUUAUGAAUGAGAGCUCUCUUAAUGAAUAAUGAUAUAUGACGGGUAUUUUAAAAUCAGUCUAAAUAACAAUGUAUGAUAUUAAAAAAAAGGGCUCAAUAUAGGACCAUAUUAAAUUUAAUAUUGAACUUAUCAUGCAUGGCUACAUAAAUUAAUUUGAAAACAUCAACUAGAAUAUAUAGAAUUACCUUUCUUAAAAUUUUAUUUAACUAUGUAAGUCGUCAUUACUAUAAUUUAUUUUCAAUUUGUGCUAUGUUGACAUGUUUAACUGUAUCAAAUUCUCGAAAAAUUGGAUUAAAUGGUCUCAAACCUUUGCUCUUCUUGCAUUUCUUGGUCCCAGAACUUUAAACCUUGACAAUCAUGUCACAAACCUAUGUAUUUUGGCAUAGUUAUUCCUUUUAGAUGGAUUCGGUUUAAAAUGGUGGUUAAUUUUGUGCGUAGAUUGUAAUUUUCUUAUUUUAUUUUUGUCUGAAGAGGCAAAUCUGUCAUAUCAAUAUCAACUUAAGUAAAAAAUAAAAAUAAAUUUAAAAAGAAAAUAGUUUUAAAGAAAAAAUUAUAAUCAUAUUCUUCUUCCACCCACGCUAUAUUUCAUACAUACAAAGACAUGGGAACGGGAAUUGUGACGAGCAGAGUAAUGAUUCGCUUGUACAAGCCACUCGUGAAAAAUGUCAUUUCGAUAAUAAUAAAAAUGUUGACGUGCCACGAGCGGCUCAACUUCUCCCACUUCCCAUCCCUACAUAGACAUUUAGAGAGAGAAAUACAUGUACAAACGUUUACAUUUAGAGCAGUAGAAGGAUAUUUGCAUAUAACAUCCACAUUUUCUGGUGGAUAAACAAACAGAGCUGGUUAGCUAACAUAAUGGUUGUCAAAUCGUAUCUCAUUCAGAUUAAUGCUAAAAAAUUUACAGGCUAUAAUGUUUUAUGUAAUUUGAUCCCGAAACCAAGUAAAUCUUCAAAAUUUUUACCAUAAAAUAGUAAGGCAAACCAAAAACUAGGAACCGGAAUUGAGAACCGGCAAGAUCUGGUUCUUGGUUCUUGAAUUGGAACCGUUGGUACCCAAAUUGAGCCCUUUUAAUAAUACUUUGUUCUCACAAUUUAUAGGCUGAAAAAAAUAAAUAAAUAAUAGGGAAAAUUUCACAUAGAAGAUAUUAAGUAUAGGGCAUUUCAAAAAUAAGAAAAUAAGUAUCAUAUUUCAAAAAUCAGAAAUUAGCCUAAAAAUAAAUACAAAUAUUAAUAUAAUUUAAUAUGGAAAACAAUCCCGAGCAAAGAGCCGUAAUAUCAGGAUUCUCCUAAAAAAAAUUAAUUCAUCUUUCAAUCUGAUUUCAAUAGCCAGAAGAUCUGAAAAUACAUCCAAUUACGACCGGCUCUUGCGGAAUUGAUGGUGAAACCGAAUUCUGGUCACAAAUUGCAGUCGCGGGUCGUAUGAGAUCGGCUCAAACAGUCACUGAAAACAUUAUUCAGGCAUGUAAUUAAAUUGAUCAGGUGUGUAAUUGCGAUUUAUUCAUUAUAAUUUGUCGUUUUUUCACGCUAGACAAGCUUCGAUUGAUCAGAAAUAUGAUUCAUUGUAAUUGCGAAUAACGGACAUUGCCGUUCGAAACUGUUGUGACCGUUAUGGAAAACAUGUGACCCUGGAUGCAAGAUAUAACCUCAUGCAUUCAGUAUGUAUGGGUGUUUGUGUCUCGAAAUGUGUGAAAUGUUUUAAUCUGUGUAUUAUGAUACUGAUGCUCUUGUUCGAAUCUAAUCAUAUGCGACAGACCUAUACUUAGUUACUGUGACCGAUUAUUGCAUGUAAUUGUAACACAUUGAAUACAUGUGACCUGCAUGUAUUCAAUGUGUGACCAUGACAUUCAAGAUACCACAUGCGUUCGCUUUGACCUGUGAUCAUUUAACAGUAUUGUGACCGACAUGCAAUUAACUGUGACCAGUAUACAAAGACUUAAAUGUCACAUAUGACCUAUGCAAUGAUCUGUGACCUCUCGUAAAAAAAAUCUGGGAAAUAAAACUAUGUGACCUGCAUGUUUUCAAUACGUGACAAUGAUACUUGAGAUUCGAUAUAUGUUUAUUGUGACAUUUGACCAUUAAUUUAAUUUUGACCCAUUUGCAAUUAGAUUUAACAUAUAUUUGGAUGUUAGGCUGAUCAUGUAUUUGCAAAUUUUGCAGAAAAUGGGGUUAAUUCACGUGUGUCUGUUGAAUGGAUCACAAGUGUCACUGGUUUUAAUUGAUCGUAGUUGCGGGUAUUUGAGGCUUGUCGACACAGUUAUGAAAGAGUUUAGCUUUGACCCUGCAAAAGUUGUUGUGACAAUGAAGUAUGUCUUGAACAGUGAUCUGUCUCCAGUAGCAAUCAAAAGUGAUGAGAACGUCUUGUCUUACAUGGUUUUAAAGGAUAUGAGUCGUGACCCUGCGAAAUAUCCAAUUCACAUCGAGGUGACAACUGCGGAUAUCGAAAAAUAGCCUAUUGUGCUAUCAGUUGAUGUUAAUCGAACGAGCAUGGGUUUUCAUUAACAGAUAUGUCAUCAGACAUAUGUCGAGCAAUAAUGGAUCCAUCUAGUGACAAUCUUGAGCAUGAGGUCACAGUUGUGGCGGUGGCAGAUGCUAGGGAGGUAGAGGAAGGAAGAGUCUUCCGUAACAAGGAGAUAAUGAAAUUGAGCUUGUCGUUUUAUGCAAUCCAGAACAUGUUUGAGUACGUGGUUGUUCGGUUCGAUAAGAAAGACUAUCUUGUAAAAUGUACACGUGAUGAGUGUAAUUGGAUAUGUAGAGCAUCGAAGCUAGCCAAAACAGAUAUGUUUAAAAUCAGACACAUUGCAGAAGGUCACAUAUGUGCUUCAAACAUCGUACUCAGUACUCAUAGGCAAGUAGCAAAGACGGUUGUGUCAACUUGCAUUAAGUAUAAGUACACAUCAUCGCGCACAAUAUACACACCGAAUGAUAUACGCAACGACAUGCUGCAUACAUACGGAGUAUCUUUGAAUUAUGUCCAAGCUUGGCGAUCUCGAGAAGAAACUCUGAAAGUGCUUAGGGGUGAUCCAACCGAUUCAUUCAAUAAGAUACCAGCCUUUUUUUUUGUGAUACAACAAACAAAUCCUGGAUCAGUGACAUGUCUAGAAAUUGAUGGUCACAAUAGGUUUAAAUAUUACUUCAUGGCACUAGGUGCAUCUAUACGGGGAUGGAAACAUUGUAGGCCAGUUGUUGUGGUUGAUAGCACCUAUCUAAAUGGACACUAUGGUGACACCUUAUUCACGGCAUGUACACAAUAUGCAAAUAACAGCAUUUAUGUACUUGCUUUCGGGAUUGGGGAUAACGAGAAUGACAGCUCCUGGACAUGGUUUUUUAGACAGUUGAGAAAAGCAUAUGGGGAUAGAGACAGUUUGUGCUUCGUGUCGGAUCGUCACAACAGCAUCAAAAAGGCGAUUGAAAACGUGUAUCUGGGAGCAUGUCACAGGAUAUGUUCUUACCAUCUACUACAAAAUCUAAAAUCACGGUACGGGAGAUCAGGACAAAACAUAACACAAGCAUUCAAUGCAGCUGUUCGCACCUACACACUAUUGGAAUAUGAAUAUUACAUGCAACAACUUGGGUCGAUUAAUCAGAAGAUAAGGGGUUAUCUGGUACUAUACUAUAUGUUGUCCUAUGAUGAUAUUCACAUAAAUACGUUUAACAUGGUACUGUACGCUAUAUGAUACACAUUUCCAUGGUUUUGUUUUGUAGGACAAAGUUGGACCUGAGAGAUGGUCACGUAUCCACAUGCCUUCAAACCGGUAUUCUACAAUGACAUCGAAUAUUGUGGAGUCGAUUAAUGCGGUCACAAAGUCUGCCAAGAACUACCCUAUUCUAGCUUUGUUGGAGUCAUUGAGACAAAUUCUACAAUCUUGGUUCUGUAGACACAAGGAGGAUGCCCAAGGCACUUUUACAACCUUGUCAAUCAAGUAUGAGAAGAAGAUGAGGGAAAUGAGUACAGAUAUAAGAAACUUGAGGGUAAGCUUGAUUACUGUAACCUAAUCUAUAAUCUGUGACUUACCGGAUCUGAUCUGUGACAUGUGCUGUGACUUCUGCUGUGAUCUGUACCGUUGUGUUUCAGUAAUAUUUGUACAAUAUUAUAUAGAACUACAUGACUUGCAAUUUCGUCUGUGUCCUACUUUUUAAUUACGUGACUUGUUAUGCCUAUAACUUGAGUCUAUAUCUGUAGGUUUCACCCAUUAAUCAGGCAAUGUUCUCAGUUAGCGGUGAAAGUUCCUCCUUCGUUGUUGAUAUAGAAAAUCGGACAUGCAUAUGUAGGAUGCUUCAAGUUGAUCAACUACCUUGUCCACAUGCUUUGGCUGUGUUUGCGAGUAUGAAGAUGGAUCCAUAUGAAUACUGCUCCUACUACUACACAAGUGAAGCGUUCAGAAAUACAUACCAAGAAACCAUUUUUUCGGUAGGAAAUCCAGCUGAAUGGACAGUGCCAAAUGAUGUCCAUGACAUAGUUGUAAUUGCACCUAAUCAAAAGCGAAGUUGUGGAAGGCCUACUGAGAAGAGAUUCAGAGCAGCGUACGAGGAAAACAUAACCGUCAAAUGUGGUCGGUGUGGUGAAAGUGGUCACAAUCGUAGAACAUGCAGCAGCUUAGUUCCGUUGAGUCAAAGCAACAAGAAUAAAGAGAGGAGGAUGAUGAAGGACUGGAAAUGCACAUUGAUAAAAUUUUUAUAAUUCCAUUGUUUUUUUUAUUCAUUAAUUUUUUGUAAACGUAGGAUGCAAAACAUUGGAUGACACAAAUUAAUGAUCUGUGAUCAUUCUACAAUAACAUGUGACUAGUAUGCGUUAACUAUGAUCAUUAUUAAUGACAUGUGAUCAGAAUGCAGUGACUUGUGACCAAUAUAAAUGAUCUGUGACCAGAAUUCAGUGACCAGUGACCCCUGUGCAAUCAACUGUGAAUAUAUGAAAUCAUCUGUGACUAGAUGUCAUUGAGCUGUGACCAAUAUGCAGAAAUCUGUGACCAUUUAUUGUGACCAACAAAAGAUGACCAGUGACAUAUUGCAAAAACUCUGCAAAAUGGAAGUGGUUCAGCUGUGACAAAUGUAUGAAAUGAUCUGUAACAAAUCUUCAAUGACCUGUGACCAGAUUGGAUUGACUUUUAAUAAUUCUUUAUGACCUGUGACCAAUAUACUGUGACCUGUGACCAGGGUGCAGUGACCUGUGACAAUGGGAAUUGACCUGUGACCAAAUUACACAAACCAGUGACCUGUGAUAAUCCUAGAAACUAGUGACCUGUGAUAAUCCUAAAAAUUGCAGGUAACCUGUGACCUGUGACAAUGGGAAUUGACCUGUGACCAAAUUACACAAACCAGUGACCUUGGAACUGCAGAUAAUCCUAGAAACUGGUGACCUGUGAUAAUCCUAAAAAUUGCAGGUAACCUGUGACCUGUGACCUGUGACCAGGUUGCAGUGACCUGUGACAAUGGGAAUUGACCUGUGACCAAAUUACACAAACCAGUGACCUUGGAACUGCAGAUAAUCCUAGAAACUGGUGACAUGUGAUAAUCCGAAUAACUGCAGGUAACCAUUAAAUUUUGAGACUUUGCCCUCGAUACGGUGUCAAUAUAGCAAAAUAUGAUAUAUAGUGAAACUUGUAGUAAAGUCCCCAAACAUUAAUGAACUUUUUGAUAUAAACAGACAAAAGUAAUAACUGCGUUGUCAUUACAAACGAAUUUCCAAAACAUUGAGACAAUGUUUCCUGCUAUUACAACAUGUUACUUCUAAAUUGCACUAUCACUCUAAAACAAUGCUUUCCCCACCAGUAGGCUGCACCGGCUUUCUAGUCUUCCCGAUUUCACGAUGUUUGAACAACAGUGAAGCUACAUCCAACCGAGCUCUCCCCGCAUCAAACUUCAUUGGCAUGGAUCCUAUAUCGUCAUGUAGCAUGUACUCCGCGUACUUGACCACGUAAAUGCCACAAUCAUGUCUAAGAACACAAAAAACAAAAUAUUAGCUAUGAAAUCAAGCAAGUUAUAAUAUGUUUAACUGUUAGUGGAGGGAAAAAAACUUGCCCAUUUUUCUGUUGGGGAAGAGAGAAAUCAAAAUCCACAUUCAACUCCAUGGAAUCUUUUUUCCAUAUUCCAACAGAUUUCAUAAGAUGCGGAAGCAUGCUGACAAAGGGAUCAAUUCCAGUACGAACUUUGAUAUCAUUGUAUGUCUUCCUAGACGAAUUCAAUAAACGCAACGUAUGUGCCUUUAUGUCCAACACUCCAAGCAUCCAAUGUGCUUUGUUGGUAGGCAGAAGUGGGAUAAACACAAGGUCAACUUCAGCCCAUGGAGUGCUCAAUGGAAUUCGCGCACCGGUAAUAUCGUUAAUCAGUUUAUCAUCCGUGACAAGAACAUUUGCAUCAUCCUUGAAAUUAGGAUACAUGUGCUUUAGGUUGGCCUGGAACAACGAGUCCGUUGUGGUAGCUACAAACUUGAAAUCUCUUGCACUUCUUGCCAGUUGACGUAUAUAAUAGAAGCACACGUCCAUAUGCUAUAGAGAUGAAAGUACAAUAAACAAUUUAGAAACCAUGUAUACACCAGAAAACACGAUGCAAUAAGCUGUUAAUUUGAUGUGUGACUCGGCUAGAAUGUGAUCACUACAAUCUGUAGUUAGUGACCACUCCAUAACUGAACCGGACGUAAUAAAGACAUGUGUGCUAUACUGAUGCAACUGCAGAUAUGUGUUCUCCUGUGCAGCGCGGAUUGUGACCUACUGUUCGUGUGAUUUGUGACCCAGGCAUCAGCUGUGACCUACUGUUCGCGUGAUCUGUGACCUACUGCUCGUGUGAUCUGUGACCCAUGCUCUGUGUGACUAGUAUACAAAAAACUGUGACUAAUGUGACAUGUACUGUAACAUACCCUUUAGAACUGUUACUUUUGUGUAGUGACUUACCGAACUAGUCAACGACACCUCCCUAGAUACAAAUUCGUACCACCGUGUCUUGUUUCCCGCCAAGUACUGACCGAUUGAAAAAGGUGGACGGAUGACAUCAUCUUUAUCAUUGAACUUCUUCCUGCAAAUGAGAAGAACGGAUCAUUAUUUGGAACAUUGUGAAAAUAGGACAACAAUUUCGUACUUGUUAUGCGGUUUGUAUCCUCUUUGAAACCAAUUUUGAAAGUCAGCAACAUCUGCAUCUUGUACAUUCUGAUUGUAGUGUUCAAAGACCACUACAUUUCCUGAAAAUUUCAUUUGUUUCAUUUUGUCGGCAACAUAAGGGGACUGAAGGGCUUUAGCUGGCUUUGGAGCCCUCUUCACCGGCAAUCCAGAACUUGGUGCAGCCUCAGGUGAGUGCUGCGUAAUAAAAUGUGUUCUUUAAUAUGUGACAUGCAUUAAUCACCAAAAAUACAUCGAUGUUUGGAUACCUCUUGCUGAAAACAUUCCGUGUCCUUCAAAACAUCGGCUAUGACCGAUUCAACUUGCCUGUCAACGUCCUUUGAUGCUUUUGCAACAAUCUGGCUUGGUUGUGUGAAUCCAAGACCAAGAUCAAAAGAUGGAGGUUCAAUAGAACAUGGGAAUUCAACUGCACACACAAAAUCAACCUUUGCCUUGCCUUUCGAAUCAACACUUCGUUCGACUUUUGCAGCCUGAAAAUUAGAACAAAAAUGCAUUUGAUGAGAAGUGUAUAUCAAACGGUUUAUGGUAAACAGACAAGUAAGAGGCAGUCACAGUUGGGGUACUUACUUCGCAUGUUGGUCCAGAUCCUACAACAAUUUCUGGUCCUGCGUUCUCUCUGAAUUUUUUCAUAAUUUCUUCCAUUGAACUAGUAUCAAUUUAGUCACAGAAUCAGACAUACACUGCAUGUGUGCUUUGAUGUCCAACAUGUCAGUACGAAUUUCACCUUGCAUACGAACUAGCAGAUUCAGUUUCCUUUGCUGAUCAGACUUUAAAGAAGACACCUGUAACUGCAUUGACUUGAGCUGUUUGCUUAGCAACCGAUUCUCAGAAUUAAGAUCAGAUAUCUGCCCUUUGAAAUAAUUAUUCAAUUCAUCGACAACCUGCAUCACAUGAAUACCUAUAAUCAGUAAAAUUAUGAUGAUGAAAUAUGACAUUGAUCUGUGAUCAGCAGUGACAUGUGUAUUGGUAUGUGACCCAAUCACCGAAACCUGUGACCUGAAUUUUUAUGUGACCAAAUGGACUUGUUACAUGAUAGAUGAAAUUGGAAGAGCUUACAUUUUUUGAUGGCAUAUCCUCUGAAUCAGUGGUGCCAUCUGACUUAAACUCCCCAGUUGGAGAAUCUUCAUGGAUUGAUGUCCCCUUCCAACUGGGUGGUGCGUCAACAAAGUCAUUAUCAUCAAUGGGGAGAUCAGAGUGUCCCAAUCGUCCAUCGGUUAUCAAAAGCAUGGGAGUAGAUUGUUUCAUUCCUGGAUUACUUGGUUUUGAACUAGUCCCAGCACGAUGAUCUGAUCGGUGUAUGCUACCACCCUUUCUCUUUUCCCCAUGUGACCGAUUGGGUAGGAUAGGUUUCUCAUACUGCACCUGACUCAUGUAUGGCAUUGCCAUUUCAGCUGGUGGGGGGUCCAGGUCACAUAUUACCAACUGCCAUUCAUAUCACAACAAAAAGUGCAAUGUCAACAACCAAAAAUUAUGUAUGAACAAACAGAUAUAGCUUUGCACAUCACACAUAUUCAAUUUGUUUGCAUUAAUUGUGAUAUAACAAGGGCAAAUGGCGCCGAGAAAAUGUCAGUGACCUAGUAUGAAAUGAUCUGUGACAUAAUGAGUAAAUCUGUGACUUCGAGAAUGCAAUUUGUGAUUUGACGAAAAUAUAUUUGUGACCUAAGAAAUAUGAUCUGGAACAUGAGAAAAAUGUGCCAGUUUAAUAUUUUGAAACCAGAACUGCUGCAUCGGUGGUCACUUACGUCGGGAUUGGAGAAGCAUUCAGGUCCCUCAAACUUCGCAGCCGAAGGGUGAUCAUCAGCCGUCCAGUUCAUUAUCCUGGGGUACACUCUCGAAAUCCCUCUCGCAGUGUAUCCAUCGAGACUGGGUAUUGUCUCGUAAAUCCACACUUGAAAGGCUACAAGCAACCCUCUGAGUCUGUAAUGUGUUGAUCUCUUACUCAACCCCUCCCUCAAUGAAUUUACUAGUUUGUCAAACAGCGACUUACCCCAUGGAAACACAUUCAUCGCACUAAAAUCUUCAACUAGUAUAAAUAAGAAGUGCUCCACAGCCUUCUUGUAGUCUCUCGGAUGUAGAUAAGAUGUUAUGAAAUACAAUGCACCUAGCAUGGCAACAUCCUCAUCCGGAAUGUCAGUAGAACCAAAAAAUGCGUCCUUGAUAUUUUCAUGAGUAACAUUUUUCAACCUUGAAAAAUACAAAUUUUUUAAUCGUGAUGGAGUAUUUUCCAUCCUACUUGUGUCAUCAUCGCCGACAUAUCUCAAACCAGUCACCAAACAAAAUUCUGAAAUUGAGAACCGCACGAAUCUCCCAGCUAUGUUGAACCACAACUCACUCUUGUUAGGUUGUUGCACUUGUCUCAGAAGAAAAUAGUGUAUCAGCUGCGAUUGGAUAACAAUUUCCUCGCAUUGCAGGAAGUGAGCAAAACACGUAUUCUGAAGGAUUCGGCGUUGGGCUUCAUUGAGAUUGUUUUUGAAGUUCGACACCACACCUUUGACGGGGGUAAUUGUAAUUUUACCCGGAAACCAACUCUUCUCGGGUAUAAUGUAUCUCCACGCCUGCAACAACGAUCACAAUAAAACUCAUUAUUUUGGUCACAGGUGAAAAUCCAGGUAGUCUCAAACAUCAACAUAUAGGUCACAGAUCCCCUUCAGCAAAAAAGAAAUCAACAACACCUAUACAGAAUGACACAAUAGCGUUCCAUAAUUCACAAAUGAACAACCACUUUUGAAAAAAACAUUAAAAACCCUUACUACAAUCAGGCAUUUCGAUUACAAAUUCAACACAACAUACAUCACAAAUUCAAAAAUACUUCAUCAAUACACAUUACCCAUCGAUUAAAAUGAAGCUAGGUAUACUCGAAAUAAGUGAACAAUUGAAAAAUAUCAAAAAAUCACCUUCUUCGACGACUGUUUUCCGACCGAACUUCUGGAUUUUUGUCUUUUAGAGGAUGAUUCCUUCUGCACUUCAUCCAACUUCCUUUUAACUCUUCUUCCUGACUCGUCGAUUCCAGUUUUCUCCCCACGUUUCCCACUGCUUGAACGAGUCAUCGUUGAAGUUUUAGAAUACUUCGGGUAAACUGUGAACACAGCUUUGGGAAGGAAUGUAAAAAUUAUGUGACCGACAGUGAAAGAAGUUGAUCGGGGAAUCGCCGGAGAACGACAGUGAUGAACGACCGAAUGGAUGAACACGGUUAGGAUGAACACGGUUUAAUCGAAAAAUGGGAUACGUGAGGGACGUGGUUAUGGAAAUGACGGUUUUAUGGAAAUGACGUGUUUAAAGAAAAUACAGUUUCAAAAGUUUUGAAUUACGUGAUUUUAGGUAGAGAUAGCUAUUAAAUAAUUUUAAAUUAAUUAGAAAAUGAAAAAAAAAAUCUGAUUACAGAAAUGUGAAACUUCCACUCUUAUUUAGGAAAUAUGAAUUUAUAAAAUAUGGAUUUGUGUAAUUACCACUAAAUAAUACAAUAUAAAUUUACUUGUAUAGUAAAUAGGCUUCCCAAUUCAGCCCAUGAAAAAACCCGAUCCAAAGCCUUUGGGCCAUUUGUCAAAUAAGUAUAUCCAGCCCAAAAGCAAUCUAGGCCUAGACUUGAGACCAAAAUGGAGAAGAUAAAAUAUGUGGAAAAUUUCAUAAAUAAAAGAACAAGUUUCAAAUUUUAAUUUUUAUUAAAAUUUAUUUUUGAUUUAAUUAAUUAAUUUAUUAAUUAAAAAUAUUUAGGUCACAAAUCUAUAUAAUUUGAUCACAAAUUAACAAUUUAAUUAGUCACUUAUUAGUUUUUUGUUACAAAUCAAAAAUUUUAUGUCACAAAUUAUUUUACGGUUACAAUUCAAAAAUUUUAUAGAUCACAACUUGUUUAUCAGUCACAAAUCAAAAAAUGUAAAAGUCACGAUUUAUUUAUUGAUCACAAAUCACAAAUAUUAGAAUUCACAAGUUAUUAUACAGUUACAAAUUAUCAAUAAUAAAUUAACAAUUUUUUUUGUCACAAUUUAUAUUUUUUAUUGAUUACAGUUUAACCAAUUUAAUGGUCACGAUCAAUCAAAUAAUUCAUGACCACCAACACUUGCGAACACCAUAUCACCACUUCUUCCAGCACCACCACCACCUCCACCUCCACCUCAAACAAAUCAACCCAUUGCAGAAAACACAACCACAUUGUCGAUGCCAAAUCCACCACCAAGAAAAAAAAUUAUUUACAUUAACUGCCACCAUUACUACCACAGAUCAAACCCAAAUUUCCUAGAUCUCCUGUCAUCCACCACCACCUGCACCAUCUAGAUUGUGACAACCAUUGCCAAUGCCAAGCUGUGACUACCAAAAACUACAGCUACUUCACCACCACUGUGACAGCACUGCAAAAUAAAUCCAAAAUCAAAGCCGUAAUGGAAGCGACAACCACUGACACGACCAUCACCAAAGCCUACAUCACAACCGCCAUACCCGCAGUAUCACAGUUGCACCACCACCACCGCCACACCCAAAGGAUCACAGUUUCCAUUUACCUCCCUCUUUAUGGUGGUGUAAAACGUAGAGGAAAUUUUAUAUUGCUGUAAAUUAAGAUGCCUACUUUUACCGUUAUUGCCUAGGAGAAUUUGUUGGAACCUCGAGUUCGAGACUCUUGCAAAAGCCCUCGAAGCCUAACCAGAGAGUGUCGAACGAUGAUGGCGAAGCAACUAAAGAGAUAGAGGAUUCGAGCACGAAUCCGAGAGUUGGAGGCUCCAGGCACAUAUAUAUCGCCGGCUCUCUACGUGACGCCGGAACUGGCUACGAUACCAUGAAUUCUUCCUCGCCUUCGCCGUAUGUCGUCAACCAAAAGAGAUGCGGCGUUGGCAAGAAUAGUAGGCAGACAGUUGAGAAAUGUGAAUCUAAACCCUAGAAAAAAGAGGGAAAUGAUUUGAAUUUGGAGGGGAUGGUGGGCGAUUUUGUAAAUGAAGGUGAAAUAUAGAAAGAGAAUGAAAGGGAUGAAGAUGGCUGGCGAGGUGAAAUAUAGAGUGAGAAAAUGAAAGGGCUGAAUGAAAAUAAAUUUUGGGUUUGGUAGGAUGAAUAUGUAAAUUUGAUUUUGUACUAUAAUUAUUAAUAUUUAAAAUAUAAUAAUUAAUUAAUAAAAUAUCUUAUUUUUGAAAUAGUAAACUUUACCUAUGAUUUAUGAAAUGAGAUCUCUAAAUCUAUUAGAGUGUGUUUGAUUACAUUUAUUUUUCAUGGAAAAUAUCAAUUUUCUACCCAAAUUCCUACUUGGAGUAUUUGAUUGCUAUUUUUUUCCGUGAAAAACAUUUUCCAACUAAAAUUAAGCCUUAUACGGCCCCAAAAUGAAGCAGUUGAAAAAUACUUCCUCCAAGUUGAAAAUUUGAAAUUUACAUCAUUCCAUAUAAAUUUCUUUGGGGUCGAAAGGGUAAAAUCAUUUGACAAGACCUUCUCUAUUUUUGGCGAUUAAGAUUCAAUUUUCAGCUUCACUUCGUAGUUCUGCAAUUUUGGGUGAAUUAUGUUCAAUAAUUGUUUUUUCCCCAUUUAUAAAUUGAAGUGUCAAUUUUUAGCUUCACUUCAUAACUCUGCAAUUUUGGGUGAAUUAUUUUCAAUAAAUUGUUUUGCCAUUAUAUAAUCAGAUUUAUGGUGUUGUAUUAAAGUGUCAAAUUCAAGUUUAACAUAUAUAAAUAUACACACACACACACACUUAGCUAGCAAAUCACCUGAAGAUAUGUUAAGUAGCAUGUCGGUUUCAUUGAAGUGUCAAACUUACUAUUUUUUUUUUUUUUUUUUUUUUUUUUUUGUUUUUUGUAUCAAAAUUUAGGUUGUUUCACACUAUACUUUUCAAUGCAAGUACCCAACUUAUAUUAUAUCAAAUGAUCAUAUGUACUUUAAUUUUCAUGCUCAAUAAUAAAUGAAUGUAAUAAAUAAAUAAAGUCACAAUUUAUUUAUUAUAAAUUAUUAUUUUAUCAUAAUAAAAUAUACUAUAUGGACACACAAUCCAACAACUAACUCCGUCACACCACCUUGAUCGACCUGCCAAUAUUCUAUAAACCUCAAGAAAUUCUCCAUGUGAGUGCUCCAAUGAUUAUAAUGACCAUCAAAGCGUGCAGUUGCAAGUUGAACAAAACUUUCAGAAGCAAUUUGGAAACGACUGCUGCAAAGAAAGAAAAAUCUAAUGCCACAACACACUUUCUUCCUCACUUUUCCAUAACUAGGCUCUGAUACCACUAUUAUAAAUUGAAAACUAAAAACUAAAUGUGAAUGGAGGGGUAAAAAAAAAAAUAAAAAUAAAAAAAUAAAAAACUUCCAUACUAUAGGCUUAUUCGAUUAACCAAAUGGCCCUUUAAAUAGACAAUACGUCAUAAAAAAAUAAGCUGAAAAAGCGCAACUGACGCUCUAGGAUGUGAUAUAAAACUAGCAAAAAUGAUUAUAACUAGGACAACAUAACACAAUAUGACAAACCACGUGAACGACAACUUUGACAAUCCAUAACAAAUACGAAUAAUAAUCCACUGAAGCCCCUUUGUUGGAAAAUUGAAAUGUCAUAUAAUUAAGACCAAUUAACAUAUGCAUUAUUGUUAUAUUGAUUAAUAAUAUUGUACUUUGUACUUUGAAACCGUUCCGUCCAUACCCACCACAAAUAAAGGACCUUAAUCAUUUGAUACCAUCAAUGUUCCAACUUUAAAAGCCUUAAUUUUUUGCGUUAUAUUUGAUCUUCGAACCUAAAAUUCGACAAGAUUAAAGAAGAAAGAGACUUAAGAUUGCUUGUCAAUUGUUUUAUUUAUGCAGGGCAACCCAUGUGAAUUAAUAAAUUAAAGAAUAAACUCAAACAAUCUUCUAAUUUUAUCUUUGUUUGUAAGAUUUAACAGAAAAUUAAAUUUGAGAACCGUCGACUCAAACGAAUUUCAAAAGCAAAAAUGUGGAGAGGCUCAAAUUUAUUCAAUAAUCCAAGAUUGAGUCGACCCUAGUGGACCUCAUUUUUAUAGUUCAAAAUUUAGUCUUCAUGAGGGCUAGGGACCUUGCUUGGGUGAAGCUCAGUUUUUGUUAGAAAAAUAUAGUUCUUUGUCUAAAUCCAACUAUGUUUAUCAAGCACUUAGCAGUUGAUCUAAAACCGAAUAAGAAUUUGUUUUAAACUUAAAAUGUUCUCUAGAUUAGUAGAAGGCAUAUCCAACUCAAGUGUGCACACGAAAAACAAGAAGAAUAGGUUUUUUAGAAUAGUUAUGCUUGUGAGCAUUGAAAGUAACACUCCAUCACAUGCUCUACAUGGUUUUCCAUUAAUUUUGUAGACGGGUCUCGAGAUGGUCCCAAGUUUCUUUGAGGUUCACGUGUGGUCUUACUUGGAAUGUUUCGUUAUUCAUCUAUUGUUCUUUUUUAAGGAUGGGGACGGAGUUGUACUGUUCUUUGGUAGUUUUCAGUAGUAAAUCAUGUAUAAUUUUAAAUUACUUAUAUAAUCAAAAAUAAUUUUUUAAGUUGUUCUAUGUGCUAACAAAAGUUAUUGUCUUGGAGGGAAAUUUUCAACAUUGAUACUACUGAAUCUAGAGACUCGAAAAAUAAAAUGAAAAGCUAUUAUAAAUGUACUCCAUGGGAAACUAUAUGUUCUGAGUUCCUUCCAUUUUAUAUUUCCUAUCCUGGAAUUGUGCAUGUAUGCGUAGUGUGCUACUAAAUUUGACUUAAGGUCGCAUUUCUAGAAAUGCGACUUUGCAAAUGGAGGCCUUUUCUGAGAUCUUGGCACCUGGCGUAAUCCUAACUGUUUGAUGACGUUUUAGGAUGGUUUUAGGGUUUGUCUAUAUGUACAUCGGGGUUGACGUGCACCGACCCCCCCCCCCACAAGAGGAGGGAGGCCACAUAUAUUUAUUCGUCAUGGGCCCCCCUCUUGUGAGGGGGUCUGUGCACCGGGGUAUCAAACCUGGUGUACAAAUAGAAAAACUCGUGGUUUUAUUGCCAUUAUCUCUGCCGUUUCACUUGAAAUACUUCAUUCUAGCUUUUCAAAUUUCUGUGACGAGAGAGUUUACGCUAGUUUGGUUAGGGUUUCAUCUUGAAUCAUCUUCUCUCUUGAAAAUCUCAUUCGCAAUUGAGAUCAAUGUUUUACUUCCUUUGAUUCUUGUAUUUUCCGAGUGGUUCUUAUACUUUGUUGAUCAAAGUAUUGUUUAGAGGCUUCUUUCGUGAUUCCUUGAGUAGACUUGCAGUUUUAUCUUUGAAAAGAUAACUAUUGUGACUUUAUCUUGUAUUGGUUCAACGUUUAUAAACUUUGUUGUCUUUUGCGGCUAAAUAGUGCAAUCGAGCAUUAUCCAUUUUAUAUGGAUAAUCAACAGGGAAUUACGUAUUAGAAGUAAUCAUCGAACCCUCGGAGUUUCAGCCGAAACAAUUCUUUGUGUUGGUUUUCAUUUCUUGCAAGUUUAUUUUCUAUAUUAUUUUUGAGUUCGACAAAUCACUCAUACCUUGCGUUUUUUGGGCAUUUGAGUAGUAUCAAAGCUUGGAUCUUGAAUUGCGAAACCAAUUCUUCAAGGAAACUAAAGAUCUUAGAGGGACCUCAAAUUUUUGUGCACUGUUUUGAAGGAAUUUGAGUUUUUCUUAUAAAACUCACUUGAUGAGAUUUUUUAAUAUUAUGCAACAUACAAUUUUAAAAAAUUAGAGUUUCUAGAUUUUUUCCUUGAUUUACGAUACCAUUACAAAAUAUCCGCCGGAUACUAAUAUGUGUCCAAAGUCUCUUAUAAGGUUUUGGAAAUUUAAGAUAAAUCGAGUACACGUGUAUAACGGGAGGAAUAAAAAUUUGUGAUCUCUAUUUGCGAUUCUUGUGAUAUUUUUUGUUGCAUGUCCACUAUUAAGUACAUAUUCUUUGAUUAAGUAAAAACUCUUGUGUAUAACUCGAAAUAUUAUACCAUUACGUGCACUGCUGUGAUUUAAACUGAUCUUGUUGAAGUGUUGGUUCUUUACCGUGUGUCUUUCACAGUCUCUAGUCAGACUUGCUUGUCAGUCUCUUACGAAACAAUAUGAUGGGAAGGGGAUUUUAAUAUGUGGAGUCAGAAAAGGAAAGGUACCUUGAUGCAAAUGAGAUAUGCUAAGGCCUUAGAUAAUACUUGGCCUGCUGAUAUGGUCCCUACUAAAAGAGCUGAAAAAGAAGACAUUGCUUAGAGUACUAUGUUUUGUUCCUUUCUAAAAUGUGAUUAGAACCAUUGGUGAAACUAAAACAGUUAUUGAACUUUGAAUCAAUUGCAGGCUCAGUAUAUUACCAAAACUUUUCCAAAUGUGUGUUAUUUGUUGAAACAGUUCUUUUCUUCUAAAAUGGAUCCUUCUAUUGACUUGGAAUAAAACUUGAAUAGAUUUAUAAAACUUACCAAGAUUUAGCCUACUGUGAUGAAAAACUUUCAAAAGAUCAAUUGGUUAUGGUCUUGUUAAACUCCAUUAGUGACAGUCAUAGAAACCUCAAUAAUACCCUUAAAUAUGGUACAGAUGAGAUCACUAUUGAUAUUAUAAUCGGUGCCCUUAGAAAUAGAAUUCUUGAAAUAAAUUCUGAAUUUAAAGAUGGUCAAAAAGGAGAAAAUUCAUUGGUUAAGGAUAGGAGCAUUGGAAAAUCUAAUCAUCACUCUAUAGGCAAUAAUGAGUAUAAAAAGAAAUAGAGUGAUGAGAAUAAACUCUAAAAAUGUUUGACAUGUAUGAUUUCAAACUUGUAACUUUGCCAUUAAUCAAUCAUUUUAAGCUUUCCUCCAACUGCCGCCCAAGGAAGAGCAUGAUUACUUAUGCAAAUGUUAUUGGAUCUAUCAUGUACUCGAUGAUAUACACUAGACCUGAUCUUGUUCAUAGCAUUAGUGUACCUAGCAAAUUUAUGAGUAACCCUGGGCAAGAACAUUGGGAUGGAUUGAAAUAGCUUUUGAAAUAUCAUAAAAGAACUUUUGAUUUAGGAUUUAUGUUUAAAAUGAAGUGGUAACUUCCAAAGGUUGUACUGAUUUUUACUUUACUGGAGAUAGGGAUAAUAGGAGAUUAACUUCAUCCUAUUGAUUGCGUGGACGCUUCAAGAGAUCUUAAAUUCAAGCUCAGAAAAACAACCAAACGAAUACCUCCCAACCUCGGCUCAACCCACACCCUUCCUUCACUUUGAUUGCUUCAAGAUUUCUUACCGUCAAAGGAUGAUGGUGGUGGUGACUAUAAUAUAGAGGAAAGAAUGAAGCAACAAUGGUUGAGUUUCUCAAAACUCACACCAAAAAUUGGUUGUCUCCUUCACUCUUUUCUCCAUUUUUUCACAUACGCGCAAACGCCAAUAUAUAUAUACGUUAAUGCUAGUUUGGUCAAGACUCACUUAAAUAGGCCACCUUAAUAACAAGGUAAAUGGGCUCACACACAUUAUCUCGAACUCAAACUUGGGUCCUUCAUAAGUGUAGGCUAUUUUCGGUCAAGCCUAGUGUAUGUUGAUGUUCAUUUAAUGGUUUAUUGAGCCCGAAUUAAAGAUUUCUCAAAGUUUCGUAUAAUAAAUGGUAUUAGAGCUUAUGUUAUUGAGAAAUUUGUGAAUUUUUCAGCCAAAAUCGAUUGUAAGGCUAAAAAUGAAGCUGGAAAAUGGAAGAAAAUAGGAAAUAAUCUGGAUACAUUGGAAAUCAUCUCUUUCAGUUUUUUUUCUUUUUUUUUUUUUGGUAAUUCUCGGCUAGACAACUCACGGUUUGGAGAAACCAACGCCACAUGAAGACUAUGCAAGUGGAGGAGCACAUGGGAGACUUGCCCGUGAAGCUCUGGCAUGACGGCAGUGAAGCCACCUGGAAAGAAAGAAGUCUGACGUGAUAGAAGUCUGGCAGGGUUUGGUAACAACACUUGAAGACAAAAAUAUUGCUGACAGCGAAGUGGAUCCUGCGAUGGUGCUUAUUUUCUAUUUGGGAGCAAAAUAGUUAAAUCUAGACUAUUUUACCCUUGGACGUUGUGGUGUCGGAUUUUUUUUUUUUUGUUUGUCGAAGUUUUUGGAGGCUUUAAAGCGAAUAGUGGUGGCCUAAAGUGAUGAAUUGUGCAUAUUUCAAUUACGUCUAUCAUAGGGAUAACCAUUUACUUUUCACAUUAGAAGUCAUUGUGUGGGGUGACAUUAGGUUUGGGGUUAUUGGGUGGGGGUAACCAUUGCUUGUUGCUAAACCUAAGAAUUAUUUUUUUUAAUUAUUUCUAAAUUUUUCUACAUUGCUAGAAUUGCAUGUGACCUUAGGGAAGUUUGUUUGACUAUUGCGUGUGAAUUGUGUCUUUACUUUGCUUGUGGUUAAUAUUUGGUGUUGAUGGCAAAUGUAGGUCUGAGACAAGUACGAAAAGUAAGGUGAUUUUUAACAUCAAUAUUUCAGACAUGUUGAAAGAGAUUGUCGUAUGAAGGAUAAUAGAAGGAAAAAUAAAGAGAGAGGUGAGGUAAAUGUUGCCACUCAGUUUGGUUAUAACUCGAGUGACGUUUAUUGAGAGUAAACUUGGAUACUGUAUGUUCAUUUGUGUAUAAUCAUUUCUUCAUGUAUGGUCGCUUAAUUUUAUUACAAUGUUAUAUAUUACAUUUUCAAUCUGUUUGAUGUGUUUAAUCGCAUGAAUUAAGAGUAAUCUUAAUGUGUAUGUAUACAUAGUGUGUUGAGAUCUAUGACAUAUUCUUUUUGCUCUGUGGGUGGUACAAGAAAGUGUGGUAGUGAAAAGAAAAAGGGGUAGCUAUUUUCUCCUUUACAUUUGUGGGCCUAUGUCGUUUGUGAGAUUAUAUGAGGUAGCCAUGUGUGGGUUAUCAUCUUUCUCUUUGUGAGCCUUUUAGUAAUUGUAGCGAAGAACCAACUGUUUCUUAUAUUUUCCUUGUGAGUGCCACAUACAUCCUUCUUUUUGUGGACUUCUUGAGCUUUGAUGAGGAAGAAAUCUUUUCAUGCGUUGGUCAAUUUAAACUGAGCCCUAACCUUUGUGGUCACCAAAGGUGUCAAUUUUGUCAUAGUGGCGUUGAUAGUAAGCGUGCUGUGUUUCAUUUGGUAAUGUGAAGUAUAGAUGCCUGAGGGUGCAUUGGUGAUAUACAUGGAUAUGUGGAUAGUGAAAUUUGGAUCAUGAGUAGAGAUGUGAUUAAAUGUCCAGACUCCUCUAUCUAUGAAAGACCUUGUACAGUUAAAGUGUGAGAGAGACAUUUUUAUCGCUUCUGUUAGGUAGAGACACAUUGUCCACUUAGAUUGAGACAAGUGAGGUACUGACAGAAAUAUUAUCUCGUGGACUUAAAAUCUAUUGUGGUUUACCAAUUAGACAUGAAUUUAGUGAUCAAUCUAGUGAGCAUGGUGGACGGUGAGAGAGAUAUAUGUUCUCAAAGUACAAGCAAUACGGAAUGAGAUAGGAUAAGUGUGAUGAGAUCUUUUUACGGGUUUAUUUAAGCACUUGUUGUAUAUGUGUUAGUCGUUUGAUUGAUUAACGUGAUAUUAGUUUACUGUUUUGUGUGAACAUAUUUGAAUGGACCUAUAUGUUAUCCUAUUUUAUAUCUUCAUCGUAUGUUUAUAUGUUUUUAAUUUAUUACUGUGAUUAUUUGUUCCUAUUUAGGUAAUUUUGACAUUAGCCCUGAUUAGUGCAUUGAAUAGGUAUGGUAUGUCUUUGGGGUCGAAAACACGAGUUAAGGUCUGUGGUUUUGAUUAUGGUGUCCUUAGAUCCUUGUGUGGAAGCUUCGAGAAAUCUUUAGUACGGGCUCAGAAAAACCAUCAAAUGAACACCACCUCUGGCUUGCUUGACCCACAACUUUACACUUGGUUGUCUUCUUUCCAACACCCACAAAGCAUAGAACUUCGGUGAUUAAUGUGUGCCAACAAAGGAGGAAGAGAAUAAAUAAAGGAAUGGUUGAACUCAAAUUAUACCUAAGUUGGUUACCGCACAUUUUCUCUGCACAAUUGCACAUUAACUCACGGCUGCCAAAAAUGAAGAGAUAAUGGAUGUAUACAGUAUUAGGUUAGAUUCCAAACUUGGCCAAAUACUUUAAAUGGGCCAAGACAAAUAACAACUAGGAAAAAUUCAUAAAUAAGAUGUUAACAAUCACCUAUUUCAAAAUUAAGAACAAAGGUUUCAAAUUUCAAAAAUCAGAUAUUUAUUACAAUUUAUUUACGAUUUAAUUAAUUAAUUAUAUAUUUUAUUAAUUAAACAUAUUAAAGUCAUAGAUGUAUGCAAUUUGGUCACAAAUUCACAAAUUUAAUUGUUUACAUAUUAUUUUUCGAUCACAGAUCAAAAUUUUUAUAUGUCAAAAAUUAUUUUACAAUCACAAUUCAAAAAUUUUAUAGGCCAUAAUUCAUACAUCGAUCACAAAUAAUGAACAUUAUAAGUCACAACUUAUUGGUCACUUACAAAUUAUCAUAGUAUCAGCCACAAAUUAACAAUUUUUUAGGUCACACAUAUUUCUUGGUCAUAGUUCAUCUCUUUCAUUGAUCACAUAUUAUUUAUUGGUCACUGAUUAACCAAUUUAAUUGUCACAAUCAACUGAAUAAUUUGUGACUACCAUUAAUGCGUCUAACCAUCACGUCACCACUGCCUCCGAUAGCACCAUCUCGCGGCCUGAAACUCCAUCACCUACAACAAAUCUAACAUAUUGCAAAAAAAACCAACAAUUCGUCGAGCCAAAUCCAUCGCUACCUCACGACCACAAACACCGACAAACCACCAUUUUCAACUACAAAACUACCACCCGUCAACACAUCCAUGCCACAUUUACCAACACCAUCACCUCCACCAACAAAAGUCACCCCACCACCGAUCUGACACUAUCGCACCCAAAUAAUUGGUCACAACCCGGCUCCAAAACCACUGCCUGGCUACCACAGUACCCGCAAAACCACCACACCAGCACCGUGCAUAUAGCACACAACCACUGCCACCGUUAUAGCCAUCUCCUCUAUCUCAAUCUACACCAAAUCACUACCACAUCCCUGCCAAAAAAUCCUCAAACUCGCAGCCACCACCAAAUAUAAUACCACCUACACUACUAUAGGCAAAAGCAUCGCAAAACUCACGUAAUAAGAUAAAAUAAGUAGCCCAAAAACCUCCAUCGUCGAUUGCCACACUGCAGCAGCAGCAAGUGGUGCUAUAAUCUCAACAUAGAACUGACGCAAAUGAUGUCCGAAGCGUGAGGGUUGAAGCCCAUCGCUCACACAGCACCAGUAGCGUCGUGUGAGUACAGCACCGACAACGUGAGGAUAAAGAGAGAGAAAGGGGAAAAGUGAGAUAUAGAGAGAAAAAUGAUGUGAAAAUUGAUUAGGUUUUAGUAUGAAAAUUGUAUAUUUAAUAUUUAAAUAUGAAAUAUCUAAUUUGUGAAAUGUGAAACGUCCAACUUGAUUUUUGAACAUCGAUCUUUAAAGGUGGAGUGGGGUGUAAUUUCCUCUAACCCUCUAACAACCAACCAUUAGUUGGGUUUACACACAUAUCACUCUCCAAACCUAAACAACAAAUGGGAUAACUCACAAAUGUGCCAUCCUAAAUGAAUUGGUAGUUUUUGAGUCAAGCCAAGCACUAUGGUGUCGAUGAAUUAUCCAACAUAUAUUUUAAAUCAUAGCCGGAAAUUUAUUUGGUAUAAAAAAUUCAACACUAUUUUUAUGCACUCUGCAGUACUAUUGUAAUUUGGAAAUCACAACUUCAAAAGGUUGUGUCUCUAUCUUCAACAAAGGCAGAAUAUAUUGUUUCCACCGAUGCCAUUAAAGAAGGUAUUUGGUUAAGUGAUUUGUUAGGUGAACUUGAUUUUGUUGAUGAAAAUACAAUACUAUUUUUACAUAACCAAAGUGUCAUACAUUUGAGUAUAAAAUCCCAUGUUUCAUGAUAGAACUAAGCACAUGUAUAUUAAAUAUAAUUUCAUAAAAAACUUUAUUUCAAAAGGGAUACUUAAUGGUAAAUUGUUACUCAAUUUAAUCAUUUAGAUAUGGGUACCAAAGUAAUACCUUUAUGUAAGUUUCAAAAUUGCUUGAAGUUAUUAUUCGUUGAUACUAUGUGUUAAAUGUGCAAGUACACUGACCAAUGAAAUAUAAAAAUGUUGGUAAUGCUCUUGGUUGCACUAUUAACUCCAAAUUCUAGAUAGCAAGGUAUAAGCUUGCUGGAAUUGUACAUGUGUUUGCAGUGUGCUCCCGAAUUUGACAUAAAGUCGCAAUUUUGGAAAUGCAACUUUGCAAGUGGAGGCCCUUUAUGAGAUCUUAAUGUUAAGUGAAUAAAUCCCACAUCGGUUAAAUACCGAAAUAUUGACCAACUUAAAUAGAUCUUGGGUCACUCCUCUUAAUAAGGUUGACCUUAUUAAGAUGGACUUCAAAUCUUAACAUGGUAUCAGAGCCCAAUAAGCUCCAACGAGCUAUUCAAUCCGAUUAAGUCUCAAAAAUGAGCACAUGAAUUUCAAAAUUAGUCUGCUAAAAAAGAAUCACCAUCUUGUGGUGCAUGUUAAGGGAAUAAAUCCCACAUCGAUUAAAUAUUGAAAUAUUGAUCAACUUAAAUAGAUCUUGGGCCACUUCUCUUAACAAGGUUGACCUUAUUAAGAUGGACCUCAAAUAUUAACAUGGUAUCAGAGUUCAGUAAGCUCCAACGAGCUAUUCAAUCCGAUUAAGUCUCAAAAUGAGCACACGGAUUCCAAGAUUGGUCUGCUCAAAAAGAGCUAACAUCUUGUGGGGGCAUGUUAAGGGAAUAAAUCCCACAUUGUUAAAAUUUCGAAAUAUUGACCAACUUAAAUAGAUCCUGGGACACUCAUCUUAAUAAGGUUGACCUUAUUAAGAUGGAUCUUAAAUCUGAACACUUAACGCCUGAUGCAAUCUUGGUCAUUUGAUGAUGAUUCUCGAUGGUUCAAUUUCCUUUACUAUGUGUCGUUUCACUUGGGAGACUUCAUUAUGGCUUUGGAGAUUUUUUUGAAGAUAGAGUUUACUCUCUUUUGGUUAGGGUUUCAUCUUGUAUCGUCUUCUGUCUUGAAAAUUUCAAUCGAGACUGAGAUUAGUGUUUUACUUUCUCUAAUUAUUGUAUUUUCUGAGUGGAAUUUUGAAAAAUCAAUAGGGUGCUUAUGUUGUGCCAUUCAAAGUGUUGGUUUGAGGGGUUAUUUUGUGAUUUCUUGAGUGGAUCUAUUGUUUCAUCUUUGAGAAGAUUAGUAUUGUGACUUUAUCUUGUAUUAGUUGAAUUAUUGUAAUCUUCGUUACCCUUUUCGGUAAAUAGUGCAAUCGAGUAUUAUCCAUUUCAUAUGGAUGUUCAACAAAGAUUAGGUGUUAGAAGUGGUCACCGAACUUUUGGGGCUUCACCUGAAACAAUUCUUCAUGUUGAUUUUCAUUUCAUGCAAUUUUACUUUCUGUACUUAGUUUUUGAGUUUGACAAAUCACUUAUAGUUUGUGUUUUUUGGGCAUUUCAUCCUCUAACAUGCAUUAGCUGUAUACUUUGGAUUCACUUAUCAUAUCCAAAAAAGGAAAGAAACUUGCAUGUAUACGUUUGGUACGCUUGGCUAUGAAGUAAGAAAGAAAUAACAAUCAAAGUGUAUAGACACGGAAGAGGAUGCGGUCAUCCAUCCUUCUUAUUGUCAGAGUCUAUCUCAUUUCUAGAAUGGAUUGACGAACUAAAGUAUUGCCCAAAUGAAAUUCUAUUAUAAUUGCCAAUUAUCCCGUCCAGCCCACAUAGGAUGAUUGAGGACAAAAAUGCAAAAUAUGAUGAACUUAUUGUCUUGUCCAAAUGGUCAUUGAACUUUGCAUUGGGUUUCUAAGAAGUCGUUGAACUUUAAAAAUCACUUAAAUAAUCAUUGAACUUUACAAAAGAUUUCUACAAGGUCACUGAAUUUUAAAAAUCAUUCAAAUAGUUACUGAACUUUGCAAAAGGUUUCUCAGGGGUCACUAAAUUCAGUGAUCAUUUAGGUGAUUUUUAAAAUUCAGUGACCCCGUAAAAACCUUUUGCAAAGUUCAGUAACCAUUUAGGUGAUUUUUAAAGUUCAACGAUCCCUUAAAAACGUUUUGCAAAGCUCAGUGACCAUUUGGGCAAUUCACUCGAACUUGGCAGCUUUGAGAUGAAUCAUCAAUAUAUUUAUUUGUUCAUACUCUCUACAUUGUACAAUGGAAUUUUAAAUCAAUAUAAAUAUGUUGGUCGAGUCAAAUAAACAAUAUAUCAAGCAUGCCCAUAAAAGUAAAAGUGAAAUUACUAAAAAUAUGAAUCUCCAAACUUAUUCAAGGGAUUUUAUUUUCUCGUCCAUGGCAAUGGAUUUCUUGCAAUGAGCAAUCGCUGUCUGAAUUGCACUCUGCAACUCUUCCAUAUUACUAUCACGUGCUGUAGUAGGAGUAAGAGUUCCAUUUGCUACUAAUAGACCAAUGUUUGUUUGAGAUGUUCUCAUUGAACUUGGUGCAGAAAACUCCCCUCUUCUUCCUCUCAACUCUGGCUUCCCUCUAUUGCGUAAAUUUCCCGAACAUGAAUAGGAUUGCUUGUGUAAUUUAUCCCCUCUUCUGCAGAUCAGAAAGGGCCGAGCCAUUCUCACGUAUCUUUUCAAAACCUGACUUACAUGGAAUUUUAACUUCUUUUUCUUCCUUUCUUUAUAUUUCUUUUCUCCUUUUCGCCAUUUCAAUAAGCUAAACAAGGAAAAAGGCUUGAAAUUUGCUCUUCCUUUGGCAUCAAAGUUGUGAUCAAUAUUGCUGUCAGUACUGUUGAUUGUCUGAAUGGAUUCUAAUUCUUUAAUGGAUAGGGUAAAACUGUCCAAAGAGUUGUUCGAAGAACGAGGGGAUACUGGAAGGUGGGAGAGUAGAUGGAGAGGAAGCAAAUGGCCAUGGAAAAAUAUAUCAUCUGCUGGAGAUAAAUCUAUGGCGAAUGAAGAAGUGUUCUUAUUAUUUUCUGGGGAUUUUGCAGUUGUUGAAGGAUGAAGAGAAAUGGUGAAGGAGAAUUCAUGAGAAGGAGAUGAACUGAAGGUGGUAAGGGUGCUGCAAUUGGUUGCAGCUGAUUAUUCUCUCUCUGCAGAUUUUCUUCAUGCUUCUCUCUCAUCUUAUGAUGAUGUUUGUCUAUGCUUCAAUGCUAAAAGAUAUGUCGGAUCUGAAGUUUUUCUUGACUUGCUUUGAUAUGAUAUUCUCUGGUUAGAAAUGUGAGGAAAUAUUUUUGAGGGGAUAAGGAUGUUAGGAAGCACUAUAGUUCGUGUGUGAGUAUCGGGAGGAUAUGUAGGGCUAACGGGUAAGCGUCGGGUGUGGGUAUGGGGUUACGGAGUGGGACAGGGUUUCAUUUGUUUUUUGAAGGGAGGGGGACUGUUCUCAACAGGGUGGUUAAAUGAAAUCCGUAUUUAAUAGUGGGUUUCAUAUGGACUCGAUGGGACAUAAUAAUAAUAAUGAUGAUGAUGAUGAUGAUGAUAAUAAAUUAAAAUAUUGAAAGUGCUUAUGAACGGUCUAAAUUAUAAAUCAAUUAAAAUGUUGAUAAAUAAGUGGAUAAUUUUUAUGAAUCUUAUAAAAUGUGUGGAAUAAGGAGAAAUUUGACCGACUAUAAUCAUUAUCCAAGAAUGAGUUCAAAAAUUUAUAGGUAAUUAAAAUUUUAUGUUGUCGUAAAAUAUCCGAUAAUAAUGACUGAUUAGUUGAUAUUAUUAUGCCCAUGUUUGGUUUCACUAAAAAUUUAGAUUAAAAUUAAAGUUAAAGUCAACAAUUAAUUUUAACUACACAUUUUAUAAGACUCAUAACUUUUCAUCCAAAAAUUCCAUUAACUUUUACCAAAAUCUGGAAAAAAUUCGAUUUUAUCUAAACUAAACAAGGGCCAGAAGGCUAGAUAACUUUCCUACUUUCGAAGAAUGUUUUCUGUUCAAAUUAUCACUCAUUGAAACCUUAUAUAUAACGGUCAAUGCUAUGAUGAAAUUCACACAUGAGUUAUGAUACCCUUAUUUUCUUCUAUUGUUCUUGCUUUUCUUCUUAAUUUAAUAGCACAUUAUCGGCACGAGUUCUAGUGAAUUUAACUAAGAAAAAAAAUUCCCGGCAAAAGAUAAGUUAAGAAUCCGUUAUGAUAAUUUUGAUGAUGCAAUCUUAAUAUGAAAAUUAGUUACAAAAAAAUUUAAGAUAUGCAUUUCAUCAUUACUUUUGAAAAAGAAUGGCCUAAUAUUCAAUUAGAAUUUGUGGGGGUGGAUAUUGCAUUGUUGCUCCUGUAGAGCACAAACUUAAAUAUCAAUAUUUAUGAAAUUUAUUAUAUGGCUCAAAAAUAUAUAAACAUAUAUAUUUCAUAAGAAUAUGGUAUCGUUCAUGAAAAACAUAAAAAAAAUUUCAUUGUGUUUAUGGAGAAGUACAAACUAAACGACUAAAUAUAGUGUUGUAAUCCUUGAAGAAAACACUUCAUUAUUUUAUAAUAUUUAUAUGGUACAUUAUGUUAAUACUUUGGAGGAAGUAUAGUUUUCAUACAAUAUUGUGAAAUAAUAUUUUGUUUUUAAUCUCGAUGAAACAAGAGUUUAUAUUGUAUUAUUGCUCCAGAAGAAAAAUAGAUUUCUUAUUUAUCAAUAUUUUUUAAAAACAUAGUGAUAUUCUUGAAUAAUAAAUUUUAUACAAACCAAUAUCUUACAUAAUUUGAAAUUUUAAAAAUUUCAUAAAAAGCUCCAGAAAGGCCAAAAGUUUGUUAUAUGGGUGAACAAAAUGGAAUACUACAUUAAUCUGCUCCCCAUUUCAAAUGAAUAAUGAUAUUAAAAAUUCACAUAAAUAUUAAUUAAAGAACCAAAAAAUUCUUUCAAUGAAUUCCUUGUGUUUUUGUUCUCAUGAUAUAUGUUGUAAUGUGACCCAAAUUCUUGUGGGUAUUGGUGUCUUAGUUGAAGUGGUCUUGAAGAAAUCAAAAUUGUAGCAAUGAAGAAAAGUCGCCGUAUUUUCGCUAGCCUAACACUAGUUGGCCGCUCGGGCUGCACCAACAUAUUUUGAUUAGAGAUUUUUCACCCGCUUGGUGCUCAAGCGAUGGGGCUGUCACCAUCUAUCACGCCCCGUAGCUCGAGGAACGAGGUCAUCAGCCCAGCCCCUUUUUCCAAGUUUUAAUGCCUUUUGGACUCUUGUUUAUCUUCAACUUAGUUUCUAAGGUUUUAUAUAUAUAAGCCCCUACUUAUAUUGUUCAUAUAACACUCAUACAACAUCUUGAAAGCUUUAGAUCUUAAUUGAGAGCAUUGAAAUUUUGUUGUAAACAAAUUGUUAUUGCUAAUAGUGGAUUUCUCCUCCUCCGCCCAUAGUUUUUUGCCAUGUUAAGUUUUCACGUAAAUCUUGCUAUUAUUUAUUUUGUUCUUGUUUAUUUCAUUAUUGUCAUAAACUUCCGAUCAAAUUCGCAACAAGUAGUAUCAAAAUGAUUCUGAUAACUUGUUUGUUCAUGUCAAGUGAUAUUAGAGCCAGGUUGAUUAUCUAGCAUGACAAUGACGAAGUAUGAUAUUCCAUAAUUGGAUUGAAAUACAAGAUUUUCUUUAUGGAAAGUGAAGACGCGAGCAAUUCUCAUACGGAUGGAUUUGGAAGAAGCCUUGGUUUUGAUAAGAUGCCUUCAACCUGGAUAUAGAGAAAAAGUAGCAUACGGAUCGGAAAGCCCAAUCCCAAAUUUAUCUACUUCUAUCAAAUUAAAUUCUUUAAGAUGUUCUCAAGGAGAAGAGUGCCUCGUAUUAUGGUUAAAGUUGGAGCAGCUUUGUAUGAAAAAGAGAUUGACCAGCAAGCUUCACUUGAAAUAGUUGUAUUUUCACAUGAUGUUCUAAGAUACAUCGUUGGAUGAUCACUUAACUAUGUUCAAAAAAAUUGCGGCCAAUUUGAGACAUUGGAGGUUAAGUAUAAUGAGGAGGACUUGGCGUAGAUGUUGUUGUGUUCACUGUCGCUAUCAUAUAUGACUUUUAGAAAUACUAUCUUCUAUAAUCGAGAUAUUCUCACCAUGGAAGAGAUCUAUGAUUAUUUGCUAUCUAAGGAGAAAAUGCAUCUUGUUGGGGAUCUGUGAGUCAAGCUGAAGGCCUGGUCAUUCGUGGAAGAAGUCAGGAUAAAAAUCUUGAUAGAAAUAUAAAGACCAGAUCGGAAUCCAGACAUAUAGAAAAGUAAUGUCAUUACUCUACGAAGAAGGGAAAUAUCAUGGUUACCUUCAAAAGGAGGUACUUAUUAUCUAUUAAAAGUGUUUGAUGAUUUAUCCAAGAAAGUUUGGGUAUUCUUCUUAAAAUAGAAGAUUGAAUUAUUUGGAACCUUCAAGGAAUGGAAAACAAUGAUAGAAAAGCAAAUUAAGUGUCUAUGCACAGAUAAUGGAUUAGAGUUUUGUUCAGAUGAUUUCAUUAGCUUCUACAGGGCUGAAGGCAUCUUGAGACAUUUGACAGUACCCAGAACUCCUCAACGGAAUGGUGGGCAGAACGGAUGAAAAGAACUUUGAUGGAAAGUAUUCAUUGUAUUUUUUAAAACUCUGGGUUGCCUAAGAUUUUUUGGGCUGAAGCUGCUACCACAACUUGUUUUCUGAUAAAUUGCUCACCCAAAACUGUCAAUGAGAAAAAGGCACCAUAAGAGGUAUGGUCUGAAAAACCUUCUUAUUAUACUGAUUUAAAGAUUUUUGGGUAUCUCACUUAUGCUCAUAUAGAUAAUGGGAACUUGAGGCCUAAUUUAAGGAGAUAUGUCUUUCUUGGGUAUAAAUCAGGUAUGAAGGGGUAUAAAUUAUGGUGACCUAAGACAAGAAAGGUGGUGGUUAGUAGAGAUAUAGUAUUUGAUGAACUGACUAUGGUUCAUAAUUCAUCUCGUAUGAAUUCCGAUAAAAAUGAAAAACAGAAUCAUUCAACUCAGAUGGAAUUGAAAAUUGGUCCAAUGAAUAAUUAGAGGUUUCAGAACAGUCUAGCUCAAAAUUGAUAGACAGUAAUACUUUGCCUACACCACCAGCAACACUACAGUAUUCAAUUGUUAAGGGUAAACCUCACAGAUAGAUUAGACUUCCACAGAACAAUGGAGAAGCAGACUUGGUAGCAUAUGCUUUGAAUGUGGCUGAAGAAAUUGAUUCCACUAAGGAACAUGUUACAUAUAUAGAUAUCAUCAGCAGUAGUGAUUCAUGCAGACGGUUUAUUGCUACGCUAGAGGAGAUUGAGUCAUUGAAUAAAAAUUGUACUUGGGACUUGGUGAAACUACCUAAGGAUAAAAGUGUCGUUCACUGCAAGUGGGUAUUCAAAAGAAAAUAAAGGACAUUAUGGAUUGAAGAUACUAGGUAUAAGGUCUGAUUGGUAGCAAAGGUCUAUAGUCAAAUUCUAGGCGUUGACUUCACAGAUGUGUUCUCUUUGAUUAUAAAGUAUAGUUGAUUGUAAAACAUGGUUCAAUUCAAGCUUUACUUGAGAUAAUGGCAAAUAGUGACUUGGAACUUGAGCAAAUGGAUGUCAAUACAGCAUUUUUGCAUGAAAAACUUGAAGAAAACAUUUACUUGCAACAAUCAGUGGUUUUACAGUUUAUGGGAAGGAAGACUAUAUGUGCUUGUUGAAGAAGUCCUUAUAUGGACAAAGCAGUCAUCGAGGUAGUGGAACAAAAGGUUCGAUUCAUUCAUGACUACUCAUACUUUCAGCAGAAAUAAUUAUGACAGUUUUGUGUACUUCAAAAAGGAAGAUGGUGGAGCGAUCAUAUAUUUGCUGUUAUAUAUUGAUGAUAUGGUCAUUGUACCUAAGGAUAAAGUAGAGGCCACAAAGGUGAAAUCUCAACUUAGUAAGGAGUUUGAGAUGAAGGAUUUGGAUGUAGCAAAGAAAAUUCUUAGUAUGAAAAUCUUGAGGGAUGGUCUUUCAGAUUGUAUUUGAGUCAGAAUGGGUACAUUAAGAAGGUGUUUCAAAGGUUCAAUAUGUUGAAUGCUAAGGUUGUCAAUAAUCCCUUAGCUAUCCACUUUAAAUUAUCAUCUGGAUUGUGUCCUCAAUUAGAUGAAGAAAUUGAUUAUGUCUCUGGUCCCUUAUUGCAGUGCAGCUGGUUCGUUAAUGUAUAAUAUAGUUUGUACAAGAUCAGAUUUGGUACAUGCAGUCAGUACAAUUAGUAGAUACAUCGCAAAUCUUGGCAAAGAACAUUGGAAAAAAUGAAAUGAAUAUUCAGAUACUUGAAGGACUCAAUUAAUGCUUGCUUGUAUUUUGGUAAAAAUAAAGCUAGAGUUAUUGGAUAUAUUGAUUUAGAUUAUGCAGGAGAUCUUAAUAAAAUGAGAUCACUUAUAAGAUAUGUAAACACCCUUGGAGGUUGUGCUAUUAGCUGGAAAGCUACUUUGCAAAAUAUAGUAAUUUUGUUUACAACAGAGGCAUAUAAGAAUGAUAUGCGGUUAAGUUGUUUGAUUGUUGAAAUCAAUGAAGGCUUGCAGAUUUCUACAAUAUAUGUGAUAAUCAGAAUGCUAUUUUCUGACUAAGGAUCAAAUAUUACAUGAGAAAACUAAGCGCAUUGGUGUGAAGUAUCAUUUUGUGCAUGAAGUGAUUGCUCAUGGUAAUAUUGUAGUGGACAUGGCUAAUACCAAAGAUAAUCAUGCUAAUAUGAUGACAAAACUACUUCAUAUUGCUAAGUUUGAGCAUUACUUGAAUUUAGUUAGUGUUUACCAUUAAUUUAGUCCAUUGGGUCUUGUUUGGAAGAGAAUGAAUGUUGUUUGCUUUGAAGAUGUGUUUUUGAAAUUUCUUGUAUUGAAAUUUGGUUCAAGGUGGAGAUUUGUUGUAAUGUGACCCAAGUUCUAGUGGGUAUUGAAGUCUUAGUUAAAGUAGUCUUGAAGAGCUCAAAAUUAUGGACUAGAAAGAAAACUCGUCACAUUUUCGCUAGUGUAACGCUAGCUGGCCGCUUCAGUGACGCCAACACGGUGGGGCUCUCUCUUCCUAUCACUCGAGUGACAGGGUUAUUCGGCCCAGUCUGUUUUAACGCAUUUUGGACUCCUAUUUAUUUUCAACUUGAUUUCGAGGGUUUUUAUAUAUAUGAGUUACAACUUCUAUUGUUUACAUAACAUUCAUGCAAUAUCUUGGGAGCUCUAGAUCUUAGUUGAGAGCAUUGAGAUCUUAUUGUAAACACAAUUGGUAUUGAUUACAAUGGAAUUUGCCUCCUCUGCUAGUAGUUUUUUCCCAUCUUGGUUUCCACGUAAAUCUUGGUGUUCUUUAUUUUGUUCUUGCUUAUUUUAUUAUUGUCAUAAUCUUCCGAUCAAAUUCGCAACAGGUGGUAUCAGAGCGAUUCUGGCAUCUUGUCUGUUCAUAUCAAUAUAUACACUAGUUGGCUUUCACUAGCUAAAAUCGAGAUUGAAUUCCUUCUAUUUCUAAAAAUUAAUUUGGGUGAUUUAUGAGAUUCUUUCUAUUCACGAUGACUACCUAAAUAUUAUUUGUAUCUAACAAAUACAUCUAAUAUAUAAUUGUAUGUUAUUAUUUUGGCUAUGUUUGAGUCCCUUUUGUGUAAAAAUUGAGUUUUCUAAUAGUGAAUUUUAUGAAUAACGUGUAAUUAAAAAGUAGGAAAAAAUUUAAGUUUACGUACAAAUUAUUCAUUUGAAGAAUAUAUGGUUGAAGUUAAGCUUGAAGAAAAAUGAUUUUUUGAGAAAAUGUAGCUCAAACAUGGGUUAUAUAUUCAUAACCUGACAUUUGCAAGAUUAAUUGCUCAAAAUUUAAAUUAUGAGCAUAAUUUUCAAGUUAUAUAAUAAGAAUGCUAGUGAGCAUAAAUUUCAAACUUUUAAUAAAUAUUAGUUUGGAUAAAAAAAUGGUUUAACACUGUUAUUUAUUAAAUAUCUCCAAUUAAUUUUUGAACCAUUACUAUUUAAAAAAAGGGUUUUUCCAUUUUUUGUCUAAUGAUACUAUUUUUAGUGGACAACGCUUCUACACAUUAUGUCAACAUCAAAGUUCUCCCUAUAUAGUUAGUUAGCUUGUGGUCAAAGCUUAAUAUUUCACAUCUUAUGAUUUUAAAAUAUUCAAUAUAUAUACAAUUGUUCCAACAUAGCGCACUAACAUAGACAUUAAACCGUGAUACAAAUUAAAUUAUAACGAUUUGUCGACUUCAUUUUGAUUACACAAUUUUCUUAGUAUUGGGAGGAGGUAUUAAGAAGUUGAAAAUAAUAAAAAUAAACAUAAGGAGGAGGUAUUAAGAAAUUAAAAAUUACAAAAAUAAGGCAUCAUUUUAUUAUUUAGAUCAUUAUACAUGAUAAUGUGAAUUAAGAAUUUGAAAAGAUAAUUCAUUUAAGUGCAUUUACUCAUAAAAGAAUUUGACAAUAUAUUAAACAUUAGCUUUACAUGCUCCAACUCAAGUUGACGUCAUGGAGUAAAAAUCCAUUUACAUUAUACUUGAUAAAUCAAUGGCACGCUGAUGCAUGAUAAUUUUUUAUUCCAAGAUAAAAAUCUAAAAACAAAAUAAAAUAAAAAAUAGAGUGAAUAGUAAAGAUUUUCCCAUUAAGAUAUAUAUACUCUUGGAGAGUGUAUAACCACAGCAAUUUGUAAAACCGCAUAGAGGUUCAUGUAGAUGAAGUAUUGAAAUUGAGAUAUCUCAAUAAAUUUUAUUAUUACGAAUGGAAGAAACGAAAUCGAAAAGAAAAAGUUGCUAAAACCACUUUUGUAGAUGAUGCAGCACGUUAUAGUAUGAACAAUAUAGAGAAUGUCAAAAAAAUUCAUCGAAAAAUACGGAAGUAGAAAUGAAUGGCUAAAAUAACAUGACAUAAUUCAGGCAAAAUUAAACAUAAUAGAGAUAUCUAAAGUUUUUGGACAUGCAUUUCAAACACCUAAACGUGUAAAGUUAGUUUUACAUAUGCGAAUACCAAGUGACAAACUGAAGUCAGGAAAUAUAAUGCAUUACUCUUAACAUAAUAAAUUUUGGAAAAAAAAAUCAUAUAGAUAAAUUUUCAUGUGGCGGAUGAAAUCACAAAUAUAUAUCUUGUUAACCUAAUAUGCAUAAUAUCUAAUAAAUGUGGUUAUAAUUAACCCAUCGACAAGAUUAUUAAUACUAUUUUUAUAAAUACUUUAAUUAUUCAAUAUGCUUAUAGUUCAAGUGAUAUUGUCAUAGAGAAGUAUAUAUAAUUUGUACACUUCUUCGUUUUUUUUUUUUAUUUCUUUUACCAAGAUUGUAUCUCAUUGUUUUUCUCAAAAAUGCUCUUUUUUCCUCAUUAGACUAUUUUAAAAAGGUUCUACCUAGUGAGAUUUUCACGAUGUAUAUUAUGUGUAAUGAAUAUUAAUAACAUACGUGACAUUUACUCUCAAUAUAACUUUAUGAUUUUACUCUUGUAUACUAUAAAUUGUAUAUGACACUUCCGAAAGGAAGAAUAAUAAAAUUUAUUUUUCAAUGGACCAUCAUGCAGAAUGAAGUAAAAAAAAUAAAUAAAUAUUAAUAUAUUUUAUGAAGACGAGUUUGCUUAAUACUAUAGCAAGACAGUAUAGAACAUAAUUCAUCAGAAUUAUUAUAUAAAUUUUUGGAAGAUGGUACAUUGAGAAUCGUACACUUGCAUUUUAAGUGAACUUGCAGUUUAAGUGAACAAUAAUUCUAGGCAAUUUUUUUUUAUAUAGAGGAACAAUUCUCUCGUUUAGUAGUCUGAGAAUUAAAGUCAUUCAUGAACUAUUUCUCUUCCCAUUGAAAAGAGCGAUUGGCAUUUGCAAGAACUUUCAACAAAAAUAAAAAAAGAUGAGUACCCCCCCCCCCCCCCCCCCCCCCCCCCCGUCCCCCCCCCCCCCCCUCUCGCUACCACCAUCAACACCAUUAUUAGCUUUGAAUGGAUCAAAACCAAAAAUAUUAUGAAUAGAAGGAAAGGAGAUAAGCUAGAAAGAAGUUUAGUCGAAACUUAAAAAAAGAUACGUAGUUUGAACAAUAUUGAUAUUCAAUUUAGUAAAUAUAAAUAAUAAAAAUACAUAAAAUUAAAGAUCACUCCAAAAACAAAAUCUCCACCCGCGAAUUAUUAUCAUGAUAAAUGAAUUCUUAAGUCCAUAUAAACAAAGAUACGAUUUGAUAUUUUGUAUAAUUAAUGUGUAUAUAAAAUGCAAACACAAACGAUUCAUUUUUUUGUCUAGAAAAGAACAUAUUGUCCCUACCAUGAAUAUUCAUUUUUCAUUAAACAGAAACUUCAACUGUUUUUCGGCGGACUCUCACUUCACCAUUCGGUGUAAAAAAUAAAAAAUAAAUUAGGUAUUCUUUAGUCAAAAAAAUAAAAAAAUAAAUAAAGGCAUCUUGACUAGUCAGCUGUUGAUUUGAUAGCUUAUAUUGAUGAAUUAGCUGUGUCGAUUUCUGUUUUAUAUUUUCCUUAUAAAUUAUUUAGUCAUAUGCAUCGAUAUGUAUUCUACAAAUAUAUCAUAUGAAUAUUUUAUAUGCAGUAAUAAAGUGAAUAUAAGGGGCGGGGCGAGGGGGGGGGGGUGGAAUCAUCGAGAAAAUUGUAUUCAGUAAUUUGACAAUGGGAAUAAUGGUUGUAUGAAAAGGAGAGAAAACAUAUUAAAGCCUUGUUUGAGUCCCAUUUUAGGAAAAAAAAAAUGUAUUUUUGAAUAGUGUAUCGAUGAGAAAUGUAUGUUUAAAAAUUAAGAAAAAUUUUUGAAUUUGCAUGUAAUAUUAUUUUAUUAAAAAUUUUGUUACUAAGUGCUCCAUUAGUCCAUUUCAAAGUUUGUUCGCUUAUUUAAGGUCAAAUUUUAUUAAAAAUUUUGUUACUAAGUGCUCCAUUAGUCCAAGUUUGUUCACUUAUUUAAGGUCAAAUUCUAAAUCUUGGAUGCAUUAUUUGGGUGAACAGGCUUAUCUUCCCCAACUUAGCACUCAAAAUUAUUGUGUGUGAGUGUGUAUAUUCGUUGCACUCAAACCCCAUAAAACAUUUAUUUAAAAAUGACGCGAGUAAUUAGAUGAGCAAAUUAUAAAUUAAUUAGAAAAUAAAAUAAAUAAGAAAGAUCUAUAAAAAUGUGCGUAACUUUCAACUCGAGUGUCAGAUUUACGCAAGCGAGUAAAAUUCGAAACUCUUUUUUUCGAUUUGCACAUUUUUUUGGGACAAUGUUGGCCGAAAGUCAAACUUUUGGGCUCAAAUUUCAUCGUUUAUAUGUCCAUUUUAGCAAUUUUCUAAUUUUUAGUCCAUUAAAGGGCAUUCUCAUCACUUUACGCCUUUUUUUAGUUUUAUUUAGAUUUGUGUGUUGAAGUAGAGUUUCUCUUUGAUUAGGAUUUGUUUUGACUAUUUAAAUAUUUGUUAAGAGUUUGAAAAUUCUAUAUUCAUUUUUUAUUAAUAAUUAGUCUUCAGUUGCCUCGUUAUUUGAUGGAUUCUAAUAUAUCUCAAGUUCGCUCGAGUGCAAUUCAAACAAUAGUCGUUUGUUCGUGUGUUAGAUGGCAGUUCAACCUCCAAAUAAAUAUUUUUCAUUAACUAGGACAUGGGUGCUAAAGUUAAGGGACACCUAGCGAAAUUUAUCCUAUGAAUUGUAAAGUUGAUGUGGGUGCUAAAGUUAAGGGACACCUAGCGAAAUUUAUCCUAUGAAUUGUAAAGUUGAUGUCUUGUACCAUGUUGAUUGACUUGUCUUUAGUAAAAAGAUCAAGAUAUUGAAGCGGAUAGUGGGAAAAGUAGAAAAAAGUUUAGGUUUUCCCACCAAGUAUUUUUUGUGGGAUGACUUUGAAAUCACUGUUUCAUGCCAAAGAUAUUGGUCCCACAUCCACGUAUCAAUAUUUUUCAACCAAUUUUGCUAAAUGUACAUCAUAGUUUAUACUCUAACUUAUCGAAUUUACAAUUGGCACAAUCUUACAUCAUCUUACAUAUUUAAUUCAAUUAUCACAAUCUUACCACAUCACUCAUCAGUCAACAAGGAUGUCAAUGUUAAUGUACAAAUAGUUUAAUUAUUUUUCAACCUCCCCCCUCAACACAAGUAUUGAGCAGAGAAAAGGGUAAAAAGAUUUAGCUCUUAUUUGGCCCUUGUUUCUUAGCAUUUAUUUAUCAAAAUUAUUUUUUAAUUAAGGUAAUUGGCACAAAACGUCCCUACCAUUCGAGUGUAUUGUGGAAGACGUUCCUACCUUUCAAUUUUUUGGCAUUUUUGCAUCUAUUUCCACCUUUCUUUGUGUCGAACGUCCUUUUCACUUUUUUGGUGUAAAAUGACCAAUAUGCCCUUCUAUUUAAAUAAAAGAAAAAAGAAAAAAAAUUGCAACUAUAGGCGAAACUUCUAAAAAAGUGCAAAUGCCCCCCCCAAACUUCACCUUCUUCCCACACCACCGCCACUUGUCGACCAUUUUCAGCCACCUUCCAAUCAGCUUGGUCGUCGGACCAACAUACCAACUUGAAGUCCUCACUUCCUUCUUCACAACCCACCCAACCACUGGCCGAAAAUCUAUAGGAAUUGGCUCGGAAAUUGCGCCAAAAUAGGCUGCUCACGCAACAUGAAAUGGCCAAAAAUGGAGGCCGAAAACUCCAUUUCCGAUGACACGCAUGGCAUACCCAUCCUCCAGGUCGAUUAUGAUCCUCAUUGCGCUCCUAUAGAUGUCUUCAUAUCAUCAAACAAAGCUGAAAAUCAAAAUCUAAAGCCCGAAAAUCAGAGUCGCGUUCGACCAAUGGUUCUUGAGUUCAAUCUUGAAAAUUGAUCGUUUGGUUGAUGAAUUGAUGAAAUUGAUGGAAGGCCCAUAGUUGUAACAACAUUAAUUGACGAUUACAUGCUAGAAUUGGUGGAUUGAAGCCUGUAGCAUUAUCAAUUGAAAGGGGAUCGGCCGAGUUUCUUUGUAUACGAACUGUCAAGAUUGUUUCUACAAUUUUUUGCCAAAUUUGAUGAUGACCCAUAGGUUCAUUAGGUUCGCCUUGAAGAGACAGUGCUAGAAGGGGUGGUCCGUGAUCGUCGAUCGUGACACCGACGUCAAAAAAUGUGUUUGAAUUUGUCGAUUUCGCUGAAGCCAGUGGGGUGAGGUGUGGGAAGAAUGUGAAGUUAUAGAGGGUAUUUGAACUUUUUAGAAGUUUCACCUAUAGUUGCUAUUUUUUCUUUUCUUUUCUUUUUUCUUUCAUUUAAAUAGGAGGGCAUAUUGGUCAUUUUACACCAAAAAACAGUGAAAAUGACGUUCAAUGCAAAGAAAUGUGGAAAUAGGAGCAAAAACGUCAAAAAAUGAAAGGUAGAGAUGUCUUCCACAAUACACUCGAAAGACAUGAAAGUUUUGCCCCAAUUACCCUUUUAAUUAUAUAUUUUUUAUUAAAUUCAUUGUUAUUAAUUAAAAUUGAAAGAAUAAAAGCGAGUCCAUGUCCCAACUAGUAGGGGUGUAAGCGGUCCGGUUUUACUGACUUUUGACAGAUUUUCAAACGAAACAGUUUAAACCGGUUUGAAAAAAAUUCAAAUCUAAACCAAACCAUUUUGAACAAUUUGAAAAUAAAAUAAAUAAAUAAAACUCAAACCUAAAUCUGAUGGUUUGGUCCGAUUUUAAACCGUCGAUUUUACCACAUAUUUUUUUCUCGUCUACUUUUAUGUCAUUAAUUCAAAACAAACUAAACCCCUGUUUGAACCAAAUUUUUGGAACAAAAAAAUUAAAAUUUGGACCGUUAUCCCACAAGUUCAGUCGCCUUUUUUGACCUGCUGUUUCAUGUGUGGGACCCAGCCUCCUCUCCAACGAUCAAUUUUCUCGUUAUGAUCAUAUGAAAAAUAUGGCUCAACACAGGGGUUAAAUAUAUAUACUAUAAAUUUAAAUACCAACUAAAUCAAAGAUAAAUUACAAUAAACUAAAAUACAGUUUUUUUCAUUUUUUCACCUUUUUUAGGCUAAUGGUGAUAUAAUAACGUUACAAUACAAGUCUACUAGAUAUAAAGCACAAAAAAUAUAAUGAUAUCCAAUAAGACCUAGUGAUCAUCAUAUUUGAAAAAAAAGAUACUAACUAGACAAAGAGAAUAACCAACCACAAUAUUAAAGUAAUUGUGUAUAAUAUCUAAACAUAACAAUUACACAGGUUUACGUUUGUAUGAUGUUACGAAACGCAUUUAAUUUCAAAUUCUUACCUUAAUUUGCUCCAAAAAAAUUAUUGAUUUGAAACUUUAUUCGUAACAAAUAUUAUCACCAAAAGUCUAGGAUCUCUUUGUCACAAUUUGGUAUAAUAGACUUCAAUUCAACUUUGAAGAAGCGUCAAAAUUUUGAAAAAGAAGUGUAUGGUGCCGGUAGCUCAAGACUGUGUUGGAUGUCGGGUAGAAUUCAUCUAAAUUUUGAAGAGGAAAAUGACUUUUGUUAGAUUAUGUUAGUCUUGAGAUUAUUAGAUAUAUAGUAGGAUUAUUAGAUAAUAAUAAUAAUAAUAAUAAUAAUAAUAAUAAUAAUAAUAAUAAUAAUAUAUCUAUAUUAGAAAAUUAGAAAUUGACAAAAAUACCCAUGAAUGACAAAACUAUUGAAUUUUACAUAUUUGAAUGAAUUUUCGAAAAAAUUCAUUUUUUUCAUUCUUUUAUUUUGAUAUAUUUUUUCGCCGGUCCGAUUUGGUUUUAAAUUGCAAUUAAAAUUCUAAAACUUAAACAAACCCAUUUUGACCGAUUUGGUUUGGGUCAAAACCAUUUCGUUGACUGGGUUCACAUGACAACAAACCGACGAUUUCUAAAAUGCGAUUUUGGUUCGAUUUUCUAGUUUGACGAUCUUUGCUUACAGCCCUACCAACUAGGUGAACCAUACCAAAGCAAGCUCAAUCAUGUGCGAACCAAAUCACAUACAAACUCAGAAUAACAUUAGCAAGCUUAUAUGGAUUUCAUUAGCCUUUUUCACAUUAGCAAAAGCUAUUAUCAUAGUGCACAUGAACAAGCAUGGCAAGCAUGAUUUCACAGCCAAUGAAUAAAGAACAAGAAAGAUAACAAAUAUGACCAUAUAACAAUUUCAUUUAUAAAUUCACUAAUCAAAGGUUGCUACAUGACAUUAACCAAAAGAUGUAUUUACACCCCGCCCAAGGCUUUGAUAAGAAACUAUAAGUAAGCGCCAAUUUAAAAAGAAGAGGAUAUGCAAAUUUGAAUAGCUUCCUCCCGAUUAAUCAUUUCUCCCCUUUCUCUUUAUUGAACAUAAGAUUAUGAGUUUAGCAAGGAAAAUCUUGAUUAGGUAAGGAAUUUAUUGAUCAUCAUUUAGAGGUCAACAUCCACAAUUUUUAUUAACUAUUCAAGAAUACAAUUCAUUUACUUUUAUCAAUAUAUACUAAAAAUCUAAUCUUUAUUCAAACGGUCAAGUGCUUAAUCAAAUUCGUAAAUCGGGGACUAAAAAUUAAGCCCCGUUUGGUCUGGCCAAAAAUAAAAUUUUUAAUAAAUUUGAUACAAGUUAAUGACAUAUACAGUUAAAAGUUAAUAAAAGAUGCGAAACCAUUAUUGGGACAGCUAUAUUCAGAAUUCUAUACAUGUGUACCAUAAUUGUUUUCAACAAGUUUUAUCUUUUCCCAAUAUAAGACAAAGUUACAUCAAAACGAAAUGUUAAUGUUCCAUCAUGUUAAAAAUAUUCAUAGUAAAAUAUACAUAUCAAGACUCAAUCGCACUUUGCAAGUGGAAAUACUGAUUAUGUUACUGCUCCAUCAUGUUAAAUUCGUGAUAUAGGCAACUAAAAAAGUAAGCUUGCUGCUCUUCAAUACCACCAACUAAAAAAAAAAGAAUCCAUUUCCGAUUGUUAGCUUCUAAAUUUUUUGGGCAUCCAUCUCAAUGUCAUUCCUGAUGCUCAUCAUGGUCCUAGCCAUUCAGACAAAGUGUAAAACUGAAGAUAAUUGGGCAGAAAUCGAAGAAGUUUUUGGAAUUUACAAGGUCCAUUAGGUCCUUCUCAUCUAAAAUAGAUGACCAGGCAUUUUCUGCAGUAAUUUUGAACCAUGAUGAUAGAGAGCUCCUGCAAACAAGCAAGGUGGUACUAAAAUCUAGUCAAAAGAAGAAAAGAAAACUAGACUAGCGGUCGAGACCGGCAGGACCAUGCCAGGCCUUACUGCUUCAUCCUGCCUGGUUCAUCCUCUACCUGCCUCUAUCUGCAAAGACAUUACCAAAAAAUCUCUCCCAAACAGCGUAUUACAACCCAUGAAUUAACCUGUUUGGACAGGGUUAAUUCCAAGGCCAAAAACAGGAGCGCCACAUGGCGGACAGCAGCCCUUUCAAUAGGAUGGCGCCCCUGUUUUUGGCCCUGGAAUUCACCCUGGCUGUCUAGCAGGGUUGAAAACCCAUUGAGGAGGGCCUUAGCCAGGGAAGGAGAGAGUGGCCAAGUGGUCAAAAGUGACAGACUCUAAAUCUGCCCAAGUCUACAGAACAAUCACCCAGAUACAUUAAAAACGCAUGUGCCUACAUUACAGAGAUGUCUAACGAGCAAGGUCGCUGCCCUUCAAAGCAUGCUGAAAACACAAGGCCCAGUACAGCCCAUCUUGACACCUCUAUACGUACAAUGUAAAUUUUUUUCCUUGGGACAGAAUUUUGAAAAACAAGUUCAUUGGGACCCAUCAACAAAUGCAAUAUAUACAAUGAGAAAUGCUAUAACACAACUGACAGAUUAACUAGAUCUUAUGAAUAAACAACCUUCACUUGGAAAUUUGUGCUUUUAUCAUGGUUACGUAACUAUUGCGUGCAAAUAUCACGGAGAAUUUCUGCGAGAUGCUUUUAGUUCUACAUCUAGUGCUAAGCUCGAGUAAGAAAAAAGAAGGAUUAGGUCAGAUUCUUAUUUGACUUCAGCUAUCUACAAUCAUAAGUUACAGUUGGCCGAUAAGAUACAUAUACAUUUGGCGUCAAUAGAAAGGCAAUAAGAUUCCAGAUAAUGUCGCUACCCCCGAAAACAUGUACAAAUCAUAGUGUCUACUUUCUGGUUAAUCCAGAGCAGUCUUCAUGAGAAAGUGAAGUCCUUGUGCCAUUUAUAAUCUUGAACGACGAAUGCAUUUAGCGCCCGCUUGGUCCCCAUUUUAUUCUCAUUUUUUCCUCAUUUUUCCAACUUUUGUCAACAAUAGUGGGCCCCAAAUCAAAAAAUGAAACGGCUCCCUGACAAAAAUUUGAGGCAGCAGCUUUUCAGACAUUUUGUUGAAUUUAGAAUUUUUGUCUUUCCACCUCUGCCCUCCAUUUGAAAUUUUAUUCCUUCAUUGUAGCACUUGUUGUCAACUGGAAUUUUAUUUUUUAAUUGAGGGCAAAAUGGUCAGAGAAAUUCAACGGUAUGGUACCUUGUUCUUUCAUUUCAGACAGUUUCUUCAAUGCUGUCACCAUCAACUACCACGAAAACUGUAGAAAAAUGAGAUAAGGUAGAAAAAUUGACAAGAAUGAGCAUCAAAUAGGGGCUUAAUAGGAUUCAACGGUGAAUUCCUUCGUGUAGAGACAGGCGAUACCCUUCUCAAGGACGGGGAUUAUUUUAGAUCCCAAUCUUCCACAUUCUUCAGUACAGAAACGUCGAAGAGGAAUUGACCAAGAACUCCACGAGCACUUAUGCUUGGUGGGCUGGAUAGACGUAUGUAAGGCUCUUUACGUUCAUCCUGCAAAGAUCCAAAAUCCCCACCCUCGUGAUAUUCUAUGGAAUUUGGAACAGACAAGGACAAUCCUCUGGAAACUCUGACUUGAUCUCUCUGCGGCUUUUUUUAGAUUGGUCCAGAGAUCUCAUCAUGUGUGCCCACGAAGCCUAUCUUCUCACCAUCAAGUUGCCGUAAUCUUCUAGAAUAAAUUACAAAAGCUUUUCCAAGCAACUCAGUCACCGCAGCCUUUCAUUCGAUUGGAUAAUGCCGAAAAUGACCUGCACUACAAACAUAACAUGAAAAAUACAGUAUCAACAAAUAUGAAUUUUUCCAAGAUGCAAUAACAAAAAUGCUACACGCCAAUGGUAGCUAGGAAAUCCUCCAAAGAAAAUCUUGUAUUACAGAUUUCAAAUUACUAAUGAUUUACUUAAAAGAAUUAUAUUCCAGUAAGUCAGCUGAUUGUCGCGGACCUAAUUUCGUUACACCCAAUAAUUAGAACCAUGCGGCCUUAACGUUCAAUAAUUUCCGUCCCUCACGAGAAAACGUUAAGUCAGUCUUACAACGCUCACAAACAAUUUAACCAAUGAGGUUAAAUUAUAACUAUUUUGAGUAGAGGAUUUGUAGGAAAUAUAAGGAAAACAAGGUUGGGAGAACUCUCUUUAUAUAUAGCCCCCAUUUGGUUCUAAUUUUUCACCCCAAAAAAUCAAUUUUUUAAUCGUUACUUUCCUAAGUCAACUGUCAUUUAAAUUUCUUUACUCACAAGUAGAACCCACUUUUUCUCGCUAACAGUCAAAAAAUUAAUUCUCAAAAUCACUACCGAACAGACCCAUAAAUGAAAGGAAAACUUUACAUUUCUCUGAAGUAUUCAAACCAUUCGUUUCAUAUGAUUUACAAAUAAGACUACAUCUCUAUUUAUAGGCAAAACCUUGCAAGUUGUCUUGAAAUCGAUGGCCAAGAUUAAUUCUGAUUCAAGAGUCCUCAUUUGUUGCAAGUUGCAUUAAUCUCCUUUAAUCAAGUGGUAAUUCUAUACACUUUCCAAUCCAAGAUGCAUGUUACUUUCCAAUCUUAUGUUAGUUGACAUCAAGUGGCAUAUCUCUACAAUUCAUAUGCAAGUGAAUAAGUCAUUUUCACAGUAGCCAAAUUGAAGUUUGUUUCCUCUUUGGCACUAUCUUGCAAGUGGCACAAGUGAAUUAGUGGCACAAAUUGGCCAAGUUGUCCACUUAUGUCCCCAAACCAUUCGACCGUAGUCCAUUGUAUUUCUCCUUCCCAAAAUAGUAGUUUUUAACUUAGAGAAAAAGAAAAAACCCCUCCAUCUUAUCACUCGAUCAGCCAAAAUGGAUUUAACAUCUUUCUCAAAAGAUUUUGAGACAAUGAGAGGCGCCCUUUGUAAUUUGUUUCUCCCCAGAUCUUCCAAGUCCAACCUAUAUGGCUUCAACAUGCUUACAUGAAAAACUGGAUGGAUCUUCAAAGUACCCAAAAGCUAGCCGGUGGAAACUCUUCCAACUUUAGCCAUCAUGGGAAAAGAACCUUCAAACCUUCUAACCAAGCCUUUAUCAACUUUGCGAUAGGCUUUGAAUUAUUGAGGCAACACUUUUACAAGUUCCUGAUCUCCAAUGUUGAACUCCAAUAGUCUCCGUUCAGAUCGGCCCACUUUUUCAUACGUUUUCAAGCUUUCUCCAGGCAAGAUCUCGCUAAGUCCGCAUGAUCUCUCCAUGACUUAGCCAUUUUUUGUUACUCUGGGACUUCGAUCUGCAUCACCAACCAUAUGCAAGGUAUGAGGCGUUGUGGGCUGUCACCCCGUUGCAAGUUCAAAAAGACUAUGUCCUAUGGAUUCACUUUUCUGCAAGUUGUAGGAAAACUGAGCUAUGUCUAUGAACUUCACCCAAUCCCGCUGCUUAGUAUUAACAAAGUGCUGAAGAUAACACUCCAACUACCCAUCCGUUUGCAGGUGGAAAUUGCUAGAAAGGUGCAAACCCGAUCUAAGGAACUUAAACACCUCCAUCCACAAUUUUCCCAUAAAACUGGGAUAUUGAUCACUUAUAAUAUUCUAAGGUAACCCCCAAUACUUCACAACAUUUUUGAAACCUUGCCGUCUCCUCCGCAGUGCAAUCUUUAAGGGUCGAAAUGAAAGUAGUAUUCUUUGAAAAUCAAUCAACAACAACAAUUAUUAAUCUGAACCCUUCGGACUUUGGCAAGGUACUAAUGAAAUCAAUGACAACCACGUAUCAUGGUUGAUCAAGAACAGGAAGAGGAUCAAGAAGCCAACCGGUAAUGCAAGCAGACUUAGUCUAGGGACGCAGAUAGCCUGUUUUGAUGGAACACGGGCUGGGGCACGGAGGAAGUUUUCCCAACACAGAAAUGAGGUUUCUCUAAGUUAAAAACUGCUAUUUUGGGAAGGAGAAAUACAAUAGACUGCGGUCGGAUGUUUUGGACACUCAAAUGGGCAACUUGUACAAUUUGUGUCAAUUGUCCACUUAUAUUACUUGCAAGAUAAUGCCAAGAAGGAAGCAAAGUUAAAUUUGGUUGCUAUGAAAGUGACUUGUCUACUUGUAUGUAAAUUGUAGAGAUAUGCCGCUUGAUGCCAACUAGCAUGAGGUUAGAAGGUGACAUGUAACUUGCAUUGGAAAGUGUAGAGAAUUACUACUUGAUCAAAGGAAGUUAAUGCAACUAGCAACCAAUGAAGACCUUUGGAUCAAAAUUAAUCUUCGCCAUUGAUUCCAAGACAACUUGUAAGGUUUUGUCUAUAAAUAGAGAUGUCUCAUUUGUAAAUCAUAUGGAGUGAAGUGAGAUGAAUACUGGAGAGAGAUUGUGAAGUUUUCCAUUCAUUUAUAUAUAAAGAGAGUUCUCACAAACUUACUUGUUUUCCUUAUAUUUCUUACUUCAAAUCCUCUACUCAAAGUUGUUAUAAUUGAGCUUCACUGGUUAAUAUUUUUUAUUUUAAUAAGGAAAUAAUGUGAAACAAACAAGGGCUAAAUAAAUGUUUCUAAAAUUUAUUUUCCAACAGCACAAUAAAUAAUCACAUUGCUCAACUAGAACGGUCGAUAAAUGUAGUAGCAUAAUGCACUUUAGUUCUUAACAGAGAAAUUUUACUAAAUGUAAAUUAAUAUAUAGUUUCAUCAAGAAUAAUAUUCUUACCAUAUGCAUCGUGUCUCACUCGCACUUAAAAAAUAAAAUAUAAACAUUUGGGAGGUGUGGUUUGGUGAAGCCAAUCACGCUUAUGGAUUAAUACCGCUUUAUAAGUCUUGAAAAGAAGUCAAACCAUUCUCUAUCUAAUAUAUGAAGUUGAGAUUUGACAGAAAAUGAAAGAUAUGCAAGUAAAAUUUGUGAUUCGGCUCGAUCCUCAACCUCCAUUUAACUUGGUCUUUGUGCAAUCAUGUCGUCAUCUUAUUAUGUUCCUCGAUUAUGCUUACACAUUUUUGGUAGAGCUCCACAUCAUUAAUGGAAGUAAAGAUUUUAUUUUAUAAGUUUUGUGAGGCCUAUGAUCAAGUACCAACAUGGUGAAGUGAUAGAAUAUGAUCCUAAUAAUUGAAUUUGUAAUCUGACUAUGAAAACCCUCAUCCGCAUGAAUACUUUCUUUAAUGUAAAUUCGAUUUGUGUUUAAAAUGUUCAAUUUUCAAUAAUAUAUUAUAGUCUUUCGAACGCUACGCCAUGGCCAAGUGAGGGAAUGCAUUAAGCACAUGAUAGUGCCUGCUUCAGCGAGGAAAGAAUCCAUUUUAUUUUUAUUUUUUUGGCUUGUUUAACAUAACUUUUUGUUUUUACUUUUAUUUCUGCUUCCUUUAGAAGAGUGAGGUUUUUGUUUUUGUUUUUGUUUUUUGAAAUUACCUUAAUUUUCAGUGGUGAAACAAAUUUAUGAUUAUGAUCAUCUUCAAAUGCUUUAACAAUCUAAUAGCCACCUUCAAUGUCGUUUGAGAUUCGCAUGUUAGCCUUACAUCUACCUCUAACCGUUGAGCAACUUCUUCCUUUUGUAGAACCCUAUAUCUGACAAUUCUCUAUUUCACUUAAUCCUUCAAAAAUCUUCCUACUAUAAUAUUUUCUUUCAUGUGAGCACACAAAUUUAAUAAGGGUAACUUCAUUUAUACAUGGGUGUUACUUAACUACUGUUUGAGUACGAAUCCAUAAACCAUUUUGUCAUCCAUAGUCUUCGUAGUAUGCCCUUGCUUCCUUUGCCGUCUUAAAUUUCAUCCCAAUGUAAGGCGCUUUGCCUUGUAUUGACGAUAACCCAAUCUCAUCAAAUUGAGACGCAUGUACAUAAUUACCACAAUUGGUUGCACCCAUCUACAAAACAAUUUUGAAAGAAUCAAUCAAUGAUAUUGAUUGCAUAGAAUUACCGAUAAUCAAAUUCAUUGUCGAAUAACUCGUACAUAUAUUUUCUUAAACAAAUUGUAGCAUACUUAAUUUUUAAAGUAUUCCCUGUUGAACUAUAUAAUAACAUUUAUUAACCAUUUUACUAACACUUCAAGCUAGUGAUAGCAACGGGGCGGGUUUGAGGCGGGGUUAACAUUUAUUAACCAUUUUACUAACACUUCAAGCUAAUGAUGACAACGGGACGGAUUCAGGGCAGGGGGCUCCCACCCCGUCCUUCCCUGCCCCAACCCCACCCGCCCCGCGCCCCAAGCGUUUAGGCGGGGGCGGGUUCGGUGUAGUUUUUUGCCCCGUUUACUACCCCAUUUAACUUCUUUUUUUUUUUACACAUUUUCAAAAUUUAGAGUUAUAUUAUUAAAUUAUAAAAUACAAAUUCAAAAUUUAAAAAUUCAAAACAAAUAAUGCUCAAAUUAAAAUCAAUAUUCAAAGAAACACUCGAAAAAACAAUACCCAACUAUUCACAGGGAAGGUUCGGGGCGGGUUUUUUUUUGCCCCAUUCAGGACGGGCUCCGUCGGGACGAGGCGGGCGGGGUAAAUUGUCAUAUCUACUUCAAGCAAAUUAAAGCUCAAUUAUAACCUUUAAAUCACAGAUGAAUCAAGCAUUAUGCUGAAAUUGAUGCAAUACUACUCAAACUGCAUGAUACAUCAUGUUGAAAUCAAAAGAAAAUAAACACGGAUCCUUUUUCCCACCAUUCAUGAUAAAUCAGAUUUGGAUAUUUGAGGAAAAUCUGAUUCAAGAACAUGAUAUAACACAGUUUUAACAGCAUGCAGAAUGAUGAAAAUAACAAAAUCGAAACCUCAUGUGAGAUUUUGGUUGAAAAACAGUUAACAGCUUACAGAAUCAUACCUAAAAAAAUUACUUCAGUUCUUAUUCUGCUUUCUCCUAAAUAAAUGAUUUGAUGACACAAUAGGAAUCCUCUAAAAAUUUAUACAUGGGCAAAGAAAUUCUUUACAUGCAGUGAUGAUUUGAAGAUUCAAUUUUGCGAGGGAGAUGAUGAAUUUCAGUGGUGAUGGAGAAUGCAUAAGAUGAUAGAAAAUCAUGAUGUUGUUGAGAGAUUUUAGGGAUUAAUAUAAGGUAAUUAGGGGUGCUUGGAAGUAAGAUUAUGAAUCCUUUAGUGUUUUAAUAGAAAAACUCCGAGCAUUGGAUUGAUUUUAAUUAAAGACCACGAUUAUUUGUCAUAAAUACUUGUCAAAUUAAUGGGUAGACUUCCCUAUGCUCAUCAGAUUUGAGCCGCUGGUGAAUUUGUUGGAUAGACAGAUCUUUGUGAAAUUGAAUCAAUUGCUUAUGUGAUCGCCCUUUAGCCCUUUGUUUGGCCAAAAAGACUCCCAUGAGUUGGAUGGGCUAAUGCCUAAAAAUAAAUUUCAAGAGAUUCCGUAUUUUAAUUUUUGAAAAUAGAGAGUGGGUAAAUAUACGAAGAAAUUAAUAAAUAUUUCUUGAGAAAAGUAAAAGAAGAAGACAAAAUAGAAAGUAUUAUUGCAGAGAAUAAAAUUUAGAAUCCUUAAAUUUAAAGAUUCUCUAUAUAAUGCAUAAAAUUUUUUUUACAAAUAAAAAGUUUGUUGGAGUUGAUCUAAUGAUGGUAUAAAUGAAAGAUUUGGAUAAAAUUUGUAAAAAAAUAAAAAUAAAAAUAAAAAUAAAUAGUAAUAAUAAAUGAAAGAUUUGGAAUUACAGCUGUAUUAUCCCUACGAUGGUUAUGUUGCCACCAUAAUUUUUAUUUGUCACACCACAAUUUAAUUGUAGUUAGACUCCCAAAUCCAUGCUCAUUGUAAUAAUUAUUUCCUUUAUUUUCGUUGAAUUUUUAUCUUCAACUUUCAUUAAUUAGUACAUCACGUCCUGACGAUAAUUUAUGUUAAAAUAUUUUGUGUACAUGCUCUACAUUAAGGGAAAAUAAUUUUUAUUUUUAUUUUUUAUAUAUGAUAAAAAAAUAAGUUGUUGUAAGCUGUUUUUUUAAAACAUAAAUUGUUAUCAAAUACAAAAAUAUAUUUGUAGUGGUCCAAAUUAUCCAUUGGGCUCUUGACCCAAUCCAUGUAUAUUGAAUGUUCCUAGCCCAAACUAAUGUAUGCCAAUCAUGCUCAUCCUUGACCCACUAAUGAUUUAUCACUCUUACUUUGUGUCCGACCUAUCACAAGGUGUCACGUAGAGUCUAAAGGAUAAACUUCUCAACAAGCAAAUCAGUUCAACUCUCCAUCUUUUCUAUAAGAGUCGUGAGCUAAGGGUAAGUUAUGGUAACUCCACCCAAAGUUGGUCGAGUUUUUCGAAACUCGGAAAAUAUUGUCCUGAUUAAUCAAUCCAUCUGGUGUCCACAUGCUCCACUAUUUGUGGAUCAAACAACUUUGCUGGUCCUCUUAUAAAUAUGAGGGCCAACUAUUCAAGGAGAGAAAAAAAAAUUAUUGAGCCUACACAGCUUCCUCAAUAUUUAUCCAAUUUAGAUAUCUUAUGGCAUUACUAUCACUUUUAUUUGUCACCUCUCACAAUCAUAUCAUCCAACCACUUUGCUACUACCACUAUUUCAUCAUGCCAAUCAUAAAUAUCAUCAGUGCCUACUUUUAGAAUCAACUGUAGAUUCGAACAUCUACAAUUUGGCGCCCACCCCGUGGGCCCCAGUGAUUUUUAACACAAAAAAUAUUCCACUAACAGUAAACAUUUUGAUCACAAUGGCGGAAUCCCCAUUAUUGUCAAAGCUAGCAGCCAUGCUUGUUCAAUUUACUUCUCAAAUGGCUGAAACCAACCAGAAGUUCUAGCAGCUAGAAGCAUAAAAUGUACAACUUAAGCAGACAAUUAGAGAGCUCUCUACACUCUCAACGUUAGCUGGGACCAAGUGCCACAUUCAAUUUCACACUGUAGUGAGAAACAUACAGUUACUCGACAUGCCAAAGCGUGACAUGCUAGGUAUAUGAAGAUCUAAUGUCAAUACUAACAAUGUCAAUACAAGCCAUGAGAUAGACAUGGAGGACGAGGUACUCCUUGACGACCUACCCAUUGUAAAGGAGCUAGAACCACAGGUCAUUAAUACAAAUUACCAAAACAAGGACUCUUCACGCAACAAAGGCAAUAGCCCAAAUCCGAUAUCGAUCAACGUUUCGCCAUGACAGAGGCCAUGAUCAACCAAAUCUUGAGUCUACCUAUACCGAUCAAGAAAAAUAGGCAAAGCUUUGCGGACUCACCAUUUGUCUAUUCGAUAGCUCUAGUUGAAAUGUUAAGAAAUUUCACUUUUCCAAUAUGAAGAUGUAUGAUGGCACCACCGACCCAAAUGACCAUAUUUCCCAAUGUAAACAAAGAAUGUUCACAGUAGUCAGGCCCGAUUCUGGGGCCAGCCAAUUGAGGCCUACGCCUCAGGCCCAGAUUCUAAGGGGGGCUCAUUUUCAGCCCAGAAUUUUAUUUUAUUUUAUUAUUUUUUUCAGUUGAACCAAACCCAGUGAUGAAGAAGAGUACCGCACAACUUCAAGCCCAAAUCCAAUAUCCUUAGUCUUAAUCCAUUUACCCAACUUAUACAUCCAUAAAUCAUAACCCAUUAUCUGUCAUUUACCCAAAGUUCCCAAUUUCCCAAUGCCCAAUCAAAAACCCCUUUCUCCCAAACGCUCGUCUGAGUAGUCCGUCCCCUUCGCAGCGUCGUCCGUCGCCUCUGUCUCUCUUCUCGACUUCCUCAUUCCGACUUCCAGAUUUCCUCUUCCUUGAGUCAUCAGUCACGAUCCACGGAGUUGGACACCGUCAUAGUUCACACUAGUUCCCUUCCGCUGCGGAGCACAGUUCGCUAUUCACCCCUGUUAGCAAGCAAGUGCUUGGCAGUUGGCUGUUAGUUUAGUAUGUUAAGAUUAUUAAUUCCUUUUGAGUUAUAUGAUUACAUUUACACUAAGUAUUCAACUAUUCAUUCAUGGCUUUUACCUUUUACUUAUUAUAAUUUUGAUUACUUAACUUUAACUGAUAAAUGCUCUUUUUCUAUGUUACUGUUAAAUACUUUAAUGUUAAUGGGUUAACUGUUAUCUAGUCUAGGAUGGAGUCAAGGACCUGAAAAUGCUACAACUAUGUUUAAUGAUUAUUGAUUAAUAUAUAAUUUGUUGUACAAGUUUGAGAUGAAGAACUCUCAAAUCUCAAGUAAUGACUAAUGUGUGAAAUAGUUUGUAGUUAAUUUCAAUAACUUAGUUUGAUAGGUCCUUGUGAGAAUAUAUAGUUGAGAACUUGAGAUAUUAUUAUGUCAAUGAACUUAAGAAAAGAUAUCUUCAGUUUUUGCAACCAGUAUACUAAUUUGAAUUAAUUUAUUUUGUUGAUGAAAUUGUUUUAACGGUGAUUAGUUCUUAUUAAAUGUGUUAUUUCCCUAAGCUUGACUAAAUGUGCGCCUAUUUUUAAGUAUUGGUGUUUGAUGUUAAAUUUUGUUUCAGGUUCGUAAGUUAUGACGAUGAAACUCUCAAGGGUGUGAUUCCACAGUUUUCGCUGCAAUUCUGCUUCUCAAGUAAGCAGUGGCUUUCUCUAACUUGUUAUUUAAGAGAUUGGAAAUGUUUGGAGCCUUCUCGGCUUAUAUAGUUGCAACUUGGUUGGUUUAUAUGAUUGAUUAUUGUACGAUCAACUAUGUCAGAAGAAAGAUAGAAUGGAUUGACUAUGUUAUCAAUAGAGAAAGAAAUAAUUGAAUAGCUAAGGGGGUGUUCUCUUUGUGUUUCAGUUUUGUGUUUUGAGUUUUAAAUUCAUUUUGAAUUUUGUGUUUUCAGUGUUUGUUUUGAAAUUGUUGAAAAUGCGUUCUUUUUGUUAGUUUCUCAAAACAAAAAAAAAUGAAAUUUUUUUUUUUGAAAUUUUGAGAAUCACCACAAGAUCACCUCAAAAAAACGUUUUCAAAAACGGGAAAGAGAACACGUUUUCACCGUUUUGAAAAAUCGAAAACAGAAAACGGCCCGAAAACGGUAAAGAGAACAGGGCCUAAACUAUUCAGAUUUUAUUAAUGUUUUUGCCUUUUAGACGAAUAAUAUUUAACUAAUUAUUUGAAAUAUUUUGGUUUUUUUAUUUGAUACUAUAAAUUUUUUAUAUAAUAUAUUUGUUUGUUGUUUUAACUAAAUUUUAAGUUAGCAAUAAGUUACAUAAUACACCAUUACAUUUACAUUAAUUUCAGGAAGGAGCCUAAUUUAUAUGCUUUGCCUCGGGCCCUGACAGUAGCAAACCCACAUGAUCUCUAAGAAGCAUACAGGUGCAAAGGAUUCGGCUCUAGUCUUAUAGGACCAGCUUUAUAGUGGUACAUCAAUUUAACUAACAACUCAAUAUCAUCUUUCGUACAAUUAAAUGAUAUUUUUGUAGAGCAAUUCGCAAGUAGAAGAAAAUUAAUUAUUCGAACGACCUCUAUAAAAUUGUACAAUGCACAUAAAUCUCUAGUUUCAAAAAAAGAUUUAACCUGACUCAGACCUCUACAAGGAAUUGACUAAGUAUCCUUACUAAACAAUGAAAGAUGUGUUGGUAGAGGCCUAGGCUCAAAUCAAGAGGGAAGAUGAUGAGGCUAAUGCAUUUCGCAACCUACUCUUCAAGAUCAAAGAGCCUAAAGGUAUCCAGAGGAUAGAAAGACGACAAAUUGACCCAUAUCCAAAAUUGAUUGUAGAAUCUUGGGAAGAACGGACAACUAGAAACUGUUGAGUGCCUCAACCAUUCUUACGAUAGACCAAGGAUACCUGAGUACAACCUUAGCAUUUUAUCAGUUGAAGUUGUAGCCGUAAUAAAAGGCAAGGAAAAUACCAUCAAAUUGAUAGGAAAAAUGAGAAGUCAUCCAGACAACAGGCUUGAUACAUCCAAACCGUGUGUAUUUUAUGGUGAUCACGAACACAAAAUUCAGGGUUGUAUUGGUUUGUGAUUGGAAGUUGCUGAUCUACUCAAAUGUAGGCACUCACCAAUCUCCUAACAAAGAAAGGAAAAAAUACAUUGUUUCUCGGCAACCAAUGCGACAACGAACCACACAAUCUAUGAAUUUCCAAGCAUAUCCAAAACUCGAUCGAGCAAUAAACUUCAUCACCAAAGGAUCAAAGGUUAGUGGGAUCACUCAUUCUAUUGUACAAUGAUGCAUUCAAAUAAUUGCAUAGGAGACGUGGAACGAAUCUCGAAAGCUUUCAAGAAGCUAAGAAGGCCAUCCCACUACGCUUAACUUUACAAGUAACGAGGCAUUAAACCUCCAAAACCUUCAUCACUAUGCUUUGGUUAUUUCGUUAUGUAUUGCUAACUAUCUUAUGAAAAGAAUUUCUAUCGACAAUGUGAGUUCUACUAAUAUACUUUUCCUUGAGAUAUUAAGAGAGAUGUAGGUCCCAGAGUCCAGCAUUAUAUGCAAUAUUACCACACUCAUAUGAUUCAAUUGAGAACACAAAACUACACUAUGAGAGAUUAUGCUCCCAGUUUAUGAUGAAGAAGUAAAUCUUCAUACCAAGUUCCUUGUCAUCGAGUGCCCAUUGGCCUACAAUGUAAUCAUAGAAAGACAUUGGAUAUAUGCAAUGAAAGAUAACCUUCAAGCUAUCACAAGGUCGUGGGCUUUCCAAUUUCCUGGAGAGUUAAAAAAAAUAUGAGGAGAAUCAAAGAGUCUCACGCAACUGCUAUAUGAAUGCUUUUAUGGAUCUAAUGAAUAGGGUAUUUGGAGACUUUCUCGAUAAGUUUGUAAUUGUAUUUAUCGAUGAUAUCCUUAUUUAUUCUCGUACUAAGGAAGAACAUGCGAAACACUUGAGAAUAGUUCUGCAGGUCUUAAAGGACAAACAGUUAUAUGCUAAGUUUAAGAAAUGUGAAUUUUGGUUAGAUAGAGUUGAAUUUUUGGGACAUGUAGUAUCGGGUGAGGGUAUAUCAGUAGAUCCAAGUAAAGUAGAGGCUAUUAAUAAUUGGCCACGACCUACAAAUCCUUCAGAAGUCAGAAGUUUUAUGGGAUUAGCUGGAUAUUAUCGCAGAUUUGUGGAAGGAUUUUCCAAAAUAGCUUCUUCUUUAACGAAAUUAACCAGAAAGAGUACUAAGUUUGAAUGGACAGAUGCUUGUGAGCAAAGUUUUCAGGAAUUGAAGAAAAGACUAACUUCAGCCCCUAUCCUUUCAAUCCCAUCUGGUACUGGAAAUUUUGUAGUUUAUAGUGAUGCUUCAAAGAAUGGUUUGGGAUCUGUAUUGAUGCAAAAUGGUAAAGUUAUUGCAUAUGCAUCUAGACAACUAAAAGAGUACGAAAAGAAUUACCCUACACAUGAUUUGGAACUCGCCGCAGUUGUGUUUGCACUUAAGAUAUGGAGGCAUUAUUUGUAUAGAGAGCGGUGUGAGAUUUACACUGAUCACAAAAGUUUGAAGUAUCUAUUUACACAAAAGGAAUUGAAUAUGAGACAAAGAAGGUGGCUAGAGUUGGUAAAGGAUUAUGAUUGUGUAAUAAACUAUCAUCCCGGUAAGGCUAAUGUUGUAGCUGAUGCAUUGAGUAGGAAGUCGACAUCCAGUGUUUCAAAUAUGAUUGUAACUCAAAAAUCAGAAUUGAUAGAUUUACAGAAAAUGGGUAUUGAAGUUAUGUCACAAGGAUCUAUAGAGGCUAAACUUGCUGCAUUGACACUUCAGCCAACUUUACUGAACAGAAUUCAACAAGGGCGACAGGAAGAUGAUUAUUGUUCCAAAAUAAAGAAUGAUAUACAUGAUGGAAAAGCUUCAGAUUUUCAUAUAUCAGCAGAUGAUAUCUUGCGGUUUAGAGGACGAUUAUAUGUACCUGAUACGGAAAAUAUCCGAGGUGAUAUUUUAUCUGAAGCUCAUAUGACACCCUAUUUUGUUCAUCCUGGACCUACUAAAAUGUAUAGAGAUUUGAAGUUGCACUAUUGGUGGCCGAACAUGAAAAGUGAGAUAGCCGAAUACGUGGGACAAUGUUUAACUUGUCAACAGAUAAAAGCAGAAUAUCAAAGGCCAUCAGGAACAUUACAACCAUUACCUAUCCCGGAAUGGAAAUGGGAAAGAAUCACAAUGGACUUUGUGGUGAAAUUACUAAAAACGACUAAAGGAUAUGAUAGUAUUUGGGUUAUUGUGGAUAGGUUAACAAAAUCAGCCCAUUUCAUUCCAGUUUGUUCCACUUACUCCAUCGACCGAUAUGCUCAGCUUUAUGUACAAGAAAUAGUCAGACUUCAUGGAGUACCACUAUCUAUUGUCUCAGACAGGGAUUCUAAGUUCUUAUCUCUCUUCUGGAGAAGCUUACAUAAGACUUUGGGAACACAAUUAUCUUUUAGCACAGCUUAUCAUCCUCAAACUGACGGGCAAUCAGAAAGAACUAUACAAAUAUUGGAAGAUAUGCUAAGGGCUUGUGUAUUGGACUUCCAAGGCUAGUGGAGUAAAUUUUUACCUUUGGUAGAAUUUGCAUACAACAAUAGUUAUCAGGCUACAAUUGGUAUGGCUCCUUAUGAAGCAUUAUACGGUAGAAAAUGUAAAUCUCCAGUUUAUUGGGAUGAGGUUGGAGAAAGGAAACUAUUAGGUCCAGAUAUGGUACGUGAAAUGGCUGAGGUUGUGACACAAAUACGUCAACGGAUGCAAACCGCUCAAAAUCGACAAAAAUGUUAUGCAGAUCAAAGAAGAAGAAUAUUAGAAUUUACUGUGGGAGAUCAAGUAUUUUUAAAGAUAGCACCAAUGAAAGGAGUGAUGCGGUUUGGAAAGAAGGGAAAACUAAGCCCGAGAUAUAUUGGUCCAUUUACUAUUAUUGAGAGAAUCGGGAAUGUUGCCUACAAACUUGACCUUCCUUCAUCGAUGUCUCAAGUACAUAAUGUGUUUCAUAUAUCCAUGCUAAGAAAAUAUAUUGGAAAUCCUUCUCAUGUAUUGAGGAAUGAACCGAUGGAAAUAAAACCAGAUUUGACUUACGAAGAAAAGCCGAUAGAGAUCCUUCAACGAGAGAUAAAGUAACUGCGAAGCAAGAAAAUUCCAUUGGUUAAGAUAUUGUGGCGGAAUCAGUCAACAGAAGAGGCCACUUGGGAAAUAGAAGAUGAAAUACGGAUUAAAUAUCCUGAACUUUUUUGUAAGCAAAUUUCGAGGAUGAAAUUUUUAUAAGGAGGGGAGGAUGUAAUACCCCGAACUUCACGUUCUACAUUUGACCAAUAUGAUUCAUGCAUUUCAUGCUAAUUACAUUGUCAUUUGUAUCAAUUUCCUGAUUGCCUUCUCUUAAAAUGAUGCAUUUGAUCAUCAAGGCUUUAAAAUCUUUACAUGAUGAUAACCUUCGACUCUUCCAUUUAGGUGGUGAAUUUUAUAUUGAGCUAUGAUAGAAAGUUAGCUUAACUAAAUGUUGGAGAUUGGCUUGGUAAGUAAUGUAAUAUUUGAAAGGCCGAAAAUUUGUAUCAACGAAGGUUCAAGCUUUCCAUUUGGCUAAUCGAGGUCACCUUAAACCCUAGAUAGGUAAUUCACAUAUUUGGGACAUGAGGGAUGAAGUGACAUUAUCACAACGUAAUAAUAUAUGUCUUAUACGACAUUAUAAAUAUUGAGGUGCGAAUUGUUGAAAUCAGUUGAGAAUCGGGUAAGAAAUUAAAUGAACAGCUGAGGAAUUAGAUCUAUAAAGUACUUUGGGAUCUUAAUGCAAGUGAAAUAGAUUGUAAGUACAUCAAAAUAAACGAAUGACACUUGAUUUAUACCUGCAAGGAUAGAUGUAAAAUCAUAAUUUAAUCAAAGGAGACAACACCUACUUAACAUGUGACGACUUACCACUUUAACCUCUAAUUCCUUCAACCUUGAGCCUCCAACACGUCCUAUAAGUCCUUAGAACUUUACGCAAGAUAUUUAUAACUCUUCUAAGUCACAUAUGGCUCCAUGUGGUGCAAGGGAGAAGUCAAAGUUGGCUGCAAGAAGCCACCUCCUACUUGGACAGCUCAUGCUAGGGGACUUUUCACUUUAAUAUAUAGUUGCUUCAACCUUAAGGCAUAAAUUUCGUGUCUAAUCCCCAAGGACUUAAUAUAGGAUGAAUAUAUAUCUUAAAUAUCAUAAAUGGACACAAAAAUAAUGGUAGAAAAGUCAAGUAUUGCAGCCAAGAUGACAGCUCCAGCUUAGUGACUCACCUUGAUUGCUUGAGGUGGCUGCAGCCCAUGAUAUUCUUAAUCCUUAAGUAAUAUGCACGACUUCAACUAUUUAAAGACCACUCAUUUACCUCCUAGAUAAUAUAUUAACUCCCUGAACUCGUCCCUAAGUGAUUCCAAGUGAAAAGAGGGUGAAACAGUCAAAGAGAAAUAGAAACAAGAAGCUGGAAUUUCUGAACAGCUUUGUUACUCCACAGUUUUGAGGUUUGUUUCUAUUAUUUCUUAAGGGAUUUAUGAUUUCUUGAACAUCUGAACUUGUUUUUGAUUAAUUUGGAGUGUUUUUAAUGAUGUUAUGAUGCCUAAAUAAGGGUAAUUAAUUGCAAGAAUUUGAAAGAAAGUAAUCUGGACAGAGAUGAUGAAUUGCUGGAUUGAGUGAUUUAAACCUUGAUUUUGGGAUGAUACUUAGUGUUUAACUUAUAUAUAUCAAUAUGAACGUUUUUAUAUGCAAGUAGGGAGUGUAGAAAUGAUUUUAAUGGCCUAUAAUUCUGUUGGUAUCAUAAUAAUAAAAUGGAAACCGAAAACAGUCAAAGGGAAAAACUGCCUGAUUUUGUGUAGUGGAAAAUGGACUGUUUUUCAAGCUCCAAACACUUCAUUUGUCACAAUGUUAUGAUCUGAUUAUCUUCACAUAUAUGUUAUAGGUGUGUGGUAAAAGUUUGGGAGUCGUUAAAUGUAGGUAAGGACAUGAAAAAGAAUUUGAAAAAUGAGUGGACGGUGAUGGAAACCUAGAAAACAGAUUCUGUCCAUUUGGGUAUUUAAUGUGAUUUCAACAUUUAGAUGUCCCCUAAUGAACUCUUGGGCCUAGAAAAUAUAUCCUAAGGAAUACUAGGUUGUCGAAAACAAUUGGAUGACGUUGACGUUCAUAAUUGGACUCGAGAGAUAGCGAGACUUAUGGGAUUAGUUUGUAAUGUCAUUGGUAACUUGAAAUAAUGAUUUUGUCUAAAUUGUUUUGGCGUGAAUGGACGUAUUUUGGGAUUGUGUGUGUUAAGAUUAUUAAAUGGAGGAUUUUAUUUAAUAUUAGAUGACAAUACAGGUGACUUUUCAAUGUUGAGCGAAAAAAGGGAAUCUAUAACACUCCAUAGGAGCUCACACAUAUAAAGGCGAAAGGUAAGUGAAAAUCCAUUUGCAACUACGAUGCAAGAACCUAGUAUAUGUGACAUAGUAAUGUUGAAAUAUCUACAUAACUUUGAUAAGAGGCUUAUAGCACAUAAUAUGGUGGUUACGAUCAUUGAGUAUGAGAUUGCGUAACCUAUUGACAUCGAUUUUCAUUUAUGAGCAUUUUCAUAUGCAUGCACGACAUGUAACAUGGUUGAAAAUGCUGCAUGCAAAAUAUGAUUUCAAAGUGAGUUUCAUUAUAAAUGUUUUAUUGACCACUACUAGGGCACCGAGACAUGUGAGGCAUGCUUAUGUGAUAUGUUUGGCAUUGCGGGUGUUACUUCCUGGGUGAUUGCAAAGGUAGAAAGGGGAUGGGCCAUUGGUGAUCACGGGAGGGCGGACCACUCGACUGUGCCCUUGUGAUAUUAUGAUUAUUGGCGCUACCGGGUGGGAGACUUCUUGGGUGAUCAUAGGGGUAGUCAGGGGAUGGGCCUCUAGUGGUCACGAGAGGAUGGUCCACUUGUCGGUGUCGAUUUCAUACUGGCCAUUUGAUUAUUGAUAUUGAUAUUAUGCAGAGCUCUAUCCGGUGCGUAGUAGGUGAGUCAAGGGCCCAAUGAAAUGAAAGAUUUCAAGUGAAAUGAUUUCUAGUCGAAUUUGACAAAUAUUGAAAUAUGAAACUUUUUAUCGUGAUAUUUAAAGUAAAUGGCAUGAUGUCAUAUGUCGUUAUUACUCAUGUUCAGGACAUGCAUGAUUUUGCUUACUAAGCAUUGGCUUAUGUAGUUCUUGCAUUGUAGAUGAACAUGGAACUACAUAGAGAGCAUGGCUAGCUGUGGAGCUCCUACAGGAUUCCAGAGUUCGAUGUACAUGGAUGACGACCUGUAGGGUUAUUUUGUAGGCUGCUAUCUGUUGGGUUAUAUUUUGGAAUCCUAUAUAGUGUACUUUUGAAAUGGCCUGUAGAUGUGUUUAUAAGCUCAGAAUAUAGAUGUUGGAUUAUGGCGAUAUGAUUUUGGGUUUCGAUAUGUUAUAUGAUCGUGUCACAGGUGAUUAGAAGUUAACAAACUCGAAAAAAAAUAUAUAUGUAAAAUUUUAUAUCUAUGUUGUGUAUAGAUAUCAAUGUUAAUUUGGGGGUGUGACACCUGGGGGCUAGCAACAUGUAUUUAUAGCUCAUAUGAGUCGUAACCAUUUAAAGUUGUGAUAUUGAAUUUAUUGACCUUCUAAUUAUGUUAGUGAAGAAAUAAUGGCUAUUUUAUAGUACAAAUCAGGUGAUUGAUCCACUUACACUCUAUAUAUUGCAAUAAAAAAGAGACCAUACCGCUAAAAUUAUCAUAAUUUUAGGAACAAUAUUAGAAACGUAAAAAAAUAAAUAAAUUAUACACGAAAAUUCUGAAAAUUUUGAAUUAAUUAAAUUACUGAAUGUGAUUUAACAAUUUUUUUUAUUAAUAACUUAAUUUGUCAAAAGUAAAAGCUUUUUUUAUUUUUUUAUUACUCGCUUGCUUGAGGCCCAUCUGAAAAAAAGCCCAAAUUAAAGGCAUAGAUAUCCAACUCUUACCCAGCCUGUUUACAGUUUAUGUAUAGAGCAAAGGGGACGAUCGGAUCUCUUCCUCGAUUUACGCUAAAAUUCGGGAACAAUUCAUCGCCCCUGGGCACCAAUUUAUCUCGUGGUGCUGUGCUUUCUACUCAACUUCUGCAUCACCAAACUUGGGAGGUAGUAUCGGAUUUUAUUAGUGUAAAAAUGGCUAUAUAUGAUGAAAUCGCAUUCUAUUUGAAUGUUGUGUGAAUGAUUUAAUUUUAUCUCAAGUCCUUAUAAUUUGUUCCAAAACUGUUGAUUCUUGAUGAUAAUUUUCCUGUAGCAACAUUGAUUUUUUCGACAACACUUCUCUUGAAUUUUUGAUGCGGUUGUUCACUGUUUUCUCCUUGCUUUGAAAACUUGCUGCCCCUCAAGUGUAAUACGUGAAAUAACCAGGACCAAAAUCCAGUGGGGGCAGUUAAUAUACCCAAGGUCCGGCUCCGGCUCCUGCCAUGUACACAUCUGAGUUAAAAUUCAUCAAAUAUGAAAAUUUUGUGUUUGUACUCUUUGUUAUGAUGUGUAGGGUCAUACUAAAAACGGUAUGCCUAACCAUUUUUCAUGACCAUUUACUUGUUUGGGCUUACUUUUUCGUUAUUGAUGUUUGGUUUUGAGAUUGCAUUAUUUAAUAUCGCUGAUGGGGAAAUUUUGAUGAGUCUACAUAUUAUUGGAGUGGUAGAAGCUUCUGGUAGUACUAUGGCUUGGAAUGUUACUUCACAUCUUAUUGAUUCGCGAACCCUCACAAAUGAAGCUGAAAUUAAAAGGAAAAGGGGGUUCUGAUUUUUUAUCUGAUGAUCUGUUUCUACACAAUAUUAUGUGGUUCGACUGUCAUUCUAAUUGGUGUAAAUUUAUCUAACAAUUAAAAGUAUAAAAUAUAAAAGUGUUUACUUUUCUUGUGUACAACAAUUUUAUUGUGAGCUUGCUUGAUACUGUCUGUAACCAUUGAUGGAUGCUAUUUAUUCCCAUGAAAUGAAAAUAUUAAAUAUUAAAAUGUUAGAAUGAUAAGAACAAAAGAAGAAAAAAACUGAGAUGUGUUGAUAUAGGAAAAUGAGAUGCUGUAUUUAACAAGUGACAAAACUUUGUAUUUAGUUAGCCCCUAUUGGUUAAAAAUGGUUGCAAACUUCAUACAAUAUAGGCCCAUUGUAGGAUUUUAGAAUAAAAAGUUACUUUCUUAAGGAAUUAAAUGAAAGCCGACUUUGGGGUGAUAUGUUGUUUCUUUGGCAUGUUUGUGGAUCUCUAUUUCAAAAUAAUAGUAUAGACUGAACUGAGCACUUCAGUAAGAGUGCUCUUCGGAAGGCAAAAGCUGCCAACUUACUAUCAAUAACUUGAGUCACCUUAAUUUGGGUAAAAAGCUGACUUUCCCUUGCCAUUCUGGUUGUUCAAGUAAAAACAAGGAGAAAACUUGUGGCUACCUAAAAAAUACGAUAAUUGGGCUGCUUUUGGGAUUGGAUGUGCAAACAUGGUAAACUUUUUGGUUUAUUCUUCUAUUUUGUGGCUUAGUCUGAUGAUUAUGCUCAUAUGUUGGUCAUCACGUUACAGAAGUACAUUUGUUAGUGCCCAAACGGAAGAAGUUGUUUUAUGAAUUAAGCUCCUAGAUAUUACUGUAAGAUGCACAUAAUAGAUAGAUCCUGGAAGAUGUACAACUGGAAGGGCCUAUUUCCCUGAUAGGAUUAUGAGGACUGUAUAAUCUGAUUCAAAAUUGUGAAAUAGCAAGAAAAUUCAAAUGCCAUGAUGAUACAAUAGGAAACUUUGGUUUCUACUAAUUGCAGGAUUUGGGAAUUAUUUUAAUCAAUAGUUGGUGUAGUCUUUUGCCUCUUGUUUGGUCUUCGACUUUGCAAUCUAGGUUUUCUUACAGCAUCUUUGGCUAAGCUUACAAAAAAAUAAAGUUAAUUUUUAAGAAGGUGUUUGAUAGACAUUUUUAUGUAAAAAUGCAUUUUAGAAUAGUAAAUUGAUGUGAAAUGUGUAGUUGAAAAAUAAGGAAAAGUUUUUGAUUUACGUGUAAUAUUAUUUUAAUAAAGAAUGUGUGGUUGAAAAGAAGAGAGAGAAAAAUGCAUUUUGAAAAAAAUAACUACCAUACAGGGCCUAAGUAACUUUUUGUCUUUAGAUAACUUACUUUUAAUAAAAAGUUAUUUUUUCUCAGAGUAAUACUUUAGUGUCAAAAUAAAUAAUUCAUUACCUUCUUUGAUCAAUAAAUGAAUUAUUUCUUUUUGAAAGAACUUAUUUACCUGUUAGAAAACCUUUUAAGCAUAGCCAAACUUGUAGCCUGCUAUACAUUUGAUGCUCUUGUAAUGGAUCUUUUGAUACGUGCAGUGUUCAAUCAUGAUUGAGAGUGGAAAUUUAAUCCUCAAAUCUCAUUAUGAGAUCCUCGAUGUGAAGGAAGAUGCUAGCUCUGACGAAAUUCGUACAUGCUACCGAACUGCCAUUCUGAGUUAUCAUCCAGAUAAAAUGCAAACAACAUCCCAAACAUCAAAUCCUGCAAACGAGUUGGGCAGAAGGUUUUUAGAGGUGCAGAGGGCUUGGGAAAUCCUCGGAGAUUCAAAAUCUCGUGCACUUAAUGAUAACGAGCUGCAAUCUUUGAGGCAAGAUUCUGCAACUGCUGAAGAUAUCAGAUUAGAGGAUCUGUCAAUCGAAGAGGUUGGUGAUAUUUUUGAGCUUUUGUAUGGCUGCAGAUGUGGCGAUUACUUCCUAAUCGAUUCUCUGGAGUUGUCAGAUAUGGGAUAUCGACUGUUGAAAAAUGGGAGUAAAAUUGUUUUGCAAGCGCCUAGAUCUCCACCUGCAUCUGUUGUUCUUUCUUGUGGGUCAUGCUCGCUUAAAGUACGGUUAUUGAUUAAUUCUGAUAGUAAGCUUCAAACUGAGUUGAGUAAUUGAUAAUAGUUUUUCCAUUAAUCUGCAAUUUUGGUCUGAGAAAGUGAUUUAAAAUUAUCUAUAAUUUUGUGGAAUGUAACAGAGAAUUGGAAAAAUGACGGGUCAUUUUGAUUAAAAUUUGUAAUGUGUACUGAUUCAAUUGCUCAUGCAAUUGUUGUGGCCUGUGGUGCCAUUAUUUGAAUAGCAAAGGAUUUGAACUCGCAAGAGAUCUAUUGCAUAGUUUUUAUUAAGAUUAGACAAAACUUUCGAAUCAAAUGAGACAAAUUGGACCCGAUUCCAACUAAAUCGAAUCGAGCGGCUUUUCUUAAGUUAAAUACUUAAAUGGGUGUUUGAAUCGAAAGCUUUCUCCAGAAUUCCAUGGUGUAAAACAUGAAAGUCAAGCUAAUGACUAUAAAUAAGCACUUAUUGGAAUGCAAUUCAAUUUCUUCUCUUUUAUUUAUUUUUACUUUCUAAAAUAUAGGAUUAGUAAAUUUCAUUUUUUUAGUAGUUUUGUAAAUUUUAUUGCUUUUAGUAAUUUAGAGAAUCCUUAUAUUCAUAUUUUCCUUUAAGAAGCUUUAGAGCUUGUUUAAAUAUGCUCCAUGGUAUAAUUGAAUUUUAUUUUAUUUUUCUUGAAGAAACAACAUGACAUCUAAGUACAUUGGAUAAGGUAAAAUACAUAACAAGUGAUCCAACACUCUUAUGCCAAUCUAUCUACCACCUUCAAAUAUAUAUAUCAGGGAAAUACUUAGUUAUAUUUUUAGACAUUAAGGGCAAUAUCUCUUAUAAAUUUGGGGAUUAAAAAAUAUCCAGUUUUUAUCUAUUUUUACUAUUUGGUACUUGCAAAAAAACUUCAAAAAUUCAAAAAAAAAAAAAAUUAUCUUCAGUUUUAGUUUUGCUUUUAUAUACUUUCGUUGAUUAUAUAAAUUCGUCUCCUAUGAUGCAUAUAUUUGGAACCAUGUGUAAGGUUAUAAAUAGUGAAAAAGUUGCAUGAUAGGUUGAUUUAUGCUUAUUAAUGUAAAAUUUGACAUUUUUGCACACAAGAUUAUUGUUUUGCAUCAUUAAGGAUUAAUUUGAUUCAAAUUUUGAAUAGUUUGAAAUAAAUUUAGUGGACCAUAGAUGCUAAACCUAGAUAAACACUAAAUUGUACAUCCUUAAACCUAUUUUCAUAUAAUUUGGGGGCGACUGAACUGAUGUAGGGAGAUAUUGAGAUAAAUAUAGAUUAUAUGCAUAUUUUGUGAAUUGUUUAAUGCAAAAAAGAUGAAAAUUAAGUGUAAAUUUUUGUGUCAAUUUUUGAGAAUGAGUGUUUAGUUAGGGGCAUUGUACUGGACAUUGCAUGGGAAAAUAAUUUCAAAGAAGAAAGAAACUCACAUUAUGAAACUUCUUUUUAUAGCCUUCAUGACUCAAGUUUAAAAAGCUUAAUUGAGAUAAGUUUGAACAUAAAAUGAAAAUGAAAAUAAAAAUAAAAAUAGAAAAAGCAAGUAACAAAAGGUGUACUACAUGCCUUGAUUAAACUCCAAAUACUUGUUUUAGAGAAUUAGACAUUUGACAAAGGAUUAUUAGCCUAGUUGAUUUUUGGAGGUUGAAGUAACCAAAAAUAAAGAGAAUUCUCAUUUGUUGAUGUGUUAGCUGCAAUUAGUAAGAUCUAACCAAAGUAAAGAGGGUAAUGAUUAGUAUAAAAAAUUCAACUUUAGAUCACACUUUAGGAAAAGAGUUUAAAAAAAAAUUAGUUUGAAUGUGAACCUUAUGCGAGAAUGAAGUAAAUAUUCGACCAAUUAGGGCCGGGACAUAAAUCACCUAAUGAGAACUUGUUUGAGCCCCAUUUUGAGGGGAAAGAAUGCAUUUUUAAAUAGUGAUUGAUGGAGAAUGUGUAGUUAAAUAUUAAGGAAAAAUUUUGGGUUGUGUGUAAUAUUAUUUUAUUGAAGAAUUUAUGGUUGAAAAUGAAUUUUUAAAAAAAUAAAUUUUUAAAAGAAUGAGGCUCAAACAAGGGCUGGAUUUAUGAUGUUUGACAUGAAUUUGUACACACGGGCGUCGAUUUUGCAUUAGAUAAGUAGAAAUUAAUUUUAACAUUGUGAUUUUGAAGUAGCUCAUAACGUUAACACAUAAAUUUCAAUCCUAAGACCAAUGACAAAUUAUCUAAUCAUGUUUGUUUAAAAAAGUUUUGGUUAAGUUAAGCUAUAUUUUGUUAGAGGAUAAAUAAUUGUUCAAGUUUGGAGGUAUUUGAUGAGUGCAUUUCUAUAUACUUAUUUGGUUAUUAAAUGAGAGCCAUUAUUGUUAAUUUGAAUGAAUUAGAGCUUAUUUAUAUUUUAAUUUUAUUUGUUAGGUAAAAAUCGAGAUAAAUUGGGUGAAUUAGAAGAAAGAAGUGAAAAAUGGGUGAAAAAAAUGAAAUAUAAAGUUAGGGAUCAAAUUGUAAAUAUCUAAUAGUUGAUUUGAACCACAAGAUGAUAAUUGAAGAUUACAAGGAGCCAAUUGUAUGCAAUUAGAAGUCAAAAAGGAGUGAAAUACAACCAAAAUCAAAGGAUUCUUACAAAUCAAUUUUCAUCCGUACAACUUAUAUUCCAGAUUUUUAGUCGGAGAUGGAGACCCAUUUUAAUUUAGUAAUCGUUCUAAUAGAAAAAUGGCUACUUCUUCAUUAAUUGUAACACUUUGAGUUAGCAUUCCAAUCAUUUUGAAUAAACUCAAUCGAAUAUCAGGAGAGAAAUUUGUGACCAAAUUAUUGACGAGUGUGCAAAGAGAUAAUCAUGCACGUGUGAAGGUAUAUUUUCUUAUUUGAUUGAAACAUUUUAGGAACCUAACUUGAACGCAUUUUUUAAUCUAAUUUUACCUUAUCUCUAUCUAAUAUAAUCAUCCAUGGAAGAUCUCUAUCCCACCUCUCAAAUCACUUCCAUAGCAUAAAAUCAUUCAAGAACGAGGGAAAAAUUCAUCAUAAUUUGGUGGGGAGAACAAAUCUAGCACAUGGACCGAAUAAAAAAAAAAUCAAGAACUUGAAUAAUCAAAGCUUGAGGUUGAGAAACAAGAUCAAGAAUUAGACCGUGCAUCUCUUUCUUGCAUUUAUAAAUUUCGAGUGAUAUUUUUCUUGUUGUUUUAUCAUUAGAAACAUGUUUAACUAGAACUUCUUUGUAUUGGCUGAAGAUAAAUUCUUUUUUUUAAUUAUUUUAAUUUAAACUAGUAGUUUGUUAUUCCUUUUCUUGAUUAAUUUUACAUUCUUAUUGCAUUAUUUAAUUAUUUUGCCAUCAAUUAUAUAAUUAGUUGCUUAUUGUAUUGUCAGAAGACUCACAAUAAGUUUAAAACGCUACAAAUUAGUAUGUGCACAAUAGAUGUUAGGAUUAAUAUUUAUCACUUAUGCAAUCAAGUAGAUAACCUAAAAUUUAAUGCAUUCUAGUCAUUCGAAUUUAAACUAGGAAUAGACUUAUAUGUGAUUAGAAUAAAUUUAAUUUGUCUUGAAAAAUGAAGUUAAAUAAGUAGCUUUAUUGAUUGUCAAAAAAGCAUGAAAUGACUUAUAUUACAAAUCAAGAAUUGAAAUAGAUAACAAUAGAUGGAUUUGUAGUCUAUUAUAAUCAUCCAUAAUUUAAUAAAAACCAAUUUUUUAUGACUUUAUUAGAUUUAGAAUAAUCAACACCAAAACCUCUUUUGUUUACAUAAUUCGAAUUCCAUACAUAACUAGUGAACUUGAAUUGGUAUUAAGUCACUCAAAUUUAUUACUUGUCAACGAUCCCUUACACUUACUAGAUUUUAUCAAACACCAAUCAAUUAGAAAGUUAGUGCCUAAAAUAAAAAAAAUCCAAAUAGAUACAAUAGUGGAGAUAAGAGAAAGACUUAGAAUGUUCAAAUGUCCUUUUAUUUACAUAGACUGAUUGACAAUAUUUACAAAUGCAAAGUUAUUUUAUGGUGAACUAAAAUUAAAUAUGGAAUGAUGAAGUGAAUGAAUUCAAAAAUUGUUGUAAAAAAAGCUCCAUAAUUUCAAAUUUACACAUUAUUUUUUAAAAAGAAUUUCUUAUAUAGAUUAAAAACAAUAGAUGUUUUCAAGUGAUUUUAAACUGUAAAAAAUUGUCCAAAUUUAACAAAAAUUAAUAAUCAAAUCCAACUUGAAUUGAGCCCAAGCCCCAACCCUAAAAUUGAUCAGUUUGGGUUGGGUUGGAUUGAGUUUAAACCAACAAUUGGGUUGAGUUGGAUUGCGGGGGAGCACUUUAAAAAAUUACGUUUCUCACUUUUUCUUUGUUUUCUUUGAACCUAAAAAGAGUUACUUUGCAAACAUUUUUUCCUUCCUCCCAGUGGUGGAUCUAGGUAGUGGCGAGCUUGGGCGACCGCCCUAGCUGGAUCCGCCAGAGUCUUCACUAGCCGUCGGGUGGAAGAUUGAAAGUUGCAGAGCCGCGAUUGAACUGAAGAAGGGAGGACUGGAGGAGGAAGAUGAAAUUUUGAAUUUGGGUCUUUUUUUUUUUUUUUUUAGUUUAGGCCUUUUUCUUUGGGCUGAUGAGUUGGGCCUCUUUGUUUGAAAAAAAAUUAGACCCAAUCCAUGGAUGAUGAUUGAUGGAUAUAUACACAUAACUGCAACCACACCUCCAAAUCAGAGGCAAUAAUCGUAGCAAACCCUUCUGUAACUGUUCUCCUUUUCCCUGCUGUUGGCCGCAGAUGUUAUUGCUUAUUUCGGUGGUCAAAACCUCAAUUGGUGGCAUUAGAAAUAGGAUGCCUAUGUGCUGGUGAGAAACUUCUAAGUUCUAAUGGCCCAUUUUUUCGAUUUCCAUGUGUCUGCCUUGUAUUAAUGCAAAUUAUGCAAGCCUGUAAACUUAGUUUUUUGUUUAAUAUCUUUUUCAGGAAAUAAGAAUAGGCCACUCUUGCCUCACACAGAGUCCACCUGAGUGCCGCUCACACAUGUGACUUGUGAGCCCUCUCUUCUCUUUCACUUUUUUGUUUGUUUGUUUGUUUGUUUGUGUUUUUUGUCCUUUUAAUUCAUUUUUUUUAUUUAUCUUUUAUUUUUGAGCUAUGAAUCUAUGACUUAUGUUUUACUAGUUAUGAUUUAUGUUUUAUAUUUUAUGAGUUAUGACUGUGAUUUGUGAUAAAUAAUUCAAGAUGAAAUCCCUACCUUCUAGUUCUAGUUCGUUUUAGGUUGUUGCUAGUUCAUUAGAUUUGGAAGAUUAUAAAUAAUUUGAACUUUGUUAAUAUAACAAAUUAAUAAUACUUGUUAAUUAACUUUAAUUAUAAACUGAAUAUUGGCAUUUUGUUAAUAUAUUUUGCCUGUUUAAUUGAAAAAUAAAUUAAGGCAAUUUUACAGAUUAUGGAGCUAUUUUUUCAUUUGAAAUGAAAGUUUGUACAUAGUUUCAGUUCUAGUGGUGCAUCUAGUUCUAGUCCGUACGGUUUUUUGAAUACUAUUUAAUUAAAUAUUAAUAAACGAUUUGCCUAUCAUGGAUGCUGACUGUUGACAGUUUACGUUCAACGUUUACGGUCCGCCCUAGCUGAACUAAGACCCUGGAUUCGCCCCUGCUUCCUUCCACCUAUUUUUUCCUCCCUCCAUUUCAUAACUACAAAAGAAUAUCACUAACACUAUCGAUACAUAUAAAAAUUCUAGUCAAUGAAUUGUUGAUCAGUUAAUUGACAUUGUUUCAAGUUUUUGUGUUCGUUCUGUAUAUGACAAAGUUGUCGAUAAUCCUUACAGUUCUCACAUGGCCCUGUUGAGAAGAAACGGAUUGCCACUUGCUAGGGAACUUUCUAAGGUAGCUAGGAUGCUGUGGUUGUUUCAAACUCGGAUCCAGCUUCCAUUCUUUUGGAACCUUCAUAGCCACAUUUACAAUGACACUCAGAAUCGACGUGAAAGGUUGGAAUUAUGAUUAACGACGACCAAUGUUUUAAAACCGAUUCAGGUUAGUCACCUUCUCGUGUCAAGGUUCACAGGAUACAAUUGGAGUUUAACUAGAUAAUAUUCGUCACAUAGCAUGAGAUAUGUCAAGGCUCAAAUUGCUCCUUAACCCAAAGUUCUUAUUUUCAGUUAAAAAAAGCUGAAAAACUUCUAGGUUUCAUCCCGUCUUUUUAAUAUAUGGUUUUUAAGGUAUAACAAUACUUUCCAGGUUAAUUCAUCGUUUUAUCUCUCGAACCAGUUAGGAUAGUCUGGUUAUCAGAACACUAAAGAAAACAAUAUGAGAAAAAUAGAAGAUCUUGAUAUUUUUUGCAAGUCACCUUUCAAACAUUAUUCACUUUUGUUCGUGAGAAACCUACAAGCGUAUCGUUGACAAGUAAUAUAAUUAACAAGUUUAAAGUUAUUGUCCCACAUGAAAUAAACUCAAUUGAAAUUUACCAAUUUCAUAUGGAAUUCGAAUUACAUAACACAAAAGAGAUUUUUAAAUUGAUAUUUGAUAAAUUAAUUUAUGAAAUAUUUAAAAGUUUGGUUUUUAUAAUUUAUGGAUGAUUGUAUUAAAUUUAUGCUCUUCUAUUGUUAUCUAUUUCAAUUUUCAGUUAUGUAAUCUAGUCUUAUUAAUGCAUUUUUGAUAGCCGACAAAGUUAAUGUAUUUAACUUUUUUUUCAAGAUAAAUUAAUUCUAUUAUAGUCACGACUCGAAUCUAUUUCUAGUUUGAAUUUGAAGAAUGGAAUAUAUUAAAAUUCAGAUUAUUUAUAUGAUUGCACACAUGAUAAACGUCAUUUUUAACAUCUAUUGCACAUACGUUAAUUAUAUUGCAAUCUAAACUUAUUGUGAAUCUCUCAACACUACUACAAGUAACUGAUUAUCUAAUUGGUGGUCAAACAUUUAACUAAUAUAAUAAGUAUACAAAAUUAAUCAAGAAGUGUAAGAAAUACUAAAUUACUAGUCAUGAAUUAAAAUAAAUAAACAAUAUGGUUCAUCUUUAUCCAAUACAAAAAUAGAUCUAACAUGGCAUGCUUUUAAAUAAAAUAUAAGAAGAAUAAUAGGAAAAUAUCACCCGGAUCAUGAAAAUAAUGCAAGAAAUCUUGAUCUUCAAUUUCAAGAUUAAGUUCUUCCAAAUCUUGAUGUAACUGGUUUCAAUUCCUUGCUAGGGUUCGGUCCCGUCUCUCAAUUAUAGCAAUUGACCACUUGUUCUUGAUAAAUUUUAAGAUAUUACUGUGUAUCUAGAAGCUAGAAAGAGUUCAUUUCCACGUUUAGAUGUUGUUUUGUAUUUAUAGGAAUUGAAAAUUUGGGUUAAAAUCGUGUAAAAAUUCAAACUAGGAAGAGUUUUAUGUCAAACAGAUUAUUGCAACAGGGUCAUCUAAUUAGAAAACGGGAUAGGAAAUUUUUGAAUAACUCAUCUUGUUGCUGCCUCAUAUCCUGAAGGCGCUAUAUUGGUCUUUCAGGCUCUUUACUUGUGGCAAAGCAUUUAAGGAAAGCCUUCUUAAAAUCUAGUCAGCUUUAGAUGCUUCCCUCCGAGAUCCUGGUGUAUCACAUUUCAGUCACUCCACUUAGAAUUAAGUGAAAGGCUAUGCACUUCAUGGCGGGGAUGGCUCUUCUAAGGCUUGUUUGAGUUUCGAAGAUGUUGAGGUGUUUUGUAGAUUCACCUCUUCUAUCAUACUUGGGGAUUUUAGGGAGCGUGAAGUGAUUUAGGAGAAGGGUAUUCCUGAUCCCUUGUGAGAAUGGGAGAUUGUCAUCAUCGUUAUCAAGAUGGCAAGACCUUUGUGAUUCGUCAAAAUCUUUAUCUUCUUUGACUCGUGUUUCCCAAGGUGGUUGAGAUGGUCUGUCUUGAUUCCUUGCCUGGCCUCAUGCCUAUUUCUAGGUGAAGGGAACUGGAGGCAUGUUGUUAUCCACUGGUUCAUUUUGUCUUUCGAAUUGAAGUGGUCUCUGUUGCCUAUUUCUAGGUGUAGAGAGAGGUUGAGCCUACAUAUUUCUAAGCUGCCCUGGGCUCAGCCCGUCGAAGAUGCUUACUGGCUUUCGAGGCAUGCCUUUUGGUUCAUAGUUUGGAGGAGAUCUGUAGCAUGGUGGAUGUAUCCACCCUAACUUCCAUUUCCUGAGGGGCUUUCUCCUUGGUGUAUUGUUGGUAUUUAGCCAUUUGGCUUUGGACUUCCUCUUUACAAUGGUAGUAGUUUCCUUGUGAGGGAUCAUGGAAUUCAAUUCUUGAGCUACAUAGAGAGGAACUGGGUAUCCUCCUUGGCCUUGCAUGCUCCUUAGCAUCUCCUACAUAAUAAGGUUUUGUUAGGUUAUGUUUCUCAUAUUUGCGGCCAUGGUGGCCACUUCCCUGUUGAGUUUAGUAGUUGUCCUAGACCCACAUCUUGAUCUACCUCUUCUAUGUGAUUGAUGAAAUCGAUGGCGAGUUGCUGGAGCAACUUGAGAAGGUUCCCUUUCUUCAGGGUGUUCCCUAGCUCUUCGAGGUGCUGACUCUUCAUUAGAACUCAUGGAUUCGUUUCUUAAUAGCGUGAUUCCUUGACUGUGAUUUUCCUUUAUUCAAGGAAUUUACAAGGUUUUUUCAAAUGAAUGAUUCAACUUGGGAGUAAUUAGUGGUUCUGCAAUGGAGUGUUUCAGCAAAGAACAUCAGAUGGAGAUGCACUUCGGCCAGAGAGAUCAACCCUUUUCAUUGAUUUGUUCAUUUUGUCCUUGUUGACUUUUAGAUGUAUUGCCCCCACGCAGCUUCGACUUGGCUUCCACUGGAAGCUUUGGAUACAAAGCGAAAUUUAAUAUUUAAUAUCUAUUCCAUAUGGAUUAAAAUCUCUAAAUCAAAGCAAACAAUUAAUUUUCAUCACAUAUUUUCGUGGAUUCUAUAAUGGAUAAAUAGCCAAAACCCCAUGUUUGAAACAUUUUUGUGCAAGCCCCACUGCCAUCAAGAACUAUCAAAUUGAUCGUUAAAAGCACUAAAAAAAUGUCAAAAUUGAAAAGGAAUAAAUGCAAUUUCAGUAUCUAAACUUUUAUUUUUUUUUCACAAUUUAAAUACAAAUUUUUUAUAUGUACCACCUACAAUCCAAAUAUUUAAAACUUUAUUUUCCACGCCACCCUCUUCAUCUUCUUCCCCAAAAUAUUCUUUUUUAGGUUUUCCUUCACCAAAAUCUAUGAUUUCAUUCCUAUUUACUAGUCGAUGCCACAUGCGUUGCACGAUUAUUGUAUUUAAUAUGUCUUUAUUAGCGUGAUGUAGAGAUUUUAAUUUUAUUGUCAUAAUCGUAACAUGCUUUUGAAGUUUGAAUUAAAUUUUUUGGCAUGAAUUUUCUCUGACAAUUAGUAAAAAUUAGAUUUAAAAUUGUGGGAGAUAUAAGUAAAAGAUAAUUUAUAAUUUUAUGGGAGUCCCGCACGCUGUCGCGCAGAGUCAGCACCAAUUCCAUUCGAGGAAGUCCCCGCACAAUUCGUGCGGAGUCCCCGCACAGUCUGCAGGGGAUUCCGCACCAAAAUUGCUACAAGAAGCCAUAUUUCACGAGUUCUAGGUGUUUGCAUUCUCAAAGUGAUUAAGAGAACUAAUAUCACCAAAAUUCAGCAAAAAUAAAGAUGAGAAUAUUUAUUAAUAUAAGCAAGGGAUGAAAAGUGGAAAUAACUUCCCAAAAAUUGAAAUGUACAGCCAUCAACAUUGAGAAAAAAACACACAACAUGUAAUCAUAUUGUGCUACUGGCUCAUUUUUAAUUAAUUACUACCAAAAAGUUUUGCAACGGGAAUUCUACAGGCAUAAAUAAAGAUUCAAAUGAUCUAUCCAAUCACCUUACUAUGCUCUGUUUAAAUCUAUAGCUAAAAACUUAACAUAAACAAUUUGCAACUAUUAACUAAAAUAACAAAACCCCUUAGAGCAAUUCAAUUAUUUUCACCAAACUUAUAUGCUUAACCUAAUCAUUCAUCGAUUUCUUGCUAAUUUCUUUAUUCCUACAUUUUCCUACUUCAGAUGCCAAACCAUAGCCUAAAAAAUUAAUCUAUAUAUUUUUUUUGUUUUUUCCUCUCUAUAAUCUGUUGAUCUUAUGGCCAAAAAUUCAUUUUAAAAAGACUUAUACAAUCUGAAAAUACACACAUUCUUAAUAUGCAUAAAAUAUGAAUAAACCCAUAUCAAGAGUCCCAACAAAAAAAAUUAAAAAUAAAUAAAAAGACAGAUUUUUUCCCUAGUUGACUUUAAAAAAAAUAAAAUAAAAUUCAAGACUUCUUUUCUACAGCACAUAUCAAAAGUCUAUUCACGGCAUCAUCGAAACAAUAAUCAACAAACAAAACCCAUACACCAAAAAUUAAUGAAAUGACGAAAACUCAAACAUCUAACACAUAAAUUUAGGGAUUAAGAUAAGAUAAGCCCAUACCUUCAACAUUAUUCAGUGUUAAAACCCGAAAAGUCCCCGCACAGUCUAUGCGGAGACUCCACACCUAGAUUACUACAAGAAGCCAUACUUUACGAUUUCUGCCAAGAUUGCUAAUGCAUGAGAUACACAAGAGACCUAAAUGAAUUAACAAGCCAAUAAGCAUUUUAAUUUACAUUAAACCAAGAAUAUACCUCUCUAUUCACACAAAAACCCAAAAUUGUGAAUCGAAUAAACAAAAUUAUAAUUAUCAGAUAAAAUCGAGGAUAUACCUCUCUAUUCACUCGAAAUAAAAAAAAUUUCACGUAGAAUCUUGAAUAAACAAAAUCAUAAUCUGAGAAAAAUGGCAUGCCAGUAUUUACCUCUUUAUUCAUGAGAAUUUUGCACGAAGAGAUUAAUCACAGAAAAAACGAGAGAAGAAUUGAAGAAGAAGUGAGAGAAGAAAAUGAUGAUGAUGAUGAUGAUGAAGAAAGCUUGUGUCUGGGUUUGCGUGGGGAAAUGGCUUCACCGUCCUUUUGAGUAAGAAAAAAUGGGUAUGACUGAUAUCUACAGUGAAAUCACUAUUUAACUAAAGUAGAAGACCCGAAUACUAUUGCAAUUACAGUGAAUUUUAUUCAUCUUUCUAUAAUAAGUAGUUAGAUUAAAAAAAAAAAAAAAAGAAACUGUAAUUGUGGUGUUUCUACAUGAGUUAACUUAUGCGUGUUUUAUAUAAAUCUCCUUGUUCUGUUUGCUAAUGAAGAUCGUGCAUUGGUCAGCUCUAAAAACAAGAUUCAAUAACAUUUAUAGAAUAAUAUAUUAAAUUGGAUAGCUUAAGGAGGUCGCCGGAAUUUGGGGUGGCCAUAUUGCUCAACCCCAGAUGGUGUUCAAGUAUCUGUCUAUUCAUUUUCUGUGUAUAAUCUUAUCCAAGAACGAGUCAUGUAUUCUAGCGAGAAAUUAAUAUCAAGAUUCCAGUUCUUGACAUCUUGUUUAUCCAAAAUUUUUCCUUUCUCUUGGUGUAAUAUAUGGUCAUAGGUAGUGUUUUUGUGGGAAUCAGAUCUUUGUUUCUCAUUUUUUAAGUUGGAUUUCAAAUCUUGAUAUUUGGACUUUUGAUUCUCGAAGUGUCCAAUAAUUUAACUAUAAUUUUCAAGAACAUAAUUAUUGAAAGGGGGAUGGACUUACUGUAUGUUCUUGGAACCAAAAAGAGAGGUGAAUUCUAAUUACAUAAUUAAUUCAUUAUUUAAACAUCCCAUUCUGAGACUAGGGGAGAUGGACUUGCUGUAUUUUCGUAGAUCGAAGAAAAUGAAUUGGGGUGGGGGUUGGAAAAUAAAGUUCUAGAGAUUUGGGAUUGUAGGUGGCAUAUAUAAAAAUUUGGAUUUAAUUUGUAAAAAAAAAAUAAAUAAAUAAAUAAAAUAAAAUUGGGUAUUGAAAUUACAAUUAUUCCUUUUUAAUGACAAAUUGAUGGAUCUUGACGGUAGGGAAAUUUUUCACACAUAAGAUUUCAAAUAGGAUCCCCCCUCCCCCCCCAAAAGAAGUAAGGUGUGUAUCACACAUGAAAACGCUUCUAGUGGAUUUUCUGUCAUUAAUCCAUGCUACAACCUUUCAACUACAUAUUUAAUCAAUUUUUAUCAAAUUUAAUAAAAAUUAGAUUUUAGGUAGUGUGUGAUAAACUCCAAUUCCAUGGAAAAUAGAAAUUCAUUUCCACCUUUUGUCAAAAAUGAGUGUUUAAUAGGUAAAAAAAUUCUAGGGAAUUCAUUUUCCAUGAUUCUUGCCACCUAAGCAAUUUUCCCACUUUUCCUUGAAUUGGAAUUCUCACCAAAAAUGGUGAGAAUUCCAAUUCCGGUUUACUGUAGCGAAAUUUUUUUUUCAAUUUUUUUUUGGCAAUAGAAACAAAUUUUAAGAAUAAUUGUAAAAAAAAUAUUUUCCUGUAAUUGACAAUUUUCAUGUAAAACAAAGUCAAACGAACACCAAAAGAUAGAUGAUUUUCUUGAUUUUUUUUGUUGACAAUGGAAACAAAUUUCAUCUCCAAUACCAGUAAAAUCUAUCACUUUAAUUGAUAAUUUUCAGGUAAAACAAAGUCAAACGAACACCAAAAAUACUUUUAUUUCAACAUUUUUCACUUGAAAAAUUAUACCAAUCAAACAGAAUAAUUUACAAUUCUCAUGAAAAUAAUUUAUAGGCAAUUCAAUUCCCUAAAAUUCAUUUUCAAUUUAAUUUAAUUCCAUUUUAAAAAUCAAACGGAGCCUUAAUUCUUAUCAAAUGGGGCUUAGUUAAAAGUUUCUAAUUCUAUAUUAUAUAAAACUUUUUAAUAAAAAACAAAUUAAAAGUAAGUUUGUACUGCAUCAUGGGGCACAACAAACAUCAAAUGAAAUAAUCUGGUGUGGAAGGUCCGCACAGUAAGUAGUUUACAUAGUUGGAUUAAAUUAAUGUUAGAGUUAUGCUACAAUGACAAAGAGGGUUUACCAAGUUAGAUUACAAAAUCAAAUCUACACCAAUUAUUUUAAAAACAGAUUUUUAAAUUAUUUAAAAUCAAGGGUCCAGAUUUUGCCAACAUACUUUGGCACUCCACUUUUGUACACCAACCUUGUAGGAGUAGAAUUAUUCUUAAUGUUAAAAACAAAUUUGCUACAUUUGGAUUUGUAAGAAGUCAACACGUAUCCAUGUCUCCACUUUCUCUCUCUACUCUAUCUCCAGUUCUUCUUCCUGCGGUUUCUUUUUCUUCUCUGCAAUUUCAACACACGAAAAAAAUUGCUAUAAGAAUUCAUUCUUCCGCUUCUUUGGCUACGGGAUUGAAUCCCAAAGUUGUGGUCACGAGAGAACGUGAGAAAAACGCUAAACUCAUUAUUCUCUGGUACAUUUUUAUAUUUGUUAUGUUUUUGUGAAUAUAUAUUCUCAACGCAUUCUUUUGAGUUUUGAAACUUGCAAUUUUAUUAUUGAAAUUAUAAGCACUUGUGGCUGUUUUUGAUGUGGGAACGUGUUUUUUUCCUUGUGGUUUUUUAUAGGAAUCUUGUGGUAUGAAUUUUUGUCAGUGGUUUAUUUUUGUGUAAUGGAGGCAAUAAUUGUUUGAUCAAAUGUUGAAAUAAGUUUAACCUUUCCAUCUAGGGGGGAAAGAGAGAGAGAGCGAGUUGUUGGAAAACUAUUUUGAAGAGUGUUGAGUGAUGAUAAAUAUGGAAAAAACUAUUAGCUCACUUAAGAUAAAGGAAUUGAAUAUAAUAAUUAAUAUAAAUUUAUACUCUUUGUUUAGAUGAUGUGUUUCAAAUAUAGUACAUAUCAAAUUAUAUUAUGAAGAAAUUUCUGGAAACAAACAAAUGUGUGGGAGAAUGAAAAAUUGCGCUGCUGAUUUUAAGGUAGAAAAUUUCCCUUUCCAACAAUUAAGUCUAUUGUUUGUCCUUGCGUCAGCAGAUGCUAUUUCACUGGGUAGUCAAUGAAAUAAAUUGAGCAGUGGCUUAUAAGUCUGUAUAUGAGUAUUAUGUCACCCACCUUAAUAGAAGAGCAUUAGAAAAUAGUGGAGUUGUUUGCCUAAUUAUGCAAGUCAUGCAUUCAGGUAGAAGUUGAAAAAAUGGUUUCGCAGUAGCAUUAGAAUGCGUCUGAUACGUCGGCAUGUGAUUUUUGAAAGAUAUACUAAUACGAUACAUCAUCGCCACAUUGAUUAAACUUUUUAAAAUUCUUCAUUUAUUAUUACAGCCAGCUCACCAACAGCAAUCAACGGCAAUCCACACAAAGAAUUUUCUUUUAUAGUUAUUUCCAUAUCACAGUUCUUACCAUGUAUAGAUUGGAUUCUCACCUAUAAAUUUAUGCAAAAUCAUUGUAACAUAUAUGGAGGAAAUAAUAUAAUCUUCAAUUCUUCCCUCAACCAUACCUCUGUGUGUCGAGAUUUAUUAUGGUAUCAGAGCAACCUCCUUCUUCCGGCCUCUUUUGAUUUCUCUGACUUCCGAAACCAACAACCACCAUGUCUGAUUUGACAUCGUUGACACCUUCACAAUUGAUCAACAACCUCACAUCCCUAUAUUUCUUAACGCCCGCUGAUAACCCUGGUGCUGUAUUCAUCCUCGAUCUUCUCAGUGGAGAAAACUAUGCAGCCUGGAAACGCUCGAUGCGUAUGGCCCUUAAUGCCAAGAACAAACUCGUCUUUUUCGAUAGAACUCUAAAGCGACCGUCCGAAGCUCAAAUUGCCAACCUUUGGGAUCGUUGCAGUGAUAUGGUUUUCUCUUGGCUCUUAAAUUCCAUCGAUAGGCACCUUAGACAAAGUUUGAUCUACUGCACCUAACCUUCUGAUGUAUGGACUGAUCUGGACAACCGAUUCUUUCAAAGCAAUCACCCCCGUCUUUACCGCCUCCAACGUGAUUUGGCUAACCUCAAACAAAACGCCAUGUCCGUCACCACAUACUACAAUAUAAUUAAAGGAAUCUGGGAUGAGAUCAAUGCACUAACCGAUGCCAACCCCUGUACUUGUGAUGCUCACAAAAAGGCCGAAGACACAGCCAAUACCGAACGACUCUUUCAAUUUCUUAUGGGCCUCAAUGACUCCUUCUCCAACAUUCGAAGCCAAAUUCUCGCCAUGGACCCCCUGCCCACAAUCUCCAGAGCAUAUGCCACCAUACACCAAGAAGAGACACAACGCCUCCUACAAAUUCCAUUGUUACCCAAUGCCGAAAAUUCAGCCAUGGCUGUCUCACGCACCAAUUCUUCGGUUAAUCACGGUUUUCGUUCUCGCAACAGUAGAAAAUGCACAAAGUGUGGGAAAGAUGGACAUCAAGAAGCCUCCUGCUUUGAAAUCAUUGGCUACCCCUCCCAUUGGAACACCAAUAAGCCGAAGCAGCCCCUGCGGUCCGCACCUGUCAAAAAAUCGGCCACAGGAUUCGGGCAAUAAUCGGCCACCCACAGCGAACAUGGUAUCCCGUACCUCAGCCCCUUCCAUGUCGAGUGCAAUCCUUGGCUUAUCUGACGAGCACUACUGGCAAUUGAUGGAAAUGUUGGAACCUAGCACCGUUGCACACUCGGCCUUCUCUGGUAUCUCUCUAUCUCAUCUCCAAAUCGCCCCAGGUCCUUGGAUUAUAGACAGUGGGGCUUUAGCCCACAUUUCUUGUGUUUCUAACUUACCCAAAGCCUCACAUGUUUGGGCCCAUAGUCAAUCCCUUACAUUACCUACAGCCUUCAAGGCCCAAGUCACACAUAUAGGCCACAUCCAUAUUUCUUCCCAUUUAUGUCUACAUAAUGUUCUUUUUGUUCCCGAUUUUAAAUACAAUUUAAUCUCAAUAAAUCAACUCACAAAAUUGUCUAAUUGUGUUACCAUAUUUUCCUCUUCUAUUUGUUUAUUUCAGGACCUACGCACGAGGAAGCUGAUUAGGAUGGGUGAAGAACAUGGAGGCCUCUACCAUUUUAAACCAUUUAAUCAUGUUGCAUUUCAACUCAAAGCAAAUCCUGCUGCUACACCGUACGUAUGGCAUCUUCGUUUAGGCCAUCCUUCAAAUUCUUGUAUUCCAAAAAUUUUAUGUGAUUCAAAUAAAGUUAGAAAUUGUGAUAUAGUUGUGUUCGCGGUAAACAUACGCGCCUUCCCUUCAAAUUGGUCGAAAAUAAAAGUAUUUUUACCUUUAACCAAAUUUAUUGUGAUAUUUGAGGCGGAUAUUCCACACCCUCUACAACUAGUGCCACUAUUUUCUCACAAUUAUUGAUGAUUUUUCAUGUGUUACUUGGGUAUACCUCAUGCAUUUUAAAUCUGAUACAUUUACUUGCCUAACCACGUUCAUUAAAAUGAUCCACACGCAGUUUGAUUGCCCUAUCAAACAUAUUAGGUCGGAUAAUGGUCAAGAAUUUCUUUCUCAUCGUAUGCAACAAUUCUUCCUUGACCAUGGGAUCAUUCAUGAGCGCACUUGUGUUGAAACACCCCAACAAAAUGGUAUAGUAGAAUGAAAACAUCAUCACCUGCUAAAUGUAGCUCGAUGUCUUCGCUUUCAUACACAUUUACCUAUUUUCUUUUGGGGUGAAUGCAUACUUACUGCCACUUAUCUGAUUAACCGCGUAUCAACUCCCACGCUUGGUCACAAAGCGCCUUAUGAACUCCUUUUCAACAAACCUCCUACCUGUGACCACCUCUGUGUCUUUAAAUGUCUUUGCUAUGCACACACUAUAAGUGUUCAUCGGGACAAGUUCUCUCCUCGUAGCACACCAUGCAUAUUCCUAGGCUACUCUCAAUCUCCACAUACCCAUCGUGUUUAUAACUUGCAAACCAAGAAAAUUUUCCUCUCUUGUGAUGUCUACUUUGUAGAAUCUACCUUUCCCUUCGCUCCUACCAUGCAACCUUCACAGAUAUCAUCAGAUACCAAUCAGCCCCUCGAUGUCCCUUACAAUACCCCACUUCCAACCAACGUUUCACAUGACACCCCUGGCCCAUCUCCUUCAUCCACGUCAGACAUGGAACUAACUAUACCAACACCACAAGUUGUUGAUGGACCUACCAACUCCCUAGAAAUCGUCACCAGCUCACCCCCACCAACUAGACCUCGAUGCACGAUUACUCGUCCUACAUAUCUUCAAGACUACAUUUGCUCAGAUUUACCUCUAGAGGGACAUCAUCUCAUUCCCAGUCUUUCUCAGGUACAGUUCACUCUCUACCUAAUUUUCUUUCUUAUCGUUUCUUUAGUCCAAAACAUUUUGCUUUCCUCUCUUCUGUCUCCAAAAAUGUUCAAGACCCUGUUCUUCACUCUCAAGCUAUUCUCGAGCCGUAUUGGCAACAGGCAAUGGCUUUUGAAAUUCAAGCCCUUGAAGCCAAUCACACAUGGACCCUUGAACAUCUUCCCCCUGGUAAGAAGGUAAUUGGUCGCAAAUGGGUUUAUAAAAUAAAAUUGCGUGCUGAUGGUUCCAUUGAAUGCCAUAAAGCUCGUUUCGUUGUCAAGGGUUUCACUCAGGUUGAAGGUCUUGACUAUAAUGACACUUUUGCUCCUGUAGCUAAACUUCUUACUGUUUGAUGUCUCCUUGCUAUAGCUGUAGCUAAACACUGGAUUCUUCAACAAUUGGAUGUUCACAAUGCUUUCCUCCAUGGUGAUCUUGAUAAGGAAGUGUAUAUACGACGACCACCAGGAUAUUAUCGUAAAGGGGAGACUCGCGUUUGCCGUCUCCACAAAUCAUUAUAUGGUCUCAAACAAGCCUCAGGUUAGUGGUAUUCAAAAUUAUCUCAUGUUCUCAUCCUUGCAGGUUUUGAUCAAUCUGCUGCUGAUCAUAGUCUCUUCACCAAAACCAAGGGUAAAACCUUUACUAUCGUUCUUGUCUAUGUUGAUGAUAUCAUUGUUGCUGGUAAUGACAGCUCUGCUGUCAGUUUUAUCAAACGGCAUCUUGCACAGACCUUCAAAAUUAAAGACCUUGGUGAUCUCAAAUAUUUCCUAGGGAUUGAAGUUGCUCGAUCUCCUAAAGGCAUAUUUAUCAAUCAAAGGAAAUAUACCUUAGACAUUCUUACUGAUUCAGAUCAACUUGGCUCUCGCUCGGCAUAUUUUCCCAUGGAACAACAUUGCAAACUUAAUGACUCAGAUAGUGAUCUUAUGGACGAUCCUAGCUCAUAUCGACGCUUGAUUGGUCGUUUGAUCCUAUAAUGCUCGGACUCGGGUAUGGGUAUCGGGUACGGGCACUUAUCUAAGUACCGGAUCUUUUAUUUUCUAAAAUAUAGGAUACGGGAACAUGGUUAAAAAGAAUCCAAAUUUCAAACACGGGUACGUGGGUAUGUCUUUCAAGCUUCAAUUUUUUUUAUUAACCCAAGAUGUCAUUUUGAAUAGACCAAAAUCAAUAGUUUACAAAAAAGGAAAUGAGUAUUAAAUAAGAUGUUAAGACUAAUAAAAUACAAUUUUGGGGUUUAGUUUUCAAUUAUCGAAAACGGGAAAGAAAAGGAAAAGAAAAAAGAAGAAGUAGAAAAAGGCGAAGUGUCCGGUUUAAAUUUGAAGGAUCCGACACAUAUCCCAUACCCAUACCCAUGUCGUGUCGUGUCCGACACGGGUAUUUCAACCAUUUCGAAGAGUCCGAGCAUCAAAGGUUUGAUCUAUUUAACUAUCUCUCGUCCAGAUAUUACCUUUGCAGUCAACAUUUUGAGUCAAUUUAAGCACACUCCUCGCAAGCCUCAUCUACAUGCUGCUAUCCACUUGCUCCACUAUCUGAAAACAACACCUGGUUAUGGAUUCUUCUUUCCAUCCAACUGCAGCCUUCAGAUAUCUGCUUUUUGUGACUCUGAUUGGGCAAGUUGUCCACUCACAUGACAUUCCACAACUGGUUUCAUCAUCAAAUUGUGCGAUAGCCCCAUCUCUUGGCACACCGAGAAACAAACAACUAUUUCUCGCUCUUCAGCUGAAGCUGAAUAUCGUGCGAUAGCCACUACAACUUGUGAACUUGUUUGGCUUCGCCUCCUUCUACAGGAACUUACUGUGCCACAUCCACAACCUAUUCUGCUUCACUGUAACAAUCAGGCAGCAAUCUACAUUGCACAUAAUCCGGUCUUCCAUGAAUGCACUAAACACAUUGAAUUAGAUUGCCAUCUUGUUCGUGAGAAAAUCAAAUCUGGUCUUAUUAUUCCCUCCUAUGUUUCAAGCUCUCAACAAGUAGUUGAUCUUUUUACUAAACCAUUGGGAUGUGAAUUAUUUGUUUUCUUUCGGUCCAAGUUGGACAUUACGGGCCUCCAUGCUCGCCUCCAUGCUCCAACUUGAUGGGGAGUAUUAUAGCCAGUUCCCCAACAACAAUCAACACAAAGAAUUUUCUUUUAUAGUUAUUUCCAUAUCACAGUUCUUACCAUGUAUAGAUUGGAUUCUCACCUAUAAAUUUAUACAAAAUCAUUGUAACAUAUAUGGAGGAAAUAAUAUAAUCUUCAAUUCGUCCCUCAACCAUACCUGUGUCUGUCGAGAUUUAUUAUUUAUAUAGAGAAUUUUAUUUUGAUACUUGUUAUUGAUUUUUCUUAUUGAAAUUUUUUAAAUAUGAAUAUUUAUUUAUUAUUUAAUAAUAAAUUUGAAUUAAAAAUAUACAAUAUUUUUGAUAAAGAAAGAAAAAUUACCACUAGUGUAUUCGAGAAGUAUAGGUAUUCGACAUGUAUCGGAUGUUACUCACAAUAUUGCUGAUGAUAUAGUUCAACUAUGGUCUACAAGAGUAAGAUAUCGUAUGGAUCACGUAAUAUCAGUGAAUGAAAGAUAGAAUAAUAGUUGUUUUACGACAUGGUAUGCUACAUGAAUAUAUUGUCAACUCUAAAUGUUUUUUCAAUUACCCACAAUGUUGUUGAUUAAAAUAAAUUUAUCAAUAACAGUAAGAGCAGAACAAAUAAUUUAAAAUUGCAGAUAAUAAAAGAGCAAAUGAACUUUCAAUCGAAGUCUGAAUAAACAAAGUUUCUUUAAAACAAAUUGGCCUCCUCACUCUACAUGCUUGAGGCUUAGUUUGAGCAUCUGUUUCCUAAGAUACAACGGAAAAUAAGUAGAGUCUAAGCACUGCAUAUACUACUCCAGUGAACUGACUUCGUAUCCGAACAAUAUCACCAAAAUUGAAAAGAUAUUUUUUUUCGACCAAAUAGAGAGCUGUAAAACUAUGUAGCAUGCAGACAAAGUAUUGAUUCUUGUGUGGAAUAUGGAAAACGAGUUCCAUAUAGACUUAACCCCAUGAAUAGUGAGUUAAAUCUGUCUAUAAGUGUAUUAUAUCAUCCAUAACUCUUGGAGUUUCAACAGUUUUAGAAGUUAAAAGGUUAGUUGGAGGAAAAAAUUGACAAAAUGUAGGCCCUCCCAAGGGCUCAAUUUUGGUCCUUUCGGUCCAACAUUUGUGUGCACAGGUUGAGCCCGCACACAAGUUCAAGGUUUGAAAUCUAUUUCAGUCUAUGAUUUGUACCUCUUACGUGCGCACGUGGUGAGAGCCUCUAUGCUAUAUAUGAUCACACCCUUUCAAAGUGUAAUCCUAUAUGAGGUGGUAUUUGCCUUCAUUAUUUUUCUAUGUGGGACAAACCUUAAUUGGUGUCCUUCGAACACAUAAAUUCCUUUCAAUUGGCACACUUUGAGCUCCAAUUUUUCAUUCACCCAAGCAUCAUUUUUGGCAAGUAAAUAUAUGAUUUCAAUAUUCUCACGACGAACACAAAUCAAUCUUGAUCUUCCAAAAUAAACAACUAGGUCCCACUCAAAAUUUAUGCCAAAGUAAGCCAUUCAACUCAUUUAUUCAAUGAUGUGUCAUCCUAGAUGAAGUGUCCGUGCAACAAAGGUAUUAGGUGUUCGUAAAGUGUUCUUUGAUGGUCAUCCAUUUCUUUUGAUGACUCAAGUUUUCGAGCUUCGCUCUACUAAUCUUGAGGAGCAACGGUCUUCCCCACUAAUCAUCCAUUGUUUAUACCUAUGGAAAUGGUGCCAGUAGCAUAUGGAAAUGUUUAUACCCCUUAUCAUUUAUGGACAAGCGUACGAGGCCCAAGGCAUUGUAAUGAUUUCAGAGUGGAUUUAGAAGAUACUAUCUGUGCGUUGAAAAUUCUAAAUUGGUUUUAGAUAAUCGUCGAGUUGGCUAUGACACCAAGAAUAAAGUAGCGAAAGGAAGGAUACAUUGCAUAUGAAGUGAUUGGCUAAGGGUUUAGGAGUGUAGUUCUGCAUAUUAUGCAUAGUAUAUGAUUUUAUUUCAACAUUUAUUCAUUGGGCUGUUUGUGGCACCAAGAAUAGUGGUGGCUAAAGGAAGGAUACAGGCUUAUGAGUGGAGUUCUACAUAUAAUGCAUAGUAUUUGAAUUUUUUCCUUUUUUUUUUUUUUUUUUUUUUUUUGAGAAAGAAUUGAAUAAAUAUUGAAGUUAAUGGGCUUUGUGUAACNNNNNNNNNNNNNNNNNNNNNNNNNNNNNNNNNNNNNNNNNNNNNNNNNNNNNNNNNNNNNNNNNNNNNNNNNNNNNNNNNNNNNNNNNNNNNNNNNNNNNNNNNNNNNNNNNNNNNNNNNNNNNNNNNNNNNNNNNNNNNNNNNNNNNNNNNNNNNNNNNNNNNNNNNNNNNNNNNNNNNNNNNAUUUAGGAGAGAGGAAGAAGAGGGAGAAAAGGAAGAGGAAAACAAAUAAAAAGAAUAUUGAGAAAGAAAGGAUUUCUAUCAUUUCUCCCUAAUUGAAAGAACUCGACUCCAAUUCUAAGCAAAGAGGACUAUCUUUCUUUUUGACCAAAUAAUGAAAUUGAUCGCUUGACGUCAAAUCCAAAAUUGGCUGGCUGAUUUUCUUCUUUUGAGUUGUGGUUGGGGAGAUUUUUGGGUGGUUGAAGAUGGCUAAGGAAGUGUGUGUAUAAAUUUUGAAUUUCAACAUGAAAUUUGUGUACAAUGAAAACGACUUGUUCUGCUACCAAAUUGAUGUAUACUACAAUAAAACCAAAUAGUAGGAUUAUAGAAGAAGGGAAAAGGGUAGAGAAUAAGAGAAAUAAGGGAAAAAGAGAAGAAGAAGGGGAAAGAGAAGGAGAUAUGUAGAAAGUGAACAAGAGACAUUAGAAGCAGAUUUAGGAGAGAGGAAGAAGAGGGAGAAAAGGGAAAAGGAAAAUGAACAAGAAGAAUAUUGAGAAAGAAAGAAGAAAAGAGAGGAGAAAGAGAAGAAGAGGGAGAGAAAAAGAGAAUUUAGGGAGUGAAUAUCAAGUUUAUUUUAUGUCAACAUUGUAUCUAUUACAAUGCACAAACCUCCUUCAUAUGGGGUUUCGAAAAACCUAUUCUAAAUAGGAAACAAUGAAUCAAAUACUAGAGAAUCUAGUAAAUAAAUAUAUAAUAAAAUCCUAGGAAAAUCCAGUAAAUAAACCCUGAUAUUUUUUCCCAAAAUAAGAAUCUAAAUAUGGAAAAUAAUCAUAAUAAUCUAAUAGGAUUUACAUCAUUUUUUCGUGGUCCCGUGGGAAUGUGAGACAAUAUCAUUUAAGAUGUAUGAGUUUUAACUUGUCGCGACUCAUCAAAAUCUUCACUUGCGACCUGGAAAGAAAUCGAUUUGAAAAGUAAUUUUCCCCAUUUUUGAGUAAAGAUCAUGUCUCGGGCUAGUGGCUCCAUGGUCUUUUAAUUCUUUCACAUGGUUAAUCCUUUGAUGAUGCUAUUAUACUCUCAAUAUGCUAAUAUAAAUGACUAUUGAUUUGAUGUGUAUUACCUCCCUGUGUUUGCCUUCUUUUCAUUGUUAACUGUAAACUUUUGCUACAAUUUACUUUACCGUAAUACAGGCAAAACAUGGAAUUGACUGUCUUGAGCUUCCUCUCAUUCAGCACAAGAAGUUGCCUGAUUCUGAUAGACUUCCCUCUGUGUUGAGUGGUAAGUUUCUGACACGAUUGAUGGUUAUAGGAGAUUGUUUCAGAUUAUCUCGAUGCAUUUGUUCACGUUAUGUGCAUUUCAGAGACAGUUUUUUUUGUGAGUUUUUUUUUUAGAACUUUUGCUUCAUCAGUUAAUGUGUGAUCCCUAUUGUGUUUUGUGUCAUUAUUUUUUUUAUCUUACAUCUUUAAAGACGGUUCAUACGGGUGCACAUAAGAUGUUAAUCGCAGGUUGUCAAACUUGAUUCCUCAUUGACCGUAAAUAGUCAAUAGCCUGGCCCCAUUUCAGUUAGAUUCAUGAAGAGAGACAGCUCCUCUUUUUGGGCUGUGAGGCACAAGGUACCAAGGUUAUCCAAUCACAGGUUGUAAAUUCACAUGGAUUAAAUUUCUCUGUGCACAUUGUUGUUAUUAUCUUUCUGACUUUGGUGUGAAUGCCAGAUCGUGUGUAUCUGGUCUCUGCGAAAGUAAAUUGCUAAAUUGAAUGCUUGUUCUUAGUUGCUUUGAAAUGAAUGUUGUGAUCAGACAGAAGAUAAAACUCUCUCAAUCCCCCUCCCCCUCUUACACAUGUUUCAUGACAGUUACUUCUAUUUAAAUUCACAAAUUCUACAAGGGAUGGACAUUAUGGUUUUUUCUUGCUUAUCUAUUGCUGCAGAUACUGCAUUUGAUUGGAUUGUCAUAACUUCACCUGAAGCUGCUCUGGUUUUUCUUGAUGCUUGGAAGUAAACUUUCUCUUGGAUUGCAAGUACUCGUAAUUUUGAAUUAAUCCUGUACUUUAUGUGAAAAUAAUUUGUUGGCAUAUUUGGUAGCGCUUUAAAAAUCUUCCAUUAUAUUUUCUGGAAAUAUGUAUGUGAGAAUUAUGAAAAGCAAUUAUCCAAACACAACUAGUGGCUAUAACGCUACUUAGGUUAUGAGAAUCUUGAAAAACAAUUCCCCAAACAAAACUAAUGGAAAACAACACUAAUAUCAAUCAAUUUCUGGAAAUGUUGCUGCAAUACUAAAUGUACACUUAGGUUCCUAGAAGAACACAUUUUUUAAGCAUUUAUUACUCAUCAAUUAUUUGCUGGCCAGAUUCACUGAUCCAAUUUUGCUAACUUCUGAUCCAUAGAGCUGCUGGAUCUCCGAAAGUUAAGAUUGGAGUAGUGGGAGCUGGUAUGACAAGCAUAUUUACUGAAGUUUUGCAGUUCUCAAAGAAAAAAUCUUGACGUCACCUGUGCACCAUCUAAAGGUUCAUAUGCUAGUUUUGAUUUUAUUCUAUACCAAUAAACCCUAUUAAUUAAUAAGAGUCUGAACAUGUGUACAUGUGCAUGCAUUAAUCAUGUCUGUGAGCAUUUUCAUAUUGUUGCAACAUAUUUGUGUGACUCAGUUGCACCUCAAAGUCCAUAUGAUUGACAGCUGGAAGCCUAGAAUAAAGAAUUAACUUCAUUUUUAAUUUCCAGCAACUGGGAAGGUUCUGGUUUCGGAGCUUCCAAAGCAUGUGAAUAGAAGUUGCACUGUCUUAUAUCCUGCUUCUUCAAAAGCUAGUGGUGAGAUUGGUAUGUGUAGUAUGCCUGACUUUUAACCCGAUAGAUCUCCAUCUGGUUCACAUUGAUACUGCCACGUCAUUUUUUAUUCUAGAAUGUUCAUUAGUUGAUUAGAGGAAAACUCUAUAAAUAAGAUGGGGGAGGGGAAUUAGAGGGGAUUCAGUGAAUAGUUUAGAAAAAGUGGGGAGAGAUCAAGGCCUCUUGAAUGCCUUGUAUUAUGUUUAAUUUCUUGACUUUCAUUCUAGUUAAUAUCAAUACAAUUCCUCUAUCUUUACAAUAUACAAUUCCAGUAACUCCAUAGACAUCAUCUUGCAGUCACAUUACAAUUUCAGUGUUUUAUCCCGCAAAUUAGUGCAUAACACUUCACUGUUGGUCUAGCCAACAAACAGUAGAGGUAGCAGCAACUAAUCCUCUGCAUUAGCAGUCAGAAUCUACAGUUUAUCAACCACAUUAGCCAGGAUCUUAUCAAUUGGUAUUAGAGCACUAAUUCUCUGGCAAAUGGAAACAAAAUUCAGACAAGAAUGGGAGGAAAAAUGGAGCUCAUUAUUGAAUCGAUUUGAUCGCAUGAUGGUGCAAUGGGAAGGAGGAUAUUGAGCAAAGGAUUCGAAAUUGGAUACGCUAGGUCGAUUAAAAAUAUCAAUAUUCUAUGAUGGCGAUCCAGACUAUUGGUUAAGGAAAGCCGAUGAAAUUUUUGCAAGGAACUAAUUGUCCAAGAGGGAAAAGGUGGAAGCCACUACAGCGUGUUGGGAUGGUGAAGCUUGGGAGUGGUUCUGAUGCUAGAUCUUCGACGACCCGUGCAAACUUGGGAAAAACUAAAAAAAUUGAUGUCUGAUCGAUUUAGCACGAGUAAGGUCUUUGUUGGUGAUGAAUUUUCAGCUUGGAAGUAGUAUGAUGGGUUGAACUAGAAGACAGAGAAUGGAAAGCCAGAGAAAGAAUAGUCGGCACCAGAGGAAGAGCGGGAAAGGAAAGGAAACGGGCGGGUCGCUACUUUGCCAGAAACCACCCACACAUUUGAAUUGCCACUUUUGAUGAAACUUGGGUAAAUAGAGGUAGGCUUGAAAUCUUACCAUUACCACCGUCGAUGGAGGAGAAGAGAUUGGAGUAGGUUUUAGAGGGAGCCUUUGUAAAAUCGUUGAAGCAGGAGAAGAGCAAAGAAAGGGAAUUAUUGAGUUUGAUGGAUUUGGACUGGGGAAAGGAAUGGGCCGAAAGGAUUGAAGACCCGAAUGAGAAGUAGGCCCAUUUGAACUUUGACCCAUCUAGGUCUAAAAUUAAUAUGGAUAACCCAAGCCCACAAUUCCCUUAUUUCCCUGUCAGCACACGUAAGUCGGCUCUCAAGACACCACAUCCAACCAACCUGAUCCACACCAAAGCCACGGCCACCUCCAAUUUCCAUCAAGCGAUAACAAUUAAAGGGGCUAAUUCGUUCAAGAAAUUAAUUGAUGAGCCACAAAUGGACAGAGACAAGGGGCUGUGUUUUUUUAGUGAUGAGAAUUGCCCCAACAACUCACAGACGCCGCAAUACUGAGUUGCAGGUAUUGUUGGUUACCAAUAAUGGGGAGGAAGUGGGACAAGGAGAUGAUUAAUUAGAGGUUUUGGAAGAAGAUGAAGAAGAAAAUGAUGUGGGUGAAUUGAUUGAGUUCUCACUCAAUUUCCGGGAAAGGACUAACUAAAUAAAAAACAAUAGAAAUUAAGGGGUUGAUUUUGGAGAAGGCAGUGGUGGUCCUAAUUGACGAUGAAGCGACCUACAUUUUUAUUUUGGCUAGUCAGAUAAAAAAAUGGUACUAUUUGUUGGUAGGGGCAAUUGGAUAUGGAGUUUCCUUGAAUACGAUACUUGCGAUAAUUGCUUGCUUGAUCAAGUCCUCUCACUUCGAGGACUUGAAACGUUCCCUUCCAGUGAUGACAAUGACUGGAGUGCUUGCAAGACAAAUGGUUUGGUUGCAACAUGGAUCGACCAAGACAUCAACAACUUCCACCUUGAGGACAAGGUGGAUUUUGGGGUGGCACGUAAUGAUAGAUUUCCAUCUCAUUCACAUGGAUGUCGGCACGUCAUUUGUUAUUCUAGAAUGGUCAUUAGUCAGUUAGAGGAAAACUCUAUAAAUAAGAUGGGAGAGGGGAAUUAGAGGGGAUUCAAUGAAUUGUUUAGAAAAAAUGGGGGAGAGAUCAAGGCCUCUCGAAUGCCUUUGAUUAUGUUUGAUUUCAUGACUUUCAUUCCAGUUAAUAUCAAUACAAUUCAUCUAUCUUUACAAUAUACUAUUCCAGUAACUCCAUGGACAUCUUGCAGUCACAUUACAAUUUCAGUGUUUUACCGGACAAAUUACUUCAUAACACUUCCCUGUUGGUCUAGCGAUUUUCUUCCAGUAGCAGUAGCAACAAACAAUAGCGGUAGCAGCAACUAAUCCUCUGCAUUAGCAUCCAGAAUCUGCAGUUUAUCAACCACAUUAGCCAGGAUCUUAUCAUAACCUUAAUUUUUCCCUUUCCCUUUUGCUCUCCACGUGUGUCAACAUGAAGGAAGUUCCCUUUGGGUCAGGAUUGUUAUGAUGGAAAAUGCUGCUUAAACAAAUUAAAUGUCAAACUUAGAAGCUGUGGCAUCCUGAGGAUGUUCCUGAGAACAAUAUUUAGCUUGACUAUAUUAAUAUUUUAUAAUUCUUAUGUUGACUUGCUUGAAAAGGUUAAGAAUGUGACUUUUUGAAACAUAAACUGGAAAAAAUCCAUAUCUGAUUCUUUCAUGGGCAUAAACUGAUGACUAUCAGAUCUAUAGGCAGCAAUGAUUAGAAAAACCAAAAAUAAAAAAAGGAAGCCAAAGAUUAUUACAAGCUAUGAAUUUAUGAAAGUUGGUUUAUUGAAUUGGAAUAACUCCAAAAUACAUGGUGAAACACUAUGUAGAGCACCUGGAUAUCACAUUGAGUAUACUCAGAGUGGGUUGGUAAAGAAGUGUUUUAGCCCAUGUUUGAUGCAGUGGUGGACCCAUGACUGGGCCCUUCAUUUUUUACAUUUACAAAGUAGGCCCUUCUGUUGAGAAUCACACCAAAUCAAAUCAAUUUCCUGAUUUUUAGGGAAACUUGGCUGCAUAUUUCGUAAUUAUAGGGAUCCUAUUCAUUUCCAAAAAAUCAGUAUUGUAUAGCUAUAUAUUUCAGUUGCAUAGUUGUAGCUUUAUUUUCUAUUUUAUUGACUGUAUUGUAACUAUAAGAGGAUGAGUAUGACUAUUUUCCCAUUCAUUCGAUACAAUAUUCUUUUUCUACCCAAUCUAUAAUUGGCCUAUGUUUUUAUUUAUUUAUUUAUUUAUUUUUGGUUCUUCCUACCCAUUACCACGUCAGAAAUCUCUAAAUCAACCCCUACCACUGGUGCCAAUAUCAACUCCUCUAAACCUCCAACUGAACCUCUCUCUCAUUCCGUCCAAAUCGACUCAAUGGGAACAAUUUUCUCAGGUGGAUCCAAUCCGUUCGAAUAUAUAUUAGAGUGGGGGAAAAUCAGUUAAUUGAUGACAUUGUAGAGCCAGAAAAAUUGAUGUUGGCCAUGCUGUUUAGGAUGCUGAAAACUCCAUGGUAAUGGCCUGGUUAGUGAAUUCUAUGGAGGAGGAAAUAAGUGCAAACCACAUGUAUUGUCCUAUUGCUAAAGCCCUUUGGGAUUAUGUCACCUUGAUGUAUUCAGUCCUUGGAAAUCAAUCCCAAACAUAUGAGUUACAACUCAAAUUGGGGGAAGUCCGUCAAGGUGAGAAUUUCGUCACUAAAUAUUUUAAUUUUCUCAAAGUUUUAUGGUAGGACCUUGAUUUAUUCAAUGAUGACCAUGAGUGGAAGAACAUGGAUGGUUGCAAUUACUUUAAGAAAAAAGAGAUCUCACAAAUUUUCAAAUUUCUGGCUGGACUCAAUGUUAAUUUUGAUGAAGUACGAGGCAGGAUUUGAGGUUGUAAGUUUUUUUCUAAAGUUCGACAUGAAGAAAGCAGGAAAAAUGUCAUGCUUGGCAAGAAAAUCAUUGCUGGACUGGUGGAAAAUUCGGCAUUAAUGGGGAUUGCUGUUGCUGCCUAUCGUGCCCCUAGGGGCGGACCCACUAAGGGACGAGGGCGGUCAGCCGCCCCCAUUGAUUUUUCAAAAACCUUCAAUUCGACCUUGUUAAAUUUAAAUUCUCAUAUUUUUUUUUUUUUGGUUUUUUCACAAUUUAUUUUAGUCAAUUUUCCAUCUCGUCCCCACUGAAGAUUAAUUUUAGGUCCACCCCUGCGUGUCCCUUAUACUUAGCGUCGCCAAGAUGACAAACUGAAGGUUUGGUGUGAUUUUUGCAAUAAAUCACGACAUACUUACGAAACUUGCUAGAAACUGCAUGGAAAACUUGUUGAUUGGAAACCUGUAGAGUGGAAGAAUAACAAAACUAAUCCGAAUCGUGCCCUAACCAAAGCACAUACUGUGAGACCACCUCUUUCAGUGAAGAACAAAUAGAGCAACUCCUAAAGCUAUUGAAAUCUGCUCCACCGACUCCCGGUACUCCUGUAGCAUCCUUGGUUCAAACAAGUAGAACUUUGUGUGCCUACUCUUCAUUAUAUGCAUCUUGGAUCAUAGAUUCAGGUGCCUCUCAUCACAUAACUAAUCUAUCCCAUUUGUUUAUAUCUUAUGAACUCUUUUCUGGAAAUAAAAAAGUACGUACUGCAGAUGGAAAUUUAUCUUCCAUUGCUGGCCAAGGUUCAUUCGUUUAUGAGAAAAAAAUAUUCUGAAAUCUGUUUUACAUGUCUCAAAACUCUCUUGUAACCUUUUGUCAGUAAGUCAUUUAUCUAAAGAUUCUAACUGUCGUGUUAUCUUUGGUGUCUCUUGUUGUGAAUUUAAGGAUUUAAAUGUGGGGAUGAUGAUUGGCAGUGCUAGAAUGAUAGAUCUCUACUAUUUUAAUGACAACUGUGUUAGGAAUAAACAAGCUCAGGGUUUUAUUGGUGGUAUCCAAUUAAAUCUUGUUUAUGAUCAAAUAAUACUAUGGCAUAAUAGACUAGGACAUCCUAUUUUUUCCUAUUUAAAGUACUUAUUUCUAGAUUUAUUUAAAGGAGUGGAUUGUAACUCUUUGGUUUGUGAAACUUGUUUCUUGGCUAAAAGCCAUCGAAACUUUUAUAAAAUUAAACUUUAUUGUGCUUCAAAACAUUUUUAUCUAAUACAUAGUGAUGUUUGGGAUCCUUCUAAGAUUACCACUUCAACCUGAAAAAAAUGGUUUGUGACAUUCAUUGAUGUUCAUACACGCCUAUGCUGGCUUUAUUUAAUGAAUUCAAAAAAUGAAGUUGCAAAAUUUUUUAAAGAUUUUUACUCUUUGGUAGAAAACCAAUUUCAAACUAAAAUAAGUGUUCUUCGAAGUGACAAUGGAACAUAAUUUUUUAAUGAAUGUUUAGGAAAUUUUUGUACAAGAAAAAGGCAUUGUUCAUCAAUCUAUUUGUAGGGAUACUCAACAAAAUGGAAUUGCAGAACGUAAAAAUAGAUACUUAUUUGAAGUUGCUAGUGCUCUUAUGUUUCAUAUGAAUGUUUCUAAAUAUCUUUGGGGAAAUUCAAUCUUAACAAGUUGUUAUCUGAUUAAUAGAAUGCCCACUAGGGUUUUGAACUAUAAAACUCCUUUACGAACUCUUAAAAAAUCUUUUCCAAACACACGUCUCAUCAAUAAUCUCCCUUCAAAACUUUUUGGUUGUACGAUGUUCAUUCAUGUUCCAUCCCAUCUUCGAUCCAAAUUUGUCUACGAGCUGAAAAAUGUAUUUUUUAGGCUACUCUCCUAAUAAAAAAGGCUAUAAGUGUUUUAAUCCUGACACUAAAAAAUUUCAUAUUAGUAUGGAUGUUCAAUUUCUUGAAACAACUCCAUUUUAUACUAAAACCUUUCUUCAGGGGAAGAAUCUGAAUGAUGAUUAGUUUUGGCAACAAGAAGAACCAAAACUAGUUUCCUUUUUCCCUCAAAUAAAUUAGGAAAUGAAUACUUUACCUAGAGAAAAUAAGAAAAAUACUGAGCUAUAUAUGCCAAGUAAAAAUGUAUCACAAAAAGGGGAAAAACUUUACCACCUAUGCCCACUGAGCUACGUCUUUACACUAUAUGUAGGUUCAAUCCCAAUAUUUAGAAUCUUCCAAUCAAUUCUGAGCAUGGUCAAUCAUCAUCUCCUAGGUCUUCAAUUCCAGGUAAUCUUCCUAAAAAUCCUACUCCUUUACCUUUCUUUGAUCAUGACAUUCCUAUUACCAUUCAUAAAGGAAUUAGGAAUUGUACCAAACAUCCUAUUGCCAAAUAUCUGUCCUACCACAGACUUUCAGAAAAAUACAAAGCCUUCACAACAAAUGUUUCCCAUCUAUUUGUACCUAGAACUAUACAGAAAGCACUACAACACUCGGAGUGGAAGUGAGCAGUGUAUGAGGAGAUAAAAGCACUUCAAAAAAAUAGAACCUGGGAAAUUGUUGAUCUACCUAGGAAAAAGAAGAUAGUAGGGUGCAAGUGGAUUUUUACAAUCAAAUGUAAGUAUGAUGGGAGCAUUGAGAGAUACAAGGCAAGGCUGUUGCUAAAGGUUUUACACAAACUUAUGGAAUUGACUAUCAAGAAACCUUUGCACCUGUUGCAAAAUCAAUUCCAUUCGAGUGUUACUUUCUCUUGCAGUACAUCUUAACUGGCCUUAGCAACAGUUAGAUGUAAAGAACACUUUCUUAAAUGGAGAGUUGGAAGAAGAAGUGUUUAUGGACUUACCACUAGGUUUCGAAGAAAACUUUGGAGAAAAGAAAGUUUGGCUAUUAAAAAAGUCAUUGUAUGGUCUUAAGCAAUAUCCUAGGGCCUGAUUUGACAGGUUCGGAAAAGUCGUCAAGCUUCAAAAGUAUUUGUAAAGCUAAGCCGAUCAUACAAUGUUCUAUAAACACUCAAGAGAAGGUAGAAUGGCAAUAUUCAUAGUUUACGUGGAUGACAUAAUUUUGAUUGGAGAUGAUAUUGUUAAGAUUGAUAGAUUGAAGAAAGCCCUAGCUCGUGAGUUCAAAAUCAAAGACUUUGGUCCUCUUAAAUACUUCCUUGGAAUGGAGUUUGCUAUAUCCAAGAAAGGUAUUUUUAUCUCUCAAAGAACGUACUUGAUCUACUAGAAGAAACAGGUUUACUCGGUUGCAAAGCAACAGAAACCCCUAUAGAACCAAAUCCGAAGCUUUAGCGUGCAAGUCUAGAAGAAAUGAUUGACAAAGAGAGAUACCAACGCUUAGUUAAGAGACUAAUUUCUCUCUCCCAUAAAUGUCCUCAUAUUGCAUUUGCAGUGAGCAUGGUAAGUUAAUUCAUGCACUCACCUAAUCAAGGACAUUUUGAUGUUGUGUACAGAAUUUUAAGGUACUUAAAGGGGACCAUGAAAAGGAAUUCUAUAUGAAAAUAGGGGACAUCUCCAAGUUGAAGUGUUUACAGACGCAGAUUGGGCAGGAAUGUAAUAGACAGAUGAUCAACUUCGGGAUAUUGUACCUUUGUUGGGGGAAAUCUUGUAACUUGGCGUAGUAAAAAACAAAAUGUGGUGGCUAGAAGUAGUGUUGAGGUAGGGGUUUAGGGCAGUGGCACAUGGUAUCUUUGAGGUUCUGUGGAUCAAACAUUUACUUGAAGAACUUAAAACUACCCGUUCCUUACCUAUAAAGGUAUUUUGUGAUAACAAAGAUGCUAUUGCAAUCGCACACAAUUCAGUGCUCCAUGAUUGAACUAAACAUGUUGAAGUUGACAAAAACUUUAUAAAGGAGAAAUUGGAGAAUGGUCUGAUUAUUAUACCCUACAUUCCCAGGUCCGAACAGGCAGCAGACAUUCUUACUAAAGGUCUACCAAAGAAGUAGUUUGAUACGUUGGUGAGCAAGCUGGCCAUGAACGACAUCUUUCAACCAGCUUGAGGGGGAGUGUUGAGAAUCACACCAGAUCAGGGCAAAUCAGUUUCCUGAUUUUUAGGGAAACUUGGCUGCAUAUUUCAUAUUUAUAGGGAUCCUAUUUAUUUCCUAAAGUCAUUAUUGUAUAACUGUAUAUUUCAAUUCCAUAUUUGUAGCUUUAUUUCCUAUUUUAUUGACUGUAUUGUAUCAAUAAAAGGGUAAGUAUGACUACUUUUCCAUUAAUUCAAUACAAUAUUCUUUUUCUACCCAAUCUAUAUCUUCAUUUUUUUACAUUUACGAAGUAGUUCACAUAAUUUUAAUCCAUAAUUUUUACAUAAUUGUGUCUCGCCCCCACUAAAUUAUGUUCUUGGAUCCGUCCCUGCUUUGAUGGCCAUUAUUUGGGAAAAACAAUGUUUUGAAAAGUGUUUUUUAGGAGAAUGUGAGGUUAAAAAAUAAGAAAAUGUUUUGGAUUUACUUGCAGAAUAUUUUAUUGUGUUUAUGUUUGGUUGGAAAUGAGUUUGUAGAAAAAAGAGUUUUCAAAUAUUGGUUAUCGAACCCGGGCAUAAUGGUCCAUGAGAUUUGGAUGAACACAUUAAAGGUCAUAAGCAAAUGUUCUUGCUGCUGCUGCUUUUCCACUCCCCAUUCACCUGAAAAAUUCUUAAUAGAAUUUUAUUUAUUUCUCUUAUUUUUCCAUCCUAAUACUGCUUUUAGCUGUUAAAUAGACGUAUAAUGAUUAAAUCAAUACAGUAUGCUAAUCUUAAUCGCCAACUGUUCUAUAAUUCAAUUAUUAUGUUUCAAUAUGGAGUAAUUAAAAUUUAACAUCCACCGUUAAGAGAAGCCAAUUUUGCAAUUUAGUUAGACUGCCCAUUUUAACAAAUUAUCAAUCUUCGAAUUAAGCAAAGAUCUUAAAAUUUAUACAAUGCCUGUUGGAUCCUUUAGAUGAUGAAACAUGUAGGUUUUGCUUUGCAUUACUUUUGUACUCAUGCGAGCUGGUCUACUCAAGUAUGACUCAGCUUCACGAGAAUUCUUUUAUUAGAUCCUACUAUUUCAAACUUAUAAUUUUAUCUGUAAGGAAAUAUGAAACUGAUUUAACCUGCUAAUUGAAAUUGUCUGUUUCAGAAGAAGGCCUUGCCAAGCGUGGAUUCCAGGCUACUAGGCUCAAUACAUACACAACGGUAUGAUACUCUUGUAAUUUUGUAAAUGUUCUAAUGUCUCAACAAUUUCAUGUAAUUUAUAACUUUAAAUUUUAAUUUGCCUCCACAUAAUGCAACAGAAAAUUUAACAUUACAGUUACAGUCAUCAAUUGCAAGUGUUUAGAUGUCACUAAAUAUUGAUCAACAACAAAUACUCAUCUUGUUUCUGUUAAUUUGGUGGCCUCUGAUAAUUUCCUAUAGGAACCUGUUAGUCGUGUGGACCAAAGUUCUUGAAUGGGCGGUUUCUGCUCCUGUUGUUUCUGUAGCAUCACCUUCUGCAGUUCGGUGUACUUUUCUGUUAUAGCAGUUCUGUUGAAAAUUAGUCUAUACUGUUGAUCCUGGACUAAUCUUCUGAAUAAAAAGUUUCUGAGUUGAAUUCAAACCUAAGCACAACUCACAUGGGUAUUUGUGUUCACAUAUUUAAUGAAUUGGGUGUACAGUGCUCUUUCUACAUGGUUUUAUGAAAGACAGGCUAUCAGAAAAUGUGAAAUAUGUUAACGGUCUAUUUGUGUUACAGGUGUUUUCGUGAAUAUUUUUAAGACUCAUUUUGAGUGUUUUUUUAUUGUGAAUCUUAGUUGAGGGGCUUAUGUUGUACCAAGUCCAACACUCUUCCCAAAAAUAUUUACCAUUUAAUCUUACCAAUUCACUUGCAGGAUCCUGUUCGUAUUACUGAAUAUGUUAAUUACAGUUUACUACUUGUGGACUUAUUGCCAUUGAAUGUGUUGGUGGCAAUAUAUAUAUCCUAUCGGGGGACGCCUAGGCGCCAGGUUCCUGCUUGUCUUCAUAUUUUUGUGGCGCCUAGAAGCCAGGUGAGUGGCGCCCGGCAGAACCAGUAGAACUAGCCCCCUUCCUUUCUUCCUCUCUUCCUUUCUCACAAUUCUCCACCUCGUACAUUAUUUGAUAGACCUCAAAUUUUGGACGAACACAAGAAGAAGAAGCAAGCACCAACUCGGCCGCACCAUUCAAACCAUGAUUGCCUACGUAUCCAAAACUCGAGAUCAAGCCUCCGUAGUUCACAUCCACCUUCAUAAACACUCCACCUCAUUUCAACCCCGCCCCGAAGGGCCAUGCCUUCUCGGGCAUAUCAACACGGACUAAUGUGAAGCAAGUCCAAGCAAUGUUGAAACUCGCUACCUGUCACCACUUUGGUUAACAUGUCAGCUGGGUUCUCAUUUGUGUGUACCUUCGAGAGUGAAAUAUCACCUUCCUCUAUGACAUCACGCACAAAAUGAUACCUGACAUCGAUAUGCUUGCUUCGAGCAUGAUGAACCUGAUUCUUAGCUAAGUGAAUCGCACUCUGGCUAUCACACCAUAAGUCCACACAAUCCUGCUCAAUCCCCAAAUCAUCUAGAAGACCCCAUAACCACAAUGCUUCCUUCACUCCCUCUGCCAUAGCCAUAUACUCGGCCUCUGUAGUAGAAAGAGCAACUGUAGCCUGUAACAUCGAUCGCCAACUAACUGCGGCACCAUGUAUGCAGAACACAUAUCUAGUAGUAGAUUGUCGUCUAUCUAGAUCACCUGCAUAAUCCGAGUCCACAAACCCACUUAUAUGACAUGCAUCUCCACCAAAACAUAAACCCGUAUCCGCGGUACUUUUUAAGUAUCUCAGGAUCCACUUCACAGCUUCCCAGUGUGCCUUCCCCGGAUUCGCCAUGAAUCUACUGACCACACUCACCGCCUGUGAAAUAUCUGGACGUGUACACACCAUGGCAUACAUCAAACUGUCAACUGCACUAGCAUAAGGCACACGAUCCAUGCGUACCUUUUCUUCCGCUGUAGUAGGAGACUGUUUACCAGAGAGCCUAAAAUGUGGAGCCAAUGGAGUCACCACCGACUUUGCACCUUGCAACCCGAACUUAGCAAUAACCCGCUCAAUGUAGCCUUUCUGACUCAAGAACAUUUGCCGGUUCGUCCUCUCUCUUCUGAUCUCCAUAGCCAGCAUUUUCCUAGCAGCCCCCAUAUCCUUCAUCUCAAACUUUUUACCAAGUUGAGAUUUCAACUUAUCUAUCUCCACCUUGCUUUUCGAAGCGAUAAGCAUGUCAUCCACAUAUAGAAGAAGAUAGAUAUAGUUACCUCCCCGAAGUUUUCGAAUAUAAACACAACAGUCAUACUCACUUCUGGAGAAAUCAUGCUUUAGCAUGAAGGAGUCAAAUCGCUUGUACCACUGCCGAGGAGAUUGCUUCAAUCCAUAUAGUGAUUUUGUCAAGCGACAUACCUGACGUUCCUUAUCCUCAACCUUGUAGCCCUCAAGUUGAUGCAUAUAGAUCUCCUCAUCCAAGUCCCCGUGCAAGAAGGCGGUUUUGACAUCGAGUUGUUCCAGCUCAAGAUCAUGAUGAGCAACAAUACUCAAUAGUACCCGAAUGGAAGUGUGCUUGACCAUAGGAGAAAAGAUCUCAUUGUAGUCAACUCCCUCUCUUUGUGCAAACCCCUUAGCCACUAACCUCGCUUUGAAUCUUGUACCAUCGAGCUUGGUAGGAUCCUCCUUCUUUUUAUACAACCACUUGCAACCAAUAGCUUUCUUACCUAUGGGCAAUGGGACAACCUCCCAUGUUUGGUUCUUGUGGAGUGAUUCCAUCUCUUCUUCCAUUGCCGUCGACCAACUCUCGCUAUUGUUGUUUAAAAUAGCUUCCUUGAAAGUGGUAGGCUCAUCAUCCUCCACCGAGAGUGCAUACUCAACCAAAUUUGUCUGCCCAUAGUGCCUCAAAGGUUCGUCUGAUCCCAACUUUAGAACUUGCUUGUAAAUACGGCGUGGCCUAGAGGAAGCCAAAUUAUCUGCAAGCUGCUGUUGUUGCUGUGCCUGUACAUUCUCUUGCUGAACCGCCUCUUGUUCAAGUGCAUCAUCACUCUCAUCUUGAGUGUCUAUUUGAUGCUCCUCUUGAACAUGCCUAGAAUCAGGUUGAUCUCUAGAUUCUAUGUCAACAACUUGAGACAUUGUAUCUCAACAUCAUCACCACCGGACACUGUAGCUUUCAACGAAGCUACCAUGGAGUUCUCAUCAAAAGUAACAUCUCUGCUGAUUAUGAACUUAGAAUCCUCUACACACCAAAGGCGAUAGCCUUUUACACCUGCCGCAUACCCCAAGAAUAUAGCCUUCUUGGCCCUCGCAUCAAGCUUUCCUUCGUUGACAUGAUAGUAGGCUGUGCAUCCGAAUGUUCUGAGUUUCUCAUAAUCUGCAUGUUCUCCUAUCAAUACCCUAUAAAGUACAUCUCCAUCAAACCUUGAAUGUGGAGACCGGUUCACUAUGUAGUAAGCAUUUGCAACCGACUCUGCCCACCAUUCUCUGCCCAAACCAGCAUAGGAUUGCAUACACAUCGAUUUCUCUCGAAAUGUGCGAUUCAGUCUUUCCGCGACCCCAUUCUGUUGCGGUGUAUUUCUUACUGUCCAAUGUCUCACAAUGCCUUCCUUACCACAGAACUCCUUGAAAGAACCGUCUGUAUACUCAGUACCGUUAUCAGAUCUCAGUGUCUUCAAUUUCUUUCCAGUUCUGUUUUCAACCAUUGCUUUUCACUUCUUGAAAGUGUCGAAUACCUCAUUCUUAUGCUUCAAAAAAUAAAUCCAAGCAUAUCUAGAAUAAUCAUCAACAAAUGUAACAAAAUACCUGGAACCGCCUUUGGAAGUGACAGAAGCCGGACCCCAUACAUCCGUCAAGAAUGCCUCUGCUUCUAUGUUUGCUUGGCUGGAACUGAACUCGGUGUGCUUUACCAUACACGCAAUGCUCGCAAAAAUCCAUGCAAGGCUUCUUCAAGUUCUUUAGCAAACCUUUCUUGACUAGCAAAUCUAGCCCCUUUUCAGACAUAUGCCCAAGCCUCCUAUGCCAUAGCCGAGUGCACUCACAUGGGUCUCAACCACUUCCACUUGUUCCAACUGCUACAUCUUCAGUAACUGUAGUACCCUGAAGAGCAUAGAGAUUGCCUUCACGGAUACCCUUCAUCACAAUAAAAGAACCACGAACAACCUUCUUUACUCCAUUCCAUGGUACAAUCUUGCAACCACCGGAGUCUAAGGCACCAACAGAGAUAAGGUUCUUUCUCAAAUCAGGAACAUGUCUAACAUCCAUCAAUGUUCUAACCACUCCAUCAUACAUCUUGAUUCUAAUUGAACCAAGCCCCACCGUUUUACAUGAAUGGUUAUUACCCAUCAACACGGUUCCACCAUCAGUGCUUCUAUAGGUAGUAAACCACUUCCUAUUUGGACACAUAUGGUAAGAGCAUCCGGAGUCAAGAAUCCAUUUACCGGAGGUCUCUUCAUCACAAGAGAUGGUGUAGCACUCAUCGCUUUCCCCUCCUUCCAAGGCAUAGCUUACCUCUUGCUUGACUUGCACCUUCCCACUGUUGUUGUUCUUAUUGUUCUUCUUCCAACCCUUUUUGUUUGGACAAUUCGCCUUGAAAUGCCCAAGCUCGCCACAUUUGAAACAAGAACUUUCCGCAAGAGGUCUAGAACUCGAUCUAGAUUUUUCUCCCUUGCCCUUUGGGCGCACAUUGCUUCUACCCCUUACAAACAAUCCUUGAGCUUGCUCCUUGUUACCAAUGGUAGACAUGCCACUAGUUGCAAUCUUUCGAAGAUCAUCCGCUAGAAGUGACGUUCUAGUGUCCUCCAUCACAAGUUUAUCACCCACAAGCAUCAAUGUUUGUACUAGGUUCUCGUAAGACUUUGGCAAUGAAAGAAGUAGUAGAAGUGCUUGAUCCUCAUCAUCUACAUCCACAUCAAUGUCUUUCAAGUCCGAUAUGAUCCUAUCAAACUUGUUGAUGUACUCCCGGAUUGGUGUACCUUCGUCCAUCUUGCAAGAAUACAAUUUAGACUUCAAAUAGAUCCGAUUUGUUAGAGUCUUUGUCAUGAAGUUCGCCUCCAACUUUGUCCACACCUCCGCCGCCGUUACCUUACUAUCAACCAAGAAAGCAACAUCUCUUUCAAGGCAAAGAAUGAUAGACGCUCGUGCCUCAAGAUCUAGCUCUUCCCAAUCCUCGUCCGACAUAUCAACGUGCUUCUUCUCCUUUCCCGCCAAUGCCUUGUGCAACUUUUGAGAAAUCAACAAAUUUUUCAUUUGCAUUCUCCAAUAUGAAAAAUCAUUCUUCCCAUUGAAUUUCUCUAUCUCAUACUUCCCAAUCUUCACCAUUCCUCUAGUAGACAUGAUUUAUCCACUUGUUUACCGAAAAUAAACCACAAAAGUUCACUUGGGAAUUUUCACAAACACCUUGUGCACAACAAAGUUCAAGCAACUCACCACAAAAUCGAAGCUUAACCACCUUGAUUUAGGAUGUAGCUCUGAUACCAAAUUGUUGGGAAAACACCUUCCAAAGAUGGCCCAAAGAUCAAACAAAGUUAACAAUGUGAAAAUUUCCAAACCACUUCAAGGACAAGAAAAUGAGGAAGAAAUGAUUUCAAUGGAAUAUAUGAAGAUCAAUGUAUUUGGAUUACUUGAACAAGCCUCAAGUUAAUCCCCAAGAAAGAAAAUAACUUUGAAUUUAUACCCAAAAUGAAUAACCUUCUAUCUUGUAAAAUUCUCUCCAAGUUUUCUCUCUUCUUUCUCUCUAAUUUUCGGGUGCAAGGGUUGUCUUAAUGAAAGGGGGGGAAAAUGGCAAUAUAUAUAUCCUAUCGGGGAGUGGCGCCAGGUUCCUGCCUGUCUUCAUAUUCGGGGCGCCUAGGCGCCAUGUUUCUGCCGGGGAGGCAGAAACUGGGCGCCUGGCAGAACCAGCCCCCUUCCUCUCUUCCUCUCUUCCUUUCUCACAGAAUGCUUUUCUCGAAGCAUUUUCCUUUCUGCAGAUUUCUAUGAAUUUUGUUUACCUUCUCGUCUUUUUAUCCCUUAUUAUUUUAACGAAUGAUUGCAUAUCUUCCUUUACAGUGCUUGGAUAAAUCUAAUCCCAAAAUCACAACAGUGGAGCAAUUCUGUUGCAUGUAUUGGUGAGACAACUGCCUUAGCAGCUAAAAAUCUGGGUUUGAGGAAUGUGUAUUUCCCAACCAAUCCUGGCCUUGAAGGGUAAUCAAAUAUCCAUUUGGAACUUUUGGGAAAUCAUGCAUAUACUUGUUUCUGAUGCAAUUGUCUCUGUCUCUAUGCUCUAUGAGUGGUAAAAAGCACUAGCAGUUUUCCGUUCUCUUUACUUUCUGAGAUGUGCGUGAUAUAGUUGGAGAGUUCACUAUUUAAGUGAUAAUUUAGAAGAAAUACGAGGAUGUGACAUAAAUUUACGAUGCAGGGAGAUAUAUUUUAUUUGUAUAUGCCAUGUCUCAGUGCAUAAUUUUGUAUAGUAAUGGCAUGUUUAGAAAAGUGGAUUGCACAAUAGUAUUAAAGGAGAAAAAGAAGUUUAAAUAUUUUUAAUUGUAGUGUUCAUUGUUCAAUCCUGUUCAUUAGUGCAUAUCAAACAUGUUUUAAGUAUCACUGGGUUUAUCCUUCUGUUGCAGGUGGGUUAAUAGCAUUUUAGAAGCCUUGCAAGUCCAGGAACAAGUUCAGAAAGUCUAGGAGUCGUAUGUUGAUGCCCUUCUAAUUUCACCUGGUAAUUUCUAUAUACUGCUUACACUAAGUUGUUUCCCAGUGAAUAAAGAUGCUAUUGAAGAUUAAAUAUAAAUCAAUAAACGUCUCCUCUCUAACAACUUUAGCUUCUAAACGGCAUGGUUCAACACAGUAUCAAAGCACACGUGGAUCAUGAGUUCAAAUAUUGGGGGAUUAUUGGAGAACACUUCUUCCUAUUUCUUUCUCUUGAUAUCCGAUGAUCAUGGUGAUGCCCGUGAAUUCUUAUUUUUACGUAGCAAGUACUUAUUAAUUUGUCUCCUGGACUGGAUCUAUUAUGUCAGAUUUUCACGUACCCGUUGAUAUGCUAUUCCCAAGGACUAUAUCCUGGUAGUUUGUCGGUUAAAUUAAUAAGUGGGGUAUUUCCGGCCAAGCAAAACUGGCUGUAAAAUAGUAAAUUUACGAGGCCUUCAAUAAAAAUGAAUACAGUGUGCACUUGAGGAUGACGUGUUGAAGAUUCAAUUUAAAUAAAUAAAUGUCUCUCCUCUCUAAUAGACUAAUGGCUUAAGCUUUUAGCUUCCCUUUUCACUAUUUGUUAUUUCAGGCACUAUAAGUCGGAUUAGAGCAUAUUUUUUUCAGGUUAAAGGUGGGUGCAGAGAUUCCAAUAUUCAUUUCCCUGUAUAAAUAAACACCUAGAAACUCGAUUUAAUGAUGGUAGAAAUGGCAGAAAUAAAGAUCUCCUUGCUGUUUGCCAUUGCAGAAUAAGCAUGUAUAUCUGGCAAAGUUUUGUAAUAUGUAAGUGAAGAACAUACAUAGCGAUGAUGCGGAUGUAUUGCAAAAUUGUAAGUGCAUAUUUCUUGCUGUAGAAUGUAAAUAUAAUUUUUAUGUUGAUGCAAUUUGCUAGACUAUUAUUCUUUUCUUCAGCGCAUAAUGCAGUUACUCGGUUAGUUUUCCUUUUAUCUAAUCAUAAUUUCCUUUUCGUAGUGCUACGUUUAUUUAAAAUUUGUAUCUUGGUCAUCAAAUGGUCGAGAAACUCUCAAGUAGUUGAUAGUCUUUACUUCUUGUUCAUUUACCUGCGAAGCACAUAGACGUUACUCAUUUUAGCGAAUAUACCUCAUCAGGAAAAUGAAACCUUUAGAUACGAGUAUAUAUCUAACAUUUGAAAUCGGCUUCUAGUAGAAGUGUGUUUCUAACAUUAUCUAUCAUCGUCUAUGAUUUUUAUCAGUGUAGGUGGCAGUGAAUGUCAUGAUUUACUGUUCAAUUAUUAAUGCAUCAAAUUACAUCAUAAUUUUACUUAACAAUGAAUCAGAAGACCUUGUUGUCAAUUACAUCGCUGAUAAUCACCACUCCAUUGCCACUCCAUAAAAAACAUGAAAAUGAUUCCAAAGCUGUGGUAUGACCAUGCAAAACCAAUGCUACAUGUUUAAAACUUUUAUCCAAUGAAUAUCCAUUCUUUUUUGUUCUUUAGGGAGAAAUUGAAAUAUUCGUCAGCAAGUCUGUCUCCAACUUUUUAAAUUGAGCAUUUGUUUGAUGCCAUUGAAAAGAGUUUUUUAAUUUUUUCCCCCUUUUGGGAAAAAUGAGUUUUGAAACAGUAUUCUUUUUAAUAGAAAUUUUGAGUUUAAAAAGUAACAAAAUUUGUUGGAUUACGUGUAAACUAUUUUAUUGUGAGAAUAUUUGGUCGAAAAUGAGUUUUAGGAAAAAGGAGUUUUUGAAGAAUGGUGGACAAACGGGGAUUGAAUGAGUUAUGUCUUAUCCUUUGAUUGAGUUAAUAAUUAUACAGUUGCCUUUGAAAAUCGUUCAAAUCUCUAUUAAAGAUGUCCUGCUUCAAAUUUAUAUGCACUAACUUCAGUUGAAAAACAAAAUUAGUAUCAUAAAGUCGCACUGUGUAAAGGCCAUGACAGAAUGCUUCAUUAGAUUGUUCAAGUAAUAAGAAGGCCCAAUGUAGCAAUGUUAUAGGUUUGAAAAAGUAGAAGAGAUUGGUAUUAACUAUAUUUCGAGUCUUGGGAGGCAUAUUACUUUUAAUCGUGGUCAUUGGCAUUUUCUUAGUUUCACGGUCAAGAUUGUCGAAGACGAUCUAGAAAUCCAACAAAAUUGUUUACUAUAUGGAGCUUCGAUGGGAAGAUGGUGUACGAAAACAUCAUUGAAUCGACUGAGGGCUUCAGCUUUAGCCACUUUGUUGGGUGGGAGGAUGUGGCAGUGUUUUAGGGCUAAAUUGGAUGACCAAAAUGUCGCUAUAAAGAAAUUACAUACACCAUGUAACAUCCCAAAAUUUCAUAUAAUAGAAUUAUUUGGGGAUAACGAUUUUGAUCUAGAUGCCUUUGGUGGACUCAUUUUGUAGUUCGUAUUUAAUGGCGUGUCAUGGACUCGAGAAAAGUUAAUUCAGAUAAGUUAGGCCUAAGUUAUUGAAGUUCCGAGAAAUUGUCUUUAAUUGGCAAUUAAUGAAGUUGGUUUAUGAUUUAAUUUCUAUGGCAGCGUCACGUGUAGGACAAAUUAUAAUCCUAUUUUGAUAAUUGUUAAUUGUAAUCCUAUUUUGAUUUUGAUAAAUGUUAAAAGGGUUAAUUGUAAUUGUUACGACCCAAAUUUUUCUAGUCAAAAAUAAAAUGUUGAAUUGUCGAAGACAAAGUCAAAAGGGACUAAAAUGAAAUAAAUUAUUUUAAUUGGGACUCAAUUUAUUAUGAAAAAUAUUUUGAAGGUUUAAGUUGGACAAUAUAAAAUUUUAGAUAUCUACUUAUAUAUUGCUAGAAGUUUAGAAUUUAGUGUUUUAUUAUAGAAAUGUUGGAGGACCUCCUUUGCAAUUUUGAGUUAGUGGCUACUUAUUAUGGCCCUAUUUGAGCCCUAUUUUUACCUUAUUAAAAUGAAAAAUAUGACAUUUAUCCAUCACAUCAAGCCACCAUUUUUUAAUUUCUAUCUCUUGUAUAGGGUUCAUAACGGCUCUAUUUUUCAUUCUCAUUCUACAAAUAAUGUGGCUCAAACGGGCUCUAUAUUACAAUAAACCCAUUUCAAUUAUAAUUCAACACACACACAAAUAAUAGGCAAAAACGGGAGAGGGCAGAGAGAGAAACCGAGAAGAAAGAGGAAGAAAAAGGGAAAGAAAGGGAGAAAAAGAAGAAGAAAAGAAAGAAAGGAGAAGAAGAAGAAGGGAAAGAGGUAGUUCAAGGUUUAUCUUCAUUUUUCCUUCUCUUUAUUUUCUUCAAGAGGUAGAUAAAUUUUAUGUUAAGUUGCUAGGGUUUAAUUUGUGGCUAAAAUUUCAUAUUUAUGCAAGAUGAGUACAAAUUGGAGUUCAAGUUUGCUGAUUAUUUAAUUUUCAAUUUCAUUAGGGUAAAAAUACCAAUUUUGGCAAACCCUAGAUUUUUAUUUGGGAUCGUUAAUUAUGAAAUGUUAGUGGGAAUAAUUAUAUUGAUGGAAAACUCUCAUGAAACCAUGAAUUUGAGAAACAAGAUAAAAAUAAAAAUAGGUGGAAUCAUUGUUACUAGUUUUCUUUAGAUUGGAAGGUAUAAUUAUAUAAUUAUUUUUAUGAGUGGGACAAAGGUAAAUUUGGAUGUAGUAUAUAUUUGUGAAGAUAUUAGAAAGUAGAAUUAGCUCUUAUUGAUUAAAGGAAAAUUUGGAAAAAUCAUUCAAAGUAUCGAGAAGUCAAGUUUUACUAUUCGACUAUUAAUAUUAAGAAAUACUUAGUAUUAAAUUAGUUAUUUUACAUCGUAUUUCAGGUGGUGACGUGAAAGUUGGGCAAGACUGGUAAAUUUAACCAGAUUACAAUCCAUAGAUCUGUGAGUGGAGAACUUACUUUUCCAAUAAAAAAAAAAAAGAUUUCUGGUAAAUUUAACCAGAUUGCAAUCCAUAGAUCUGUGAGUGGAGAACCUACUUUUCCAAUAAAAAAAAAAGAUUUCUUUUUUUUUUUUAAUUUUAUAGAAGUAUAUUAAUUGCGUGAAAUGUCUUAUUUUCGAGAAAUUAGUAAAUGAGCAUGAUUGUUUUGAAAUUAUCAAAAAAUAAUUGAUGUGAUUAUCUUGCUCUAGUGCACUGAGGGGCUACGACCGUGUACUAGAGUCAUGUAUUUAACUUUUAUACACUGAGAGGGUACAGACGUGUGUAAGUGUAACUCUUAUCCACUGAGGGGCUACAACCGUGUAUAAGGAUGAUUAUGUUGUUUCCAUCUUGUAUACUGAGGGGCUACGACCGUGUACUAGAGUAAUGUAUCUAACUCCUAUACAUUGAGGGGCUACAACCGUGUGUAAGGGUAACUCUUAUCUACUCAGGAGCUACGGCCGCGUGUAGGGGUACCUAUUAUACACUGAGGGGCUACAGCCGUGUAUAAGGAUGAUUAUGUUGUUUCCAUCUUGUACACUGAGGGGCUACGACCGUGUACAGAUUGUUGAUCAGACAGUUUAUGUGCAUAUGACUUUGUAGCUUUCAGAUCAUCAGUAGAUGUUUACAUGGGGUAUAUUUUGAUGUGAAUUUUAUGUAUAUAGUGGUUUAUUAGCCUUCAACUUACAUUUCCCUGUUUGCAGUUCAGCUUAUGGAAUUCAGAUUAUAGAAUUCAAUUCGUUCAAUUUUUAGAGUAAAGCUUCCAGUUUAUAGUAUUGAGCAACAAUAUUUCACAGAUUUUCAUAGAUGUCAGAUUAUUUAUAUUCGCUAUAUUUUACAGUUAUUGAACUAGAAUGAAGAAUAAAUAAUUUUAUGAUCCAAUUAUGUUAGUUUUAAAAGUGUUACUAAAUUUUUGAAUUUCUCAAAGUUUUAGUAGAGCAAGAAUUAUACACAUAUGAAAAAGUAUACUUAUUUUCAAUUUAUUCACUCACUAAAUUACAAACUCAUAUUUUGUUAUCAUUAUCUUAGCAGAUAGCAUCUAUGUUAAGUAGCUUUGGAGCCUGUCGAUCCACCGAGAGUGCCAGACACGCACAUUGUCAUUAGAUGUAUGAUUCAUUUCGUCAAUUUAUAUAGUUCAAAUUUUUUUAGGAUACAUGUAUGUUUUGACAGAAUUGUUAAUUGGUAAUUUAUAGAUCCAUACCAUGGGCUCACUGCAUAUUUAGUAUUCUCAUUGCUUUUGGGGUCUUUUGUUCAUAAAGCAUGAUAAAUGUCUUAAAUAAUUUGUAUUUUAAAGGGCUAGUGUCUUAUAUUUUAAAUUGUAUGUACAGUUUUGAUAAAGUUAAUCUUUGUUUUAGUGAUUUAAUUCAUAUUUUAAAGGAAAUUUUGUCAAAAUUUUUAUACAUAUAUGUCAUAGUCAAAGUAGGUCAAGUUUGCCUUACUGGUGCGUCCAGCACUUAGUUGGUAUCUAACAUCGGCACACGACACGUGUCAAGUCUAUUAGAGUGAUUCGGGACGGGUCGUGUCUGUAAUCCCAACUUAAUCCUUUUUACAGCAUAUGUACGCGUAACGUUUUACGAGAAAAUCGUCAGUGGAGUACAAUCCAAAUUCUACUUUUUGAAACUAUGUUUAAUUAAAUUAUUUAAAAGACUUAUCAAGUUGGUAGCCACUUGUGUGUAGUGCAGUUAAUCUUUUUAUUUUUGGAUUAGAAGGAAAACUAAUUUUAAUCGUAAUUUUAUUAGAUUUUCAUUGAUUACUGGUUUAGUUUAAUUAAACAAGUAGAAUCCUACUUUCAAAAAGAAAUCUCAAAUCUCACCGAUUUAUACCACCACAUUGAAGCCAAUCUGCAUUCAUAAGAUAUUACUUUCAAAGCAUACAUGCACCCAUUUAGUCACAGAAGCAGAGAGUUUAAGAAAGUUUUGAAACGUACAAUCAUAUUUUUCUUUUCGAAACUUUGUUUGAUACGAGGUAAGAUACAUAAAGCACAAGAGGUUCGUCGAUACAUGCAUGAAUUGUUGAUUGACCUUUGGGUUCGACUUGACAAAAUUUGAACUUUUUUGGGUUCUUUAAAACGAAAUAUGAAAUAUCUCAAGAAUUCGAAAUGAGUACGUGAUGAGUGUCUCAUUUGAUCACCGAUAUACUCCAAAUAAAUUGUGGUAUGAGAUGUUUAUUUUAUUAUUAUAUAAUUGUAUAUGAAAACUGCAUGUAUCUUAUUAGGUAUUAUCAAAUACUCAUUCUUAAAAAAUAAUUUACAAGUUUGUUGAGAUCGAUUGAAACUGUGGCAGAAUAGUGAUGUGGGCUACCAAGAGGAUUUGAAGAACUAAAAACAUUAAAUUUUUGAUCUUUCAAUUGAUUAUUUAGUUUUAAAUUGUUCAAAAAUAAGUUUGUUCAAUAGUUAGAUAGUUAUUUCUAUUUUUUUUAGGAAAUACAAGUUACAUGCUUUAAAAUUGAUAUUUAUUAUUGAAAAUAAAGAGAUAAAUUUUAUUUUUAUCGUUUCCACAAUAUCGUGAAGAAAAUUGAAUUUUAGUAUCAUUCUAAGGUUUAUGAAUAUUGGGGUGUUAUAAUUUGGUAUUAAAGCACAUGUUUAUCUUUCUGUAUUCUUUUUAACAAAAUAGUUAUUUGUUUCAAAUAAAUGAGUUUUAAUAGGAAUUUACCAAUUAAAAAAUUUGUAUUUUAAGAGUUCCCAUUUAUUAUUUGAGCUUUCUUGAUUUACGUAUUUGUAAAAUUGAAUGGUUUAGUCAAAACGACCUAAACUAUUUAAAGAGCGUUUGAAAUUAAGUGGUUCACUUAUAACAUUCCUUCUCACCUGAAAGCCUUUUAGUUGCACACUAUUCAAAUCAUAAAAAUGAAAAAUAACAUUUCAAACCAUUCCAAAUUUUAGAAAAUUUUAUUUUUAAAAAAUUCUAUUUCAAGAAAAUUCCUUUUUAGGAAAUUUUUAUAUUAAAAAAAGAAAAAAAAUCAAAGUAUUGUCAUAGGAUUUUUCCACUUUGACAGAAAAGUUGUAACAGAUGCGAUGACAUAAUCCCAGUUGGAAAUAGGUGAUUUUCAUGUGACAUUAUGUUAAGAAUUAUGUCAACUAUUAUAUUCAUGUAGCAUGAUUGAUUUUCAUAAGAAUUAUGAGUUUAAGGACAAUAUUUUUGUAACGUUUUAACCAGGUAAUAACAUGAAAAAUCCUUGGGGACGUUCACUGUUUGACCACUCUCCAAUUGAUUCUAGGUAUGAAUUGAAUGUUAUUCUUUUAUCAUAAUUACGAGUCAUCUUGCUUCAUGUUAUGAAAUGUAUAAGCAUGUUUACCUCUCAUAGUUUAUUAGUUGAACUAUUUUACAUUUUAUAUGAAUAUUGUUUAUUCGAGCAUUGAAUGAAAUAAAUUGUCAUUGAAAAAUUAAGCAUAAUUGAAUUUAUACAUUUCACACAUGGUUAAGACUAGACAAAUAUAGUUGAACGAAUAGAAUGGCUAGAAAGAAUAUGAUUUACAGAAGUACCUUAGGACCUAUGACUGUAGCUAUUUGAGAGUAUGAGUACUUUGUGUCAAAUAUGGCCAUGACAAGUUAAAUGCAAAAUUUAAAACAAGGAAUUGAGAAUGGACUAAGAAAAAUUGGAAGGAAUAUUUAGUUAGUUUCAUUCAACCAAUGUAGUAGAGGUUUGCAAUUCAUUGAGUUUCAUUCAAUCAAUGUAGAAUAGAGAUUGUUGUGUUUAAUAUUUCUAAGCAAAAUUUUGUUUUGUAUAAAGAAAAUUUCGAAAUCAAGUUACAAUCAUCAGUGAUCUGUUAAGAGUUGUAUAGGAUCUUGAUAGACAAUAAGCACAGACUGACCUUCAAAUUGCAUCGAUCGAUGCUAACAACACAACUCAAUUGUUGAACAAUUCCGCCGUUAUGAGCCCCCAAUCUCCGAUGGCAAAGUAGACUCACUGGCAACUGAAGAAUGGAUAAUCUUCAACAUCUCUCAUCCAAUGAUGCCCUGAAAGUAUUAUGUAAAGUGUUCACAUUGGUUGAUGUAGUGGGCUAUUGGUUGGAAUCUGGCUCAAGCACUAGAACUAAGGCAUGCAACAUGCUUUGACUUGGACACAAUUCAAAGAAGUGAUAGAAAAAUACUUUCUACAAGCCCUAAAAGAUCAAAAGGAGGUAGAGUUUCUAAAACUUAACAAGGAAAAGUGAAGCUUGAGGAAUAUGAGAGAAAGUUCGAAUAGCUCUCUAGGCACGCACUGCACCUCGUAGAUACCAAGGCAAAAAGCAAGGGGGUUCGAACUAGGAUUGCAUCCAAAGAUUGGUAGAAUAAUGGCCUCCCACCAAUUAACCACAUACAAUUAGGUUUUGCAAACUGCUCAAACAAUCUCAAAUAUAUUAGAGAUUGACCAAACUUUUCAGCAAGAGUUUUGAAGAAGGUGAAAAUGGAAUGGGUCCAACAAAGAGAAAAGAAAUGGACAGAACAAGAAAUUCAACAUAGUAUGGAGUUCAGAACAAGUUGUUACACUCUGUCCCAAGUGCAAUAAGAUGCAUAGGGGUGAGUGUGUAUGGCAGUAAUAUGUGUUACCGAUGCGAUGAAGCAUGCCAUGUUGCUAAAGGAGCCCCCUCGAAGAGAGAUGAUGAGCAAGGCAAGACAGCGAAAGCCAGAGUUUUUUCCUUAACUCAGGAUAAGGCAACGGAGGAUUUGAACGUGAUGACAGACAUUUUUUUGCAUGUGGAAUUCCUGCUUACGUUCUUUUAGACUAUGGAGCCACUCAUCCAUUCACUUUUGCUGCCUUUAUUAAUAAGUCACAUAUUACAUGUGAGAAUCCGAUAGUGUUCUAAAAGUUACUAUCUCAUUGGACAAACCUUUGAAUACCAAUAACAAAACUAAAGCGAUUAAAGGACUGGGUGUUCAAAGUGGUUUAUCUUAUGAGAAGGCUCCAACAACUAUUUUUUCAAGGAAGAUACACAAAUUGAGAAAUAAAGAAAUUGUAUUAGUUAAGGUCCAAUGGUAGAAUUGUGGAAUAAAAUAGUCUACUUAGGAGAGAGAAGAUAUCAAGGUCAAGAAUAUAGAAACCUUCAACUAGUUAAUGUAAUUUCUAGGACGAAUUCAUUUGAAGAAUGAGAGAUUGUAAUGCUCCAAAAUUUUAUAAAAUGAAAUUAUUUGGUGCUAAUGAUUUUGAUCUAGAUUCCCUUUUAUAAUUGUGGGAAAUUGAAGGAUUAAAGUGAAAUAGUAUUAAAUUCAAUUUUAUUUGGGGCAAAUAAUUAAAUAUUGAUGGCGAAGAUAAGUAUAUCAAUACUUGGCUUGUCUUGUAGUUUGUAUUUAAAAACGCGUCGUGGACUUGAGAAGAGUUAAUUUCGGAUAAGUUAAGCCCUAAUUAUUGAAGUUUAAAGAAAUUAUCUUUAGUUAAUAAUUAAUUAAGUUGGUUUAUGAUUUAAUUUUUAUGGCAGUCUCGGUUCAAUUGUAGAAUAAAUUGUAUUACUAAUUUGAUAAAUGUUAUUUAAUUAAAUUUAGUUAAUGAAUUAUCAAGUUGGAAGCCACGUGUGAGUAGAUUAUUAGAGUAUUUUUUUUUUCCUUUUUUAGAUUAGGAGGAAAACUAAUUCUAAUCCUAAUUUUAUUAGAUUUUCAUUGAUUACUGGUUUAGUUCAGUUAAAAAACUGGAAUCCUACUUUCAAAAAGAAAUCUCAAAGUUUACCUAUUUAUACCCCCAACAUUGAAGCCAAUUUGCAUUCCUUAGAUAUUAUUUUCAAAGCAUACAUGCACCCAUUUAUUUACAGAAGCAGAGAGUUUGAGAAAAAGUUUUGGAAUGUGCAAUCAUAUAUAUAUAUAUAUAUAUAUAUAUAUAUAUUAUUAGUGGACCUUUAAAUUCGACCUAAAAAGUGCCUUUUUAGUUCUUUAUAACGAAAUGUGAAAUCUUUCCAAAAUUCAAAAUUACUAUGUGAUGAGAUUCACGUUUGAUCACCGAGUUACGUUAAAUGAAAUUUGGUAUGAAGUGUCUAUUUUAUUGUUAUAUAACUAUUUAUAAAAACUGCAUCUUAUUGGGUAUUGUCAAAUACUCAUGUAACAACCCGGUCUCUAUGCCAAAUCCGUUAACUUACGUACUGUACAAUUUGUGAGAGCUUGAAUUUAUCUUACCUCUUACGAAUUUCUGUCGAGUCCCCAAAAUUCGAACAUAUGACAUUUAGCUUAUGAGGGAUUUUAAUUUGAAUUCUAGUACCAAUUGAGCAAGUUGUUUAAUAAGUACCUGGAUUCAACUUAAAUUUCUCAUAAGGUAGAGGUAUUGGGUUCGAAAUUUGACGACAGAAAGUCAAGAGGGAUAAGAUGGAUUUAGCUCUCCCAAAACGAACAAUACAUAAGUUAAUGAUUUAGAUACAGUGAGAGAUUGAAAAUAAAUUUGGAGGUAUGCAUUCGACGAGAGAAAAAUGAGACAGUUGUCUAUUAAGGGUAAAAAAUAAUCAACCUAAAUGAUUAUAGUGAUUGAAUUGACUAUGAACACACACAUCGAUCGAGUAUUAAAUAAGUAUAAAUUUAUUUUGGUGGCAUUGCUUAUGAGACUUAUAUGAAUUGUCAAACAAUUUCAAUACUUAGGACGAAUACAACAAGCUAUCUAAUACUUUGACGUUUAUGUUGCUUAUAUUUUAAGUAGAUAAUCUUGCUCGCGAUGGAUAAGAGUUUAAGUUUUGGAUAUUUCAUAGGCAUAUUUUAUAAACUUAUUUAGUCUUUUAGAUGUCUGUCUAAUUUAGUAAAUAUAUUAAUUUUAGGUAAAAUUUGACAUGAAUAAAUUGGUGCAAGAAAGGCAAUUUUGAACUUAAAUGGAGUUGAUUUGGAGCAAUUAAAGUAAUCGAAUUGCACGUGAUCAAUUAUAAGUAUUAAGCGGCAAUCCUAAGAAUCUCAUAAGUUUUGUGAGUAAAGUUCGACAUUUGAAAAGUUUGGGAACUCUAUUGUAAACUUUCAAUACUUUUAACUGAUCAAUUAUGAAAGAGAAAGAGUGUGGAUGAUGAUGAUGAUGAUCAAAGUAUAAAGAUUUAAAUAUGAAGGAUCCAUGAUGAAUAAAGAAUGACUUGAGCAUAACCAAGAGGAAGAUUCAGGGAACAACUUGAAAGAAAGGCAAACAUUGAUCUUGCAAACGCAAGAUUGAUGGAUGCGAUCGCAAGGCUGCUUAAAUUAAUUCCAACAAGUAAAAAUGAAAUAAUGUACGAUCAAAAUGGUUAAUACCAUCGAUCACAUGGAAUUAUCAGACUAGGAUUUUUUUUUUUUCCCGAAUUUCAUUUAACUUCAUUUUGGAAAGCAAUUAGGAUAGAAUUUACACCUAAUUCCUGGGGCAAUAUAUACAACCUUUCAUCUGUUGUAAAAAGAAGAGGCUUUUGGGAUACAACAAACAUAUAUCUUACAAAGAAGAAGCCUUACAGAUAGAACAUAGAUAUUUCUCGCAUACUUUGAGUAAACUUUUGAUACAAAACACAUAUUUCAUACAUCUUCACUUGGGUUUGAAGAAGAAGAAGAAGAAUAUAUUCAAGGAGAUUGAUCAAGAACCAUUGAAAGGAUUCAAAAUUGUUUUCCGUCUUUCUUCUACCUUUAAUUUCGGGAGAUGAUGUAAUGAUUCAAUUUUUUUGUAUUAUAAUGAUGCUCAGUUAAUAAAUGUAUAGAUGAUAUGAUAAUGAUAAACCCUAUAUUUUGAUACUUUUAUAUUGAAAUUGAAAAUCCAUGAUUUGAAUUGAUGUCCUUUCAUUGAUUCCUCCUAAAUUGCAUUGGAUUUCACUUGACUAUCUAUGAUUCCAUUGCUUGUGCUCGGGGUAAAAGUUUUGUAUAAAUAUAUCACCAUGUUAUUAAGUAUUUUGAUUUAAGAUCUUUUAUUUUUAAGAGGUGGAAUAGAAUAACCCUAUGAUCGAGAGCUAACUAUCGAGUCUUUGGACUAUCCGGACACAUACUUCGGGAAAAGGUUCAUGUGUGUUAAACUUCAAAUAUUGACAUUUAAAUGUUUGUUUGGUUUUGAACGCUUCUUAUUGUCUUCAUGCUUUUUCAAUUACUUGGCCAUAAAUUGAAUUAAUAUAAUUUCUAUUGUCAUUCAAGAGAAGGAAAAUACAGCACAUGGUAACAAUCAUUGUAAAGUCCUAUAGACUUUAGGAACAACUGCCUAUGCUUUGUAUGAUCUCAUUGAUGUUCUUGUGAUCGAUUGUAUGAUCUCACUGAAUAUUUUUGUGAUUGAAUGUAUCUUCAUAUAUUCACGUCCGCGAUAUGAAUAUUUCAUGUCAUGUAUGAGAUAAAUUUAAUUUUUAUCAGGAGAGAUUAUUGAAUAAAAUAUGAGCACUAAUAUUCGAGUCCAAAUAAGUGUUAACCAAUUAUGAGAUUGAUAUUAAGAUUGAAGGAAAUACGAGGAUUCGAUGUCCCAGUGACUUAUUGUUAAUUGAGUUUAUACAUGCUUCCCAAUUAGUUAAUUAGAUCAAUUAGUUAAUUUUAGGUAUGAUCAGUAAAUAUAAUCAAUCUCAUCUUAAUUGUGAUAUUCGAUUAAAGUUAUCAUUAAUUGGAAUUUAAUUAAAUACUUAGUACUCGUGGAAUUAAUAUGUGAACCAACAUCGACUUUAAUAUUUGUUUAUGACAUAGUUCAUAGUGGUAUUUUAGCACAGCAAACACAAUUACUUGUUUAAACUUUUUAUUAUGUGCAUGUUAAGUGUAGUUAAGUUAUAAUUUAUAAAGGCCAAACACAAAUUUUAUUCAUAUAUAUUUAUAAUUUAAUGGAAUCACAAUUUACCGCUCACAUUAUUUCGCACAUUCUAUAAGACCUAUUACUUAACUUUUUAAUUUAUAAGCUCCCAAAAAGUACUAUGAUUGUUAUAUAAUUUUUGUUUUUCAAAUUCUGUCCCCCCGCUUAAUCUUUUGGAGAUAAAAUAUCUUAAAAUAUAAGGGUAAUUUAGGGAGCCUUUAAAACACACACACACACACACACACACUCUCUCUCUCUCUCUCUCUCUCUCUCUCUCUCUCAUGCGCACACACACACAGAGGUGAUUGUAUACAAAUCUACAUGGGUUGUGCUUGUUGUAUACUCUCAUGUACAGCAAGAGUCACAGAGAGGAGGGCCUUUAUGCGAGGGGGUUGUAAAUGUACAGUCCGAGUUGGACUGUACAAGUAGCUCAACCCAAUCUACAUUUACGUUUUCUGCAUGCUCUGACAAAAAUCAAUAGGCGCCAAGAUUACUAGACUAAGAAAAACGAUUAGAUGGUUGAUGGUACGAUGAUUAAGUCAACUAUUAGUAACAGCUAUAUGGAGAAUUGUGUGUGGGAGAAAUAAAUAGGGAGAGAUUUGGCUAGAAUUCAAAGAAUGUGUAACUUUUUCUUUACAUGUCCAUUGAAUAUUUAUAGGGACAGAGUUCUAAUGGAAUUAGGUUAAAAUAUUGCAACACCUAAUUCUACAUGGUGUGUUGUGAUUGACCAUAGAGUUUUGAAUGAAGUAUGGUGUGUUUCCUUUGUCGGGUUCACUUCCUUGUAAAGCUAAGUUUCCUUAUAGAGAUUGAUUUUCCAUGAUCUUUUCUAACUCCUCAACAUCCUCUCCUUAUUUUAACAGAUUGACAAGGCUAAAAUUUUAGAAUUGAUAAAGUAGUCUCACUCCAAGAUUUAUCCCAAUAUUGAUUUUAUCUCCAUGUUUCAUGGAUCCUUUGACAUCAACAAGGGUAUGGGUCUCGUCCAAAGGCAUUAGUUCACUAGGCCCAUUAGAGCCACAUCCUCCCAUCUCGACAGGAGGGGUUCGAUUCGAAGACUAUUACCACCAUCUAUUACUGCGAAUAUUGUAAGAGCUGAUGAGAUACUUCGUACGACGAUGCUUGUGAUUUGAUUCUUUCGUGUGGGUGAAGACCAUAGGAAAACACGUAGCAUGUUGGUUCUUGCUCAUUUGGUGUUCGUAAGUCCACUUGACUUCCAAGUGUACCUAGGAUGUAACAGUAGUCUCACAAAUUCAAUUUUGUUAUUUAUAUUAGGCUUGAGGCUUAUUAGUUUGCUUGUAUUACAAAAAUUUGAAAGUGAAAGGCUUGUGAUGCAGUUGGGCCUCAUUGCUCUUUGGCUAAGAUUGAAUUUAUGCCGAAAAGAAUUUCACUGGCCUUUGCUUACCAUGAUGGUGGUGUGGCGAAGAUGUCUUGACAAAUGCCUCUUGGCCAAGCUAUAACGUCGAAGUAUAACAACUUCGUUUUGAAUACUGUUGUAGAUUUCCUUAUUCCGAUAUAUAAUGUUUAUUUUGAUAUUUAAACCUCUUGUUACAGUAAGUUCAUUAUUGUCGUUAUAGUGAAAGAUUUACGCAAUUGUCAAACUCUAUUUCUCGAACAUUUUAUUUAUUUCUAAAUUUACUGUGACAUAUUGAGAUUAAUGACUUUUUUACAAAGAUCGGUAGUCUAAUCUUAAUGACACAAAAGAUAGAAAAGAAAUUUCCUUUUUCUUAAAAUCCACCAAUCCAAUAUAACUAGAUCAACCCUUCAAGUUCACAUUAUUUGAAAAUACUGCAACAAAGUUACUUUUUUCAAUUGUACUCGAGGAAAAUAAAAAAUAAUAAAAUAAUGAUAUUUAUUUAUUCAUUUGACUCUUUAAUUACAUAUGCAAAAUUAAUUAAAGUUAAUCUUGUUCCCCAAGCUUUUGGUAAUUCUUUCUUUCUUCACAAUUGUCAUUGUCUUAGAAUAAUCUUUCCCUAGGAACCGUCAAACCAAGCACGCAUUCCCUGAUCUCACGGAUUUCUUCGGGUAACACUUUACAGCCUCAUAUUUAGACUUUUCGUCGGCUAUCUAUUUUUCGCCUUUCCAUUCAUUUCAAUAAUAAAGUUACUUAAAAAUCAAAGUAACUAUAGUAUAUUAUUAAUAACUACAGAUUACAUUUACAAUUUUUAAUUAUAAUUAUUAUACGUUUUUUUUUUCUUCAUAAGGCUGCUAAAAAAUAAAUAAUAGUGGGUACAAAUAGUAUAUUGAGGUUUCAAAUGAUUUUAGGCCACCGUCAACGCAGAAUGAACUAAUUCUUGACCACUGACCAGCAAUUCGAAAUUGAACUGAAUGGAAAUUUUACUUUUGAAAAAUCUUGCUGAAAAUCAAAGGCAAUUAUGUUCAUUUUUCUCUCGUCUCUUGCUCUUUUAAAAUAUUUUGUUAAGAUCGAAUGAUUAUUAUAAAUUGAAAUAUUGUCAAUGUAUAAGAAUCUCAAUAAUAUAAACGAUCUUUUUUUUUCUUAUCUAAUAUAAUACGAUUAUAUAUCCGUGAAAAAUUAUCCAACAAAUUUUUUAUGCGAAAAAAAUAUCAUUUUAUUAAUUGACAUGAUGAAAUGAAUUACGCAUGCAUAUAUCUAUCUUGUGCUUGAAGGAAAAGUCGCACGUUUGCGUGUAAACUACUUAUUUUGUUAUUAAAAGUACAAUCUAACAUAAACUACGUCAGCAGAAGCUUUGAGAAAAAAAUCAGAAAUAUUUACAACAAAGGCUCCAAAUCUAUAGGAUAGCAACAUGUUGAUCCCCAACCUAGAAAUGAGCAAUAUAAUCCUCAAACUUUCAAAAUAAGUGCAAACCUAGUCCUAACAUAUAGAAAAAAAUAAUAAUAUUCAUCUAGAAUCCAGAUAAUCAUCUGUCAUUUUUAGAUAAUUCUAUGCAUGGGACAAUGCAGUAGUAGUUUCACUAUCAAUGAAUAUUUCUAGUCUCUUCAAGAAUACUCUUACUCAUAUGAAAAUAAUGUAUCUUAUUUAGGGGUAACAAUGCGAUAAGUCGAGCUCGUUGACCAAGGGACUACACUUAGCUUGGCCCAUGGGCCUUGCCUAUGAUGAGCCGUGCCAACCUACAAGUUUUUUGAUUUUCUUGGUUCAUUAAUCUAAUAUAUUUAACUUAAAUGUGAGUUUAAAAAAAAAAAAAAAAGGAAACGUUAACAUAAUUAAAUAACAAUGAAAGGAAAAUAUGACACGAUCGCAAAGUUCAUGUACCCAAUGCUUUACUAGCAAAGGUCGACUCGACUCAUUUACUUGUUGUAGAACAAGACUAACAGAACAAUUGAGCAGUCGAUUUUCUUUUGAUUAUGGACUUUCUGGUUGUAGGGGGAAGGUAUGACAAGAGAAUUCCAUGCUUUUAAGAAGCUUUGUUCUAAGCCUCGGGAUGAAAUUCGAAUCUCACUCAAAUAGGGCAGGUGAAGGAAAAAGAUCUCUUAUGCGGCCACGCUCUAAGCUAAGUUUAUCAUUGGAUCACUCUUGAUAUACGAAUUUACUAGAGAUAUCAUCUAAUUCGAUUGAAGCAAGGAAAAUACAAAUACAAAUAGAAAUCAAAAGAAUUAGAAUUAGUUUUGUGAAAAGUGAAUCCAAUCAAUUGUGAACCACUCAUUGCCAACCUAAUCCUGUUUUUAAUUGUUCACGAUAAGACAAAAGGGGGCAAUUAUCAUGCCUCGAUAUGCACCUAUUCAAAAAGGUUGAGGACUAUAGUCCCACUACCGCUAUUUACACGGAUCCAUUUAUGCAAUUUUCUUGAAAAAAAUCAGAAAAUUUGUGAAGUGUUAUAAGUAGCGGCAGGCUUGCCAACAAUAAAUCCGGUCUACCAUUUCUUCUCUCCUCUCUAUAAAUAUAACACCCUACAUAUCUGCUUUCCUUUGUCCAUUAGAAUAUACAGAAACUAAACUCAAUGGAAAUGGAAGUGGUUAUCCCUGUAAACAAAAUGGAUUUUGACUUUAACAGUCCACAUGUCAGUGCACCUUCGACGCCCAAGCGUUUUGGGGAAUUCUAUUGCAGCGCUCCGACAAGUCCGACGCAUUUGGCGCAGUUUUAUCGUGAUUUUGAUGAUUUCUCGAACAGAGCCAGCGGAGUCACAUCGAGGGUGCCGUUUGGUUCCCCUAAGAAUGAAGGUGAUUUUGCUUUUGAUAUUGGUGAGGAGUCAUCGGAAAAGGAGUCUCUUUCGGCGGAGGAACUGUUUGACGGCGGCGUAAUUAAGCACCUAAAGACCCCAUCGCGGCUGCAAGCUUCCACCGGAGCAAGAAUUAAGGGUGAUUACUCACCAAGGCAUAAGAAAGAGGCCGACCCUUUUGCAAUCUCUUCUCAAAGCGCCACGGCGGAGCACAGUCACAGAAGAGGAAGAGAGAGAGCUCCUGCAGCAGUUUUAUCUUCAUCAAGCCGAAGAGCAACGCGUUCACUUUCUCCUGCAAGAGAUUCUGAUCAAAAUUCACGGGAUCAAGAAGAGAAAAAACAGCAGAAUACAAAGAUUUUGUGCUCAUCUUCAUCCUCAAAAUGUCACAGAAAAUGGAGAUUGAAGGACUUUUUCUUGUUCCGAAGUGCAUCUGAAGGACGAGCAGCAGAUAAAGAUCCUUUAAGGAAAUACACAGCAGGGUUCAGAAAAUCAUAUGAAGAUGCUAAGAAUCCGAAUUUCCGGAGAAUGGAUAGCCAGGAUUCUGGAUCAAAUUCAAGUAGAAGAGGAAAAGUUUCAGCUCAUGAAUUGCAUUACACAACAAAUCGUGCAGUUUCUGAAGAUUUGAAGAAGAAAACCUUCUUGCCAUACAAGCAAGGCAUUCUGGGGCGCCUUUCAUUCAAUCCUGCGGCCCAUGCACUGGCUAAUGGUUUCGGGUUUUCUCGUAAAUGAAUAUUCGUCCGGUACAGUUGAGGACGGCAUGGUGAGAAGGAAUAAUUCUCUGCUAAUUAUAAUCUUUUUUUAAUUUUUUUAAUGUUUUGGAUAGGUAAUUUUUUCAGAUUUUGGUCAUGAGAUGUAUAAAAAUAAAUUUUACACAUUGAAGCAUCAUAUCUUAUUGUGGAAUUAUUUAUCAAUGUACUAAAUUUUAUUGAUCCUAAAAAAUUUAGGGUCUGCUAGAUAAAAUCUUGUUUCAUUACUUCUUUUAGCUAAUUGCUAUGUAUCUGCUCAAAAACAACUAUUCAACGGAAUAUAUUCUACGUUAUGGAUGAUUUCUAUUCUUUAUUUGAUGAAAGACGGAAAAAGACAUCGAUCAUAGAAGGUGACAACUCAAAAGUUUGAGACAAGUAAUUCGAGACGACUAUUCUUUCCGAACAACGUCUGAGUUAUGGGGAUAUUUAUUGAUAUUUUAAUAUUCAAAACCCUUGAGAAACGUAUUACGAAUUCCGGAAAAUAAACCCAUGGACAAAAAUGAGAGAGAGAGAGAGAGUAGCGUGCAUUGUGGACUAUCAGUUUCUUUAAUGUAGAAGACAAUUUUUAGGGCGGUCUAUUUGUCGCAUUUUACUCUAAUAUUAUUGAGUUGGUGAAAUCAGAAAUGAAAUGGAAUAUAAACAUCAAUUCAUGCAUGAUAUUAAGUUCGACAUUUUUCUAUGUGGCAGUAAUCUAUCCCUUUGAUUUUAAAUAUAUUCAUCCAUUGCUAGCCAAAUUUUCUCCAUUGAGAGGAAAUCAUGUAGGAAAAUUUGUUACCUUCUUAAUCACAGGAUCUUUUAUGUUGGAUAAUCAAGAAUAUAUAAACUAAUACGGAACCUGAAUUAGAAAUGAUUAAUUCAAUAGUUGAAUCUUGCGGUUUAUUCUUUCAAAUCAACACGUAGACCUUAAUUCUUUCUAAUGAUGGGAGGCAGAACAAAAUGAGCAAUUCACAUGUGAUUUGGAAACCAUAACUGGGCCCGGUUUCUACCCAUAAAAUAUCCACCUUUUAAUUGGAUGCAUUAAAAUCCAAAAUACUGGAAACUUGUUAGAUCACUUUAACUAGGCUUAACCAAAUUUUAUAGCCUUUAAUUUGAUACACAAUAAUUUACACAUAUAAGCCCACACGGUCGUUUAAAAUUCCUUACAUAUCAAACUUGUUUUCAACCAAAAAUAUGCAUCUAAUUUUAUUUUAUAAAUACGAAAAGAAUUAGAGAAUUGAAAUGAAACAUAAGCCGUUGUUUGACAAUCAUUAUUUAAAAACUUUUUUUGUUUUGGUACAUAUUCAUUUUUAAUUACACAUUUACAUUAUAAAAUAUUAUGCAUGUAAACUCAAUAUUUUUUCACACUUUCUAACCGCACAUUCUCCUAAAAAUUAUUUUUUUCCAAAUGAUGAUUGUCAAAUAGAAGACUAAUUAAAUUGUUCCUUGUACAUGACCAAAAUGGAAUUAUAACUUGAUUUUUGUAUAAAUAAACCAUAAACUUUAUUUUUGAAUUGGAAAUGUUAAAUACCUAUGUUGAUGUAAUUUCCACUUCUUUAUUCUUCCUUUUUUUCCCCCAAAAUAAUAAUUUGGCUGCCCAAUUCUUUGUGCAGAACCGUUCUUCCUACUUAUAAAUUUGAUACACUUAUUUAUUAAAUAUUCAUGACCCUUAAUUUAAGUAAAUUCAAUGCUCAAUACUUUAUGGAUCUCAAAUAGUUAUAAUAAAUCUCCCACAAUUUUAGGGAAAUACAUAUUAAGUGUUGGAUUGACUUAUAUUAAAGGUCAUGAUUAUUUAUUAAUAAGUGUGUCAAAUUUAUGAGUACUAGGAAUUAGGAAUGUUCUCGUUCUUUGUGCUCUCUUUGUCCGUGUAAUUUGCAACCCAAGUAUCAUAAAUAAUUCUCGUAUAGGAAUCAUAAUUGAUUGCAUAUUUGCAUUAUAUGUCCCCUAAUUUCUAGCAUUCGUUCUCUUUCCUAAUUGAUAUAAAGAUUCAUUUCCCUAAUAAAUCAAUAAAAAAUAAAAUAAAAUCUUUUACAUUAUUGCAACAUUUCAUCGCUAAACAAUAGCUCUUUUUCCUUUCCCUAAUAGAACUUUUCUAUUUCACAUAUUUGGGUCGAAUCCAACAAUUUCCAAUUGAUCCAAAACCUCCCAAUCACAGCAUACAUUGACAUUGAUUAUACAACCAAUUUACCACUGUUCUUCAAAUAAUUGUAGUAGACGAGAAAAUUCAUCAAACUGUUAUAAAUUAGAGAAAAAAGAGAAAACAAAGUAGAAGUUAAUUGACUUGUGUGUAUAAUUAAUAACCAAAAUCACAUAUAUCUAGAGAGAAUAAUUAGGAACACAAUGGUAAUAAAAACUAGGGCUACAACGGUAUAAUUUUCAUUCAAUAAUAAUCAUAUUAUUUAUAACACCCCCCUUCAAUGUUACAUUACAAAAUAUUUGUAUCGUUAAAACAUUGUCAAAAAAAUCUAGUGGGACAAAAUUGAUCAAAAGAAAAAGAGUACAGUUACUCCCAUUGAUUUCAAUUCUUGUAUCAAUUCAUCAUUGUCUUUUAAAUCAGUAUUUUUAAAAUUGCAAAUUUUGGUGAAAUAUAUCUCAUGUUAUCUUGUAGGUAUUCAAUCAAUAUCGUCUACGUACAAGAUAUUUAUAAAAAUUUUGUGAUCGUAGUAACAUGAUGAUUGAAAAAUAGAUUUUGUUGAUCUUUUUGCGAGUUUCAUACAUAUAAAAGCAUUAUUUUGAGGGUUAAUAUCUUUAUAUGUAAUUGGAUAUCCAUUAAAUAAAAAAUAUGCCUCCUUAAAACCUUAUUCGUAAAAAUCUAUAGAAAAAUUCUAAUUAAGGAAAAGAGUACAUUAUUCUUUUGAAUAGGCAUAAAAGUUGUCUCGUUAAAAAUCUUGUGAAGAAAACCCAAUGAGAUAAAACUUUAUUCAAGGGAAAAAGAGUACGGCGUGUAUUUACUCCUCCCUCAUAUAAUAUCUCUAAAAUUAUGUAUCAGGCACAUCAAAUCUGUCAGAGAUAAUAUUAAUAGUCAUGCUAUAUGAAUUGAUUGUAACCGUAUUUCAAGUUUCAUGCAUUGUUAUGAUAACAAGAUACAAACAAUGAUUUCAUCCACCACGAAAUUCAGUAUUUUAAGAGUCGUUCAUCAUUUUGUGACAUUAUUUUUCUCAUUUCUUUUUCACAUAAGUAUACACAUUUUGAUUUUUGGGCUGGAAGUCCAGGAACUCCAAAUUUCUUAAUAAAUUCGAAUUUAAUAAGAUUGUGUCCUUUUAUUUGGCCAAUCAUAUUUUCGAUCGAUAUGCGUCAAUGAAUUUAUUUCGAUAUCCUCGAAUUCAUAUAUAAGUUGAAAUAUCUCUCGAUUGAGUUUUAACUAUUGGUAAGGCGUAGGGGUGUCAACGAACAGAACCAGCUUGUGAGUGGAAACUCCUGGCUCGGGCUCGGCUUGGCUUUUCUAAGGCGGACCUUUUUUGGCCCAAGCCAAGCAAAAGUUCGGUCAAAAAAUUAAGGCUCGACAUGAGCUUUCAGCUCGAGCCUUAACGAGCCAGCUUGAUUUUUCUUCUUUUUCUCUCACUCUUAGCUGCAUGUUUGGCAGCUAUUUGCUACCUCAACUGACAGUAAAUUGAGUUUCUUUCUCUUUUUUUAUUAACGGAAUGGCCCAACUAGAGCCGACUCUCUGAAAUAGGGCUCGGCCCGAGCCUUAGCUCGAUGCCUCCGAGCCACAGGUGACCCAAGGCUCGGUGCAUUCGAGCUACGGGCGACCCUAGCCGGUGAGCUUGAUUGUCAUUCCUAGUAAGACGGUCAUAUUUCAUUUACCUAAACUAUAACUUGAUUUAGUGGCUCUAUCCAAUAGGCGUGCAACAAUUUUUUCUCUUCAAUUCUUUUUUUCGUAAUGACAUAAAUUAUUGACAUAUCUCAAUUUUCAAUAUAUCAAAAACCUGAAGAUCUUCUAAAGUUUUAUAAUUUGUUAUGUCUAAAUAUUCAUUAAGAGAAAGGAACCAUCUUUGUUAAUUUCUCCAUUUUUGUCUGAAAUUUUUAUAUUAGAAUCAAAUAUCAUAAUGUUUCAAGCAUGCCAUAAAUUCAAAUAUAAUAUUACCAAGACAUUAAUUCGAGUUAGAGCAUUCAAAGUUUGUAUAUGAGAUGUUGUUGAUCUCUUUGGUCAGUAAAUGCACUUAAAUAUCUUUCGAACUUUUGGUUCGAAUUAUUUUUGUAAGAAUUUAAAUAAUUAUGCAUUUGUACAUUAUUUUAGUUUCUUAGUUCUUCUCCCUAAUACUGAGAAAAUUGUCUACUCAAAUUGAUAAUCGCAAAUCAUGUUAUAAAAUAUCAUUAGUUUGAAAUAAAAAGUUCGAACAACUCAUUUAUUCUCAAAAUUAUUUACUUUCCAUAUCAAUGCAUUGUGGUGGAUCAAUUUUACAUAUACUACGUUAUCAAAAUUAUUUGAUGAAAAAAUUGGCUCGGACCAUAUGCCUAGUUAUAGUAGGGAUGACUAUGAUGUUGACAUGACACGUAAUAACAUUUCCUAAAUAGAAAUGGAAAGUACUUCGUUUUCAAUUAAAUUAAUUGGAGGUGUAUAACAAUCAAUAAUGUUGAAUCAUUUAUCAACAUUUCAUCUAACGCAUAUUAAAAUGUUGAGAUUUACAAUUACUAGAUUAAGAGGGUACACCGUCUUAAUUAUAUAAUCUGAAAAUUCUACUGAUAAUUUAAAAUUUGAGAAGUAAUUUUGCAAACUAUAAGUUACAAACAUCAUGCAAUCAUCAAGCAUACAUGUUAAAUCUAUUAAAUACAAAUAAUAUUUAGAUGGUCUACGUGAAGGAUAAUGGGCCCCAUUUAUCACCCUGAUUAAUUUUCAGAAAUAUAAUGAAUUCAAUCCCUAUUUUUAACUAGCGAUGAUCAAUUUUCGAUAAAAAAAAAAAAAACAAAUAACGUAUAGGAAUUUAUUGGACUGAAGAUUCAGGUUCUUUGUUGAAUGUCCAUUUAAAUUUUUUAUUUCAUAUCAUUAUUGAUGCAAUAUGAUCCAACUGGUCAUGCCGAACAAUAAUACAUUCAUUAAUUAAAAUUUUGAGUCAAUAGUGUAUUCAUUCCAAUUCUACCACACAUUUUAGAAACUUAUUACAUUUCACUUUAAUUUAGAGGGGAAUAAAUUACUAUCAAUAGUAAAAUUUAUUCUCUCACGUAACACAAUUUAACCCUUCUGUAGUAUCAAAACGUAUUCUUCUAAAAUAUUGUUAUAUACUUGGUUAUGAUUACUAACAAGUAAUAAAACAAUAUUUUUUAGGAAUAUUGAUAUAUUAAAUUAAUCAUAGUAUUUUUCUAAAAAUAUUAAUAUGCAUAUAUUUGUGCUUCUUCACAAACACAAUAUGGUAUUCUUCAAGAAUAUUAAUAUAUAUUAUUUUUGUUUCUUCUGGAGCAAUAUAUCAAUAUUUUUCUGAAAUAUUGAAAUUUUACCGACAUGCUCUUCAGGAGCAAAUAAUUCUGUCUAGAACAUUUACAUAAGGUGUGGGUUAUGAUUUUCCUAGAAUAUCAACACCAUAUUUCUUUAGUAUAAAUGUAAUUUCUAGUUGUGCUUCUUCAAGAGCACAAGAUAAAUCAAAAUAUUUAAUUAAUCUAAUAAUUUACAAGUAUAAUAUAUAGCAGUAUAGAAAGACUUUUAAAUAAUUUUCAUACUUGAAUUUGAAAACUUUAGAAAGCGUUAAAUAGUUGAAAAUUUUAUAUUCUUCAAAGAUAUAAGUUUGAAUUUUUUUUAUAAAACUUAAAAUUUUCUACUGUCCCCACAAAUAAGCCGUUAGAUUUUGAUAAGAAUACAUUGAUUUAAAAAUACAAUGAGUUGUGAACAUCUUGUCCAAAUUUCAUGACGAUUAGACCACGAAUGUUGAGAUAUCAAUGUUUUUAUCACAGUUGCUCAGACUGUCCAAAUUCUGUAAAUUUUUGCACUGUUGAUUCCAAUAUAAUAAUACAAUCAUUCCAUAUUAUAUAGAUCACUAUAGGGUUAACGAACUUCGAGUUUGUUAUAAUAUUUGACUCAAUCAUUUUCAUUAAUGUACGUAUAGUACAUGCGAGAAUAGAGUGUCAAAAGUUUUUCUUUUGUUUGCUUCUGGUCAGAUAUAAAAAAAGUUAGGUAAAGAUAUUCUAUAUUUUUUCUUGCACAUUCUCCAUGUGAUAUUCAUUGCAUUGACUAUCUUUAAAACUAAUCAAUUUUUUAUUUAAAAUUUUUUUUUUUAAGAUUUGCUUGCAUAAAGUGUAUUAUUAAUAUAUAAUUUUGUAUCAUUAGAUAAAAUAAUACAGGAUCUUCGGAACCUUCAAUGAUAUUUGAUGCACCUCAUAUUGUAUCAAUAUUAUUUUCCGCUAAUGUUAAUUAUAAGAAGUACUUUUUAUUUUAAAGAAUUUUUUUUCAUAGUUUCACUAUCUUCGAAACAGAUAUCUUAAAAAUUCAUCUUAAUUUUUUCAACAUUUCAAGAUUUAUACUUUUUCAAAAAGAAAUAAUAGAAAGUUCUUUGAGAAUAUUAAAAAACUAAAUCUUAUGCUUUUCCGGAGCAAUAAACUAAUAUCUUCUUGAAUAUUAAUAAAAUUAUAAAAAUACUUUUUUUUAAAAAAAAAAAUUAAAACACAAUAUUAAGUAAUUUAAUUUAUGUUUCUUAGGGAACACAAUGAGAUAUAUAUUCUUCUAGAACCGUGCCACUUCAAUAACACAUUAUAUUUUAUUACUAUUUCUUCAAACACAAUAUAUCAAUAUUCUUCUGAAAUAAUGAAAACUAUAAUUUAAUACUCUUCAGGAGCAAUAACAUAUUAUUGUUUAGAACAAUAAAUUAUGUAAGAAUUUACUCUUUAAGAUUAAAAAAAUAAUUUAUGUUAGAUCUAUUUUAUUAUGCUCUUUGAGAGCAAGUAGAAUUUAAUUAGAAUAUUAACGAUUGUGAACCAAUGCUACAAAGUCUUUGUAUAAGCUUUUGAGACCAAGGUUGACAAAGCUGAAGAGCAGUAGCUAGUGGUGGCAAUCGGCUCGAUCCUUAAUCUCACGAGUUUGGCCCGGCUCGACUCGUUGAAUUUGGACGAGCUCGGCUCGGCCCACGAGCUUGUGGGCCGAUCCGAGCUUUGGCUCGUGGGCUCGUCCUUUUUUUUUUUUUUUUAAAGAGUUGUACAAAUAAAUGAAAUAAUAGAAAACACUUUUAAAAAAAAUAAAAAGUGUUAAAAAAAACAAAUAAUUUAAUGAAAACAAUUUUUAUUUUUUAAUUUAUAUUAUAUUGCAAUAUUUUUUAUAAAGUAUAAAAUAUUUAUAUAAUGAAAACAAAUUAUUUUUUGAAAUACAUUUACAAAAAAUAUAUUUUUUAGAUUUCUUUUUAAAGUAAAUAAAAUGUAAACCCUCCUCGUUUAUCCGGGUUUGAGACCGGCUAUAUCAAUUUUAAGUAGGCGAAGUAAAAAAUUGUACACGAACAACUUGUUGUAAUGUGUACAAUUUUUUAAAGAAAAUUAAAUUUAAUAAUUAAAAAAUAAAGAAAUCUUGAUUAAUAUAAUUAGAUCAAAUAUCACUUACCUGACGAUGUGCGAUUUCAGCGUAUUUAUCUUGUAGUUGAAAAUGAGUGUCCUGUCAAUCCUUCACGCACAUUAACGGUUCCAAAAUAUCUUCUUUCAGUCAGCUCCUGACAUCGGUCAAAACCCUUUUACCUGCACUAAAAGCAGAUCCCGAAGCAACAGUGCUAACCGGAGGUGUCAGCAGAUCUUUCGCAAUUGUAAAAACAAUUGGCCAACGUCUUUCAUACUUUCGCCAAAAUUCAAUUACUUCUUCUGAACUUUUUUUAAUUGUUCUGUUUGUUGGCAUAUUAUGAUUGAAAUAAUCAAUUAAUUCGACAGGCAUCACAUUUUGAGUUUCGCCCAAUGUUUGAUGAGAUGCAAAUGUAAAAGAUAUGGCACUAGAUGAACACAUUGCAGUUGCAUCAUAUCUAAAUGUAUUAAUGCCUUAAAAUAAAUUCAAUAUUUCGGCAUCAUCCUUUUCAAUUUCAUCAGAAGGAGUAGGUGCAGAAGGUACCCGACUAACAUUCACACCCAUUCUUUCCGCAUAUAAAUCAUACAUUCCACAUAAUGUUUGCUCUAAAUUCUUAUAUGUGAUAGAUGUAUCAAGUAUUAAAGCUUUAUUGAUUUGAUCAAUUACGUAUUUAGUUCCUGAAAUAUUAUAUCGAGGGUCCAUUGCGCGUGCUAAAGGAAAUAACAUAGGCAGUUCUUUCCAAUAUUUUCUAAACUUUAAUUCCAUAGCAAUUAUAAUUUCACUAAAAGCACGAUCAUUUUUAUAUUUAUGGAAUGUUCUUGCAAUUAUAUAAAGGCAUUCAAACACCAUACAAUUUGUACGAUAAUAAAUGUCGGAUAAAAUCUUUGUGGUCUCAUAAAAAGAUGUCAAAAAUUGUUUAACUUUCAAAGCUAAAAUCCAAUCGAAUUCAUUUAACAUGUCAUCGUCAUCACUUCUAAUGUGUCUAUUGUUAUAAAAGUCAGUUAUUAAAUUUUCGAAACUUUCACAUGACUUCAAUAGUGAGUAAGUAGAGCUCCAUCUAUGGUCUAUGUCGCUAACAAAUGUUUUAGCAGUUGUCACUCCUAGUUUGGCACAAAAAUCUACAAAUGCUUGUUUUCUACUAGGAGAGAUCGUAAUAUAUACUAAUGCAUUCCUAAUCCUUUGAAAUUCAUCCUUUAUAUGUUUUAAGCCAUAUUGCACAAUUAAAUUCAAUAUAUGACACACACAACGAAUAUGAAACAAAUACCCACCAAAAUCAGGUUGAAAUGUCCUACUCAAUUUAUCGACAACUACCUUAUUAACACUAGCAUUAUCAAAAGUAAAAGACCGAAUUUUAGUCUCACAAUUAUAUUAUCUAACAAUACUGAUAAUAACAUUAUAUAUAUUAUUAGCAUUGUGAGAAAAUUCAAUAAUUCUGAAAGCAAUAAUUUUCUUAUACAUGCACCAAAGUGGGUCUAUAUAGUGUGCGGUUGCAGCUAUAUAUGCUCUUUUAUUAACCCCUUCCCAUUAUCAGAAGUUAAAGAUAUAACACGCCCAUAUUAUUGCAAAUCCAUAAUUAAUUGUUAUUUUGAAUUAUUGAAAUAUUGUAUUGUAUCGACAUGAAGAGUGUUUCGACUUACCGCAACGUACCUCGGUUGCAGAUAUUCUUUCAUGAACGAGACAAAGUGUUGGUUGUCUGUAAUAGCUAGAGGCAACUCAGUGGUGGCAACAAAUUUCACCAUUCCGAUUCGAGUAUUAUCCUCCGAAUACACCCACGUGGAUAGGGGUGAAAUUGUAGAACCGACGUCUGGACUGCCAAAUUGCAAUUUUGUUUGACCAACUGGAAGAAGUCCAUGUCUGGCCACACUUGCUUUGUAGUGGCGGUUGAAAUGGGUGGUACCAAUCCCUUUUUGCCAUGUCAAUCUUUGUUGGUAGUAUUUACAUACUACUUUAGAUUCUGAAAGGCCAUCGACAACUUUUCCCGUUGAAAUUAACUUAAAGUGAUCCCAAUAUUUAGCUGGUUUUUUGGCCUUUCGCUUUUUCUUUGUAUCUGAGAUGUUUAAUUCGGCAUAUUCGUCCUCAUGUUUUACUUCGAGAACGUUAAUAUCAUCCAAAUCAAUUGAAUUGUGGCUUCCCUGACCGUGAAUAUGAACAUCUUCAAGUAUGGAUAUGUCAUUUAGAUCGACAAAUUCAUUUGGAAAUUGACAUUGUGGCAUCCUAGGCGAUUCCCCAUGAUGUGGCCUACAUCUCGUAUCAAAUAAGCUCUCAACAAAUGAGCAUUGAUCAAUUUGUUUGAUUGUUUAUGAUGAAAUCUUAACUAGAAGAAUAUAAAUGUAGUGAGAUUGUGAGAAUUGAGAAUUGGAUGAAUUGAAAUUGUAACUAAUAAACUGUAAAAAUUGAAUUGAUAUUGUAUAUUUUGCAGCAUAAGAGAGUAAAAACUCAAUAAUUGAUAUAUUAAAAGAGAGUUGGAGACUUGGAGUAGAUUGAGUAAUUGAUAUGAAAAAAAUAAAAGGGGGUUAAAAGGUAUUUAUAGUAUAAGGGGGGAAUUAAAAAAAAAAAUUCAGUGACCAGAACGGUCACUUUAUUUUGGGCUCACGACGUUGCUCGUGGCUCGUUCAAGCGAGCCGCUUGUGGGCCCGACAAGGCCCGCUUGGCUCGCUCUCGGGCUCGUGAUUUUACGAGCUCGAGCCGCCCACGAGCCCUAUUUUCACGAGCCGAGCCGACGAGCGGCUUGGCCCUUUUGACAUUCCUAGUAGUAGCAUUCCUCUAACCUGCAUCACCAAAUAAUGCAUUUACAGGCAUGGAAACGUGUCUAUUUCAGGAACAACAAUAUAAUACGGUUUAAAUUUAUUAAAAAAAUAAAAAAAAUUACUCAAUUUAUAGUAAAAUAAAUUUUUUUGAACAAAAGUAUAUAAUUCAUAAAUUAAAUAUAUUUGAUAAUUGCAUAAAAUUAUGCUAUUAUAUUAAUAUAAUCAUGCAAAUUAUAUUAAUGUAAUUAUGCUACUUAAUUGGGAGAACAUUCAAACCGCUCGGAGAUGGAUGUGUGCCUUCAUUAAUUGCGUAUUAUAAUAAUCAAAUUGUUUGUUAUAAUAAGGGUUUUGCUAUAUGGACAGGACCACGUAGGCGUAGACAACUGACCAAUAAGAGGAUGCCACAUCGCCCCCAUUUGGAUAAGGUCUAUGUGGCCUUGUCCAAGAAGAAUUAUUCAUUAUAAUAAUUCUCACUCUUUUCUCCACUAGACAAUUUCCAGUCAGAUUUUUGUUCAAGAUUUGUCAGUACAAAUUCAAUGAUUGUCAUUGCAAAUUGAUUACAAGGCACCCUCUUUUGCCAGCACCGAAUGGAAUCAGUCGGAAAUAUAUUCCUCUGAAGUCUAUAGAGGAAUUCAAAAAUCACUUGAGCUAAAAUUAGAGAUCGGAAGCAAGUUGAGCUUUAACAUAAAAAAAAAAUUUGUGCUGAUAACUUAUUAUAAAAAUAGAGAAAAGAAUAGGAGAAUGAAGAAGUCAAUAAAAUUGUAUAUUUUUAUUAAAAACCAAAGUAUGAAAGAAUUAGGGAUAAAAUCGUAAUAAAAACUAGGGUUGUAUGGAUUUAAUUUUCAUUCACUAAUAAACAUAUUAUUUACAACACAAACUUGUUUCGCAGUUUGCUUCUUCAAUCUAUAAUCUUCAAUUUUCAUUUUCACUAGUCACAUAACUCAUAUUGGCGACUUCGCAAUCUUUUGCAAUAGCAGAAGGCUCUCGUUGAAGCGACUGUAACGUGACAACUUCAGACUUUCGAUGAGUAGCCUAUACAAAUUACCAACCUUUUUACCUCUCAUUAAUGCCAUAUAAUUAAUCUUUACAUCAAUUCUCCCAAUGCAUGCUGAAUACUUAUAUGUCAACGUAUCCAGUGCUCCCAACAGUGUCAAACUUUUCCUCAAUCUUGAGACCUAUUGAUAACUACUCGGCUACAUAAAAAAAAUCUUCACAUUUACAAUACUUGAACCUUUAACUUCAAGUUUAUGAUUAUUAGUCGUGACGACAUCAUGAGCAUCUAAUAGCUUAUAAUCCUCAAAGCAGUCCUUGUGUGGGCAUAUAUGAUUACACAUCCAAAAUCCAAGAGUUACUUGAAGAGUCGUAAUUUGUGACACAAUAAUCACUAUCAAUAUCAUCAUCAACCAUGAUCGUAGAAUCGGAGGCCUCUUUAGAUUCUAGACUCUUCUUUACUUUAAGAUGAUAUGUCAACUUCUCACAUUUUGCCUUAAUGUGUCCUUUCUUGUGGCGGGUAUUAACACUUGGCAUUUCUCCUAUAAUGACAUUGAGAAUGAUCCCUCCGAACAUUAUUUCUUCCUCGCGAUUUACCACGCCUCCUUUCAGACUUUGUCUAGAGUGCUUGAUUUAAAACCUUCUUCACUAUCAAAGUAGAUUUACCAACUAGUAACGUGGUCACCAAUGUCUCAUAUGACUUAGGUAAGGAAGACAACAAAAUUAUUAUCUUAUCUUUGUCCCCAAUUUUUGACAUCAAUAUUAAACAACUCAGUUCACACUUAUUCAAAUGAUUCCUAAGAUCAGCGUCCUCAUCUAUCUUCAAAUCAUAUAAUUAUUUUCUCAGAUAUAAACAUAACAUAAAACAUAUCAGGAUCUUUUAGCAUUUUGAAUAACUUAAAAUGCAAAUUUCUUAUUCAAAACACUAUAAUUUACCUAAGCAAUCAUGCUACGUGGUCAAAGUCAAUGACUGAAAAGUAUUUCCAAAUUACACUUGACAAUUUUUCAUUGAAGAAAGGGGAAAAAAAAAUCAUAAAAAUACUCAAUUAUUAGCUGCCACAUCAGUCUAUUUUUUUAUUCCCUAUUUGUUCAACAUUAUUCUUACCUAAGUACAAGCCAAUCUAAUGGUGUUGACUGUCUCCAGUUUCAAUUCUUCCAACUCCGCUUCUUCAUGCCUUGUGACAUCUUACCUUACAAAUCUUUGUAAAGUCCCUAUUGCAAGAGAACAACUUCAACUGUACUUCACAAAAUAUUUAAAUUAUUUUUCUUGCCAAAUCGUUUACCCUCAAACUUUGUACAUGCCAUCAUCUUUGAAGCAGUAUCCCGAGUUUGAAUUUUGAGCUCCGAAACCAGUAGACUUCGCAGGAUGAAGGCAGAAAAUGAACAAGAACCAAUGAGAGGUAGAUUAGGGACGAGAAAAACGAAUUGCAGAGAACGGGUCACAUGAACCACCAAAAUCAAACCAAUAAAAUGAAAUAGAGAUAUCAAAUUAAGCACAAAUAAAUAUGUAAUCUUUAAAUUCAAGAUUACCACGUCAAUCUGCAGAAAUUUUCGGUGCUCGCAAGCGACAGAGAUAGGUGGAAGAAAGGGAUUCUAUGGGGGCUCAAGAGAGAGAACUUAGAGCAUCUCCAACCACAACACCAUUGCACCAUUUUGCACCAUUUUUUGGUGCAAAAUUGCUCCAACCCAACAUCAAACUUUGCACCAUUUUUCACCAAAAUGGUGCAAAGUGUAAAAGUCCCUUUUGCCCUUAUUUAACAUUUUCCAAAUAAAUUUGUUGAGGGUAUUUAUGUCAUUUGUGCUAUAUAUUUUUUAAUACAAUAAAUUAUUAUUAUUUUUAUUAAUAUUAAUAUUAAUAUUAUUUGUAUUUGUAUUUAAAAUAAUUUUAAAUGUAAGACAUAAUAAUUAAUAAAUUAAUUAAAAAAUGAAAACAAUUUAAAAUACAUCAAACACGAUUAUUUAUUAAAAUUAAUAUGAAAUAUAUUAAAUAGCGACAUACAUACGAUAAUCUAAUUUUAUUUUUAAAAAAAGGAUACAUUAAAAGUGCAUUAAUCGAUCGUUUGUGGGAUGAACAUAUGAAUUCUAAGAAUUAAAUUGUAAAAAUUUAGCUACUUCGUAAUAUCGUCUAUCCAAAUUCGAAAUGCAUUGUACUAUUUUCUGAUAGCAUGAUUUCAUAUUUUCGUUGUUGUAGUAUUUUUAUUAAUUGUUCUAUAUUUUUUAUAUUUAUUAAUAAAUUUAAUAUUUUUCGUAAUUUAACGUAAUUAUUUAUUUAUUAAUUUAUGUAUUUAUGAAAUAAUUAAAUAAAUAAUAUUUCGAAUAAAUAAAUUAUAAAGAAUAAAAAAAGGAAGAAAAUGGUAAAACACUGUUCAUUUGGUGUAAUUUUUGGUGUAAUGGUUGGAGAUGAAUUUUAGUUUGGUGCAAGAUUUGAUGCAAAAUUUGGUGCAAAAUGGUGCAAAAUUUGAUGCUGGGUUGGAGAUGGCCUUAGAAGUGAUUGCUUUUCUCUCUGUGCUGUUUUAUUAGAGAGAUAUUUAUGAAAAGGAGUUAACCAGUUAAUGAAUAGUGAAUAUCCGGUUAGAGUAUGAAAUGGGAGACCAUAGAAAUGAACAGUGAAGGUUGGUUCCCUCUUUUAUAUAAGUGCAAUGAUUUUAGCAAGUUUUAAAACUUCAAGUCAUAAUAUUUUGGGUUCUAUGGAUAUAUUCACAUUAUACUUUUAGAAAUUGUGUUUUAUUAGGCCAAAAUUAUGUACUCAGUAGUACAUAAGAGAAAUAAAGAAAAAAAAAUUACUAGAUUUUUGUGUCACCCAGAAAUUUCUCAAUGUCACCCUCUAGGGUAUGCAUUUUGAGAGAGAUGUAAAAUUCAAUCGAACAAAUAUUAAUUUUAAAAAACUGUGAGGCCAUAUGGCUAACACUUGUAGAUAUUGUUAGUUUAAUAUCCUUUUUUUCAGUAGUAUUUUGAAAAAACGACAUUAUGAAUUGACAUGCUACAAUUUGAAAUGAUUAUCUAAGGUUUCAUGAACAUAUAGAACGUCACAAAUUACAUACUCAAUGGUUUAGGUAUAGUAAGACGCAAUUCAUGAUGUGAUCAAAAUAUGUCGUUUACAAUCUCAGUACAUGAAGUUGGACACUUUAUGUUGAUAAAAUUACAUUGUUCUUAUUAAGAUUUCUCUAUAUUUGGCAGUAAGAACAAUAAUGUGUUUUUUGAUGCACAUUAAAUGGGAACCGCAUAGAUAACUCAUUUGUGAUCGUUCGAAAUGAGACUCUAUCAAACAAUUCAACUAAAUCCUGAGUGAGUAAUAUACUUUUGAUUGCUAGUUCAAGUUUUUUGAAGUAACAAUGAGUGAAAUCUUAAUUAGAAGAUUGAUCUUGGUGCUUUGGGAAUCACGUCGAAACAAUUAGAGAUCAUAUACUUGUGAUAGUGAAAUCCAUUAAUCAUCAAGAUGAGACGAUCAUCACUCUAAGAUAUUUUAGAUAGACAAUUGAACCUGUGCUCAGUAGUUUGAUGAUGAGAUCGUUGGACUCUAUAUUGUUAUUUGAUCACAACUGAUUCAUCUUAUGAAAAUGGAACUUAGAGGGUAAUAAUGUUGAAGGACAAAACGGUUAUUUUAUCAUUUUCAACUUAUUAAUGGUCCAAUGGAGGUUGACUUGUGGAACAAUAAUCGGAGGAUAUUUUCAUCGGAUCAUAAUUUACUUCUAUAACUAUCACUUGACUCGACAAUGGAAUCUCGAUUUUUGGUACAAUGAGCCGAGAUUAAUAGAUAUAUCUCAAUUGGUUAAGAGUUGACCCAAUUAGAAACAUCUAUUGUAGCUUAAGUCUUGUUGGUCUGGUUAGGUCCCUUUCUUAACUACAAUAAAGGUGUGACUUAAUUGGUCUACUACAAUUAAGUCCAAAGAAAUUUGUGCAAUUAUAAAACCCUAAUUGAGUGUUAUAAAUAUGUCCUUUAUGGACACAUUUUCACUUAGUUUUUAGGGUCAGCCAUAUUUUUAUUUACCAAAGAGGGAGGCACCUAAAGAACACAAGGGAUAAGAUAUAAGGGAAAAAGCACUUGGCUAGGCCACUAAAAUCUCCUUCAAGGUUAUCAUUUUCCUUUUAUGUGGUAGAAUUUAAGACAUCCAAUGAUCUCAAGGAGAUCAAAGAUCUUUUAUUUAUUUACAUUUAAUCUUCAAAGGAAAACUAAUUUCCUAUUUUGAUGAUUAAAUCCAAUAACCAACAAAUGGUAUCAGAGCCAAGGUUGUUAAGAGCCUUGAGUAGGAUUAAGUGCUUCGAAUCCUAGUAUAAAAUGCAUUUUUAGUAAGGGCGGUGUUAGUUUAUUUAAUUUGACAUGUUUACUACUUUAUAUGCUUAAAGAAGAUGUUUAUACAUAAUCACUUUUGGCCCUUGAAUUUUUUUUUUUUCUUCCCAUUGUAAUUCAUUCCAUUUGUCUUUCUUUUCUCUAGAAAAAUUGUAAGCCAUGCAUCAUUAGGGUUUUGUACAUAUUUUUCAUACUUCAACACUUGUGUAUUAAAAGAAGAUGAAGUUUUUUGGGUUCAUACAUUUUUCGUUUCUGGUUCUUGUUAGAGAAAUGGAAGGAGAUAGAAAUAGGACAAACAAAAUGCAAAAACCAUUGUAGAAUUACAAGUGGCGGCAAUAGCAACUAUCGAGAUCGGAGUGGCUACAAUCGCUGCAUCCAAAUGCAACAGCUGCUACAGGUUGUGAUAGCUGCUUCUGUUGCCUGUCGCGACAGCCAUAGCUACUGCAAAUGUAGCAGCGGCGCUUGCUACUGCUGUUUGCAGUCGCCAUUGCCACUCGACGGCUGCAGCUAUGGUGGCCUCUUUUGAUGUUGCUACUGUCGAUGUCAUUGUAGGAGAUGGAUGGUGGAUGUGAUACAUGGCGAAUUUUCCAGGAUUUGUGAAAUUAGGUUAUUUUUGAGUUUUUGUGCUUUUCUUUAUGACUUGGGCAAAUAUUUUUGGAUAAGGGCUUUUGAUUUAAGGAUUGCGACUCAAAAAUUAAAUGGACUCAAUUUUUGAAUAUUGAAUGGGUUGGAUUACAAGGAAAUUGAAGAAUUCGGGCGAAAAUUGCUUUAUGGAUGAUGAAUGAAUGUAUGAUUAUCACAUGUCAUGUAGAUUAAAUUGAACACCACCCAGUGCACUAAACAUAUGCAUUGGUAUUGGAUUUUUUUUUAUCACUCUAAAUUAAUUAGAGGUGGUUAAAAAAUUAUAUUUAACAAUUUAGUGCCAUUAUAAUUGUUUAUAUUUGGCACAUUAAUUAUAAAAUCAAAAUCCAAUUGUUCAAAAUAAUAAGCGGGGGAAGGUUUAUAGCAUGUAUAAACUUGCGGCCUCCUCCUUCAUCCAAUUUAUUAUUAAAAUACGUAUGUCUGGUAUCGAAUUACAUCGGUCUCCCUAAAGGAAUUAUUCUAGAUUAACUGAAAUUGAAUCUUAUAAUAUAAAGUUUUUAAAAUUGGAUAAUCGGCUGAUUAUCCUAUAGAUAACAUCUCAUAUAUUUUGGAUAAUUUAAAAAUUAUUUGCAGAGGUUGUUACACUUAUAUAUGAAUUUAUUUUUGGAGGACUUCCAGUAGAAGGUUCCAACAAAAUAUUUAUAAGUCAAAUAAUAAUAAAUCCUCAUUUUUAUUGUGGCAUGAGAUGCCUAACUCCAUCAAAUGAGUGGGAGUGUUCCAACUUUGUGAUGAGGACAAAUCAAAAAUCGAAUUAGUGAAUAAAUCAACGCAACAAUCUUCCCAUAUAAAGUGGCAACUCUUAUUUAUUGGUUGUGAACAAAAUAUUUGUAAUCAAAAUAUAAGUUAUGUCACACUACACUUCUCAGUACAAAUACCCAAUUUAUAUUGUCACAAGUAAUUAUAAUUACUUUAAUUCAUAUGCUCAAAUACUCAAUAAUAAAUAAAUACAUUAAUCGGAUAAAAUCACAAUUUGUUUAUUAUAAAUUAUUAUUUAUUAUAACAAAAUAUAAUAUAUGGACACACAACCCCACAGUCUCCACUCCCUCCGUACUUUGUUUAUAUUUUUUAUUAUUUUAACCCCAAACCUUAGAUCUCUCUCUUUUAUUUGCACAUGCAAACACGUAUUGAAAGCACAGGUCAGCAGCUACAGAAACUACCCAAGAGCCAUUAACUUAGGUUGUACACGCCGCAAGAAGAUAAGUAGAAGAAGCCGAAACAAAGAGAACCAAUGCUAAAAGGAACUCAUAAAUAAGGAAUGGGUGGAGAAGACACGGCUUCCAAAUAAAAGAGACGAGAUUGGGAGUAUCCCUAUGCUGCAGGCCAGUGGUGGUAUCACGAAAUUGAUACCUGUUAGACAUUAUGUUGUCAAACGACCCCCGGGCGAUGAUGAGAACCAAUUUUAUCAGUCGACAUAAAUGACUGAACGAUAAUUCAACAUCAAAUAAUGGAUGAACCGACCAAACGUUGCCUUACCUAUUGGACGGCUAAUAUUCUUUGUGGCUUGUUGAUUUCUUCCAUUGGAAGUUAACCCUAGUCGAGCCUACUUACCAUAUCCCGACUUACCUUAUGUUGGCCACUUGACUUACUAUAUAUAUUGGUGUUUUUGCCUUUGUUGGUACGGUCCAAAAGUUGAACCCGUGAGUUGAAGAAACUGCCGUGUCCAAGCCGUGUCCAAGCCGUGUCUUCUGUCUUCAUCUUCUUCGUGAUUUCUUCUCCACCCAAAUUGCUUGAGUCUUUGUGAACCUUACCUGAGUGGUAUCCAUCCUAAGUGUGUGGAUUUAAUCAACCAAGCAAGAGAAGAAAGCAACCAUAGGAAGAAGAGGCGCCGGCGGGUGGUUCAUUCCAGUUUUGAUGUUGAAUUCGGUUUUAAUGGUUAACUGAGCCCGGGAAUCAGCGUGAGCAGCUAGAGGAAGGUCCUAACAUCUGGUAUCAGAGCUUGGGUGGCAAAAAAGGCUCAAAAUCGGCUGAUUUUCACACUUUCAACUUAGAACUCGAAUCUGAAAAUUUGCAAUUACUCACAAACCGUAGCUCGGUUGGACAAACGGAGGCCAUACCCAUCAUCAGCAGGCCGAGGCGCUCCGGGACAGGCGNNNNNNNNNNNNNNNNNNNNNNNNNNNNNNNNNNNNNNNNNNNNNNNNNNNNNNNNNNNNNNNNNNNNNNNNNNNNNNNNNNNNNNNNNNNNNNNNNNNNNNNNNNNNNNNNNNNNNNNNNNNNNNNNNNNNNNNNNNNNNNNNNNNNNNNNNNNNNNNNNNNNNNNNNNNNNNNNNNNNNNNNNNNNNNNNNNNNNNNNNNNNNNNNNNNNNNNNNNNNNNNNNNNNNNNNNNNNNNNNNNNNNNNNNNNNNNNNNNNNNNNNNNNNNNNNNNNNNNNNNNNNNNNNNNNNNNNNNNNNNNNNNNNNNNNNNNNNNNNNNNNNNNNNNNNNNNNNNNNNNNNNNNNNNNNNNNNNNNNNNNNNNNNNNNNNNNNNNNNNNNNNNNNNNNNNNNNNNNNNNNNNNNNNNNNNNNNNNNNNNNNNNNNNNNNNNNNNNNNNNNNNNNNNNNNNNNNNNNNNNNNNNNNNNNNNNNNNNNNNNNNNNNNNNNNNNNNNNNNNNNNNNNNNNNNNNNNNNNNNNNNNNNNNNNNNNNNNNNNNNNNNNNNNNNNNNNNNNNNNNNNNNNNNNNNNNNNNNNNNNNNNNNNNNNNNNNNNNNNNNNNNNNNNNNNNNNNNNNNNNNNNNNNNNNNNNNNNNNNNNNNNNNNNNNNNNNNNNNNNNNNNNNNNNNNNNNNNNNNNNNNNNNNNNNNNNNNNNNNNNNNNNNNNNNNNNNNNNNNNNNNNNNNNNNNNNNNNNNNNNNNNNNNNNNNNNNNNNNNNNNNNNNNNNNNNNNNNNNNNNNNNNNNNNNNNNNNNNNNNNNNNNNNNNNNNNNNNNNNNNNNNNNNNNNNNNNNNNNNNNNNNNNNNNNNNNNNNNNNNNNNNNNNNNNNNNNNNNNNNNNNNNNNNNNNNNNNNNNNNNNNNNNNNNNNNNNNNNNNNNNNNNNNNNNNNNNNNNNNNNNNNNNNNNNNNNNNNNNNNNNNNNNNNNNNNNNNNNNNNNNNNNNNNNNNNNNNNNNNNNNNNNNNNNNNNNNNNNNNNNNNNNNNNNNNNNNNNNNNNNNNNNNNNNNNNNNNNNNNNNNNNNNNNNNNNNNNNNNNNNNNNNNNNNNNNNNNNNNNNNNNNNNNNNNNNNNNNNNNNNNNNNNNNNNNNNNNNNNNNNNNNNNNNNNNNNNNNNNNNNNNNNNNNNNNNNNNNNNNNNNNNNNNNNNNNNNNNNNNNNNNNNNNNNNNNNNNNNNNNNNNNNNNNNNNNNNNNNNNNNNNNNNNNNNNNNNNNNNNNNNNNNNNNNNNNNNNNNNNNNNNNNNNNNNNNNNNNNNNNNNNNNNNNNNNNNNNNNNNNNNNNNNNNNNNNNNNNNNNNNNNNNNNNNNNNNNNNNNNNNNNNNNNNNNNNNNNNNNNNNNNNNNNNNNNNNNNNNNNNNNNNNNNNNNNNNNNNNNNNNNNNNNNNNNNNNNNNNNNNNNNNNNNNNNNNNNNNNNNNNNNNNNNNNNNNNNNNNNNNNNNNNNNNNNNNNNNNNNNNNNNNNNNNNNNNNNNNNNNNNNNNNNNNNNNNNNNNNNNNNNNNNNNNNNNNNNNNNNNNNNNNNNNNNNNNNNNNNNNNNNNNNNNNNNNNNNNNNNNNNNNNNNNNNNNNNNNNNNNNNNNNNNNNNNNNNNNNNNNNNNNNNNNNNNNNNNNNNNNNNNNNNNNNNNNNNNNNNNNNNNNNNNNNNNNNNNNNNNNNNNNNNNNNNNNNNNNNNNNNNNNNNNNNNNNNNNNNNNNNNNNNNNNNNNNNNNNNNNNNNNNNNNNNNNNNNNNNNNNNNNNNNNNNNNNNNNNNNNNNNNNNNNNNNNNNNNNNNNNNNNNNNNNNNNNNNNNNNNNNNNNNNNNNNNNNNNNNNNNNNNNNNNNNNNNNNNNNNNNNNNNNNNNNNNNNNNNNNNNNNNNNNNNNNNNNNNNNNNNNNNNNNNNNNNNNNNNNNNNNNNNNNNNNNNNNNNNNNNNNNNNNNNNNNNNNNNNNNNNNNNNNNNNNNNNNNNNNNNNNNNNNNNNNNNNNNNNNNNNNNNNNNNNNNNNNNNNNNNNNNNNNNNNNNNNNNNNNNNNNNNNNNNNNNNNNNNNNNNNNNNNNNNNNNNNNNNNNNNNNNNNNNNNNNNNNNNNNNNNNNNNNNNNNNNNNNNNNNNNNNNNNNNNNNNNNNNNNNNNNNNNNNNNNNNNNNNNNNNNNNNNNNNNNNNNNNNNNNNNNNNNNNNNNNNNNNNNNNNNNNNNNNNNNNNNNNNNNNNNNNNNNNNNNNNNNNNNNNNNNNNNNNNNNNNNNNNNNNNNNNNNNNNNNNNNNNNNNNNNNNNNNNNNNNNNNNNNNNNNNNNNNNNNNNNNNNNNNNNNNNNNNNNNNNNNNNNNNNNNNNNNNNNNNNNNNNNNNNNNNNNNNNNNNNNNNNNNNNNNNNNNNNNNNNNNNNNNNNNNNNNNNNNNNNNNNNNNNNNNNNNNNNNNNNNNNNNNNNNNNNNNNNNNNNNNNNNNNNNNNNNNNNNNNNNNNNNNNNNNNNNNNNNNNNNNNNNNNNNNNNNNNNNNNNNNNNNNNNNNNNNNNNNNNNNNNNNNNNNNNNNNNNNNNNNNNNNNNNNNNNNNNNNNNNNNNNNNNNNNNNNNNNNNNNNNNNNNNNNNNNNNNNNNNNNNNNNNNNNNNNNNNNNNNNNNNNNNNNNNNNNNNNNNNNNNNNNNNNNNNNNNNNNNNNNNNNNNNNNNNNNNNNNNNNNNNNNNNNNNNNNNNNNNNNNNNNNNNNNNNNNNNNNNNNNNNNNNNNNNNNNNNNNNNNNNNNNNNNNNNNNNNNNNNNNNNNNNNNNNNNNNNNNNNNNNNNNNNNNNNNNNNNNNNNNNNNNNNNNNNNNNNNNNNNNNNNNNNNNNNNNNNNNNNNNNNNNNNNNNNNNNNNNNNNNNNNNNNNNNNNNNNNNNNNNNNNNNNNNNNNNNNNNNNNNNNNNNNNNNNNNNNNNNNNNNNNNNNNNNNNNNNNNNNNNNNNNNNNNNNNNNNNNNNNNNNNNNNNNNNNNNNNNNNNNNNNNNNNNNNNNNNNNNNNNNNNNNNNNNNNNNNNNNNNNNNNNNNNNNNNNNNNNNNNNNNNNNNNNNNNNNNNNNNNNNNNNNNNNNNNNNNNNNNNNNNNNNNNNNNNNNNNNNNNNNNNNNNNNNNNNNNNNNNNNNNNNNNNNNNNNNNNNNNNNNNNNNNNNNNNNNNNNNNNNNNNNNNNNNNNNNNNNNNNNNNNNNNNNNNNNNNNNNNNNNNNNNNNNNNNNNNNNNNNNNNNNNNNNNNNNNNNNNNNNNNNNNNNNNNNNNNNNNNNNNNNNNNNNNNNNNNNNNNNNNNNNNNNNNNNNNNNNNNNNNNNNNNNNNNNNNNNNNNNNNNNNNNNNNNNNNNNNNNNNNNNNNNNNNNNNNNNNNNNNNNNNNNNNNNNNNNNNNNNNNNNNNNNNNNNNNNNNNNNNNNNNNNNNNNNNNNNNNNNNNNNNNNNNNNNNNNNNNNNNNNNNNNNNNNNNNNNNNNNNNNNNNNNNNNNNNNNNNNNNNNNNNNNNNNNNNNNNNNNNNNNNNNNNNNNNNNNNNNNNNNNNNNNNNNNNNNNNNNNNNNNNNNNNNNNNNNNNNNNNNNNNNNNNNNNNNNNNNNNNNNNNNNNNNNNNNNNNNNNNNNNNNNNNNNNNNNNNNNNNNNNNNNNNNNNNNNNNNNNNNNNNNNNNNNNNNNNNNNNNNNNNNNNNNNNNNNNNNNNNNNNNNNNNNNNNNNNNNNNNNNNNNNNNNNNNNNNNNNNNNNNNNNNNNNNNNNNNNNNNNNNNNNNNNNNNNNNNNNNNNNNNNNNNNNNNNNNNNNNNNNNNNNNNNNNNNNNNNNNNNNNNNNNNNNNNNNNNNNNNNNNNNNNNNNNNNNNNNNNNNNNNNNNNNNNNNNNNNNNNNNNNNNNNNNNNNNNNNNNNNNNNNNNNNNNNNNNNNNNNNNNNNNNNNNNNNNNNNNNNNNNNNNNNNNNNNNNNNNNNNNNNNNNNNNNNNNNNNNNNNNNNNNNNNNNNNNNNNNNNNNNNNNNNNNNNNNNNNNNNNNNNNNNNNNNNNNNNNNNNNNNNNNNNNNNNNNNNNNNNNNNNNNNNNNNNNNNNNNNNNNNNNNNNNNNNNNNNNNNNNNNNNNNNNNNNNNNNNNNNNNNNNNNNNNNNNNNNNNNNNNNNNNNNNNNNNNNNNNNNNNNNNNNNNNNNNNNNNNNNNNNNNNNNNNNNNNNNNNNNNNNNNNNNNNNNNNNNNNNNNNNNNNNNNNNNNNNNNNNNNNNNNNNNNNNNNNNNNNNNNNNNNNNNNNNNNNNNNNNNNNNNNNNNNNNNNNNNNNNNNNNNNNNNNNNNNNNNNNNNNNNNNNNNNNNNNNNNNNNNNNNNNNNNNNNNNNNNNNNNNNNNNNNNNNNNNNNNNNNNNNNNNNNNNNNNNNNNNNNNNNNNNNNNNNNNNNNNNNNNNNNNNNNNNNNNNNNNNNNNNNNNNNNNNNNNNNNNNNNNNNNNNNNNNNNNNNNNNNNNNNNNNNNNNNNNNNNNNNNNNNNNNNNNNNNNNNNNNNNNNNNNNNNNNNNNNNNNNNNNNNNNNNNNNNNNNNNNNNNNNNNNNNNNNNNNNNNNNNNNNNNNNNNNNNNNNNNNNNNNNNNNNNNNNNNNNNNNNNNNNNNNNNNNNNNNNNNNNNNNNNNNNNNNNNNNNNNNNNNNNNNNNNNNNNNNNNNNNNNNNNNNNNNNNNNNNNNNNNNNNNNNNNNNNNNNNNNNNNNNNNNNNNNNNNNNNNNNNNNNNNNNNNNNNNNNNNNNNNNNNNNNNNNNNNNNNNNNNNNNNNNNNNNNNNNNNNNNNNNNNNNNNNNNNNNNNNNNNNNNNNNNNNNNNNNNNNNNNNNNNNNNNNNNNNNNNNNNNNNNNNNNNNNNNNNNNNNNNNNNNNNNNNNNNNNNNNNNNNNNNNNNNNNNNNNNNNNNNNNNNNNNNNNNNNNNNNNNNNNNNNNNNNNNNNNNNNNNNNNNNNNNNNNNNNNNNNNNNNNNNNNNNNNNNNNNNNNNNNNNNNNNNNNNNNNNNNNNNNNNNNNNNNNNNNNNNNNNNNNNNNNNNNNNNNNNNNNNNNNNNNNNNNNNNNNNNNNNNNNNNNNNNNNNNNNNNNNNNNNNNNNNNNNNNNNNNNNNNNNNNNNNNNNNNNNNNNNNNNNNNNNNNNNNNNNNNNNNNNNNNNNNNNNNNNNNNNNNNNNNNNNNNNNNNNNNNNNNNNNNNNNNNNNNNNNNNNNNNNNNNNNNNNNNNNNNNNNNNNNNNNNNNNNNNNNNNNNNNNNNNNNNNNNNNNNNNNNNNNNNNNNNNNNNNNNNNNNNNNNNNNNNNNNNNNNNNNNNNNNNNNNNNNNNNNNNNNNNNNNNNNNNNNNNNNNNNNNNNNNNNNNNNNNNNNNNNNNNNNNNNNNNNNNNNNNNNNNNNNNNNNNNNNNNNNNNNNNNNNNNNNNNNNNNNNNNNNNNNNNNNNNNNNNNNNNNNNNNNNNNNNNNNNNNNNNNNNNNNNNNNNNNNNNNNNNNNNNNNNNNNNNNNNNNNNNNNNNNNNNNNNNNNNNNNNNNNNNNNNNNNNNNNNNNNNNNNNNNNNNNNNNNNNNNNNNNNNNNNNNNNNNNNNNNNNNNNNNNNNNNNNNNNNNNNNNNNNNNNNNNNNNNNNNNNNNNNNNNNNNNNNNNNNNNNNNNNNNNNNNNNNNNNNNNNNNNNNNNNNNNNNNNNNNNNNNNNNNNNNNNNNNNNNNNNNNNNNNNNNNNNNNNNNNNNNNNNNNNNNNNNNNNNNNNNNNNNNNNNNNNNNNNNNNNNNNNNNNNNNNNNNNNNNNNNNNNNNNNNNNNNNNNNNNNNNNNNNNNNNNNNNNNNNNNNNNNNNNNNNNNNNNNNNNNNNNNNNNNNNNNNNNNNNNNNNNNNNNNNNNNNNNNNNNNNNNNNNNNNNNNNNNNNNNNNNNNNNNNNNNNNNNNNNNNNNNNNNNNNNNNNNNNNNNNNNNNNNNNNNNNNNNNNNNNNNNNNNNNNNNNNNNNNNNNNNNNNNNNNNNNNNNNNNNNNNNNNNNNNNNNNNNNNNNNNNNNNNNNNNNNNNNNNNNNNNNNNNNNNNNNNNNNNNNNNNNNNNNNNNNNNNNNNNNNNNNNNNNNNNNNNNNNNNNNNNNNNNNNNNNNNNNNNNNNNNNNNNNNNNNNNNNNNNNNNNNNNNNNNNNNNNNNNNNNNNNNNNNNNNNNNNNNNNNNNNNNNNNNNNNNNNNNNNNNNNNNNNNNNNNNNNNNNNNNNNNNNNNNNNNNNNNNNNNNNNNNNNNNNNNNNNNNNNNNNNNNNNNNNNNNNNNNNNNNNNNNNNNNNNNNNNNNNNNNNNNNNNNNNNNNNNNNNNNNNNNNNNNNNNNNNNNNNNNNNNNNNNNNNNNNNNNNNNNNNNNNNNNNNNNNNNNNNNNNNNNNNNNNNNNNNNNNNNNNNNNNNNNNNNNNNNNNNNNNNNNNNNNNNNNNNNNNNNNNNNNNNNNNNNNNNNNNNNNNNNNNNNNNNNNNNNNNNNNNNNNNNNNNNNNNNNNNNNNNNNNNNNNNNNNNNNNNNNNNNNNNNNNNNNNNNNNNNNNNNNNNNNNNNNNNNNNNNNNNNNNNNNNNNNNNNNNNNNNNNNNNNNNNNNNNNNNNNNNNNNNNNNNNNNNNNNNNNNNNNNNNNNNNNNNNNNNNNNNNNNNNNNNNNNNNNNNNNNNNNNNNNNNNNNNNNNNNNNNNNNNNNNNNNNNNNNNNNNNNNNNNNNNNNNNNNNNNNNNNNNNNNNNNNNNNNNNNNNNNNNNNNNNNNNNNNNNNNNNNNNNNNNNNNNNNNNNNNNNNNNNNNNNNNNNNNNNNNNNNNNNNNNNNNNNNNNNNNNNNNNNNNNNNNNNNNNNNNNNNNNNNNNNNNNNNNNNNNNNNNNNNNNNNNNNNNNNNNNNNNNNNNNNNNNNNNNNNNNNNNNNNNNNNNNNNNNNNNNNNNNNNNNNNNNNNNNNNNNNNNNNNNNNNNNNNNNNNNNNNNNNNNNNNNNNNNNNNNNNNNNNNNNNNNNNNNNNNNNNNNNNNNNNNNNNNNNNNNNNNNNNNNNNNNNNNNNNNNNNNNNNNNNNNNNNNNNNNNNNNNNNNNNNNNNNNNNNNNNNNNNNNNNNNNNNNNNNNNNNNNNNNNNNNNNNNNNNNNNNNNNNNNNNNNNNNNNNNNNNNNNNNNNNNNNNNNNNNNNNNNNNNNNNNNNNNNNNNNNNNNNNNNNNNNNNNNNNNNNNNNNNNNNNNNNNNNNNNNNNNNNNNNNNNNNNNNNNNNNNNNNNNNNNNNNNNNNNNNNNNNNNNNNNNNNNNNNNNNNNNNNNNNNNNNNNNNNNNNNNNNNNNNNNNNNNNNNNNNNNNNNNNNNNNNNNNNNNNNNNNNNNNNNNNNNNNNNNNNNNNNNNNNNNNNNNNNNNNNNNNNNNNNNNNNNNNNNNNNNNNNNNNNNNNNNNNNNNNNNNNNNNNNNNNNNNNNNNNNNNNNNNNNNNNNNNNNNNNNNNNNNNNNNNNNNNNNNNNNNNNNNNNNNNNNNNNNNNNNNNNNNNNNNNNNNNNNNNNNNNNNNNNNNNNNNNNNNNNNNNNNNNNNNNNNNNNNNNNNNNNNNNNNNNNNNNNNNNNNNNNNNNNNNNNNNNNNNNNNNNNNNNNNNNNNNNNNNNNNNNNNNNNNNNNNNNNNNNNNNNNNNNNNNNNNNNNNNNNNNNNNNNNNNNNNNNNNNNNNNNNNNNNNNNNNNNNNACCAAGGUGGAGGUUGUUAGACAUUAUGUUGUCAAACGACCCCUGGGCGAUGAUGAGAACCAAUUUUAUCAGUCGACAUAAAUGACUGAACGAUAAUUCAACAUCGAAUAAUGGAUGAACCGACCAAACGUUGCCUUACCUAUUGGACGGCUAAUAUUCUUUGUGGCUUGUUGAUUUCUUCCAUUGGAAGUUAACCCUAGUCGAGCCUACUUACCAUAUCCCGACUUACCUUAUGUUGGCCACUUGACUUACUAUAUAUAUUGGUGUUUUUGCCUUUGUUGGUACGGUCCAAAAGUUGAACCCGUGAGUUGAAGAAACUGCCGUGUCCAAGCCGUGUCCAAGCCGUGUCUUCUGUCUUCAUCUUCUUCGUGAUUUCUUCUCCACCCAAAUUGCUUGAGUCUUUGUGAACCUUACCUGAGUGGUAUCCAUCCUAAGUGUGUGGAUUUAAUCAACCAAGCAAGAGAAGAAAGCAACCAUAGGAAGAAGAGGCGCCGGCGGGUGGUUCAUUCCAGUUUUGAUGUUGAAUUCGGUUUUAAUGGUUAACUGAGCCCGGGAAUCAGCGUGAGCAGCUAGAGGAAGGUCCUAACAAUACCCAUCAACGUCGACAACUCGGGGUUGGUCCAUCGAGGUGCUAAGAGAUCUGGGGAUUUAGAAAUUCCAAAAUGUCUAUCCAGUGUUUAUUGGGUAGAUUACAAGAGGAAUGGAUCUGGUUAUCAAAAAAUGGUUUUUAAUAUGAGAUCAUAAGAAAUUAAAAAAGCGAUUCAAUAAGAGAGGGCAAACGACUAAUGAAUUCAAUGUAGUGAAGUAGAUCUUUUAUUCAAUGUCUCAAGAUGGGUUCAAUGCCCAAUAACAUUAAAUUAAUUUUUCUUCCAAUUAACUAAGGUUAUUGAGGCUGAGUUUGAGGCGGGGACUUUAUUUCCCGUCCGCUACUCGUGAUAAGGACUUUUUUUCUAACUGUGCUAUGUGUACAAUCGGAAUUGACAAACCCAUUUGACAAUUGGACACAUAGGAGGGGGGCUCACACUGAAAAGAAAAAUCGUGAGCCCCCCUCUUGUGAGUGCAUUGUCAACAUGGGUUGUACAAGAAGAAGAAUUUCUUUUUUCCUAACCCCCACCCCAAUUCAUUGAUUAAUCUAGAAUCCCCAGCUAGUUUGGGCAGGCCAUAUGGGGGACUAGAACAAUUGGGGAUAAUUGUUAUCCCGAAUAUCAUUUUUGAAUGUGUAAUGGUUCGUGCGGCUCACAAAGACACUAUACAAAUGUUAUAUAUAUACGUAAUAUAUAUUAUAUUGCACACCCAUGAUAUAUAUUUUGUACGCUCACACAAUUUGUGAUUUGAAAUCCAUCUAGCAAAUUUAUUCAUAAUUUGAUUAAUCUCUCGAAAUAAGUUGGUUGUAUUUUACAUUUAUUGUGGUUAAUGUUUAUGCAUAUAAUAUAUCUACGGAUGUGUUUUAUUUUUUGGUCCAUAUUACGUAUGAUUUAUUUAGAAUUGACGGGAGUUUAAUAGUGUUACGUGCGAGAAUUUAACAUCAUCUAAGUUCGGUUUAAUUUUCAAGUCUCUCUAUAUAAUUAUGAUUUUUUUUUGGGUAUAAAAAUACAUAUAUAAAUUCGUUACUCAAGCAUAUUUAUUGAUAUUUAUUCUCAUCCCUUUAUAUCUUUUCUUCUAGAUGAUUGAUGAUUUGAGGCGGUUGGCACGAAUAUGGCUUAUGGUGGCAAAAGUUCCGAUAAUAGAUUAUUAUGUUAUCUUUAAAAUAUUUCUCUUUUUAAGUUAAAUUAUCAAAAUCACUGGAUCAUUUGAAUUAUUAUAUAUGUUUAAUAAUUUAUAUAAUAGUGUUGAAUAUUCCUUAAAUUAUUUUAAUUUAGGAAUUAGUGGCACUCGGGUCGUUAAGGAUUCGGGUUGUCAUAGUUGUCCAAUUGGUAUCAAUAUUAAUUUAAAUCUCUCUUAUGGUAAAGAUCAUGAGUUCGAAUUCUUGGGACGCAAUAGAAAUCUAUUGGAGAUAGGAUGAAUUUAGGUUCUUCCAGAAUGAACAAUACAUAAAUUAACGACUUUGGCAUAAAGAUCAGGUCGUUACAUAAUAUUGGGAUCCGAAACCACAUUAAUUGAAAGAUUACCUAGAACAACCCUAAAUUUUCUCAUAUUGAACAAAAAUCCAUGUGUCCAUGUAUGAACAAAACAAUUGCAAAAGAACAAUUAAGAAAAUAUAAAGAAUAUCGCAAAAUCAUCUACGGGUCACUACCCCCAAGUACCUUGGCCAUCGGUGACUGGGUUGGGGUAGAUGAUGAAUAUAAUUAUUUUCCUUUUAUGCUAUCUGAUAAGUGUAUUUUUGCACACUUAUUAAGCACUUAAUUUGAUAUAAUUAUUGAUGAAAAGAAUGGAAUUCUACUCAUAGUUAAGUAAUAUUCACUUUUAUAGGUAAAAAUCACCUAAAGAAAAGAGAACAAGGCAAAAGUAAGAAAAAUGAGGAAAAAUGACUAAAAUUGUACAAAAUUGUGAAGUUGGAGGCCAAGGCAAACAAGUCAAAAAGUGGAGGAUUUGAGAUGCAAUUUAUGGAGGGCAAAAUCGAAAUGGAAGUCAAAAUACGAGGAACAAAUUGUACAAAAUUAAAGUUGAGGGACUAGCAUGCAAUAUUUGAAACUUGGCUGCAAAAAGAAAACCAUGGUUUUGGACAGAGAACUAGGCGCUGCGGCGCCACUAUUCCAGCACCACGGCGCCCAUUUUAAAAGAAAAAAUGAGUUGGGGACCUUUUUGUUAACUUUUGAAACUUCAGGGACCAAGGCUGAAAUUUUCCUAGUUUCUAAUAUAAAACCAGCAGCUGAGUUUUUAUUUGCAGUUCUUCAGUUCGAUCUUCUGCUGGGUUCCGUUUUCUGCUGGGUUUUUUCCUUUUUUUUUUUUUUUAUUUUGCUUUCAUUUUCUUUUCUUUUCUUUUCCUUUUCUUUUUCUUGGUUAUUUUGGAGAUACAACAUAGAGCAACAAGGAGAUUACAUCAAGGAUUUGGCAAAGCAUUUGGGAAAAAUCAUAGCCAAUCUACAAAAAAGGGUUUUAUCUAUAUCUUUGUAUUUUCUCCAUUAUUUAGCCAUAUUUGUAAUACAUUGGAUGAAUAUUCUCCUUUAUUAUCCUUUAUUUAACAUGGGCUAAAUAUUUUGUUGGGAUUUAUGGUAGUAGCUUGACCUAGGUUUAAUUGAUUUUCAAUAAUUGCUAUUUGAUAUAUUAAAUUGUCCAUUUCCAUGUGUUUCUAUUAUUGUAUUUAUUGCAUUUUCAUUUAUAUGGCUAAUGAAUGAAUAUGUUUCGUGAAGUUUACAUAGUUCGAGAGAAGAUUGUGCAUUUUAGACCAAAUGGUAGAAACUCUAGGUUUAUGUAGAGGAUAGAUAUAUAUUUCUAACCCUAGGUGACUCAAUGAGCUAUUUUCAUAAAAAUUUAAUGCAGUUGUUUAGUUGUAAUUAACAUAGAGAUAUAGUAUGUUAAACCAAUCAAUUAGGGCUAAUUCCACUCGAGAGAGAUAAUUAGCUAAAAUUGAAAAAUUGGGUCUAACAUCGUAAAUGAGUAAUUUGUUAAUUAACAUAUGCAGAAAUUAAUUAGGCGACGGUUAAGCGAAACCAAGAAUCCCAAUCACGUUUUCCUCCAAAAUUCCCAAGAUUUCCAUAUUUUCCUAGUUUGUAUUUUUUUUCCUUAGUUUCUAAAAUCAGCUCUUUAUUGUGUGUUUGUUUAUUUUCAUUGUUAGAAUUAAAUUGAUUAAAAUUGUGUAAUUUAAAGUAAACAUUCCUCGAUAGAUCGGCAACCCGAACUUCAAACGUCCACUUUAUUACUUGAACGCGACCCGUGCACUUGCGGUAUUAUUUUAGCAAACACUUCCCUUUUAUUUUCUUGAUUUUAUGUUUCUCUUUUAUAGCGGACUUAAUAGCCAUUUUGCACGGAUUUGUUAGUGAGGAGUAUUUCCAAAAUAAAAAUGAAAGGUCGAAGAUUGUGAUGCGAAUAAAUGAAGUUUGAGGAUAUAAGUGCAUAAGGAGUUGAAGAUCGGGGAUGUGGCUUAAAUUUUCCAAUAUUAAAAAGAAAAUGUUUUGCCCAUGCCAUUUUCUUGACUACUGUCAAGGAAAAAAAAAUAAAUCAAUCUUUUUGCGUUGAAAUUCACUCCACAUUGUAGGAACUGUAUGGUCCACCCAUGUGAAAUCCAUUGUGUGCCACAUCAGAGUUCCUGACAAACUGUCGUAUGCUCAACAUGAUACAUGAGCUACAAUGUGUUACAAAUUGCCCCUGUAUACAUGUAUGUUUAAUCAAUAAAAAAAAAAAUCUGAAAUUUACUCAAAUUCAAUGAUGAAUUCUUAAAUCGAAUCUGAAUAAUGAAUUUUCAAUCUUUUGAAUUACAAAAUUCCAAUUUUGAUCUCUAGAACUUGAUGAUUUUAACUUGCCAUUUCUAUAUAGUAUUACGUGUCAAACAUGCAAUGAUUUCAUACUUAUUCGUCCUUAUACUAUAUCCUCAACUCUCUCCAUCAAAUUCUUCAUCUAUUCUUGCAAAAUAUAUUGUAGCUUAAAGUUAAACCGGUUUCAUGCAUAAUUUAUCGCUCGGGAAUUAUUCACUCAUCGAUAGAAUAUCUGCAAAUCUUGUAUUUUUGUGAAUUUAGUUAUUUUGUUAAUUGAGAAUAAGAUGAAAGAUAAUCUUCUUGGGAGAUCAUUCUUAUGUGAAAUUCAUACAAAUGUCUUGAGUGCUAUUUUCACCUUCACUCAUUUAUUAAAUAUUACAAGUUCUAGCUUUCAUAGGAAAAUAUAUUUUACUUGGUGUGCUGAAGAUAUUCUUCAACCUUCAACAGUGAAGUGGGGUUCUAGGUUCUCGACCCAAUUAAAUUUGGAAAUUACAUAAAUUGUUAAUGUGAACGUCAAAACUGGACAUGACUUAAAAUUGAAUGUAAAGUGGUUUGAUGCUUUGGUCUCCAACUUUAAAUUACAUAAAAGUCAAGCAAUUCUAAUUUUCACAAUGACGAGUUUUUGCCACAUGGCGAUCCAAAUUCACAUAUUUAAAUACGUUGGGUACCCACAAUAGGGAUGACAACGGGAGAGAUGAGAUGGGAUGGGAAGCCGCUAGGGAUUCUUCACGCCCUGUCCCAACCUUGAUCCCUGCUUAAGGUGGGGCGGUUGCAGGGAAUAGGGCAAUAUGGAUGGGAUGCCUCCUCUCUUCACAUAAUGUCCGUUUAAUUUUAUUUUAAUCAUAAGCCUUAGAUAUCUCUUUUUAAUUUUCACGCACUAACACAUACUAAAUGCACACGUCAAUGGCUGCAAAAAUAGGGUCGGCCCUAAUAUUUUGGGGGCGUUAUAUUUUGAAUCUUCUUAUAUAGAGUUUUAGCCCCUGUUUGUUGAAGAUUAAGCCAUUGUUUGAGCCUCAUUUUUUUCAUAAAAAUACAUUUUUCAACAAUAAUUUGACACCACCAUUUCAACAUAUAUUUUUCAAUAAAAUAAUAUUACAUGCAAAUCCAAAAAUUUUCCUUAUUUUUUAAUCACACAUUCCCCAUCGUAACACUUUCUCAAAAUGCAUUUUUUUUUGGAGAAAAAUGAGGCUCAAAGGCUCAAACAACCCUAAAAUCGAAUUUUCAUUUUUUUUUUUUCAAAAUGCAUUAUUAGUUUCUUAUGUUUGCAUAUGAUACUUCUAUACUACAGAAUUUCAUAAAUAUAAUUUUCAUUUUUUUUUUCAACCAACAAAUUAACUUUACAUAAUUUGGGCCUCACUUAGGUGAUCGCCUAUUUCGUCUAUACUUAGGGCCACCACUGUGCAAAAACAACACAAGCCACCAAAUUUUGUGGUAAACACUGCAAGAAGAGGAGAACCCUAAACAAAGAGAGGUAAUGCUAAGAGGAACUCAUAAAUACGGAAUGGGGUGGAGAAGACAUGGCUGCUAGUUAAAGGAGAUGUGAUUGUGAGUCUCCAUCCUGUGCAACGAAGUCAUGACAUUGAUACCCAUCAACGUCGAUAGCUGGGGGCUGCUACAGCGUGGUGCUAAGAAAUUGGGGGGUUUGGAAAUUCUGAAAUGUCUAUGCUUUGUGUAAUGCACGUGCUUAUUUUUUGUGAUUAUCAUGUUUAUCUAAAUUAGUUGCGUUUAUGUUACAUUUACUAUUAAAUUAUUAUAAUUAUCAUAGUCGUGAUUAAUUAUGUUGAUAUAGUGGAAUGUGCCUUGGAUCAAAGUCGUGAUUAAUUAUGUUGAUACAGUGGAAUGUGCCUUGGACACUCUAUGCGAUCGACAUGCCUAUAGCUCCAAACUUAAAAUACAUAUGACUCUAUUUAAAUAUGCAAUUUAAUAUAAUUUGACGCCGUAUCACAUUCCUAUUAAUUUAAUUGUAUUGUCUACAAUUAAUUUUAUUUAGUUAGAUUAAAUUAUAUAACGUAUUUAUCCUAUUAUGUACAAUCUCUUUUUUAGAUUGAACCUAGACAUUGAGUUGGAAGAUUUCUUUUUAUAAGUAAAUAAAUAAAUAAAAAUAAUAAUGAUAUAGUUAAUAAUUGAAUUAAUUUGCUAAUAGGAUCAAUUUAAGGUUAAGGAAGUUAAUAUAGAUAAAUAAGGAGGCCUAAUUUGUUAGAUUAGUAUAAAUUAAACUAAAUAAACGCCAUUAGGUUUAGGAGUCUAUAUAGUUGCCUUAUUUCACAUCUUUUUAAAAUUAAGUAGAAACUCCUUUUCCUGCCAAAAGUUUAAUUUCAAUUUCUUAUUUUGGGACUAGUAUGCUCUUGCAGUAAGGUAUGGUUCAUAAUUUAUUCAUGAUAUAAUCUGUCAGUUAACCUAUGUGUUUAAUUCUCUCUCUCUUUCUACACUACCAUAAAAGAGAGAAUGAGGGUUUACUGUUCAUUUUUGUCAUACUUGUUUUCACACUUAACCAGUUUGGAAAUUGGUUUGGCAUCAGGAAUAAUUCUAUUCAAAAAUACUGUAGGAAUUUUGUCACACGCCAUUGUUUACUGCAAUAUUUCUCCCUUGCUUUGAAUCUGACACACCAUGCUCUUUCUCCUAAUUCUCACGCUAUAAACUAUCAACUAUAUCUUAUAUAUUUAAAUUUUUUAAAUUAUAUUAAUAAACAAAAUUAUUGUAAAUAAAAAAAAACAUAUUCACUCUGUGCAUAGAGAAAAGAAUUUACGUCAUACUACAUAAUUUUUCUUGAGUAAAAUGAUGCAUUGAGAAAAUUGUUACGAAUAAAUAAUAAAUAGUAAUAAAAUAAUUGAUUUUUUAAAAGAAAAACGACUUAUACGCAUUUUUUAACACAUACGUUUAAUGUCUAUUUAACUAUUUUCGAUAUUCAUUUAGAUCAUUCGAUGUGUCUAUGAUAUAGUUCUUGAAAUGAGUUUCGAGAGAAUGUAAAACAUUUAUCGAUUCGACUAUCGUACAAUCGUCAAUAAAUUUUUAAAGCUAGCUUAUUAUCGAAAAUUUCGAAAUAUAGUUUGAAAAUGCCUAUUUUGACGUCCCGUAACAUUUGCUGCGAUUAGUUGUUGCACGCACUGUUAACGACGUGCAAUACUAUGCCACGAGUACUUGAAAAUGAUAUUAAGAAUGUAGUAUUUCGAUUUCGUUUGAUAUCCCAUAAUGAGCCUGAAAAUAAAUACAAAAACAUAAAUUAAAAAAUAAUAAAAAAAUAAAAUUUUUUUAGCAAACCUCCAUGCACGGAGGUUAAACUUCCAUGCACGAAGGUUUAUGCGUGCGGGGAGUUCCAACACCAAUAUGCACUUCUUCUUUUUUUUACUUUUAUUUGUAGUACAUUUUUUUAUUAAUAUUUAAUUUUAAAAAAUUAAAUAUAUCUAAAUAUUUACUUAAAAAUGUUGAAAUUAAUAUUUUUUACCUAUAAGUAACUUUUACAAUUAUAAUUUUUUAUUACUUUUAAAUAACUUGAAGUGAUUUGUUUACUUAUAAGUAAUUUUUUACAUUCUAGUUAGUUUAAUCUUUUUAUUAAUAUUUAAUUUUAAAAACUAAAUAUAUCUAAAUAUUUGUACUUAAAAAAUUUUAAGUUCACAUUUUUUUUUUUAUAUAAGUAGCUUUUGCAAUUAUAAGAGAAUGAGGGAUUAAUAUUUUUUUUAACCUAUAAAUAGCUUUUACAAUUAUAAGUUUUUUUUAUUUUAAAUAACUUGAAGUGUUUUUUUACUUAUAAGUAAUUUUUUAUCUUUUAGAUAGUGUAAUCUCUUCUUUUACUUUAAAUAAUUUAACCGGUUUGGGAACUGAUUUGGCAAGAAAAAUUCUAUUCAAAAAUACUGUAGAAAUUUUGUCACAUGCCAUUUGAGUGUAAUGUCACGUCCACUGCAAUAUUUCUCCCUUACUUUGAAUAUAUAUAUAUAUAUUCACUCCGUGCAUGGAGAAAUUUUUUUACGUCAUACCACAUAAUUUUUUUAAGCAAAAUGAUGUAUUGAGAAAAUUAUUGCGAAAAAAUAAUAAAUAGUAAUAAAAUAAUUGAUUUUUUUGAAGAAAAACGAUUUAUAUGCAUUUUUUAACACAUACGUUUAAUGUCCGUUUAACUAUUUUCGAUGUUAAUUUACAUCACUCGAUGUGUUUAUGAUAUAUUUCUCGAAAUAAGUUUCGAGAGAAUGUAAAAGAUUUAUUGAUUCGACUAUCGUAUAGUGGUCGAUGAAUUUUUAGAGUUAGCUUAUUAUCGAAAAUUUUGAAAUACAGUUUGAAAAUGCCUAUUUUGACGUCCCGUUACAUUUGCUACGAUUAGCCGUUUCACGCACCGUUAACGACGUACAAUACUAUGUCGCGAGUACUUUAAUAUGAUAUUAAGAAUGUAAUAUUUCGAUUUCGUUUGAUAUCUCGUAAUGAACCUGAAAAUGAACACAAAAACAUAAGUUAAAAAAAAUGACGCAACAUGUAAUAAACCUUCCUCGUGCACGGAGGUUGGAGGAUCAUGUCCUCCGUGCACGUACCAAUUCAAUUAUUACUGAUCAUUAACCAGUUGGACCUAAACGACGCCGUUUGGGAAAAGAACGAACAAAAUGCGAGACUCGGCUUUUGGUUACCCAUUUUCUCCACAGCUUAACCCUAAGGGUGUGUUUGAUUACAUUUAUUUUCUAUGGAAAAUAUCAGUUUUCUACCCAAAUUCCUACUUUGAGUGUUUGAUUGCUAUUUUUUUCUAUGGAAAACAUUUUUCAACUUUUGAAAAUAUGCCUAAUUUUCCUUGUUUUUAAGGAAAAUAUUUUCCUUGGGUAGAGGUGAUUUUUAUUUUCCACAAAAAAUGAAAAAUAUUUUCUUUUCUAUGUGAUAUUUUCCAUGUCAAUCAAACACACUCUAAUUGUUCUCUCUCUCUCUAGCGAUCGGCACCAUUGUAGCAAGAAAUUCUGGAAAACCUGAAGCAACUGAGACAUAUACCUGUAAGUAAAAUCAUCACUACUUCGAUUUCUUUCUCUUCUGUAUAUUGCUUCUAAUUUGUUGAGUUGUAUUGUUCAAUAUAUGCUUAGUUUUCAAAUUUUUUUUUUUUUAAUAGCUUGAACUUUGAAGAGUUCAAACCCAAAUACGUAAAGUCAUGUUUCAAGGGGUGGUUAGGUUUAGGGUGUUGUGUAUAUGUUUUUCAAUUUAUGUAGCUGUGGUAUUGAAUAUGAGAUUUCUUGUCCAAUUUGCCUUUUUUUUUUGUUCUCCCUUUUCCUUCUUCUAAGAGGUCGAACCCAAAAUACCUAAAGUCUAUUAUUUUCAUGUUAUUAUUAUUAUUAUUUUUUUUUUUUAAUUUCUGCAGCCGUCAUGUUGAAUAUGAGAUUUUUUGUUCAAUCUGUGUUUUUUUCCUCAUUUUUUGUAAGAAACUGAACUGAAAAGACUUAUAAUUUGAUCUUCCCAUGCUUGGCUCUUUGAUUAUAUUUAACUUUAAGAAGGAGAACAAAAUGUUUCAAGUCGGAUAUUUCAUUAAAUACCCAAAUGCAAAUUCCGAAAAAGGUUAUCAUUGCUUUUCACUUGCUGCAAUUGAUACACAUGAGUGCUUAAUUUGAUGUUUGUGAUUGACAGAUUUUGAUGAAUACUGUACUACCAGAUGCUCCCAUGUUUAAACCUCAAUUUUGUCCUCAAGGUUUAUUCUCCCACCAUUAGUUAUUUCUUAGUUUUUGUAUUUUUAUUUAUUUGAAAGUUCUUAUAGAAGUUAAGUUUGCCAAUCUUGUUCAACAACAUUCCCAAAAUUGUUCCUUGUACUCCUGCUUCUCCCCCUUUGUAUAUAUUUACGAUAUAUGAAACCACCAAUUAUUUACUUUGAUCUUUUUUUUUCUGUAGACUAGAAGAAACCUAUUUGUAUUCGCAGAAAUGCCUUUGGCAAUCAAUAUUGUGCCAUUGAUUUAAUCAUAAAAGGAUCUGAAAAACUUAGAAUGGUAUUUGUUUAGUUCACUUUUUGGUAGUUAUUGGAAGAAAAUUUACCAUAUCUUUGGACAAACCAUUCUUUACAUGUUUCUUCUGUUCAUUCUCUGUUUAGUCCCAGAGCCAGAAAAUGGGGAGAGACCCAUGGAAGUACUGGAUAUCUAUGACUUUAAAGGACCUGGUGUUGCCCUUGCCAUGUAUAAUGUUCAUCAAGUUUGUCUUCACACAACUCGCUUGCAUAUUGAAAUUUUUCUUAUGGCACUUUUAUAUUCUUUUGCCUCAUCAUCUGGAAUUUUUAUGAAAAUUUUUCAGUCUAUUCAAGCAUUUGCAGAAUCAUCAAUGGCAAUGGCAUUUGCAAAAAAUGGCGUCUUUUCUUGAGCACAAAGAGUACAAUUCUUAAGAAGUAUGAUGGCUGUGAUUUCUUUCGGAAAACCUUGGUCAAUUGUUAUAAUAUUAAUAAAAUGAAGUAUGUCUGUAUACUAACAUUUACAUCAAUAUUUCACUAUUUCAGGUUCACAGAUAUAUUUUAGGAGGUACAUGACGAAGUGGAAGGAAUAAUCUGAAGAACAUUCACUAAGGUUGCUUUUGUAUCUUUGAUGUAUAGAACCUUAACGUGCCCAUUCACAUUGUUUUCUAAAACAUACAUGUUUCCUCAAGACAUGAGCAUCAGUUGAUCGAUGACAUGGUGCCGUACACCGUGAAGAGUGAUGUUGGAUACAUUUAGGCCUGUAAGAAUUACAAUGGAGAUCCUAUAUAAAUCAAGACAUAAAAAAAUAGAUUAAUGUGACUACUUUUUAUGUGAUUUUCAAUAUUUGAACUAAUUCUGUAAGUCAGUAGUUUUUCUGGUGAUAGUGUUUGAGUUUUCGUGUAUAUUUUAUGGUUAAACCGCUAUGCUCGAACUGUUCCAGAUAAAGGAGGAUGAAAAAAUUGGAUUUCCUGUUCAGAAUUUGACCAAAGAGUAUGUCACCUUCUAUGAGGAUGUCGCCCAAAUUUUGAUCAAGGUAGCAAACAAGAGGGUGUGAAAGUUAUAUAUUUUGAGUUUGCCUUCACUGCACUCGUAUUGGUGUUUAUGUUAUGUGCCAUAUCAAUAUAUGCUUUCAGCAAUUCUCCUCUAUAUUUUUUAGGAUAACUUAAUGCCAUACAGAGUGUCAAAUAUAAAGGUUAAAGCAACAAUUAUAAAUUCAAAGAGCUCAAGAUUCCACAUUAUAUUUACAUCCUUAAUCGAGUCCUGAUGCAAGGUAACAUAAGCAAAUGGCUAUUGUUUCAGUUAUUUCUAAAAAUUGUUUAAUUUUAUUUAGUGUAGCAAUCUUCCAUUUUUUACCACAUGGACAAACACACUUCUUUCACAGUUUUCUUCUUUUAAUCUAAAGUUUUCCUCUAUAUUCAUGUCAUUUAAGUUAUAUAAUAAGGAAAACUACGUGAAUAUAUUGUUAAUAUAUUUUUUCUUUCAUCCAAGGACAACAAACCUUUGAGGUAUUAUCUUUGAAGUGAAAUCUCGAAAAUUUAUCAAUUUUCUUUAAUCGAAAUCAUUUUAGUCCUUGUUUGAUUUCCACUAUUUUUAAAAUAUAUUUUUUGCUCUCUUUUUUUCAACCACAUAUUUUUCAAUAAAAUAAUAUUACACAACUCAAAACUUUUCUUUAUUUUUUAACUACACAUUCUCCAUCAAUCUACUAUUUCAAAAUCCAUUAUUAGCCAAAAAUGGGGCUCAAUCAUGCACUUCGUCCUUAUCUAUCAGUUAUCCACUGGUACUGAAUUGUCAGCAACACUUCGUAGCAUUCAGAACCCCAUAUUAAAAAUGCAUAUUCCAUUUUUUCAUAUAACCUCCAAUGUUAUGUUCUUUGCUCCCACAUAAGAAAAAGUUGCAUUUAUGAGACUUAAAUUUCUUGGACUUGUUUUCCUUCUAUGCUUCCAUAUCACUUCCUCCAAUCAAGCAUUUCCCGUACUUAAAUUUAAUGCCAACUUCACUUUACCCGGCACAACCUAAUUAAGUUCUUAAAUGAGUAGUAAAUAUUCUUACCAGAUUAUGAAGAUGCUUAAAGCUUCUUUAAUUGUGAAAUGCAUCUGUUCAAAAACUCUUCAAUUCUUAUAUGAACAAAUUAUUAAUACACAUGACUUAUUGCUUUGAUUUCAGGAAGUAUUGCUUGGUGGAGUCAAUUUCAAAUAUUAUAAUCCUCACAAAUGGAUAGUGUUAUGUCAAAGUUUUUACAUAUGCAGAAGCUUUGCCAAUAAAACGCUACAAGCAUGGUGGACAUUUCCUCGUGCUGAAAAUAGUGUACCAAAAUCAGGUAUGAUAUCAAAACUUGAUAUUGUAAAAUGAAAAAAAAAAGAAAAGAGAAAAGAUUGACAGAAUCACAUCCUUGUUAAACUCAAGUCUUAAUAUCUCAUUUUUACAAUUGGAAUGAGUCUCACCAGAAUAGUCAACGUUAGGAGGUAAAGUGGUCUAGAAAAUCUAUACAUGAGGUCACAGAGGCUAGCUUUACAAGAUUUCGGCAUUGUUGAUUCAUGUAAAGAAUUUAGGACAAAUAUCACCGAAAUUUGUGCUGCUGUGAUUAUAAGAAAUAAAAAUUCAAUAAUGGAAGUGAAAUUUUUAACAUAAGAAUAUCUUAUUGAUAGCUAAACAAUGUCAGAAAUUAUUAAAUGGAUGGAUUUUAUUCGUUGAUUUCAUUAGGAUGAGAAGAGUAGCUUCUACAUUGCAAUUUUUAUUAAUCGUGAAUCUCAUUGUCAGAACAUUUGCUCUCUCGUAACACGAUAGAACUUAUAAGUUGUUGUGUGUUACUCUGUUCAAGUGGCUGGCAUGUUGAUAAUGAAACUCUGUGUCUCUGCAAGUCUACUUCUGAAUAAAUGGUAAUUUCUUUCUUUUUCGUUUUUCAUUUUUUUUGUAUUCUUUUGGUGGGUAGGGAGAAGCUUCUUUGGUUUUGCAUGUACAGUUAGUAAGUAGCUAUCCAGAAGUUCAUUUGGCCUCAUUUUACUUCAUAUUUUGGCACCUGUACAUUAAAUUUUGUUUUUGAUAACAUUUGACGUGCAUGCUACAAUUUGACUUGCUAAGAGUAUCGGACUUUGGUGUUUCUUUUGUUACUUUCUUUUAGUACAGCUCUGGGAUUGAGCUAGUGUGACUGCAAUGGUAUAAUUAUUGCAUGUUUAAUUGUUGUACAUGUAUGUAUUAGCUAAUAAUUUUUGCUUGAUAGCAAGCGCAAUCAUGCUUGGUGUACAAUCAUUUUUACAACAUUGUUGACAACAUGCCAUGGGUCACGUUGUCAUUGGAUAAUUUAAAAAAUAAUUUAUAUUUCCUACCAACACUUUUAUGACACAUACAACAUCGUCAACAAUGUUGUCAAAAAUCAUUGUACAAAUGGCAUUAUCCUAGCAAGAAACCCAAGGCAUACGGUGAUGCAAAUAAUGGGCAUAAGCCAUUAGCAUAUGGAGAAAAGCCAAGGAAGGCAGCAAACGUUCCUUUUGAUAUUUCCUUACUUGAUAAGUUGCUGUCAGCUUUCUUCCCUUCAUUUCUCUUCCUAAAAAAUAAUUUGUUAUUUGUACUCCUCAUACAUGUGGAAUUCAUGGAUCUUAGGAUAAUCCCAACGCCUAAAAUAUUCGUUAAUGACUUUUGCAUUCCCUAGGCUAAAUCUCACUGGUUUUGUUGAAGAUAUCUAUAUAUAUGUAGAUGAAUAAUACUAUUUUUUCGAGUGUAGAUGAUUUCCUUACGACAGUAGAAUUUGUUGCUCAAUUCUACACUAAUGGUCAUUAGUUGCUUUCUUGCCAUUUAUGCUUGUUUUCUUAUUAUAUUUCAUUUCGGGUUUAAUUUUAAUUUAGUGAUAUUAUGGUACAUGGUGUUUGGCAUACUGUGGCUAAGUUCUCAUAUUUAGGUACAUUUGGAUUCAUUAACAAUCUUUUGCAUGGCUUCUUUAAAACUUAGCCAAAGAUGAUGUUGCAUGGUUGAAGUGGCAAGGUUUUCAUAUUUAGGUAGAAUCAUUUUUGUAGCUUGUAACCAAAAUGGUUAAAGUAGGACAAAAGCUUUUACUUAAUGUUUCAUUAUGAUACAUGGAUUGAAAUUUAGAUCUAUCCUAUAACCUCUAUAACUGCAGAUAAUGUAUGUAUUAGAUAGUUUUCUCUUAUAAUUAAAUAUAUAUUAAAUUCUUUUGUCAAAGCAAUUAGUUACAAGGUGUAAGAAAUAUUAAUUUUGUAACAUAGAAUGGAGUUAAUUCGUGAAGUUUAUCAGUUAUUAAGUACUAUUAUUUUACAACACGUUCAUUUUAAGAGAGUUGAUGUUACUUGAGAAAUUGAAGGAAUGCAUUUGUUGCGCCAAAAGGGGAUAAAGAGUGAAUAGACAGAGGUAUUCUUUGACCUAACGAAAGAACUGAAAAAUACCAUACAUGGUGUUUGAUUAAUGAAGUGCUUUCUCUGUGUUGUGAUAUAUCUUAUUGUCUGAUGCAGGCAAUAAGAUCACUAGGGAAAUGAGAGCUUUCCAAAAUACCAUAGAAUCUUGAAAGAAAUUCAAGUUUGAUUACUUCAAGUUUGUUAGUUUCUAUUUUUUGUUGUCAAUCUUCAAAUUGUUUGUUUUCUCUUUUCAGAAAAUUUAACAAACCGUUCCCAAAAUACCAGAAAAUUUCGACAAAAAUUGGACUCCGAGGACCUCGAGAAUCUUCCUUUAUUAUUUUUCUGUGUAUUUUUUGUUGAAUUAUCUUCGUAUCUACUCUGAAGUUUUCGUUCUUUUCCGUCUAUGUUUGAAGUUCUUUGCAAGGAAAGAAAAGAUCCACGUACAAAUUGAAGAGUAUCAAAAUAAGGUAUGUCGAUUUCAUAUUUGCCUUUUUUUUUUCUUUUUUUCAAAUGACUCAUUCUCACUGUCUGUUAUCUGUUUGUAUUUUAUUUGAUUUCUCUAUUUCAUUUUAUUGCUUUUUGUUGGUUGUUUAACCUAUUCAGCGUUCGUCGCAACUUGUACAAAUAAACCAUAACAAGAAUAUUGUACUUGUAAAUAGGUAAUAUUAUUUCAUUUUUUAGUUAGUAAUUAUGAAUAGGGAGAGGAGAAAACGAUUAAACUAUUCACAUUCUCCUCUGUGAUCCCUAACUACAAAGGACUGAUGACUCUAUCGAGAAGCAAAAGUAGCAAAUUCAGAAGGAAAGAAUUGAAUCAAAUUGCCAUUAAUGUUUUUUUGGUAAUAAAUGAAUUAAAUUUCGGUUAUUUUGUUAAUUAAUUUAGUGUUGAUUGAUUUUUUAUUUUUAUUUUUUUUACCUUAUUUUAUCUUUAAAUACAUAUGCAAUCAUUUGUGCCAAAAGACAAAAGUGAAAAUUGAUGGUUUAUUUAUUUAUUUUUUAUUUUUUAAAUGGGUUUGCAUUGUGUUAGAAAUGGGAAGGAUUUUGACACCAAACCGUUUGAUUAUGGAGAAAAGAUAAUAAGUUAAGAAAGAACGGGAAGUUAUUUAAAAAAUUUUAGUUUUUUCAUAUUAUGUAGGAGAUUGGAUUUCUAUUUUUCUGGCAGAAUUUUUUUCAAUUGUCCAAAUUCAUUUGUCAAUGAGGUAAUUGCUAUUUCAUUAUAGAUUUUUUAAUCAAUUUUCAUCUAAGGAUUUGGUUCUAUGGUAUCUCAAAUCCAUGCAUUCGCUGCAUUGUUCUAGCCAGUAAUUCUUAGCCAAAGAGAAUAAACAUUCUAUAACUGUUUAUGAUGAAUAUGAAAUUCACUCAUUUGCUUACGAGCUGCAUUAUUUAGAAAUAGAUUUUUUUUCCUCUCUCAUUUUCCCUUCAAAACUCCAUUUUCUCCCCUCUUUUCCUUUUUUUGGAUGGAAAUUUUUUUAAUGUAAUUGUCCUUUUCAGACUUAGAAUCUGAUAUAAUCAUUUUCUUAUAUCUUCGAAAGACAAUCAGGUAUGACUUUUAGAUUUCCUUUUGUAAAAAUCUUAUGUUGCAAUGCUAUUGGAAUAUCAAUGAAAGAGAAUUUUUCUAAUACCCUUUUUUUCUUUUUUAUGGAGAUUGUAUAUUCACCCAAUGGCUAUUCUUUCGAUUAUUUUUUAAAAUUUUUUUUGUGUUAAGGUUGCAAUUUUUUUUGCCUUUUGGAAAUCACUUAAUGGGGUUGUCAGUCUCUUUUCUUGAUUUAAAUAUCUCUCAGGACUUAAUUUGAAGACAUGCAUUAUGUGAGAACAUGUGAAGGAAGUGAUUAUAUUUUAAUGUAGGGUUUUGAAGAAGUUCAAAGACAAGAUAUCUGAGUUCCAGGUAAAUUAGAUGCACGAUAUAAUGGAAAGGUUUGAAUUUCUUCCAAUUCUUCUUUCCAUUUCUCAUUAUCUCUUAAUAAUAAUUUUCUAUAGGCUUUAAGACAAAACAUCCAUCGAGAGUAUCGUGAAAGUUGUCGAGAGGCUUGUAUUCACAGGUUUAGCCCUUAUUAUAUGAAAUGAACCUGUGCAACUCUGUGUAAUAGGUUCCUUUCUCUUUAUUCAAUUAACAAUUUCCUUUUUCAUGAACCUCAGUGACGGAAAGCCAAGCUAAUGAAGAGGUAAAACCUGCAACCACGUUUUUAUUCUAAUAAUUUAGAAUGUCAUGGACAUGUUUCUCAUUGCUGAAAUGUUUUGCCGCAGACAAUUGAUAAUUGAUCAGGACUGGGGAUAGUGAACAAAUCCUUAUGACAUUGUUGUUAUGUGUUAAUUGUCUCAAUGGCAUAUUUCUAUUUACAUAUCAAUAUUAAGGAAGUUAGGACUAUUGGAAUGCUACAUGUCGCAACUUAUAAGCUCAAAUUAAUAAGCAAGUAUGAAAAUAAAGCUUAAUAUCUCAUGGCUGAAAAUAAUCGUUUAUUAGAUUCACGUAUUAUAAUUUUCUGGAUGUAUUCAUCUGUUGUUUUGGUUCCAUUAAGCAUGUGACUUCGGGAUUGCCUCCUCUAAAAUUUGUUCACAUCAAAGAGCAUUCCAUGUUUUAUUGUUGUUUAUUUUUGAAACUUUAACUAAUUCAACUAUGUAAUUAUGGCCCCAUUUGAUCUAUGUACAAGGUUCUAAGAAAUUAUAUAAUUGCAACUAUUGGAUUGUCAAAAGCUUCCACAUGUUGAGCUCGUUUCAAUUUUUCAGUAGAAUUUGAAUUGUAUAAAUGUUGUCUUUAGCAUUCCUCUCAAAACUUUUUUUUUUUUUUUUUUUUUUUUUUUUUUUUUUUUUUUUUUUUUUAUGUUUCAUGUAUUGCUUUUUCUUAAGAGUUCUUUAGUUUUACUAGCUUCUUUUUUAAUACAUUGGUCCUAAAUUGGUUUCUACAAUUUCCUUUGUAACAGGCAAGCUCAGUUACUGGCACCACCAUUUACCAUGUCCCACCACAAAAGUAAUUGUCAAAGUGAUUAGGCGAGUGAUGACCUGAGCAGGAACACGAGGCAAUGACUUUUGAUUUCACAACAAAAUUAUGGAACAUUGAUUUGAUUACAUGUUAGCUGUUUCAAAUAACUGAAAUAAAAAUGAAUGUUAGUUUCACUAGAAUCCUAAUUUCUAUCUAAUUGUAUGGACUCCAAAUUUACUUAUAGACUGAUAAUUAUGUUCUUUGUGAACUCUAUUUAGUAUUUUCUAUGAAUGUGUAUAUGGAAAUUUUAUAAUAUACAUUUUCCCGUUAACCCUUAACAUUCGAUACACUAACAUUACCUUCAAAAUUACAAAGCCUGUGCAUUGCGCGGGCGUAAGACUAGUAUAUAUAUGUCCAAAAAGGUCUGUAUACAUGCCUGUGUUGUGUAUAUAUACAAUUUCCUAAAAUUAGGCAGUAAUUUGGAUUUCUAUUUUAAUGAUCAUUGAACAAAUUAGUAUCUUGUUGGAUUGAUGAUUUAAUAGUAGAUUUCACGUUUUACUCUUUAUCUUUUUAAUCUUAGAACUUUUAUUUACAUAUAGGGUUUUCCAACAACAAUAAGAAAUAAAUUAAUUUAAUGGAGUAAGGUUACGAGUUCAUAUUGAAAGAGUGAGUUUUAACGAAGUUUCUAAAUAAAUGGUAAUGAAUUAGGAUUUUGGAACGUUCACUUCGUGGAUGGUUAGGAACAUCUCCCAUUGUCAUUUGAAAACUAUAUUGCUAGGAUUCAAGGUUAGUAUACCUCACAUUGUCUUCAUGUGCAUAUUUAAUUAUUAAAUGUAUAAAUGUGUUACUUAAAUUUGUUAUUAUGUGAUCUUGAUAUUUAAUUAUUUCAUUUUAUGUUAUUAAUGCUUUUUUAUGACAUAUUCAUACACAUCAAUGUAUCCAUAAGCAUACAAGAAGUUCCAAGAAAAAAUGAAAGUUUCCAAAUGUUAAUGAGGCAAGGAAUGUUUUUAAAGAUAUAUAUCUCGAAUAUUUUCUUACGAGGUGUAUAUCUAUGCCAUGAAGGGUGUGAGUGGGGAACCGGCACACUCGACCAAUGUUCAAUGAAAUGUUAAUGUUAUUCAUUUUGCGGUACUAUUGGUAGGACUCGAUUGUGUUCCAAAUAAUAAAUGUCCACUGCAUUUUGAUUGGUUAGGCGAUACACCAAGUGAGCUCACGACGUCAAUGUUAAUUUUUUUUUUUAAAAAAAUGAAUGAAAGAGGAUACAUAUUGAGGAAUGAUUUUAUCUUAAAAUAAUUCAUGUGCAUAUUAUAAGCAUAUAUCAUAUGCAUGAGAUUUGCUUCCUAAGCGUUCGCUCAUUUCACGUUAUUCCUCCCAAUUUUUAGAUAAUGAAGGCAACAAUUCAAGACGAUUACUUGUGGUGCAAUGGAUUGAGUACUAAUAUAUUCAAAAAUCGACUUCUUUUAGAAUAUAAAGUUAACAUUUAAUUUUUUUAUUUUUUAAAUUUAAGUGUAAAAGUUUUCUACAAGUUACGCUCAUAAACGAAGUUGAUAAUGUUCAUUAUAUCAAAGAAAAAUUCCGUUGCUUCCGCGUUUAUAAUUUUAAGAGAGAACUUUUAGCACCAUAUCCUAAGACAUCAAGGAUGUCUAGGAUCCAGGCCCCCCAUCCCCCUACCUCUUCCCCAACAAAUUUGCGGCUAGGAAGAAGGAAGGGUUGAACCCUUCCCUGUUAUACUAUACUCGACGAUGGCUCCAACCUAGUUGCCCUAGAACCCUAAAACCUUAGAGCUUAACCCACUUUCUUGCCUCAGUUCUAUCCUCUGCUUUUAGGGGCUCGUAUGAAUAAAAUUAUUAAUACUUUAUAUCUAGAUUUGGGGGUGUUAUACUUUGUCUGCAAAGAGAUUGCAUGGAGAAUUGAUUUGAUUAUUAUUGAAAAUGUUUUUAAUUUGGGGAUCAUAAGAAAUUUAAAAAAAGUGAUAUCCCUACUAUAUAAAAAGGGGAAUGUGAGAGCACUGUAGAAAGUAAUAGUGUCUUAAUCCAUCUUUACUGUAGCAUUUUUGUUUUUUUUUUUCAGUUAGGGGCAAAAAACGAUGCCGUUUGUUUGAUAUAUAUUUUAUUUUAUUGUACACUACCUCCAAAUUUACUGUAACACGCAAUUUCCAUUCCUCCCCCACUCCGAUAUAGAUAUAUAUAGUAGAGAUAUAAGAAAAAUAUCACUUUUAUAUUAAAAAAAAAAAGAUAGAUAUAAUAUGCGACAGAAUUUUUUUUUUAUAACAUAUUACUUGUAAGGGUAAAAAUUGAAGAGAAAAGAAUUAAAGAGAAUUUUAAAUUGAAAAAAAAAAUUAUAACGUAAAACUACACAACAAAAAAAAAGUAAGUAAUCUCUCUGUGCACGGAGCAAAAGCCUCCGUGCACAGAGACAUUAGUCUCCAUGCAUGGAGACAGUGUCUCUGUGCACGAAGGGAAACAGAAAAAAAAAAUUAGCUGAAACCUCCGUGCACGGAGGCACUGUCUCCGUGCAUGGAGACUCGUCUCCAUGUAUGAAGACAAAAUUUAUAAUUUUUUUUAAAGUAAUUUUUCUUUUUAUCAAUUUAUUUAAUUUUCUUUUUUUAUUCUUUUCUCUUUUAAAUAAAACUUAAUUUUUCAAUUUUAACAAAAUAAUAUUUAUAUAUAUUUUUUUAAAUUUUAGUAAUUUUUUUAUUUUGUUUAUUUUAUAUUUUUUUAAAAUUAUUUAAAAUUUUAUUUUUUUCCCAAGUGGGGAGCAAAAACUACGCCCGUUCAUAGAGUGCAUCGAUUUUUUUUUUGUAGUUUUUUUUGGGCCUUCGUGCACGGACUCUUCGUUUGGGUCUAUUAAUCCAAUUUAACUAUGCAUUAUGUCAUUUUUUAUUUUCCAUUUUGUUUAUGUCAAACAAAUGUUCUUCCACACAUCAUGCCACUAGCAUUAAAAAAAUAAUAAUAAUUUUAGUAAAUAUAAACUGCCACGAGCAAAAAAAAUAAAAAUAAAAACUCUUCUCCGUACAAUGCGGAGAGAUGGCAAACCAUGUGUGUAGAGUUGGCAAACUCUCUGUACAAUGAGAAGUAAAAAAAAAAUUACAAAUUUUUUUUAUUACAAAUAACAUAAAAAAAUCAUUUUUAUCUUCAACAAAAAAACACAUUUAAAAAUUAGCAAUUUUAUAAUCACUUUUUUUUUAUUCCCGAAAAUACAAUUAUAAAAAUAAAAACAAUAUUGAAUUACAAAAACCAAUAUCUGCCAAAUACUGUAUCUAAAGACAAUGUGUAAAUACGGUAUGCUGUAAAUACGGUAUGAUGCAAAUAUGGUAUACUGUAUAUAUGGUAUGAUACAAAUAUGAUAUGCUGUAAAUACGGUAUGAUGCAAAUACGGUAUGAUGCAAAUACAGUAUGCUGUAAAUACAGUAUGAUGUAAAUACGGUAUGCUGUAAAAACGGUGUACUGCAUAUACGGUAUGAUGCAGAUACAGUAUGCUGCAUAUACGGUACGCUGUAAAUACAAUAUGUUACAUAUACGAUAUAUAUAAUGCAUAUACGAUAUGAAUGAAUCCGGUUUCGUCCACUACAAUAAAUGCAGCCUACCGUAUUUGUAGGCAACUUACUGUAUAUGCUACCUACUGUAUGUGCAGUUUAUCGUAUAUAUCGAUUUUUGCAUUUACAAAUACCGAGAGUGCAGAACAUCAUACAUUCACGUAUCAAACCGAAUGUCAGAAAAAAUUUUCAGAUUUUUAUUUUUUCAAUAUAAGCAUAAAAUAAAUAUUAAAAUAUAUGAAGGAUAAAAUAUAAAACGCAUAUAAAUAUGCAAGUCGAUUUAUAAUUAUGCAUUGGCGCACAUUAUACAUUUGAAAUUUCUUAUGUCGGUGCAAAAUAAUUUUGAGGUCAUUCUAGAGCAAAUUAAACCACUGCAAUGUCUAUACUAGAAAUACAAUUGUGCAAAUUAAUAUGAAUUAAAUCUACAUUACAUUAGACUUGGAUUUAUUUAUAACAAAUGUUGGUGAUUAGUCUAAAGACAAUAUAUGCAAAUACGAUAUGCUAUAAUACUAUAUGUUAUAGUUAAGAUAUAACAUACUAUACGUAUAUGUUAUAAUACAAUGUUUAGUAUAAUAUAAUGAGAAAUUAUUGCUGUACAAAUUUUUUUUUGUUAUAUUACAGCAUUAUGCAUAGUACAAUAUAUAACUUACCGUAUAUGCUCUAAUACAAUCUGUGCGGUCAUGCAGCGACUUUUUAUUUUUUUUAAAUUUAAUCAUGCAACCUAAUAUUUGUUUAGUUUGUUAUUUUAUUAAUUAAAAAUAUAUAUUAAAUCUAAUAAUAAAAUAUAAUUACAAGAAUAAGUUUAAUUUCAAUAUAAUACAAAAACAAAUCACAAAGAAAUAAUCAUUGCUAACAACAAAAGAAUCUAAAAAAAAUGAAGAAGAUAAAAACGAAAAAAGUAAAAUUUGUGAAAAGAAGAAAAUGAAAGCAUGAUGCCAAAAAAUUUGGCAUUAUUGUUUGAGUGAGAAAUAUUUUAUUGAUACAUAAAAGACUUUUGCAGUCACCAGAUUAAAAGUAUAGAUUUAUUGUGUUGUGAAUAUUUUUUUUUAAAUAAUCGUAGUAAAUCUUCUUAUUACGAUAAUAAAAUUACAAUAAUUUUUUUUUUUUUACAAAUAAUAUAAAAAAAACCAUUUCUAUCUUCAAGAAAAAACACAUUUAAAAAUUAGCAAUUUCAUAAUUACAUUUUUUAAAAAUUCCCCGAAAUAAAAUUAUAAAAAAAAAUAUUGAAUUACAAAAACCAAUAUCUGCCACAUACGGUAUCUAAAGACAAUAUGUGCAAAUACGGUAUGCUGUAAAUACGCUGUGUUGCAUAUACGGUGUACUGUAAAUACGGUAUGAUGCAAAUACAGUAUGCUGUAAAUACGAUCUGAUACAAAUACAGUAUGAUGUAAAUACGAUAUGCUGCAUAUAUGGUAAGCUGCAAAUACGGUAUGCGUAAAUACGUUAUGUAGCAUAUAUGAUAUGUAAAAUGCAUAUACGGUAUGAAUGAAUCCAGUUUCGUCCACUACAAUAAAUUUCAAUACCGUAUAUGCUGUCUGCCGUAUUUGCAACUUACAGUAUAUGUAGUCUACCGUAUUUGUAGGCAACUUACCGUAUAUGCUGCCUACUGUAUUGCAGCUUAUCGUAUAUACUGAUUUUUGCACUUACAAAUACCGAGAAUGCAAAACACCAUACAUUCACUUACCAAACCGAAUGUUAGAAAAAAAAUUCAGAUUUUUAUUUUUUCAACAUAAGUUUAAAAUAAAUAUUAAAAUAUAUGAAAGACAAAAUAUAAAACGCAUAUGAAUAUGCAAGUCGAUUUAUAAUUUUAUGCUCAAUCUUCAAUUUUUCAAUAUUGAAUUACACAAAAUUUAGAAAUAUAAUCUUCACAUUCAAUUCAAUCAUAUCAACACUAUCAAAGAAUACAGACAAAAUAGUUUGUAUAACAUUGUAUAUUUUUUAUUUAAGUAUGAAAUAUACAAGUAUAUUUUUUUAGAUAACACAAUACUGUUACAAUUGUAAACAUAAUUUGCAAUCAUUUUCUUAUAUCAUGAAAAUAUUUCUAAAUAUUACUUCAAAAGCUUUCCAAAAAACUAAAAUUCAUAUGCUAAUAAAAAUAUGAUAAAUACAAAAUUCGUGCAACGCACGUGACAACGACUAACACUACAACAAAACCAUGAUUUCGCGACAAGAAUUUUUGCGACAUACAAAAAGUUGUUGCAAUAAAUGACUUAACGCGACACAUUUUUAAAGUUUGUCACGAAGAUUGUGAUGAAAAAAAUAUGUACCAAAAACUAUAAGACGACAUAAGAAGUUGUCGUGAAAUAUGAGAUGUUGCGACAAAUAAUAAAGAAUGUCGCCGAAAAUAUGAGGGAAGCAAGGCGCCAAAAUAUUUUUGGUGGGAAAUUUAUGGCGACAAACCUUUUUUUCUUGCUACAAAAUGUUUGUGAUGCAAUAGGGUCUGUUUUUGGCGAUAAAAGAAAUCUGUUGCUAAAAAUUCUAUAGUUGGAGGAAAAAAGGGCUACAAGAAAAUAACUUUUUUGCAGCGGACAAAAAAUAUUGUAGUAUAUUUUUUACAAUGCUCACCCAUAUACAUAGAGUCUAAUAUUCUUGUAGAGUUGAAGGAUACUGCAACAUGCAAUGCAUGCCGCAAAAGCCAUCAAAUGUACGUUGUUGUAAAGUUUUUACGAUGUAUCUUAUCCGUUGAUUUUAUUUUAUCUUGUAACAUUCUUUGCUGAUUGUCUUAACCCUUUUUUUUCUAACAUAAUUUUUUUUUGUAAUAAGUGUUUGUUUUUUCGUCCGGCUAAAUUUUAAUGUGUUGUUGGAAUUACUAAAAAACAUUUUUCCAGAAGAUAUUAGAUUACCAACUUCAACAUAUGAUGCCACGAAAAUGCUAAGUGAAUUGGGCUUAGGUUACGAGACUAUUCAUGCAUGCAAGUAUGAUUGUGUAUUAUUUUGGAAAGAGCAUGAAUUUGCCACUAGGUGCCCANNNNNNNNNNNNNNNNNNNNNNNNNNNNNNNNNNNNNNNNNNNNNNNNNNNNNNNNNNNNNNNNNNNNNNNNNNNNNNNNNNNNNNNNNNNNNNNNNNNNNNNNNNNNNNNNNNNNNNNNNNNNNNNNNNNNNNNNNNNNNNNNNNNNNNNNNNNNNNNNNNNNNNNNNNNNNNNNNNNNNNNNNNNNNNNNNNNNNNNNNNNNNNNNNNNNNNNNNNAAUAAAUUUAACUACGAGCACAACUUGACACAUAAAUAAAAGUUCAUUGUCACAAAAUACUAUCGUAAUAAUAUUCUAUGUCAUAAAAUAAAAUGUGUGACGUAUAUAAAUAAUCACGAAAUAAAUUAGGCAACAACUAUACUUGUUGCACAAAUGAUGGUGCAAUAGACUAUUAGUGUUGCGAAAUAAAUUUAAAAACAAACAUCACUCGUUAUAUAAGAUAUUGUACUACAAAUAUUGAAUAUAUUAAAAUACAUUAUGCGACAUAUCAAAUACAUUGUAAAACAUAUUUUACAACAAACAUUACUUGUUAUUAAAAAUAUAUUACUACGGGCAUGUGUUGUCACAAGAUAAAAUAGGUAGCAAAAGUUACACCUUUAAAAGAAUAUUUGCAACAAAUAUGUUUCUCGUAAAAAAUUUAUAGGAAUAAUUGUUGCAACAAAAUACAGUGUCGCCUUUUUAUUUUUUCGCGACAUAUACGCAUCGCGAGGACAUUAUAGUUACAAAUAUUGUGUUGCUGUUUCAUAGUUUUCGCGGCAAAUAAAUAAUGUUGCGAUUUUGUUAGUGCGAUGAAUAGUCAAAAGUAGCCGCAAAAUAUAUUCGGUUACUCUACAUUCGCGACAAACAUAUUUCUCGUAAAAACUUUAUUGGAAUAUUCGUUGCGACAAACGGACUUGUCGCCCUUUAAAUUUUUUGCGACAUAUAUACAUUGCGACGACAUUAUGGCUACAAAUAUUGUGUCGCCAUUUCGUAUUUUCUGCGUCACACAAAUAGUGUUGUGAUUUUGUUAAUGCAAUGAAUUGUUGAAAGGUGUCGCUAAACACAUUCCGCGACUCAUAUAGAGCGACAAAACCCGCAACAAACGUAUUAGCGUCGCUAAAUUACUUUUGCGACUAAAUCUCAUUUUUUGCGACAACAUUUUUUUGUCGCGAAAUCGGUUAUUUUUUGUAGUGUAAUAUGAAGAAAAGGGCAAAUGACUAACCUAUUCAAUGUAGUGAAGUGGCUCUUGUAUUCAAUGUUCACAUGCCCAAGAUGGGUUCAAUUCCCAACAUUGUGAAAUUAAAUUUUCCUCCAAUUUUCGGGGCGAGUUUGAGGUGGAAACCUUGUUCCCUUGUAGUGUCCCUACACGAGAUAAGAACUCUUUUCCUAGCCGGGCCAGCCUACCCUAAUUCCUCGAUUAAUCAAGAAUUUUCUGUUAUUUAGGAUAGUCCUUGUUGGCAUCAAGACAAUCGAAAAUAAUUGUCAUCCUAACCUAAAAUAUCAUUUUUGAAUGUUGAGAUCCGAAACCAUAUUAAUUCAAAGGUUAUCUAGCACAAAUCUAAAAUUUCUCAUAUUGAAUAGAAAUUCACGUGCCCACCUAUAAACAAAACAAUUGUAGAAGAAAAAUCAAGAAAAUAUAAAGAAUAUCGCAAAAUUCACUUAAAGGCCACUGCCUCCCGCUACUGGGCAAAUCUCCCGAACCGAAUCGAACCGAACCCGACGGUUCUUCUCAAGUUAAAUACCCGAACGGGUAUCUGAAUUAAAAAUCGAUGGGUACGAUUCGGUUCUCGGUUUUAGACCAAGAACCGAAGAACCGAAUAAGAACCGAAUAUUCCUAAUUUUUAUUUUUUUAUAUUGAAUAAAUCAAAUUAUUUUAAUUUUUUCUAAACAAAUUAACAAAUUAGGUGAUUAAUUGAUACUUUAUCUCCUAAGCCUUAGCCUAGCAAGCUUGACCUAACCCAACCAAUUUCUAAAUCCAAUUUUUUGGCCCAAUUAUUUGUUUCAUUUCUAUUUUUUUAAUUUUUAGCCCAAGUGUCAUUUUUAGUUUUUAUUCUUCCAUUUUUUAGCCCAACAUCCAAGUGAUCCAACCCACUAGUGACUAACCCUAAAUAAAUUACACACAUUAUCACCUACACAUAAAACAUCUGACAUUCCAAAACUCAAAUAGAUGUAUAGAACCUCCGGCACCGAGUUCGAAGCUAUGACCUCCGAGCUCCGAUGACGACCUUCGACCGUUGAUUAUUUGAAUAAGGUAGUGUGUAAGCUUCCCUAUAUGUGAUUGGUAAAUUAAUCUUGUUGGAAAACUUGUUAUAUACAUGUCAAAUUGGAUUACGUUAAUUUAUAAAAUUACGAUUAAAUAUGUUAUUAGUUGUAUUUAUGUAGUGUGGUUAUAAAUGUUAAAAAUUUUAAUUAUAGUACAGAACCGAACAAAACUGAAUCCGAACGGUUCCAUAAUUAUAUUUGGACCCGACGGUUCUAUUUUCUAAAUACCCAAAAUUUUUGGUUCGGUUCUCUUUAAAACCGAACUGAACCGACCCACGCCCAGACCUACCCACUACCCUUUAUCAAUGGGACCAGGUCUGGGGUAGAUGAUGAUGAUAUGCUUUCCUUUUAUUUUCUUUCUUUCCUUCCUUCCUUCCUCUUUUUAUUUUUUUUAUUAAAGUGGACUUAACGACACUGUCAAGAAAUGAAGUUUGAGGCAUAAGUGCAUAAGGAGUUAAAGAUUGAGGAUGUGCUCACAAUUUUCCAAUAUUAGAAAGAAAAUUACCAAAACACAUUUUGCCUAGAAUUAGGCUAGUUGUACACCAUGGUAGUUUGAAACUUUUGAAGCGUCAAAAUCAAGAUCAUUAAUUUGAAUAAGUAUUGUUAAAGUCAAUGUAAAAUUGUUUGUCACAUCAAAGAGUACAAACUAGUUGUGAACCAUGGUGUAAGUGUAGCAAAACUAUCUUGUUUAUGCCAUUUUCUUGACUACCGUUAAGAAAAAUUCUUUUUCAGUGUUGAAAUGUGACAAGACAUUGUAGGAACUAUAUGGUCCACCAUGUGAACUCCACUGAUUGUGCCCCAUGAGAGUUUACUUACGGACUGCUCUAAGCCCAACAUGAUAAAUAUACUACAUUGUGUAAUAAAUUUACUUAUUUUAAGAAAUAUAAAUUUUUAAGUAACUUUCGUUACUUAAAAUUAUUUUCAUAGAUAGAUAACUUUAAACACAACAAAAGAGCAUUUCCUCUUGGCUCAUGAGAAAGACCAAUGGUUUUAGCUUUUCGUCUGGCUAAACAAAUCUAUAAAAAUAUGAGAUCAGUUAGGCCCUUAUUAAGCCGAGUUACGAACAAAUUUUUUUUUUUUUCAAAAUUAGUUUUAAAAUAAAUAAAAUUUAUCUUUUGUAUAUAGGUGGUAGUGGACCAUGAGCCUCUACCUAAGUCCAAGUGGUGUGAUCUCGAGCCUUGGCGGCUAGGUGCACAUUUAUUUUUCUAGUUUUGAAUCAUCCGUAUAGUAAUUAAUUCACAUGCAGAUGCUUAGUUAUAUGCGGACAAGAUGAUCCUCCAUUAAUUUACACAAAUGGAACGAUUCCAACCAUUCAAAACCUGUGCUAUUUGAUGAUGAUAUUAAAUGGUGCUAAAAAAUGUCAUUUCAUAUGUGAAUCUAUUCAUAGAUCUUAUCUACACAACUAACACAUCAUAAUCAAUGACUGUCAUUACAAUAUUGCGUGACAAAUUAUCGAACUUUCACAUAACAUUAUUUAGGAAAUCUUUCUUUUGACUUUAUGUUUCAUUGUAAUAAUAUAAAGAUCUCAUGAAUCCAUUUCGAAAAUAGAACAUGACUUCAAUUCAAUUUGGCAAUUUAUACUAAUCUAUCUUUUAAUUUGAGGAAUUUCCUUUAUAUUUUCUUGCUUAACAUAAAUAUACUUUGCAUUUUUAAUUUCCAGCCUAUUUCAGUAUUUUAAUUUUGUGAUUGUCAUCAACAAUGAAACGAAUACUAGUUUUAUUGAAACAAUCUUUCAUGCCUAAUUAAUUUAAUCCUUGAGCAAUAAAAAUCAUAUUUCUUUUGGAAUUUAUGGUUGGAAUGUGAAAUAAGAAUCACCCGAAAAAUAAAAAUAAAAUCAAUUUAAGAAAUCAAGAUCGUUACUGGAUGUUUACAUGUAAAUUUAAUCAAUAAAUAAAAAAUAUCUAAAAUUUACCCAAAUUCGAUAAUUAAUUCUUAAAUUAGAUAUGAAUAUCGAAAUUUCAGUCUUUUGAAUUGUGAAAUUUCAAUUUUGAUUCCAAUAAUUUAAUGCUUCCAAGUUUCAAGCCUUCUAUUCAUCAAAAUCAAGAUUACACUAGUGUGUGGACAUCUUCUUUUAAUUACACCAAAAAUUAAAUUAUAGACCUUAGAAAAAUCACUUCAAUCCAUAUAAACUUUUGGUAAAAGUUUAAAAUGUCUACUCAAUAAAUCUUAAUGUCUCUUAUGAUUUUUAUAGUGCUAUGUUGAUUUCUAAAGGAAGUACUAUUUCAUGUUUGACAAUACAUCAUUUUCACAACUAACACCAACAAUUUUAUUUAAUUUCUAAAUUAAAAAAGGAGAUGCUAUUUACAUCCACCAUUAUUAUAUUUAUCUACUUUCAAAAAGAAAAUUAUAUUAUACUUUUAACCUUAUGUAAAUUUACUUAAAUAUCAUUAUAAAAUCAAAUAAAAAUAUAUUAGUCUAAAUUUAUCUACUAAUAUUUAUUUUCAUUAAAUUCUUCUGGACUUUUUAUAUUCUUUUAAAUUUAUGUUUAAAUAAAAUUCUAAUAUUUAUAAAAUAUCCUCUUCGACUAUAGUCAAAACAACAAUGAAAGACACAUCAUAAGGGCAAAUGCAUAUAGACAUAACAAUAUAUGAAAAAAGAAUUUGAAAAAGUAGGAUUGCCUUUCAUUGUAAGCAUAAUGAAUUUAGUAUGUGAACAAUUCUUAAUUUUUGUUUGGAUUUUUGAUAAUAUGCAUUUUAAACUCAAGUUGUAUCAGUAAGAAAUUUUAUUACAAAUUAUUUUAGUUUCCUGUUGAGAUUAUCAUUUUUUCUCUAAAUUUUUUGAAUUAAAAAUAUUGAUAGCUAUAUUUUCUACUGGGAUUAGUAAAACAAGAAUUUGAGUUUCCUGCAGGGAUUAUCUCUUUCUUUUUUUCCCCUUUCUUUCUUUCCCCUUUCUUUCUUUCUUUCUUGAUUUUCUUAAAUUUAAAGCAAUGGUGAUUGAUCUAUUGGUAUUAUAGGGGUUUAUGUAAUCACAUCUUAUAAUUCUUGAUUUAUAUAAUUAAUUACAAACACGUCCUUUAACUCUUAUUUUAUCCUUCAUUGGAAAAGGGCAUUGUGGUAAAAUGUUAUAAAUUAUAUAAUGAUUACUGGGAAAAAAAGGACCUACCUACAGUAAUACAACAGUCAAAUUUUGGAUUAAAAUCAUGGCAAAAUCCAUCCUAGACCAAUGCAUAGUGUUUAAUUCUGUGGAUUUAUAAGGGCAAUUUUGAAAUAUAGUGCUUGUUUGGUAGGGAAUUUUGAUAAUAUAUAUAUGUUCCGUUUGAGAGUGAUUUUUCACCCCAAAAAUAUGAUUUUUUUAUUGUUAUUUUACUAUUCCAACCAUAAUUUUUUACUUCUUUUUUCACAGGUGGCUUCCACUUUUUUCGUAAGGAUUAAAAAAUCAAUUUUCAAAAUCACUACUGAAUAUGCCUAUAGAGUGUAAUAAAUAUAUAUCUAAUAAUGAGAGAGUAAAUAGCGGCUCUAUAAAAACUAUGACUCUUUGAACGAACAUAUAUUAUUGAAUGACAAAUAAAGUACUAUAAGUUACAAGAUUAUUCCAAAAAAUGUGAGACUCUAGUUGCACAAUUUGAAUAAAAUUCCAGCAACAGUGACAUUAACUUUGAAAGGGACUCAAUUUUUUUUUUUUUUUUUUUCAUAACUCUGUGAGGUGACACACUUUUUUAUCCUUAAUUUCAACGACACUUAAAAUAAUUCAUGACAUAUAUUUUUAUAUAUCAUACAAUGUCAACCUUAAUGUAUGCAUAGUUGAUAAAAUAUACAAAUAGCAUUUUCCUUUGAAUAAAUGCGUAAAUAAAUAUUUUCCAAAUAAUUAUUCCAAAAAGGAUUAGUCAAAAUAAAUUGAGAUUGUGGUUGCACGAUUUUGGAUGUUUGGACUUCCUGAAUAAUUGUAAAAAUGCUAAGUUAAUUCGAAGAGCUUUGCUGGGCCACACAAUCCAUUGUUAUUGAUCAGUUUCACUGUUGCCUUCAUCGUGUUCUUUGACCCCACCAAGUUGAUUAAUUGAACCAAUGAAAUUUCUGUGUUCAUUGACCCCACCAUUUUGUAUAAUUGAACCCAACCACUGUUGGGUUCAAUUAUUGAUCAGUUUGCUGGGCCAGAUGGAUGCUUGGGUUCAAUUAUUGAUCAGAGACAAUCCAUUGUUAUUGAUCAGUUUCACUGUUGCGAUCAUCGUGUUCUUUGACCCCACCAUGUUGAUUAAUUGAAACCAAUGAAAUUUCUCCGUGUUCAUUGACCCCACCAUUUUGUAUAAUUGAACCCAACCACUGUUGGGUUCAAUUAUUGAUCAGUUUGCGGGGCCACACAAUCUAUUGUUAUUGAUCAGUUUCACUGUUGCCUUCAUCGUGUUCUUUGACCCCACCAUGUUGAUUAAUUGAACCAAUGAAAUUUCUCCGUGUUCAUUGACCCCACCAUGUUGUAUAAUUGAACCCAACCACCAGCAGACGACUUUCAUAUAUACAUAAUACCAGUCAAUCUCACUUGCAUUCAUCCCCCUUAUAUCUUGGCUCUUGCUUCCUGUCUUACGAAAAAGAUAACAAUGGCUAUCGUCGAAGUUUUUCUAGGUGCAAUUCUCACUGUUUUGCUUGAAAAGCUGGCCUCUGGUGAGCUACUGAAAUUUCUGCGUCAUGUAGGAAUCGACGCCCAGCUGGUAGAAUUGAAGACAACUUUGAUGAGGAUCCAGGCUGUGCUUACUGAUGCUGAAAACAAGCAAACAACGGACAAACAUGUGAAAGAGUGGCUAAAUGAUCUGGAAGAUUUGGCUCAUGAUCUUGAAGACUUAGUGGAUGAGUUGAAUACUGAAGCUUUGCAGCGCAAAUUAAAGGAAAAUAAAGGCAGCACCAGUAAGGUAAAAAAGCUCGUCCCCACUUGUUGUACUAAUCUUUCUUUCACUGAUUUCAUGUCUGAUCGUGGGAUUGCUUCCAAGCUAAGAGAGAUUAGUGGCCGGUUGAAAGUUCUGGAAGAACAGAAAAAAAUUCUCGAUUUGGUGGAAAAUGUAAGGGGAAGGUCUUAUAGAAGAUUGCCAACAACUUCGCUUGUGGUAGAAUCGAAAGUUUAUGGAAGAGAGAAUGACAAGGAGGAAAUACUGAAAAUCUUAUUUGGUGUUGAAUCAAACGAUAGUCAAAUAUCCGUGAUUCCAAUUGUGGGCAUGGGAGGUAUCGGCAAAACAACUCUAGUCCAACUUGUGUAUAAUGAUGAAAGAUUGAAGGACAAGUUUGAUCUUAAGGGAUGGGCUUGCGUUUCAGAUGAAUUUGAUGCUGUAAGAGUAACAAAAAACAUUCUUGAGUCAGUUUCUUCUGGUGGAAAGUGUGACUAUGAAAAUUUUGACACGCUUCAGAACAAACUAAAGGAGAUCCUUUCAAACAAGAAAUUUCUAGUAGUUUUAGAUGAUAUUUGGAAUGAAAAUUACGAAGAUUGGGAGAUCCUAAGCCGUCCUUUUCUUUCUGGAAAACCUGGAAGCACAAUCAUCAUUACCACUCGACAAGAAAGGGUGGCCAAAAUCAUGUCUGGAAUUCCAGCAUACAAUCUGGAUCUGUUAUCAGAGGGCGAUGCUUUAUCAUUGCUAGCUCAACAUGCAUUUGGAGCUAAAACUUUUGACGGUCAUCCAGAUUUAAUAGAGAUUGGUAAGUCUAUGGUAAGCAGAUGUAAGAUGUUGCCCCUAGCAGUAAAGGCCCUCGGGGGGCUUCUUCGCAUCAUGGCAGUUGGUCCUGAAGAUUGGGAAGAGGUGCUGAAAAGUGGGAUCUGGAUGAAUGAAGAAAAGAGUGAAAUUCUUCCUGCUCUAAAACUGAGUUAUCACCAUCUUCCUCCGGAAUUGAAAAGAUGCUUUGCUUACUGUGCUCUCUUUCCCAAGGACUAUGAAUUUGACAAGUUCCAACUAGUGUACUUUUGGAUGGCUGAAGGUCUUUUGCAGGAAACAAAGAAAGAUAAGUUAAUUGAAGAUGUAGGUAGUGAAUAUUUUGAUGAACUAUUGGCUAGAUCAUUCUUCCAACAAUCAAGUGCCAAUGCUUCACGCUUUGUGAUGCACGACCUCUUUAACGAUCUAGCUAUGUCUGUUGCUGGUGAUAAAUGUUUGAGGAUGGAUGAUGCACUGCAGGAGAUUUCUGUAAAGGUCCGUCACUUGUCAUUCAAGCGCAGUUGGUAUGAAACUUAUCCUAGAUUUAACUUUCUUGACAAAGUUCAAAAGUUGAGAACUUUUUUGCCACUACCUGUUGAGUCAUUUGGUUACUUAUCCCAAAGAAUUUUGCAUCACCUAUUCACGAAUUCAUACUGCUUAAGAGUGCUAUCCUUGAAUGGUUAUGCCAUAUAUGAGUUGCCAGAUUCUAUUGGUGAUUUAAGACAUUUAAGAUACCUGGGCCUAGCUGACACUGGACUGAGGUGGUUGCCUGAAUCUGUGUGCACUCUUAUCAAUUUACAAGUGUUGAUUCUAAGUGGUUGUUGGAGCCUUACCAAAUUACCCACAAGCAUGGAAAAUCUUGUUAAACUUCGGUAUCUGGACAUUUCUCGUACUUCCAAUUUACAUGAGAUGCCUCGGGGAAUUGGUCAACUAACAAGUUUGCGAACGUUAACUAAGAUGACUGCAAGUAAAAAUAAUGGAAUGAGUUUAAAGGAGUUGGGCAAUCUAUCAUUUCUACAAGGUAAUAUUUCUAUUGAGGAAUUGCAAAAUGUUGUGAAUGUUCAAGAAGCAGUGGAAGCAAGGCUAAUGGAUAAGCCAAACCUCAACGGAUUAACGUUGGAAUGGAGCGCAGGCUUUGAUGAUACUCGAAAUAAAAUUUUAGAAUUGAAUGUGUUUAAUGCAUUAAAGCCCCAUAAGAACUUAUCAACACUUGAAAUCAAGUAUCACGGGGGUGAGAAUUUCUCUAAUUGGAUUGAAGAUUCAGCAUUUUUUAAGUUAGCAAGGAUAAGCUUUGAAAAUUGUAAAAAUUGCACGACUUUGCCACCUUUAGGGCAACUACCUUUGCUAAGAGACUUAAGCAUUCAAGGCAUUGAUCAAGUAAAAGUGAUUGGACCUGAAUUUUAUGGAAAUAGAGGCCAUGGAGAAUUACCUUUUCCAUCACUCAUUAAUCUGACUUUUAGUGGCAUGUCUAACUGGGAGGAAUGGGUUGGAAUAGGAGGUGUUAUCCAACUUCCUAAGCUAUGCUCAUUGAUUAUAACUGAUUGUUCAAAAUUGGUCAGUCUUCCAAAUCUUUUACUGUCAUCCUUACGUGACAUAAAUGCUUCUGGGUGUAAUGAGGUGGUGCUAAAUCAUAUGCAGAAUUUGAAAUCUUUAACCAGCAUACAAUUGUCUAGAAUUGUUGGAUUAACUUCAAUUAUCAAAGCAUUUGAACAAUUUCCUUUUACACUUAAAAGUGUUAAAGUUGGUGAAUGCCACAACCUUAAGACUCUAUGGUCAGGUGAUAGUACUGCACGAGACCUAGUCGACCUACGACACGUGGAUAUUGACAGUUGUCCUCAGCUAUUUUCCCUUAAAGAGAUUGAUGUUCUUCCCGAUCUUAGGAGACUUUGUAUAAGAAAUUGUGGAGCUCUGGAGUUGUUGCCUAAUAAAAUAUCUUGUCUUGAGAAUUUGUUUAUUGAAAAUUGUCCAUUGGUAAGGACGAUGAUGAAGCUACAGGAUUGCAGCCUCUCGCUUGAUUAUCUAAAUAUUACUCGUGUGAAUUUGAAUUUGGCAAAUUUACUAGGCUCUGGCUCCAAUUACCAAAGUCUCACUGACCUACACAUAAGGUCUUGUGAUGGUCUAGAAUUGUUUCCCAAUGGAGGCUUGCCCACACCAAAUUUAAAACGACUGUGGAUAAGAGAGUGUCAACAUCUCAAGUCCUUACCUGAUCGGAUGGAUCUACUUUCGUCCCUUUCGUCACUGUGGAUAAAUAAGUGUCAACAUCUCAAGUCCUUACCUGAUCGGAUGGAUCUACUAUCGUCCCUUUCGUCCCUGGAUGUGUCUUCUUGUGCUUCAUUAAUGGAACUCUUUCCCCAAGAGAAUAUUCCUCCAAAUCUGUCUAGCCUUGAAAUCAGAAAUUGCGGAAAACUAAAGCCCCCGGGGGAG
rnacentral:lncRNA from 1 species